rnacentral:lncRNA from 1 species
ACAAAACAUACACAGCAAUGCCCACAUCAUCAAAUAGCGCAGCACACAAUUCACAGCAGGUGCUUUUAUAUAUUUCUUCAAUUAAACAUAUUUCUCACCCUUCACAAAACAUUUACAGCAAUUCCCACUACAUCAAAUAGGAAACAGCCAAUUGACAGCAGGUAAAAAAUCAAUUGUUGUAUUAAAGGGAAUGAAACAAAUUAUACAAGACCCAAAACCCAAAAAAAAAAAAAGAGCAGUAAAUCAGGAAGGAAGGGGUAUGAGGAUGAAAUACGUACCGGGGUUUCUGAGGGUGGCAUGAACAGUAUAGUGGCGGGAAAGGAGUAGCUUGACUAACCAAGAUGCCAGGUAUCCCCCUGCUCCUGUAACACACACUGUCCUGUCCUUCUCAGCCUCCCACGCUGCCAUGUCUGAUUGCUUACUAGUAGCAGUAGUGGGAUUAGUAUUUUAGCACCAAAUUCACUAUAGACUGAUCAAGAAGGUGGGUGAAGUUCUAUUCUUUUCUUUUUGUGAAUAUUAAUUCUUUUUUGGUUGGACAAGGCAGAGAUUUCGUCGAUCCUUAAGGAGAGGGCGAUUGGAGGAGGAAGAGGAGGAGGGGGAGGAGGUGGUGGUGGAAUUUGAAUGGAUAAGUCCUGUAUGUAGGAGCUAGCUGAUUCCAGCAGUCUCUGUCAAUACUAGUAGUGAUCAGCAGCUAGCAGGCGUGGGGGCUUGUAUAUAGCAGCAGACCAAAGGUGCUGUUGUGAUUUGCAUGGCUCAUAGAUGACGUAGGGUUUCAAGGUUUCAGUGGGGUGUGGGGUGGUGGGGGGGGGGGAACGGUAAUAAUGGUAAAUGUAUGUCAAAUGAAAUUUGAGUGUAUUAUUGAGAGAUUUCUAGCAAUCUGUUAACAAAAUUUAUUUUAUCUAAAAAAGGAGUAAAAGAGCGUAAUAUUAUUAAGUUAUAAUAAAAUUUGAUGCAUAUAUCAAUAAAAUUAGAUAUUCUGUGCAUUUGAAUACAACAGUAUACUAUGAUUGUACCAUUGUCAGAUGUUUAACAAAUUUAUUAAUGGAUAUUAAAGUGUUAGAUUUUAUCUCAUAUUUUCCCAAUUUAUGACUCAGAUUUUAAAUUGAUUAACUCAUUAGAGAAUAAAAAACUCAUCCCGUUGCUAAACUGGACAAGUAACAAAUACUCAUGUCCAUAAUGGGGUUUUGCUUCUUAUUGAAAUUCUAUAAUGUGAACCAAACCCUAAAUCCCUCCAUCCUGAAAUAUAAACUAAACUACUCAAUAUUCAAAGCAAAUUCCGCUCAGUAAAAGUUUGUUCGAAUUUGAUUUGCAAACUAAUUUAAUCAAGUUACAAUAAAAUUUUAUGUUUAAAAAAAUUUUAACUGCAGCUCGAGCAUAGCUCGAUAAUCAUAAAAUUGGAUUUUAUAGAUAAAAAUUACUCGAAUUCGACUCAAUAAAAAUUCUUUUGAACUUGCCUCAGUAAAUAAACGAGUCAAUCCUAAAUACUAUCUCAAAAUUCUUUAAAAUAAAUAAACAAGAUACUUGGUUUGAUUAGACACAUUCACAGCCCUAUUUUUCAUAUGCUCGAUAAUAACAUAUUUCUGCACUGGACCAGAUCAGGAAUAGGUAUCUAACUCGUUGAGUUUUGGGACAUGUUUAUCAUUUUUUAAAAUCUUUUUUUUAUUUCUUGUUUUUUAGGAAAAAAACUAAAGGAUGUGUUUGGAUUAGAGACCAAUGAACUUUUUUCCCCCCCGUGCCUAAUUGCAGAUUAAAAGGAAGAACUAGUUCUUAGAUAACGUUUCUAAGUACAACUCUAUUACUCAGAAAACUGGUCUACCUGACUGUGGGUUUUCCUUUAGUCAUGCCAUUUUGUCAUUAGUGAUGAUUGCUUCUUCUAAACCUUAGCUCACUGCACACGCCAAGCGUAUGAAAGCCAAACUUAAAUUGAACUCGUCAAGUUGCAAAAUAAGAAAAUUUGGGUUACGUUUGGUAUGAGUAGUAAGGGAAAAUUUAAUUCCUAUAUUUAUGAUUCUUGACUAAUGUGAUUGUAGAAUUGUUGACUGAAAAUAAAAGGAAACUGACAAAGAAAUGUCAUGUGAUUGCAUGUGCAUGGUUAAAACAAUACAAAUUAUAACCAAUUUGAUCCAUUGUUUUUAAGGUUUUGAUCGUUUUGGUUCCUUAGUAUCAUGACAAGCCAAUUUUGCCUCUUAAAUUUAAAAAUAUGGUUAGGGAGGUCCUUUUGAUAGAAAUUUGAGUCGCUAAUGAAGUGAAGAGACCCUUUAAUGCCUUUCGUGUCACAUCCGUCUCAACAGUAUAUUAAAGUUUCAAAAAAUCUCAAAUAAGUCAUAAAACUCAUAAAAAUAAACCCAAAACUCUUUAUCGUGAAGAAAAUAAAUUUUUGUAACUUUAAAAUAAAUCAAACACAAAACUUUAAACAUAAUUAUGGAUUUUGUGCCAUUUCCGAGUUGAAAUAUCAUGAAAAAGAGUACCUAAAGGUGAAAGAAAAAAUGCAUAAAUUUAUGUUUGACAUAGUAUAAAAAACUUUUAUUUCAUUAUAUUGAAGAGUUAUGGGUGAGUUUAUAGUUUUAGGCUUUUGUUUGAAUGCUUGGUGUUUUCUGCAAGAUGGUACGAAGUACCCUCUAAGGUCUCUUAACUCCGUUAACAACUCUAAAUUAGCCUUGACCAAAUUCUUAAAAUUUAAGAAAAAUUGGUUCGCCAUAAUACAAAGGGACUAUAUUGUUUGGAGAUAAGAUACCAAAUUAAUUAAUUUUUAUUCUUUGCGUAAUUCAAGUGAUUUCUCCGUUAGCUUCCCACAAUUUUGCUGCAUUAGUCUCUUUUGAUGGAGAUAGAGCACUAAAUUUGUUGAUAUGACAGACCAUAUUGGCUGAGACUUCAAAGAUAGAUGACCAAAGCAACAACAUUUCCUAAGUAGUUCAUGAAUCAUUUUCAUUGUAUAGUUAGAUAUGAUAGAGAAGAUGUAUCUUUUUUAAAAAUGAAAGGAAAUAAUAUUAAGUUAUAGAUGAUUUCUUGAAUAAAAGGGCAAUAAUAUUAUUGUACUCACUUUUUUCAUUAUUUUUAACUUAGACUAGUUUUCAUGAGGGGUAAAAUAUACAUAUUUAAUGUUAAUGGGAGCAAAGUGUGAUUAUCCACUAAGUUUAGGGGACGCAAAGUGUUAUUAACCCUUUUUAUUCAUAAUAUAUAAUUUUGUAGACUCUCUCUCUUCUUAGGAUCCUCUCUAUCUUCUCUCUUCUCGCCACUAGUGAUCGUAAGGUUUCAUGGCAGCCCUUCAGCCAUCGGCUGAGGGGCAAGAAUUUUCCCCUACAAAAAAAAAAUCUUUUUCUCAGCUUUUCUCACAGCCGGCAACAUCUCCAAUCCAGAUUCGGCAGGCUUCUGUUUACAAGGGUGAAGCGGCGGUUAUAUUUUCCAGAAUAGAAGCGGACAAACUUGCAGCACCAUUUAGAUGGACUUUGGUUGGCAAAUUCUCUCAUGGACGACCUUCUCUGGAAGAUAUUCGAAAGUUUUUUGCCUCUUUAAAUUUGAAAGACCAAGUCUCCAUUGGAUUACUGGACUAUAGGCAUGUCCUUAUUAAAUGUACAGCUGAAGCAGAUUUCAAUAGAAUUUGGACAAGAGGAAUUUGGCAGUUGGGUAAACAUCCAAUGCGUGUGUUUCGAUGGACCAGGGAAUUUCAUGUGCAUAGAGAAUCAUCUCUAGUACCGGUUUGGGUAAAUCUUCCAGCUCUACCUAUUCAUUAUUUUGACAAACAUUCUUUGUUUUCCAUACUGUCUCCAGUAGGAAGACCUUUGUUUCUAGAUUCGGCAACGGCUGCUGGGAUUCGUCCUAGUGUAGCCAGGGUGUGCGUAGAGAUAGAUGUUGCGAAGCUUGUUGUGCCAAGGGUGUGGGUUGCUGUCGAAGGGGAAUCAGGUUUUUGGCAACGUAUUGAGACAGAGAAUCGUCCUCCGUAUUGUUCUUUUUGUUCAAGAUUAGGACAUUCUCAUGAGCACUGCAACAAGAAUUUGAAAAAAGAUGGGUCUCGGCUGCAACUGAACAACCAGCAAAACCCAUACAUAGAUAGAAAUCAGAUGAUUACUCAUCAACCUGGGACUAAUCAAACUGAUUUGGAGAAUAAAGAGGCAGCAAAUAUAUCCAAUGUUAUUGCAAAUGAAAUGAUAGUGAAUGGAGUUGCUGCUACUGCGAAUGAAACUGUGAUAAACGAGUCUACUUCACAGGAAAUUUCAACCACUGCUACGGUGAAAAAUGGGAUAAAAACUUUAGCAGCAAAGGCCAUGGUUGCUGAACCUGCCGUGCUAGUCGUGCAAAAGGAAGUAAAAAAUCUGCAACACUGCAUUAUUGAUGAUGAUCCUGCUAAUGAAGAAGGAGUAGUAACCCAUUUAGAAAUUUCAGAUGUCAACGUAAACAUGGAGACAUGUAAGGUGAUGAAUACGGUUUUGCAUGGGGAACAUGUAGCAAUGGAAAACCAGCUGGAGAAACAUCAUGGCAGUCAAAGUGAAGGGUCCCAUGUCCUCAAAGAGAAGCCUUUGAGCACCGAACAACAUCAUCUGGAUGAGAAUGCUUUAACAUUGGCACAACAGAAUCUGAGCGACAAAGCUACAACAUUUACACAAGCAAAUCAGGCCCACAACAACGCAAGGAGUGACCAUGAGCAAUUGGCCGACAAAACCAAUGUUGAACUGCAGCUGCUGGCCGACAAUAAUGUUUUGGAGAAUCUCUAUGUUGAAUUGCGAGGGGUGGAGGAUGAAGUUUCUACACAACAGUUGGUAGAAGCAAAUCAAAUGCCUACUAAUGCUGGAAAUCUGUCCCCCCGAAUUGGUGUCCUACAAGAAAAAUUGCUGGAAUCAUCAAUGAAUGGCCUAAACAUUGAUCAAAUAGGUGAGGCUGGUGGUGACUUCCGACAACCGCACAGAAAGGGUAUGCGGGCUCCAAUCCCAUCUGACAGACAGUUAAGGUCACAGACAUCAUCCAAAAAUUCAUUCCAGGUUCUUUCUUAUGAUUAAUGGAUUAUUUUGGAAUAUUAGAGGGAUAGCAAAAGCACCAAACCUAAGAAGAUUGAUUAAAUUAGUUCGGAUUUAUCAUGUUCAUUUUGUUGUGAUUUGUGAGCCAAAACUAGACGUAUCUAAAAUCGAACUCAUUCGGUUACGUCUAUCUUUUGAUUAUGUGUUUGUUAAUUGCUCUAGCGAUAUUUGGGUUUUCUAUAAUAAUCCUUUUGUUUGGUCGAUCGUUGGUAGUUCGGAUCAACAUAUUUCUCUAGAUGUUCAAAAUCCAUUACUACCAAGUUCCAUCAUUAUGUCUUUUGUUCAUGCAAAGUGCACAGUGGAUGAGCGUAAAGACUUAUGGACAUCAUUAUUACAUGAUAAGCCUACUUUACUUCCUUGGUGUAUUGGAGGUGAUUUCAACGUUAUAUUAGCAGCACAUGAAAAGCGAGGGGGGCGUCCAUUUGCUAUAGCGGAAGGAGUGGAUUUUAUGAAUUUCAUGGAGGAAGCUGAGGUCUUUGAUGUCGGUUUUUCAGGAUCUAAAUUCACAUGGUCUAAUAAUCGACGGAGUAGAGCUCAGAUUUCAAAAAGGUUGGACAGAUUUUUAGUCAAUGGAUCUUGUUUGGAUUUUUCAAAUGACAUUUCGGUACUUCACUUGGCAAGACACCCCUCCGAUCAUGCACCAUUGAAGGUUUCUUUUGCAACUCGGUCAGAUAACAAACCUCGGCCGUUCCGAUUUCUGAAUGUUUGGACUUCCAAACCAGAUCUCUUGGAAGUGAUUCGCCAUGUUUGGAAACAAGAUGUGGGUGGGCCUCCGCUACGCGUAUUGUGUUCUAAAUUAUUGGCAACAAGGAGAGCUAUUCAAUCAUGGAACAAGCAACAUUUUGGGAAUAUUUUUGACGUUGUCCGUUCUUCAGAAAUGGCGGUUCAACGAGCUGAGGAGUUGCUAGACCACGAUUAUUCCGAAGAGUGUCAAAUUGAGCUUAAUAAGGCACAAGCAGAAUUGCGGUAUUCAAUGUCAAUUGAAGAACAGUAUUGGAGACAGAAGGCCAGGGUCAAAUGGCUUCGUCAUGGAGAUAGGAAUACAAGAUAUUUUCAUGCGGUAGUAAGGCAGAGAAGAGCUCAAGGAAUGAUACACCGCAUCAAAAAGUCCAAUGGUGCGUGGGUGGAAAAGGACGAUGAUAUAGCAAGUGAGGCAACGGCAUAUUUCAAUGAUCUUUUCACGGGCUCUUUGGAAUCAUCUACUGAUAUGCUACAUUUAAUUCCGCACUUGGUUACGGAAGAGGAUAAUGGAAAACUGGAAGCAUUACCUUCAAUUGAGGAGGUAUAUGGAGUCAUAAAGUUAAUGGAUGGAGAAAGUGCAGCUGGCCCAGACGGUUUUACAGGCAAAUUUUUUACAUUUGCUUGGGAAGUGAUCGCUCAAGAUGUUUACAAUGCGGUACUGAGCUUCUUCUGUGGGGCGGAGCUACCACGAUUCAUCACUUCUACUUCAAUUAUACUAAUUCCAAAGACGCCAAAUCCUCAGGAAUUCUCUCAAUUCAGGCCUAUCAGUCUAUGCAAUUUUUUCAAUAAAGUGUUAUCUCGGAUUUUGACAGACAGGAUGGCUUGUUUACUGCCAAAAAUCAUUUCCCCACAUCAGACAGGUUUUGUGAAGGGCCGCAAUAUAACUGAAAAUUUUCUACUAGCUCAAGAGAUGGUAUCAAGCAUGGGGAAAAAGAAUAGAGGUGGAAAUGUUUUAAUGAAACUAGACAUGUCCAAGGCAUAUGACCGGAUGUCAUGGGGUCAUAUUAUUAAUAUUCUAAGGAGGUUUGGAUUCGGGGAAAUAUUUAUUGACCUUAUAUGGCGGUUACUCUCUAAUGUCUGGUUUUCUAUCAUUAUAAAUGGUUCCUCCUACGGUUUCUUCAAGUCUUCGAGAGGUCUUCGUCAGGGAGACCCAUUAUCUCCUGCAUUAUUCAUUAUAGGAUUUGAGGUUUUAUCUAGAGGACUGAAUAACCUCACCAUGCAAUCGAGGUUCCUGGGUUUCAAAGUUCCAUAUCGGUGUCCGACUAUUACUCACUUGGCAUUUGCGGAUGAUGUUCUUAUAUUCACAAAUGGAUCCUCUUCUUCUCUUAAGGCAAUCAUGCAGGUGUUACAGGCAUAUCAAAGGUGUUCGGGGCAGCUCAUAAAUGUGCAAAAAAGCUGUUAUUUGGUCCACCCAUCGAUGCCACCGGCGAGACGAAGGGUGAUUGAACGUAUCACUAGGUUUGCCUGGCAGUCAUUUCCGAUACGUUAUUUGGGAUUCCCUCUUUAUUCUGGAAGAUGCAAAUCUUCAUAUUUUGGAGAAGUGUGUCAGUCUAUUCUAGGGAGGAUUUUGUCAUGGAAAUCAAGGCUGCUUUCCUUUGGAGGCAAAAUAGUUCUAAUCAAGCACGUGUUGGCUUCUAUGCCAAUGCAUCUAAUGUCAGCUGCUGUGAUCCCGGCCAAGGUGUUCAAAAUUAUAGAAAGUUCGUGCUCGAACUUCCUGUGGAGAUCAUCAACCGACGACUCGAAAUUCCACUGGAUACGAUGGUCUCACUUGUGUUACCCGGUUGAGGAAGGGGGAGUCGGGUUCCGGAGACUACGAGACGUAUAUCAAGCUUUUUCAUGCAAGCUUUGGUGGAAUUUCCGAACAGGAUCAUCCCUGUGGGCAUCGUUCAUGAAAGCAAAAUAUUGCGGAAGCCUUCAUCCUUGUCAGAUCGAACUCAGAACAACGGACUCGGCAAUCUGGAGAAGGAUGAUCAACGUAAGUAGACAAGUGGAGCUCUCAAUGUUAUGGGAUGGAGCUUGUCAUUUUUGGUAUGACAACUGGUUGGGAAGUGGUGCGUUAUUUCUACAUGCAAAAGUUAUCCCAAAUUUGUCAUUCCAAAAUUUUAUCACCAAUGGUCACUGGAAUAUAAAUCUCUUACAUUCGACGAUGCCAAGCGAGAAACUUACUUCCAUUUUGGCACACCCGGUACCAGAGGAAGGGAGGGAAGUUGAAGUCUUUUGGAUGCCCACGAUAUCUGGUAAGUUCUCUCUCCAAUCGGCUUUUGGGGACGUCAGGCAGACCCGACACAAGUCAAUGGCUUUUACUUACAUUUGGCAUCUUCAGAUUCCUUGGAAAGUCUCAUUUUUCAUGUUAAGAUUGUUUCUGAGAAGACUACCAUUACCAGAUAGGUUAGGUAAGCUUGGCUUCCAACUUCCCUCAAAGUGUUUUUGCUGCUCCUCGGCAUCUGUGGAGUCUAUUGAGCACCUAUUUGCCAACGGACAUAUUGCCUCGGUAGUUUGGAACUAUUUUGGAGGCCUAUGUGGAUUCAGGUGUCCAGGAUCUUUUUUGCGUCCUCGCAUCGUAGGAUGGUGGCUACGUUUACAUGACUCUGAGACACGACGACUUAUCGACCGCAUUCUACCUAGUGUACUUUGCUGGCAGAUUUGGAAAGCAAGAAAUAAAGCAAUGUUUGAGGGUGUCCAAAUGCAAUCGUCUGCUAUUUGUAAGAACAUUUUCUCAGAAAUACAGUCUAUGGUGGGGAUUCAUUUCAAACAAGAACUUCAAUUGCAGUCCUUUCAUCAUUUGUAUGAUCGAUCGCAUGUAUCUGUCGGUAGAAUUGCAUAUAAAUUGGUUCGCUGGGAAAUAAAGGAGACAGGGAGAUUGAUACUCAACACGGAUGGAUGCUCUAAAGGUAAUCCAGGAGUGGGUGGAGGUGGUGGAGUUCUCCGAGAUUCAUUUGGCGUACCAGUGAUUGCUUUCUCGGCUUAUCUUGGACAAACUACAUCUCUCCGUGCAGAGACUUGGGCCCUCCUUAUUGGUCUUCAAACAUGUAAAAAUAGGGGCUUCGAAAAUAUAAGGGUUCAAUCAGAUUCAUUGCUUUUAGUUGAGAUCAUUCAGCAGCGUAUUCAAUGUCCAUGGGAGAUUCGAAGGGAAAUCAGACAGAUUUUGAAGCUCUUGGAAGAUCCUGCUCAUUUAUCACACUGUUAUCGAGAGGCUAACACAGUUGCUGACGCUUUAUCCAAUGUCGGAACAUCUCAUCCCCACCAACAAGUCAAGAUUUAUGACAGCUUCACUAUGCUCCCAAGGGUAGCUCGUGGGGCAAUUUUUCUAGACAAGUUGGGUUUGCCCUCAGUUCGGAAAAUUAGACGUCUGUAAGGAAAAAUAUUGUGUAUAUCUCUUUCAUUAAUAAAAUAAAAAAGUUCAAAUAAAAAAAAAAAAAAACUUAACUUACGCUUUAACCGUUAGGAUUUUCUUACAUUCAUUCGACAACUCAGUAACCAUCCUAUUGUAUAAUAACUAUCCUACACCUCAUCAAAGCCUGAUAAGAUGAAGAAAAUUUCAUUUCUGGCAUCUUAAUGCCUUACAUCCAGUAUUGAGGGAAAAAAAUUAGUCGCAUUACAGUCUGAGAAUUUGAAUCCAGUAAUUUCAUGGUCUGACGUAGUCACCCAAGUAGGUUCUCCUUAAAACAGGGUCUUGAGGCAAAAUACACAUCAAAUAGGUCAUCUGUCGAUCUUUGAUUAUGUCUACACGUUCAAAAGAUAGGCUUAAUCAUAUUAGUGGAAAUAACUCAUAGUUCAUCAUAUAUUAAUUUCCUAUUCAAUUUAGUUUGAAUACAUGAUCAAUGUUAUCAUAUGCCAAAAAAGAUUGAGGAUACUUUUGACCUAGUUCUUUGCACUAACUUGAAAUCUACCAAUUGUUCUUUCUUUGAUGCACUUGCAAAAUCUCCUGCAAAAGUAAAAUAACUCAGUUGGUGAAUUUUGGCUAACUGAGAGGCCCUAUCUUCUUUUUACUUCUUUAGCACAAGCGAAGAAUGAAUUUAUGCAUAAUAACCGUGUGAUUCUAAUGAGAUAUGAUUUUUUUGGUUUUGCAUGCUGGUUAAACAAUUGUUCAAGCUCUUAUCUCGGUUUUUGAUACUUCACCAGUAUGUUGCUGCUUCAUUAGAAGAAUUUUCUAUUUUAUGACUGGCAAGUGAUUUUGGUAUCUUAGCAGUUCAUCGAUUUUGGUGCUUUGUUUACAAUUUAAUUGGCUUCAAUGGUCCAUACAUAUAGGAACUUGGAAUUUACCCUUUUAUUUCCUUUUGCAUGAGCAAAGAUUAGUAAUUUUUAAUCAUAAUUUUCGAUUCCUCUAUUCUGGCCAUAGUGAAGAAAUCUACCUUUUUGUACUUGUGUAUUUGCACACCAAACAUCAUUGGGCUGUCUACUUUUGACAUUAUUCUUGAAUUACUCAGUUUAGAAUGUGUAUUAGUUGCUGGAAGCAAAUGCAUCAUCGUUGGCAAUUACUAAACAGAAAAUAUGCAUGCCAUUACUAUUUUCACUGAAAUUAGCAUCUAACUUAUAGUGAUCUAAUUAAAGGUUAACUACAUUGGUUUUGACUAGAACUAAGAGAUCAUUAGCCCUUUUAUUUUUGGAUUUGCAUUAAUCCAGUAUCAUCAAACUUCUUCAAAUGGGCUCUUUAGCUACUAACCCCUUCAAAAAUAAUUUAGGCUUACGGUUCUGUUGAUGUCGCAAUUGCAGGAGGUUCAGAAGAUAACGAAAGGCUCAUCUAAGAUUUCUUAAGGUGUUUGGCUUAUAUCGCUAGAUUUACCUAAUCUAUUUUCAUCCUUCUCCGAUGUCAUUAUUGUUAAAGUUCAAUUCAUAAGUUGGUUGUGUUAGAAAAUUGGCUUAAUUUCUUUUUAGAUAGGUUUUUGUUUUGUGCGAAAGUAACUAGUUUUCUAAUUGGUUUUAGUUACUCGAAAUAGUAGCCAAGAAAUUUCUUAUUUUGUUUAGAAUUAGAAGUUAUUUCUUAUUUUGUACAAGUCUAGGAAUUAAAAUUAAUUUCCUGUUGUUAUUUGGAUUUUUUGACCAAAUAAUGUUUUUAUAAAUAUGUGGGUUGGCAUGCUAUAAAAGAAACACAUAAGGGCACACAAGGACGACAUGUAACCUUAUACAUAGGUGGUGAGAGAGAGUUCUUGGGAGAUGAGAGAUGGUAUACAAAGGUUGGACUUGAGUUCGAGUUGUAUUCUUGUAUAAGGUUUUUCUCUCAUAACAAAGAACAAGUUUCUCUCCGUGGACGUAGGUUCAAUGGAGUCAAACUACGUUAAAUAUUGUGUGUUGUUUAUCUUUCAUACUUGUGGCUUGUUUCUCAUUAAAUUAUUAUGUACUUGAUAUCUUAAUAGUUAUUUAUUCUGCAUUUAGUUCCUAACAAAUAGUAUCAGAACUUGGUUGCGAGAUUGGGCUGCUCACAAGCACUUGGAUCCCAACAAACUGAACAGUUGGAUCAAGAGUUUGGUUGUUCAAGGUUGGAUCCUAGUUAACUAUUGAUAUCAAGUAGGUUGGUGACUGUUACCAAUUGAACAAUUUAAUGGGCGGUAUCCUUAUUUCAAGAGUUUGGCAAAAAGCAUUGAUGGUGAAUGAUGAAAAGUCGAAAAGCAUAGAGAUACUUGACGGUGAAUCUAGGCAGGUGAUUCAAGAGUCAAGGAAAAGGUGGAAUCCAAUGUCGAUUUUGGACGUGAAUUGGUGGAGAUUUUCUCACAACUUCAAUGGUUGAUACUUCAUCCCGAUGGUUUUUAGAUUUCACUUAUGUUUUUUGAGUGGUACAGAACGUGUCCCAAAAAAACAAAGAGAUUUAAUUUCUAUGCGCCUGAAGACUCUGACAGUUACGAGUCUUUUGUUACAGGUGGAUUUUUGGAAACCACACGUGGCGAGAUAGUCCUGAGAAAGGGAAGAAGUACGAUGAUUUUACCACUUGGUUGCCUCAAUGAUUAAGGUUAGAGUUCACAGAAGGAGAUUUUGGGUUGCAAGUGGUGGUGAGAAAAAAUCCUGUAAAGGGAAAUGGUGAAUUGAGGCAUCUUCUCACAAAUCAACUAGAGGUUGUACUGGGUGUAAAUACACAUAUUCAUUUGGCGAUUAAAUUAAUUUGGUAUCAGAAUUGUAUUGAUUCGAGUGUGUAGUUCGGUACCAUAUUAUUUGGUAGUUGAAGGUAAAUAAUUGUUAAAAGAAAUUUUCGCCGAGAUGGAGAUUUGUUAGGAAAUUGACUUAAUUUCUUUUCAGACAGGUUUUUGUUUUGUGUGGAAGUAACUAGUUUCCUAAUUGGUUUUAGUUACUUGAAAUAGUAGCCAAGGAAUUUCCUAUUUUGUUUAGGAUUAGAAAUUAUUUCCUAUUCUGUACAAGUCUAGAAAUUAGAAUUGGUUUCCUAUUAUUAUUUAAUUUUUUGGCCAAAUAAUAUUCUCUAUAAAUAGAUGGGUUGGCAUACUACAAAGAGACACACAAAAGCACACAAGAGACGACAUGUAGCCUUAUACAUGGGUGGUGAGAGAAGAUUUUUAGGAGAUGAGAGAUGGUAUACAAAGGUUGAACUGGGGUUCAAGUUAUGUUCUUAUAUAGGAUUUUUCUCUUAUAAUAAAGAACGAGUUUCUCUCUGUGGAUGUAGAUUCAAUGGUGGAGCCGAACCACAUUAAAAAAUAGUGUGUCAUUUAUCUUUCAUGCAUGUGGCUUGUUUCUCAUUAAAUUGUAGUGGACUUGAUAUCUCAAUAGUUGUUUAUUCCACGCUUGGAUCCUAACAAACUGCUAAACCAAGAUUGAUGUAAUUGCGUCCUGUACUUGAGAUAAUAGAAAUAAUGAAAACAAGAGAGUUUGCAAUUCAAUUGAUUAAGGGAAGAACAGAGAAAAUCCCUGAAAAUGGGAAUUAAAGGAAACAAAGGAAACCCUAAAACUAGUUUCCAAGAACAAUUCUGUCGAAGACAGAAAACAAAGAAAAUAGUAUCAAAGGCUAUAUCGUUAUUUAGAAAACAAGAAGCACUUGAAGGUGAAUGUUGCAGAAAGUAGAAGAUCCCACUACAAUUUACUAGUUCAAGGAGCUAUAAUUAAGAAAGAAAGAAGAAACUCAGAGAAUUAGAGAUUGUUAUUGAUUGAUGAAUGAGUAGGAAGAAUGUAGAUGAAGAUGAUAAUCAAUUACAAGUAAUGGAAAUCGGAAAUCCAAGAACUGCCUUCAACUUACCACUCUCCUCUCUUUUAUUCGGCUACUACACUUGUCCAAGUCAGCUAAUUCAUUACAACCAACCGACAUACAAGAAUUAUAAGGAUUAUUCAUUAAGUCCCUAUCAUACUUGCUUUAUUACAAAAAAAAUAACCCUAUCAAUAAAACUAAGGUAACAAAUACUUCCCCCUCAGAGAAUCCUUGUCCUCAAGGAUUAAAUUCAGGAAAUUGUUGUUUAAGGUCAAACCAGAAUUCCCAGAUAGCAUCUUCAAGAAAAGAAUUGCUUCACUGCACCAAAACUUUUGUAGCAAGAGAGUUACCACAUUUCACCAAUUUCUGAUCAAGUAUGGCUAUAGGCUCCAUUAAUAAUUAUCCCUGUGUAUUGAUUGCAAAAGGAAUGUGUGAGGUAACUAGUGAGUGCCCACUUUCUUCUUUAGAAGAGAUACAUAAAAAAUAGAGUGUAUUUUUGCCAUAUUAGGCAGCUAAAGCUGAUAUGCAACAGGGUGUACUCUUUUGAUCGCUUGGAAAGGUCCAAAAAACUUAGAAGCUAACUUCUGACAAGAGUGUACCUUCAAAGAGUGUUGCCUCUAUAGUUGUAGUUUCACAUAUACCCAAUCUCUUGCCUAGUACUGUCUGUUAGACCUGUGUUGGUCAGCUUGUUGCUUCAUCCUAUUUUGUGCCUUGUGAAGGUUGUACUUUAAGUGAUGCAAAACUAUCUCCCUUGCUGCCAAGAUUCUAUCCACCACUUCCACUACUAAAUUCCCAAGUAGACAAGGCAUAUGCAGAGAUGGUGCAUGACCAUACACCACCUCAAAUUGGAUAACCUUAGUGGCAGCAUGAAAUUUGGUAUUGUACCAAUAUUCAGCCAAGGGUAACUAGAUAGACCACUGCUUUGGAAAAUCUCCACACAUUCACCUCAAAUAUUACUCCAAACACUUGUUUACCACCUCAGUUUGACCAUCUGACUGAGGGUGGUAGGUAGAAGAGGUAUUAAUCUGCACUUUCAGUAACUUAAAAAGUGCUAAUGAGGACCACAUCCUUGUCACUAACAAUGCUCUGAGACAACCCGUGAAGUCUAUAGAUCUGAUCCAGGAAUAUGUGGAAAUAUAAAUGCUGAAUAAGCAUGUGACAAUGCCAAGAAGUGUGCAUACUUACCUAACUUGUCAACCACCACCAAGAUGGCUUGUUUACCAUGUGCAUUAGGUAAACCUUCCAUAAAGUCCAUGGAAAUUCACUCCAAACCUUUUGAGGCACACGUAAAAGUCGUAAUAAACCCAAAUAAGCAGUAUUGUCAUAUUUGUUGCACUGAUAGACAUCACAUGCAGCCACAUAGUUGACUAUGUCUUGAUACAUUCUUCUCUAAUAAACCACUGACUUCAACUUCUUUUAGGUAGCAUAAACUCCUGAAUGUCUCCAACAGCACUAGAAUGCCACAAGUGAAUUAUAUUAUUCUUGAAUUGACCGUCAUUUUCUACCACUAGUCUCCCCAUCCUUCUUAACUGCCAGUUGCUCCAUGUGUAAUAAGGUGCGACCUUAGAAAGAUCAAAUUGUAAUUGAGUGAUGAAGGUCUAUAGCCUUAUAUCUCUUUGCCAUCCCUUUUUAAUCACUAUCAAAAAUCACUGUUAACAAUGAUGAUGCAAGAGCUUCUCUUGGUUCUGCUAGUUUUCUAAAGAGAGUAUCUCUCAUCAUAUUAUAUGCUUCUUUCCUGUAUUGAAGCUCAUAAUCAAAUCUUACUAGCUUAGCCAUCCAUUUCUGCUGCAUAAGAGUGUUCAAUCUUUGUUCCAUCAUAUAUUCAAUGCUCUAAUGGUCAUUUUUAAUGAUAACGUACCUUCCAAGUAGAUAAGGUCUCCACUUCUAUACAGCAGCAACUAUGGCCAAUAUUUGCACUUUUCCAAUAUAUUAUUAUAUGCUAUUCUCCCACACACCUAAAUCUUACAUUGUCCCCAAUGUAAAAUAAAGAAUAAAAGAAAAGUAAUGGGGAUAACGAAACUUCCUUGAUAACUGAGGGGGCCGUGGAUAGCUACAGGUGAGGAGCAAAUGAUUGUGGAGCUCGACGUAUGUUGAUGGUUGGCGGCAGUGGAGUUCGGAUGGAGAAGGAUGGAAGAAAGAAAGAAAGAAGAAAGAAAAAGAAGAGAGAAAGAAAGAAAGAAAAAGAAAAGGAAAAAGAAAGGAAAAGGAAGAGAAAAGAAAAGGAAAAUGCGAAUGGGAAUUGCUCCAAUCCCAGCUGGUUUUUUGUACUACUACUUUGCUUCUUGUACGAAGCUUGAAGAUGCAGCACGCGCGGGAAUUUUUUUUUUUUUUUACAUCUGAUUUUGAUUUUUUUUCUUUUUCCUUUUCUGUAUUUCCUUUUCUUUUCUUUCUAAUUUUUUUUGCAAAAACAAUCAAAUAAAAAUCAAAUGAGAUGGAAUGAUUUUUUUUUUUAAAAAAAGGUAAAAAUAUAAAUAGAGAUAAAUAAAUAAAAAUAAACAAUAAUAGAUAUUAACAAAUCAUAAAAUGAUUUAUGAAAUUUUUUUGGUGUCUACAUAUAUACACAUACUAAUAAUUUUUAUAUUUUUAUAUUUUUCCUAUUUAAUCUUACCUAUAAUUCUUCCUUAUUUUAUUUACUUUCUCCAAUUAAUUUUAUAUUUUAAAAAAUAUAACAUCUAAAAAUAUAUAUUAACGAAGAGGGCAUCUGUUAGACAUGUCCUAUUUUAUGUAGCAUAUAUGUACUACAUGGAAAAAACUUUUUUAAUAGGUAUCUUAUUUUUUGACAUGAAAAAUGCCUUUUGACUACAUUCUGACUAGCGCCAAAAGCUAUCUACUUUUGACAUGUUGCCCAUGUGGGGUCCUUGAUGAUUGGUGUCACAAUUUUAACACAUGGUCGUACUAGGUACAAUGUGGUCAAUAUUGGAUUAGGAGCACUAAUUCAAAAAAAUUGGUGUAAUUGUACGGUUGUUAUUUUUUUUAUAUAAAAUUUGGCACAUAUUUAUAUAAAUGUUUAUAUAUUUUUAUACAUUUUCAAAAAAUAUUUUAUAUACUUUUUUAAAAAUAUAUAUAUUUUUGUAUAUAUAUUUUAAAAAUUUUGGUAUUUAUGAGCAAAAUUCUUACAUACAAUAAAAUAAUAGCAUGAUAUGAGAUGAAUAAUAAUUGAAUAGUACUGCAGUUGCCCCAUUUACCGGUGACGCUACUCGUAACUUGAUGUUCAAAAAGUACCACCAUAACUUUUGCUGAACUAAAUUUGAAAAAGCAUUUCAUCAAAUUUGAAUGGUAUCGAAUAUAAAAUAAUGUUCAAAGUUGAUUUGACAAGUUGGUGAACCAAAUCGAACGAGCUUUUACCAGACUGAACUUAAUUCGAAUAUCAGUAGUUUGAUUCAUCUUUCAACCUUUAUACCGACCAAAAAAAAAAAAUCAAUUACCAGUCAAGUAUAAUGUCUUAUUUUUUUACCAAGUUUUUAAGGGUGUGCACACCAUUGUUCUCCCUUUUCCUUUGACAUGUAAGGCCAGUUUUCCUGCUUCAUGUGUUGCCUAAUUUAAGUUUCGUUUUAUGUUGACUCCUAAUUUAGCGUCUUCUUGAAAGCUCCGACUAUUGCUCGGAAAAAAAUAUUGCUGUUGAAAACAGAGUUUUUUGCCAAAAUAACACUCUUUCUAAAAAAUAUUCCCAAUGUGAUUCACUUUCAAAUUUUAUUCCCAAAUCGAUGUUAUUGUUGCCACCUAAUUACUCUGAUUGCCAUGUAGGAUAACAAGAAAGGAAAGCUUUAAUCUAGUUUAUAGUUUCCAAUAAAAACUAAAAAUUUAAACUGUUUUAUUAUAGAGGCACAAGAAAAUUGCAUAACUUUGAUAAUUUCCUUAUAAUUAUUUAAAAUAAAUUUUACCAUUAUUGACCUUGCUAUUAUUGCUCUCUACAAUUUUUUUAAAUGUAUCAAACUUAUUGCAUAUAUUUUUUCAAAAAUAAAUUUGCAAAAUACAAAAAUUGCAAUGAACAUUAUAAGCAAUAAUAAGAAAAAGUUAAAAAACUUCAAGGUUAUCAUAUUUGUUCAUGUUAUGCUUUCUACUCCUUGAAAAGUACUUUUACAAAAAGUAAUCAAACUAUUGCAAUUAAGAUAAUGCUAAAGUUUAUCAAAAGUAACACAAGCCAUUAAUUGAUGUUGAAUAAAUAUGCAAAAAUACUUCAAGUAUACGAGAUUAUUUGAUUAUGUGAUAGAGAGGCACUACAAAUGAACAUGCUUACAUUGAGCAUGAAUUUAUGUUGUUACGUAGUUUUCCUCUUAGAUAUUUUAUCAAGCACACGGUGUGAGAAAUCAUUUGUUAAAACAAUUAGUAUUCAAAAUUUUUUGAAGGCCAUAAGAAUGUUCCAAAAACUGCACAACAGAAAAGACGAGAAUAAUCUUCAUUUACCUUGAAAUUAUUAAUUCGAGGAGAAUAUUUUCAUAAUAUCAGGAAUGAUAAUGAAGUUUUAGAUGUUGUUAAUAUAAAUAUUGACUUUUAACAAUUACAUUUGACAAGGAAAAAUAACGAAAGGACAAAAAAUAAUAAAGGAAAAAAAAGUGGGUAGGUUCAGAGAGAGAAUCAGGGAAGAUAUUAAUUGGAAAAGAGAGAUAGUACGUGUCUCUAUCUCUAUCCUACCACAUAUGCAACCUAUGUGGAAAAAAAAGAAUUAUAAAGGUAAUAAAUUUUAAAAUUAGGUUACUUUGGGUAUAUGUUUCAAAAGAAGAGUUAUUUUGGCAAUAAACUCGCUGAAAACAUCAUCACAUAUUUGGAAAGAUUUACUUGUUGCUCUGGAUUUUAGGUUUGAUCUUUAUUUCAUAAAGCAUUUUGUUAGAUUUCAAUGGCUUAAAAAAAUGAUGACUUUUGUUAGAAUAUUGAGCUCUCAGACAUUCAGUGCAGGCCUAAUAUUUUUUUUUUAGUACUGAAUUUGUUUUGGAUACGUUAGUAUUUCUUGAAUUUUAGAAAAUGCUUCUCUUUAAUAAAUGUAAGUUCAUUUUAAUCUUGAUUCGCAAGCUUUUCUUGUAAAUGGUUUGCCAUUUCUUAUUAGUUGUUACAGUAAAUUUAGCAAGCAUAUAUGCUUUUUGUCAAAAUUCAAUCAUUUCAAAAUCUAGAAGGGAACUUCUAAAAUAUCUGCAUCCUCCUUUUCUUUUUUCUUUUUCCCCCUCUUGGCUUUGUAUUCAGAAUCAGAUUGUGUUCAAUUAGUUGGAAUUUGCCUUUGGAGUUAAAAGGGAUUUCCAUUUUUUCCUAGGUAUUCCACAGCUUGCAUACCAAAAGCACAGAGGCGGAAGAAAACCUAUGAUUAAAUCAUACAACAGGAUUGUAAGAAAAUGCCCACUCUGAAAAAAUGAAAAGUUGAAUUUCCUAUUUUCAAAUUUACAUGCAAAAAAUGAAAAAUGACAUGCAAGAAAUAGUCUACUAUUUCGCAAUUUUUGCUGUUAUGAGAAAUAUAUUACAAAUAAAUCCACAUAAAUGGUGGGAAUAAUAACUCAAAUAUGGUGGGACAAAUAAACAUAUAGGGUGACCCCUGCCAGCUGAGAUAACUAGCUGGUUUAUUUAAUUUAAUAGUUUGAAUACAAUAGUAAAUCAAUGCCAUAGCUCAGAUACUGACUAAAUUUUUCUCCCUGAAGAAUUCAACAGCAUCUUUUAGGCUGACCUCCAAAGGAGUGAAUCGAACUCCCAACCUUUUUGCCUUCUCAUUGGAGGCUCUGUAGUUUGGGCUGAUAAGGUUGGUAUUGUUUGACAUUCUGCUGUAUGCGGGACAAUACACAAUUAUGGCAAACAUAAAUAAAGCUUAGGUAAUGAAAAUGCAAGUGUAAAUUCAAAUGCUUGAAAAUCUACUGGACAAUUGCCUCAUAUCUACUGUAAAUUGUGCCUUUUUACGAAGUUUCAAAAGACCUUUUAAAAGAUAGCUUUAGUUGUGAUAUGAAUGAAAUUUAUUUUUUUAAAAAAAAAAACCUAAAACGGAAUUUCUAUUUUGGAGGCAAAGCCAAUUUGGUGCUAUAUCCUAGUCCAAAGAAGACCAUCUUCUAGAAAUCAACCUGAGAAAGAGCUCAUUUUAUGGAACAUGAGACCAAAAGAAAAAAAAAAGAAGGCAGAAAAUUUAGGAUUUAAUGUCCUUUAAAAGAGAGUAUAAAAAUAUGUGAUACAUUUUGGACCUAUACAAGGCCAUCAGCAAAAGCCUGUAAAGACCUAAACAAGGAAAACAAGACUUACUUAUCAGGAAAUUGGUGAGUUGCGUAAUGCUCAUGCAAAAUCUUGAUGAUCUGAGAGGCAUUUGCACAUCUUUCAACCAGACAAUAUCUUCCACUUGCAGAAGGGGUUUCAAGGGCAAGAACAUGUGCAUAGGCAACAUCUCUAACAUCAACCCAGCUACAUGUUGCCUUAGGAAAUGGUUCAACCCCUGCAUUUGGCACCUAAGAUCUUUAAACACAUUUUUUUUGCAGGCUCUUCAGCGAACAUAAGUGAAACUCUGCAUACAAUUAAAUACAAUGUUGUUUGCCAUGAAAAGAGUCAAAUUUAGAGGCCAUGGCCUGCCUUCCAGAAGAAAUGUGUGGUAUGUACUACUUUGUUCUGUUUUAGUAUCAGCAAAGCCACAGAGGGGAGGGAGAUGUGAGGAAUGAACUACUUGAGACAAUUCAGAUAAUUGGUGAAUAAUAAGAAAGAUUAAUCCCAACAAUCUUCUAGUUAAUCUGUCGAGUUAUUACCUGGAAUUUCUCAGAUUUAGAGUUAGGUUUCAAAGGAUAGUUUAUUUAUUUAUGUGAGGAAUAAACAAGCUUUAGCAAGUCUGAACAACAUAAACAGUGACUACUCCUAACAAAUUUUUCCUCACAAUUACCACCAAAAAAUUUCUUUUCCUUCCUGUUAAUCACAUAGAACGUCAAUGUUGUUGAAAGGAAGAUGCACACAACGUGAAUUUCAGAUGAAAGAUUGUACUGCAAACCUUUAAAACAUCAUAAGCUGGUCAGAGUUUAUAGCUUGAUAUAUCAGUUCACAUUCUGAUCUAUGUCUGUCAAUCAUGUGAUUAGCCAGCAGUGCCUUGAAAUGUUAUUAGUCAUAAGUUUUUUGUUCUACUGUAACAAAGAAAGUUGUGGUGCAUAAUAAAGCUAUAACUAACAUAGAUGGAAGAGUCAGUUAGACAAUGAUUACUAAGGUGAUUCAAUAAAUUUUGAAACAAACCCUUUAAUAGGUUGAGGAACAAAACGGCGCUCGAAUUAAUAGAUGGCUGCAAGAGAGGACCAAUGACCAAUCCUGGAUGAAUUGUGAUUGUGUGUCAAUGCCAUGCUCCUUUGCAAAUUUCAAUGCAGCAUUCUCGGCCAUGGUUUUUGAAAGUUCAUACCAAGACUAUCAACACCAAAAAAUCAGUAAAUGUUGGUAAGAUGGUAGCAGAAAGUAAUUAGAUUUGUAAACUUUAAGAAGUAACAUUAUAAAUUUAUACAAAUUUGACAAAACCAGUAGCUAACAACAGUUGGAACUAUUAUUGCUGUGGCUACAGACCACAGAGUGAAAGUAUCCACAUUUCCUAGGACAAGCUAUGCUCUAAGUGAAUAAGUAGAUUUCUCAAGGAUCCUAGCAAUGGUGUAAACUUUUUAUAUUCAAGGAAUGAUGCAAAGCACCAGAGUGUCGACAUAUCCUGAUCAUCUGAUCUCUUAAUCCACAAGUUAACAGCAAAACUACAAGGGACCUUGACACUUGAACACAUAGAGCCAUAUUCAUGAUAUUAUAGCAGAAGUUCCCUUUCAACCGACCAACCAAAUAUUGCUCAUCUAGGUGUGUAUUCUCAGACAAUAAUAUAGAGUUUGAUAAUGCAAGAGAUGCAUAAUUGAGUAGGAAAACUUUCAUAUUGCUCUUUCCUCGACUAUUCCACACUACAUUAUUAAUUUUUCGUUAAAGUUAAGUUGUUACUUAGAUAGAAGGAAAGAAAUGGACUGACCAUUCUGGUUACAAAAAUAUCCUUCUUUUUGCCUAUUAAAGUACCACCAAGUCAUGAAGAUCCUAACUUAAUUAUCUCCACAGCUGGGCUAACUCCUCAUAUGUGUUCCAAUAACAAGUUAAAACUAAAGAAUUCCAGCAUUCCGUAUUAGAUUUUGCUGGAAGAAGACGGACAAUAUAUGUACCUUUUGGUCCUCACAGUAUGAUGGAUCGGAAAACCAACUUUCAUCAACUACCACAUCCUCCUUUAAUUCUCUGUUUUUUGAAACUACAACCAUAGAGGAUGUUAUAACUACUCUUUUGACAGAAGAAGAAUUUGCACAUGACCGCAGCACAUUCAGUGUUCCGCUUACUGCAGGUUCCAGUAGUUCUGCUUAUGAAAUCAAACCAAGUUAAAAAGGAAGUCAUUACCAGUCAUAAGUAAGACUAUGCUUUUAACCUGCAAAAAACUUAUCAUUCGGGUAUUAUGUUUGAGAAUUUCACCACAAAUGCUGUAAACCUACAGCUUUAGUUACUUAGCUAAAGGAUGCAUAUAGUUGUCUUAUCUCCUCUUGCUGCUAAAAUAAGGUCUCAGGUCCUUUAUUGUUGUUUUUUCCCGAAUUUUUUGAGCUUUCACUGGGUGACAGGAACUUGAGACCAAUAGAGGAACAACUGAAAUAAGUCUCAGAUGUGGUCACCAAUUAAACCGUUUGCUACCAAAUAUCAGCCAAUGAAAUUCUGUUCUGGCUUGAACAGGACAGACAGAGAAAAUAGAAAAGGAGUAGCUCCCAUAAAUCCUGCGAACAGAUUUUAGCGUGAACACAUAAUGCAUGUUGCAAUUUCUUUUAGUGUCUGUGAGUCAACCUUGUUCAUUGAAAUGACUAAAAUCAAAGUUCUACGAAGUUACUUAAAUAAAAAUCCAUAAACACAAUUAGAGAAACAGACAAGGAUAGGUGUACUACGUAAAAUUUUAAGGCACAAUCAUUAAUAGAAGUUAAUCAACUUACAAAUGAAGAUACAUUUAUUUUGCAGAUGCUCGAACAUAUAUUGUAGUUUCUAUAGGCUUCUUAUUCAUGGUGAUAUCGGCACCCAAAAACUAUGGCUCUAUACUGACUGAAUAAUUAGUUGGUCAAAGCAGCGAUUCAUUUGCUCCAGGACAAGCUUGUAGCUUGCUCUAUAACCUUACCCUGACUGACCCACCCCAAUGUUUCGAAAACUGGAUCGGAUCGAUCGGUUCGAUCGAUUCAAUCGCGAACCGAUCAUGUCUCCGAUCCGGUUCAAUUACAAAGCUAAAGAAUUAAUUGAACCAGUCAAAACCGAUCAAGAACUUAAAAAAAUCGAAGGUUCAAUCGAUUUUUAUUAAGUAUUUAUUUUCUAAAAUAAAUAUUUUAGUUUUAUUCAAAAAUUUUAAUACUAAAAUGAAUAAAAAAUUAUUAAAACUUUGAACCGGAGUUGAAUCGGUUGAAUCGAUUGAACCGUGAACCGAAAGAUUUUUCGGUUCACUCUCCGGUCCGGGUUUAAAAACAUUGACUUACCCAGGAAAAUAGUUAGUCGACCCAAUCUACGGCCCAAUUGUGGACCAUUUGCUAUGUUUAUGGCUCUUAAUGUUUUUAUUCCAUAACGUUGCACCCUUUGAAUUGUUUCUCUGAAGUACCAACAGAGAAACAUCAUUUCCUAAGGCAAAUGUUUUAAACAUCAUUUGAUCAUUUUAUAGAAACAUCAUGUAAACUGAUUAAAGAGAGACAAAAGCACAUAACACACGACAGUCUUUUUGUGAAUGACCUGCAGGAACAGAAUAGUUUUGUAUGUACCAAAUGUAAAGAAAUAUUCUUCAGGUGUUAGACCUGCUUGCUUCAUUAAUCUCUUCCAUUUGGUUAAUAUAAGAAUAAGUAGAGCUGUAGAAUUGGAAACAUUUGAUUCUAACUCUUUUUUAUUUUACAGUUGUAACAUUGUCAUAAAUCAUAUAUAGAGGAAUAGACUAUAACCCAAAAAAGCCAGUAAAAAUGCAACAGAGGAAGAUACUAAAAGAAGUCGUACAAUUAUAAAUCAGAAAAUAUGCUACGAUUUUCAAACUUCACUAGAUAAAUAGCAGAUUUUGUAGACAGUAGAGAAUUUUCAAUCUUGUAAAGCAAAUGUACCUCUGGAUUGCUAAAUGAAAGUUUGAUUGAAGAUGCAGUAUGGAAAACCCCUUCACAUCCCUCGACUAUUGGAUCAAACGAUCCCUCUUCUAGUAAGUUUGCCGAGUACAACUGAAGCCUUUCUUUAGCUCCAUCAAGUGAUGUCAAAUGUUGUGUCCUUUCCGGAUCAUCUGUGUCAUGACUGCAUCAGUAGAAUGUUCAGACAGCUAUAAUCAAAACCAUGCCGCCAACAGGAGACCGCCUUGGUUUUCACUAUGGUCAAAACUCAAGAAGAAAUGGACUUAAGAGUAAUAAUAAACGAAUCUCAAAGCAAUGUUAAAUUUGACUAGCUAAAGGCAAGCGGGGAAAAGCGAAAAGAAAUUGACGGGCAACAUAAUAUGACCACAAUAAUAUCAUAGCCCUAUGAUUUCUGGUUUUGAGAUGCGUACAUUUGUAACUUUCUUGAUAACAAUUAAUUCUUGAGAUAAUUAUCAGAGGGACAAUUGUAUGCCAUCUACCACUAUUUUUAUAACAAACUCAGUCCUUCAGAAGAAGGAUAUAGAUUCGAUAGGGUAAAGAUUUUUUAGUAUAACUUGAUCUUUGUAUCUGGAGCAUGAAACAUUACUGUUAAGGUAUACAUUAUAUAGUUUCAGCUACUCAAAUAUCAAUUAGGUUGGUCCACAUCAAUUUUUUUUUUUUUUUUGCAAGUGAUUUUUUUUUUUUGAGCAAACAGAACUUGGGGAGCAUUUACUAGCAGUUGUUGCAAGAAUAUCAUCUGGAGCUACAAAACAAUUUCACACUGCAGAGUUGAAUAAAAAUGUUGGGCAAAUUACAUAUAAUGCUCCUGUGGCUUUGUUUGUUGCCACAUGACCCUUCUAACAUUUUAAAAUAUCCAAUUCACCCACUAUGAUUUAUGUAAAGCGGAAACUUGAUGGAGAAUAUCCUAUGUAAUGUCGUUAAUUGAAAUACCAUUAGCAUUUUUACUUAAAUGCUAAAUCAAUCGACGAUUUAAUUACCUUAUAUAAAAGUAUAAGGGGAUUAUGUGGAUAAAUAUAAAAAUCACAGGAGGGAUAAAGUAGGCAUUUAUACAAACUAUAAGGGAAUUACAUUGAAAUUAAGACUUUAUCACACACGCUUUUAGAGCGUGUUUGGUAUAAAUGUCGUAACUAAUUGUGCAUUCCAUCAUUUUCCGCUUUACAUAUAACUAUGGGGGGUUAUGUGACUAUUUUGAAAUCUUAAGGGGACCAUCUAGCAUUAUAUAAAAUCACCCUAAAAUAUUGUUAUAAGUAAUUUACCCUAAAAUGUUAGAUUCCAGGAGCAAUUAAACAACAAUCAGAACAGGGCAUCAAAAACUGCACAAGCCACUUAGAUAGUUGAUCAAGAAUAAAAACUGGACUAACUGGCAUCUCGAACAGAACCUUUAACAGUAUAACCGCGCUCGAGCAGCAGCUUCACCAGCCAUGAAACUGUGUAACCCGAAGCUCCCGUCACACACACCAUUUUCCCUUCUCCUGCUCCACUCAUUUUGUUAUAAUAUUUUUGUGUGUGAAUCUGUCACCUGUUUGCCUUACUUCUGGACUAAUAAUAAUGGAGGGAGGCCUAUAUGGUGUACAUAUAGCUAUGGUGAAGAAGACGAAAGAUUGGAUAUGAGAUUACUGGGAGACUGGGGAGAUCCAUAUCUAUUCUUGCAAUUUGCAUGGAUCAUCGCUGACAUACGUAUGGUAUAAUCGCGUCACGUCCCAUUUUAUCAAGGUCAAUUGAUCAGUGUAAAUAGAAAUGAGCAAUAAAUACGAGGAUAAAUUACCUUUUACAUCUUAUGCUUUGAUGUUUUAUCACAUAAUCCCCUAUGAUUUAAAAAUCUAUAUACGACUCUCUCAUAGUUUGGAUUAUUGUAUAAGUAAAAAGUCAAAUUCAAACUUAACAAAUUCACUGUUUCACUACUUUUUUUUUGUUUUUUUUUCUUGUUUUCCUUUUCUUUCUCUUUUUUUUUUGGAAAGAGUACAAAUGAUUUUGAAAACCUAUAUUUUGGCUUACAAAACCUUAAUUUUUUACAAAUACAAAAGAGACAGAAGGGAAAUAAAAAAUAAAAUCAAUAAGAAACGAAAAAUAUGGAAGGUAAAGAUAAAACAAAAAAAUAAGAAACAAAAAAAUACCAAAUCUUUUUUUACUAUAAAUAUCAUUAUAAGCUUUUAAACCAAAUCUUUUAUGGUAUUUUCUAGUUCUUAUUUAUCUAUUUUUUAUUCAAUUUCUUCCUUUUUAUGUUUGGAGGAAAAAAAGAAGUAAUGAAGGGAUAAAUUUGUCAAUUUAUCAGUUUGACUUUUUAAUAUUGACUAUUAGUUUUAAUGAAAAAACUAAUAAUGACACAUUAACCCAAAUCAUGAGAGGGUUAUAUAUAGUUUUUAAACCAUGGGGGUUUACGUGGUAAAACACCAAACUAUAGAGGUUAAAUGCAAUUUAGCCUAAAUCCAAAAUCAGGCGGUUGCAUAUGAACAAAUACCAAGGUUCUUGACUUUGUUCAAUACAAUCCCAAGGCUAGAGACACAAAUUUUAAAUUCACUACCAAGAUAAACCAUUCUCUUGUUUAUUUUUCAUUUUUUCGGGUCAAAAAGUACAAACUACUUGAACUAGAAACUAAUCCCGACAAAGUUUGUGGGUUUUUUUGCAAGAGUUUUAGUUAAAUAUUGGUUACUUCGCCUAAUUUGCACCUAUUUUAUCAUGCAAAUGCAUGCACACUUUUAAAAAAAUAAUGCAUGCACUUAUAUUAUUGCCUUUCUUACAUUUAAAUACUUUUUUCAAUUUAAUUUUACUUUUCUGGCAAAACUAAAUCUGAAGCCCAUUUCAAGAAAUAUCCACCGAAUACCAGGUAAACAAACCUCCUUCGUAAUAAAGAAUGAAAAGGACCAAAAAAUUUUUUUGUCUUUAAGGAUUAAAUUUAUAACCAGUCCUAAGAUAACACGCAGCAGUCUUUUUGCAUCUAACAAAGUUUUUGAUUGACUAGAAAUCCUUCUCUGAUUGAGAAAUGGGAAUUGGCUUGAUGAUAGCUGUACGCGAUAAAAGUUAAAGUUUUCAGAAACAAGAAAUAUACACGACAAAUAUGUGAUAUAUAAAUUUAAGAAAAAUAUGUGAGCACAAUCUCUGAGGUUUUCUCGAACUCGUAGAGAGUUUCCCUCGAUUCUCCUCCUUGAAUGCCAAUUCAAGGGCUUCGCAGUUUGUUCUUGGAUCCACCACCGAUUCCUUCAAAUCUUGAUAUAGAAGAUUUGAAGAAUUUUAGAAGAUAUUUGAAGACUCAAGUCUUGAUAUAUGGGAGACUUUGAGAGCUUGAAGAUCCAGACCUUUGUAGCUUGGAGCUUCAAUGCUUUGAGCGAAUGAGAUGCCUCUUGGUGUCUCUGUGUGUGACUUGGUAGAGAAACCCCUAUUUAUAGCUGUAGCAAAAGGUAGAGGCUGAAGACUUGUGUACCACUUUACUUGUCUUGCAAGACGUGCAGUCAUAUUAGGACUGUGCUAGUCAAAUAUUAUCUCUUCAUUUUAUAUUUAUUAAUAAAGAGAUAAGUAAUUCAUCGAUUGGCCAAACUCGUGGGGACACGUGACGUGGCGCCGUUUGACUGGCCAAGCUAUUGCAGUAUAUAAGAAAUAUACUUGGAUUAAACAACUCUAAAUGUUAUCCCUUUAAUAAGAAAUAAAUAUUUAGAUAUUUAUCUAAUAGACAUGUGACAUGAUAUGAUUUGGUUGGUGGAGAUAUCCCUGCAAUUUGAAUUGAUUCGGAAUACCUCAACUUGACACGUGGCGAAAUAUAAUUGGUCAUUUAAUAACUAAUCUUUCCAGGUGUAUAUGCCAUAUGGCAAUAUUCAAUUGGAUAAAAAUACUUUAUAGACCAAUGGUAAUUUUUGGAAUUUAAUUAAAAUUUCAUUGUCUACAAAUGCCCCCUCAAAACCUGUUUGCGAAGAGUACAACUUAAACGGACAAGUUUUGACUUUCUUUAAUUCGCUUAAGAGCCUUUCUUGCCAAAUUGGACUUCGAAACUUUGUGAAUCAAGUCACCUAAGUAGGAAGCCAGCCGCACAAAGACUUCAAUGACCAAAUAGGCACAUAAGUGAUUAAUCAAACUUCAUGGAAUUCAAUCUCGUAAGUGAUUGAUCAAGCACUAGUGCACCAGUGCACCUUACAUGCAAAACACCUUUUCAUUGGCCUAGGAAGUUACCAACUCCAAUUAUAAGACAAGUGCAUUGUUCCUUGAUCAAUCAUGAAUUCCACCGCUUCACAAGAUUCAAGGUUUGAACCAGUCGGCUUCUUGGCGAAAUUCUAAGAUUUGUAUCCUUGAUGAACUUAAACAUUUGAGUUCCUUUUUGUUUUCCUUCUUUUUGUGAUAAAGCCGAAGCUUGAAGAGUAACCCAACACAAUUCUUCAAGGAAUUAAUCAGCCUAUAGAAGUUGGUUGUGAAAAUAAUUCCUUCCAAGGCCAACAUGAAUUGAAGCUUUGUCCUUUAUAAUCCUAUGGAAGAGCAAGCCCCCGAAACCAGCUUAGAAUUCACUUUCUUUUAGAUGUUCAGCCUGCCAACCGAUUUAAUUGCUAGGAACCUCCAGAGCGAAGGUAUUCCCUAGACAAUUUAGGUGAACUAGGAAGCCAAUUACACUUGAACUCACCUUCCUCUCCGAAUUUGUAGUAGAAAUCCUUUCUAUAAAUCCCCAAGUCCAAAGCCGUUAAUGUAUGAAGCUCCUUGAAACUAGUCGUGGCUCUUAAUUGAUAACAUAGAAUGAUGAUAGCAUGUACUAGUGCUCUCAAUUUCCCGAGGCCGGAUCAUCUUACGUAGUAGCUUCAUGUUUGCUAUUUCAGACCAAUUCUAUUCUUUGUGGUAUUCCAUUUCUUGAAGCCAGGAUUUGCAUCAUUGUUGACUAAUCAAUUAACUUCUCCACUGAACAUAUUUGAAACUCAAGGAGCCGUCUGACACCAAUGUUGAGACCCAACUCGCAGAGGAAGUCGAUUGCGAGAACAAUUCUUCUCCAAAACCAUCUUGAGUCAGAGCUCCAUGUCUCUUUCUUCCCUCUUCGUCCCACUAUACUAAACAGGAGGAAACCAACUUCUUUCGCUAGUCAACUUCCUCGGCUUGACAAAUUAACCCGCUAAGCCACAAAUAAUGAACCCUUUGUCAUCUCAAGCUGAAACACCUUUGACCAGAAUCCUUCUUGAAUAUGGAACGCAUAUCUGCUAUAUAUACUCGAAGGUUUGAGGCAUUAGUUUUCCCACAAUCCAAAGGCAAACUCUCCCUCGUUUUUUUUCGCUAAUGUUAUCGAACUGCCGCUACGUCUUUAUUUGCUAGUGCCGUUGUUUAUUAUUUGCUGGUUUGCUUGGCUUUGCUAGCCUUUUCGACUAAUAGAAUCAACUUGAAGUCGGUCAUCACUGCUGCCGAGCUAUUAUUUCAAGGUACGCACUACUUUUCCCAAGCUAUGGAUGAAUUUCUUCCUUGCUAGAGUUCAAAACCCUUUUUUUUUCUUUUUUAUCUAUGUAUAACUAACCCGCGGGCUCUCAAAUUAUCCCACCCGAAAUAACUUUCAUGCAGUGAUCUAAUAUGCCUCUUGAGUUUACAGUAGAACCCAUACGGAUUAACCGAUGAAUGACUUGACGCUCUCAUUACCACCCUGCUUGUGUUUCUUUUUUUUUCUUUUUACUACCUUGCAUGGAACAAUUGCUGAUUUUUGUAGUCUGUGCACAGAUAGAUUCAGGGACAAUAUUUUCUUUGCCGAUGUUGCCAGAACACCUGACCCAAUGUGCUUUACAUUUAUUUCCCAUGCAAGAUGCUAAGUACCUUAUGAAUUAUUGUCUUUGUUGGCCUCGCAUGAAACUUCCCAUCAUGAAUUGGUUAGAACAUUAUGUCCGCCAAUCAUGCUUUAAGAUGAAAAGUUGAUGCACUAUGAGCGGUCAUAUAGAAAUAUUUGACGGUUGCUUCAACCAAAUUGGUGCCACCCGCUAUCCACAUCCUGUCGAUGCCAUUUUUUAUGCCAUUUUUUUCGUGUUUAUGACAAAUUGGCACCUAGGAUUUUGCUUUCCCGUACUUAAUUGCUAAACGGAACUUCAGCAAUAGACUUUGCGUGUUUAUUUUGAUGCAUCCUUGAUGUCUCGGAUGUGAUUAGCACUUGAAAUUCGUAUGCCUACUUGUCUUGUGUUUUAAACUUGUAGAAUUGCAUCCGCAUGUGUCAUAAGAUGGCCUUAAUUUUCACACAGGUCCAUAUCAAUAUCUCAACCUUACUAACUUGCUCUCUUGUAGAUAACCAACCUCGUGCUUGAAAAGAAGCUUGAAACAAUUUCGGGGAUUUGAAAAAAGCAACCAAUUAGGUAAUUUAGUUACCAAACUUUUGUAAGAAGUUCCCUUCAUCAUCUAAUACUUUCUUUUACAAAAUUCUAGCAAACAUACAAAUUAAGGACUACGCCACGCCAUUACCACAUAUUUCAUUGACGGACGAACGGGGUGGACCUCAAUCAAAGAGCUUGUCACUACAUAUUCAUAAACCCGCAAUCAGCCCGUUCGCUGAAUCUUUCAUACCCCUUGAAGAAUGCCUUCAUCUCGAAAAUUGGACUAGCAAGUGGGCUAAGGAAGUGGUGGCACCCUCGACUUUCUCCACUACAUCGAGGGAAGAAGAAGUGGUCGUAUUAAAUUCGUCACUUCACAACAGAGAUCCAGAAAUAGCCAAAUUCACGCUUCUGUUCGUGGGAUUCAAUAUUGACAAAACUACAUGGAAGAUCCUUUCGUCCUUCUUUGGCGAGGCGUGCUUCACUUCUCAUUAUUGGGAAUGGGUUGAGGACAUCCUCGGAAGGUAUAAAGAGGUACUCAUACGUACUGGCAUAUUUGAAGCUGUCUACGCGUCGAGCUACUCCUACGAUCGCUAUGAAAAUUCUUGCGAGCCUUCUUCAAAUAUUGGUGUCCCUCGACAAAUACACUUCAUACACCCGUUGGGGAGUUGUCCAUCACACUUUGGGACCUUUAUCGACUUGGUGGCCUUUCGAUCGAUGGCUCGUUCUUUGAUGAAGUUAUUAUUUCGGCGCAGGAGCUUCUCACUCGUGACAAAGAAGGGAAGCCACUUCUCCCUGAAAGUUGCAGGCACAUCUUUUCCGUUUACUACCACCUUUGGACUAAUGACCAAGGGAUAUGGAUGAAAGACUGGAUUCGCUUCUGGUUCAAAGAAGAGGCUAGGUAUAGGGUUCCUCCAAAUAGAGCGAAUAGAAGAAAGACCACAUCUAAACCGAAAAUGACUUACAGCCUUUCUAGAAGCUUAGAGCCACACGACCUUGCUGAUACGAAGGACUUCAACAUCCCUUUCGACACACUGGAUAUCCCAGGGUCUUUAAGAAAGGAAACCUAUAUUGCGGCAUUCAUAACUUGCUGGAUUUACAAGUUCCUUUUGCCAAGCAAAAAGGUCGAUCGUGUUCGCCCAAGUGCCUUCAAGGUUGCAUGCUUAAUGGCCACAGGGAAAAGAUUUUGCCUUGCAAUUCUCGUUCUUACGAGCAUAUAUCAUGGGUUGAGGGAGAUAUUCCACACCCCUAACCUUGGAGAAUAUGGGGUAAUUUUUCCAAUCUAUUACGUCUAUGCUUAGAUUGGCCAAUACUUCGAUGUAUAUUAUGAAAACAAUCAAGUGAGUAGCCACCACGCGCGCAUGACAAGAUUUAGUUGUGAGAAAAUGACAAUAUUUUAUGGCCGAUCAGAAGUUGAGAAAAUCUUCAAAGAAGUGAAUCCUUUGAUGCUUCCCAAAUUGUGUUGGACUGAAAAUGAAGAAAAGGUGUUGAUCGACAAUGGAUCCUUAUCAUCAAGACUUAUGAGCUACUUCAUUAGUCAACGCUCUUGCCAUUUAACUCUACGUAAGGACAAUACUUUCAUUGUUGAAAAAUAUAAUCCUUGCAGGUUUAGCAGACAAUUCGGCUUCUGUCAAGAGACCCCCAACAACUUGAAAGAGAUCACUCAUACUUAUACUUUGGGUGAGACUAUUCAACUAUGGGAUUCCUCAGUUCGCACGCAGACGCGAUCUCGAAUGACUAUACCCAUGCACAAGAAGCAUCCAUUGAUCACAAAAGACUAUGACGCCUGGUGGUCGACUCGGUCAAACAGUGUCUCUUCAAUUUCCUUUAAAUUCACCGUUAAGAUCCCUCAGCAAUCAUCGAAGAAGGGUAAGGUUACUUCCGCCAACGAGUCAGUGUAUCAUAAUGGAGCUAUAGAGAUUGUAACGGGUCUUACCUCAUCCACCUUGUGGAAGAACAAAAUUACUAGCAGUCCCUCGAAAAAUAUUGUCACAAAAAAUAAGUCUUCCAAGGACUCUCGACAGGUCAUCAAAGAGGCGCAACCAGUGAUUCCAGCACAGAAGACACCGCCCAAAGUUUUAAAAUCCUUAUCGGUGACUCACACAGAAGAAGAUGUCGAAAUCGAAACGGUGGACGAUCGUGAUUCUAUCGAAGCUAUAGAAAAGGAAGGGAUUCAAGUUCAGGGCAUCGGAUCUACCCAAGGAGGAGCCCAUUCAUUGGCGAGUGGUAGUAGUAGUCAAGACCGUCACUGGAACCGAUCAAAGAAGAGGACAUCUUCUGAUUUGGAGGAGGUUUCCUUUACACCACCAUCGAUUGGAGUGUCGCCACUUAAGGUAAUCAUCUCGCUAUUUUUUUUUUUUUAAUAAUUUUUUUUGGUAACUUUUUUUCUUUUCAGCCCCCAUUUUUUGAAUUCCGUCAAGAAGAUGUUGGUAACAAUUCACAACCCAAACUGAUGAUGUAAUUUCAAAUAACAAAAGCGACAAAGUAGCUAUCAGUACUCCAAAAUAAUUUGCCCACAGUUGAGGUACCUUGCCAAUGCGUAAGAAGGAGUUAAUUGGUUUGCACGAGAUCCGAAAGAGAUCUAAACCAGCACUGAUUUCAGAAUUUUGCGAGAAAAAAUUGAUCCAAGCGCAUCGAAGGAGAUACUUGCAGAGUUUGUGGAUGGAUUUUACCGAGCAAAUUCUUAACACUCCUAUUGAACAGAUCUCUUCUUUAAAAGAGUGCGCAGAGGAAAUCAUUACGGAAAUCACAAGAACGGAUCCUACCAAUGGUCUCCCUUUAAAGGACUUCUUGAUAGAAUUGUUUGCCAAGGCGGAGGCAUAUGAUAUUUUGGCAUUUUCAUCAUGAAAAAAGAUAAGUAAAAAAACACAUGCAGAACUCCUUUCCAAAGUGACCGUCCAACUCGGGAGAACUAAGACGAAUGAAGAAGAACUAACUCGUCAUCUGCAAAGUCUUGAAGAAAAGUUGCAGUCUAUUGAAGACAGGAAGGAAGUUCUGUAACAGAAACUUAUCAAUUUGGGAAAAAAAGAUCUAGAAAUCAGGUCAACUAUCAAUCAAAAGUAUGAAACUUUCAAAGAGAUCCAGACUGAAAUAACCUGGGCACAUGAUGAGCUCUCUUCUAUUGAAAGUACCAGCAUCUUGACUGAUGACGCAGUGAAAGAAAUUGAAGACAUGAAGUCUACACUUGAAUCAUGCAAGAUAGCCGUAGUGGACUACAAAUUUGGCAUUUAGACUUUUCACCAUGUCUUUUUUCUGAAUCUGUUUCAUUUUUUUUUCUUUUUCCAUGUAAUGAAUUUUUUCCCAUUUUUUUAUGAAUAAUAAAAUGCUUUCUGUUCCUUAUCUCUUGUUUUUUUUUUAAGAUACAAGAACUCAAAUGGAGUAUUUUAUUUAUUUCAUAUAUUUUUUUUGGAAAGAGAAGAUUCUUUUUUUUUUUUGCAAGGAACAAGGAUUUGAUUUGGAGUGGUGUGACUGAACCUAGAAGUUGCCCUCCAAACUGCUUACGUAUUCCAAAAAGGGAAUCAAGUCACACGUAGUUCCUGCUGUUCACAUUUUAAGUUCAUGCGGGCCAAGAGUAUCUAUUUGUUUACCACCUUAGACUUGGUGGAGUGUUUCACCAGUUUAACCACAUACUACACUAUUGGUGAUUGCCAUCCACAGUUUUAGCUUAUACGGGACAGGAGUAUCUAUUUGUUUACCACCUUGAAUUUGGUGGAGUGUUUUAGCAGUUUAACCACAUACUACACUAUUGGUGGUUGCCAUCCACAGCUUUAACUCAUGCGGGCCAGGAGCAUCGCGUGGUUCCGAUUACGCAUAGUACCUUUUUAAGUACUUGCCAUUGAUGGGACCAACCCUUAAUCCAUUCUCAGCAACUAACUUGUAUGAGCCAUUUGUAUACACUUCUCGAACAACAUAUGGACCAUCCCACUUAGGAGUAAACUUUCUUUGUCCGCCAUGAGUGAAAAUGAUCGGUCUCCGAAUAGCGAGUACUAACUCUCCAAUCUGGAAAGAGCGUGGCCGGAUAUGCUUAUUAAAUGCUUUUGAAAGGCGUGCUUGAUAGCACUCAAUUCGUUGUUGAGUUUCCAAUCUCUUUCGUCGAGUGCUUCUAACUCUUCGAGGCGAAGACAAAUAUUAUCUUCUUCACUGAACCCUUCUUGAAUCGCAAUUCUUAGCGAAGGUAUUUGACAUUCAAGUGGAAGAACAGUUUCAACACCGUAAACAAGCGCAUAUGGGGUCGCUUGCGUGGGAGUUCGAAAAGUAGUUCGGUAUGCCCAAAGUGCUUCUCCAAUUCGAAGAUGCCAAUCCCUUUUCGAUUUAUCCGCGAUUUUUUUCAACAGAUUACAUAAGGUCUUGUUAAAUGCUUCAACGAGUCCAUUUGCGGCAGCGUAGUACAUGGACGAAUUGCAUUGUUUGAAAUGAAACUUUUCACAAAAUUUGUUCAUUGCUACAUUGCAAAAAGGCUUACCAUUAUCGGUGAGAUAUAAUGCGGGACCUCAUAUCGAUAAAUGAUGUGCGAGCAAAUGAAAUCUACUACAUUCUCCUUUUUGACCUCUCUUAGAGGAACCGUUUCGACCCACUUUGAGAAAUAAUCCGUUGCCGCCAAAAUAAAAAUGUGUCCUCCAGAAGAUUUUGGGAGCUGUCCAACUAUAUUCAAACCCCAAGUAUCGAACGGUCAAGAAGCCACAGUUGGAUGCAAUGGUUCGGGAGGUUGACGGAUGAAAUUGCCAUGAAAUUGACAAGCUUGACAUCUUCUAACAAAAUCGCUAUAGUCUUUUACCAUCGUUGGUCAGUAGUAUCCCAUUCUCUUAAUGGGAAAGUGUAAUUUCGGACCAAAUUAGUGAGCACCACAUAUCCCAGAGUGAGCCUCCUCCAUUGCUUGCAUGGCCUCAUCUUCUCCAAGACAUCGUAGAGACACCCCAUCGAAUGAUUUUCGGUAAAGCGUCCCUUUAUAGUAAAUGAAAUGUGGCGUUCGACGACGUACAUCAACCCUUUUCCUGGGAUCUUCAUGUAAUUUCCCAUGAUUAAGGUAAUCAAUGAUGAGGUGACGCCAAUCCUUCUUUUCAAUCUCAUGGACAAAAAUAUGAUAAGUUUUUUCUUCUCCACCAUCAUCUUCUUCAUCGAACAUCGGAGGUAUGACCCAAUUUUGACAUAUUAAAAUUUGAUUUUGAUGAGAAGGUAGAGUGAUCAUGGACGCCACCCUUGCCAAAGAGUCAGCUUGUUGGUUAAAAUUUCUAGAGAUAUAUUCUAUAGUGAUAUUAUCUAAAUAUCCCAUUAGUUGUCUUGCAUACUUAUAAUAUGAGAUCAAUUCAGGUUUCUUGACAUCAUAAAUAUCAAGAAGUUGAUUUAUCACUAAUUUUGAAUCACCAUAGAUUCUAAGAUACAACUACUUCAUGUCUAUAGCCGUUUCAAGACCGAGAAUUAACGCCUGAUAUUCGGUCACAUUGUUUGAACACCGGCGUGUUAAAAUGAAAGAGUACUGCAAUAUAUCUGCUUUAGGAGUAUAAAAGACAACUCCCACACUAGCUCCAUCACGGUGAGCAACCCCAUCGAAAUACAUCGACCACGAGGAUUCGACCAUAAACACUUCUUCAUCGGGGAGUUCAUCAGUCAAUUCCUACUAGGCAGGUAUGGGAUGAUCGGCUAAAAAGUCUGCCAAUAUUUGUCCUUUGACAGCCUUUGCAGGUACAUAAAUAAUUUAGAAUUGUUGAAACUGGAAGUACCAUCUCGCGAGCCAAUCAGAUAGUACAGGUUUCGCCAUGACAUAUUUAAUGGGAUUAGACUUAGAUAUGAGUCGAAUAGUGUGUGCUUGAAAAUAAUGUUUCAACUUCUGAAUGACAAAUAUAAGUACCAAAUACAAUUUCUCAAUGGGUAAGUAAUUCAGCUCAUUAGAUGUCAUCAUCCGACUCAAGUAAUACAGCGCAUUCUCUUUACCUUCAUCAUUUUCUUGAGCAAGUAAGGCCCCAACCGACCGUUCUUGAGCGAAAAUAUAGAGAAUCAAUGAUUUUCCUGGAAUGGGCGCAGCCAACACUGAGGGAUUCAUGAGGUACAUUUUGAUGCUUGUAAAAGCAUUUCUACACGAUUCAUCCCACUCGAAUGGCAUCCUUUCUUCAUCAGUCGACUGAAGGGUUGGCAUCGUCCGACCAAAUUAGAAAUAAACCUCUGAAUAUAUGCCAACUUCCCUUGAAGGUUCUUCAAUUCAUGAAUAUUUCGCGGUUCAGGCAUGUUCACAAUGGUAUCAAUUUUAGAUCGAUCGACCUCUAUUCCCAUUGAUGAACGAUGAAACCGAGAAACUUGUCAGAAGUGACUCCGAAUGCACACUUCAAAGGAUUCAUCUUCAGUUGGUAUCUCCGAAAGCGUUGAAAAACUCUUCGAAGGUCUUGAAUAUGAUCCUCUCGCUUCUUUGAUUUCAUCACAAGGUCAUCAACGUAGCAUUCCACAUUCCUAUGGAGCAUAUCAUCAAAAAUUCUUUGCAUUGCCCUUUGAUAUGUCGCUCCAGUGUUUUUCAAGCCAAACAGCAUCACUUUAUAGCAAUAAAUUCUCUUGGGGGUGCGGAAGGCAGUGACCUCCUCAUCCUCGGGCACCAUGCAUAUUUGAUUGUAGCCAGGCGAUCCAUUGAGAAAAGAUAGUGCUUCAUGCCCGGUUGUAGCAUCUACCGUCAAUUCUGUGAUGGGGAGCGAAAAAUCAUCUUUGGGGCAAGUCUCAUUUAAAUCUCGAAAAUCAACACAAAUUCGAAUUUGCCCAUUCUUCUUCCUCACAGGAACAAUGCUUGAAAUCCAUGUUGGAUAUUUCACUUCCCGUAUGAACCCAACUUCAAUCAAUCUAUUUAUCUCAUUUUCUAUCAGAGAAAUCAAUUUGGGCCGAAAGCGCCUUUGAGUUUGCUUGACAGGUUUUGUUCCUCGCUUGAUAGACAAAUUAUGAACGGCGAUCCUUGGAUCUAAACCAGGCAUUUUUGAGUAAUUCCAGGCAAAGACGUCCCUGAACUCGAGCAGCAAAUCAACAUACUCUUUCUCUUCUUCAGAAGUCAUAUAAGAGCUUAUGUAAAUUGGGCGAGAAUCGUCGCUUGUGUCAAGGUUAAUCUCCUUUAGCAUAUCGACUGUAUUUUUUACCCCUUGUUCAAGUUCAGUGGGAGCGUUAUCCGCAUCUUCUUCUUCUUCUUCGGGAUCACUGAUCGUAAUAUGAUGACAGGAAACCAUAUUUUCUUGACAUUGUUCUUAAAAAAUGGUUUCAAUUCUUAUAUUGAAUAAGUCUCCAUAGUGCAUGAAGAAACUGGAGACUCGCUUUCUUAGUCCGUUCUUUUUUAUUGGAGUAAGAGUUUCUUCUUUGUCAACUUGGUACUCUUACUUUUUACUGCCUAAUCUUUCAUAGACGGGCGGUUUCAAAAUUUUCGGCUGUGAGCCAAAUCUGUCAAACACAAAAGUACGCUUUGACUUAUUUCCCAACCUAUCGAACACAGAUCUGUUUCGGCUUGUGACCUCCAUUUCUUCGUUCACGUAGUUAUAACUUGCCCUUUUGAUCAUUAUACGCACUGGAGAAGGCGAUUGAUAACCAAGACCCAUCGAUGAACUUUCAACAUUAUAGCCUUUUUCUUUCAAUAUUUUCUGCGUAGGUGUUAAUCCAUGAGUCUUCUCUCCAGUUACCUCAGGAGGGAGUUUGCCCAAUGCAUGCUUCUCAUUUGGGUUAUAACCGGCCUUAGCAAGAAGUCUAUAUGCGUUUGGAUCAAAACCUUCUUGAGUCCGAUUAAUUGGUAGUAAAUAGUAUUCUACUGUCGGUUCUUCUUUGGAACGAACACAUCCUGGCAAGCUCGCUUUCUCACCUUUAACAGGUUCUAUUUUGGUGAGCGGAACAUUUAAUGUAUCAUUCCUGAUAAAAGAAGACGACCUUCUUCUCUCUUUGAUCUUGGAAUAUACCGCAAAAUGGGUACUUUGAAAUCUUGACUUUCUUCCUUUACUGAUUCUUUUCUUUUUACUUUUUUCUGAAGGUAAAAUUUGGCAUCGACAAAGUGAGCCUCGGCCUCAGUGAAAGGUUUAUCAUUGAGAACAACCUUCUUAACUAUACCGUCUCGAUACUAUUUGAAAUAUUGAUGCAGAGUAAACGGUAUAAUUUCAUUCUCGUAAAUCCAGGGUCAUCCCAAGAGCAUAUUAUAAGAGGUUUUGGUUUCAAUGAUAUGAAAUAACGCACUUGAAGACAACUCAUCAAUGAGCAAUUCAAGCCUUAUAAGACCAAUUAUUUUUUGCCCCCAUGAUUAAAUUCUUGGAUCAUGAGGCGGCUUUGGGAGAGUUCAUCGUUUGAGAUUUCUAAUUCUUUCAUAGCGCGUACAGACAUAAUAUUGACAGCAGAUCCCCCAUCAAUGAGUAUCCGAGUCAUCUUCUGUUCUCGGACAUACGCACUAACAAACAAAGGUCGAUUGUAGGUCUUGAACUCAACAGUUAAAUCGUCAUCAUAAAAAAUAAUAGUCGUUGCACAAUCCACUGGUGGUUAUCAUCGAUUUUGAGUUUUUUCUCAAAUUUAGUGCUAAUUUGUGUGAUUUGAGGAUUUUCAACUUUGACGACAUUACAAGAAAUGGAAUUAUCAGCAUCGUCACUUAAAUACCCCUUGGGUAUAAAUCUCUCAGUGUCACGGGCUGUCGAAUCUCUUGAAGGAGCUGAAAAUCUGAAGGAAUUGGCAUUGUGGCCACUCCUUUUUAUUUCUUUGUUGCAUUUCAUUGUUUCAUUGUCAUUUUAGGCUUUGUCGAAUGAAUGCUUUUCGAAAAGAUGUACUUCUUUAUUUUUGGCUUGCAAGUUCUCUUUCGAGUGACUAAAGUCCAUCUUUCGUUGUCAUCUUCAAUAACGUAUUCAAUUGAAAAUUUUUCAAACUCCUUAGACAAAGCAUUGCUUGAUGUGGAUAAAACUUCUAUCGGACAACACAUAGACCCAAACAUUAUUGUUGUUUGGUUUGUCGAUACUUUAUCUUCUUCGAGAAGGAUUUUUUCUUGACGGGCCAAUUCCAUAAUUUUGUCCUUAAAGACAAAACAUUUUGUGAGAGGGUGGCCUAUCAGGCGAUGAUAACAGCAAUAAUUUGGAUCAGUGACUCAAUCGGCUUCCUCUGGGCGUUUCAUUUCGGGAAGUUCAAGGAGUUUCUCCUUGAAAAGAUCAUCAAACAUCCCUUGUAAAUCAGAUUCAAGGAAUAGGUUUCUUUUUCUUGCAUCUCUUUCAAAGUGGGUCUUCUUACCUACCUAUUUUGAGGGGAGUCUACCUUUUCGGUGACCUUUCGGCUCACCUUAGUAGCAAUUUUCAUGGGAGCUGUGUUUAUUGCCAUAGAUUCCUUAUUAUUGAAUCUUGAAAGAGGCUUGUCCCCUUUUUUAUUUUCUUGUCUUUCAUUGCUUUGACGAGGCGGCUGCACUCGUGGAGCUUGAAUAGGAAGCCCAUCAGUUGCAUUGGCCAUGAUGCUUAACUCUAUAUCAUGAGCACGAGUAGCUAAUUUUUCCAAUGUGUUUGGACGUAUACCCUGUAGAAUAUAGCUUAGGCUCCAAUGCAUUCCUCGGAUGCACAUUUCUAUGGCAGAGGGUUCAGACAGUCUGUCCUUGCAGUUAAGACUCAGACUUCUCCACCUAUCAAUGUAAUUGAUCAUAGGUUCAUCCUUCCAUUGACGAGUAUUAAUCAACUCCAGCAUACUGACGGUUCUUCUAGUGCUGUAGAAGCGAUUCAAGAACUCUUUUCCCAACUGUUCCCAACUAUCGAUGGAUCCCGGAGUGAGAUCAGUAUACCAAUCAAACGCGUUGCCCUUCAAGGAUCGGACAAACUGUUUGACUAGCAGGUCACCAUAGGUUCCAGCGUUAUUGCAGGUUUCGACAAAAUGGGUCACAUAUUGUUUUGGACUACCUUUCCCAUCGAACUGUUGAAAUUUAGGUUGUUGAUAUCCAACAGGCAUUGCUAGGUUGUCAAUUCUAGCAGUGCAAGGCUUGCAGUAGGUAAAACUUGACUUUGAACCACCCUCCUUUUUAUCUUUGAUCACGCCUUCAACAAGUUCCUUUAGUUGUUCAACAGGGAUAGUUUCAUCGGCAGUCACAUAUAUUUUCUUCACCUUGUCUUUACCUUUAGAUGAGGAAAUUUCAAACUCUUGGUGCUCCUUAGGGUUCGCAUGGCUUCUUUCAAGAGCGUGAUCUUUUUAGGUGAGUAGUUGAGCGAUAAGAGCAUCUUGGUCCUUGAUGUGUUUCGUCAUGGUCUCCAUCAUUUUGGACAUGUUCAAAACUUGUUCUUCGAGACUUAAAGUAUUUGUUAUCAUAGCAGGCAUUGCAGCAGAAGAAGCAGCAAAAUCUUCAAUAGAAAAUCUUGAUUGAAGAGUUUCAUGUGAAGAGGCUGAUCCAGUGCUUGAUGAAUCAUCAUCAUGCUUAGAAAAUUUGGAUUCGGAUCCAAAUUCGAGAAUAGCAAGAGCCUUCUCAAUCGAGGCAGGAACGUCUUGGAUUCCCAUCGUGAAGGAAUAGCUCAUUGGUGAUGUUGAACUGAAGACAGGAGUUGGUGCCGAUGAAGCUUCCAUGCUACUUUGGGUGGAAGUUCUCGUCAUGCUCCUUGUCACAAGACCAAUAACGCGAGUAUUGGUGGCAACAUGUGCAGUUUCCUGAACAGGUUUGACAUUAGCAGCGUUGGAACGAGCAGUCAUGGACUUGUUGUUCUUUGGUGCCAUUGGUGAUAUACGUAGUUGAUAUACUUGCAGUAUAUAAGAAAUAUAUUUGGAUUAAAUAACUCUAAAUAUUAUCCCUUUAAUAAGAAAUAAAUAUUUAGAUAUUUAUCCAAUAGACAUGUGACAUCAUAUGAUAUGGUUGGUGGAGAUAUCCCUGCAAUUUGAAUUGAUUCGGAACACCUCAACUUGACACGUGGCGAAAUAUAAUUGGCCAUUUAAUAACCAAUCUUUCCAGGUGUACAUGCCAUAUGGCAAUAUUCAAUUGGAUAAAAAUAAGUUAUAAAAAUAUUUUAUAGACCAAUGGUAAUUUUUGGAAUUUAAUUAAAAUUUCAUUGUCUACAAUAGCAACUCCAUUUAGAAAACUGGUCCACACCCUUGAAUGUGGUUUAAAUUUAAUAACACCAUUUCAUCAUUUCUGACGACUGCUUUUUCCACACCCUUGGGUGACAACUGCACAAGAAUAUUUUAACUUUACUUGGUAUGUUGAGUUUCUACAAGCGGAGCCAAAUAUCAUCCACAGAACUAUUACUCCUACUAGAAAAGCUCUUGAAGUAAAUCAUAUUUCCAUUUCCUGCUAUUUUCAUCAAUUAAACAAUCUAUAGUGGAGUCUUCCAGUAGCACAUCAAAAUGAGAUAUAAUUUUGAAAGUAGAAGGACGUGGAAUCUAUCUAUCUUUCCAAAUUUUGAUAUGAUUUCCGUUUCCAACUCGCCAUCAACUACCAAAAACACCUUUGACUGAUAAUUAAAUAGUUAAAAAAAAACUAUAUCUACCUAAUUUGUUUACUCAAUAUUUAUGUGCACUUAAACAUAAAAAGAAAAGGUCAAUCCAUAUAUUAGUGUUAUAUUUGUAAUAUUAGUUCCCUAUAUAGUAGGUUGCUGAGUUGGAUGUAUUUAUAUUCUACUGAGUAAAUGCCCAAUCUUUUCAAAACGUGGCAAAAAAAUUGUGUUUGUUUUUUUGGAAGAUUUCAUUCUUUUUCUUUUUUGGUAACAAUUAAUUUACUCUUCCUUUUCAAUUCAUUAUUUAUAGUAAAUUUCAAUCAAUCAUCAAUUACUUACCUUAUAUGCAUUUCUAUUAAUUAUACCUCUAUUUUUUUUCAAUCAACUCAUAGCUUUCCUUUUUAAUCAGGCACUCGUUAAUAUAUAUCUUAGGUGUUAAAUUAUUAGAAAUAUAAGAUUAAUUAGGGAAUUAUUUAGAAAAAAUAUAUAAAUACAAGAGAAAGUAGUAAUUGUUGUAUAUAUACAUAGUAGGUUGGGUGAAAUGUAAGUGUGUUAACGAUUGCCCAUAGGGCACCUAUUAGAAAAACUCAUCAAAAUUUGGAUGAAUUUUUAUUUUGCCUAUCAUUGCAAUCAUUACUACCAUUUUUCCUAUCAUUUAUUACUAUACCUUCAUGUUUUCUAAAUUCCAAUCAAUGUAUUACUCUCUUAUUUUUUAUAUGAUUGUGCUAAUUACAGCUUUCCUUUUACUUAAUCAAUUAGUCAAUCAAUCAAUCAACCCAUGAUUUUAAUUUUCUUUUUCAAUCACAAGAUUCUUUCUUUUAUCCAUCAUUAGGGAGAUUUACAAUUAGUCACAUUUUUUCUAUUUUGUACUUCCAUUACUUGACCUGAUUAUUAAUUCAAUCCACAUAUCUUGUAAUGUGUACAAGAAUAUGCAAUCAUAAGCACAAAUAAAUGCAAUUCUAAUAAUUUUGCAUAUAUGCUUUCAUAUUGUAUUGCAACACAUUUAAUAAUUCAUUAUAUGGUUACAAAAGAAAAAAAAAUCUAGUAUUACCUAGACCUUAGCUAGUUCCCAAUGUAUACGCUGAUACUAUACGAAAAGAUUUAAAAUCUGCUAAUGUAUAUACUGAUUGCAUAUGAAGAUUCAUCCCUAGUUUAGACCUCUUAGAUAGUUUCCAAGCAUUAUAUUCCCUUUUUUCAAUUUCUUAUUUAGUUUAAUUCCUAAAGUUAAUGAAAUGGUUUUUAAAUCUCCCCUAUAAGUGUACCUUAUUACCAUUUAUGAUUUUUUUUUUAAAUUUAAGCAACAUCUUCCAAUAUUUUAUCACCAUUUUAAAUUAGUUCAUUUUUAGGAGAUAGUAGUAUAAGUGUGGCAUUUUGUCCAAAUAACUUUGAAUAUGCAUAGACAACCCAAAAAUAAAAUGUGUUUAUCUUUGUUCGUACCUUUUGAUGAUUACAAAACAAGUGGAUAAAACUAAUAUUUUCCAAGUUUGUUUUUGGUCAGAAAAUGGAGCAAGAUAGGUUCAAAGGCCAAGCAUCUGCUAAAACAUCUGUCGGACGCACAAAUACAUCCUAUCGGCCGUCCGAUAACCAUUGUGUGAGAGCCCGUAAAUUUUCUUAUUUUCUAGGCUUUACUUUAUUUAAUUGCACGCCUUUUAUGCAUUUUCUUUAUUAGGAAAAUUUUCCAGAUAAUUUUUAUGAGCAAAUAGAGUUUUCAAGUUAUUUUUCUAGUAUAAAUGAGUUCAUGAGAAUUUUGGAGCGUAUACCGGACGUGCGACCCGCUAGUGUGGAGAAAGUUCGGUAAAAUUCGGCCAAUUGGGUUAAGUUUUGUAUACAGGGUUUAAUUUACUAGGUGCUAAGAGAUAAUUAGAGGAUACCAUAUGGAUGAGAGUUGAGGAAACAAAGGGAUAUUCAUGCAUUAAAUAGGGUGACAAGUGUCACCAUAUGAUUAAAUCUUGCAUUUUGACCACUAUUCAUUACCUUUACUAAAUACCAAAAUUUGACCACAAAUCAUCUUCAAUUUCUUGUGUCUUGGCCGAACCUUGGAGGGAAGAAAGAAGAAAAAAAAACUUCAUCUUGCACCAUUCUUUCUUGCUUCAAUCUUGGAUUCCAACCAUAAAUCUUGCAAACCUCUCCAUAUAAGUUGCUCUUUGGGUUAGAUUAAAGAUUGUGGUGGAGUGAUUUUUGGAGAAGAAAACCUAAGCUAUCAUCUUUCCUCAAGUUUCAAGGUAUAUUCCCUAGAACUUUCCUUUUACUCUUGAUAAUUGUCGAUUAAUGGAUUGGAAAGGUUAAAGGUGUAGUUUUGUGGAUAAGUUUAUGGUUUUAAGUAGGGUUAUGGUGAAUUUCAGUUUUUAUAGUAAAAUUUCUGUCCUCAUAUGAUGAUUAAUGUUUGGGCAUGAUUUGGUAGUUGUUAUGAGCAAUUUUGAGCUUGAGAAUGCUAGUUUUGCUUGCCUUCAAAGAAUUUCAGCUUGUAUAGAAAAAUUUCUAGAUUAGGAUUUAUAAUUUUCCCCAUUCUGGCUGGCACUGUUUCUCCUAUUUAGAGGCCGAAUUAGCCUUGGGUUAAAACAUGAAAGUUGUAGAGAAUGAUGUUUUAUAGUUUCCUUCAAAGUUUUAGCUCAAUCGGAGCAACGUAGCUUGUGAAAAAGACCGAAAUACCCUUGCUGCCCUGUUUCUAUCCGAACAUGCUAAUCAGCUUCUGUAAUUGGUUGUUUUGACCAGGAAUACUACUGAUUUGGUUGCCAAUGUCUUUUUAACAUUUAUACCCUUGUAUCUUAGCUUUCAAAGGGCUUUGGAAUCACUUGAAUUGGAGUUGUGUAUGAUGAGAUAUGACUGAAUGAAUCAGAACUGCCACAGUAAACUUCGAAUUGGAAAAUCUGGGGUUAUUUUGAUAACUUUUACCUAGAUACAUUGCAAACUGGACUGAGUGGCCUUCUUCAACAUUGUAGCCUUUUCUCUUAGCUUCGAAACGGCGUAAAUUUCACCCCAAUUCGAUAAGUGUAGCUCCAGUUGUGUCCAUUCCGUUAAAUGACGUCAAAACUGUCUUUUGGUUUUAAGGUUUAUAAUUGGGGCUUUUCUAGGGUUCCUUUGUUGAGCUACCAUUUGGUUGUUUUGAAAGGUAUUGUGGCUCUAAUUAAAGGUAUUUGAUAGUUCGUGAUUGGGUGUUGAUGCUUGGUUGGAAAAGUAAAGAAAGACAAGGGGAAGUGCUGUCCAAAUGUUUGCAGGAGCUUCGGUGCAAUCUCGGGAGAUUUGCUAUAUCUUGAUGUAGAAAUGUCGGAAUUGAGUUCUGUUUAUUGUAUUUUAAACUAGAUUCAUAGGGUUAUAAACCGUGUAAAUUUUAGAUCCUGUUUCUAUCUGUCCAAUUUAUGGUGAUUUUUCAAAUUUGACAGAAAUCUUGUACCUGUUCUGUCCUCCACUGGAUAAAGCAGCAACUUACGACUUGAAUUCGACUGACUUACGUUCUGAAUCUUACAAUAGUGUUUUCUGGAAAGUUAUAGCCCUUUGAAUGUAUUUUCCAACGGUAUAACUUUUAUUAAUUUUGGACUUACAAAACUUGAGAUAUGAUUUUUCAUAUAAGGUCGCGCGAAACUAGAAAAAUUCUAUUUUCCUAGUAUUGAUCUUGCUUUCAUUAUCUACUUCAAAUUUGGAAUUGGUCAGUCAUUGUAGGAAGGGUUUUGAGGUUGUUCAUGCUUUUAAGACUGCUUGUUACCUUUUCACUCCGAAGUCACCUCUUUGCUUUGCAUUAAUGGUUCUUUUGACUAGGCAUAUGGCUCGUAACCGAGUCUCACUUGCGAAUUCCAUAUUCGGUCUUGGAGUCGAGUCUUAAGUGUUUGCCUUGAUUGUUCUGGGAGGUAACGACGAGUAAAGCCACACUUGGGAAGGAAACUUUUGACAUUAUCCUUGUUUGAUCAGGUGAGUGCACCACUCCCCUGAGUUAUUGUUAAACUGGUUUUCUGUACUUGCAACAUGCUAUUUGAAUAUCUUUCCUGACUGUUUAUCUUGUAUGAGACGAGGGUGUAGUUUAUCACACUCGUUCUCUUGCCUGUACUGAACAAACUGGAAUCUAUUACUUGUACUUGUUAUGUAUUUGAACUUGUUACUUGCACUUGUUAUGCGAUCGUUUGAAAGUGUGUCCACGAUCGUCCUGUUAAACCUGAGCUCAACCUCAUGGGGAGUUAAUUAAAUCGAGCCAUGCAAGGGCUUGGUCGAGAAAAUUGACAAUCCGUGGGUGCCUGUUUUUAUGGAAUCUUUGAGUAUUGAGACUCUUGAUUCCGGUAUACUCGAGUAUUACCAUUCCUGUUUCUAUUUGGCGUUCGGACCCGGUAAGGGGGUAUGAAUGGUGAACGGGAUUCGGCGUUAAAGCGGUGUUCUACUGGACUGGUUUUCUUUAGUUGAAAGUUGACGGAGGGUCAACGUAGUCGGAUGAAGUACUGUAACGGGAAAUUGGCUCCUGAGAGCCAUCUGUAUCCUUUCUAUCUAAGUUGUUUACAUAUCUCCUUAUUUGGUACACUUAUGUGAUUAAUUGAGCAUGAAGUUCCUUGGUCCUUGACUGUUAUUAUUUUUGGUACCUCAUUGAGCUUAUAGCUCACCCCGUUUUGUUAUCAUUGUUUUCCUUACAGGAAAAUCUUUUGGGAACAAUGAUGUUUGGAAGCAUGAGUUGAGCUAGAUAUAUAUUCUUUUGUAUAGCUCCUCAAUAGAUAGAAACCUUGAAUGUAUUUCGAUCCAACAACUCCCUUUUGAUUUGUAAAUUUGCAAUCAUGUAUUUAUAUAAUAUAUAAAAGUGUUUAAUCAUGUACAUGUGUUACCCCGCUCGAAUGUGUUCAUUCUUUAUGGCUACGUGGAGUUUAAUGAAAUUACUGAGGUUUCGGACGAGUAUAGUAUCCAAGUGUGAAAAGGAAAAAAAAAAUCGGCAGGGAUUUCGACAAUAUUAUGGGUUGGCAAGUUACAUUUAACUUGGAGGUUUCCCAAUCGUUCGUUUUCUUUGGUUUCUAUCACGCGUGCUAUAGAGUUGGGAGUGAUUUGACCCCGUAGUCCCGGCGAGAGUUGGGCAGGCGGUCCACCGAACCCUUUGGUUCGCCUUAGGGGGAGGUGGGGCUGUCACAGGUGGUAUCAGAGCUGCUUCGCGUGGUCUCUGCGCGGAGUGAGUUUGACCAAGUGGUGUUAUGGUCCCUAUUCCGUGAAUGUGUACGAAUGUUUAAGUGCUCUUUUGAGCAUAACCUUUGGAUCAUGAAAUGUUAUAGGUUUUAAACCUUUAUCAUGGUACUUGGAGACAAUAGAUCUGUAGGUCUGGUAAGAAUCUCGAUUGUAGAUGAAUUACUCUUGGGACUGGCCAGCCCGAGUUGUGAAUUAUCUUAUUUUGGGAUUCUUGUGCCCGACUACUAAAUAAAUGACUUGGGCGGACUAGAAAUUCGAUUCUAUGGAACGUCAUGUGAUGUGUUAGGGUUUCAUUACGAAUGAUUAACCAUGACUAAGAUAUAAAUUCUAUAUAACCGUUUUUAGUUGGUUACUCUUGUACCAUUGGCUUAGUUAGUAUCACGAAGGAUGUUUCCUUUUGCUUGUAUCUAAUUGACUGCUACUGUGUGAUCUGUUUGUGUUAGAUGUGUUAUAUGUAUAUUGCCUACUUUUAUCACUUGCACCUGCAUACUUUGGUUUUAAUACCGUAUUCGUGGUCCAACCCUAGAUUGGUUAAGCCAUAUGGAAGGCACCCGUAGUGGACGUGGUCGUGAUCGCUGAAUUAGGCAACCCACGACUGAAGGAGAUAUUAGGGGAACUACGUCUGAACCAAACUCUGAACCUAGGGUUGAUCCGAACGUACAAGUGGCCGCAGCCAUUCAACGAAUGACCGACCUUUUGGCUCACAUAGUAGAACAUCAAGGUCAACAUCCUAUUCAUCAGCCGAAAAAUCCUGGUAAUCAUACCGAGGGUGAGGAUAGAGCCCUCGAACGAUUUCAGAAGUUCUCCCCACCGCAAUUUCUUGGAGGACCAGACCCCGACGUGGGCGAGAGGUGGUUAGAGAAGUUGAUUGAUAUCUUUGCUGCGCUACACUGCACUGAGGAGCGACAGGUGACAUUUGUCGUCUUCUAACUGGAGGGAGCGGCCCGAUCUUGGUGGAACAUCAUAAGACUGAAAUGGGAAAGAGAACAAACCCCAAGGACGUGGGUGAAUUUCAUGAGAGAAUUCAACACGAAGUAUAUUCCACCCCUGAUCCAGGAAAAGAAGGAAGAUGAGUUUAUUCGAUUUCGCCAGGGAACUCAAACCGUUGCCGAAUAUGAAAACCAGUUCACCAGGUUGUCCAAGUUCGCUCCCGAGCUAAUCGUGACUGAGCAAAGGAGGAUAAGGCGUUUCGUCCAAAGAUUAAACGUUGAGAUUCAGAAGGACUUGGCCGUGGCCCAACUUAAUACUUUUAGUGAUGCGGUGGAGAAAGCUCAACGAGUUGAAAGUGCGAGGUUACAAGUUAAGAAUUUUCAAGUCAAGAAAAGGGGAUUUCCUGGAAGCCAUUCGGAGCAAGGAGAUAAAAGUACGCCUCCUAAGAUUGGAAGGGAAAAUGGAGGAGUACAACUACCUGGGAUGUCAAGUGGUGCCUCACAAAAAGGCUCAGUCUCCGCUUCCCGUAGUCCGUGCGGGUACUGUGGGAAGCCAAAUCACACGGAGGAUGUCUGCUGGAAGAAAGGAAGAAAAUGUCUGCGUUGUGGGAGCGCAGAUCAUCAAAUUGCAAAUUGCUCAGGCCAAACUCGAGAAGGGAGUAGGAGGCAACAGCCAACCACGACCAACCCUGACCAGUCGAAGGAGGAAAAGAAUGGAUCGAAAGUGUCAGUUCGGGUGUACUCCUUAGAACAACAUCAAGUUUCUGACCCAUUUGAGGACGUGGAAGAUAAGAUUCUGGUAUUCCACCGUUUGCUCACUGUUUGCAAUUUGGGAAGGAAGAAUUCAAUGAACAUGAAGGGAUACUGAUUGCGAUUGGUUAGCUAAGUAUGAUACUCAAUUUGACUGCGAGAAGGAAGUAGUAAAUUUUUGUAUCCCGAAUAAGGCAAUGAGAAGGAAUUUCGAGGACGAAAUUCUUUUAAGAGGGAGAGAGUGUGAGAGCCCGUAAAUUUUCUUAUUUUCUAGGCUUUACUUUAUUUAAUUGCACGCCUUUUAUGCAUUUUCUUUAUUAGAAAAAUUUUUCAGAUAAUUUUUAUGAGCAAAUAGAGUUUUCAAGUUAUUUUUCUAGUAUAAAUGAGUUCAUGAGAAUUUUGGAGCGUAUACCGGACGUGGGACCCGCUAGUUUGGAAAGUUCGGUAAAAAUUCGGCCAAUUGGGUUAAGUUUUGUAUACAGGGUUUAAUUUACUAGGUGCUAAGAGAUAAUUAGAGGAUACCAUAUGGAUGAGAGUUGAGGAAACAAAGGGAUAUUCAUGCAUUAAAUAGGGUGACAAGUGUCACCAUAUGAUUAAAUCUUGCAUUUUGACCACUAUUCAUUACCUUUACUAAAUACCAAAAUUUGACCACAAAUCAUCUUCAAUUUCUUGUGUCUUGGCCGAACCUUGGAAGGAAGAAAGAAGAAAAAAAAAAACUUCAUCUUGCACCAUUCUUUCUUGCUUCAAUCUUGGAUUCCAACCAUAAAUCUUGCAAACCUCUCCAUAUAAGUUGCUCUUUGGGGUAGAUUCAAGAUUGUGGUGGAGUGAUUUUUGGAGAAGAAAACCUAAGUUAUCAUCUUUCCUCAAGUUUCAAGGUAAAUUCCCUAAAACUUUCCUUUUACUCUUGAUAAUUGUCAAUUAAUGGAUUGGAAAGGUUAAAGGUGUAGUUUUGUGGAUAAGUUUAUGGUUUUAAGUAGGGUUAUGGUGAAUUUCAGUUUUUAUAGUAAAAUUUCUGUCCUCGUAUGAUGAUUAACGUUUGGGCAUGAUUUGGUAGUUGUUAUGAGCAAUUUUGAGCUUGAGAAUGCUAGUUUUGCUUGCCUUCAAAGAAUUUCAGCUUGUAUAGAAAAAUUUCUAGAUUAGGAUUUACAAUUUUCUCCAUUCUAGCUGGCACUGUUUCUCAUAUUUAGAGGCCGAAUUAGCCUUGGGUUAAAACAUGAAAGUUGUAGAGAAUGAUGUUUUAUAGUUUCCUUCAAAGUUUUAGCUCAAUCGGAGCAACGUAGCUUGUGAAAAAGACCAAAAUACCCUUGCUGCCCUGUUUCUAUCCGAACAUGCUAAUCAGCUUCUGUAAUUGGUUGUUUUGACCAGGAAUACUACUGAUUUGGUUGCCAAUGUCUUUUUAACAUUUAUACCCUUGUAUCUUAGCUUUCAAAGGGCUUUGGAAUCACUUGAAUUGGAGUUGUGUAUGAUGAGAUAUGACUGAAUGAAUCAGAACUGCCACAGUAAACUUCGAAUUGGAAAAUCUGGGGUUAUUUUGAUAACGUUUACCUAGAUACAUUGCAAACUGGACUGAGUGGCCUUCUUCAACAUUGUAGCCUUUUCUCUUAGCUUCGAAAUGGUGUAAAUUUCACCCCAAUCCGAUAAGUGUAGCUCCAGUUUUGUCCAUUCCGUUAAAUGACGUCAAAACUAUCUUUUGGUUUUAAGGUUUAUAAUUGGGGCUUUUCUAGGGUUCCUUUGUUGAGCUACCAUUUGGUUGUUUUGAAAGGUAUUGUGGCUCUAAUUAAAGGUAUUUGAUAGUUCGUGAUUGGGUGUUGAUGCUUGGUUGGAAAAGUAAAGAAAGACAAGGGGAAGUGCUGUCCAAAUGUUUGCAGGAGCUUCGGUGCAAUCUCGGGAGAUUUGCUAUAUCUUGAUGUAGAAAUGUCGGAAUUGAGUUCUGUUUAUUGCAUUUUAAACUAGAUUCAUAGGGUUAUAAACCAUGUAAAUUUUAGAUCCUGUUUCUGUCUGUCCAAUUUAUGGUGAUUUUUCAAAUUUGACAGAAAUCUUGUACCUGUUCUGUCCUCCACUGGAUAAAGCAGCAACUUGCGACUUGAAUUCGACUGACUUACGUUCUGAAUCUUACAAUAGUGUUUUCUGGAAAUUUAUAGCCCUUUGAAUGUAUUUUCCAACGGUAUAACUUUUAUUACUUUUGGACUUACAAAACUUGAGAUAUGAUUUUUCAUAUAAGGUCGCGCGGAACUGGAAAAAUUCUGUUUUCCUAGUAUUGAUCUUGCUUUCAUUAUCUACUUCAAAUUUGGAAUUGGUCAGUCAUUGUAGGAAGGGCUUUGAGGUUGUUCAUGCUUUUAAGACUACUUGUUACCUUUUCACUCCGAAGUCACCUCUUUGCUUUGCAUUAAUGAUUCUUUUGACUAGGCAUAUGGCUCGUAACCGAGUCUCACUUGCGAAUUCCAUACUCGGUCUUGGAGUCGAGUUUUAAGUGUUUGCCUUGAUUGUUCUAGGAGGUAACGACGAGUAAAGCCACACUUGGGAAGGAAACUUUUGACAUUAUCCUUGUUUGAUCAGGUGAGUGCACCACUCCCCUGAGUUACUGCUAAACUGGUUUUCUGUACUUGCAACAUGCUAUUUGAAUAUCUUUCCUGACUGUUUAUCUUGUAUGAGACGAGAGUGUAGUUUAUCACACUCGUUCUCUUGCCUGUACUGAACAAACUAGAAUCUAUUAUUUGUACUUGUUAUGUACUUGAACUUGUUACUUGCACUUGUUAUGGGAUCGUUUGGAAGUGUGUACACGAUCGUCCUGUUAAACUUGAUCGUCCUGUUAAACCUGAGCUCAACCUCAUGGGGAGUUAAUUAAAUCGAGCCAUGCAAGGGUUUGGUCGAGAAAAUUGAUAAUCCGUGGGUGCCUGUUUUUAUGGAAUCUUUGAGUAUUGAGACUCUUGAUUCCGGUAUACUCGAGUAUUACCAUUCCUGUUUCUAUUUGGUGUUCGGGUCCGGUAAGGGGGUAUGAAUGGUGAACGGGAUUCGGCGUUAAAGCGGUGUUCUACUGGACUAGUUUUCUUUAGUUGAAAGUUGACGGAGGGUCAACGUAGUCGGAUCAAGUACUGCAACGGGAAAUUGGCUCUUGAGAGCCAUCUGUAUCCUUUCUAUCUAAGUUGUUUACAUAUCUCCUUAUUUGGUACACUUAUAUGAUUAAUUGAGCAUGAAGUUCCUUGGUCCUUGACUGUUAUUAUUUUUGGUAUCUCAUUGAGCUUAUAACUCACCCCGUUUUGUUAUCAUUGUUUUCCUUACAGGAAAAUCUUUUGGGAACAAUGAUGUUUGGAAGCAUGAGUUGAGCUAGAUAUAUAUUCUUUUGUAUAGCUCCUCAAUAGAUAGAAACCUUGAAUGUAUUUCGAUCCAACAACUCCCUUUUGAUUUGUAAAUUUGCAAUCAUGUAUUUAUAUAUAUAUAUAUAAAAGUGUUUAAUCAUGUACAUGUGUUACCCCGCUCGAAUGUGUUCAUUCUUUAUGGCUACGUGGAGUUUAAUGAAAUUCUGAGGUUUCGGACGAGUAUAGUAUCCAAGUGUGAAAAGAAAAAAAAAAUCGGCAGGGAUUUCGACAAUAUUUUGGGUUGGCAAGUUACAUUUAACUUGGAGGUUUCCCAAUCGUUCAUUUUCUUUGGUUUCUAUCACGCGUGCUAUAGAGUUGGGAGUGAUUUGACCCCGUAGUCCCGGCGAGAGUUGGGCAAGCGAUCCGCCGAACCCUUUGGUUCGCCUUAGGGGGAGGUGGGGCUGUCACACGUUGAGUAUCUUCGGACGCGCAAAAAACCUAUCCUCGGACGUCCGACACUGAUAAGUCAGUACUUCUAAGAUCUCUAACCUCGAUCGGAAGCACAAUACCUGAGCACCGGACGUCCAACAAUCGUUGCAACACUUCGGACGACAAGCAUUAGAAGCACCGGACGUCCGAAAGAAUUAAUGAAGGAUUCCAAGUUUUACAUCAUAUGGUCGGACGCAUAUUCUGAUGCUGCCGGACGUCUUAAAGAUUUCAAGAAAAUUUCUUGAACUCACUACCUGCGUUCGGACGCACAAAACCAGCCUACCGGACGUUUUUACACUUCUAACGGCUAGUUGACUCUUCAGCUGCCUUGUGUCCGUUAGUGGCAUUAAUUGAAGAUGUUUUUGGUCUAUUAUAAAUAAGAUAAAAGUCAACCGCCAAAAGUAUUGAUACACAUUAAGUCUACAUCAGAUCUUGAGUGAUUCAAGCAUAAGAAUACUCCAAAAAGAAGAUUUGUACUCUUAGUUGUGUGAUCUUCAUUUAACUUUUCAAGUGUGAUUCAAUUUUUUCAAUAGUGUAACUUUGUGAGGGUUAUUCGAGUGAUUGUAAAACUUCCUUGCUUGAUCAAGUGUAUCUUGAGGCAAGGAGGAAGUGAUCCUUCCCGUGUACACAAGAGAUUGGUUGUAUGUUGAAUUAACUUGAAGGAGCUUACAAUAUAAAGGGAUAUUCAAACUCUAGUCGAGUUUGAGAUUUGGUUUGCUAUUCCAUCUUUUUAUUCACUGUUUUCCAACAUUAACUGUUUAUCUCUUCUGUUCUAAAUUACUUUCACUUUAUCAUAAAUUGUUCCUUGGUCUCGUUCUUUAGAAAAAUAGGGCUAGUUCAGAAAAAAAGUGAUUUAUAUUUUGGCUAGCUUUUAAAUCACCUAAUUCACCCCCCUCUUAGGUUGUUUUCGAUCCUUAUAAUUGAUAUCAGAGCUUGGUUUCCUUAAGAUUAAGCUCAAUCGGCUUAGGAGUAAAUAUGACAACCAACAAUGCCAUGUUCUUUGAGGGACAAUCAGUAACUAGACCUCCUAUAUUCAAUGGUUCAAACUAUGUGAGUUGGAAGGAAAUGAUGAUUAUUUUCUUACAAUCUAUUGAUAUUGAGCUAUGGUUUAUUGUCAAUGAAAGUCCGUUUGAUGCCUCUACUAUUGAUGCAAAUACAAACAGGCCGAGACCAAAAACAAGAAGGAAACUAAUUGCUGAAGAUAGAACUCAUCUCACUCUGAAUGCCAAGGCGAUGAAUGUACUGUACAGUGCUUUAGACUCAAACAAAUCUGUUAGAGUCAAGGGUUGCAAAUCUGCAAAAGAAAUCUGGGAUAAAUUUUGAGAAAUACACGAAAGAAGUGAAAAUAUGAGAGAACAGAAGAAGUCCAUUCUGGUCACGAAGUAUGAAUCCUUUAAGAUGGAACCUCACGAAAACAUCGAUAAGAUGUAUUGCAGAUUCAAUGAUCUUAUUAAGGAUCUACAAGUUCUUGAGAAAGAUUACUCUCUAGGUGAGAAAAACAGAAAAAUUCUGAAUGCUCUAUCAAAGGAUUGAGAGAGUAAAGUGACUGCCAUUGAGGAAGCCAAAGAUCUGAACACUUUAUCUAUUGAAUCCCUUAUAAAUUCACUAACCUCUUAUGAGCUAAAACUCAAGUCUAAGGUGCAGGAAGAAGAAAACACAAGAGUUAGAAAGAGCAUUGCUCUGAAAACUUCACAAGAAGAAGAUGAUACAAUCUCUCUGGAUGGAGAUGACAUGGAAGGUGAUGAUAGUGACAUUGCACUCAUCACAUGAGGCUUCAAAAGAAUACUCAACAAGAGAAGAUUCAGAAAAGGAGGACAUAGCAAUUCCUUUCCAAAUCAGUCCAACAACUUCAGAAAUAAAGGAAAGCUGGAAUUCAACAAAAAGCAAACUGAUAAGUGCUUUGAAUGCUGCCAACUUGGUCAUUAUGCAAAUGAAUGUCCAAUGAAGAAAAAGAAGGAGAACAAGAGUGAACGAAAACCAAAAUUCAACAAUUUCCAAAUCACCUGGAAUGACUGUCGCGCCCCACUUUUCGAUUGAAUUGCGUGAGUGAUGUGUUGUGUGUGUGAGUAGUGGAAUGUGAACGUGUGUAAAUGAAAAGUAAAAGGCCAUGGGACUUUGGAAAGCGACGAUUUGGCCAAAUGAAAUUUAAAAAGGGUUUUUAAAUAUAAAAACGGAGUCGCCACUUGGUAUAGAUUUGGGGUGUACCAAGUCACCCAAAAAGUGUUUUUUAAAGACAAAGUAGUAAAACCCUUUUUAAAACGACUCCUAGUCCACGUAAGCCAAAGAAAAAGGUUCGGGGGUCACGUUUGACAAAGGGGAAGGCAAGGAUAGAAUCCAAGGCACCCCUUUGACCUAGGCAAGGCUAGUUGCGCGACUUAACCCUACCUUUCCUAAUUUUCUACCCAAUAUAUGUUCGCACGUUGGAUAUGACUAUAUGAAUGCAAAACGGAAAGAAAAAUGCAAUCCUAAGUUCUACGAUGUCUCUCGUGAGGCUUUUGGUCCCAAACCACAUGAAUUGUGGCGGCCAACAAAGGAAAACCCCAUAGAGGUCGAUUAAUGCAAAUGAGACUCAAGUGUGCAAGUGUGAAAGUGUAUGAAAGAAAUUAAAAAUCCAAGUGUUUGUGUGCAAGUGUAUGAAAAGGUGCACGUGUGCAAUUGUAUGAAAAUUCCAAGUGUUCGUGUGCAAGUGUAUGAAAUAUAGUGAUAAGUGCAUAUAGGUGUGAGUGAAUGCAAUUUUGUGAAGUAGAAAAAAAAAUGAACAAUAAGGAAAGGAAAAUGUGAAUUGAAAAGAAUGAGUGAGUGAUAAAUGAGAAUGAAUGAACCUAAGGGAAUGCAUCAGGUCGGGUAUGGGAAUGACUCCUAACUUGUCGACUUCGAUUUUCCCUUUGAUUAGAAGGCAAAACUAGCGUGCUAAGGCUAUCGAGUAGCCACACUCGCUCGUUUCCCUUAUCAGAAGGGGACCCUCAAGCAAAUGGACCCUACAACUAUCAUGAUAUGCAAAAAUCCUAAAAUGAAGGGAAAGGGGGUUCGAGGAGCAUGCCAAGUGAUAAAACUAAGAAAAAUGCAUGAUAUGUGGUGAACAAGCAAAAGAUAUGCUAAUGAGGGGAAAUCCCUAAGGGUCUAGCGUUGGACUAGCCCAUUCUAUGAAUUCCGACUAGCGUUGGACUAGCGGAAACGUACAUUCAUCCAUUCCAUUCAUUCAUGGCUAUGAAAGCAAGUAGACAUGCCAAAAUAUUCGUAAACACAUAGCACAUAGCAUUUAGCAUGCUCGACUAGAUGCAAGAGCCUAAUAAAGCAAUUAAACAUGUAGCAACAAAAACAAGCAACCAGGGGGAAGGGGAAAUGGACCAGAUGCUCUCCGAGCACUAUCUAUUACAAGCCAAGAGGUGUACACAUACCCCAUAAAAGCAUAAAAGGGAAAGGGUGAAUGGACCAGAUGCUCUCCGAGCACUAUCUAUUACAAGCCAAGAGGUGUACACAUACCCCAUAAAAACUUAAAUAAAAGUAAAAAGCAAGUAAAUGCACGCAGGGAGGUAAGGAAAGCGAAGUAGACAUGCAUAUUCACAUAACACGUAGGAGCACGUAGGGUCAAAUGAAGUGCAAAUGAGGGAUAGAGUGUACCUCCCUUGAAGCGACGCCCUAACGUAGUGAAAUUACUAAUUUACCCUCCAAAAUAAUAAACAGGUCAAGGUACCACUUAAAUUAUCGAAUAAUCACACGAAACAACCAUUAAACACAAACAAAUGGAAAUUGAGCAUGAAACGAAAAUUAAAUAUGGAAUAGACCAUGCAUGUGCAAGCAAAACUCGGUCUCAAAUAAAAAGCCUCAAGAAUCUAAAAUGGAGUGCUAAAUUGAAAUGCUGUGAGUGGAAUCUAUCGCCAUCAAGUGCAAAAAAUCACGAAAGGAAGAAAUGGAAAAUUAUUAAAGUUUUAGAAACAAGAUUAACUAAGCAGAAUUUAAAUCAAACAAAAUCAAGACCACCAAUGCUUCCAAGCUACCAAACUUUCAUGAUUUGAUCCUAGAAUUCUAUUAGCAUUGUCCACAAUUCACAUGAAAAAACAUAUCAAGGCAUAAUUACACAAAAGAGAUCCAAUUGCGAAAAUUAAUCAACCAUGCAAGCCCAAUCAAAAUGUUCAAGGAAUUUUAAAAGGUCAAAUAGCAAAGAAAAAGUCAAGCCAUGGUUCCAAUUGCAACUAUCCUAGGAUCUAAUUGCAAGAAAUUUGAAUGUAAUUGGGCCUUAGUAGACCAAGAGGAGAUUUGGGGGAUCAAAGUCCAAUUUGUAGAAAUUACUUCAUGCAUAAGCAUGCAAUCACGUUGCUUUCUUUUUUAAACAAUGCUUCUGCAAUUCUCUUCGCUAAUCUUUGCAAUCUGCUAUGCCUUAUUACCAAAACGUUACCAACAAAAACAGCCACACUUUUGAGUCAAAUGAUCAUAGUCAUCCCCCCAUUCAUCAACCAAACCACAUACCAUGCUUUUAUGACAGAAUCAAGGCAGAAAAAACUGGAAUGAUAGCUGCCAAAAACCAAAGAGAUAACAGCAAAAAGAAAGAAACAAAGUGCAGCAAGAGUCUUCAGCCACCUUAAGGUUCGCUAGCAGCCUGGAGAACUUACGAUGGACUCCAGAAAACCACCCUAACAUCAUGAAUUAAACAUGCAAGCCAAUAACCUAUUCAAAGUUCAUUCCAGAUUCAUUCGAGAUUCCCUACUGCAAUCUUCUGGUUUCAUUAUGCAAGCCAAAUCAGCAAGUUACCAAGGUUUCAACUACUUGUUGCGGGUUUGAAGCCAAGCAUCUAAGUUAACCCAACAGCAAACGAAAGGGAAGAAAUGCAGCAAGGAACGCCAGAGGUUUCAUGCAAACGAAACUGAUCAUCAACGAUAUAAGCAAACAGCAAAACAGCAAUAGAGGAAAAGGAAAAAUGUGUCGCGAGUUUCUGCAAUUUUUUUUAGCCGCGGCUUUCCUUCCCUUUCAUCAUGCAAGUGAGUUCAACUUCCAAAAUUUUAACUACUGACUAAAUGAAACGCAGACCCUUGUUGCAGAAUUGAAACCAAACAUUUAAAUGGCCCAAUAGCAAAAGAAAAAGGAAUUUUUCAUGCAAGUUUCAUGCAAAGAAUGAGCUUCCUGCAACCGAGAGAUGCUGCAAUUUUUAUUCUGUUAAACCACUAUUCCAUCAGCAAAUUACACUCAAUUCAAAACUCCACCUUGACCUUAACAACAAAAUCACCAAACUCAAAGUCCAAAUAAACUAAACGACUUAGCAAGAGGAUAGGCAAUUCCAGAAAUUUCUGCUAUCGCUGUCAUGAACAACAAAGCAUCAUUUUUUGAUCACAAAUGCAAACACAACCCAUUUAAACAUGGUAGAAUGUGCACUAGACAUUCAAUGAAAGAACAUCAGCCACAAAUGGCCAACUACAUUAUCUGAAUAUGCGCUUGCAAACAUAAAAGACAGCCAAAGCAACGUGAGGAUUUACAGCAAUGUACUUCGCUAGGAGCUAAGUGCAAAGAAACAACCAAAGCUGUAAACUUUCUGCAAUUUUUCCUUUCGGCUAAGACACAGUCACGCAAGACACCAAUUCAUUAACCAAACUUCAGAAUUUUCAUUACCCAAAUAAGAACCAUCAAUCAUAUUGAAUCCAAAACAGAACCAGUAAACAGCAGAGGAAUGCAAACAACCGACUAAAGCAAGCAGCUUUCAACUAUAAAAAGGUGAAUACAAUACCUUGACCAAAGAAUGGAACGUGUGAUGACCAAGAAAAGGCUCAAAUGAUUCUUUUGGAUGCUCGAAAGAAAUGUCAGACGAUGCUGAAUGGAAGCCCAGUCGAUUCCUUCCUGCAACUUCCAGCCGAGGAUCCUUCUUGCUCCUUCCCAGUUUUCUCUUUCUUUUCCCGUAAGAUUUUUCUAUCCCAGCCGAAGAUCCCUCUUGCUUUCUCUACAUAGCUUUCUUGUUCUGUUCUCCUUCUAUUCUCCUUCUACCUAGCCCAGCCGCCAACUCUAUUCCCCCUCCACAACUUUCCAGCCGUCCGAAACCUCCCUCUCUCUCGCUUCAGUUCUUCUUUCACCUCCUCCGAGAGCCUCUCCCUUUUUUCCCUUUAAUCAGCCGCCCCCUCACUCUUCUGUAUGCCCCCUCUCUUUCAGUCUUUCUUUCACUCCUUCUCAACCUCUCCAAACCCCUAGCCGUUUCUUUUCUGGUUCCUUUCUACCUCUUAAGCCGCCGCCAACUUUCCCUUGGUAGGUUUCUUUUCUUUUGCUUGUGUUUCUCUCUUCCGAAUCUCCCCUGUUUGCGGCUGCCAAUCCCUUCUAUUUAUAUCAAGCACUCAACCCUAAAAACCUCAGCCACUUCCUCUGAAAUUUGCAGCUAAGGAGCUCCCCAAAGUUCACUUGCAAGCUGCGGCAAAAACGCAGCCUUCAUGCUGCGCGUUUUCACUUUUCCUUUUUUUUUUUUAACUUUCAACUUAAUAAAUACAGAAAUGAUAAAAUAUAAAUAAUAAUAAAAACAAAUUGACAAAAACCAAGUAAUAAUAAUAAUAAUAAUAAUGAAAAUAAUUUAAAAAACUAAACAACUAAAAACAACAAAAAUGGCCAUUUUUCCAUCUUUUUUGUUUCAUUUUUCAUUUUUUCAUUUUUUCCAAGAAAGCAUUGAAUUUAAAUUACAAACGACUAAAUCAUAUUUUUUGAAUGCUUUUUCUUUUCCCUUUUCAACAAAUUCUAUGAUAAAACUUAAAAAUAAAAAAUAAAACUGGAAACUAAAAACUAAAAAAUGAACACGACAAAUAAAAAACUAAAAAAUGAAAUUACACCAAAAAUUUGGUGUCUACAAUGACUGCAAUUCAGAAGGAGAAGUAGAGGAAGAAGAGGAAUCCGCCCAAGUGGCUUUCAUGGGCAUUGAAGAUGAAGAGGUAACCCAAUGUAACUCUCAAACUGAUAGUGAUAGUGAGUAUGAUGUUGAUAUUAAUUCUUUCCUAAAAAAAAUGCAUAACAGCUUAAAAGAAUUCUAUGUUAGAAACAAGGAAUUAAAACAGAAAAUUAGUUUUCUAAUACAAGAUAAUGCAAAUCUUUUUCGACAAAACAAGUGUCUUACGCAUGAAAAUGAGAACCUGAAAAGGAUUGAAACUGAUGUGCUUGCUGAACUUAACAAAAAGACAAAUCUCUGUGACAUGCUCAGAAGUGAACAAUGCAGCCUAAAAAAAAGGAUGGAUGAUUUAUGUCAAUUGUUACAACAUAUGAAACAGAACCGCCUUCAAAAGAAUGACACUGAACCUCACCUUAACACUCAUCGAAAAGAUUGAAUUAUAGUAAAAAUGAGUUUACUGUCUACAAGAGAAGGCAAGUCAGAUUCAUUAAACCUGUUCAUUUGAUUGAUCCAAUGACUGUAUGCAACUUUUAUUGUCAAUUUGGUCACAUGAAUAGCAACUGUUAUGUUAAGAAAAACAUGAGAAAUGGAAUGAGAUGCAUGUGGGUUGUUAGACAUAAUGCUAACCAUGAAGGACCCAAAAAGUAAUGGGUACCAAACAUUAUAUUGUGGACUACUGUGUAGGUGAACCUGGUGAACAUUGUUAAAGAAUCAAAAUGGUUCAUAGAUAGUGGAUGCUCAAGACAUAUGACUGGUGAUGCAUCACAGUUCAUCAAGCUCAAGCCAAAAACAAGUGGAAAGGUUACUUUUGGAGAUGAUAAUAAAGCCAAAACUGUUGGAAUUGGUGAUGUUGGUAAGAAUGGUCAAACUUUUGUUCAUAAUGUUCUUUUAGUCGACAACCUGAGUUACAAUUUGUUGAGUGUUAGUCAAUUAUGUGAUAGGAACCUGCUCGUGUUAUUUAAGAAACAUCAAUGCCUUGUUCUUGACUCAAAGUUUAACAUUAUUUUCAAAGGAAAAAGAGUUAAUGAUAUUUAUGUGGUGAUUCUUGAAAAAGUUGAUGCUUCCAGCCUUAGUUGUCUCAAAGUAGCAAAUGAGGAUCCCUGGUUAUGGCACAGAAGGCUUUGUCACUUCAAUAUGGAUUUGCUAAAAGAGGUUUCCAAAAAGGACCUGGUUAGAGGGAUUCCAAAACUCAAUUUUUGUAAAGAUCGCAUCUGUGAUGCUUGCCAAUUUGAAAAACAAGUCAAGGUAUCUUUUAAACCAAAAAAAUGUGUUUCUAUCUCAAAACCCUUAGAACUCCUACAUCUUAAUCUUUUUGGUCCAACUCAAACCACAAGCCUUGGUGGCAAGAGAUUCUGUUUUGUUGUUGUUGAUGACUAUUCUAGAUACACUUGGGUGAUGUUUCUUGCACAUAAAGAUGAUGAUUUCAAAAACUUUGUUUCCCUAUUUGCCAAGGUUCAAAAUCUGAUUGGUUUGAAAAUCAUAAAAAUAAGAAGUGACAAUGGCACAAAAUUUCAUUUUUGUGAAUUUCCAGAAUUUUGUGACAACAAUGGCAUUACACAUGAGUUUUCUAUUGCUAGAGUACUUCAGCAAAAUGGAGUGGUUGAGAGGAAAAAUAGAACUCUUCAAGAAGCUGCUAAAACCAUGCUUAGUGAAUGCAAUUUACCAAAGUACUUUUGGGCUGAAACUAUAAACACUGCAUGCUAUACCAUGAAUAGAGUUCUCUUAAGACCAAUCUUGAACAAGACUUCAUAUGAGCUGUUUUUGGUUGCAAAUGCUUCAUUCUGAACAUCAAGGAGCAUCUUGGUAAGUUUGAUAAAAAAUCUGAUGAGGGGAUCUUCUUGGGAUAUUGUGAAAAUAAGAGAGGCUUUAGAGUUUAUAAUCGUAGAACUCUGGUUAUAGAAGAAGCUAUACAUAUCACUUUUGAUGAAUCUAAUGGUGACACUUCCAUGAGUUGUGGUGAAGAUGAUGAUGCAGGUGUUCGAGAAGAAUUAAAGAAGCUAACAAUUAGCAAUCAAGGCACAGCUCCAUCAGAAAAUGAUUCAAAGGAAGAUGAAAAUCAAGACAGUCCUACUAGAGAAGACAAUGACAGUGACACUGCGAUUCCUAAUGAUCUUCCAAGAGUCUGAAAAUUCGUCCAAAAUCAUCCUAAGGAACUUAUCAUUGGGGAUCCAUCUGAAAAUGUCAGAACACGUUCCUCCUCUAGACAAUUAAUAGAUAACUUUGCAUUGGUCUCACAUUUUGAGCCCAAAAAUGUUGUUGAUGCAUUGAAUGAUGAGAGCUGGAUUUUGGCAAUGGAAGAGGAGUUAAAUCAAUUUGAAAGAAAUAAGGUUUGGACAUUAGUUGCUAGACCACAAGAUCAUCCUAUUAUUGGCACUAAAUGGGUUUUUAGAAACAAAAUGAAUGACAAAGUUGAGAUAGUUAGAAAUAAGGCCAGAUUGGUAGUUAAGGGUUACACUCAAGAAGAAGGAAUAGAUUUUGAUGAAUCAUUUGCACCCGUAGCUAGGUUAGAAUCUGUUAGAAUGUUUUUAGCUUUUGCAUGUUUCAAAAAUUUUAAAUUAUUUCAAAUGGAUGUUAAAAGUGUUUUCCUAAAUGGUUUUAUAGAUCAAGAAGUUUAUGUUGAUCAGCCCCCUGGUUUUGAAAAUGAGAAUUAUCCAAACCAUAUUUUUAAACUCUCAAAAGCUUUAUAUGGAUUAAAACAAGCUCCAAGAGCAUGAUAUGAACGCUUGAGUGGUUUUUUGAUUGAAAAUGGGUUCAAAAGAGGCAUAGUAGAUAUUACUCUUUUCACUAAACAAAAUUCACGUGAUCUUCUAAUUGUUCAAAUAUAUGUGGAUGAUAUUAUUUUUGGUGCUACUAAUGAGAAUUUGUGCAAGGAAUUUUUCAAAAUUAUGCAAAAAGAGUUUGAAAUGAGCAUGAUGGGAGAAUUAAAUUUCUUCCUUGGACUCCAAGUGGUUUAAACCAGAGAAGGAACGUUUAUCAAUCAAACAAAAUACACCAAAGAGCUGCUCAAAAGAUUUGGAAUGAAGGACUCAAAGUAGGUUGGAACACCUAUGUGCACAUCUACCAACCUCGACAAAGAUGAAGAAGGUACAAAAGUUGAUGAAAAGAAGUAUAGAGAUAUGAUUGGUAGUCUGCUUUAUUUAACUGCUAGUAGACCAGAUAUCAUGUUUGUUGUAUGCUUGUGUGCUCGUUUUCAGUCCUGUCCAAAGGAAUCACAUUUGAAUGCAGUAAAAAGAAUUCUUAGAUAUCUAAAAGGAACCUUGAAUUUUGGUCUUUGGUAUCCUAAGUGUAAUGAACUCCCAUUGAGUGGAUUCUCUGAUGCUGAUUUUGGUGGUUGUAGAGUUGAUAGAAAAAGUACAUCAGGAAUAUGUAGUUUUCUUGGAAACUGCUUAGUAUCUUGGUUCAGCAAGAAACAAAAUGCUAUUUCUCUUUCUACAACUGAAACAGAAUAUAUUGCUGCUGGUGCUUGUUGUGCUCAACUGUUAUGAAUGAAAAACACAUUGAAUGAUUUCGGACUAAUAUAUGAAUGUGUGCCUAUGUAUUAUGAUAAUACUAGUGCCAUAAAUUUAACAAAAAAUCCCAUUCAGCACUCUAGAACAAAGCAUAUAGACAUAAAGCAUCACUUCAUUCGUGAUCUUGUCCAAAAGAGAGAAAUCUGCGUUCAGUAUGUGUGUUCAAAAAAUCAAAUUGCUGAUAUUUUCACAAAAUCCCUUCCACUGGACCAAUUUGUGUAUCUUAGAACAAAACUGGGCGUCUGUGAAAAAGUUCUCUAAAAACUUCCAUCGGACGUCCGAUGUGUUAGAACGGACGUCCGACAGUGUUCUUCAUCAGUUUCCCCAGGAAAUUUUUGUUCGGACGAUUGUGUCGGACGCUUCAUUUUGUUCGGCCGUCCGACACUCAAUUUACUGCGUCUUAUAAAGAAGUCAUCCACUUCAUUCAGUUCAGUUACCUCCUUAGACUCGGACGCAACCCUUCGGUUCUCCUUCAAAUACAAAAUUCAAAUCAAUCUCUCCAGUAUUCAAGUUCCAAGGAAUUGAUCCAACCAUCUUCAUUACACCUCCAUUGACCGUUUUACUUCACUCAUAACACCCCAUAACUCCCAACUGCCUCAUAAUUCCCAAUUCAUACUAGAAACCCUAAUUUUUCCAAAUCCACUACCUGUAAUCAUCUCAAGCAUCCUCUGCAGUUCUUAACGCACUAGUAGUCAAUUUGACACGCAUCUGCACUACACUGCAUCUCAAAAAUCAACUGCAUUACAUCAUGGUGAGAGUUAGAGGCGGUUCAGCAAGUGCCAGACGCACAUUUAGACUCAGGGAUGAAGAUGUUGAGAUCGUAGAACCUUCCACCAGGGUAUCCAAAAAGAGGACAGGGACUCGUGGUGGAAAGGCAAAGCAACCUGCAAAGAAGAUACAGGAUGCUCCAACUGCUGAUCCAUCUCCUGUACAAGUGGAAGCACAUCAAACUGAGGAACAAAUUGCUGAGGAACAGCAAACACCUGAACCCUCUACCAGAAAAUCACCGAGGACAAGGUCUGAUGCUCAGACUACUGGGUCAUCUGCCAAACAAAGUACAAAAAGGAAACGCACUUCAAAGGAACCAGCGGCUCAGCCUGUCAAAGAACCUACAUCCCUGCCAAAGUUCAUUGAUGACGAGGCCAGAGAUAGAUUUGAGUUAAUCUCUCAAAAAGGAUUCAUUAUUCAGAGGUCUGUCAUCCCAUAUGAAUUUUGUAAGAUUGAUUUAAAACCUGUGCUUAAGCUUUUUGAGUCCCAAAAAUGGACUCACCUCCUGACUAUCCCACACACCUUCUACCCUGACAUGCUUUACCAGUUUUUUGCAAAUCUUAGGAAAGGAAACUCACACACCGAGCUUAUCUCUAGAGUCAAUUCUGUUGAUAUCACUUUAACUCCUGAUGUCAUUAACUCUGUUUUAAAAACUAAGAUUGAAGAUGGUUUCAGAGGAAAAAUUACAAAUUUCUUUUCAUAUGAAGAAUUCCCCUCUACUUACCAUCAUAUUCACAUCUCCAAAUUAAUGACUUACUUUCGCACUCACUUCAACACUCCUGCUGAGGCGAGAUUAGAGGAUCUCAAUCUUCAGAACUUGAUUAUCUUCACAAUUGUUUCCAAUUUGUUGGUAUCCACUGAUGGUCACAGAAUCGAUGCAAACAAAAUGAAAUUGUAUCUGUUUUACUAUUUUGUGGAAAAGAUCAGAAUCGAUUUUGGUUUUGUGAUGUGCAAAUUCCUGCUUAAGAUUAGUACCGACAGUCGUAGGAAGCUUUCCUAUGGAAAAUUCCUGACUCCCAUCUUUGCUCACAUUGAAAUUCCCUUCACUGGAAAGUCUCCUAGAGAUAGUGCCUCAACUGUUUUCUCAAAGGCCUAUUUUGAACGAAAAACUUUGAAGUUUUUUGAGGGUCACUGGUGUCACAAGGAACCUUUGACAGAGUUCAGAAGAAAGAGCCUUCACGAAACUCCAGUCACUCCUAGGACCUCUCGGGAUCAAUCCAUGUAUAUCUCUCCUUUCACCAUUCACCCUAGAAAAUCAGCCAACAAGUCCUUUGUAUACAACUUUGAGGUCAUCACGUUGCUUGAAGACCUCAAGCAACAUGUUAUGCUCAUUGAAGAUGGUCUAAUGUCGACCAUGACACCUGACCGGCAGGCUUCCUUCAUUGAGAAAUGAAAUCUUCUUGUGCCUCCCAUUCCUGUGAACAAUGAACAUGCUCAUCAAAAAGAGCCCAGAAUUGAGCCUACUGAGCACACUCCUGGUACUGAAGCUACUCCAGAAGCUCAUGCCUCCAGUUCUCAACCCAAGAAUAAAGGAAAAGCUCCCAUCUCUGAAGAGGCGACUGAAGUUGAUGCUGAAGAUACUGAAGAGGAAGAUCAUGUGGAUCCUGAGCAAUUUCGUCUGACUAGGAGAAGGCCUGGAUCAUCCAAGAUCACCAUAUAGGCACUACUAGGCCACUGCACUUCAUUAGUAGUUCUCAAUAAUUCUCUUUUGCAUAUUUUGCUUUUAAAAGACAUCUGGUGUGUUUGUUAAUUUUAAGGAGUUUACUCCUCUACUGGUCUGUAAAAAUAUUUAGCUAUCCGUUGUUGGAAGAUGUUUCUAUAUUUUGGUUGUGUCUCUCUUGUCAUAAAUGGAUGUUGUCUCUCUUGUCUUAAAUGGAUGUCUUAAAUCCGUUGUUAGCUAUCUCUCUUGUCUGUGUAUGUUAGUUCUUGUUGAUUGCUGUCAUUUGUUACUGCUCUGAUCUUAGUUCUGAUUGAUUUUGGUUCUGAUAUGGAUAUUGCUGUUAUGAUGACAAAAAGGGGGAGAAACAUGGAUGGAAUCAGGAUAUGAAUCUAAUCUAUAUGUGAGGGGGAGUCAAGUAAAUUUUUCUGUGGGGUAUGGAAAAUUUUCUGAGGGGGAGUCACUGAAGGGAUGUGGAUAUCAUUCUGAGGGGGAGUUGUAAAUACUCCAAGGCCUCUCUAAGAAAAGGGAAACUAUAUCAAAAUUCCCUCACUUCAUCCAUUGUUUUGUCAUCAUCAAAAAGGGGGAGAUUGUUUAUCUUUGUUCAUACCUUUUGAUGAUUACAAAACAAGUGGAUAAAACUAAUGUUUUCCAAGCUUGUUUUUGGUCAGAAAAUGGAGCAAGACAGGUUCAAAGGCCAAGCAUCUGCUAAAACAUCUGUCGGACGCACAAAUACAUCCUAUCGGCCAUCCGAUAACCGUUGAGUAUCUUCGGACGCGCAAAGAACCUAUCCUCGGACGUCCGAAGCUGAUAAGUCAGUACUUCUAAGAUCUCUAACCUCGAUCAGACGCACAAUACCUGAGCACCGGACGUCCGACAAUCGUUGCAACACUUCGGACGACAAGCAUUAGAAGCAUCGGACGUCCGAAAGAAUUAAUGAAGGAUUCCAAGUUUUACAUCAUAUGGUCGGACGCAUAUUCUGAUGCUGCCGGACGUCCUAAAGAUUUCAAGAAAAUUUCUUGAACCCACUACCUGCGUUCGGACGCACAAAACCAGCCUACCGGACGUCCGACACUACUAACGACUAGUUGACUCUUCAUCUGCCUUGUGUCCGUUAGUGGCAUUAAUUGAAGAUGUUUUUGGUCUAUUAUAAAUAGGAUAAAAGUCAACCACCAAAAGUAUUGAUACACAUUAAGUCUACAUCAGAUCUUGAGUGAUUCAAGCAUAAGAAUACUCCAAAAAGAAGAUUUGUACUCUUAGUUGUGUGAUCUUCAUUUAGCUUUUCAAGUAUGAAUCAAUUUCUUCAAUAAUGUAGCUUUGUGAGGGUUAUUCGAGUGAUUGUAAAACUUCCUUGCUUGAUCAAAUGUAUCUUGAGGCAAGGAGGAAGUGAUCCUUUCCGUGUACACAAGAGAUUGGUUGUAUGUUGAAUCAACUUGAAGGAGCUUACAAUAUAAAGAGAUAUUCAAACUCUAGUCGAGUUUGAGAUUUGGUUUGCUAUUCCAUCUUCUUAUUCACUGUUUUGCAACAUUAACUGUUUAUCUCUUCUGCUCUAAAUUACUUCCGCUUUAUCAUAAAUUGUUCCUUGGUCUAGUUCUUUAGAAAAAGAGGGCUAGUUCAGAAAAAAAGUGAUUUAUAUUUUGGUUAGCUUUUAAACCACCUAAUUCACCCCCCUUCUUAGGUUGUCUUCGAUCCUUACAAAAUGAUAGUUGUUUAUAUUCUUAUCACUCAAUGAUGAGAGUGGUCUAUAAUUUAAAUGAUUGAGAUAUAUAGCCAUCCAAAUAUAAAUUUAAUACGAGGGUAUGAUACCUAAAAGUGACUAUAGAAUCUCCCUAAAUGAUAAAUAAUGUGAAUUAGAUAUUCCCUCAAAAACUUGUAAAGUACUUAAUGUAUAUACGGGUAAAUUCUUGCAAUAGUGAAAGGAAAAUAUCGUACUAGCCUUGAAUUUUUGGCUAUGUAUUGACUUUUGUUAGCUAAAUUAAACUAUCCUGGAGUGAAGACAUAAAAUCUGCUACAAAUAUUGAAAGAAUUGUGAACAUAGCUAACUUAUCUAGCAUACAAAUUUUUUCUCGAGUUUGAGUUCUCUCACUUAUACUAUAAAAACAAAAAAACUAUCGUACAUUUAACUUCCAACUAACAACGAUGUAUAGAUAACAAAUUAUAUGCAUGGGAUAUUCCCAUAAAUAAAUGAAAUAUAUUUAAGUGAGAAAGAGUAAAUUCUUAAAUUAAGAAGAAAUAAUAUUAUAGUACCUGUCAAUUUGAUUAUAUGACUUUUUGGUUUGUCUUUACUCAUGAUAGCCAAUUAUAUAUGUUAUUUUGAUGUAAAAAUAUCCAAAAAUGGUUAAAUACAAUGAGGGACAUUAUUAUUAUUACUCGGAUUAAGCAUGUCAAUGGGUAGGGUCUGGUUUGGAUCCCUUUGAUCCAGAUCCAAACCCAUUUAAUUUAGUUAGAUUCAGACCUAAAUCUAUACCUUUUUUGGUUUAGAAAGGUAAGGCCAUACCUAGACCCUUAUGGAUCUGGAUAUCCAAUGGACAUCCAUGAAUAUUUUUGAACAUACUAAAGUAAAAAUGUAUUUAAAAUAUAUAGAGUUCAUAAAUAAUAUAAAUACUAUUCAAUUUUUGUUUUCAAAUAAAACAUUAACAUUUGACAAGUUGAAUGCAAUAUUGUGAACUCAAAGAAAGAAUUAUUAUUGACUAUUUUUAUAUAUUUUCAAAGAUUCAACUGCAUCCAUACCUAAUAUUUUAUUUGUUUGCCUUUACUUUUUCUCCUUUUCUUGAAAAGUUUGAACAAAUUACAAUGACAACCAGGAUUAGUUUUUAAAAAAAGAAAACAACCAUAACAUAUAUAAAUAUUUAAUCUCAUUAAAAAAAUGUAAUUUUGUACCUCUUAUUCUUAUUUAAACUUCAAUAUUGGUAUAUGUCUCGCAAUCCAGCACUAAAAUAGUGAAUGAGAUAAAAAUCAUUUGACUAAGGACCUAACAAAUAAAUAUUAGAAUAAGAAGAUUUACAAAUACUUAUUAAUUUUUUGGGUAAAAUACCAAAAAACUCCUUGUGGUUUACUAAAUGUUUAAUUUAACUCUCUUUGGUUUGGAAACCUACACUAUAACUCCCAGUGAUUUUAACUAAUUUGAAAAUUGGACGGAAAACAUCCAAUCUAAUGGUUAUACGUGAAAUGUCAAUAUUGCCCCUAUAUAAAUGAACUCCCUAUGGUUUGUCAAAUGGUCAAUUUAACACCCUCUAGUUUGAAAAAUUACACUAUAACUCCCUGUGGUUUCGACUAAAUUGAAAAUUGAAUGGAAGCAUCUUACAUAUAGUAAGGACAAUAUUGAAAUUUCACACACAACCGUUAGAUUGGAUGCUUUCUGUCCAAUUUUCAAUUUAGUCAACAUCACAGGGAGUUAUAGUGUAGGUUUCCAAACUAGAGGGAGUUAGAUUGAAUUUUUAUCAAAUCACAAGGAGUUUUUUGGUAUUUUACCCUAAUUUUCUUUGAUUCAAUUCAAUCAUCACUAGUCACUAAUGUUUCAACCAUGUCUAGAAGCAGUUUGACAUGAGUCUCUUCAAUCACCAAACCAUCAAUACUAAAUGUAGAUUCUAAUACCAUAAUAUCUUACUAUAUUCGAUCCAAUAACCAUAAAAUAUUAGAUUAUUUUAUAAAUUUACUAAUAUAUAUAUUAUUUAAUUAAAUAUAUAUAUGGAUUUGGGUAAAGUUUGGUAUGAGUUUGGAUUUGGAUAUGGAUUCUAUAAAACUAGACCUUACCUAGACCCACGACUCUUUCACAGGGUCUGGGUCUGGGUAUGAGUAGGGUCUAGAUUUGAGAAAUUAAAUCCAAACCCUACCCAAAUAUAGUGGGUCUGGGUUGGAUCUGGAUAAGAUUCGACCCAUUGACAUGCCUAACUCCAGAUACCUCAAUAUUUAUAAAAUUUGUUAAAUUGGAAUCCAUUUGGAUUUGACAGUAUUUUGAAAAAUUAUUUUUGUUUUUUAGGUUUACAGUAAUAAAUUUUACAAACAACCUUAAAAACAAUUCAAAAAAUGCAACAUAUUUCAAAUACAUUAAAAAAUAAUUAAAAAAUUCCCUCAUUCUUCUUCCCCACACUACCCACUACAACCACCACCACCACCACCCAUUACUCUCCACUACCACAGCCAUCCCCACACCCAGGACCCUCCUUCCUCUCUCCCCUCUCCUCUCUCUCUCUCUCUCUCUCUCUCUUUCUCUCUCUCUCCCCCUACUAAUUCUCCUUCUCUUUUCUUCUUCCUCCUCUCCCUUGUCCUUCCUCCCUUCUCCCUUUCCUUUCCCCCCCCCCAAUCCCAUCUCCCGUCUACUGACCGCAACCUUCCCGGUCGUGACUAGAAAGGUCGCUAGAAGCUGCGACUGGUGGCUUCCGGCCACAACCAAGAAGGUUGUGGCUGGAGUCUCAGAUGGAGUCGCAACCACCAGGGGAGACUCAGGUGGAGUCUCAGGGGAGAGGGGUUUGGGGGCGGGAGAGGAGAAGGAAAGGAGGGAGUAGAAGAGGAAAGAGGAGCGAGAAGGAAGAGGAAGGGGAGGAAAGAGAGGGAGGGAAAAAGAGAGAUAGAGGGGAGGAGUAGGAAGGGAGUGGCGGCAGCGGGUGGUGGUGAUAGGUGAUGUAAAAUUUUUAAAAAAUACCCCAUAAAGUUGUUGCAAAAUAUAUUUUAAAAAUAUUCCAAAAUAUAUUUUGAAAAGCCCUGAAAAUACUUUUAAAAACACCUCAAAAAACAUCUAUAGUAAAAGUUUUUUUUAUAUAUAGUUGCAGUAAACUUUUUGAAAGACACCCCCAGAAACAGCUAGUCCAAACAGAGUCUUGAGUUUUGAGAUUAAGGUGCAAUGAUUGACUACUUUUAGGUCAAAACAAAGCUUGGCCGAAAGUUUAGUGGGUUAAAAUAUAAUUUUAAAAAUUAAUCAUUUUCCCUAAUCCUCACAGCUGCAAUGGGGACACUGGUCGCCCAUCUUCAACCACCACCAACACUGCUUUUCAAGAUCAAUUCUUGUCCAACACUCAUUUUAUUCGCUUGAGUCAUGAUUAUGGCAUCAUUUUUCAUCAAUUUAAACCCUUUGACGAUACAAAAACAAGGUCACAAUUGAAAUUUUGAUUUGAAAAUUUGAAACUUUCGGGAUUGCCUCCUGCUAUGGGCUUGUCUCAGACUCGGGCAUAUGCCCAAACAAAUUCAUCAACCAACUCUCACUCUGCCAAGGCACUCAAUCAACCCCUUUAAAACAAUUUUGAAGACACUCAAUACUAGGGUUGGACAAAAAUACCCGUUUACUCAAAAAUCCAUCAUAUUCGAUUCGAUUCGAUUCGAUUCAACAAAUAGGGUAUCCGAUGUGCAUUAUUUGAUUAGGUCAAAAGAGGGUUAGGUAAUUACUUAUAUGCGAUGUAAGGUAGGGUUACAUGAUUAAGAAUCCGUGGGUAUCCAACGCGUCACACAAAUAUAUAUUUUAUUUUUUAUUUUUAUACACAUAUUACAAAAUAAUACUUUUGGAGCUAAAUAAGUAAUUUUAUUGAAGAAGCUAUAUUAUAAAUAUGAAAAUUAUAGUUUGUUUAUAAGAUUCAUUUAUAGAGGUCGUGAUCUUUUUUUCUUUUAGGAAAGAGUUUAAUUAAUGUAGAAUAUAUACUUUUAAAAAGGUACUAUUUAGUUGAAAUUUUCAUUGAUUUUGAAUUAUUUUAAUUAUUUUCUUUUUCUUGUAUUCUCUUCGCAUAUUUGUUUUUUGGUAGGAGACUUUUUUUGAGAAAAAAAUCUUUAUUAAGUCUUAGAUAAAUAUUCAAAAUACAAAAUUAAAUUACUAUAAAUUAUCUUUUUUUAAAACUAAAUGAUAACCAAGGCGACGCAGGUACCUGUUAAGCCGACCCUACCUUAACAAAUAUCCGUUCGUAUGCGGAAUGGGUAAGGGUCAAAAAACAACUGACCUGCAAGGUGCAGGUCUAGUCAGCCAAAUAAUGCAUAGAACAUGUACUACUCAACCCAUACUCACCCCUACCCAAAACAAAUCUUAAUAAUCAUAAAAUAGCAACCAGAACAUGCAAAAUCCAAUUUUCAAAUUUCUCCUCAAGAUUUAGCAUCAAAUUUUACAAAAAUUACACAAAAAAAUCCAAUCAACAAAUAAAUACUCAAGCACUGAAUUGGCAUUAUACUGUAUUUGUGCAGCACCGAAUUGACAUUAUCUGACUUGUAUGUAUGGCGAAAGAGAGGAACUAUGGAGAGGAGGGGGAGGAGGGAGAAGGAUGUUGAGAGUAAGGGAGGAGAUGAAUCAGAAAAUUUAGAUAUUUUUUCUUUUUAUUUUUCUAUAUUUUCUUUUAACCGUAUUUGUAGGUAACUUGCAUCAAAACGGCCUUAUUCUCUCAGUACUUUUUUUGCCUUUUUAUAAAACACAGGUGCAUUAACGCACAACAGAAGCACCCUAUCAAUCUAAGAUCCCAGCCUGCUUGUAGCUUUCGACAGAGUCAACAAGGGUUUCUUCCACAGGUCUAUAUGUCCAGCCUAGCCUCUCCAAUUUUUCUGAGCUAAUAUUCCAUCGGCUUUGAUCCUUCACCUCUAUAAGUCUGCGAAGAAAUGAGCUAUUUCAAGAAAAUAUGCAGACAACAUAAAUGGUUCUUGUAGAGACUCGUAGAUGCCACACUUUUGGAAAUGGAAAUCAUGACGGACAUGAACAAACAAGAAAAUCAGGACAAACGGGGUGUCUGAAAAAUGAGACAAUUAAUUUCAAAGAUGGUAAUCCACCUCUUAGGGUACUUGUAGUUGGCAUAGUUUUUCCUCAGAGUUUCCACCAUAUGUUUUGUCGUGGUGAGGUGAGGUGAACAUAUGUACCGGCCUUCAGCUUCAGGUCUCCCGUAAACCAAAAGCAGUGCCUCGGCCACAUCACGCACAUCUACUGUGUUGUAGAAUUUGUUUUCUGUUUCCUCACAUCCUUCUGUGCAGCCAAGGAGUAAAAAGAAGAGCAGUUUAAUCUCAAAAAAUGAUGUUAUCUAAGCUAAUCUCUGAGUUCUUUACUGCAUAUAUGAAACAUACAAUCCCUUUGACAAAUCGUACCGCAAUAAAUUCAUGCGACUUUUGAACUGCAAAGGACCUACAGGUCACAAUGUUAACCUUUUAUAUCUUCAACUACGUCCCAAAGCAAUCAAGCAAACAGUUGAAAGAUGCAACCUCUUCAGAUGUUAUGCCUAUUGUCUGUCUCACCUUCCAUUAGGUUCUUAAGUUUUUUUUUUUUUAGAUCACUUUGCAAGUUUUCAGAUCAUUGCCAAAAUCAUAAAACUAUUAGAAUGGCAGAUAGCUUACAGGUUUAGAAUCUGAAAACCUUUCAGCUGGCUUGAAGAUUAAAAAAAAUGCCAAAAAGACGGCAAAGCAGUUAUCUGAUCAAUGAAUAUGGUUUCAUUCCUAGAAGUUCAACCGCAACCAUGUUGACGAAUUUUGUGAAAUUUUAUUGACAUCAAUUCAUUGUGUACCAUGAAAAUAACACUGGAAGCCAGAAGCAUAAAAAUGAUGGGUUACUUGGAAAAUUAGUUGAUCAACCGCAUGAAGAAAUUCAAUUGCUUGACCUUUGACGGACCAAAAGAAAAAAUGCUAAGCUUUAGAGUUCAUCAGAGUUCUACAGUGACAUCCAUGCUCACUUAGGCACAAACCAAUAUCAAGGAAAAAACUGUAUCACUUACGAGUUACGACCACUUCCAUGCAGAAGGUGAAAGAAAGAAAGAAAAUAUAUAACAUAACGGAAUAGUUCUCUAAUUGAUUACGGGCAUUAGUAAAUCACCUUUCAAGAGCUUUAUAAGAAUUAGGCUGCUAGCAUUUGCGUCAUGCUGAAGCAUGGGGCCAAAAACAUAGGAUGGGCAUACAGUUAAAACAUCAAGGCCAGUUUCUUUUGCAUAUUGUAAAGCCUCUCUUUCAGCAACCGUCUUGGAGUAACAAUACCAGAUCUGGAGCAAUAUUAGUACAGGAUGGUCAACCAAAAACUGAUAGUAAUUGCUAAAAUCUGAUUUCUCAGCAAUCUUAGAAGCAGUAUGAAUAAGACAGUGAUUUUUCUGCACAAUUACAAAACCAAGGUGCAACAGUAAAAAGUGUAAUUAUGUUGAUGCAUACAUUUGUUGCCUUGCAGUAUUCUCCGUCUGACCAACACUUCUCAUCUAUAAUUUCACCUUCAGGCAGAUUAGGACUCAUUACAACAGCAGCAAGAGAGGAAACCGCUACAACGCGCUUGACAUUUGCUUCAGAACAAGCCUUCAGUACAUUAAGGGUACCCUUUACAGCUGGCUCAACAAGUUCAACCUGCAAGAAAUCAUCAUGUUGGCAGAGGAACUAGCACUCAACUCUUCAUGCUGAACUGCUUGUUUUUGCGUAAAAUAUAUCCAGAUAGACGACUGAGUAGUGUCAGUUAACCUGACAUCUUUAGAGUGAAUGAGUACAUAGUUAAGAACUCAUGACUGCUUAUGCCAGCGAUGAACUUGGUUACCAGCAUAGGUUAUUAUUAUAUGCAUUUAUUCACUCAUUUCAACAUUUGAAAAAUCCUUCCACAAAUAGAUAGAAAGGCAAAGAGCCCCAGUGACUACAUAAGUUCGUACAAAAGCUUAACAAGAUCCUAUUUUAAACGAUACCCAACUUUAGCUCAUGUUUGGCAAAACGCAAUAAAAUAUCAUCUGUUAUGACAAAAGCUGUCUCUCAUAAACAAAAGAUAUGUUAAAGAUGUUAUUCUGGGGAAACCAAAAGGAUAAAAUAUCAUAGCAAUUGAAACGAUUGAAAAUGGUCUUGCCUCAGGAUUGGGAACAGAGCCUGAAGGAACAGGACUAGCUACAUGAAAUACGCCAUCACAACCCCUGAUGGCUGCAGAAAUGGAGUUGUAAUCCAGCAAAUCAGCCUUAAAGAGUUUCAAAUUCUCAGCUGCUUUGUCAAGUUUCUUCAGAUGAACAUAUUUCUCAUCCUCUACAAAACAUACACAGCAAUGCCCACAUCAUCAAAUAGCGCAGCACACAAUUCACAGCAGGUGCUUUUAUAUAUUUCUUCAAUUAAACAUAUUUCUCACCCUUCACAAAACAUUUACAGCAAUUCCCACUACAUCAAAUAGGAAACAGCCAAUUGACAGCAGGUAAAAAAUCAAUUGUUGUAUUAAAGGGAAUGAAACAAAUUAUACAAGACCCAAAACCCAAAAAAAAAAAAAGAGCAGUAAAUCAGGAAGGAAGGGGUAUGAGGAUGAAAUACGUACCGGGGUUUCUGAGGGUGGCAUGAACAGUAUAGUGGCGGGAAAGGAGUAGCUUGACUAACCAAGAUGCCAGGUAUCCCCCUGCUCCUGUAACACACACUGUCCUGUCCUUCUCAGCCUCCCACGCUGCCAUGUCUGAUUGCUUACUAGUAGCAGUAGUGGGAUUAGUAUUUUAGCACCAAAUUCACUAUAGACUGAUCAAGAAGGUGGGUGAAGUUCUAUUCUUUUCUUUUUGUGAAUAUUAAUUCUUUUUUGGUUGGACAAGGCAGAGAUUUCGUCGAUCCUUAAGGAGAGGGCGAUUGGAGGAGGAAGAGGAGGAGGGGGAGGAGGUGGUGGUGGAAUUUGAAUGGAUAAGUCCUGUAUGUAGGAGCUAGCUGAUUCCAGCAGUCUCUGUCAAUACUAGUAGUGAUCAGCAGCUAGCAGGCGUGGGGGCUUGUAUAUAGCAGCAGACCAAAGGUGCUGUUGUGAUUUGCAUGGCUCAUAGAUGACGUAGGGUUUCAAGGUUUCAGUGGGGUGUGGGGUGGUGGGGGGGGGGGAACGGUAAUAAUGGUAAAUGUAUGUCAAAUGAAAUUUGAGUGUAUUAUUGAGAGAUUUCUAGCAAUCUGUUAACAAAAUUUAUUUUAUCUAAAAAAGGAGUAAAAGAGCGUAAUAUUAUUAAGUUAUAAUAAAAUUUGAUGCAUAUAUCAAUAAAAUUAGAUAUUCUGUGCAUUUGAAUACAACAGUAUACUAUGAUUGUACCAUUGUCAGAUGUUUAACAAAUUUAUUAAUGGAUAUUAAAGUGUUAGAUUUUAUCUCAUAUUUUCCCAAUUUAUGACUCAGAUUUUAAAUUGAUUAACUCAUUAGAGAAUAAAAAACUCAUCCCGUUGCUAAACUGGACAAGUAACAAAUACUCAUGUCCAUAAUGGGGUUUUGCUUCUUAUUGAAAUUCUAUAAUGUGAACCAAACCCUAAAUCCCUCCAUCCUGAAAUAUAAACUAAACUACUCAAUAUUCAAAGCAAAUUCCGCUCAGUAAAAGUUUGUUCGAAUUUGAUUUGCAAACUAAUUUAAUCAAGUUACAAUAAAAUUUUAUGUUUAAAAAAAUUUUAACUGCAGCUCGAGCAUAGCUCGAUAAUCAUAAAAUUGGAUUUUAUAGAUAAAAAUUACUCGAAUUCGACUCAAUAAAAAUUCUUUUGAACUUGCCUCAGUAAAUAAACGAGUCAAUCCUAAAUACUAUCUCAAAAUUCUUUAAAAUAAAUAAACAAGAUACUUGGUUUGAUUAGACACAUUCACAGCCCUAUUUUUCAUAUGCUCGAUAAUAACAUAUUUCUGCACUGGACCAGAUCAGGAAUAGGUAUCUAACUCGUUGAGUUUUGGGACAUGUUUAUCAUUUUUUAAAAUCUUUUUUUUAUUUCUUGUUUUUUAGGAAAAAAACUAAAGGAUGUGUUUGGAUUAGAGACCAAUGAACUUUUUUCCCCCCCGUGCCUAAUUGCAGAUUAAAAGGAAGAACUAGUUCUUAGAUAACGUUUCUAAGUACAACUCUAUUACUCAGAAAACUGGUCUACCUGACUGUGGGUUUUCCUUUAGUCAUGCCAUUUUGUCAUUAGUGAUGAUUGCUUCUUCUAAACCUUAGCUCACUGCACACGCCAAGCGUAUGAAAGCCAAACUUAAAUUGAACUCGUCAAGUUGCAAAAUAAGAAAAUUUGGGUUACGUUUGGUAUGAGUAGUAAGGGAAAAUUUAAUUCCUAUAUUUAUGAUUCUUGACUAAUGUGAUUGUAGAAUUGUUGACUGAAAAUAAAAGGAAACUGACAAAGAAAUGUCAUGUGAUUGCAUGUGCAUGGUUAAAACAAUACAAAUUAUAACCAAUUUGAUCCCUUGUUUUUAAGGUUUUGAUCGUUUUGGUUCCUUAGUAUCAUGACAAGCCAAUUUUGCCUCUUAACUUUAAAAAUAUGGUUAGGGAGGUCCUUUUGAUAGAAAUUUGAGUCGCUAAUGAAGUGAAGAGACCCUUUAAUGCCUUUCGUGUCACAUCCGUCUCAACAGUAUAUUAAAGUUUCAAAAAAUCUCAAAUAAGUCAUAAAACUCAUAAAAAUAAACCCAAAACUCUUUAUCGUGAAGAAAAUAAAUUUUUGUAACUUUAAAAUAAAUCAAACACAAAACUUUAAACAUAAUUAUGGAUUUUGUGCCAUUUCCGAGUUGAAAUAUCAUGAAAAAGAGUACCUAAAGGUGAAAGAAAAAAUGCAUAAAUUUAUGUUUGACAUAGUAUAAAAAACUUUUAUUUCAUUAUAUUGAAGAGUUAUGGGUGAGUUUAUAGUUUUAGGCUUUUGUUUGAAUGCUUGGUGUUUUCUGCAAGAUGGUACGAAGUACCCUCUAAGGUCUCUUAACUCCGUUAACAACUCUAAAUUAGCCUUGACCAAAUUCUUAAAAUUUAAGAAAAAUUGGUUCGCCAUAAUACAAAGGGACUAUAUUGUUUGGAGAUAAGAUACCAAAUUAAUUAAUUUUUAUUCUUUGCGUAAUUCAAGUGAUUUCUCCGUUAGCUUCCCACAAUUUUGCUGCAUUAGUCUCUUUUGAUGGAGAUAGAGCACUAAAUUUGUUGAUAUGACAGACCAUAUUGGCUGAGACUUCAAAGAUAGAUGACCAAAGCAACAACAUUUCCUAAGUAGUUCAUGAAUCAAUUUCAUUGUAUAGUUAGAUAUGAUAGAGAAGAUGUGUCUUUUUUAAAAAUGAAAGGAAAUAAUAUUAAGUUAUAGAUGAUUUCUUGAAUAAAAGGGCAAUAAUAUUAUUGUACUCACUUUUUUCAUUAUUUUUAACUUAGACUAGUUUUCAUGAGGGGUAAAAUAUACAUAUUUAAUGUUAAUGGGAGCAAAGUGUGAUUAUCCACUAAGUUUAGGGGACGCAAAAUGUUAUUAACCCUUUUUAUAACUCACAAUUGUAUUAGAACUUAACUUACGCUGUAACCGUUAGGAUUUUCUUAUAAUCAUUCGACAACUCAGUAACCAUCCUAUUGUAUAAUAACUAUCCUACACCUCAUCAAAGCCUGGGUUUCUUAAACCGACAAAACUAGACAACAAGCCGAGGCCAUUCCGUUUCUUAAAUUUUUGGGCAUCUAAGCCUGGGUUUUUGGAUGUGGUCCGAUGCAACUGGAACGUGGCUUUCUCGGGGCCUCCGUUAAUGGUCCUUGCUGCUAAGCUUCGAAGUGUCAAGAUGGCGUUACGUGCCUGGUCUCGGGAGGUUUUCGGAGAUAUCUUUGGCUCGGUACGGGUGGCAGAGGACAUGGCCCUCAACGCUGAGUUGAGCUAUGACACUGAUCCAUCGGAAGACAAGCUUGUAGCAUUACAGAAGGCUCGGGCUCAUCUUCGGCGGUCGCAAGGGGUGGAGCAUAUGUUUUGGCAACAAAAAUCAAGGGUCAAAUGGUUGAAGGAUGGAGAUCGAAAUUCGAGAUAUUUCCAUGCAGUGGUGGCAGAGCGCCACCAACGGUCGGUAAUCCAUCGGAUUAAAUCAUCCACUGGGGAUUGGCUGGAGUCUGCGGAUGCCAUUGAGAGUGAAGCCGAAUCCUUUUUUAAACGGUUAUUUACGGCAGAGUCCCCUAGUGCAUCCUUUAAUGCUCUUGACGUUAUACCGAAAUUGCUGACGGACCAGGAUAAUGACAUGCUAGACGAGAUCCCUUCUAAGGAAGAAGUUAAGUCAGUGAUUUUUGCAAUGGAUGGUGGGAGUGCGGCUGGGCCGGAUGGGUUCUCGGGUAGGUUUUUUACGUGUGCAUGGGACAUUGUGGCAGAGGAUGUCCAUGCGGCUGUGGUAAGUUUCUUCUGUGGAGAGGUGCUGCCUAGGAGUAUAUCUUCCACUUCAAUAGUGCUGGUUCCGAAGGUCCAGUCUCCGCAGGAUUUUACCCAAUUCCGUCCGAUUAGCUUGUGUAACUUUAUCAAUAAGGUGAUAUCCAAGGUCUUGUCGGACAGAUUAGCAUGGAUCUUGCCGAAGAUUAUUUCCCCUCAGCAGAGUGGCUUUGUGAAAGGUAGGCAUAUCUCUGAUAAUUUUCUGUUGGCUCAGGAGCUUAUAUCUGGUAUUCGUCGCUCUAAUAGGGGAGGGAAUGUGGUGUUAAAGUUGGACAUGGCCAAGGCUUACGACCGCAUUUCAUGGGUUUUCUUGUUACAAGUACUGCGUCGAUUUGGUUUCACGGAGAGGUGGAUUGAUAUGAUUUGGCGAUUAAUCUCCAAUGUUUGGUUUUCGGUUCUGGUCAACGGCUCUCCUUGUGGCUUUUUCCAAUCUACUAGGGGGCUCCGACAAGGUGACCCCAUUUCACCGGCUCUUUUUGUUAUUGGGGCAGAGGUCCUGUCUAGGUUGCUUAACUCUUUGGUUGGCCAGCGUGGAUUCCUGCCGUUUAAGAUUCCUUCCACAUGUCCUGUCAUUACACAUCUAGCUUUUGCAGAUGACGUAAUUAUUUUUUGUAGCGGGGUUAAGAGUACUUUGCGGCAUGUUAUGAGGGUUUUGGGGUUGUAUUGUAGUACGUCUGGGCAGCAGGUAAAUUGUCUGAAGAGUUGCUUUGUUACUCAUGAUAAGUUGAGCCCUGCUCGUCGACGAGUGGUGUCACAAGUUUCUGGUUUUCAGGCCAAGUCCCUCCCACUUAAGUAUCUUGGAUGCACUCUCUAUUUCGGAAGACGGAGAUGUAGCUACUUCUUGGACAUCUGCUCCUCAGUUGCAAAGCGGGUUCUAUCGUGGAAGGAAAAGUUAUUGUCGCCUGGUGGGCGUUUGGUUUUAAUCAGGAGUGUUUUGUCGUCGUUGCCUCUGCACAUCCUUGCUGUCACGGAUCCUCCAAAGGGUGUGCUUCAUACCCUCGAGAAGGUUUUUGCAAAUUUCCUUUGGGGAAGGUCUGAGGGGGGUUAUCGCUACCAUUGGAUUAGAUGGGAGACUAUGUGCAAACCGCUUGAUGAAGGGGGGAUUGGUGUUCGGUCCCUGGCGGAUGUGUUGGAGACAUUUUCAGUGAAGCUAUGGUGGUCCUUCAGGCAAUGUUUAUCCCUCUGGGCGAAAUUUAUGCACGAUAAAUACCUCCAAGGCGGUCAUGUGUGUGAAGCGGAACUUCAGCGCUUUCAAUCUCCCACCUGGAGGAGGCUAGUCAGGUGCCAGGCUCUGGCAGAUUCCCAUAUCCGGUGGGUGUUGCAGAAUGGAAUGGUCGACUUUUGGCAUGAGAAUUGGAUGGGUGAAGGGUCGUUGUGUCAACAGGUUGAGAAUUUUGGUGAUCACGCCGUAGCGGACUUCGUGUUGAAUGGGAGCUGGAACGUUUCGAUGCUUCAUCAAUGGCUACCUGAUAGCAUUGUUUCUACGAUUAUGCAAAUACGCCCUCCUGAUAUUUUUUCUACAACCCCAGAUAGGAUGGUGUGGGACUUGGAGACAACUGGUUCCUUCUCCUUCUCAUCUGCAUAUAAUUUGGUCCGACAGGAAUCCAACAUUUCCAUCUUCUCCUCUAAUAUUUGGUUGUCAGCUUUGCCUGUAAAAAUCUCUUUUUUUAUGAUUAGGAUGUUAUCGGGCCGCCUGCCUGUGAUGGAAUCGCUGCAGAGGCGGGGUGUCUGCGGUCCAUCUCGGUGUUCUUGCUGUGUCAACCCAGCGGUGGAGUCAGUUGAUCAUGUCUUGUGUGUUGGAGAUGUCCCACGGUGGGUAUGGAAUUCUUUUCAGGUAGAGGCAGGAGACUUUGCACAUGUCUCAACGGUAAAACAUGCAGUCAUUCAAUGGUGGAUGCGCCCGGCUAAGAACAAGUUGAUGAAAUUGUUGUAUCAGAUAUUGCCUUCGCUUAUUUGUUGGCAUCUCUGGAAGGCUAGAAAUGUGGCGGUGUGGGAAGGAAAGGUGUUGUCAGCGAUACAGGUACAUGGCUUUAUUCUUUCGGAUCUCUGUGAUAUUCUUCAGAUGCACUUUAAGGAUAUGGGGGUGGGACGUUAUUCGUGGCAUCGACUACACAUUUCGCUGAUGGGGUGGAAGAAGGAAAUGAGGGUCACUUUAGUCAGGUGGCUGCCUCCGGCUUCUACCCUCCUAAAACUGAACACUGAUGGGUGCUCCUUAGGGAAUCCGGGGAGGAGUGGAGGUGGUGGGAUUUUGCGAGAUAGUGCAGGUUUUUUCAGACUUGGUUUUGCGGGUUAUUGGGGAGAGACGACGAGCCUACAUUCAGAAUUGAAGGCCUUGUUAUUUGGGGUUAAGUUGUGUGUCACGCAAGGCUUUUGUUGCUUGCACCUGGAGUCUGAUUCCAUUCUUUUAGUCCAAAUGGUCACAGGGGUUGGUAGAUGCCCAUGGGCCUUGCAACGAGAGCUGGACAAGUUGCUUGCCUUUCGGAAUGCUUUUCAAGCUGUCUCCCACUGUUAUCGCCAAGCGAAUGUGCCAGCAGAUCGGCUUUCUAAGAUUGGGACAGAUACCCGCUCUACUGUUAUCUAUAACUCGUUUGCGCAAUUGCCGCGUUUGGUUCGAGGAGACCUUAGGUUGGAUAGGCUUGGCUAUCCUAACUUCCGUGCUUCUUGAGCGCCGGCGUGCUUGUGUUUAGUGAUGUUUCCAUGUACUCGUUCAGCAAAAUGGGGGGAAAAGGGGAGGAUAGGUCAAGUCUUUUGUUCAUGGCCAUGCUGCAAAUCUUGUAACUUUUAUGAUUCUGUUUGAAUAAUAACGAUGAGGGCUGUCCUCUUUAAUAAAAAAAAAAAAAAAAAAGAUGAAGAAAAUUUCUUUCUGGCAUCUUAAUGCCUUAUAUCCAGUAUUGAGGGAAAAAAAUUAGUCGCAUUACAGUCUGAGAAUUUGAAUCCAGCAAUUUCAUGGUCUGACGUAGUCACCCAAGUAGGUUCUCCUUAAAACAGGGUCUUGAGGCAAAAUACACAUCAAAUAGGUCAUCUGUCGAUCUUUGAUUAUGUCUACACGUUCAAAAGAUAGGCUUAAUCAUAUUAGUGGAAAUAACUCAUAGUUCAUCAUAUAUUAAUUUGCUAUUCAAUUUAGUUUGAAUACAUGAUCAAUGUUAUCAUAUGCCAAAAAAGAUUGAGGAUACUUUUGACCUAGUUCUUUGCACUAACUUGAAAUCUACCAAUUGUUCUUUCUUUGAUGCACUUGCAAAAUCUCCUGCAAAAGUAAAAUAACUCAGUUGGUGAAUUUUGGCUAACUGAGAGGCCCUAUCUUCUUUUUACUUCUUUAGCACAAGCGAAGAAUGAAUUUAUGCAUAAUAACCGUGUGAUUCUAAUGAGAUAUGAUUUUUUUGGUUUUGCAUGCUGGUUAAACAAUUGUUCAAGCUCUUAUCUCGGUUUUUGAUACUUCACCAGUAUGUUGCUGCUUCAUUAGAAGAAUUUUCUAUUUUAUGACUGGCAAGUGAUUUGGUAUCUUAGCAGUUCAUCGAUUUUGGUGCUUUGUUUACAAUUUAAUUGGCUUCAAUGGUCCAUACAUAUAGGAACUUGGAAUUUACCCUUUUAUUUCCUUUUGCAUGAGCAAAGAUUAGUAAUUUUUAAUCAUAAUUUUCGAUUCCUCUAUUCUGGCCAUAGUGAAGAAAUCUACCUUUUUGUACUUGUGUAUAUGCACACCAAACAUCAUUGGGCUGUCUACUUUUGACAUUAUUCUUGAAUUACUCAGUUUAGAAUGUGUAUUAGCUGCUGGAAGCAAAUGCAUCAUCGUUGGCAAUUACUAAACAGAAAAUAUGCAUGCCAUUACUAUUUUCACUGAAAUUAGCAUCUAACUUAUAGUGAUCUAAUUAAAGGUUAACCACAUUGGUUUUGACUAGAACUAAGAGAUCACUAGCCCUCUUAUUUUUGGAUUUGCAUUAAUCCAGUAUCAUCAAACUUCUUCAAAUGGGCUCUUUAGCUACUAACCCCUUCAAAAAUAAUUUAGGCUUACGGUUCUGUUGAUGUCGCAAUUGCAGGAGGUUCAGAAGAUAACGAAAGGCUCAUCUAAGAUUUCUUAAGGUGUUUGGCUUAUAUCGCUAGAUUUACCUAAUCUAUUUUCAUCCUUCUCCGAUGUCAUUAUUGUUAAAGUUCAAUUCAUAAGUUGGUUGUGUUAGAAAAUUGGCUUAAUUUCUUUUUAGAUAGGUUUUUGUUUUGUGCGAAAGUAACUAGUUUUCUAAUUGGUUUUAGUUACUCGAAAUAGUAGCCAAGAAAUUUCUUAUUUUGUUUAGAAUUAGAAGUUAUUUCUUAUUUUGUACAAGUCUAGGAAUUAAAAUUAAUUUCCUGUUGUUAUUUGGAUUUUUUGACCAAAUAAUGUUUUUAUAAAUAUGUGGGUUGGCAUGCUAUAAAAGAAACACAUAAGGGCACACAAGGACGACAUGUAACCUUAUACAUAGGUGGUGAGAGAGAGUUCUUGGGAGAUGAGAGAUGGUAUACAAAGGUUGGACUUGAGUUCGAGUUGUAUUCUUGUAUAAGGUUUUUCUCUCAUAACAAAGAACAAGUUUCUCUCCGUGGACGUAGGUUCAAUGGAGUCAAACUACGUUAAAUAUUGUGUGUUGUUUAUCUUUCAUACUUGUGGCUUGUUUCUCAUUAAAUUAUUAUGUACUUGAUAUCUUAAUAGUUAUUUAUUCUGCAUUUAGUUCCUAACAAAUAGUAUCAGAACUUGGUUGCGAGAUUGGGCUGCUCACAAGCACUUGGAUCCCAACAAACUGAACAGUUGGAUCAAGAGUUUGGUUGUUCAAGGUUGGAUCCUAGUUAACUAUUGAUAUCAAGUAGGUUGGUGACUGUUACCAAUUGAACAAUUUAAUGGGCGGUAUCCUUAUUUCAAGAGUUUGGCAAAAAGCAUUGAUGGUGAAUGAUGAAAAGUCGAAAAGCAUAGAGAUACUUGACGGUGAAUCUAGGCAGGUGAUUCAAGAGUCAAGGAAAAGGUGGAAUCCAAUGUCGAUUUUGGACGUGAAUUGGUGGAGAUUUUCUCACAACUUCAAUGGUUGAUACUUCAUCCCGAUGGUUUUUAGAUUUCACUUAUGUUUUUUGAGUGGUACAGAACGUGUCCCAAAAAAACAAAGAGAUUUAAUUUCUAUGCGCCUGAAGACUCUGACAGUUACGAGUCUUUUGUUACAGGUGGAUUUUUGGAAACCACACGUGGCGAGAUAGUCCUGAGAAAGGGAAGAAGUACGAUGAUUUUACCACUUGGUUGCCUCAAUGAUUAAGGUUAGAGUUCACAGAAGGAGAUUUUGGGUUGCAAGUGGUGGUGAGAAAAAAUCCUGUAAAGGGAAAUGGUGAAUUGAGGCAUCUUCUCACAAAUCAACUAGAGGUUGUACUGGGUGUAAAUACACAUAUUCAUUUGGCGAUUAAAUUAAUUUGGUAUCAGAAUUGUAUUGAUUCGAGUGUGUAGUUCGGUACCAUAUUAUUUGGUAGUUGAAGGUAAAUAAUUGUUAAAAGAAAUUUUCGCCGAGAUGGAGAUUUGUUAGGAAAUUGACUUAAUUUCUUUUCAGACAGGUUUUUGUUUUGUGUGGAAGUAACUAGUUUCCUAAUUGGUUUUAGUUACUUGAAAUAGUAGCCAAGGAAUUUCCUAUUUUGUUUAGGAUUAGAAAUUAUUUCCUAUUCUGUACAAGUCUAGAAAUUAGAAUUGGUUUCCUAUUAUUAUUUAAUUUUUUGGCCAAAUAAUAUUCUCUAUAAAUAGAUGGGUUGGCAUACUACAAAGAGACACACAAAAGCACACAAGAGACGACAUGUAGCCUUAUACAUGGGUGGUGAGAGAAGAUUUUUAGGAGAUGAGAGAUGGUAUACAAAGGUUGAACUGGGGUUCAAGUUAUGUUCUUAUAUAGGAUUUUUCUCUUAUAAUAAAGAACGAGUUUCUCUCUGUGGAUGUAGAUUCAAUGGUGGAGCCGAACCACAUUAAAAAAUAGUGUGUCAUUUAUCUUUCAUGCAUGUGGCUUGUUUCUCAUUAAAUUGUAGUGGACUUGAUAUCUCAAUAGUUGUUUAUUCCACGCUUGGAUCCUAACAAACUGCUAAACCAAGAUUGAUGUAAUUGCGUCCUGUACUUGAGAUAAUAGAAAUAAUGAAAACAAGAGAGUUUGCAAUUCAAUUGAUUAAGGGAAGAACAGAGAAAAUCCCUGAAAAUGGGAAUUAAAGGAAACAAAGGAAACCCUAAAACUAGUUUCCAAGAACAAUUCUGUCGAAGACAGAAAACAAAGAAAAUAGUAUCAAAGGCUAUAUCGUUAUUUAGAAAACAAGAAGCACUUGAAGGUGAAUGUUGCAGAAAGUAGAAGAUCCCACUACAAUUUACUAGUUCAAGGAGCUAUAAUUAAGAAAGAAAGAAGAAACUCAGAGAAUUAGAGAUUGUUAUUGAUUGAUGAAUGAGUAGGAAGAAUGUAGAUGAAGAUGAUAAUCAAUUACAAGUAAUGGAAAUCGGAAAUCCAAGAACUGCCUUCAACUUACCACUCUCCUCUCUUUUAUUCGGCUACUACACUUGUCCAAGUCAGCUAAUUCAUUACAACCAACCGACAUACAAGAAUUAUAAGGAUUAUUCAUUAAGUCCCUAUCAUACUUGCUUUAUUACAAAAAAAAUAACCCUAUCAAUAAAACUAAGGUAACAAAUACUUCCCCCUCAGAGAAUCCUUGUCCUCAAGGAUUAAAUUCAGGAAAUUGUUGUUUAAGGUCAAACCAGAAUUCCCAGAUAGCAUCUUCAAGAAAAGAAUUGCUUCACUGCACCAAAACUUUUGUAGCAAGAGAGUUACCACAUUUCACCAAUUUCUGAUCAAGUAUGGCUAUAGGCUCCAUUAAUAAUUAUCCCUGUGUAUUGAUUGCAAAAGGAAUGUGUGAGGUAACUAGUGAGUGCCCACUUUCUUCUUUAGAAGAGAUACAUAAAAAAUAGAGUGUAUUUUUGCCAUAUUAGGCAGCUAAAGCUGAUAUGCAACAGGGUGUACUCUUUUGAUCGCUUGGAAAGGUCCAAAAAACUUAGAAGCUAACUUCUGACAAGAGUGUACCUUCAAAGAGUGUUGCCUCUAUAGUUGUAGUUUCACAUAUACCCAAUCUCUUGCCUAGUACUGUCUGUUAGACCUGUGUUGGUCAGCUUGUUGCUUCAUCCUAUUUUGUGCCUUGUGAAGGUUGUACUUUAAGUGAUGCAAAACUAUCUCCCUUGCUGCCAAGAUUCUAUCCACCACUUCCACUACUAAAUUCCCAAGUAGACAAGGCAUAUGCAGAGAUGGUGCAUGACCAUACACCACCUCAAAUUGGAUAACCUUAGUGGCAGCAUGAAAUUUGGUAUUGUACCAAUAUUCAGCCAAGGGUAACUAGAUAGACCACUGCUUUGGAAAAUCUCCACACAUUCACCUCAAAUAUUACUCCAAACACUUGUUUACCACCUCAGUUUGACCAUCUGACUGAGGGUGGUAGGUAGAAGAGGUAUUAAUCUGCACUUUCAGUAACUUAAAAAGUGCUAAUGAGGACCACAUCCUUGUCACUAACAAUGCUCUGAGACAACCCGUGAAGUCUAUAGAUCUGAUCCAGGAAUAUGUGGAAAUAUAAAUGCUGAAUAAGCAUGUGACAAUGCCAAGAAGUGUGCAUACUUACCUAACUUGUCAACCACCACCAAGAUGGCUUGUUUACCAUGUGCAUUAGGUAAACCUUCCAUAAAGUCCAUGGAAAUUCACUCCAAACCUUUUGAGGCACACGUAAAAGUCGUAAUAAACCCAAAUAAGCAGUAUUGUCAUAUUUGUUGCACUGAUAGACAUCACAUGCAGCCACAUAGUUGACUAUGUCUUGAUACAUUCUUCUCUAAUAAACCACUGACUUCAACUUCUUUUAGGUAGCAUAAACUCCUGAAUGUCUCCAACAGCACUAGAAUGCCACAAGUGAAUUAUAUUAUUCUUGAAUUGACCGUCAUUUUCUACCACUAGUCUCCCCAUCCUUCUUAACUGCCAGUUGCUCCAUGUGUAAUAAGGUGCGACCUUAGAAAGAUCAAAUUGUAAUUGAGUGAUGAAGGUCUAUAGCCUUAUAUCUCUUUGCCAUCCCUUUUUAAUCACUAUCAAAAAUCACUGUUAACAAUGAUGAUGCAAGAGCUUCUCUUGGUUCUGCUAGUUUUCUAAAGAGAGUAUCUCUCAUCAUAUUAUAUGCUUCUUUCCUGUAUUGAAGCUCAUAAUCAAAUCUUACUAGCUUAGCCAUCCAUUUCUGCUGCAUAAGAGUGUUCAAUCUUUGUUCCAUCAUAUAUUCAAUGCUCUAAUGGUCAUUUUUAAUGAUAACGUACCUUCCAAGUAGAUAAGGUCUCCACUUCUAUACAGCAGCAACUAUGGCCAAUAUUUGCACUUUUCCAAUAUAUUAUUAUAUGCUAUUCUCCCACACACCUAAAUCUUACAUUGUCCCCAAUGUAAAAUAAAGAAUAAAAGAAAAGUAAUGGGGAUAACGAAACUUCCUUGAUAACUGAGGGGGCCGUGGAUAGCUACAGGUGAGGAGCAAAUGAUUGUGGAGCUCGACGUAUGUUGAUGGUUGGCGGCAGUGGAGUUCGGAUGGAGAAGGAUGGAAGAAAGAAAGAAAGAAGAAAGAAAAAGAAGAGAGAAAGAAAGAAAGAAAAAGAAAAGGAAAAAGAAAGGAAAAGGAAGAGAAAAGAAAAGGAAAAUGCGAAUGGGAAUUGCUCCAAUCCCAGCUGGUUUUUUGUACUACUACUUUGCUUCUUGUACGAAGCUUGAAGAUGCAGCACGCGCGGGAAUUUUUUUUUUUUUUACAUCUGAUUUUGAUUUUUUUUCUUUUUCCUUUUCUGUAUUUCCUUUUCUUUUCUUUCUAAUUUUUUUGCAAAAACAAUCAAAUGAGAUGGAAUGAUUUUUUUUUUAAAAAAGGUAAAAAUAUAAAUAGAGAUAAAUAAAUAAAAAUAAACAAUAAUAGAUAUUAACAAAUCAUAAAAUGAUUUAUGAAAUUUUUUUGGUGUCUACAUAUAUACACAUACUAAUAAUUUUUAUAUUUAUAUAUUUUUCCUAUUUAAUCUUACCUAUAAUUCUUCCUUAUUUUAUUUACUUUCUCUAAUUAAUUUUAUAUUUCAAAAAUAUAACAUCUAAAAAUUUAUAUUAACGAAGAGGGCAUCUGUUAGACAGGUCCUAUUUUAUGUAGCAUAUUUGUACUACAUGGAAAAAACUUUUUUAAUAGGUAUCCCGUUUUUUAACAUGAAAAAUACCUUUUGACUACAUUCUGACUAGCGCCAAAAGCUAUCCACUUUUGACAUGUUGCCCAUGUGGGGUCCUUGAUGAUUGGUGUCACAAUUUUAACACAUGGUCGUACUAGGUACAAUGUGGUCAAUAUUGGAUUAGGAGCACUAAUUCAAAAAAAUUGGUGUAAUUGUACGGUUGUUAUUUUUUUUAUAUAAAAUUUGGCACAUAUUUAUAUAAAUGUUUAUAUAUUUUUAUACAUUUUCAAAAAAUAUUUUAUAUACUUUUUUAAAAAUAUAUAAAUUUUUGUAUAUAUAUUUUAAAAAUUUUGGUAUUUAUGAGCAAAAUUCUUACAUACAAUAAAAUAAUAGCAUGAUAUGAGAUGAAUAAUAAUUGAAUAGUACUGCAGUUGCCCCAUUUACCGGUGACGCUACUCGUAACUUGAUGUUCAAAAAGUACCACCAUAACUUUUGCUGAACUAAAUUUGAAAAAGCAUUUCAUCCAAUUUGAAUGGUAUCGAAUAUAAAAUAAUGUUCAAAGUUGAUUUGACAAGUUGGUGAACCAAAUCGAACGAGCUUUUACCAGACUGAACUUAAUUCGAAUAUCAGUAGUUUGAUUCAUCUUUCAACCUUUAUACCGACCAAAAAAAAAAAAUUCAAUUACCAAUCAAGUAUAAUGUCUUAUUUUUUUACCAAGUUUUUAAGGGUGUGCACACCAUUGUUCUCCCUUUUCCUUUGACAUGUAAGGCCACUUUUCCUGCUUCAUGUGUUGCCUAAUUUAAGUUUCGUUUUAUGUUGACUCCUAAUUUAGCGUCUUCUUGAAAGCUCCGACUAUUGCUCGGAAAAAAAUAUUGCUGUUGAAAACAAAGUUUUUUGCCAAAAUAACACUCUUUCUAAAAAAUAUUCCCAAUGUGAUUCACUUUCAAAUUUUAUUCCCAAAUCGAUGUUAUUGUUGCCACCUAAUUACCCUGAUUGCCAUGUAGGAUAACAAGAAAGGAAAGCUUUAAUCUAGUUUAUAGUUUCCAAUAAAAACUAAAAAUUUAAACUGUUUUAUUAUAGAGGCACAAGAAAAUUGCAUAACUUUGAUAAUUUCCUUAUAAUUAUUUAAAAUAAAUUUUACCAUUAUUGACCUUGCUAUUAUUGCUCUCUACAAUUUUUUUAAAUGUAUCAAACUUAUUGCAUAUAUUUUUUCAAAAAUAAAUUUGCAAAAUACAAAAAUUGCAAUGAACAUUAUAAGCAAUAAUAAGAAAAAGUUAAAAAACUUCAAGGUUAUCAUAUUUGUUCAUGUUAUGCUUUCUACUCCUUGAAAAGUACUUUUACAAAAAGUAAUCAAACUAUUGCAAUUAAGAUAAUGCUAAAGUUUAUCAAAAGUAACACAAGCCAUUAAUUGAUGUUGAAUAAAUAUGCAAAAAUACUUCAAGUAUACGAGAUUAUUUGAUUAUGUGAUAGAGAGGCACUACAAAUGAACAUGCUUACAUUGAGCAUGAAUUUAUGUUGUUACGUAGUUUUCCUCUUAGACAUUUUAUCAAGCACACGGUGUGAGAAAUCAUUUGUUAAAAGAAUUAGUAUUCAAAAUUUUUUGAAGGCCAUAAGAAUGUUCCAAAAACUGCACAACAGAAAAGACGAGAAUAAUCUUCAUUUACCUUGAAAUUAUUAAUUCGAGGAGAAUAUUUUCAUAAUAUCAGGAAUGAUAAUGAAGUUUUAGAUGUUGUUAAUAUAAAUAUUGACUUUUAACAAUUACAUUUGACAAGGAAAAAUAACGAAAGGACAAAAAAUAAUAAAGGAAAAAAAAGUGGGUAGGUUCAGAGAGAGAAUCAGGGAAGAUAUUAAUUGGAAAAGAGAGAUAGUACGUGUCUCUAUCUCUAUCCUACCACAUAUGCAACCUAUGUGGAAAAAAAAGAAUUAUAAAGGUAAUAAAUUUUAAAAUUAGGUUACUUUGGGUAUAUGUUUCAAAAGAAGAGUUAUUUUGGCAAUAAACUCGCUGAAAACAUCAUCACAUAUUUGGAAAGAUUUACUUGUUGCUCUGGAUUUUAGGUUUGAUCUUUAUUUCAUAAAGCAUUUUGUUAGAUUUCAAUGGCUUAAAAAAAUGAUGACUUUUGUUAGAAUAUUGAGCUCUCAGACAUUCAGUGCAGGCCUAAUAUUUUUUUUUUAGUACUGAAUUUGUUUUGGAUACGUUAGUAUUUCUUGAAUUUUAGAAAAUGCUUCUCUUUAAUAAAUGUAAGUUCAUUUUAAUCUUGAUUCGCAAGCUUUUUCUCGUAAAUGGUUUGCCAUUUCUUAUUAGUUGUUACAGUAAAUUUAACAUGCAUAUAUGCUUUUUGUCAAAAUUCAAUCAUUUCAAAAUCUAGAAGGGAACUUCUAAAAUACCUGCAUCCUCCUUUUUCUUUUUUCUUUUUUAUUUUUCCCCCUCUUGGCUUUGUAUUCAGAAUCAGAUUGUGUUCAAUUAGUUGGAAUUUGGCUUUGGAGUUAGAAGGGAUUUCCAUUUUUUCCUAGGUAUUCCACAGCUUGCAUACCAAAAGCACAGAGGCGGAAGAAAACCUAUGAUUAAAUCAUACAACAGGCUUGUAAGAAAAUGCCCACUUUGAAAAAAAUGAAAAGUUGAAUUUCCUAUUUUCAAAUUUACAUGCAAAAAAUGAAAAAUGACAUGCAAGAAAUAGUCUACUAUUUCGCAAUGUUUCAUAGUUAUGAGAAAUAUAUUACAAAUAAAUCCACAUAAAUGGUGGGAAUAAUAACUCAAAUAUGGUGGGACAAAUAAACAUACAGGGUGACCCCUGCCAGCUGAGAUAACUAGCUGGUUUAUUUAAUUUAAUAGUUUGAAUACAAUAGUAAAUCAAUGCCAUAGCUCAGAUACUGACUAAAUUUUUCUCCCUGAAGAAUUCAACAGCAUCUUUUAGGCUGACCUCCAAAGGAGUGAAUCCAACUCCCAACCUUUUUGCCUUCUCAUUGGAGGCUCUGUAGUUUGGGCUGAUAAGGUUGGUAUUGUUUGACAUUCUGCUGUAUGCGGGACAAUACACAAUUAUGGCAAACAUAAAUAAAGCUUAGGUAAUGAAAAUGCAAAUGUAAAUUCAAAUGCUUGAAAAUCUACUGGACAAUUGCCUCAUAUCUACUGUAAAUUGUGCCUUUUUUACGAAGUUUCAAAAGACCUUUUAAAAGAUAACUUUAGUUGUGAUAUGAAUGAAAUUUAUUUUUCUCUAAAAAAAAGCCUAAAACGGAAUUUCUAUUUUGGAGACAAAGCCAAUUUGGUGAUAUAUCCUAGUCCAAAGAAGACCAUCUUCUAGAAAUCAACCUGAGAAAGAGCUCAUUUUUUAUGGAACAUGAGACCAAAAGAAAAAAAAAAGAAGGCAGAAAAUUUAGGAUUUAGUGUCCUUUAAAAGAGAGUAUAAAAAUAUGUGAUACAUUUUGGACGUAUACAAGGCCAUCAGCAAAAGCCUGCAAAGACCUAAACAAGGAAAACAAGACUUACUUAUCAGGAAAUUGGUGAGUUGGGUAAUGCUCAUGCAAAAUCUUGAUGAUCUGAGAGGCAUUUGCACAUCUUUCAACCAGACAAUAUCUUCCACUUGCAGAAGGGGUUUCAAGGGCAAGAACAUGUGCAUAGGCAACAUCUCUAACAUCAACCCAGCUACAUGUUGCCUUAGGAAAUGGUUCAACCCCUGCAUUUGGCACCUAAGAUCUUUAAACACAUUUUUUUGCAGGCUCUUCAGCAACAUAAGUGAAACUGUGCAUACAAUUAAAUACAAUGUUGUUUGCCAUGAAAAGAGUCAAAUUUAGAGGCCUUCCAGAAGAAAUGUGUUGUAUGUACUACUUUGUUCUGUUUUAGUAUCAGCAAAGCCACAGAGGGGAGGGAGAUGUGAGGAAUGAACUACUUGAGACAAUUCAGAUAAUUGGUGAAUAAUAAGAAAGAUUAAUCCCAACAAUUUUCUAGUUAAUCUGUCGAGUUAUUACCUGGAAUUUCUCAGAUUUAGAGUUAGGUUUCUCUUUCAAAGGAUAGUUUAUUUAUUUAUGUGAGGAAUAAACAAGCUUUAGCAAGUCUGAACAACAUAAACAGUGACUACUCCUAACAAAUUUUUCCUCACAAUUACCACCCAAAAAUUUCUUUUCCUUCCUGUUAAUCACAUAGAACCUCAAUGUUGUUGAAAGGAAGAUGCACACAACGUGAAUUUCAGAUGAAAGAUUGUCCUGCAAACCUUUAAAACAUCAUAAGCUGGUCAGAGUUUAUAGCUUGAUAUAUCAGUUCACAUUCUGACCUAUGUCUGUCAAUCAUGUGAUUAGCCAGCAGUGCCUUGAAAUGUUAUUAGUCAUAAGUUUUUUGUUCUACUGUAACAAAGAAAGUUGUGGUGCAUAAUAAAGCUAUAACUAACAUAGAUGGAAGAGUCAGUUAGACAAUGAUUACUAAGGUGAUUCAAUAAAUUUUGAAACAAACCCUUUAAUAGGUUGAGGAACAAAACAGCGCUCGAAUUAACAGAUGGCUGCAAGAGAGGACCAAUGACCAAUCCUGGAUGAAUUGUAAUCACGUCAAUGCCAUGAUCCUUUGCAAAUUUCCAUGCAGCAUUCUCGGCCAUGGUUUUUGAAAGUUCAUACCAAGACUAUCAACACCAAAAAAUCAGUAAAUGUUGGUAAGAUGGUAGCAGAAAGUAAUUAGAUUUGUAAACUUUAAGAAGUAACAUUAUAAAUUUCUACAAAUUUGACAAAUCCAGCAACUUACAUCAGUUGAAACUAUUAUUGCUGUAGCUACAAAGCACAGAGUGAAAGUAUCCACAUUUCCCAGGACAAGCUAUGCCAUAAGUGAAUAAGCAGAUUUCUCAAGGAUCCUAGGAAUGGUGUAAACUUUCUAUAUUCAAGGAAUGAUGCAAAGCACCAGUGUCGACAUAUCCUGGUCAUCUGACCUCUUAAUCCACAAGUUAACAGCAAAACUACAAGGGACCUUGACACUUUAACGCAUAUAGUCAUAUUCAUAAUAUUAUAGCAGAAGUUCCUUUCCAACUGACCGACCAAAUAUUGCUCAUCUUGGUGUGUAUUCUCAGACAAUAGUAUAGAAUUUGAUCAUGCAAGAGAUGCAUAAUUAAGUAGGAAAACUUUCAUAUUGCUCUUUCCCCGACUAUUCCACACUACAUUAUUAAUUUUUCAUUAAAGUUAAGUUGUUACUUAGAUAGAAGGAAAGAAAUGGACUGACCAUUCUGGUUACAAAAAUAUCCUUCUUUUUGCCUAUUAAAGUACCACCAAGUCAUGAAGAUCCUAACUUAAUUAUCUCCACAGCUGGGCUAACUCCUCAUAUGUGUCCCAAUAACAAGUUAAAACUAAAGAAUUCCAGCAUUCCAUAUUAGAUUUUACUGGAAGAAGACAGAUAAUAUGUGUACCUUUUGCUCCUCACAGUAUGAUGGAUCGGAAAACCAACUUUCAUCAACUACCACAUCCUCCUUUAAUUCUCUGUUUUCUGAAACUGCAACCAUAGAGGAUGUUAUAACUACUCUUUUGACAGAAGAAGAAUUUGCACAUGACCGCAGCACAUUCAGUGUUCCACGUACUGCAGGUUCCAGUAGUUCUGCCUAUGAAAUCAAACCAAGUAAAAAAGGAAGUCAUUACCAGUCAUAGGUAAGACUAUGCUUUUUAACCUGCAAAAAACUUAUCAUUCUGGUAUUAUGUUUGAGAAUUUCACCACAAAUGCUGUAAACCUACAGCUUUAGUUACUUAGCUAAAGGAUGCAUAUAGUUGUCUUAUCUCCUCUUGCUGCUAAAAUAAGUUCUCAGGUCCUUUAUUGUUGUUUUUUCCCAUAUUAGUUACUUAAGACCGAUAGAGGAACAACUGAAAUAAGUCUCAGAUGUGGUCACCAAUUAAACCGUUUGGUACCAAAUAUCAACCGAUGAAAUUCUGUUCUGGCUUGAACAGGACAGACAGAAAAUAUAAAAGGUGUAGCUCCCAUGAAUCCUGCGAACAGAUUUUAGCGUGAACACAUAAUGCAUGUUGCAAUUUCUUUUAGUGUCUAUGAGUCAACCUUGUUCAUUGAAAUGACUAAAAUCAAAGUUCUACAAAGUUACUUAAAUAAAAAUCCAUAAACACAAUUUGAGAAACAGACAAUGAUAAGUGUACUGCAUAAAAUUUUAAGGCACAAUCAUUAAUAGAAGUUAAUCAACUUACAAAUGAAGAUACAUAUAAUUUGCAGAUGCUUGAACAUAUAUUGUAGUUUCUAUAAGCUUCUUAUUCAUUCUGGUAUGGGCACGCAAAAGCUAUUGGCUCUACACUGGCUGAAUAAUUAGUUGGUCAAAGCAGGGAUUCAUUUGCUCCAGGACAAGCUUAUAGCUUGCUCUAUAACCUUACCCUGACUGACUUACCCAGGAAAAUAGUUAGUCGGACCCAAUCUACUGCCCAAUUGUGGACCAUUUGCUAUGUUUAUGGCUCUUAAUGUUUUUAUUUCACAACAUUACACCCUUUGAAUUGUUUCUCUGAAGUACCAAUUUCCAGAUCAUUUCAUAGAAACAUCAUGUAUACUGAUUAAAAAGAGACUAAAGCCCAUAACACACGACAGUCUUUUUUGUGAAUGACCUGCAGGAACAGAUUAGUUUUGUAUGUACCAAAUGUAAAGAAAUAUUCUUCAGGUGUUUGACCUGAUUGCUACAUUAAUCUCCUCCCUUUGGUUAAUAAAAGAAAAAGUAGAGCCAUAGAAUUGGAAACAUUUGAAUCUAACUAUUUUUUUUUUUUGCCUUUACAGUUAUAACCUUGUCAUAAAUCACAUAUAGAGGAGUAGACUAUCACCCAAAAAAGCCAGUAAAAAUGCAACAGAGGAAGAUACUAAAAGAAGUCGCACAAUUAUAAAUCAGAAAGUAUGCUACGAUUUUCAAACUUCAAGAGAUAAAUAGCAGAUUGUGUAGACAGUAGAGAAUUUCCAAUCUUGUAAAGCAAAUGUACCUCUGGAUUGCUGAAUGAAAGUUUGAUUGGAGAUGCAGUAUGGAAAACCCCUUCACAUCCCUCGACUAUUGCAUCAAACGAUCCCUCUUCUAGUAAGUUUGCCGAGUACAACUGAAGCCUUUCCUUAGCUCCAUCAAGUGAUGUCAAAUGUUGUGUCCUUUCCGGAUCAUCUGUGUCAUGAUUGCAUCAGUAGAAUGUUCAGACAGCUAUAGUCAAAACCAUGCCGCCUUGGUAAAGUGACUAUGUUUUCACUAUGGCGCAACUCAAGAAGCAAUGGACUUAGAGCAAUAAUAAACGAACCUCAAAGCAAUGAUAAAUUUGACUAGCUAAAGGCAAGCGGGGAAAAACGAAAAGAAAUUGACGGGCAACAUAAUAUGACCACAAUAAUAUCAUAGCCCUAUGAUUUCUGGUUUUGAGAUGUGUACAUUUGUAACUUUCUUGAUAACAAUUAAUUCUUGAGAUAAUUAUCAGAGGGACAAUUGUAUGCCAUCUACCACUAUUUUUAUAACAAACUCAGUUCUUCAGAAGAAGGAUAUAGAUUCGAUAGGCUAAAGAUUUUUGAGUAUAACUUGAUCGUUGUAUCUGGAGCAUGAAACAUUACUGUUAAGGUAUACAUUAUAUAGUUUCAGGCUUUCAGCUACUCAAAUAUCAAUUAGGUUGGUCCACAUCAAUUUUUUUUUUGCAUGUGAUUUUCUUUUGAGCAAACAGAACAUGGGGAGCAUUUAGCUGUUGCAAGAAUAUCAUCUGGAGCUACAAAACAAUUUCACACUGCAGAGUUGAAUAAAAAUGUUGGGCAAAUUACAUAUAAUCCUCCUGUGGCUUUGUCUGUUGCCACAUGACCCUUCUAACAUUUUAAAAUAUCCAAUUCACCCACUAUGAUUUUAUGUAAAGCGGAAACUUGAUGGAGAAUAGCCUAUAUAAUGUCGUUAAUUGAAAUACCAUUAGUACUUUUACUUAAAUGCUAAAUCAAUCGACGAUUUAAUUACCUUAUAUAAAAGUAUAAGGGGAUUAUAUGGAUAAAUAUAAAAAUCACAGGAGGGAUAAAGUGGACAAUUAUAUAUAAGAGAAUUACAUUGAAAUUAAGACUUUAUCACACACGCUUUUAGAGCGCGUUUGGUAUAAAUGCCGUAACUAAUUGUGCAUUCCAUCAUUUUCCGCUUUACAUAUAACUAUGGGGGGUAUGUGGCUAUUUUGAAAUCUUAGGGGACCAUCUAGCAUUAUAUAAAAUCACCCUAAAAUAUAGUUAUAAGUAAUUUACCCUAAAAUGUUAGAUUCCAGGAGCAAUUAAACAACAAUCAGAACAGGGCAUCAAAAACUGCACAAGCCACUAAGAUAGUUGAUCAAGAACAAAAACUGGACUUACAGGCAUCUCGAACUGAACCUUUAACAAUAUAACCGCGCUCGAGCAGCAGCUUCACCAGCCAUGAAGCUAUGUAACCCGAAGCUCCGGUCACACACACCAUUUUCCCUUCUCCUGCUCCACUCAUUUUGUUAAUAUUUUUGUGUGUGAACCUGUCACCUGUUUGCCUUACUUCUGGACUUAAUGGAGGGAGGCAUAUAUGGUGUAUAUAUAUAUAUGGUGAAGAAGACGAAAGAUUGGAUAUGAGAUUACGUGGGAGACUAGGGAGAUCCAUAUGUAUUCUUGCAAUUUGCAUGCAUCAUCGCUGACAUACGUAUGGUAUAAUCGCGUCACAUCCCAUUUUAUCAAGGUCAAUUGAUCAGUGUAAAAUAGAAAUGAACAAUAAAUACAAUGGUAAAUUACCUUCUACACCCUAUGAUUUGAUGUUUUAUCACAUAACUCCCUAUAAUUUAAAAACCUAUAUAUGACCCUUUCGUAGUUUGGGUUAUUGUGUCACUUUAGAUUUUUCUGUUAAAACUAACGGUCAAUAGUAAAAAGUCAAAUUCAAACUACUAAAUUGACAAAUUCACCAUUUCACUACUUUUUUUUUCUUGUUUUCCUUUUCUUUCUUUCCUUUUUUUUUCUUGGAAAGAGAAGAGAUGACUUUGAAAACUUGUAUUUUGGCUUACAAAACCUUAAUUGUUUCCAAAUACAAAAGAGACAGAAGGGAAAUAAAAAUAAAUCAACAAGAAACAAAAAAUAUGGAAGGUAAAGAUAUAACAAAUAAAUAAGAAACAAAAAAACACCAAAUCUUUUUUACUAUGAAUAUCAUUAUAGGUUUUUAAACCAAAUCUUUAAUAGUAUUUUCUAGUUCUUAUUUAUCUAUUUUUUAUUUCAAUUUCUUCUUUUUGAUGUUUGGAGGAAAAAAAAACAAGUAAUGAAGGGAUAAAUUUGUCAAUUUAUUAGUUUGACUUUUUAAUAUUAACUGUUAGUUUUAACGAAAAAACUAAUAAUGACACAUUAACCCAAAUCAUGAGGGGGUUAUAUAUAGUUUUUAAACUAUGGGAGGUUAUUUGAGAAAAUAUCAAACUAUAGACGUUAAAAUGCAAUUUAGCCUAAAUCCAAAAUCAGGCGGUUGCAUAUGAAAAAAUACCAAGGUUCUUGACUUUGCUCAAUACAAUUCCAAGUCUAGAGACACAAUUUUUAAAUUCACUACCAGGAUAAACCAUUCUCCUUUUUUUUUCCAUUUUUUCGGGUUAAAAAGUACAAACUACUUGAACUAGAAACUAGUCCUGACAAAGUUUGUGGGUUUUUUGCAAGAGUUUUAGUUAAAUAUUGGUUACUUCGCCUAAUUUGCACCUAUUUUAUCAUGUAAAUUCAUGCACACUUUUAAAAAAAUAAUGCAUGCACUUAUAUUAUUGCCUUUCUUACAUUUAAAUACUUUUUUCAAUUUAAUUUUACUUUUCUGGCAAAACUAAAUCUGAAGCCCAUUUCAAGAAAUAUCCACCGAAUACCAGGUCAACAAACCGCCUUCGUAAUAAAGAACGAAAGGGACCGCAGCGGUCUUUAACACGCAGCGGUCUUUUUGCAUCUAAGAAAGCUUUUGAUUGGCUAGAAAUCCUUCUCUGAUUGAGAACUGGGAAUUGACUUGAUGAUGGCAACUCCAUUUAGAAAACUGGUCCACACCCUUGAAUGUGGUUUAAAUUUAAUAGGGAUAAUUUCAUAAACCUCCCCUGAGGUUUCUGACAUUUACACUCACCUCCCCUGUGGUUUGAACAAUUACACUAACCUCCCCUGAGGUUACUAAUCCUUUACAAAUUCAGUCCAAAUGAUUAAAAUAUUGUUUUAGAGAGUGAAAUUAGAAUUUUGUACCUGAUUUGCCCUUUGUGUUACAUAUCCAAUGAAUGACAAAGUAUUACAAAUUAAUUAAUAAUUAAUAAACUUUAAGGAGCGUAGUUUAUAGGAAAAAACGUAUUACUUAGUUAAAGUACCAGCUCUUUACGAGUAUUUUACUUUCAAACAUUUACUUUAUUACAAAUAUUUAUUCUCAAAUACAGAUUUGUAUUACUCUCAAAUAUUUAAUUUUUGUUAAAUAAAAAACCUACCAGUUUUUCUUCCGUAGAAAUAUUAAUAUAACAUUUUUUCAAUUUUAGUUAUAAAUAUUUAUGUAUUUAGUAUAAAUUAAAUGAUUCAGGAUUAAAUACUCAUAAAGAGCUAAUACUUUACUCAUGUAAUGGAUGAAAAUCAUAAAAAAUUAAUACUUUAUGGGCCAUUUCUUUUUUUAAAAAAUAUUUAAUUUAUGUUAAAUAGAUAACUUACUGAUUUUCUUUUUGCGAGAAUAUUACUGUAACACUUUUUAAUUUUUAAUUACAAACGUUAAUAUAUUUAUCAUAAAUUAAAUAUUUGAAAAUAAAAUAUCUGUAAAGAGUCGUUACUUUAAAUAGGUUAUGUGUAUUUGCCUAUAAACUAUACUCUUUAAAGUAAGGAGUAUAGUUUAUUGAUUUAGCUAGUAGAGAAUCUUUUGUAGGUGGCGGGUUAGUCCUCUUAAGAGACAAAAAUGGGUAUGCUUUUGGUAAAACGAUUAGUUUAUACGUGUAAGUACGAGCGUGCACAGAAAAGUGGUUGGAUCUAUUUAACUGUCCGCACAAUCAAUAAUCUUUGGUAAGCUUUCGACGAAACUUCAGAGAGAGAGAGAGAGAGGGGGGGACCACACUGGAUCGACGUAGUAUUAUGUAAACUAUUGGUAUAGUAGCUGUUAUGGUACUUAUGUCUAAAUGAAAUAUUUGUGCUUGAAUCUCGCACCUUCUAAAGAAGCCAGGCAAAAGGAAAAGAAACAUAUAAAUAUUAUUGUUCUUUGAAACAUUUUUAAAAAAGAUGGGUGAAAAUGAAAAAAAACUUUAAUUCCAAGACCAUUUAUUUUAUCAAUUACACUCCUUACUUAAAUUAAUAAACUACACUCCUUAACUUAAAUCAAUAAACUAUACUCUUUACUUUAAAGAGUAUAGUUUAUAGGUAAAUACACAUAACUUAUUUAAAGUACCCGCUCUUUACAGAUAUUUUAUUUUCAAAUAUUUAAUUUAUGAUAAAUAUAUUAACGUUUGUAAUUAAAAAUUAAAAAGUGUUACAGUAAUAUUCUCGCAAAAAGAAAAUCAGUAGGUUAUCUAUUUAAUAUAAAUUAAAUAUUUUUUUAAAAAAGAAAUGCCCCCAUAAAGUAUUAAUUUUUUAUGAUUUUCAUCCAUUACAUGAGUAAAGUAUUAGCUCUUUAUGAGUAUUUAAUCAUGAAUCAUUUAAUUUAUGCUAAAUACAUAAAUAUUUAUAACUAAAAUUGAAAAAGUAUUAUAUUAAUAUUUCUACGGAAUAAUAACUAGUAGGUUUUUUAUUUAAUAAAAAUUAAAUAUUUGAGAGUAAUACAAAUCUGUAUUUAAGAAUAAAUAUUUGUAAUAAAGUAAAUGUUUGAAAGUAAAAUACUCGUAAAGAGCUGGUACUUUAAAUAAGUAAUACGUUUUUGCCUAUAAACUACACUCCUUAAAGUUUAUUAAUUAUUAAUUAAUUUGUAAUACUUUGUCAUUCAUUGGAUAUGUAGCACAAAGGGUAAAUCAGGUACAAAAUUCUAAUUUCACUCUCUAAAACAAUAUUUUAAUCAUUUGGACUGAAUUUGUAAAGGAUUAGUAACCUCAGGGGAGGUUAGUGUAAUUGUUCAAACCACGGGGGAGGUGAGUGUAAAUGUCAGAAACCUCAGGGGAGGUUUCUGAAAUUAUCCCAAUUUAAUAACACCAUUUCAUCAUUUCUGACGACUGCUUCUUCUAUAUCGAUCCUAGCUCACUGCACACGCCAGUCGUGUGAAACUUGGCAAAAGAGUUACACCUCCGUCCUAAAAUUGUUUGUCGCAUUUCGAGAUCCAAUUUUUUAAAAAUAGCAGCUUGAUGAUGAUAUUUGUAGAUUUGUUUUAAAAAUUGUCAUCAAAAAUUCAAAUUUUAAAUUGAAUUUAGUAUGAAAUAUAGAUAAAGAUUGGAAUAACAUUGAAAAAAAGAGAUUAAAAGUUAUUUUGAUUUUGAUAAGAUGAUAAAUAUUUUAGAACGUUUCAAAAUAAAAAAAAAUAUAUGACAUUUUCAAUGAAACAAAAGGAUGGUGAGAAUAUAUAUAAGAUACUGAAAACUAGCAUCCAUCUGAAACAGUCAAAUCAAAGCCAACAUAUUACUUGUAGUUUGGUUAUAACCAUAUCUCAGCUUGCUGGUAGCCCAAAAAUUUAGCAAAAUGAAUUAGGAAACCAAGUGCGAUAGAGCAUAUUUCACCCAAAUAUAUUAAAAGUGAAAAAGAUUUAUUUUUAUUUAGUCAAUCUGAUUUUUUGUGUCCACAUGCCCAUAAAGCUCAAGGACCAAAAAGCCAAACAUACGAAGUGAAAAUGUGAAGAGCAAUAAUUUGAAAGCAAAUAAAAAAACGGGUAGAUGGAUAGAAAACCAUGUCGAAGGUCUCUUCUCUUUUGAGUACGUAAGUGGCAGCAAUCAAUUCCCAAAGAGUGGGCUCUGGAGUUGUUAGUUACGUUGAAAAAUCAUGAAGCAGAGUUGUUCGAGAUGUUAUCUUGGGCUAUUUGGCUUGGGAGGAACCAAAAGCUGCAUGAAGAUAAACGAGUGGACCCUUUUGAGUUUAGUUAGCUUUGCUUCGGGUGCGCUCCAAUAAUUCCAAGAAGCUAAUGUUACUCAGAAAUGUCCAUCCUUAUCAAAUCAAUCUCACUUGUGGCAACCUCCAGGCGAUGGCAAGUUAAGGUUUAAUUUUGACGGUGUGGUGUUUAAGGAAACUCAAUCUAUUGGUUUAGAUGACGGUGCGGUGUUGAUUUAUCUAGUUUAGGCCCUCCAAUUGUGGACGUCACGAGGGACUUAACUAGUUUAGAGACGUCUAGUAUUUGAGGGAUGAGUAGGAAUCACAAUAAAAUCACUCAUAUAUUAGCUAAGAUCGCAAAAUUCAUAUGUGAUCAUGUCUUUUGGUGGAGAGAUCAUCCAGAGUUUGUUGUGCCAUUUCUAAUGGCGGAUUUGUUAGAAAGUUAAUGAAAGUUCAAUACAGGUUAUGUUGAGUAAGACGUUGGAUUGAAAAUUCAAGAUUUUGAACUGAAAUUUCAAGAUUUUGAGAUGAAAAUAAAAGAUCACGCUAAACUUAAUGGAUUCAAAUCUUAAUAUGUGCAAAUGCGUUUAAUAACCAAAAUUGGACAUCUGAAUUAAUUAAGUGCUACUGAAUUUUCUAAACGAAAUUUGUUCUAAAAAAUAAGUGAUAAACUAUGCAUUUAUUACUGAAUGUGAUAUACACUUAAAUAUACUUGAUUUAAUACUUAACAAUCUAAUAAAUUAAUGGACUCAGAUUUUAGAUUUCAAUUUUAUCAAAGUAACCUAAAAAUAUAGACUAUAGAUAAAAUAACUGCAGAUAAUGAUUUAUGUUGAGUAAGCUUUCAAAGCUACGUUUCCCAAAACAAACUUUAGAUAAUCAUUCUCUAAUUUUUGCUUUCACUCUAGAAGAUGCGUACAAUAAUGGGUGUAUACAAAAAUGGAAGUUAAAUUGAUAACACUAAGCUCGCCAAUUCUCAUAAAAAAAAUGAUGACAUUGCCUGCAUUAAUUCUAGUAACGGACUGAAGACAAUAAUUAAUAGGUGACUAUAUGGUGCCUAAGGCACACAAUAAAAUGUGGACUUGGUACCAUUAUUUAUUUUUGUGAAAGGAUAAACCUAUUUUGUAAGGUGUCGCAAUUCAUCAUCAUGAAAUGAGUGGUAAUUUUAAAGCAUUAAUAGUGAAUUCACCUUCAUUUUUAACGUUCAUAUCGCAAAGCCUAUUAAAAAAUUUCCACCAGCACAAAUUCCACUUUUAAUAGGUUCGAAAAUUCACUCACAAAUUUAUCCACAAAUCCCAUUAACAAAAAAAAAAAAAGAAAAUGCAGAAAGUUAUCAACGGAACUUCUAUAGUGCGUUGACGCGCGACACGUGUUGGUUGGAGAUUACUAGAUGGGAGUGGGGUUAAUCAAAGGUGGUAUUUUAGUAUUAAGCCCAAAAACCACCGGUAACAAUGGUAUUGACCCAAUUUCUAGAGGAAUUGACCCACAUAAACUGUGAAAGAUUAUUUUCUCUGUCAUUUAAGGCAAUUUCUGAACAAGAUUUAGGCGUAUAAUAAAGAAAUUAUCAACCCCAACCCCCAAUAUUAUGCUAAUAUGCAAUUGGAAAAAAUUAAAUGAAUAUUUACUUGAAGUUAAGAAGUGGAUACCAAUCGGUAGAAAGUGUUUAUAACAUACUCCGAAAUGCCAAAGGACUUCCCAAAAAGUGGGAAGCAGGACAACAUCUGAAAUAUAGUCCAAGUUUGAAGUGCUUUAUGUCAAACAUAUUUCAAUAUAGAAAAAAAAAAAAUUACUGGUUAGCAUAUGUUUGUGCGCAGUAUUUGUUGAUUGGGAGACGGUUCUAAGGAGGCGGUUUUGCAACAAAUAAGUAAACGGGAUGUCGAUUACUUGGAGUUGUAUCUUAUGCUGGAAAAAUAAUUAGACAUGUCAGUUAAGUAAUAUUUCAAUUUAAAUAAAGUUAGUUAGGAACUAGAACUCGUAACAUGGUUGGAUAUGGUUAGUGAAUAGGAUAUGAAUGUUGGGGGAUAGAAUACAACUAGAAUUACUAAGACAAAUUAAGCGUGACACUUUGAAUUCAAAUUUUACUAACAUUGCAUAAUAACACCUUUGACUGAUAAUUUUUUUUGAUACGGAAACUGGAAAAAUUUUAUUAAGAAGAGGAUAGAUCCGUAUUAAUUGCGAAAGAAAGAAAAAAUGGUGGAGAAAAUCUCCAACUAUAAAUACCUGAAAUAGAACUAGCAUUACUAUCUAAGAAAUGAGCAGGCACAAUUAGAUUCCUAGGAAUCCAAUCAGCCUCCCAAGUAAUGAAAUUCUGUAAACUAACAAAGAUAUCAUCUAACAGCACUCCAUAAGCUGAAUCAUCGGAUUCCAUAUUUUUAAGCAUGUUGAUGAUCUUCAAAGAGUCACCCUCUAAAACAAUCUUAGAACCUUCAACUGAAGUAACGAGGAAAUUGCAGAUAUUGCAGCAUAAGUUUCAGUUACUUCAGGAGAAAAGAUACCUAAGAUUUUGUGAAAAAUACUAGCAACAAAUUUGCCCCAUUCAUUCCUCACAACAAUUCCAACUCUAAAGUUGUCGUCUUCAUAGAAUAUUGCACCAUCGAAGUUUGCACUGCACCAUCGAAGUUUGCCUUUAGAAAUCUUGCAGAGGGCUUUAUCCAAUGAAGUUGAGCAGUGGAAGAGCAUAUUGGAAUGUUUGGAAAUGUGUUUAUUUCAUGGUAUUUCUAUAAGAAAUUGAUAGAGAGGGAGAGACCAAACUGAGAGGAUCACGAUAGAACCAUCAAAUAAUGCAUCAUUUCGGUUAAACCGUAGAUUCCAAAGAAUUAUGGCUACCAAUUCCAUGUCCUGCUUUUUCAAAAGAUGAAGGCCAGACAACCGAGACGAAACUUGAUCGGUAGAGUCUAAUCUUAUCUUUAGUGUAAGAAAGCUAAGGGCCCAAGGUUAAAUUGCUACUGGACAGCACAAGAAAAGAUGAUUAACAUCAUCAAUAGGGGCCUUACAUAAAGAACAAGUAGGAUCAAAAUAGACUCCGCGACUAUUCAACUUGGAAGUUAUAGGUAGAAUGUCUUUGCAAAUUCACCACAAGAAUAUUUUAACUUUACUUGGUAUGUUGAGUUUCCACAAGCAGGGCCAAAUAUCAUCCAUAGAACCAUUACUACAUGAAGCUACAUCUUGUCAAUUUGUAGAUUAUAUUUUGAUAAGAUGAUAGGCAAUUUUCACUGUGAAGGAGCCAUUUUUAGAAUAGUGCCAAAUGAGCUUAUCUUGAUUUCGUCUAUCACCCAAUGGAAUACUCAUAAUCAACUCAAUCACAUCUAAGGAUAGCAACGGGGGCGGUGCCCGCGGGGGCUAUUGGGGCAGAGGUUGGGGCGGGGGGAAUUUUUCCCCCCAUUUAGAAACGGGGCAGGGGGCCCACCCAUUUGGAAAAAAAAGAGAGAUAUAUAUAUGUACAUAAUUAUAUAUAUAAUAGUAUUAUCAAUUAUACAUGUCUAUUAAUAAAAAUUAUUAAUUAUUUAUACUAAAUUUAUUAAUACAUUUAUAUUAAAUUCCUAACUACACUUAAUACAAUAACACUUUUUUUCUAAAAAAAACACAAUAAUAAUUUAGUGAUUGUAUUUGUAUCAAAAGUAAAAACAAUUAUUUUAGUUAUAUUUGUUUUAUCAUAUUAGAUCGUAUUCAAAUAACUUUUGUUUAAUUAUUUUUAUGAGUUUCAAUUGUGAAGUUAUAAUGAAUAAUAAUUUGGUGAUAUGUUGAUAUUUUAGUACUUGAUUACUUGCUCAAAUUUAAUUAUAAUAAAAUUAUAUAAUAAUUUUUUUAACCCCGCGGGGGAAGCGGGGCGGGGGCGGAGGACGGGACGGGGACGGGGGGGAAUUAAUAGGCAACGGGGCGGGGGUGGGGGAGGGGCCACCCCUAAUCACAUCCUGCCAAAAAAGCUCUUGAAGCAAAUCAUAUUUCCAUUUCCUGCUAUUUUCAUCAAUUAAACAAUCUAUAGUGGACAUUUCUAGUAGCACAUCAAAACGAGAUAUAAUUUUGAAAUUAGAAAGACGUGGAAUCCACCUCUCUUUCCAAAUUUUGAUAUGAUUCCCGUGUCCAUCUCACCAUCUACUACCAAAAACACCUUUGAUUGAUAAUUAAAUAGUUAAAAAAAUAUAUCUACUUAAUUUGUUUACUCAAUAGUUAUGUGAACUAAAACAUAAAAAAGAAGGUCAAUUAUUAUAUUAGUGUUAUAUUUGUAAUAUUAGUUCCCUAUAUAGUAGGUUGCCGAGUUGGGCAUAUUUAUAUUCUACCAAGUAAAUGCCCUAUCUUUUCGAAACGUGGCAAAAAAAUUGUGUUUGUUUUUUUUGGUAGAUUUCAUUCUUUUUCUUUUUUGGUAACAAUUAAUUUACUAUUCAUUUUCACUUCAUUAUUUAUAGUAAAUUUCAAUCAAUUAUCAAUUACUUACCUUAUAUGCAUUUUUAUUAAUUAUACCUUUAUUUUUUUUAAUCAACUUAUAGCUUUCCUUUUUAAUUAGGCACUCGUUAAUAUAUGUCUUAGGUGUUAAAUUUUUAGAAAUAUAAGAUGAAUUAGGGAGAGCAUAUAAAUGUAAGGGAAUUAAUUAGAAAAAUAUAUAAAUAAAAGAAAAAGUAGUAAUAGUUGCGUAUAUAUAUGGCAGGUUAGGUGGAAUGCAGGUGUGUUAACGAUUACCCAUAGGGCACCCAUUAGAAAUACUCAUCAAAAUUUGGAUUAAUUUUUUUUCCUUUCAUUGCAAUCAUUACUACCAUUUUUCCUAUCAUUUAUUACUAUACCUUCAUGUUUCUAAAUACCAAUAAAUGUAUUACUCUCUUACUUUUUAUUUGAUUGUGCUAAUUAUAGCUUUCCUUUUACUUAAUCAAUUAGUCAAUCGAUCAAUCAACCAAUGAUUUUAAUUCUCUUUUCAAUCGCACGAUCUUUCUUUUAUCCAUCAUUAGGGAGAUUUACAAUUUAGUCACAUAUUUGUUAUGUGUACAAUAAUUAUGCAAUCAUAAGCACAAACUAAUGCAAUUCUAAUAAUUUUGCAUAUAUGCAUUCAUAUUGUAUUGCAACACCUUUAAUAAUUCAUUAUAUGGUUACAAAAGCCAAAAAAAAUCUAGUAUUACCUAGACCUUAGAUAGUCCCCAAUGUAUACACUGAUACUGUAUAAAAUGAUUUUAAACCGUUAAUAUAUAUACUGAUUGCAUAUGAAGAUUCAUCCCUAAUUUAGACCUCUUAGAUAGUUUGCAUGCAUUAUAUUCCCUUUUUUUAAUUUCUUAUUUAGUUUACCUUAUUACCAUUUAUGAUUUUUUUUUAAUUUAAGCAACAUCUUCCAAUAUUUUAUCACCAUUUUAAGUUAGUUCAUUUUUAGGAGAUAGUAGUAUAAGUGUGGUAGUUUGUCCAAAUAACUUUGAAUAUGCAUAUACAACCCAAAAAUAAAAUGAUAGUUGUUUAUAUUCUUAUCACUCAACGAUGAUAGUGUUAUGUAAUUUAAAUGAUUGAGAUCUAUUGCCAUCCAAAUAUGAAUUUAAUAUGAGGGUAUGAUAACUAAAAAUGACUAUAGAAUCUCCCUAAAUACUAAAUAAUGCGAAUAGAGAUAUUCCCUCAAAAACUUGUAAAGUACUUAAUGUGUAUACGGGUAAAUUCUUGCAAUAGUGAAAGGAAAAUAUCUUACUAGCCUUGAAAUUUUGGCCCGUGUAUUGACUUUUGUUAGCUAAAUUAAACUAUCUUGGAGUGAAGACAUAAAAUCUGCGGCAAAUUUUGAGAGAGUUGUGAACAUAGCUUAUUUAGCGUACAUAUUUUUUCCCGAGUUUGAAUUCUCUCACUUACAUGACAAAAAGAAAAAACUAUCGUACAUUUAACUUCCAACUAACAAUGAUGUAUAGGUAAUAAAUUAUAUGUGAUAAGAGUAUAUUUUACGUAUUUUUAGUGUGCUUUAUUAAUUAGUUUUGGUGUGUUUUAUUUAGUUUUAUAAAUAAUUAACUAAGAUUCUAGUGAAAAUAUGCAUUUUGUGGUUAAAGUGUGAAAAUUGCAUUUCUAUUGAUUUUUAUGGUAAAAAUUUCAUAUUUUGUAGGUUUAAUGAUUCAAUCAUCAAAUGAAGUGCAUUGAGAAAAUAUUUGGAUGAUUGAAGAUGGAUUAAAAUGGUGAAAAUAAAAUAUGAAGUGUAAAAGGAAAAAUGCAAUUUGAAUCAAGAAAAGUCAGCUUUGACAACUCUGACACGUUUUGGUAUUUUAACUAUAUCUGGAGCUACACAGAUUGGAUUGAGGUGAUCUUUAUACCAUUUUGAAGCUAAGAGAUAGAUCUAAAUUUGGUAUGAAGACAUCAGAAUCUAAUUCAGCCGUUUUCAUUGUCCAAAAGUUGAAAUACCGAAAUUCAACUCAGCUGAGAAAUGCAACUUGAGAACAAAAGAAUCAAACAAAAGUCAGCUUUGGCAUCUGUUGGUAUUUUGGCUAUAUCUUGGGCUACAUACAUUGGAUUCAGAUGAUCUUUAUAUCAUUUUAAAGCUAAGAGACAGAUCUACAUUUGGUAUGAAGACAUCAAAAGUCCAAUUCGGCUGUUUUCCUGGUCAAAAUGUCAAAAUACAGAAGUAAAAGUCUGCUGCUGAGAGCUGAAAACGCGGAAUUGACCAGUCAGUGGUAUUUUUAUCAUAUAUCGGUCUAGACAGCUCUAAAUUGGAUGAUUCUUGAGGCAUUGGACAGCUAUUUCAAUGGGCUACAACUUCUAUGUUUUUCACAAGAGCUAAUUUAGCCGUCAUUAUAGAGAAAAUAACAGUUGAAGUAGCCAGAUUCUGGUCAGAAAUAGCUGCUGGUACAACCUGUUUUCUCCUUCAACAAUUUACAGCUAUGGAUGAACGUAUGACAACCAAUUAGCAGCUGUAAAAGGGAUGUUUCAAGCCUCAUUUCCUGAUUGCAUUCAUCUAUAUAUAGCCAUGGACUUGCAGGAUUCAAAAUAACUUGGGAGAAGGCUAGAGAAACUCACCAGAAAUGUAGUUUUCACUAGAGUUUCCUUGGUUCAUUAGUAUAGUAUAGGUAGAGUAGUUUAUCCAUCUUGUAUUUGUAGUUAGAUUUGGAUGAAGAUUGGAGGAGCAAAGAUGAAGAGGUCGAUCUCAUGUGACAAGGGUGAUAUCUCUUCUACUACUUUCUCUCUUGUAUUGGAUUUCAUGUUUAAUUAUAAUACAAGUUGGCUUUGUGUUUUUAUUAUGUUUAGUUAAAGUUUAUGCCUAGAGUUAUGGUUGAACUUGCUAUAUUUUGUUUGUGAGGUUUACUUGGCUAUUUGAUGAUAUUAUUUUGAGUACAUUAUUUAUCACUUUUGGUUAUCUAAUCAUGAUUAACUGGCCAUUAAUUAUGAUAAUCAUAAGGUGUUAAGUUUGCAAUGAAAAUUGGAAUUUAACACUAGUUCAAAGAAGUGAUAAGCCUAGGGAGUACACUCACGAAAGUAGAGGUGCACCUAUGUGGCUUAAGUGACUUGUUUCAUGUAAUUUCAUAGAAGAAAUGAACUUGUAAUUAAUUUCAUAACCACGAGAGUAGGUAUGGGUUAACUACAAGUAUAGUUGAUUCACUACGAAAGUUGGUUUCACAUACAUUAGGAAAUUACGCCAUAACUAGUCAAGAUAAUAGCAUUCACUUAACCGGUAAUCUCAUUUGCAAGAGUAGUAAGGAAUUCCAUAUCUCUAGGAGCUUUCUAGUGUUAUUUUCAAACAUUUUAUAUUUGUGGUAGUCUAAAUAAUAAAGGAGUUUGAAAACAUCGGUAAUUGCAUUCUUCCCUGUGGGAUCGACCCUUAAUACCCUAUACUCGCUCACGAUUCGUAUACUUGCGAUAAAUCGCGUGUGGGGUAUUUAGGAAUUUAUAAAUGUAAAACUUGAUUGGGAUGAGUUUAAUAUUAUAUGUAUACCCCGCGCACGUCAAGUUUUUGGCGCCGUUGCCGGGGAAGAUUUGGCAAUAUCGGUGUGAAGAGCAACUUUAUUAAUUUAGACAAUUUUUCUUAUUUUUGUUGUUUUUAUCUUGUGUGUUUUAUGUCAUUUUUUUUGAGUCAAUUUUUAUUAUUAUUUUUUUUUUCUGUUUUAGUUUGUGUCUUGGAAUCUAUCCUUCUUAACUAAUCUUACUUUUGAGAUUGUUUAAAAGUAAUUUUAGAUAAUGAGGAGGGUAGGUGAAUUGGGAGGACAAAGCUUGAGAAAUGAAAAAUUGGCAAUGGAUGGUUACCUAGUGCAAAACUCCUUCAACAGAGGUAACCAAGAAAUUACUGAAGGUAUGUCUUUUGAAGAUGGUUUGAAGUGCUUAAAGGCAAAAUUUGAUGCAAUUAUGUUACAAGUUCAAAUGGGCACAAUUAUGCAUGAAAUUGAGCAAGGGAGGAAUAUUAAUACUUUUAAUUCUUAUCAUAUGAUUUGUCACUUGUGUGAAGGUUAUCAUGCUACUAAUACAUGUAUGCAAGCACAAAAUGUGGGUUAUUAUGAUGAAUUAGAGCAUUACAAUCCUUGUUUUGAUCAAUAUAGUGCUAAUUGGAACAAUUCUCCUAUGGAUGGUUGGGAUAAUCAAUGUACUUAUAAUAAUUCCUCAUAUUUUUACGAUUACCAAUCUGAAUGUGUCCAAUAUGAAUCAAAACCAUCUUGGGAGUUGGCAAUUGAAAUGGUAGCUAAUGAUUCUAAACCAUCUUGGGAGUUAGCUUUAGAAAAAUUAGCUAAUGCAACUUCCGACCGUUUUGAUAGGGUUGAAGAAAGAAUAGAUGAACUGACUUCUCACUUUAGUAGAAUACAAGAGAAAUUGCACGCAUUGUGUGAAGUUAUUUCUUCUAAUGAUAUGAAAGAUGACCCUAGCAUGAAUGGUAGGAAUGUUGUAUGUGAAAAUGGAUUGCAUUUGGAUGAAAAUGAUGAAUUUCAAUUGUGUUUUAAUGAGCAAAUAUCCAUUUCACAUGAUAAUAUCUUUGGAACUAACUUUGAGCCUCAAGAGGUGAGUUUUAAUGACUCAUUUUUCACCCCUCUUGAGGAGUGCAUUGAAAGUAUAGGUUCUAAGGGUAUUGCUGCCCAAGAUCCUCUCAUGGCAUCCCCGUUGGUAAGUUCUCAAGUGGUGUAUUUUCAAGGUAAUAUUUAUGAAACACUUGGAAUAGGUAAGCCACUUCCAUCUCUCACAUCAUUAGAAUAUGUGACUUUUGCUAUAAAGUCACCUUUUAAUGAUCCACCACGACCUAAAAUGGUGGAUUAUUCGUUAACUAAACCUCCUUGAAAAAUGAGGUUCAAUAGUCGAGCCAACGACUAUAAAUAAAAGCGCUUAUUGGGAGGCAACCCAAUGUUUUGGCUAUUUAUGUUAUUUUGGUGUGAUUUUAUGUUUAAAGCAUGUGUUUGAGUUAUUUUGUUAUUUUUCAUUUGUAGGUAUUGGAAAUGGAAGCAAAAGUGACCAAAUGAGAUGAAAAAGACGAAAUUUGAUCAAGGAACUCAACCCCUCGAUUUGAAUAAUUGUUGUUUUUGAUCCGUUAAAAGGGGCUAAAAUGCAUGUUUUUAAUGUUUUACAUGUGUGCACAUUGAUAAAUUUUACAAACAAAUGAUUUAUGAUGCAUUUUGAGUGAUUGGGGUAUUAUUUGUAAAUUUUCAAAAGUUGAAUUUCUGCUAAAAUUCGCAGCAGAAAAUGCGUUUCUCAAGAAAACGCGCCUCUGAGUCGCGUGUUCACAGAAUCGCGUUUUCAAUUCUGCACCUGCAGAACAGAAACGCGCCAUUAAAACGCGACUUUAAGUCGCGUUUUGAAGGAAGUCGCGUUUUGUUGCCUGGAUCAAAGAUGAAAACGCGCCAUUGAAAACGCGACUUGAAGUCGCGUUUUCUCACAGAACCGCGUUUUCAGUACUGCAACUUUUGGGAAGAAACGCGCAUUCAAAACCGCGAGUUAAAGGCGCGUUUCUACUCACGUUUUCUGAGCAUUUUUUUUUUUGAAAGAAAAAAUGCAGGUUCCUUGGUUCUCUUUUUCUUCUUUUCCUCAUAUAUUUUCUUGUACCUUGAGUUGCUUAUUGUGUAUUUUUUAUAGGUACAUCACCAAAACAAGGGCUUGAAGUUACGGAUAGCCGUUUUGAUGUUUUAAGCCUUUGUUAUCACUUUGGUUUCUCAUUUUCCAUUCUUAGGUUUAUAUCACUAAUGGUUAUCAAAUGGAACUCAUGAAGCGAUGAAGAAAGGCGAACAACGUACCUUGAAGCUUCAUACUCAAUCACAUCAUAGGGGAGUAUUACUUUCUUUAUCUUCAUUUUCCUUUUUACACAUUGAGGACAAUGUGUAUGUUAAGUGUGGGGGGAGAAUUGAGAUUAUAUAUAUUGUAUGUGAUUGACUUAUUAGUUGCAAAUAUUGGACUUGUGUUAAAAUUUUCAAAAUUUUUCUACAAUCUUGUCCAAAAUUGCAAACUUGCCCCAAAAAGUUUCAAUUUUUUCGAUUUUAUCCAAAGGGGUAACAAGUUUCAUACCAUUAGUAGUUCAAAUUUCUUCUACAUUUGAGAUAAAUAUAUGUGAUUUGGAAACUUCUUUUCUCAUUUAACUUGGAAAUGACUAUUAUGUGAUUAUAAUUUUGCAUUUGUAGGAAAAUAUAUCUUGUGAAGUGGAGAAAAUUAUGCAUAUAUUUUUUUUGCAUAUUUGAUGAAAUUUCUUCUCUUUAUUGGAUUUUAUAAGUUAAGUGAUAAAUAUGGUCAAUAAGUGCAAUACUCUUCUCAUGAUUAUUCUUUUGAGGAAUUUAUUAUUAUCUUUGCUGUAAAAAGAAAAAAAAUGGAAAGAAAAAAAAAGAAAAAAAUCCAGUAUCAUCAAACUUCUUCAAAUGGGCUCUUUAGCUACUAACCCCUUCAAAAAUAAUUUAGGCUUACGGUUCUGUUGAUGUCGCAAUUGCAGGAGGUUCAGAAGAUAACGAAAGGCUCAUCUAAGAUUUCUUAAGGUGUUUGGCUUAUAUUGCUAGAUUUACUUAAUCUAUUUUCAUUCUUCUCCGAUGUCAUUAUUGUUAAAGUUCAAUUCAUAAGUUGGUUGUGUUAGAAAAUUGGCUUAAUUUCUUUUUAGAUAGGUUUUUGUUUUGUGCAAAAGUAACUAGUUUCCUAAUUGGUUUUAGUUACUCGGAAUAGUAGCCAAGAAAUUUCUUAUUUUGUUUAGAAUUAGAAGUUAUUUCUUAUUUUCUACAAGUCUAGGAAUUAGAAUUAAUUUCCUGUUGUUAUUUGGAUUUUUUGACCAAAUAAUAUUUUUAUAAAUAGGUGGGUUGGCAUACUAUAAAAGAGACACAUAAGGGCACACAAGGACGACAUGUAACCUUAUACAUGGGUGGUGAGAGAGAGUUCUUAGGAGAUGAGAAAUGGUAUACAAAGGUUGGACUUGAGUUCGAGUUGUAUUCUUGUAUAAGGUUUUUCUCUCAUAAUAAAUAACAAGUUUCUCUCCGUGGACGUAGGUUCAAUGGAGUCAAACUACGUUAAAUAUUGUGUGUUGUUUAUCUUUUAUACUUGUGGCUUGUUUCUCAUUAAAUUAUUGUGUACUUGAUAUCUUAAUAGUUAUUUAUUCUGCAUUUAGUUCCUAACAAAUGGUAUCAGAACUUGAUUGCGAGAUUGGGCUGCUCACAAGCACUUGGAUCCCAACAAACUGAAUAGUUGGAUCAAGAGUUUGGUUGUUCAAGGAUGGAUCCUAGUUAGCUAUUGAGAUCAAGUAGGUUGGUGACUGUUACCAAUUGAACAAUUUAAUGGGCGGUAUCCUUUUUCAAGAGUUUGGCAAAAAAGCAUUGACGGUGAAUGAUGAAAAGUCGAAAAGCAUGGAGAUACUUGACGGUGAAUCUAGGCAGAUGAUUCAAGAGUCAAGGAAAAGGUGGAAUCCAAUAUCGAUUUUGGACGUGAAUCGGUGGAGACUUUCUCACAACUUCAACGGUUGAUACUUCAUCUCGGUGAUUUUUAGAUUUCGCUUAUGUUUUUUGAGUGGUACGGCACCUGACCCAAAAAAAUAAAGAGAUUUAAUUUCUAUGCGCUAGAAGACUCUGACAGUUACGAGUCUUUUGUUUCAGGUGAAUUUUUGGAAACCACACGUGGCGAGAUAGUCUUGAGGAAGGGAAGAAGUAUGAUGAUUUUAUCACUUGGUUGCCUCAAUGAUUAAGGUUAGAGCUCAUAGAAGGAGAUUUUGGGUUGCAAGUGGUGGUGAGAAGAAAUCCUGUAAAGAAAAAUGGUGAAUUGAGGCAUCUUCUCACGAAUCAACUGGAGGUUGUACUAGGUGUAAAUACACAUAUUCAUUUGGCAAUUAAAUUAAUUUGGUAUCAGAACUGUAUUGAUUCGGGUGUGUAGUUCGGUACCAUAUUAUUUGGUAGUUGAAAGUAAAUAAUUGUUAAAAGAAAUUUUCGCCAAGAUAGAGAUUUGUUAGGAAAUUGAUUUAAUUUCUUUUCAGACAGGUUUUUGUUUUGUGUAGAAGUAACUAGUUUCCUAAUUGGUUUUAGUUACUUGAAAUAGUAGCCAAGGAAUUUCCUAUUUUGUUUAGGAUUAAAAAUUAUUUCCUAUUCUAUACAAGUCUAGAAAUUAGAAUUGGUUUCCUAUUAUUAUUUAAUUUUUUGGCCAAAUAAUAUUCUUUAUAAAUAGGUGGGUUGGCAUACUACAAAGAGACACACAAAAGCACACAAGAGACGACAUGUAGCCUUAUAUGGGUGGUGAGAGAGGAUUUUUAGGAGAUGAGAGAUGGUAUACAAAGGUUGAAUUGGGGUUCAAGUUGUGUUCUUGUAUAGAAUUUUUCUCUUAUAAUAAAGAACGAGUUUCUCUCUGUGGAUGUAGGUUCAAUGGUGGAGCCGAACCACAUUAGAAAAUAGUGUGUCAUUUAUUUUCAUGUUUGUGGCUUGUUUCUCAUUAAAUUGUAGCGUACUUGAUAUCUCAAUAGUUGUUUAUUCCAUGUUUGGAUCCUAACAGAUUGCUAAACCAAGAUUGAUGUAAUUGCGUCCUAUAAGAGAGUUUGCAAUUCAAUUGAUUAAGGGAAGAACAGAGAAAAUCCCUGAAAAUGGGAAUUAAAGGAAACAAAGGAAACCCUAAAACUAGUUUCCAAGAACAAUUCUGUCGAAGACAGAAAACAAAGAAAAUAGUAUCAAAGGCUAUAUCGUUAUUUAGGAAACAAGAAGCACUUGAAGGUGAAUGUUGCAGAAAGUAGAAGAUCCCACUACAAUUUACUAAUUCAAGGAGCUGUAAUUAAGAAAGAAAGAAGACAACUCAGAGAAUUAGGGAUUGUUAUUAAUUGAUGAAUGAGUAGGAAGAAUGUAGAUGAAGAUGAUAAUCAAUUACAAGUAAUGGAAAUCGGAAAUCCUAGAACUGCCUUCAACUUACCACCCUCCUCUCUUUUAUUCGGCUACUACACUUGUCCAAGUCAGCUAAUUCAUUACAACCAACUGACAUACAAGAAUUAUAAGGAUUUAUUCAUUAAGUCCCUAUCAUACUCGCUUUAUUACAAAAAAAAAAAAAAACCCUAUCAAUAAAACUAAGGUAACAAAUACUUCCCCCUCAGAGAAUCCUUGUCCUCAAGGAUUAAAUUCAGGAAAUUGUUGUUUAAGGUCAAACCAGAAUUCCCAGAUAGCAUCUUCAAGAAAAGAAUUGCUUCACUAUGCCAAAACUUUUGUAGCAAGAGAGUUACCACAUUUCACCAAUUUCUGAUCAAGUAUGGCUAUAGGCUCCAUUAAUAAUUAUCCCUGUGUAUUGAUUGUGUAUUGAUUGCAAAAGGAAUGUGUGAGGUAACUAGUGAGUGCCCACUUUCUUCUUUAGAAGAGAUACAUAAAAAAUAGAGUGUAUUUUUGCCAUAUUAGGCAGCUAAAGCUGAUAUGCAACAGGGUGUACUCUUUUGAUCACUUGGAAAGGUCCAAAAAACUUAGAAGCUAACUUCUGACAAGAGUGUACCUUCAAAGAGUGUUGCCUCUACAGUUGUAGUUUCACAUAUACCCAAUCUCUUGCCGAGUACUGUCUAUCAGACCUGUGUUGGUCAGCUUGUUGCUCCAUCCUAUUUUGUGCCUUAUGAAGGUUGUACUUUAAGUGAUGCAAAACUAUCUCCCUUGCUGCCAAGAUUCUAUCCACCACUUCCACUACUGAAUUCCCAAGUAGACAAGGCAUAUGCAGAGAUGGUGCAUGACCAUACACCACCUCAAAUUGGAUAACCUUAGUGGCAGCAUGAAAUUUGGUAUUGGACCAAUAUUCAGCCAAGGGUAACUAGAUAGACCACUGCUUUGGAAAAUCUCCACACAUGCACCUCAAAUAUUACUCCAAACACCUGUUUACCACCUCAGUUUGACCAUCUGACUGAGGGUGGUAGGUAGAAGAGGUAUUAAUCUGCACUUUUAGUAACUUAAAAAGUUCUUGCCAAAAAGUGCUAAUGAAGACCACAUCCUUGUCACUAACAAUGCUCUGAGACAAGCCGUGAAGUCUACAGAUCUGAUCCAGGAAUAUGUGCAAAUAUAAAUGCUGAAUAAGCAUGUGACAAUGCCAAGAAGUGUGCAUACUUACCUAACUUGUCAACCACCACCAAGAUGGCUUGUUUACCAUGUGCAUUAGGUAAACCUUCCAUAAAGUCCAUGGAAAUUCACUCCAAACCUUUUGAGGCACACGUAAAAGUCGUAAUAAACCCAAAUAAGCAGUAUUGUCAUAUUUGUUGCACUGACAGACAUCACAUGCAGCCACAUAGUUGACUAUGUCUUGAUACAUUCUUCUCUAAUAAACCACUGACUUCAACUUCUUUUAGGCAGCAUAAACUCCUGAAUGCCUCCAACAGCACUAGAAUGCCACAAGUGAAUUAUAUUAUUCUUGAAUUGGCAGUCAUUUUCUACCACUAGUCUCCCCAUCCUCCUUAACUGCUAGUUGCUCCAUGUGUAAUAAGGUGAGACCUUAGAAAGAUCAAAUUGUAAUUGAGUGAUGAAGUUCUAUAGCCUUAUAUCUAUUUGCCAUCCCUUUUUAAUCACUAUCAAAGAUCACUGUUAACAAUGAUGAUGGCAAGAGCUUCUCUUGGUUCUGCUAGUUUUCUAAAGAGAGUAUCUCUCACCAUAUUAUAUGCUUCUUUCCUGUAGUGAAGCUCAUAAUAAAAUCUUACUAGCUUAGUCAUCCAUUUCUGCUGCAUAAGAGUAGGGCUGUCAAUGGUCUGGGUCUAGACCCGGACCCGGACCGGAUCCGUCAAAUUUAUCCGGUAUGGGUAGGGAUUUAAUUCCGUUACCCGGACCCGGAUCCGGAGCCAUUUUGCCAAACAAAAAAACGGGUCGGAUACGAAAUAUAGUAUUCCGACCCGUAUUGGACCCGGAUCCGGAUAUAAAUGGAUUACUAAUUUAAAAAUAUAUAUAUUUAUUAAUAUAAUUUGAUUAGGAUGAUGUAUUUGAGUGAUCAAUAUAAUUGGACACCCGGAUCCUAAUCAAUAUAAUUUGAUUAGGAUGAUGUAUUUGAGUAAGGUUAAUUUGAUUUCUUUUCUUAUUUGAUUUUUUUUGUAUUAGUUAGAAAUUAGUUUAUAAAUAUAUGUUUUUUCUCAUUUUUGUUAGAAAUUAUAAAUUUUGUUAGUUUUUUUUCGGGUAGACCCGGAUCCGGAUCCGGGACCCGUCGGAUCUGGAUCCGGAACAUAGAGUAAAGACCAUCGGGUAAACGGGUCGGGUCCGGAUCCGAUAUAGUGUGCCGGGUCCGGGUCUGGAAUAAUGAAUUCCGGCCCGGACCCGCCCGUUGACAAGCCUACAUAAGAGUGUUCAAUCUUUGUUCCAUCAUAUAUUCAAUGCUCUAAUGGUCAUUUUUAAUGAUAACGUACCUUCCAGGUAGAUAAGGUCUCCACUUCUAUACAGCAGCAACUAUGGCCAAUAUUUGCACUUUUCCAAUAUACUAUCAUAUGCUAUUCCCCCACACACCUAAAUCUUAUAUUGUCCCCAAUGUAAAAUAAAGAAUAAAAGAAAAGUAAUGGGGAUAACGAAACUUCCUUGAUAACUGAGGGGGCCGUCGACAGCUACAGGUGAGGGGCGAAUGACUGUGGAGCUCGACGUAUGUUGAUGGUUGGUGGCGGUGGAGUUCGGAUGGAGAAGGAUGGAAGAAAGAAAGAAAGAAGAAAGAAAAAGAAGAGAGAAAGAAAGAAAGAAAAAGAAAAGGAAAAAGAAAGGAAAAGGAAGAGAAAAGAAAAGGGAAAUACGAAUGGGAAUUGCUCCAAUCCGAGCUGGUUUUUUGUACUACUACUUUGCUUCUUGUACGAAGCUUGAAGUUGCAGCAAGCGCGGAAAUUUUUUUUUUUUUACAUCUAAUUUUGAUUUUUUUCUUUUUCUUUUUCCUUUUCUGUAUUUCCUUUUCUUUUCUUUCUAAUUUUUCUGCAAAAACAAUCAAAUGAGAUGGAAUGAUUUUUUUUAAAAAAAGGUAAAAAUAUAAAUAGAGAUAAAUAAAUAAUAAUAGUUAUUAACAAAUCAUAAAAUGAUUUAUGAAAUUUUUUUGGUGUCUACAUAUAUACACAUACUAAUAAUUUUUAUAUUUAUAUAUUUUUCCUAUUUAAUCUUACCUAUAAUUCUUUCUUAUUUUAUUUACUUUUUCUAAUUAAUUUUAUAUUUUUAAAAAUAUAACAUCUAAAAAUAUAUAUUAACGAAGAGGACAUCCGUUAGACAGGUCCUAUUUUAUGUAAUAUAUAUCUCUACAUGAAAAAAACUUUUUUAAUAGGUAUCCCGUUUUUUGACAUGAAAAAUACCUUUUGACUACAUUCUGACUAGCGCCAAAAGCUAUCCACUUUUGACAUGCUGCCCAUGCAGGCCUAAUUUUUUUUAGUACUGAAUUUGUUUUGGAUACGUUAGUAUUUCUUGAAUUUUAGAAAAUGCUUCUCUUUAAUAAAUGUAAGUUCAUUUUAAUCUUGAUUCGCAAGCUUUUUCUUGAAAAUGGUUUGCCAUUUCUUAUUAGUUGUUACAGUAAAUUUAGCAUGCAUAUAUGCUUUUUGUCAAAAUUCAAUCAUUUCAAAAUCUAGAAGGGAACUUCUAAAAUACCUGCAUCCUCCUUUUUCUUUUUUCUUUUUUAUUCCCCCCCCCCCCCCCCCCCGGCUUUGUAUUCAGAAUCAGAUUGUGUUCAAUUAGUUGGAAUUUGGCUUUGGAGUUAAAAGGGAUUUCCAUUUUUUCCUAGGUAUUCCACAGCUUGCAUAACAAAAGCACAGAGGCGGAAGAAAACCCAUGAUUAAAUCAUACAACAGGCUUGUAAGAAAAUGCCCACUCUGAAAAAAUGAAAAGUUGAAUUUCCUAUUUUCAAAUUUACAUGCAAAAAAUGAAUAAUGACAUGCAAGAAAUAGUCUGCUAUUUCGCCAUGUUUCACAGUUUAUGAGAAAUAUAUUACAAAUAAAUCCACAUAAAUGGUGGGAAUAAUAACUCAAAUAUGGUGGGACAAAUAAACAUACAGGGUGACCCCUGCCAGCUGAGAUAACUAGCUGGUUUAUUUAAUUUAAUAGUUUGAAUACAAUAGUAAAUCAAUGCCAUAGCUCAGAUACUGACUAAAUUUUUCUCCCUGAAGAAUUCAACAGCAUCUUUUAGGCUGACCUCCAAAGGAGUGAAUUGAACUCCCAACCUUUUUGCCUUCUCAUUGGAGGCUCUGUAGUUUGGGCUGAUAAGGUUGGUAUUGUUUGACAUUCUGCUGUAUGCGGGACAAUACACAAUUAUGGCAAACAUAAAUAAAGCUUAGGUAAUGAAAAUGCAAAUGUAAAUUCAAAUGCUUGAAAAUCUACUGGACAAUUGCCUCAUAUCUACUGUAAAUUGUGCCUUUUUUACGAAGUUUCAAAAGACCUUUUAAAAGAUAACUUUAGUUGUGAUAUGAAUGAAAUUUAUUUUUCUCUAUAAAAAAGCCUAAAACGGAAUUUCUAUUUUGGAGACAAAGCCAAUUUGGUGAUAUAUCCUAGUCCAAAGAAGACCAUCUUCUAGAAAUCAACCUGAGAAAGAGCUCAUUUUUUAUGGAACAUGAGACCAAAAGAAAAAAAAAAGAAGGCAGAAAAUUUAGGAUUUAGUGUCCUUUAAAAGAGAGUAUAAAAAUAUGUGAUACAUUUUGGACGUAUACAAGGCCAUCAGCAAAAGCCUGCAAAGACCUAAACAAGGAAAACAAGACUUACUUAUCAGGAAAUUGGUGAGUUGGGUAAUGCUCAUGCAAAAUCUUGAUGAUCUGAGAGGCAUUUGCACAUCUUUCAACCAGACAAUAUCUUCCACUUGCAGAAGGGGUUUCAAGGGCAAGAACAUGUGCAUUGGCAACAUCUCUAACAUCAACCCAGCUACAUGUUGCCUUAGGAAAUGGUUCAACCCCUGCAUUUGGCACCUAAGAUCUUUAAACACAUUUUUUUGCAGGCUCUUCAGCAAACAUAAGUGAAACCAAUUUGGUUUGUUUGGAUUGGCAUGAUUUCAGAUAAAAUAAUUUGCUUCACAAAUUCCAAUCACCUUUUUAUCUCACAUACAGCACAUCACAAAAGUGUUACAGUAAUUAUCUCAAAUAAAUCAUCUAAAUAAACUUCUAUCCAAACAAAAUGUUGUUUGCCAUGAAAAGAGUCAAAUUUAGAGGCCAUGGCCUGCCUUCCAGAAGAAAUGUGUGGUAUGUACUACUUUGUUCUGUUUUAGUAUCAGCAAAGCCACAGAGGGGAGGGAGAUGUGAGGAAUGAACUACUUGAGACAAUUCAGAUAAUUGGUGAAUAAUAAGAAAGAUUAAUCCCAACAAUCUUCUAGUUAAUCUGUCGAGUUAUUACCUGGAAUUUCUCAGAUUUAGAGUUAGGUUUCAAAGGAUAGUUUAUUUAUUUAUGUGAGGAAUAAACAAGCUUUAGCAAGUCUGAACAACAUAAACAGUGACUACUCCUAACAAAUUUUUCCUCACAAUUACCACCCAAAAAUUUCUUUUCCUUCCUGUUAAUCACAUAGAACCUCAAUGUUGUUGAAAGGAAGAUGCACACAACGUGAAUUUCAGAUGAAAGAUUGUACUGCAAACCUUUAAAACAUCAUAAGCUGGUCAGAGUUUAUAGCUUGAUAUAUCAGUUCACAUUCUGACCUAUGUCUGUCAAUCAUGUGAUAAGCCAGCAGUGCCUUGAAAUGUUAUUAGUCAUAAGUUUUUUGUUCUACUGUAACAAAGAAAGUUGUGGUGCAUAAUAAAGCUACAAGUAACAUAGAUGGAAGAGUCAGUUAGACAAUGAUUACUAAGGUGAUUCAAUAAAUUUUGAAACAAACCCUUUAAUAGGUUGAGGAACAAAACAGCGCUCGAAUUAACAGAUGGCUGCAAGAGAGGACCAAUGACCAAUCCUGGAUGAAUUGUAAUCACGUCAAUGCCAUGCUCCUUUGCAAAUUUCCAUGCAGCAUUCUCGGCCAUGGUUUUUGAAAGUUCAUACCAAGACUAUCAACACCGAAAAAUCAGUAAAUGUUGGUAAGAUGGUAGCAGAAAGUAAUUAGAUUUGUAAACUUUAAGAAGUAACAUUAUAAAUUUCUACAAAUUUGACAAAACCAGCAACUUACAUCAGUUGAAACUAUUAUUGCUGUAGCUACAAAGCACAGAGUGAAAGCAUCCACAUUUCCCAGGACAAGCUAUGCUAUAAGUGAAUAAGUAGAUUUCUCAAGGAUCCUAGGAAUGGUGUAAACUUUCUAUAUUCAAGGAAUGAUGCAAAGCACCAGUGUCGACAUAUCCUGAUCAUCUGAUCUCUUAAUCCACAAGCUAACAGCAAAACUACAAGGGACCUUGACACUUUAACACAAAUAGCCAUAUUCAUAAUAUUAUAGCAGAAGUUCCUUUCCAACUGACCGACCAAAUAUUGCUCAUCUAGGUGUGUAUUCUCAGACAAUAGUAUAGAAUUUGAUCAUGCAAGAGAUGCAUAAUUAAGUAGGAAAACUUUCAUAUUGCUCUUUCCCCGACUAUUCCACACUACAUUAUUAAUUUUUCAUUAAAGUUAAGUUGUUACUUAGAUAGAAGGAAAGAAAUGGACUGACCAUUCUGGUUACAAAAAUAUCCUUUUUUUGCCUAUUAAAGUACCACCAAGUCAUGAAGAUCCUAACUUAAUUAUCUCCACAGCUGGGCUAACUCCUCAUAUGUGUUCCAACAACAAGUUAAAACUAAAGAAUUCCAGCAUUCCAUAUUAGAUUUUACUGGAAGAAGACAGAUAAUAUAUGUACCUUUUGCUCCUCACAGUAUGAUGGUUCGGAAAACCAACUUUCAUCAACUACCACAUCCUCCUUUAAUUCUCUGUUUUUUGAAACUGCAACCAUAGAGGAUGUUAUAACUACUCUUUUGACAGAAGAAGAAUUUGCACAUGACCGCAGCACAUUCAGUGUUCCGCUUACUGCAGGUUCCAGUAGUUCUGCCUAUGAAAUCAAACCAAGUAAAAAAGGAAGUCAUUACCAGUCAUAGGUAAGACUAUGCUUUUAACCUGCAAAAAACUUAUCAUUCUGGUAUUAUGUUUGAGAAUUUCACCACAAAUGCUGUAAACCUACAGCUUUAGUUACUUAGCUAAAGGAUGCAUAUUGUUGUCUUAUCUCCUCUUGCUGCUAAAAUAAGUUCUCAGGUCCUUUAUUGUUGUUUUUUCCCAAAUUUUUUCAGCUUUCACUGGGUGACAGGAACUUAAGACCAAUAGAGGAACAACUGAAAUAAGUCUCAGAUGUGGUCACCAAUUAAACCGUUUGCUACCAAAUAUCAACCGAUGAAAUUCUGUUCUGGCUUGAACAGGACAGACAGAAAAUAUAAAAGGUGUAGCUCCCAUGAAUCCUGCGAACAGAUUUUAGCGUGAACACAUAAUGCAUGUUGCAAUUUCUUUUAGUGUCUGUGAGUCAACCUUGUUCAUUGAAAUGACUAAAAUCAAAGUUCUACAAAGUUACUUAAAAAAAAUCCAUAAACACAAUUUGAGAAACAGACAAGGAUAGGUGUACUGCAUAAAAUUAAGGCACAAUCAUUAAUAGAAGUUAAUCAACUUACAAAUGAAGAUACAUAUAAUUUGCAGAUGCUUGAACAUAUAUUGUAGUUUCUAUAAGCUUCUUAUUCAUUCUGGUAUGGGCACGCAAAAGCCAUUGGCUCUACACUGGCUGAAUAAUUAGUUGGUCAAAGCAGGGAUUCAUUUGCUCCAGGACAAGCUUAUAGCUUGCUCUAUAACCUUACCCUGACUGACUUACCCAGGAAAAUAGUUAGUCGGACCCAAUCUACUGCCCAAUUGUGGACCAUUUGCUAUGUUUAUGGCUCUUAAUGUUUUUAUUUCACAACAUUACACCCUUUGAAUUGUUUCGCUGAAGUACCAAUUUCCAGAUCAUUUCAUAGAAACAUCAUGUAUACUGAUUAAAAAGAGACUAAAGCACAUAACACACGACAGUCUUUUUGUGAAUGACCUGCUGGAACAGAUUAGUUUUGUAUGUACCAAAUGUAAAGAAAUAUUCUUCAGGUGUUUGACCUGAUUGCUACAUUAAUCUCCUCCCUUUGGUUAAUAAAAGAAAAAGUAGAGCCAUAGAAUUGGAAACAUUUGAAUCUAACUCUCUUUUUUUUUUUGCCUUUACAGUUAUAACCUUGUCAUAAAUCACAUAUAGAGGAGUAGACUAUCACCCAAAAAAGCCAGUAAAAAUGCAACAGAGGAAGAUACUAAAAGAAGUCGUACAAUUAUAAAUCAGAAAAUAUGCUACGAUUCUCAAACUUCACUUGAUAAAUAGCAGAUUUUGUAGACAGUAGAGAUUUUUCAAUCUUGUAAAGCAAAUGUACCUCUGGAUUGCUAAAUGAAAGUUUGAUUGGAGAUGCAGUAUGGAAAACCCCUUCACAUCCCUCGACUAUUGCAUCAAACGAUCCCUCUUCCAGUAAGUUUGCCGAGUACAACUGAAGCCUUUCCUUAGCUCCAUCAAGUGAUGUCAAAUGUUGUGUCCUUUCCGGAUCAUCUGUGUCAUGAUUGUAUCAGUAGAAUGUUCAGACAGCUAUAAUCAAAACCUUGCCGCCUUGGUAAAGUGUACUAUGUUUUCACUAUGGUGAAACUCAAGAAGAAAUGGACAUAGAGUAAUAAUAAACGAAUCUCAAAGCAAUGAUAAAUUUGACUAGCUAAAGGCAAGCGGGGAAAAACGAAAAGAAAUUGACGGGCAACAUAAUAUGACCACAAUAAUAUCAUAGCCCUAUGAUUUCUGGUUUUGAGAUGCGUACAUUUGUAACUUUCUUGAUAACAAUUAAUUCUUGAGAUAAUUAUCAGAGGGACAAUUGUAUGCCAUCUACCACUAUUUUUAUAACAAACUCAGUCCUUCAGAAGAAGGAUAUAGAUUCGAUAGGCUAAAGAUUUUUUAUUAUAACUUGAUCGUUGUAUCUGGAGCAUGAAACAAUUAAGUUGGUCCACAUCAAAAAUAUAUAUAUAUAUUUUGCAUGUGAUUUUCUUUUGAGCAAACAGAACAUGGGGAGCAUUUAGCUGUUGCAAGAAUAUCAUCUGGAGCUACAAGACAAUUUCACACUGCAGAGUUGAAUAAAAAUAUUGGGCAAAUUACAUAUAAUCCUCCUGUGGCUUUGUCUGUUGCCACAUGACCCUUCUAACAUUUUAAAAUAUCCAAUUCACCCACUAUGAUUUUAUGUAAAGCGGAAACUUGAUGGAGAAUAGCCUAUAUAAUGUCGUUAAUUGAAAUACCAUUAGUACUUUUACUUAAAUGCUAAAUCAAUCGACGAUUUAAUUACCUUAUAUAAAAGUAUAAGGGGAUUAUAUGGAUAAAUAUAAAAAUCACAGGAGGGAUAAAGUGGACAAUUAUACAAACUAUAAGGGAAUUACAUUGAAAUUAAGACUUUAUUACACACGCUUUUAGAGCGCGUUUGGUAUAAAUGCCGUAAUUAAUUGUGCAUUCCAUCAUUUUCCGCUUUACAUAUAACUAUAGGGAAUUAUGUGGCUAUUUUGAAAUUUUAGAGGGACCAUCUAGCAUUAUAUAAAAUUACCCUAAAAUAUAGUUAUAAGUAAUUUACCCUAAAAUGUUAGAUUCCAGGGGCAAUUAAACAACAAUCAGAACAGGGCAUCAAAAACUGCACAAGCCACUAAGAUAGUUGAUCAAGAACAAAAACUGGAGUUACAGGCAUCUCGAACUGAACCUUUAACAGUAUAACCGCGCUCGAGCAGCAGCUUCACCAGCCAUGAAGCUAUGUAACCCGAAGCUCCGGUCACACACACCAUUUUCCCUUCUCCUGCUCCACUCAUUUUGUUAAUAUUUUUGUGUGUGAACCUGUCACCUGUUUGCCUUACUUCUGGACUUAAUGGAGGGAUGCAUAUAUGGUGUAUAUAUAGCUAUGGUGAAGAAGACGAAAGAUUGGAUAUGAGAUUACGUGGGAGACUAGGGAGAUCCAUAUGUAUUCUUGCAAUUUGCAUGCAUCAUCGCUGACAUACGUAUGGUAUAAUCGCGUCACAUCCCAUUUUAUCAAGGUCAAUUGAUCAGUGUAAAAUAGAAAUGAACAAUAAAUACAAUGGUAAAUUACCUUCUACACCCUAUGGUUUGAUGUUUUAUCACAUAACUCCCUAUGAUUUAAAAACCUAUAUUUGACCCUUUCAUAGUUUGGAUUAUUGUGUCACUUUAGAUUUUUCCGUUAAAACUAACGGUCAAUAGUAAAAAGUCAAAUUCAAACUACUAAAUUGAUAAAUUCACCAUUUCACUACUUUUUUUUUCUUGUUUUCCUUUUCUUUCUCUCCUUUUUUUUUUUUUGGAAAGAGAAGAGAUGACUUUGAAAACUUGUAUUUUGGCUUACAAAACCUUAAUUGUUUCCAAAUACAAAAGAGAUAGAAGGGAAAUAAAAAUAAAUCAACAAGAAACAAAAAAUAUGGAAGGUAAAGAUAUAACAAAUAAAUAAGAAACAAAAAAACACCAAAUCUUUUUUACUAUGAAUAUCAUUAUAGGUUUUUAAACCAAAUCUUUAAUAGUAUUUUCUAGUUCUUAUUUAUCUAUAUUUUAUUUCAAUUUCUUCUUUUUGAUGUUUGUAGGGGAAAAAAAACAAGUAAUGAAGGGAUAAAUUUGUCAAUUUAUUAGUUUGACUUUUUAAUAUUAACUGUUAGUUUUAACAAAAAAAACUAACUAUUAGGGGGUUAUGUAUAGUUUUUAAACGAUAGGGGGUUAUGUGAGAAAAUACCAAACUAUAGAGGUUAAAAGGCAAUUUAUCCUAAAUACAAAAUCAGGCGGUUGCAUAUGAAAAAAUACCAAGGUUCUUGACUUUGCUCAAUACAAUUCCAAGUCUAGAGACACAAUUUUUAAAUUCACUACCAGGAUAAACCAUUCUCCUUUUUUUUUUCGGGUUAAAAAAUACAAACUACUUGAACUAGAAACUAGUCCUGACAAAGUUUGUGGGUUUUUUGCAAGAGUUUUAGUUAAAUAUUGGUUACUUCGCCUAAUUUGCACCUAUUUUAUCACGUAAAUGCACACACACUUUUAAAAAAAUAAUGCAUGCACUUAUAUUAUUGCCUUUCGUACAUUUAAAUACUUUUUUCAAUUUAAUUUUACUUUUCUGGCAAAAUUAAAUCUGAAGCCCAUUUCAAGAAAUAUCCACCGAAUACCAGGUCAACAAAUCCCCUUCGUAAUAAAGAACGAAAAGAACCGCAGCGUUCUUAACACGCAGCGGUCUUUUUGCAUCUAAGAAAGCUUUUGAUUGGCUAGAAAUCCUUCUCUGAUUGAGAAAUGGGAAUUGACUUGAUGAUGGCAACUCCAUUUAGAAAACUGGUCCACACCCUUGAAUGUGGUUUAAAUUUAAUAACACCAUUUCAUCAUUUCUGACGACUGCUUCUUCUAUAUCGAUCCUAGCUCACUGCACACGCCAGUCGUGUGAAACUUGGCAAAAGAGUUACACCCGCCGUCCUAAAAUUGUUUGUCGCAUUUCGAAACCCAACUUUUUAAAAAUAGCAGCUUGAUGAUGAUAUUUGUAGAUUUGUCUCAAAAAUUGUCAUCAAAAAUUCAAAUUUUAAAUUGAAUUUAGUAUGAAAUAUAGAUAAAGUUAUUGGAAUAAUAUUGAAAAAAAGAGAUUAAAAGUUAUUUUGAUUUUUGAUAAGAUAAUAAAUAUUUUAGAACGUUUCAAAAUAAAAAAAAAAAUAUGACACUUUCAAUGAGACAAAAGAAUGGAGAGAAUAUAUUAUAUAAGAUACUGAAAACUAGCGUCCAUCAGAAGCAGUCAAAUCAAAGCCAACAUAUUACUUGUAGUUUGGUUUAUAACAAUAUCUCAGCUUGCUGGUAGCCCAAAAAUUUAGCAAAAUAAAUUAGGAAACCAAGUGCGAUAGAGCAUAUUUCACCCAAAUAUAUUAAAAGUGAAAAAAGAUUUAUUUUUAUUUAGUCAAUGUGAUUUUUGUGUCCGCAUGCCCAUAAAGCUUCAAGGACCAAAAAGCCAAACAUACGAAGUGAAAAUGUGAAGAGCAAUAAUUUGAAUAUAAAAAAAAAAAGCAAGUAGAUGGAUAGAAAACCAUGUCGAAGGUCUCUUCUCUCUCUUUUUUUUUUUUUUGGUUUGACCAUGCAUGGUGCAUAUGAUAUGAAGGAUAAUUGUAAAGCACCAUAUACUGCCCAAGGAAAGUAGAUUACACAGUGGGAACCAAAAAUAGAAGAAAAUAAAGCCUCAUAUGAACCGAAUCUUUCCCCUUGCUUUUUUUCUGGGAAUUUAAAGGUAUAAUGCAAGAAAUAACUCCUGGUCAUGCAAAAUUGCCAACAAAAAAUGCGUCUUUGGUUUUAAAUUCCUUAAUAACAUACUAUCCAGCAUACUAUUUAGCAUAAUAACAUACUAUCUCAGAUGCAUCCACUCCAAAUAUCCUGGCCGAGAUGGUAUAUGAGGCCAAUUUUCUAUCAAAAAUAUAGGUCGUCUGUAGCAGGUAAUGACGUUACCUCACUACAACAAAAAUGGCCUUUAGCGGCAUUUAAAGGUGUCAGUAUAGAAAAUCUAACCUGACACUUUAUCUAUCCUGACACCCAUGGCGGAUCGAGUGUUGUCCCUUCCAAUGUGGGAUAGCCUCAAAUCUUUAGCAGCAUUCAAAUGUGUCAGGCAAACCAUGCUGCUAUAUCUUUACCUCUGCCAACAAAUCUCUUUUUUUGUGAUAAUCGAAAGUGUCUGUAUAGCGUUAGGACAUCAGAGUAGGGAAUCAGUAGGAUAUCAAAUUUAUGAAGACAUCUUGAGUUGUCUUAAUAUAUGGCUUUAAGGACACGUAGCCAUGUGAAUUUACAAUGUGUUGGACGACAUGCCCAUUUGUUGUUAGUGUUUUUUCGAAGCUACAUAAUUUAUCAACCCAUAUGACAAGGGUUUAUUUUACGUAUUUUUAGUGUGUUUUAUUAGUUAAUUUUGGUUUGAUUAUUUAGUAUUAUAACUAAAAUAACUAAGGUUUUGGUAAAAAACUACAUUUUAUUUAAAAUGGCUAAACAUUGCAUUUUAUGGAUUUUUAUGGUAAAAACUUCAUAUUUUGUAGGUUUAAUGAUUCAAUCAUCAAAUGAAGGCAUUGAGAAGAUAUUUGGAUGAUUGAAGAUGGAUUAAAGUGAGGAAAAUAAAAUAUGAAGUGUAAAAGGAAGAAAUGCAAUUUGAGGACAAAAAUCAAGAAAAGUCAGCUUUGACAACUCAGACAUAUAUUUUAUUUUGACUAUAUCAGGAGCUACAAUGAUCGGAUCAAGGUGAUCUUGGUACCAUUUUGAAGUUAAGAGAUAUAUCUACAUUUGGUAUGAAGACAUCAAAGUCCAGUUCAGCCGUUUUCAUAGUCCAAAAGUUGAAAUACCGAAAUUCAACUCAGCUGUCCAAAGUGGAAAACAGAGUUCCGACCAGUGUUUAGUAUUUUGAUCAUAUCUCAGUCUACAAAGCUCCGAUUUGGAUGAUUCUUGAAGCAUUGGAAAGCUAACUCAAAGAUAUACAACUUUGAUGUUUUGCACAAAAGCCAGUUCGGCCUGCAUCAUGGAGAAAAUCGCAGUUGAAGUAAGGACAAAGUGAAAACGCGAGUGCACAAAACGCGAGUUGUAGACGCGUUUUGUAAAGGCGCGUUUUCUGGCCGAAAUUCUGCAAUUUGCUCAGUCAAUUCUCUUGUGUUCAUACCACUUUCCAGCUAUAAGUUGCAAGAGAAUUCGGUGCACAUGCUUCAGAAGACAAAAGGGCAGACAAGGUGGCUUAUUUUCAAGUCAAAAACAUUUGUUAUUGACUAUCCUAACAAAGUUGAGAUUUGGGAAUCAAAAUGUGGAAAUUGACUUGGAAAAAUGGAGCUCUUAAGCAGUUUAUAUGCAGAGACAUUUUGGGUGGUCUGAGAAGGGGGAAAUAUACGGGAGAAGCUUGAGGAGUGCAGAAAUGUAGUUCUUCCAUUUCCUUAGUGUAGGAUAGUGUAGUAAGUGUAGUUCAUCCAUUCUUGUAUAAUGGCUAGAUUAGGAUGAAAAUGGAGAUGAAGAAAGAGAAGUUGAAGCUCAAGUGACAUGGGUUAUCUCUUCUCCAACUCUUUAUCUUUUGUAUUGGAUUCUUAAAUAUAGUUAAUAUGCAAUUUCUGGAUUUUAUAUUUAAUAUGUGUCUUUAAAGUUUAUACCUUGGGUUUGGUUGAACUUUCUAUGAUUGUUAGUGUUUAUCAUUUGGCUAUUUAACUGCUAUGAUUUGAGCAAGUUAUUUAGCACUUUAACUCUUUAAAUCAUGAUUAAUAUGGUACCAUUAAUUGUGAUUAUCUAAGGUGUUAUUUCUGCAAUGAAAAUUGAGAUUUAACAUUAGUUCAAGAAGUGCUAAACAUAGGGAGUACACUCACGAAAGUAGAGGUGCACCUAUGUGGUUUUUAGUGAUUCAUUUCAUGUAAUUUCACUGAAGAAAUGAACUUGUAGCUAAUUUCAUAACCAUGAGAAUAGGUAUGGAUUAGUUAUAAGUAUAAUUGAUUCACUACGAAAGUAGGAUUCAAAUGCAUAAGGAAAUUACACCAUAAUUAGCCUAGAUGUAGUAAUUAAUGAUCCAAAUAUAGCACUUGCAUGAGUAGUUAGGGAUACCACAACCUAAGGAGCUUUUAUUUGUUAUUUUGUAUAAUUUCAGUAGGAUAAAUUUGCUAUAAUUCAUUGAUAGUCUAAAUAAUAGAGAAGCUUUAGUAAUACCGGUAAUUGUUCACUCUUCCUUGUAGGAUCGACCCGAUAUAUACCCUAAACUACUAGUUGAUCUGUAUACUUGCAGUGAACGGGUGUAAUUCGGUAUUUUUUAGCUUGCACGUAUGUAAAAUACCCGUCACCAUACACCAAAUGAAUUUUCCUUGUAGAUGAAUAUCUAAUAUGACUGAAUUCAGAAUGUAUGGGUCUGUUAAAUCUAUUGAAAAGUUUAGAGCACAGUUAAAAUAUAUGGGUCCAUUACAUACAUUAGUUUGAAUCAUAGAAAGUAAAGAAGUUUUAUAUCUUUUGAGUUUAGUAUCUCUUAAUGCUAGAUAUAUAGGAGCAUCUACUCCUAGAUGGAAUAAGGGUUUUACUGUAAUUUGUAUUAAACCUAUAUGAAUAUAUCUAUAUUAAAAUGUGGAUCCCUCCAUUGUAUAAACCUAAUGACUGUAAUCCUAAUAUUAUAUCAUGAUUUAUAUUUUUUACAAUUAUGAAAUUAUGUCUAAUACAAUAUUCAUUGUUACAUAUUGAUCCUUUUGUAAAUUUAUAUUUUACUUGUAAAUUUUCUCCAUUUGCUGCCAUUAAGGUUUCCUUUGUUCUUUCACAAUAUUUAGUAGAAAUUAUUCCUUCUUUAAUACAACUUGAAUCAGGCUCCACUUCUAUUAAAGCUCUACAUAUAUUUCUUUGAAAUCUUCUACUGUAAUAGUUACUAAAGCAUACCAUUUUUGAAAUAUCAUUUUUUCUAUGGUAUUUAAAUAUUGAAUUUCAUCUGUUGUUUUUUUUUUGGUCUUUCUGAUAUACUUAUUUCUUCUGUUUUAGAAUUGGAAGUUGAUGGUUGAUUUUCUAGUAAUGUUAUUUUUGCUUCUAUUUCUAAAUCUUUUGUUUUUAAUUCUAUGAUUUCUCUUUGUAAUUGUUUUACUUGUAUUUUAAGAUCAUUAAUUUCUGUUUGAAGAUCUUUAGUGGUUUCUUUUUUCAUUAUAUUUAUGUUUAGAUAUUUAUCUAUUAAUUUAGAAAUACUAAAAGGUUCUAUUAUUUUUGGCAUUUUGUCUUCUUGUAUAAUUAGACUUUUUAAUCUUUCUAAAUACUCUUUUUUAGCUACUGGAUCAUCAAUUUUUUCUAUUAUAUCUAAUAAAAAUUCUUUAUCUUCUUUUUUGGUUAUAACAUUUAUAUAUUUUGAAGUGUUAGAACAAUUACAAUUUUCUUCACUUUCUGUACUAGAUAUAUCAUUAUAAUAAUCAUCUUCAGAAUUUUGAUCUUUUUCAUUAUUAAUAAAUUAAUUAAUUUAUUUUUAAUUUCUUCUUCUUUUGCACAAAUCUCUGUAAUUUUUUCUUUUAAUUUACAUUUGUUUGCUUUAUGUCCUAUUUUUUCACAUUUAUAACAAACAAUUUUUCUUUUAAUAAAUUUUCUCUUCUUUUCUGGUUUAUCUUCUUUAGAUCUUUUAUACUUUAUUUUCUUAUUAUAUUUUUUAACUUUUUUGUUAUAUGCAGAUGGUGAUUUAAUUCUUUAGUAGCAAAUUCUAAAGCUCUAUUAAUUGGUUUUAUUGUUCCUUGAUAUAUAUCAUGUCCUAAAAAUCUUAUUUUUGUUUGGAAUAAUUUCAUUUUUGGUGCUGAAACAACUAAUCCAUUUUUCUUAACUACUUUUAAAAAUAUAUUUAAAUGUUUGAAAUGCUGUUCUAUUGAUUCAGAAAAUAUUAAUACAUCAUCAAUAUAAACUAUGCUAAAUGAACUAUAAGGAUUGAAAAUAUCAUUCAUUAUAUUUUGAAAUUCUGAUGGUGCAUUUUUUAAUCCGAAUGGCAUUACGUUCCAUUCAUAAUGACCAAAAGGUGUUGUGAAUGCUGUUUUAUAUCUAUCUUUUGGUGUUAUUAAUAUUUGCCAAUAUCCUGAUUUUAGUUGUUUCAGCACCAAAAAUGAAAUUAUUUCAAACAAAAAUAAGAUUUUUAGGACAUGAUAUAUAUCAAGGAACAAUAAAACCAAUUAAUAGAGCUGUAGAAUUUGCUACUAAAUUUCCAGAUGAAAUAAAAGAUAAAAAUCAAUUACAAAGGUUUUUAGGAUGUUUAAAUUAUAUAGCAGAUUUCUUUCCUAAAUUAAGACAAGAAUGCUCUAUAUUAUUUAAUAGAUUAAAAAAGAACCAUUUCCACCAGUGAUUGAACCAGAUUGGGAAUUCUCUACUGCAACUUUUUUGAAUGUGAAGAACCAUGAAUGAUUGAAUGGUCUAUACAAAAAAAGCAAAAGUCUAAUUAUACAAGAAGACAAAAUGCCAAAAAUAAUAGAACCUUUUAGUAUUUCUAAAUUAAUAGAUAAAUAUCUAAACAUAAAUAUAAUGAAAAAAGAAACCACUAAAGAUCUUCAAACAGAAAUUAAUGAUCUUAAAAUACAAGUAAAACAAUUACAAAGAGAAAUCAUAAAAUUAAAAACAAAAGAUUUAGAAAUAGAAGCAAAAAUAACAUUACUAGAAAAUCAACCCUCAACUUCCAAUUCUAAAACAGAAGAAAUAAGUAUAUCAGAAAGACCAACAGAUGAAAUUCAAUAUUUAAAUACCAUAGAAAAAAUGAUAUUUCAAAAAUGGUAUGCUCUAGUAACUAUUACAGUAGAAGAUUUCAAAGAAACAUAUGUAGCUUUAAUAGAUAGUGGAGCUGAUUCAAGUUGUAUUAAAGAAGGAAUAAUUCCUACUAAAUAUUGUGAAAGAACAAAGGAAACCUUAAUGGCAGCAAAUGGAGAAAAUUUACAAUUAAAAUAUAAAUUUACAAAAGGAUCAAUAUGUAACAAUGAAUAUUGUAUUAGACAUAAUUUCAUAAUUGUAAAAAAUAUAAAUCAUGAUAUAAUAUUAGGAACACCUUUUUUAAUUCAAAUUUACCCAUUUUCAGUUAGUCAUGAAGGAAUUUCAAUAAAUAUAAUGGGAAAAACUGUUAUCUUUAGAUUUCUAACUCCAGUAAAACAAAGAGAAUUACAGACAUUACAAACAUCCUCUAUUUACAAAACAAUAAAUAGUAUUACUAAAGUACAACAACAAAUAAAUUAUAUAAAAGAAGAAAAAUCUUAUUUAAAAAUUGAAGAACAAUUAAAAGAAAGUAAAAUGCAAAAAAGAAUUUCAGAAUUAGAAGAAUUAUUACAAAAAGAAAUUUGUGCAGAUAUUCCUAAUGCUUUUUGGGAUAGAAAACAACAUAUGAUUGAAUUACCUUACGAAACAGGUUUUAAUGAGAAAAACAUUCCUACUAAAGCAAGACCAAUACAAAUAAUUCUGAUCUAUUAGAAUUUUGUAAAAAGGAAAUAAAAACAUUAAUAGACAAAAAAUUAAUAACACCUUCAAAAUCACCUUGGAGUUGUGCUGCAUUCUAUGUAAUGAAUCAAGCUGAAAAAGAAAGAGGAGUUCCAAGAUUAGUUAUAAAUUAUAAACCAUUAAAUAAAGUAUUACAAUGGAUUAGUGAAUAAUACAAUAAAUUUAUAAAUUUAGAAUUAAUAGAGGAUACAAUAAAUUAAAGUAACCAUUUUUAUAAAUUUAAUAGAGCUCAAAUGCAAAUAAUACAAUAAAUUUAGAAGACAUUAAAAAAGUUUAUCAACAAAAUAAUUAUACAAAUCAAAUCCUUCAUACAAUUUCUCAACAUAUGGAAGUAUUAAACACAAAAAUAGAUACUAUAAAGAAACCAGAAUUAAAAUUCCCUAAUAAUAUUUCAGCACCUCAUUUUCAACCUAGAAGUUUGACAAGAGAAAAAGAACAAGAUUUAGAUUCAAAAUCAGAAGACAAAGCAUCGGCGAAUUAGUGAGAAAAAGAGAACAAAACACUCUCGUGUAAAAAUCCUUAGACAAAUCUCUCAAUCCCUCUUUCCAACUACUCUUGUAUUCAAUUACUUUUGUUUCCUUCCUUCUCCAAAUAUAAUAAAGAUCAAGGAUUCAACCAUUCAUCAAGCUUCCGUUAUCAAAGGCCACUCUAAAUUUUCAGUAAGUCCAAUUUUUAUACUAAAUUUUCUAUGAACAUUUCAAUAGAAAGUAGCCUGGGUAGAAGUGGUAUCAGAGCCACUUAUCACAUUAUCUUUACAGUGUUAUUAAGGAAAGUAGAUUACACAGUGGGAACAAAAAUAGAAGAAAAUAAAGCCUCAUAUGAACCGAAUCUUUCCCCUUGCUUUUUUUUUCUGGGAAUUUAAAGGUAUAAUGCAAGAAAUAACUCCUGGUCAUGCAAAAUUGCCAACAAAAAUGCGUCUUUGGUUUUUAAUUCCUUAAUAACAUACUAUCCAGCAUACUAUUUAGCAUAAUAACAUACUAUCUCAGAUGCAUCCACUCAAAUAUCCUGGCCGAGAUGGUAUGAGGCCAAUUUUCUAUCAAAAAUAUAGGUCUGUAGCAGGUAAUGACGUUACCUCACUACAACAAAAAUGGCCUUUAGCGGCAUUUAAAGGUGUCAGUAUAGAAAAUCUAACCUGACACUUUAUCUAUCCUGACACCCAUGGCGAGUGUUGUCCCUUCCAAUGUGGGGAUAGCCUCAAAUCUUUAGCAGCAUUCAAAUGUGUCAGGCAAACCAUGCUGCUAUAUCUUUACCUCUGCCAACAAAUCCUUUUUUUGUGAUAAUCGAAAAUGUCUAUAUAGCGUUAGGACAUCAGUAGGGAAUCAGUAGGAUAUCAAAUUUAUGAAGGCAUCUUGAGUUGUCUUAAUAUAUGGUUUUAAGGACACGUAGCCAUGUGAAUUUACAAUGUGUUGGACGACAUGCCCAUUUGUUGUUAGUGUUUUUCGAAGCUAAGCUAUGCUGACACUUUUAAUUGCCAGGAGAAUUUUCCCUGGUUUUUUUUUAUGGAAGCAACCUGCAAUUAGUCCUCCUUGCUGUACAUUCCAUCAACCAGAAUCCCAAGGGACUUGUAAAAUUAUCCCAAAGAGCAGAAUGCAUAUGGCAAUGUAAAAGAAGAAGUCGAUACUCAAAUAUAAUUCAUUGAAUUAAAAGUCGAUAACAAGUACAAACAUAGCAAAUACUAAAACGCAAACAAGUGCUAAAAGCAAGUACUAAAAUAUCAAACCAGUACCGAAAGAUUCUCAUUUACAAUAACUUAAAAGCUCUAUCGGAAGCACAAAAUAAAAGACUCCAUCCCUAAUAAGUUGAAAGAAGUAGAAGUAGCUUCCAAACUUUCCAUUUUGUUGAGAGUCCUCAGGCAUAACCACGAAGUCCCCAUCAUUCUUCAGCUGGUUCCACCUGUGCACAAAGACCAAGGGGAUCAUUAGAUCAUCAUAACUAGAACUAAAAUUCCAGAAAAUCCGCAAUGUAUUUAAGUGCAUAUCUCACCAAAUGACAAGGCCAAGCAACUGGUGCACCAAGUGCAUCUUGAAUCGUUUGUUGUAAACCAUAUGGUCUAAUCAAUUGCUCACGUGGAGUCAUUGCAACUUGUAUCUGUAUUUCACACCAGUUUGGCCCAAGAGCUUGUCCCCCGACCUCAUCCAAUGGAUUCAGACUCCGUAAAUAUCCCUUUGCCACGAUUUUUGUUGGGUCAAACAAACUUUUUAGUGAAACCAUAUUCCCUACCUAGUAAACAUCCAACAAGUACAAGAAUCAAACUCAUGCCAAAUUCCAGAUUACAAAUGCAAAAGUUUAGAAGUUGUAAAUACUUACUCAAAUAGGUCGCGUGGCUCGCGAUGGAGCAUGGCUUGACACAUUGUUAGAUGAUGAUGAAGGAUGUCUCGGGCUGUCAAUUGGAGAGCCCCUUCCAUGUUGAACUAAAACCAUUUUCUUCAAGCUGGCUAUUUCAUCAUCUUGUCGCUGAAGCCUUUCCUCCAAACGGACUAAUGUUGACUGUUGUUGAACACUUAUACGGUAGCAUGUGUUACGACUAGGAAUGUCUUCCCAUAAGUCCGUUGGAUUCACACCGUCACUAAGCAAGCGAACAUGACCAUGUUUGUCUUGCCCAACCACCUGGGCAAAUAUAUCAUCACGACCAACUGGAUCUUGCGAAUCCGAUGGAAGCUGAUUUUUCAGCUCAGUCAUUUUUUCCUACAUAAUAAAGGAAAACACUUGUUAUUGCAAAAGACUGUCUGAAAACAUCCAUGGUAGAAUUGAUAGGCUUGUGUUCUCGGAUCCUUACCAAAUUCUCAGCAACUAUGGUACUUGAUGGAGUUCCAUCGGCAUGGGUAUAAAACUUAUUGAACAUUUCUACUCUAGUAGGAGGUCUUCCCAACUGUUUGGCCUAUAAGAAAUUGAAUCGUUUUAAUUAUAGUUUUAGCAUUUAGCAUAUAAUUAAAAAACAAGCUAACAUAAUGAAACAUGUACGAGCAAAAAAAAUUAGCAACUAAAAAGUGGAUGAGGUAUCACCAAGUGGUUCCGAAGAUGAGCAAAUGACUUUUUUCCGGUUGUGUGGUUCAUCUUCUUCUCCCCUCUAGCUUUCUUGUUCCUCUCACUUAGUUUCUAAAUUUCAAAAUCAAAAGCAAGAUUACAGCAUUGAAUGAACACAACUUUAUGAAGAAUGUUGUAGCUGAUUUGUACCUUUGCUUCUUCACUUUUCCAAUAAGCCCAAAGUUUGAUCCAUUGCUCUUCCCGUACCCUUAUGUCCUUUUGAAACCGAGCUUCAGCAUUUGGCACGGCAGAAUCAAAAUAGUUAGCCUUUAAAUCUGCCUUCCAGCUUCUCCAUUUUUUGCCAAUAGAUCUUAAGGUCCAAGCUUCCAGUCCCAUAGGCAAAGCAAACCUUUCCUGAAACGUAGUUAGCAACAAGAAAAUCAACACAACUUCACAGUAAUUUUUGUACAAAGCAUACAUAAUACAAAAGCUGCCAUUACCUUUAUCACUUCUAACAUGUCCAUUUUAAGUUUCCUUGGCAUCUUAAGCCAUGUUUCAACAUCUAUUGGACAAUACAUACCAUUCCUAGCCAAACUGCCCAAGAAUUCAGAGAAAGAGUUUUUCUCACUUAUUGGGAUCCCAUUGUCAUCGAGUUUAAUCUCAAUCCGUGGAAGUUCCUUAGGCCGACCCCAAAUUUCUUUCAUAAAUAUAGGGCCUCGGGUUUUAUGAUUUACUUCACUUGAAUCAUUUGUAGUUUCUUUUCCUGUUUAAAAUAAGAAAAAGGUGCAAGUUAUGAACAUAACAAAAUGCACUUCUGGAAUUGGUUCAAAACAGUUAGUAAUACCUGCAUUGUCCGAGUUGCAUGACAUGAAGGUGGUGUCACUGGAAUGUGGACCUCGAGAAUCCUGAUUUGGACUUUCUUCAGUUGCUUCAUGCCUUGUUCCAAGUGGAGAUUGUUGAAUUGGAGAGUUCUGGCACUGCUCAUGCGACUUGGAACCUCCAUCAGCUUGUUGAGUAACUUGGUCACCUGAUUCAUGCAUUAUUCCCAAUGUAGAAUUCUGAAUUGCAGAUUGAGGUGCCCGAGCAGCUUCUCCUUGCACUUGUUCAAUUACAUUUUCAUGGCUUGUUCCAAGUGGAGGCUGCUGCCUUGUUUCAUAACAUGAGGGAGGUUGCUCAAUUGGUUCAUCUCUCAAUCCAUUUGCAGCGGCUUACAUUUUCGACCUCUACGGGCCAUACCUGCAUAAUAUUUGAGUGAAGAAAGGGACAAAUGUAAAUGUUUAAAAUUUAUUGAAGCACACUCUCUACCUAUAGUUUCUUUAACUUACAAAUGCUAUUAUAAAGAAGUACUACUUGAACAAUAAACUGGCAUGACAAGUAACAAAUGGCAUUCUGCAAGAAUAAACCAGGGGAAGACUAUGGAGCUGUCAACAGAACAGAGAAACAAAUGGAGAAUAUAUGAUUCAAUGCAGCAACUAAUUGGAAAUGAAAUGAAAGCUACAUGCUUAAGUGACUGCAAGAAUAUACAUGGGAAAUGCUUUGAUCUACAUCCUUUCAGCAUGAAAGAUAUGCAGAAUUUACUACCGCUAGACACGAAACUUUUUCCAUAUUGUUUGAGAAUGAUGCCUAUGAUCAAAAGUUGGUAUGCUUAUGCUCAAUGAGGGUGUAAGUAGAAGAGUCCACGUAAUUUUAACUUCAGUAAUGGAGCAAACUAAUAAAUGAUUGUCUUGAAUUAACGAAAUAUACUUGGCCAUGUGAUAACCAAAAAUUGCAGAGGAUAAUGUAUUCUACCAACAAAUACAAGUCUUGGUUUUGUAUGUUUAGGGUGGCAAUCGGGUCGGUUAUGAAGCUCUACUGAAUACUUUUAUUUCCAGAUUCUGACAUGGUUCUGCAUUUAUCAAGAACUUGUCUCAUCUAAACAAGAGCUCAAGCUUUACGUAGCAUUGACGAUUCCAAACCAAAUUACUUCUCUUUUUGCCAGAGCCACAUCCACAGUUAUGGGUUGACACUUAACAGUAAAUGCACAAACACUUCCAAUACAAUUGUAGCAGUACAAACAAUACAGUUGUAGAACAGGAAGGAGACGAAGAGCAUCACGGUGAAAGACUGAAAACGAGAACCCAUCACCAAAAAUAGAUGGUUGAAAUUGUACAUUCAGUUCACAGUAGCAGUCUCCAUUCGACCAGGCUCACCUAGAAAUGUGCUUCUCAGAAAUGUGCUUUUCACACCGCCACCACCCCAAAAGCUUUUCACACCACCACCACCCCCAAAGCAAACAUUCUACCUAGAAAUGUGCUUCUCAGAAACGGAGAAGGUGCUUGUCAGAGAUGGGAAUCGAAUAGCCUAAAAACUAAAUCUACCAAGCAAUGCAAGAACAUGUCUACCAUGCAAUGCAGAAUUAGACACAAAAUACUGAAAUUACCUCAAACUAUGGCUUGAAUCCCUAAUUUCUCGGUUUCCCAAGCUUUGAAGCCCUAAUCUCUGAUUUCUUCCCACCAAGCCAACACAACAGCCGAAUUAGGGAUUUGCCUGGUGCGAGCUCAACCAAGUUACCCAAAAGGGUGCGAGUUCAUGGACGGCAAUUGACUCAAAUUGGUUGUGCGAGCUUGAAAGAGAGAGAGAGGACAAAGGCAGAGGACAACGAGAGAGGGAGAAGAUGUCUGAAAUAAAGGCAGUACUAAUGACGCCAAAGUAAAUUAGUCAAGCCUCUUGAAUUUUUCAAUUUGCUGCGCUACUAAUGACAAUUUUUGUGUGUUUGGGCAAAAUUUUGUUAAAGCUAUAUAACAACUAAAAAUUUGGUUAAAGCUAUAUACAAUAUAAUAUAACAACUAAAAAUAUAAAGGCUAAAAAUCUUGUUAAAGCUAUAUAACAACUAAAAAUAUAACAAAUAAAAAUUUUGCAAGAGCUAUAUACAAUAUAAUAUAACAAUCAAAAAUUUUGUUACAGCUAUAUAACAACUAAAAAUAUAACAAAUAAAAAUUUUGUUAAAGCUAUAUACAAUGUAAUAUAAUAACUAAAAAUAUAAAAAUAAUUAAAAAUUUUGAGAAGCUAACAAAAAACAUUCUUUUAAUCAAAAUGUUUUCGGUUACUCAAUUUAUUUUAUGCUGCGAGCAAUUAUGUACGGCUUGUAGUCUAACAAGCCAUUGGAAGGAUCGAAUUAGUUUAUGAAACAAGAAAAUUAACUUGUGAAUGCAUGAACUUUCCAUUGAUAAACAUUGGGAUUAGAAUUGACUGAACAUAAACAAUGAAUAUAUAUAUAUAUAUAUUCAAUGUUUUCAAUUCCAAAGCAAUUGCCAUUGAACUUUGUGUUAAUUAGAAACUUACUAUCACUUACAAGAUCUUACUAUUGAACUUUUCAAUGAUUAACCUUAGGCUUACACUUACAACGCAUUAAUUGAACAUAAACAUAUAUAUAUAUAUAUAUAUAUAUAUAUAUAUAUAGGGUAAAAAACAAAAAGGCCCCCUGUGUUAACCUAAUACACAGAAAAGCUCCCCAUGGUUUCAAAAUAUACAACACGAUCCCUCAUGCUUUGAACUAAAUUGUAAAGGUGACGGAAUCCGUUAAACUUAACGGAAAUGGACGAAAUGACCAAAAUGCACUGAUAUAAUUAAGCAAAAGACAGCUCAAAAAAAUCAUUUGUUUCAUUCUCUAAGUAGAGAGAAUUGAGGGUUAAGGGGUAGAAUAUGCAUAUUUGAUAAAAAAUAGGCAUAAAAAUUUUUUUUAGGUUCCAAUAAGUCAUUUCCGUUAAGUUUAACGGAUUCCGUCACCUUUAUAAUUUAGUUCAAAACAUGAGGUGUCGUAUUGUAUAUUUUGAAACCAUAGGGGAUUUUUCUGUGUAUUAGGCUUACCACAGGGGGUUUUUUGUUUUUUACCCAUAUAUAUAUAUAUAUAUAUAUAUAUAUAUAUAUAUUCAUUGUUAAAAAUUCCAAAGCAAUUGCCACUGAACUUUGUGUUAAUUAGAAACUUACUAUCACUUACAAGAUCUUACUAUUGAACUUUUCAAUGAUUAACCUCAGGCUUACACUUACAACGCAUUAAUUGAACAUAAACAUAUAUAUAUAUAUAUAUAUUCAAUGUUUUCAAUUCCAAAGCAAUUGCCAUUGAACUUUGUGUUAAUUAGAAGCUUACUAUCACUUACAAGAUCUUAAUAUUGAACUUUUCAAUGAUUAACCUUAGGCUUACACUUACAACGCAUUGAUUGAAGGAUAAUCUAAAAUUGCGACUAAACCGAUUAAAUUCGAUCAAAGAUCAGUUGGACUAGAAAGCUCUAUCGGAAUUAACUUUUUGUAUUGUUAUUGGUUUAAAAAAUAAUUUUUUCAUGGUAUUAAAAAAUUAUUUAAGAAAUUUAUAGAUUAAAGUUUCAAAAUAUUUCUAUUGAUAAAAAAUUAGACCUCGGUUAUUGGGAAAAAGAAUUGGCCAUAAAAUAAUGAUUCACAAAUGUAAUAUUACAGCUUACAAUUAAUGGAAUUGCUUAUAAAAUAAUGACAAGUAUUUAUCCAGCCCAUUGGGCUCUUAAAAUAAGUAAUGGGUUCCUUGGAAAGUUGGAUAGUUUUAUGUUUGGUCUGAAAUGAUUUGCACAUUCCGUACGUUGCCAAUUGUUCUCCCCAAAUCAUAGCCUCGGUUGCCAAUUGUUCUCAUGCUAUUAAAAGAAAAAUCAUUCCAAUACCAUUUUUAUGAAUAAGACUGACGAUUACUAACCAAGACUAGAAAUCCAAAAACUGGACCAUGGGAGUAUCAAUGAAGAAAGGCCUUAAAGAGGCAAAUUAAUACACAAGUUUUAACUAAUAGCACCAACUCUUUUAUCACAUCUGUCAGAAGGCUUAACAUGACAUCGAGAGCACUAAACUCAAAAAAAAAAAAUGCAAAACCCAUCGACAAAAGGAAAUAAAGCCUAGGCCUCGCAAUUGAAACAGAGAAGAAUAAGGCCAGUAAGCUUUAAAGCUAUAAAAGAUUCUAAAUCAGAUUAUAUUGGGACAAAUCAACUUCAAUCCCAAGUCCAUUCUCACGAACCCAACUAAUUUCCUCAUUUUCAUUCUCAACAACAGGAUUGCCAACAUCACUUUGCAAAUAUGUCUCAACAUCCAUGGUUGUGCCAUGUUAUAUCCAGCUCUUGCAGUGGUAGAGAUAACCACUUGCCAAUCCUUAUCAGUUGGAUCUUCCAUAAAAAACCUGUGAUGCUUGUGAAGCAAGUAUAAAUGGCUCAACAUGAGGCCUCACGUUUGCAAAAUUGACUAAAGUAAACCCAUCAGCAUCUUGUUUCAUUCUCGAACCAUUUGAUAUCCAAUCACAUUCGAAUAACACCACCCGGCGACCUCCGUAAAUUAAUUCAAUCAUAUUUUUCAAGAUGCCGAAGUAAACUAGUUCACUCAAAACUGGAUUUUGAUCCCUUAUACUUGCAAAACUGGAUGUUGUUGCAUUGACUGUAACACCACUAUUCUGCGUUUUUCUUUUCUUCUCAACUUCUUUGGUGUGAAACCGAAAUCCAUUAACAACAUACCUGCCAUGUUGGAUUCCAACAACAUCUGGACCUUUAGUAAGGAACCUCAACUCUCUCAACACCGAAACAUUUUGAGGAAGUUCUAACUUGUCAAUCUGUAAAAAAAAAAAAAAAAAAAAAAAGAUGAAACAAUAUUUGAAGUCCUACAAUUCAAAUUGUACUUAAUAUUCAGAAUUUUACUUACAUGUUCAGCAAACCAACAUGCAAAAUUUUCACUGUGCAAGCGCUCUUUUAGAUGCUGUGGAACUUGAGGAUGUCCUUCUUCUAUCAAUCUACGAUGCUGCCUAGAAGUACAUGAGUCAAAAUUGUAAUCAUACAUUGAAUUCUACAAUAAAAUUUUAAUGCAUCAAGUUGUAGUUGAACUUACUCUAUGUAAGGUGUGACAGCAUCACAGUUAAAUAAAAUACUGAUGUGCUUUACUCAAGAUAUGAGCAUCAAAGACUGUUGGCUUGCCCCUCCCCAAAGGAUGUCCUGAUUCAGAGAAUAUAUCUAAACCAUCUUCAAUUUCCUUAUGUACUUCUUCAUUUCUGCUUGGACGAUUGAAUUUUGUCUCAACAUAGUCCGCAAGAUACAAUGAGCAAAAGUUAAUGCAUUCUUCUGCCAAGUAGCCUUGAGCAAUCGAACCUUCAGGCCUACUUUUAUUUCGAACAUAAGAUUUUAAUGUUCCUAAGUACCUAAAUUAUCAUCAUUCCAAACUCUCUAAUUAGUUCCACAAAUCAAAGAAAGCAAAAAAGGAAUAAACAUUUAAGGCAUAAUGAGAAUUACAAGCAGUACCUCUCUACAGGAUACAUCCAACGAUAAUACACCGGCCCACCUAAUUUCACUUCAAUUGCCAAAUGAACAACUAAAUGCACCAUGACAUCGAAGAAGGUUGGUGGGAAGCAUUUCUCAAGAUCGCAGAGUAUGACGGCAAUUUCACUUUCCAAACGAAACCACAUCUUGAGGACAAAUAACUUUAGAACAAAGCUGCCUGAAGUAUCUACUCAAUCGAAUCAAAGGAUAGCGCACUGAUUUUGGUAAAGUCUUUCUCAAAGCUAUAGGCAUCAAUUGCUGCAUUAGGAUAUGAUUAUCAUGACUUUUAAGCCCUGAAAUUCUUGGUGGUUUUACUCGAACGCAUCUUGAGACGUUAGCUGCAUAACCAUCUGGAACUUUCACCUUUUUUAGCACAUUGCAAAACAUAGUUUUCUGUUUUUUAUCCAUUGCAAAGGAAGAUGGAGGUAAGUACACCUUUCCAGGUUCUGUCUCAAUGGGAUGCAGCUCUUUUCUUAGUCCCAUUUCUCUCAAAUCACGGCGGGAAUUAUAAUGGUCCUUUGUUUUAUCCUCGGUGUCCAGCAAUGUCCCCAAAUGUUUUCACAAACAUUUUUCUCAAUGUGCAUGAAGUCAAGAUUGUGUCUUAAGACAUUAUCUUUCCAAUAUGGCAAGUCAAAGAAAAUACUCCUCUUUUUCCAAUUGAAAGGCAGCUUCGGAUUACCUUUCACAAGUUUUCCAAAUUUAAUUUGCAAGUCUCCCAAUUCACUCACAAUCAUAUCCCCGGUUUGCAAAGGUGGUCGCUUUCCAUGUUCUUCGGUGCCAUCAAAGAAUUGGGCUUGCUUUCUAAAUUUAUGCUUACUAUCUAAGAAUCUCCGAUGACCUAUGUAGCAAUAUUUGAAACUAUGAGUCAACCGUCGUGCAUGAGUGAACUUGUGACAAACAGGACAAGCAUAUUCACCUUUAGUGCUCCACCCAGAUAACAUUGCAUAUCCAGGGAAAUCACUAAUGGUCCACAACAGAGCCGCAUGCAGUUGAAAAUUUUCUUUUUGGGAUGCAUCAUAAGUUUGAAUGCCAAAAUCCCACAAUUCGGUCAGUUCUUUAACUAGAGGCUGUAGAUAAACAUCAAUAUUAUUCCUAGGAGAGGAUGGUCCGGGUAUUAACAAAGACAACAUGAAGUACGGUUGCUUCAUACACAUCCACAGAGGUAAGUUAUAUGGUAUUAAAACUACAGGCCAAGUACUGUGUGUAGAACUCAUGUUGUUGAAUGGAUUAAACCCGUCAGAUGCCAACCCCAAUCUAACAUUUCGACAAUCCUUAGCAAAUUCUGGAUGUAGAUGGUCAAAAGUUUGCCAAGCUGGAGAAUCAGCUGGAUGUCUCAUACAACCAUCUUUUGUACGUUUUGCCUCAUGCCAUCUCAUUUGAGAUGCAAUUUUAGAAGACAUAAAUAGUCUUUGUAAUCUAGGUUUUAAGGGAAAAUGCCGCAACACUUUUGAGGAAUUUUCCUUUUUUCCCCAGUUGGAUCAUUUUCUGAAGCAACCCACCUAAGCUCGUUACAUGUUUCGCAUGAAGUUCUUUUUUCAGCACUACCCCUAUAAAGAGAACAAUCAUUAGGACAUGCAUCAAUCUUUUCAUAACCCAGCCCCAAUGUAUUCAUCAAUUUCUCAGCCUCAUAGUAAGAAGACGGCAAAUUAGUCAUGGCCUCCGGAAAUGCUUCUCUCAACAGCUCAACAAGCAUAUUAAAAAUCUUGUUACUCAUCUUACCCAGGCAUUUUAGGUGAAGCAAACGAAUAAUGAAAGACAAUUUCGAGAAAUUUUUGCAACCAUUGUACAAAUUCUGUUGAGAAUCAUCAAUCAAUUUGUAAAAUUUUUCAGCCUCUGAAACAGGAAUGUCCCCUUCUCUAUUCAAUUCAUUUGUUCCAUGUGGUAUCCCAAAUACAUCAUGGACCAAGUCUUGCAUGUCAUUAGUCCCAUUUGAAAACCCAAUUGAUGUAUUUUCAGAAUUAGAUGUGGCUUCAUUGUAGUUUGAAAGUUCUCCAUGUGCUGUCCAAUUAUUAUAACCCUUGAUAAAUCCUACCACUUUCAAAUGAUCAUAUGCUUCCAUUUUUGUCACACAAACACCCAUGCCACAAUCUUUGCAAGGACACAAAAUCUUUCCGUCACAACUUGAUCUAGAAAAUGCGAAGUUUAGAAACAUUUGAAGUCCUGUCUCGUACUUUUCACUUGUUCUUGGAAAAUCCAUCCAUCUUUUAUCCAUACUUUUAAUAUAAAUAAAUGUCCUCCAACGAGCUUCCAAUAGCCUACUUUUUAAACUCAGGUCGUGGCUUACAAGUCCCUAAUUUCAAGUUCAAGAAUUUCUCAACAAAAAGGAAUUUAUCAAGCAGCCAGCAAAUAAAGGAAAUCAACAAAAUGCAAAAUUUCUCAACAAUCUAUAAAAACAGAAUUUGCAAGUAAGCGGAUAGAAAUUUUAUUUACCUAAUAACAGAAAAAAACCCUUCGUACCAACUCCUGCGCUCACGUCUUCGCAAAAUUCCUAAGUUCAAUCUGAAAUGUCAAUGGUUAAACAAACACAUGAGCAUGAAAACUAAAGGUGAAAUUCAAGAAUUUUACUAAAUUUUCAUCAAAGUAUACAUACAUCUUUGGUGUGUAGUGAUUAAUUUUAUAAGUCAUCUCUUUAGAAAGGCAUGCAAUUGACGGCAUAGGUAAUUGGAAAAAGAAUGACAGAAAAGUCCCCUAGCUUCUAAUCAUGCCUAUGAAGAUCCUUAUGAACAUGUCAAAAUACUUUGACCCAACUACAUCAAUGUCUCUGUCUUAUUAAUCUAAAAGUCCCCUUUUUUGGGCUCAAAAUUUGCACUAUAAUAGACUGAUCAAGUGCAGAAGACACUUAGUACAAGCGUUAUACUAUAUAUUUCAAGCAACUCACGUACUGAUUAGACAUACAAUUUAAAACAGAAAAAUGAUGUAAAGAUGCAAGUACUACAUAGAAUUUAACAUAGAAAAAAGCAAUAGUGAUAUAAGUGAUACCAUUGGGUGAAAUAUGCACUUAGCCGGAGGACCACCUUUGUGGCAAAAGCCAAAAGGCAGCAAAGGUUACCAUUGUUAUGCAAAUUUUGUGCCUCACAUUGGCGGUCCAUUAUCUGCAUCUUAAUUGUCUUUGGGCUUAUAUAGUCACGGUUUCCCAAUUCUGUCACCAGAAUAAUUUCCUGCUAGGCAUAUAUAGACCAUGGUCCUUGUUUCAUUUAUUUAUAUCGAACUUGUUGCUGAGUGUUCAUGAUUACGAUAAGCAAUGCAAUUUGGUUGAAGCUCUCUAUUCACAGUUUUGCUUAACCGUCCCCAUCCCCAAACAGAACUAGCUGCCUAAACAAACUUCAAUUACAGCUAGGUUUCAUAGAAAAAAAUGAAAAACAGGGGGAAUUGACUUUUUAUCGAACAGGUUUUGGGCAACAUACUAAUCACCCGUGGACACUUUAUUAGCUAGCCUAUGUACAAUUAUGGCAUGACGAUAGAACAAAUGUAACAUGGACAUAAAGAUCGAUCUCCUCAAAAAUACGCAAUCCAAUUGAACAAAUUUCCUCAAGUUUUCAUCUCCAUUGCAGCUAAAGAAAAAGCAUCCAACACCGAGUUGCUAUUAAUGCUACAAUUAGAUAGAUAUCAUAUUUAAAUCUUUCAACAAUCUUAAAUGAGGACAAUAUAACUCAACUAGCGACAGCUCAGGCCAAGAAUCUUUACUUCUCAGAAAAAAAUUUCCAAGUUGCAGGUAAUUUCUUGACAACGAAAUCAAACAUAAGAGCUUCAUUGUGUUUACCACUUCGAUUUUGGAACAACAUUUGCGCGCCUGAAGUAUCUUCCAGCUUUCCCAAUGUACAGCUCCGAUCUUCUAAUUUUACUCCCUGCCUGCCCUUCCAGAUGUCUUAGCCGAAGGAUUUAAAGUUGAGGUUAGAAAAGAUGAAGAUGGUUGUUUGCGGAGACAGCUUGACCAACAUUCUGGAUUGGCUGAGAUAGAUUGUAUGCGGAGAGGUGAGAGAGAUGAGAAGAAGAAAAUUUUCACCAAGUCCUUUUGCCGGCAAAAUGAAACUUCAGAGUACUUUACCAAGUGUCUGGAGCCAAAUUAAAACGAUGUCAUUUUCUGUCUUUUUUUUUCUCACAUUUUCCCAAGUGUCAUGAUAGGUAGUCUAAAGACACAUUAUUAUUUUAUAUCAUGAUAAAAUAAAAAAAUUAUAGUACAGAUUAUUGAGUUGGUUAAUAAGUGUCAUGAUACGUUUGGUAUAACGACACAAACCAACAAGUGUCCUUAUAAACAUGUCAGAAAAGGCCAUUUUUGUUGUAGUGCCUGUUGCGUUUUGAAUUUCUUAAAUAAAGGUCUUCUCUUACCCCCAAGCUAAAUUUCACACACGUUGCUCUUAUUCCUAAAUAUUUAGAGCCCAAGCAAGCAAAUAUCUCAAUUCCGUCCACUAAGUUUAUGUAAUGUAGUGUACAAAUUAGCGUCUAAAGCCAUCUCUAAUCGAGUCCGUGUUCUUUUACCGAAUAUUAUUUCUGAUCUCAAUCGGCUUUUAUUCCUGGCCAAUUAAUCACCAGUAAUGUCCUUGUUGCUUAUGAAGUCCAUCAUUAUCUUAAAUGUAAAAAUGCAGGCAAGGAGGAACUCAGGUCGAUUAAAAUGGAUACGAGCAAAGCGUAUGAUCGAGUUGAGUGGAUAUUUCUCUUAAAAAUAUUACUAGCUUUAGGUUUCAAUUCUAAAUUUAUUUUCUUAAUUUUCAAAAGUAUUUCAACAGUUUCUUAUUCUUUUUUGCUCAUCGGUUUGGGAUUUGGCCACUUAAAACCUAGUUGGGGUAUUAGACAAGGAGACCCACUUUCCGCAUAUCUAUUUAUAUUGUGUGCAGAAGCUUUUUACAUUUUAUCUCAGAAGCUAGUCUUUGUGGAAAGUUGGGAGGCAUUGCUGUUGCGCCUGGUGCUUCAUCCAUUUCUCAUUUGUUUUUUGCCAGAUGAUACUCUUUUAUUUGGAAAGCUACAGGGGAGGAGGCUUCAAAUUUUAUGCAGGUUAUCAAUCUUUAUGAAGGUGCAUCAGGCCAGCCGAUUAAUGUGGAGAAGUCAGUGGUGGUAUUUAGCAAGAAUACUCCAGAAGCUGAUUAAUUGGCAAUUGAAUGUGCUCUUCGAAUGCCGCCUGUGGAAUCACAUGAAAAGCACCUCUGGGGUUGCCUACUAUCGUUGAGAGAUCUAAAGGUGAGGUCUUUAAUUCUAUCAAACAAAGGGUUUUUAAACGGAUUAAUGGAGCAGCAGUUAUCUCGAGCAGGAGAAGAAAUUUUAUUGAAUGUCCCUUGUAAAGUUAAGCAUUAUCUCUGGAGAAUUUGCUGUGAUUUCUUGCCUACUAAAGUAAAUCUGCUCCGGAGAAGAGCUUCAGUGGAGCUCAACUGUCUGUCUUGUGGUUUUGAUAUUGAGGAUCUUAUUCAUGCAAUUUCUUUCUGGGCGUUAAGCUGCCUUAAAGGGCAAGUACGUAAGUGGCAGCAAUCAAUUCCCAAAGAGUGGGCUCUGGAGUUGUUAGUUACGUUGAAAAAUCGUGAAGCAGAGUUGUUUGAGAUGUUAUGUUGGGCUAUUUGGCUUGGGAGGAACCAAAAGCUGCAUGAAGAUAAACGAGUGGACCCUUUUGAGUUUAGUUAGCUUUGCUUCGGGUGCGCUCCAAUAAUUCCAAGAAGCUAAUGUUACUCAGAAAUGUCCAGGCGAUGGCAAGUUAAAGUUUAAUUUUGACGGUGUGGUGUUUAAGGAAACUCAAUCUAUUGGUUUAGAUGACGGUGCGGUGUUGAUUUAUCUAGUUUAGACCCUCCAAUUUUUGACAUUACGAGGGACUUAACUAGUUUAGAGAUGUCUAGUAUUUCAGGAAUGAGUAGGAAUCAUAAUAAAAUCACUCAUAUAUUAGCUAAGAUCGCAGAAUUCAUAUGUGAUCAUGUCUUUUGGUGGAGAGAUCUCCAGAGUUUGUUGUGCCAUUUCUAAUGGCGGAUUUGUUAGAAAGUUAAUGAAAGUUCAAUACAGGUUAUGUUGAGUAAGACGUUGGAUUGAAAAUUCAAGAUUUUGAACUGAAAUUUCAAGAUUUUGAGAUGAAAAUAAAAGAUCACGCUAAACUUAAUGGAUUCAAAUCUUAAUAUGUGCAAAUGCGUUUGAUAACCAAAAUUGGACAUCUGAAUUAAUUAAGUGCUACUGAAUUUUCUAAACGAAAUUUGUUCUAAAAAAUAAGUGAUAAACUAUGCAUUUAUUACUGAAUGUGAUAUACACUUAAAUAUACUUGAUUUAAUACUUAACAAUCUAAUAAAUUAAUGGACUCAGAUUUUAGAUUUCAAUUUUAUCAAAGUAACCUAAAAAUAUAGACUAUAGAUAAAAUAACUGCAGAUAAUGAUUUAUGUUGAGUAAGCUUUCAAAGCUACGUUUCCCAAAACAAACUUUAGAUAAUCAUUCUCUAAUUUUUGCUUUCACUCUAGAAGAUGCGUACAAUAAUGGGUGUAUACAAAAAUGGAAGUUAAAUUGAUAACACUAAGCUCGCCAAUUCUCAUAAAAAAAAUGAUGACAUUGCCUGCAUUAAUUCUAGUAACGGACUGAAGACAAUAAUUAAUAGGUGACUAUAUGGUGCCUAAGGCACACAAUAAAAUGUGGACUUGGUACCAUUAUUUAUUUUUGUGAAAGGAUAAACCUAUUUUGUAAGGUGUCGCAAUUCAUCAUCAUGAAAUGAGUGGUAAUUUUAAAGCAUUAAUAGUGAAUUCACCUUCAUUUUUAACGUUCAUAUCGCAAAGCCUAUUAAAAAAUUUCCACCAGCACAAAUUCCACUUUUAAUAGGUUCGAAAAUUCACUCACAAAUUUAUCCACAAAUCCCAUUAACAAAAAAAAAAAAGAAAAUGCAGAAAGUUAUCAACGGAACUUCUAUAGUGCGUUGAUGCGACACGUGUUGGUUGGAGAUUACUAGAUGGGAGUGGGGUUAAUCAAAGGUGGUAUUUUAGUAUUAAGCCCAAAAACCACCGGUAACAAUGGUAUUGACCCAAUUUCUAGAGGAAUUGACCCACAUAAACUGUGAAAGAUUAUUUUCUCUGUCAUUUAAGGCAAUUUCUGAACAAGAUUUAGGCGUAUAAUAAAGAAAUUAUCAACCCCCAACCCCCAAUAUUAUGCUAAUAUGCAAUUGGAAAAAAUUAAAUGAAUAUUUACUUGAAGUUAAGAAGUGGAUACCAAUCGUAGAAAGUGUUUAUAACAUACUCCGAAAUGCCAAAGGACUUCCCAAAAAGUGGGAAGCAGGACAACAUCUGAAAUAUAGUCCAAGUUUGAAGUGCUUUAUGUCAAACAUAUUUCAAUAUAGAAAAAAAAAAAUUACUGGUUAGCAUAUGUUUGUGCGCAGUAUUUGUUGAUUGGGAGACGGUUCUAAGGAGGCGGUUUUGCAACAAAUAAGUAAACGGGAUGUCGAUUACUUGGAGUUGUAUCUUAUGCUGGAAAAAUAAUUAGACAUGUCAGUUAAGUAAUAUUUCAAUUUAAAUAAAGUUAGUUAGGAACUAGAACUCGUAACAUGGUUGGAUAUGGUUAGUGAAUAGGAUAUGAAUGUUGGGGGAUAGAAUACAACUAGAAUUACUAAGACAAAUUAAGCGUGACACUUUGAAUUCAAAUUUUACUAACAUUGCAUAAUAACACCUUUGACUGAUAAUUUUUUUUGAUACGGAAACUGGAAAAAUUUUAUUAAGAAGAGGAUAGAUCCGUAUUAAUUGCGAAAGAAAGAAAAAAUGGUGGAGAAAAUCUCCAACUAUAAAUACCUGAAAUAGAACUAGCAUUACUAUCUAAGAAAUGAGCAGGCACAAUUAGAUUCCUAGGAAUCCAAUCAGCCUCCCAAGUAAUGAAAUUCUGUAAACUAACAAAGAUAUCAUCUAACAGCACUCCAUAAGCUGAAUCAUCGGAUUCCAUAUUUUUAAGCAUGUUGAUGAUCUUCAAAGAGUCACCCUCUAAAACAAUCUUAGAACCUUCAACUGAAGUAACGAGGAAAUUGCAGAUAUUGCAGCAUAAGUUUCAGUUACUUCAGGAGAAAAGAUACCUAAGAUUUUGUGAAAAAUACUAGCAACAAAUUUGCCCCAUUCAUUCCUCACAACAAUUCCAACUCUAAAGUUGUCGUCUUCAUAGAAUAUUGCACCAUCGAAGUUUGCACUGCACCAUCGAAGUUUGCCUUUAGAAAUCUUGCAGAGGGCUUUAUCCAAUGAAGUUGAGCAGUGGAAGAGCAUAUUGGAAUGUUUGGAAAUGUGUUUAUUUCAUGGUAUUUCUAUAAGAAAUUGAUAGAGAGGGAGAGACCAAACUGAGAGGAUCACGAUAGAACCAUCAAAUAAUGCAUCAUUUCGGUUAAACCGUAGAUUCCAAAGAAUUAUGGCUACCAAUUCCAUGUCCUGCUUUUUCAAAAGAUGAAGGCCAGACAACCGAGACGAAACUUGAUCGGUAGAGUCUAAUCUUAUCUUUAGUGUAAGAAAGCUAAGGGCCCAAGGUUGAAUUGCUACUGACAGCACAAGAAAAGAUGAUUAACAUCAUCAAUAGGGGCCUUACAUAAAGAACAAGUAGGAUCAAAAUAGACUCCGCGACUAUUCAACUUGGAAGUUAUAGGUAGAAUGUCUUUGCAAAUUCACCACAAGAAUAUUUUAACUUUACUUGGUAUGUUGAGUUUCCACAAGCAGGGCCAAAUAUCAUCCAUAGAACCAUUACUACAUGAAGCUACAUCUUGUCAAUUUGUAGAUUAUAUUUUGAUAAGAUGAUAGGCAAUUUUCACUGUGAAGGAGCCAUUUUUAGAAUAGUGCCAAAUGAGCUUAUCUUGAUUUCGUCUAUCACCCAAUGGAAUACUCAUAAUCAACUCAAUCACAUCUAAGGAUAGCAACGGGGGCGGUGCCCGGGGGGCUAUUGGGGCAGAGGUUGGGGCGGGGGGAAUUUUUCCCCCCAUUUAGAAACGGGGCAGGGGGCCCACCCAUUUGGAAAAAAAGAGAGAUAUAUAUAUGUACAUAAUUAUAUAUAUAAUAGUAUUAUCAAUUAUACAUGUCUAUUAAUAAAAAUUAUUAAUUAUUUAUACUAAAUUUAUUAAUACAUUUAUAUUAAAUUCCUAACUACACUUAAUACAAUAACACUUUUUUUCUAAAAAAAAACAAAUAAUAAUUUAGUGAUUGUAUUUGUAUCAAAAGUAAAAAUAAUUAUUUUAGUUAUAUUUGUUUUAUCAUAUUAGAUCGUAUUCAAAUAACUUUUGUUUAAUUAUUUUUAUGAGUUUCAAUUGUGAAGUUAUAAUGAAUAAUAAUUUGGUGAUGUGUUGAUAUUUUAGUACUUGAUUACUUGCUCAAAUUUAAUUAUAAUAAAAUUAUAUAAUAAUUUUUUUAACCCCGCGGGGGAAGCGGGGCGGGGGCGGAGGAGGACGGACGGGACGGGGGGAAUUAAUAGGCAACGGGGCGGGGGGGGGGAGGGGCCACCCUAAUCACAUCCUGCCAAAAAAGCUCUUGAAGCAAAUCAUAUUUCCAUUUCCUGCUAUUUUCAUCAAUUAAACAAUCUAUAGUGGAGAUUUCUAGUAGCACAUCAAAACGAGAUAUAAUUUUGAAAUUAGAAAGACGUGGAAUCCACCUCUCUUUCCAAAUUUUGAUAUGAUUCCCGUGUCCAUCUCACCAUCUACUACCAAAAACACCUUUGAUUGAUAAUUAAAUAGUUAAAAAAUAUAUCUACUUAAUUUGUUUACUCAAUAGUUAUGUGAACUAAAACAUAAAAAAGAAGGUCAAUUAUUAUAUUAGUGUUAUAUUUGUAAUAUUAGUUCCCUAUAUAGUAGGUUGCCGAGUUGGGCAUAUUUAUAUUCUACCAAGUAAAUGCCCUAUCUUUUCGAAACGUGGCAAAAAAAAUUGUGUUUGUUUUUUUGGUAGAUUUCAUUCUUUUUCUUUUUGGUAACAAUUAAUUUACUAUUCAUUUUCACUUCAUUAUUUAUAGUAAAUUUCAAUCAAUUAUCAAUUACUUACCUUAUAUGCAUUUCUAUUAAUUAUACCUUUAUUUUUUUAAUCAACUUAUAGCUUUCCUUUUUAAUUAGGCACUCGUUAAUAUAUGUCUUAGGUGUUAAAUUUUUAGAAAUAUAAGAUGAAUUAGGGAGAGCAUAUAAAUGUAAGGGAAUUAAUUAGAAAAAUAUAUAAAUAAAAGAAAAAGUAGUAAUAGUUGCGUAUAUAUGUGGCAGGUUAGGUGGAAUGCAGGUGUGUUAACGAUUACCCAUAGGGCACCCAUUAGAAAUACUCAUCAAAAUUUGGAUUAAUUUUUUUUCCUUUCAUUGCAAUCAUUACUACCAUUUUUCCUAUCAUUUAUUACUAUACCUUCAUGUUUCUAAAUACCAAUAAAUGUAUUACUCUCUUACUUUUUAUUUGAUUGUGCUAAUUAUAGCUUUCCUUUUACUUAAUCAAUUAGUCAAUCGAUCAAUCAACCCAUGAUUUUAAUUCUCUUUUCAAUCGCACGAUCUUUCUUUUAUCCAUCAUUAGGGAGAUUUACAAUUUAGUCACAUAUUUGUUAUGUGUACAAUAAUUAUGCAAUCAUAAGCACAAACUAAUGCAAUUCUAAUAAUUUUGCAUAUAUGCAUUCAUAUUGUAUUGCAACACCUUUAAUAAUUCAUUAUAUGGUUACAAAAGCCAAAAAAAAUCUAGUAUUACCUAGACCUUAGAUAGUCCCCAAUGUAUACACUGAUACUGUAUAAAUGAUUUUAAACCCGUUAAUAUAUAUACUGAUUGCAUAUGAAGAUUCAUCCCUAAUUUAGACCUCUUAGAUAGUUUGCAUGCAUUAUAUUCCCUUUUUUUAAUUUCUUAUUUAGUUUACCUUAUUACCAUUUAUGAUUUUUUUUUAAUUUAAGCAACAUCUUCCAAUAUUUUAUCACCAUUUUAAGUUAGUUCAUUUUUAGGAGAUAGUAGUAUAAGUGUGGUAGUUUGUCCAAAUAACUUUGAAUAUGCAUAUACAACCCAAAAAUAAAAUGAUAGUUGUUUAUAUUCUUAUCACUCAACGAUGAUAGUGUUAUGUAAUUUAAAUGAUUGAGAUCUAUUGCCAUCCAAAUAUAAAUUUAUAUGAGGGUAUGAUAACUAAAAAUGACUAUAGAAUCUCCCUAAAUACUAAAUAAUGCGAAUAGAGAUAUUCCCUCAAAAACUUGUAAAGUACUUAAUGUGUAUACGGGUAAAUUCUUGCAAUAGUGAAAGGAAAAUAUCUUACUAGCCUUGAAAUUUUGGCCCGUGUAUUGACUUUUGUUAGCUAAAUUAAACUAUCUUGGAGUGAAGACAUAAAAUCUGCGGCAAAUUUGAGAGAGUUGUGAACAUAGCUUAUUAGCGUACACAUUUUUUCCGAGUUUGAAUUCUCUCACUUACUUACUGACAAAAAGAAAAAACUAUCGUACAUUUAACUUCCAACUAACAAUGAUGUAUAGGUAAUAAAUUAUAUGCAUGGGAUAUUCCCAUAAAUAAAUGAAAUAUAUUUACACGACAAAGAGUAAAUUCUUAAAUUAAGAAGAAAUAAUAUUAUAGUAGCUGUCAAUUUGUUUAUAUGACUUUUUGGUUUGUCUUUACUCAUGACAACCAAUUAUGUUAUUUUGAUGUAAAAAUAUCCAAAAACGGUUGAAUACAAUGUGGGACAUUAUUAUUAUUACUCGGAUACCUCAAUAUUUAUAAAAUUGAUUAAAUUGGAAUCCAUUUGGAUUUAACAGUAUUUUGAAAAAACUAUUUUUGUUGUUCAAGUCUAUAGUAAUAAACUUUAAAAAUAACCUCAAAAAUAAUUUAAAAAUACAACAUAUCUCAAAUACAUUAAAAAAUAAUUAAAAAAUUUCCCUAAUUCUUCUUCCCCACCUACCCACUACAACCACCACCACUACCCAUCACUGUCCACUACCACCACCAUCACCCCACACCCAUGACCCUUCUUCCUCUCUCCUCUCUCUCUUCUCCCUCUCUCUCUCCUCCUCCUUUCUCUUAUUCUCCUUCUCCUUUCUCCUUCCUCCUCUGCCUUGUCUUUCCUCCCUUCUCCCUUCCCUUUCCCACCCCCUAAUCCCCCCUUCCCUCUACUGACUGUGGCCUUCUUGGUCUUGACCAGAAAGGUUGCAGCCAGAAGCCACUAGUGUUGCAACCAAGGUCACAGAUGGAGUCGCGGUUACCAUCCACGAUUGGGAGAGGUUUGAGGGUCAGAAACGAGAGGGACGGGGGAGAGAAGGAGAAGAAAGAGGAGGGAGAAGGAAGAGGAAGGGGAGAAUGAGAGGGAGAAGAGAGGGAAAAAGAGGGAGAGACAAGAGAGGAGAGAGGGGGUAACGGCGGUGAGUGGUGGUGGUGGGUGGCGUAAAAUUUUUUAAAAAUACCCCAAAAAAGUUGUAAAUUAUAAAAAUAUCCCAAAAAUGUAUUUUAAAAAGCCCUAAAAAUACCUUUAAAAAACCCCCCAAAAACAUCUAUAGUACAAGUUAUUUAUAUAUAUAUAGUUACCGUAAAGUUUUUAAAAGAUACCCCAAAAACAGUUAGUCCAAAUGGAGUCUUGAGUUUUGAGGUUAAGGUUCAAUGAUUGACCACAAUUUAGGUCAAAGUAAAACUUGGCCGAAAGUUUAGUGGGUAAAAUAUAAUUUUAAAAAUUAAUCAUCUUCCCUGAUCCUCACAGUUGCAAUGGUGAACUGUCAGCCCCUUAGGACGUGUUCCAGACGGAACGCGCGCAACCGUGGUAGAUUUCGGUCACUCAUGGUCAAGUUGGAAGGCUGAAGGUGAACUGGUUGGGAAAAACUUGGACACAUGUUUGAUGAUGUAUUCCAUGCCUAUGUAUGGGUUUGGAAAAGUUUCAGGGCUAGGAAAUGUCUCUAAAUUAGUGGGGAAAUGAGGGGUGGCUUUACUAGCGGUCCGAAAUUUUUAGCUAGGACUACUAUAGAGAGAGAUAACUAUAACUAAGCCAAGUCAAUGCCAAGGGCUGGGGUUUAUGGGUUAUUUUGGAUGGUUCCAAGCAUUUGGAGCUGUGGUGCCUAAGUUGCUAAGUGUUGGGCAAGUUGGGCACGGAACUAAGCAAAUGGCGAGAAGCUGGGUGUGCGAAACUGUGUGACCAUUGCCUGUGCGCUCCAAAGACGAACGUUGGGACUGUCUGGCAGUUGCUAGUCGUUUGCUGGAGUUGCGGACGGUUAUCAGUCAACUCAGACACGUUCUUAUCGGUUUCUGACUUCAUGUACAUUCGGGUCGGACCAACGGUUGGGUCUUGUCAACUAUAACAAUGCAUAUAAAUAAAUGGCUAGGUAGGGACUAAAGGCAGAUAGUGAGAAACACCCUUAGAUGUUCUGCACGCUAAAUGUUUGUAGAAUUGUCCUUGUAAUCUCUAUAGUGAAAUACAAGGUUGGCCGUUUGGUUGUAACUUGUGCGUGUUGUUCCUUUGUUUUUGCCUAAGUAUUCUAUGUUGAAUACUUGUAUGCAAGUGUCAGUGUAAGGGCUGACUGGAAGCGCGGCUUAUCAAUGCCAUUACAUGCUUGUUAGGCUAGUGAGCGAAGCGUAAACACCUCGUAAUAGUUUGGUAUCAAAGCACGGCUUUGAUCUAUUAGACUGUGCUUCUGUUAUGUGUUUUGUUGGUUAAUGAUGGUUGGACACAGGAAUUCUGUUGCAAUGAUUGGAAUGGUUGCAAUGUUAGGAACUUGCAUUCGAGGACUUGAUGCAGUGUCUAGGAGAUGGCCUAGAAGGCUUCAAUGUCAUAGAAGUUCUAUUGCAGACUAGAGAGAUGAUCAACACCCUGACUGCACAGAUGGAUGAAACCAGGCAGACAGUUUCUUCUGUUGGGAUGUUGAGAUGCUAAGGAAUGAAAUGACUGCGUCCCAUGCAAAGAUCGUGGCUUUACAAUCGAAGAUCAAUGUGUUAAAAAGGCAGUCGGCUCUUGUAACACACAGACCUUUCAAAAAUCUUCGAAGGGAAAGUGAAAGUCCUAGAUCCGAAACCAUACCAAGGUAGUAGGAGUUCGAAGUAUUUGGAAAACUUUUUGUGGGAUUGUCGAGUAGUACUUCAAGGCUAUUGACAUUCCUGAAGUAGAGAAGGUGUCAAUUGCAUCAAUGUGUCUUAGUGGUGAUGUAAAGUUAUGGUGGAGAACAGUGCAAUCAGACCUACCAAACCCAAGAUCGGCACUUGAGAAGUACUGAAGGAGGAAUUGAAGAAGCAAUUCCUUUCCACGAAUGUUUAAUGAAAAGUUAGAGGUGUAUUGUGAAACUUAAAGGAGAAUAAGAAAGUACAGAGUACGUUACAGAGUUCCAAGCCUUGAUGUUAGAUGUAAGGGAAAUGUCUGAGGAAGACAGACUCUACAUCUUCAUCCAUGGACUUCAACCGUGGGUACAGAUGGAGUUGCGGUGAUAAAAUGUUCAGACCGUGUCUCAAGCACUUGCUACUGUCGAGAAGUUGAUAGACUUCAAGUCCAUAGGAUCCAAAAGUGAAAAAAAAAGAAGGCAAGGAUAAGGCUAAGGGCUCGAAAGGUGGUCAAUUCUCAAAAAGAAUAAAAAGAAGCAGACAGUACAACGACCGAAACUAGCGGUGCUUCCUCUUCUAAGAAGAAGCAAACAUCCAACCCUAAAAAGGAUGGCUGCUAUACCUGUGGAAGACCACACUUAACCUGCAAUUGCCUCAAUAAGAAGGACCAGAACGUUAGUGCCUUAGUGGCAGAAGACAAUAGUGACCAGUUGGAGGUCCAGGAUGCACGGGUCAACCCCAUGUAAUUCUUGAACGCCAUCACCGAUACUAAUGUCUGUACUCUUUACAAUGGUUUGAUGUAUGUGCAGGUUACAUUGAAUGGUAACCAUAUAUUGACGAUGGUUGAAAUGGGAGCAUCAUAUAGUUCUAUGAUGGAAAAAGUGAUGAGUCGGUUCCGGUUACAGUUGAAAGACUUGGGUUUCAAAAUUGAAGGCUGUAAACUCUGAAACCAAACCAGUGCUAGGCAUGGCGACCGUAGAUUUAGAGUUGGAGCCAUGGAAGGGUUGGUGCAAUUUCAUGGCAAGUCAAAUGGAUGAUUUUGACUUGAUUCUAGACAAAGAUUUCAUAGUUGCAAAUAGGAUCUAUCCAAUUCCGCACUUGGAUGGCGUCAUGGUGAAUGAUGGCUAGAGUCCAGGCUUUGUUCUUGUAGUAAAGUUGCAGAAACAAAAGAACAAUCAACAAAAGAACAUGGUAUCAACGAUAGAGAUUGAGUCAUAUCUUCUGAGGCGGUGAAGUUGUGUAUAUUGCUGCAUUGGUGGAAACCAAACCUAACAUGUACCAGGAAGUACCUAACGCCAUGGCCCACGUUCUAGAGAAGUUUACAAUAUCAUGCCUACAAGUUUUCGAGAUAGCUUCCUCCAUCCUGUGCGUGGAACACAAGAUCGAGUAGGUUCCAAGAGCCCAACCACCUGCCCAAACUCCUUAUCGCAUGUCCCCGAUAAGUUGGCUGAGUUACGAUACCAACUUAAUGAAUUGCUAGAUAGCCAAGCGCUGAGACCGUCAAAGUAUCCGUACAGUACUCCAGUGUUAUUCCAGAAGAAGGCUGACGAAACGUGAGGUUCUGUGUAGACUAUUGUGCCUUGAAUAAGAUCACGAUAAAAAACAAGUACCCAUCCCAAAUGUGUACAACUUGUUCGACGAGCUAGUGAUGACACGAUUUUACACCAAAAUUGAUUUGCGGUCUGGGUACUGGCAAGUCUGAAUAGCCCCAGGAAAUGAGGAAAAGACGACGAUAGUGACGUGGUAUAAUUCAUUUGAAUUUCUCGUUAUGCCAUUCAGUUUGACGAAUGCACCUGCUACCUUUUGUGGACUAAUGAAUGAUGUCUUGUACGAUUUUCUUGAUAAGUUUGUCGUAGUGUACUUAGAUGAUAUUAUUGUGUAUUUGAAAUCCUUGAAGGACCAUAUAGAUCAGAGGGUAAUAUUCUGCAAGUUGAGGAAUACGAACUCUAUGUAAAGUAAGAAAAGUGUGAGUUUUACAGGGAGCAAAUCACUUUUCUUGGCCAUGUAUUGAACAAUGGUCGGAUCCAGAUGGAUCGCAGGAAGGUUGAGGCGAUUCUUGACUGGCUUGCACCCCAGAAAGUCGCAGAACUAAAGUCAUUCGUUGGUUUGGCCAACUACUACAGGCACUUCAUCUAGGGAUACUCAAAGAUGACCUACUAAAGAAGGAUAGACCGUGGCUGUGAGAUUAUGAGUGCGAAGAUGCAUUCAGAAUGCUGAAAAUAGCGGUUGCUUCUGUGCCAGUGUUGCAACUUUCAAAGCUUUUGAAGUGCAUACUGAUGCUUCAGAUCGUGCGAUUGGAGCGUACUUAUGCAGGAGAAGCACGGAUUGCAUUUGAAAGUAAAAAGCUAAAGAAUGCGAGCAAAGAUAUAGUACGCAUGAGAAAGAAAUGACAGUUGUUGUACAUUGUCUCAAGAUAUGGAAGCACUAUCUAUUAGAAACCAAGUUUGUGGUGGUGACUAAUAACAUGGACAAUACUUGCUUCAAGACACAGAGAGAGUUGACCCCGAAGCAAGCUCGUUGACAAGAGUUUCUGGCUGAAUUUGACUUUGACUGGAUUCAUAAGUUAGGAAGGGAGAAUGCAGUGGUCGACAUACUUAGUAGAAAGUAUGUCGAAGAAUACAUUGUUGUGCUUAGCACUGUUGAGACGGACUUCAGGGACAGAUCAAGUGGGAGUCCCCGAGUGACCCAGUUUAUCAAAACUUGGUGUUCGUGAAGUCAAAGUUCGUCGUUAUUGGCUGGAGGAUGACUUACUAUUUUGCCAAUAGUGGUGAAGCAUAUGUUCCAGCAGGAGGGGGACUUAGGCGACAGUUACUACGAGAGACUCACAAUGCUUCUUGGAUUGGUCAUUCUGGAGUUGAACGAAUGCGGGCAUUAUUGUCGCGUAGCUUCUAUUGGCCAAAGAUGGAAGAGGAUAUUGAAGCAUACGUGAAAACUUAUCUUGUUUGUCAACACGACAAGAUGAGAGGAAGAAGGAGCCAGGCUUGUUGCAGCCUUUGCCGAUCUCUGAUCGACCAUGGCAAUCAGUUUCUAUGGACUUCAUUUCGAGAUUCUCUAAGGUCGAUGGUAUGGCUUUUGUCUUUGUAAUUAUUGACAGAUUUUCUAAGUAUGCUGUGUUUGUUGGUGCACCAAAGGAGUGCUCGGUUGAUGUUGUCGUUGAGUUAUUUUUCAGACAUGUUAUGAUGUAUUUCAGAUUACCCAAAGAUAUCAUAAGUGACAGGGACAUGAGAUUCAUAGGUAGAUUUUGAACCGUGAUGUUCGGGUUGCUAGGUUUCGAACUGAAGUUCUCAACUGCCGCAUACUCUUAGACCGAUGGACAAACGGAGAGGAUCAAUAUCUUGCUAGAAGAAUACUUAAGGCAUUACGUGACGACAAGUUAGAAAAAUUGGCUGGAGUUGCUGGAUACUGCAUAGUUUUACUACAACCUGCACAAGUUAUUCGUAACUAAGUUGAGUCCAUUUGAGUUAAUGAACAGGCAACAACCUCUGACUUCACCUGAAGUUGCUCUUCAAGAGUUAGUUUGUUGAUGACACAACAACGCAUGAAGAAGUACGCAGACCAACAUAGAUCGGACUUAGAGUUCCAACUGACUCCCCAGAUUUGAAAAAAAGUAAAUAACAAGACAGUCCAUCGUGGGAUCAUCCCUGAGUACAAUAGACCAUUUGAGGUAAUCAAGAAGGUGGGUCAUAUAGCUUAUCGUUUGAAACCACUUGACAAACUCAAGAUCCACCUGACCUUCCAUGUGAGUUUUCUGAAACCCUUUUACCAAGACGAGAUGGAUGGAGGACGGAGGCAAGCAAAGUGUGCCUGCACAGUGAUCCGCAAGCAAUUCCAGAAUGAUGUGAAGGCUUUGCUGGAUUACAGAAUGAUGGGACAAAGAAAAAAGAAUAGAUGGACAAACUAUCUGAUCCAUUGGAACGGUGAAACAAAAUUAGAUGCUACUUGGGAACGGAUGUUACCUUGUGACAGUUUCAAGAUAAGAUUGCUGAGUACUUGAAGAACGUGCGAAAGCAAACCAAGUUGACGAGGGCGUCAACCUCUUCAGGUGGGGUGGUUUAUCAGCCCCUUAGGGUGCGGUCCAAACGAAAAGUGCACGACCGUGGCAGAUUUCGGCCGAUCAUGGUCAAGUUGGAAGGCCGAAGAUAAACGGGUCGAGAAAAGUUUGGACACAUGUUUGAUGAUGUUUUUCAUGCCUAUGUAUGGGUUUGGGAAAGUUUCAGGGAUAGGAGAUGUCUCUAAGUUAGUGGGGGAAUGAGGGGUGUCUCUACUAACGGUCCGAAGUUUUUAGCCAGGAAUACUAUAUAGAGGAAUAACUGUGACUAAACCAAGUCAAGACCAAGGGCCGGGGGCCGGGCCAAGGGUGUGGUACGACUAGACUUUGUGGGUUAUUUCAGAUGGUUCCAAGCAUUUGGAACCGUGGUGUCUAAGUUGCUAGGUGUUGGAGCAAGUUGGGCACGAAACGUAGCAAAUGGUGGGAAGUUGGGCGCGCAAAAUCGUGCGACCGUUGCCUGUGCUUGCAAAGACGAACGUUGGGACUGUCUGGCAGCUGCUAGCAGUUGUUGGAGUUGCGGAAGGUUACCAGCCAACUCAGACACGUUCUUAUCGAUUUCCUAACUCAUGUACAUUUGGGUUGGACCAAUGGUUGGGUCUUGUCAACCGUAACAAUGCCUAUAAGUAAAUGGCUAGGCAGAGACUAAGGGCAGAUACUAAGAAACAUCCUUAGAUGUUCUGCACGCCAAGUGUUUGUAGAAUUGUCCUUGUAAUCUCUAUUGUGAAAUACAAGGUUGGCCGCUUGGCUUUAACUUGUGCGUGCUGUUCCUUUGUUUUGUCUGAGUGUUCUACGUUGAAUACUUGUGCACAAGUGUGAGUGUGAGGGCUGACUGGUAGUGCGACUUACCAGUGCCAUUACGUGCAUGUUUGGCUAGCAAGAGUAAACACCUCGUAACACGAACACUGGUCGCCCAUCUUCAACCACCAUCUAACACUUCUUUUCAAGAUCAAUUCUUGCCCAACACUCAUUUUAUUCGCUUGAGUCAUGAUUAUGGCAUCACUUUUCUUCAGUUUAAACCCUUUGACGAUACAAAAAUAAGGUCACAAUUGAAAUUCUGAUUCGAAAAUUUGAAACUUUCGGGAUUGCCUCCUGCUAUGGGCUUUUCUCAAACUCGAUCAUAUGCCCAAACAAAUUCAUCAACCAACACUCACUCUGCCCUUGGGGCACCCAAUUAACCCCUUUAAAACAAUUUUGAAGACACCCGAAACUAGGGUUGGGCAAAAAUACUUGUUAAUCCAAAAAUCUGACAUAUCCGAUUCGAUUCGAUUCAACAAAUAGGGUUCCGGUGUGUAUUAUUUGAUCGGUCAAAAGAAAGUUGGAUAAUUACUUGUAUGCGGCGUUAGGUGGAGUCACCUGAUUAAGAAUCCGUGGGAUCCCGACCCUUCCCACAUAUAUAUUUUUUAUUUUUACACACAUAUUACAAAAUAAUACUUUUGGAGCUAAAUAAGUAAUUUCAUUAAACAAAAUACAUUAUAAAUAUGAAAAAUUAAAGUUUAUUUAUAAGAUUCAUUUAUAGAUGUCAUGAUUUCUUUUUUUUAAGGAAACAGUUUAAUUAAUAUAGAACAUAUAUUUGUAAAAAGGUACUAUUUAUUUGAAUUUUCAUUGAUUUUGAAUUCUUUUAAUUUUCUUUUCCCGUAUUCUCUUUGCAUGUUCAUUUUUUUAUUGAGAAAAAAUCUUUAUUAAGUUUUAGAUGAAUAUUCAAAAUACAAAAUUAAAUUACUAUAAAUUAUUUUUUAAAACAAUUAAAUGAUAACCAGCGUGAUGCAAAUAUCUGUUAACUCAACCCUACUUUAAUGGAAACCCACUCAUAUACGGGAUGGUUAAAGGUCAAAAGAUAGCUGUCUUGCAAGGUACGGGUCUAGUCAGCCAAAUGAAGCAUAGAACGAGUACUACUUGACCUGUACCUACCCCUACCCAAAACAAAUCUUAAUAAUCAUAAAAUAGCAACCUGCACUUGCAAAAUCCAAUUUUCAAUUUUCUCCUCAAAAUUUAGCAUCAAAUUUUACAAAAAUUACACAAAAACAAUCCAAUCAACAAAUAAAUACUCAAGCAUUGAAUUGACAUUAUACUGUAUUUGUGCAGCACCGAAUUGACAUUAUCUGACUUGUAUGUAUGGCAAAAUAAAGGAACUAUGAAGAGGAUGGGGAGGAGGGAGAAGGAUGCUGAGAGUAAGGGAGGAGAUGAAUCGGAAAAUUUAGAUAUUUUUUCUUUUUAUAUUUUCUAUUAACCGGAUUUAUAGGUAACUAGAGCUGUUAAUCGAACCGAGUAGCUGGCGAGCCGAGCUCGACCCGGCUCGACAAGGGCUCGGAUCGGCUCGUUUACAGAGAGAAACAAUCCGAGCUCGAGCUCUACUCAGUAUUCGUUUAAUAUAUGCUCGGCUCGUUUAAGCUCAGUAGGCUCGAAGAGUAGGGGCAUUAACAUCAUUUCAUUGUGUAUGUGGUACUCUAACCUAAGUCAUUCUCCCGUUUGUAACCAUAAUUUUUCUUUCCUCUUUUGGUCUUACCUUCUCCCGUUCCACAGCCGUAGCCACAGUCGCACGCCAGCACCCUCCAUUUUUACCACCGUCACCGAGUCACCAUUCACCAAUUCAUCCAUCAUCUCACCUCCAUCAGGACCAUCACCUAUCCGUCCACUAUCUCACCGCCAGGCGUUAUCCCUAAUUUUUUCUUUCCUCUUUCGAUCUUUCCUUUUCCCGUUCCACAGCCGCAGCCGCACCCUCCAUUCUUACCACCGUCACUGACUCACCAAUCCAUUCAUCUCACCUCCAUCACCAAUCCGUCCACCAUCUCACUGCCAUCAUUCAAUCCACUUCUCGUGAAUCCGUGAGCAGCGCCAUACGGAGCCACCUCGGUAAAGCCAGGGGCCUCUACCAUAUCCCGAUUCCUUGCAUAAUCUGGUAACCAUUUCUUCUCAAUUUUUGCAAUUUAUUUUGGUUUUAAGAGGUUGUGUGGGUUUUGGUUAAUGGUGGAUAGCCCCGUAUCCCAUAUGGCUUCCCCGUAUCCGUUGGCUUCCUGUGUUUUAUCCCGAAUUUCACCUGCACGGAUUGCUUAUGCAUCGCUUAGUGGACUUUUGGUUUCAAAUAGCAUGUCUUUUACCCGUUAAAUAACCUUUUUUUUACCCAUUGUUCUGGAUUGUUGCAUAAGUGUCAAAUUUCGCCUGAAAUGCUCACAUAUUCUUCUAUGAGAUUACGUGUAUCACUACUGCGUUACCUUCCUUCGACACCUGAAGCUGGAGUUUGACGUUUCAUUUCGUUCAGACCAUGGAAUAGUUGCUGCGAUUAAACUUAUGUCUCUAAGAAAAUAAAGAAGGAAACAUCACUUUUUGUCUCUGUGCUCUUUGAUUUCUGCAUUUUCUAAUCCAUGUUAUAGAACUGACUGUUGAUGAUACCAAACAUUUUGUUAAAAGAAAACCAAAGUAUUCAAUUCCCAUACAUUUAACUCUUCCUGGUUAAAAUGUAACUUCCUCUAUUGAUGUCCAUAAAUUUCCUCGAAAAAGCUUGCGAAUUGCAAAAGUUUCCACCAGUCGUCUUAAAAUGGCACUCUAAACCGUCUGCUAUGAUACUUUUGAUAAGCACAGUUAUACUGCCAGGAAGGGCAAGUAGGUAUGCAUCAUGGACCAUGAAAAUGCCAAUUUCCAGAAAUCAAUUACAGCUUUGACGAGUUGCAAACUUCUUGGACUAUGAAAAUGCCAGUUUCUAGCAAUGAAAUGAUAGCUUUCACGAUCUGCAACUUCUUAUUGAUUAAUGAAUACUGAAAAGUACGUAUCAGCCCAAUCUUGCCUCUCUUCGUAGUACCUGGAAAAGAUUUAACAGUCAACCAUAAGUGACAGAACUUUAACAGCGCUAGCCAUAUAACAAACAGUGGACAAAACUUUAACAAAGCUAGUCAUUUUCUUUUCUUUAGCAUGUGAUAUUUCUUCAUGUUUUGCACUUUUGUUUAAGCUUGACAGUGAAAACAUUUUUCAACCUAGAAGAUUCUGCAAGGCAAAACUUUCUUCAUUUUAGUUUCUUCAUUUCAGCAAAAUUAACUUUUUGUUUGGACUGCCAUUUUAAGAGUUUUUCACUGUUAUUUCAUUAAUCUGAAUGUAAGCUUGAGAAUUGAGAUAGGAACAAGUUAAACAAAUGUUAAAACUGGCUUGAAGUGGGCAUUAUUUCUUGGAAUCUGUUUUAUUACUUUUGUACCUUAUUUUUAGAAAUGUCAUUCUAAAUAUCUAUUUUGGCUAAUCAGAAUCUGUAUUGGUUAUUAAAUGUGUUUUGAUUAAGGAAUGUACAGCUCUCCAUUCAACUCAUUUCAAGGUUCAUCAUCAAGUCCUGUGAUGGAGCAAAAUAAUGAAGUGUGAACAAUUGAACUACAACGAAAAAAGAGCUGAUGAGAUGAGUGAAAAAGAGAUAGAAAUGAUAAAAGAUGAGGGCAAUGAAGAACGACAGCAAGAGAUGGAGAUGAAGGAGCUGGUCCUUUUGAGAAAAAACAAAGGAAGAAGAAAUCUAGCAUAUGGGAUGAAAUGACAACAAUAGUGCUAGAUAAUGGGACGGUCAAAGUGAAAUGUAACAAUUGCAAGGAACUUUUUGUCAAGAGUGCAACCGAAGCCAUAUCUCAGCACAAGAGACACUUGAAUUCUUGCCUACAAAGAAAGAUAGCCAUUGGAAAGCAAAGCAAACAAAAGCAACAAGUGUUGUCAUUCAUCGAAGGCCAAAGUAAUGGUAUCACUUCCAUCACAAAUUUCUUGUAUGAUCAUGCCAAGGUAAGAGAGCUUGCAUCACACAUGAGUACCCCUUUUCUAUAAUAGAUCAUGUAGUUUUCAACAAAUUCAUGAAAGCGGCUUCUCCAUUUUAUAAUUGUUAAGAAAGAUUGCAUUAGUACUUAUAAAUUGAAAAAAGGAACCUGAAAUCAUUGUUGAAAGGUGCUGGUAGGAUUAGUAUUACCACAGAUUUGUGGACAUCUGGUCAAAAAAAUUCAAUAUAUGGUUGUGACUGGUCAUUUUGUUGAUUUUGAUUGGGUGCUACAAAAACGUGUUGAAUUUUUUAAUGUUCCUCCUCCUCAUGCUGGAGUUAUUAUAGCUGAUACUCUAAGUAAGUGCUUUAUUGAUUGAGGGAUUGAGAAUAAGGUUUCUAACAUAACUGUUGAUAAUGCUUCAUACAAUGAUGUGUGCAUUAGGAGACUUAGAGAGGAUUUUUCUCUAAAAAAGAGAUUAAGUAUUGGAGGAAAAAUUUUCAUGUUAGAUGUUGUGCACAUAUACUUAAUCUCUUAGUGCAAGAUGGUCUUGGUCAACUUGGUGGUGUGAUUGAUGUUGUUAGAGAAGGGAUAAAGUACUUGAACAAUUCUGAAUCUAGGCUUCUUGAAUUUGCCAAAAUUAAAAAACAGCUUCAAUUGCCCUCUAGAAAGCUAAUUUUGGACUGUCCAACAAGAUGGAAUAGCACCUAUUUGAUGUUAGCUUCAGGUUUAGAGUUCAAGGAUGUUUUUUCAGAUAUGCAGACAUUGACCCUGGAUUUCACUAUGUUUUUACUGAUUUUGAGUGGAUGAAAGUGAAAGAAGUGUGCAAAUUUCUAGGAAUAUUUUAUGAAAUCACUGAUAUGAUUUCCGGGUCCGAGUAUCCAACGGCUAACAUUUUCUUGUGGAGCUCUAUAGGAUUAAAGAGCUUUUAAAUGAAAAAGCUCUUGACCCUUUUUAGCAUCUUCGGGUUAUGGCUGGAAGUAUGUCUGCUAAAUUUGAUAAGUAUUGGGGGAAAGUAAUGUACUGCUAUCUUUGGGUGCAAUUUUGGAUCCGAGAUACAAAAUAUUUCUUAUUAAUCAUACUUUUCCGGUGAUUUAUGGUGAGGAUGCAGCUCCUAGAUUCGUGGCUGAAAUUAGAGACACUCUUUAUGAGCUUUACAAUGAAUAUGUUGAUUGUCACAUAGUUUCCCAUUCUGAACAAUAACAGAGGCAGGUUGUAAAAGGGAGACAAAAUGAAGGUUCUAGUUCUUCUAGUAAGAAACAGAAAAUGACUGGACCUGCCGUUUUAACUAGUAAAGAAAAGUUGCACAUGCAUGUGAGUGAAAUUAACAGGGCUCCACCACAAAAAUCAGAUUUAGAUGUUUAUUUAGAGGAAAGUAGGUAUUGUGACGCCCCCACUUCUCCUUAAGGUGAACCAAAGAGUAUCCACGGGACGCCUGCCCAACUCUUACCAGGACUGGUACAAUUCCCGUUCAACCUUAUUACAAUACUAGCUAUCACGACAAGAUGAAGUAAAAAAGAUAAAGUCGCUUCUAUAAAUAAUAUUCAAACUUACACCACGAGUUCCAAAAUACAUCAAAUUUCCAAAAUAUACAACUGCCAAAAGUCUAGUCGAUUACAUUUGGAACCCUAAUACAAAAGUACAACAAAAGGAUUUCUCCGAGUUUCACUCCAUAUCUAUGCCUGUUAAGGAAAAUAAAUCUACGGGGUGAUCAAUUGCUCGUGAGGCCAAAAAACACACAUACAAGCACGUUGUCCAAUUAACAAGAAAACGAUAAUAUUCGAGUAAUUAACAAUUCAAGCGGAAUGUAAACAGAAACAAUUCAAGGAUAUGGGAGCUCUCAGGAGCUAUUGUCCACUGGCACGAUCAAGAACCUCCACGAGUUGACACUCCGUCAAUCGGGUAGGUCAUAUCCGUAGAAGCUUCACUUACGCGUUCCUCGUCCACCAUACAUACCGCACCGGGCCCGAACAUCAUUUAUAAGGUGAUACUCCACGAGUAUGUCAAGCGAGAUCUUUCAAAUAGAUCAAACUUAUCAUGUUAUUCUCAUGACUCAUCGAGAUUCCCGACCAAACCCAUGCCGGCUCGAGUUCCAAGGUCGACCUAUGAGUUUGGGCCCCCAUGUAACAUUUGUGAGUGGAAGAGAUUCACUCCAACGAUGUAUGCAGCCAUAGCAUACUAUUUCAUGUCAUUCAAGCAUUCGAUACAUUCAAUCAUUCAUUUCAUCUCAUUCAAGUCAUUCAUGAUCCAUUCAUUUCAUUUCAAUUAAUUCAAUCAUGAGUCAUUCAUUUCAAAUGAGAACGAGUGCGGUAAAAUACACACUCGACUCCAUUUUCAAAAUCUCCAAUCAUUAAUAACAGUUAAGCAUGUAUCAAGUUCCCAUACACUUGACACUCACCAAGUAAUUCAAGAAGUAAAGCACAAGCGGUUGUUUAGGCGUCUCCUGUGAGAUCCUCUUGAAGGUCCUCUUGAGUGCCUGAGUAAUAAUAAUGAACUAUUACACACUAUCGUUUAAAACCCCUACUUAUCGAGAAAGAUUGCACUCGUGUACAAUUUAAGAAGAUAUUAUGAGAAUGAGCCUUAAUUACUCGUAAAUCGAGACUCAAAAGUGGGGUUUUAAUAAUACAAGGAAAUUCGAUUUUCAUCUUUGAAAUCAAAUGUAAAACGAUCAAGCAAUAUCGAGGAAAAAUGGUGAGUACUAAAAACUCAAUUUUCUUUAAGUUCGGAAAUUUCAGAUUUGAUAAGCAAUUUUUGAAAAACCGUAUCUCAUUCUCUGUAGGUCCAAAAUUAGAAAAAUUGGUACCGUUGGAAACUACUUCCAAAGUACUAAAAGUUCUUAGAAGACAUUUUUCCAUGAUUCCAAAUAGAUGACAUUCAAAAUUCGGUUCAAAGUUGCUGUUUUGGGCUACCAAGACAAUUUCGGGGUUGGUUUUUGGCCAACUUUGGAAAUUCGGCAAAAUUCACAAAAUGUGAACUAGCCUCUGCAAUUUGGAAUCAAUUAUAGUUACAAACAAAGUUUAAAACACAACAAACAGAACAAGAAUGGAGUUUUGAGUGCCAAGAUAUAGCAGCUCAAAUUUGCUGAAAUUUUCUCACUGAAUAAGGAUUUUCCAGAUUUGAAACAUGAAAUUUGGGAUUUCAGUUGAGCAUCGAAAUGGACUUGGAAUGGCACCAAAUUUGGUAGUAUUACCCUACCAUAGAAGGGCUAUUCCUCUGUCAAAUUUCAUGCAAAAAUUCAUAUGGAAGGUCAGUUAACAAAGCCGCUAAAGUUCCAAGAAUUUCCAAGGCAAAUCUGCCUUGUACUUCCGUUUUACUUUUUCAAGCAUUUGGCCAAUGAAAUCUUCUCAAACAUGGUUCAUUUAUGAAGACAAGAUCUAAGAAACAUCCAAAAUGUGUUUGGUAGGUGAUUAAUACCAAGAGUUCCAAAAUAACGACUCCCAAUUCGAGUUAAGGCAUUCAACUAGCCAAGAUUAGGGUUUCCUUUCACUGACACAGGUCUGGAAUUUGGCCACAACUCACUCAAUUCAACUUGGAAUUAGACAUGAUCAGUGGCGUUGGAAACUAAAUUCAUAGGGCUAUAAUUUCUCAGAAAAAAUCAUUUUGAAAUUCUGUCCAUAACUAGUUCAUAUUCUAGCAACAAGUUGCAGCACACAACAGGUUUUCUAACACAGACGAGAAACAGGGCAGGUGACUUUGAAAGGCUGGUACGGUUCACUCAAGUGGAAUCAGGGGAUGCAUUUUAUACUGUUAGAAAACUGGAAGUAUCUAGUUUCUAAUUCCUCAAAUGGCACUCGAUUUUGAUGUCGGAGAAAGAGUUAUUGUCGUUUGAAAUUCGCUGCCAGAGCAACUCUGGACAUGUUUUCCAACCAUGAAGAAAUUUCGAAAUCCAAACAUUUACCCAACCAAAUCAAGUGAUUUUUGGUGGAAACUUUUCACACAACCUAUAAAACAUAUAUACACCGAAAUCAAGUCAAUUAGAUCACAAAAAAUUGCACCAAGAGGUGCGGCAAUGACAGGGCAGAUCUGGCCCUUCUUCCAUUUCAACUUCCUUUGAGUUUCUUUCCACUCUUUCAACUUAAAUCCACUAGAUUAACACUUAAUCAACAUAAAUAACACUCAAAAUCAUCAAAUCAGAUGAUCAAGUCCAUUGUGGGAUUUCAUAGAGUCUACUCACAUGAUUUUCAACAAUCCAAAGCUACCCACAUGAAGCUACAAGCUUCUAAGUGAAAUCUAACUUACAAAAGCUAAGAUUUAAAGGGUGGAUGAUCAUUACCUCUUAGAUGUUGCUAGAGCAGAAAUUUCGGUCCUUAGAGCUCCAAGAAAACCGUGAGAAUGAAGCUCUUCUCCUAGCUGAAGAUGAUCUCCAAGUUAUUUGCAAGGUGUGGUAUGAAUUUGAGAGGAUUUGGUGCAAGAUUGAGAGACGAAAUGGUGAAGAAACUUGGUCUUCUUCUCCUUGUUGUUGCACGGCUGCUUGAGGGAGAGAAAGAGAGAGUUGUGGCUGAUGGAAAGCUUCUCUUGGAAGCUUAAGAGUUUGUGGCCAAAAUUACUCCAAAAGUCAACUAAGAAUAGUGCAUGUACACGCGCGUUUCGUGCUCGUUUCCUCUUGGAUUUGUUUCACUUGUGCACUAAACCUCUAAUGCACUUCCAUUCAUACUAUUAUUAUUCACUUUUAAUAGUCUAAAAAUAAAGGUCUAAAGUCCCUCAAUUAAUCGCGCGCGCGAAAACACGUACUUCCGUUUUGUGCGCGAUAGAGUAAAAUUUCUAAGAAAUUCUUACAAUGAUAUUAUAACUGACUAGUACUUGAGUACUUAAACAUAAAAAUACCUAUUUUGAAACUAAUGUAUGAGUCUUCAAUCUCCAAACUCACUGUACCCUCAAAUCGAUUAUUGUCUCCAAACGCACAUUCACUAUUCUCACUAAACGAGUUUCUAAAAAUUAAAUUUUUGCAACAAGUCAUUUUAAAUAUAUAUAUAAGUCAUAAUUCCAUGUAAUUGAGUCUAAAAAGGUUGGAAUAAAAUAUUCGGAGCAAACAGACAAUUAAAUAUUUAAAUAAGCUAGUAAUAGAAAUUUAAAAUAAGUAAAUUUGCGGGUCCUUACAGGUAUGCUUGUGAUGCAAAUGCAAAUUUGGAUGUUUUGGGUUGGUAGAAAUAGGAAAGAUUGAGAUUUCCUAUCUUGUCGAGGAUGGCUGCCGAUAUACUCUCCGUUCCUGUUACAACUGUGGCUUCAGAAUCUACCUUCAGCGCCGGAGGUAGAGUAAUUGAUGAUCGACGAGCUUCUAUGUCAAUUGAGACGGUGCAAAUAUUGCUUUGCGGCAACGAUUGGAUCCGCAGUCUUCAUGGCCUAAAGAAUAAGUCUCGCGUUAAGUAAUUGAUUAGAUGUUUUUGUUGUUGUUACAGUUUCUUUAUAUCUGAUUUUAAAGAAUUUUAUAACUUUCAUACUUUUGUUUUGUAGGAAUCACUUGAUGCGACCGAAUCAAUCACAUUUGAGGAAGUUAAACUUCCCGAAUCAUUCACAACCUGAUUUGGUGGCUGUUGAUGUUGCUUGGUGCAAACUGAUUCAUUCACAUGUUGAUUUCGUUGAAGACCUAAAGAAUAAGUCUCGCGUUAAGUAAUUGAUUAGAUGUUUUUGUUGUUGUUACAGUUUCUUUAUUUUAAAGAAUUUUAUAACUUUCAUACUUUUGUUUUGUAGGAAUCACUUGAUGCGACCGAAUCAAUCACAUUUGAGGAAGUUAAACUUUCCGAAUCAUUCACAACCUGAUUUGGUGGCUGUUGAUGUUGCUUGGUGCAAACUGAUUCAUUCACAUGUUGAUUUCGUUCAAAAGCUGCAUCGUUCACAAGUGUUUUCACCCAAGAAAGUUAUUUUUAACUCUUGGUCUAGAGUGUGGACAUUUUAGAAACUGCUUAAAACGUAUUGAUGGCUGAUCUUUAAUUGUUUGGACUCUUUUAUGUAAUUUUUCAUUUUGUAAUCUGAUCUGGUCUGCUGCCGAGUUUGGACAUUUUAUUCCUCCAUUUGAUAGUUUGAGCUGCAAUUUUAACUUCUUUUUUGCUACUCGUGCUUAUGAUGCUUCUGUUUUGCGUUGUCGAAUUGAGUGGAUGAUAUAUUAGGGAAUGUGUUGUUCUUUUUUGUCAAACUAAAUAUGAGUGUAGAAGAAGCUGAUAUGCUAUCUUACGUAAACGACUUAUGAAGCUCGAAUUACUAAUCGAGCGAGCUCGAACUGCUCGAUUAGAUGUUCGAGUCGAGCUCGAUUGUCGUGUGCUCGAGCUCGACUCGGCUAGUUUAACAGCAAGGUAACAUGCAUCAAAGCAGGCUUAUUCUCUUAGUACUUUUUUUUUUCUUUUUAUAAAACACAGGUGCAUUAACGCACGACAGAAGCACCCUAUCAAUCUAAGAUCCCAGCUUGCUUGUAGCUUUCGAUAGAGUCAACAAGAGUUUCUUCCACUGGCCUAUACCUCCAGCCCAGCCUCUCCAAUUUUUCUGAGCUAAUAUUCCAUCGGCUUUGAUCCUUCACCUCUAUAAGUCUGCGAAGAAAUGAGUUAUAUCAAAAAAUAUGCAGACAACAUAAAUGGUUCUUGUAGAGACUCGUAGAUGCCACACUUUUGGAAAUGGAAAUCAUGACGGACAUGAACAAACAAGAAAAUCAGGACAAACGGGGUGUCUGAAAAAUGAGACAAUUAAUUUCAAAGAUGGUAAUCCACCUCUUAGGGUACUUGUAGUUGGCAUAGUUUUUCCUCAGAGUUUCCACCAUAUCUUUUGUCGUGGUGACGUGAGGUGAACAUAUGUACCGGCCUUCAGCUUCAGGUCUCCCGUAAACCAAAAGCAGUGCCUCGGCCACAUCACGCACAUCUACUGUGUUGUAGAAUUUGUUUUCUGUUUCUUCACAUCCGUCUGUGCAGCCAAGGAGUGAAACAAAAGAGCAGUUUAAUCUCAAAAAAGGAGAUGUUAUCUGUGCUAAUCUCUGAGUUCUUUACUGCAUAUAUGAAACCUACAAUCCCUUUGACAAAUAGUACAGCAAUAAAUUCAUGGGACUUUUGAAUUGCAAAGGACCUACAGGUCACAAUGUUAACCUUUUAUAUCUUCAACAAUGCUCCAAAGCAAAUCAAGCAAACAGUUGAAAGAUGCAACCUCUUCAGAUGUUAUGCCUAUUGUCUGUCUCAUCUUCCAUUAGGUCAAACUCACACAAUUUUCACAUCAAUAAAAUUUGAAUCGCUUGUGCAUGUGUCUGGAAAGAUUACAUUAGCACAAUUUAGUAUUUUUGGCAGCACUGCUCGUUUAAAUUUCCCUGCCAUCAAGCAGAAAAUUUAAUUCCAUUCCAACAGUAAAAGCCAAACACCACAAUCUUAGUUUUUUUUAGAUAACUUUGCAAGUUUUUAGAGCAUUGCCAAAAUCAUAAAACUAUCAGAAUGGCAGAUAGCUUACAGGUUUAGAAUCUGAAAACCUCAGCUGGCUUGAAGAUUAAAUAAAAAUGCCAAAAGACGGCAAAGCAGUUAUCUCCAUGAAUGUAGUUUCAUUCCUAGAAGGUCAACCGCAACCAGAUAGACGGAUUUUGUGAAAUUUUAUUGGCAUCAAUUCAUUGUGUAUCAUGUAAAUAACACUGGAAGCCAGAAGCAUAAAAAUGAUGGGUUACUUGGAAAAUUAGCUGAUCAACCACAUGAAGAAAUUCAAUUGUUUGACCUUUCAAGUACAAAAAAAGGAAAAAAUUGCUAAGCUUUAGAGGUCAUCUGAGUUCUAGAGUGACAUCCAUGCUCACUUAGGCACAAACCAAUAUCAAGGAGAAAACUGUAUCAUUUACGACCACUUCCAUGCAGAAGGUGAAAGAAAGAAAAAUAAAAUAUAACAUAACGGAAUAAGUUCUCCAAUUGACUACAAAGCACUAAUAAAUCACCUUUCAACAGCUUUAUAAGAGCCAGACUGCUAGCAUUCACAUCAUGCUGAAGCAUGGGGCCGAGAACAAAGGAUGGGCAUACAGUUAAAACAUCAAGGCCAGUUUCUUUUGCAUAUUGUAAUGCCUCACUUUCAGCAACCGUCUUGGAGUAACAAUACCAGUUCUGGAGCAAUAUUAGUACUAGAUGGUCAGCCAGAAACAGAUAGUAGUUGCAAAAAUCUGAUUUCUCAGCAAUCUUAGAAACAGUAUGAAUAAGACAGUGAAUUUUCUGCACAAUUACAACACCAAGGUGCAACUGCAAAAAGUCAAAUUAUGUUGAUGCAUACAUUUGUUGCCUUGCAGUAUUCGCCGUCUGACCAACACUUCUCAUCUAUGAUUUCACCUUCAGGCAGAUUAGGACUCAUUACAACAGCUGCAGUAGAGGAAACAACUACAACGCGCUUGACAUUUGCUUCAGAACAAGCCUUCAGUACAUUAAGGGUACCCUUUACAGCUGGCUCAACAAGUUCAACCUGCAACAAAUCAUCAUGUUGGCAGAGGUACUAGCACUCAACUCUUCAUGCUGAACUGCUUGUUUUUGCGUAAAAUAUAUCCAGAUAGACAGCUAAGUAGUGUCAGUUAACCUGACAUCUUUAGAGUGAAUGAGUACAUAGUUAAAAGACUCAUGACUGCUUAUGCCUGUGAUUUAACUUGGUUACCAGCAUAGGUUAUUAUUAUAUGCAUUUAUUCACUCAUUUCAACAUUUGAAAAAUCCUUCCACGAAAUGAUAGAAAGACAAAGAGCCCCAGUGACUUCAUAAGUUUGUACAAACGCUUUAACAAGGUUCUAUUUUAAACGAUACCCAACUUUAGCUCAUGUUUGGCAAAACGCAAUAAAAUAUUAUCUGUUAUGACAAAAGCUGUCUCAUAAACAAAAGAUAUGUUAAAAAUGUUAUUCUGGGGAAACCAAAAGGAAGAAAUAUCAUAGCAAUUGAAACGAUUGAAAAUGGUCUUGCCUCAGGAUUGGGAACAGAGCCUGAAGGAACAGGACUAGCUACAUGAAAUACGCCAUCACAACCCCUGAUGGCUGCAGAAAUGGAGUUGUAAUCCAGCAAAUCAGCCUUAAAGAGUUUCAAAUUCUCAGCUGCUUUGUCAAGUUUCUUCAGAUGAACAUAUUUCUCAUCGUCUACAAAACAUACACAGCAAUGCCCACAUCAUCAAGUAACGAAGCACACAAUUCACAGCAGGUGCUUUUAUAUAUUUCUUCAAUUAAACAUAUUUCUCACCCUUCACAAAACAUUUACAGCAAUUCCCACUACAUCAAAUAGGAAACAGCCAAUUGACAGCAGGCAAAAAAUCAAUUGCGGUAUUAAAGGGAAUGAAACAAUCAUACAAUACCCAAAACAAAAACAAAAAAAAAACGAGUAGUAAAUCAGGAAGGAAGGGUUAUGAGGAUGAAAUACGUACUGGGAUUUCUGAGGGUGGCAUGAACAGUAUAAUGGCGGGAAAGGAGUAGCUUGACUACCCAAGAUGCCAGGUAUCCCCCUGCUCCUGUAACACACACUGUCCUGUCCUUCUUAGCCUCCCACGCUGCCAUGUCUGAUUGCUUACCAGUAGCAGUAGCGGGAUUAGUAUUUUAGCACCAAAUUCACUAUAGACUGAUCAAGAAGGUGGGUGAAGUUCUAUUCUUUUCUUUUUUAUGAAUAUUAAUUCUUUUUUGGUUGGACAAGGCAGAGAUUUCGUCGAUUCUUAAAGAGGAGGACUGAAGAAGAGGGCGGUUGGAAGAGGAGGAGGAGGCGGAGGUGGUGGUGUUGGAAUUUUGAAUAGACGAGUCCUGUAUGUAUGAGCUAGCUGAUUCCAGCAGCCUCUGUCAAUACUAGGAGUAAUCAGCAGCUGGCAGGCUUGGGGCUUAUAUAUAGCAGCAGACCAAUGGUCCUGUUGCGAUUUGCACGGCUCAUGGAAGACGUAUGGUUUCAACGCAGGGUUGGGCUGGGUGGGUGGGGAAACGGUACUAAUGAUAAAUGUAUGUAUAAUGAAAUUUGAGAUAUUCUAGCAAUCUGUUAGUAAAAUUUAUUUUAUAAAAAAAAAAGGAGUAAAGGAGCAUAAUAUUAUUAAGUUAUAGUAAAACUUGAUGCACAUAUCAAUAAAACAAGAUAUUCUGUGCAUUUGAAUACAAUAGUAUAAUAUGAUUUUACCAUUGUCGGAUGUUUAACAAAUUUAUUUAUUAAUGGAUAUUAAAGUGUUACAUUUUAUCUCAUAUUUUCCCAAUUUAUGACUCAGAUUUUAAAUUGAUUAACUCAUUAGAGAAUAAAAAACUCAUCCCGUUGCUAAAUUGGACAAGUGACAAAAACUCAUGUCCAUAAUGGGAUUUUGCUUCUGACUCAAAUCCUAUAAUGCGAACCAAACCCCAAAUCACUCCAUUAUAACGGAAACACAAACUAAACUAUUUAAUAUUCAAAUCAAGUUCCGCUCAAUAACAGUUUGUUCGAAUUUGAUUCGCAAACUAAUCUAAUCAAGUUAGAAUAACAUUUUAUUCAAAUCAAGUUCCGCUCAAUAACAGUUUGUUCGAAUUUGAUUCGCAAACUAAUCUAAUCAAGUUAGAAUAACAUUUUAUGUUUGAAAAAAUUUUAACUGCAGCUCAAGCUUAGCUCAAUAAUCAUAAAAUUGGAUUUUAUAGAUAAAAAUUACUCGAACUCGACUCAAUAAAAAUUCUUUUGAACGUGACUUAGUAAAUAAAAAAGCCAAUCUUGAAUACUAUUUCAAAAUUCUUUAAAAUAAAUAACAAGAUACUUGGUUUGAUUAGACACAUUCACACCCCUGUUUUUCAUAUGCUCGAUAACAUAUAUUUUUGCCAUUGAAUUUUGGGACAUGUUUAUCAUUUUUUAAAAUCUUUUUUUUUAUUUCUGGCUUUUAUAGGAAAAAAAAAACUAAAGGAUGUGUUCGGAUAGGAGACCGAUAAACUUUUCUCUCCCCCUCGCGCCUAAUUGCAGGUUAAAAGCAGUGUUUUGAAAACCGGACCGGACGGCCGGUUCGACCGGUUGGACCGCGAACCGGCCAUGAUUCCGGUCCGAUUCUAUGCUAUAGUUGACCAGGUUAGAAAAAGCCGGUUAAACCGUGAAAACCGCCGGACCGGAUUGAACCGGCGGUUUUCGGUUUUCGAGAUUUCCCUUUUUUUUUUUUUUUUUUUUUUUUUUACGUUUUGCAAAAUGCAGCUAUCAAGAUUCGAACUCAAGACUUUUGUAAUAGAAGACCAAUGUAGUAACCAUAGUAACCAUUGCACCAUCACAUCUUAUUAGUUUUUUUUGAUAACUUGUUUAUAUAAAACAAAAACUCAUAUUUCUUUUUGUCAUUUUUUUUACAAAAUCUAAUCCUCUCAUAGCUCUUUCUUUUUAAUCUUCAACACACACACACACACACUCUCUCCUCUUUUUUUUGUCACUCUCUUUUUAAUCAAACCACUUUAUUUUUAAUUUAUUGAUGUUUUCUUCCAUCUUUUAAUUUUAUUUUUGUCCAUUAAAUUAAAAAAGGUUAAAAAAGAAUUAUUUUUCUUUAACCCAAAUUAUUUAAUGCCACAACCACUCACUUUUAUCUCAUUUUUUAUUUCUUAUCAAGUUUGCAUUUCUAUUUUCGAUUCUCUUGACUUCUUUCGAGCUCCAAAAUUCCUUUUUUAAAUUGCAAUUUCUAAUCCCAAAACGUAAAUUAAAAUUUAAGUUCACAAAAUCUAAAUUCUCAUAGACAUGAAUUUUGUAUAAUUUUAAAAUAUUAUGAUAUUUUUGGGUUAGAUCUAAGAUUUUUUUGGUAGAUAUAAUUGAAAUUGAAAUGAAAUUUAUUUGUUUUAACUUAUAAUUUAAAAUUUUUAUUUUUAAAAAAUCAAGUUAUUCAAAAAUAGUAAACUUUUCAUCAUAUAAUGUAUUAAAUUAGUCCAUUACAUGUCUUAUUUUGUGCAUAAAUAUUUACAUAAAUUAUUUUUAAAAAAAUUCAUUGAACCGAGGUUGAACCGGUCCGACCGGUUAAAUCUCGACCUUUCACGUCACCGGUUCAAUUAACGGUCGAUUUUUAAAACAUUGGUUAAAAGGAAUAUCCAGUUCUUAGAUAACUUUUCUAGCACAACUCUAGUUGUCAGAAAACUGGUCUACUUUGACUGUGGGUUUUCCUUUAGUCAGGCCAUUUUGUCAUUAGUGAUGAUUGCUUCUUCUAAACCUUAGCUAACUGCACACGCCAUGCGCAUGAAACUUCUUCUAAACCUUAGCUAACUGCACACGCCAUGCGCAUGAAAAUCCAAACUUCAAAUAAAAUAAUUUGAACUCGUCAACUUGCAAAAUAAGAUAAUUUGGGUUUCGUCUGAUAUGAGUAGUAAGGGAAAAUUUAAUUACUAUAUUUAUGAUUCUUGACUAAUGUGAUUGCUCAUCUAUCACCACGCAUCAGUUUAAUACCUUAUCUUCAUUUAAAUGUGACGAUUGUAGAAUUGAUGGCUGAAACUGAAAGGAAACUGAAAAAGAAAUGUCAUGUGAGUGCAUAUGCAUGGUUAAAACAAUACUCCCACAAAUUAUAACCAAUUCGAUCCCUUGUUUUUAAGGUUUUGAUCGUUUUGGUUCCUUGGUAUCAUGACAAGCCAAUUUUGCCUCUUAAAUUUAAAAAUAUGGUUAAGGAGAUCCUUUUGAUGGAAAUUUGAGUUGCUAAUGAAGUGAAGAGACCAUUUAGUGCCUUUCGUGUCACAUCCGUCUCAACACUAUAUUAAAGUUUCAAAAAAUCUCAAAUAAGUCAUAAAACUCAUAAAACAAACCCCAAAACUCUUUAUCGUGAAGAAAAUAAAUUUUUAUAACUUUAAAAUAAAUCAAACACAAAACCUUAAACAUAAUUAUGGAAUUUGUGCCAUUUUCGAGUUGAAAUAUCAUGAAAAGGAGUACCAAAAGGUGAAAGAAAAAUGCAUAAACUUAUGUUUGACAUAGUAUUAAAAACUUUUAUUUCAUUAUAUUGAAGAGUUUUGGGUGAGUUUAGGCUUUUAGGAUUUUAUUUGAAUGCUUGGUGUUUUCUGCGAGAUGGCACGAAGUACCCUCUAAGGUCUCUUAACUCCAUUAACAACUCUAAAUUAGCCUUGACCAAAUUCUUCAAAUUUAAGAAAAAUUGGUUCGCCAUAAUACAAAGGGACUAUUUUGUUAAUACAUUGGAGAUAAGAAACCAGAUUAAUUAAUUUUUGUUGUUUGCGUAACUCAAGGGAUUUCUCCGUUAGCUUCCCACAAUUUUGCUACAUUAGUCUCUUUUGAUGGAGAUAGAGCACCAACUCACAGUUGUAUUAGAACUUCACUUACGCUAUAAUCGUUAGGAUUUUCUUAUAUUCAUCCGACUACUCAAUAAGUAUCCUAUUUUAUAAUAACUAUCCUACACCUCUUCAAAGCCUGAUAAGAUGAAGAAAAUCUCUUUACUAGCAUCUUAAUGCCUUAUAUCCAGUAUUGAGGGAAAAAAUUUAAUCACAUUACAGUCUGAGAAUUUGAAUCCAGCAAUUUCACGGUCUGAUGUAGUCACCCCAAGUAGGUUCUCCAGUAAAACAGGGUAGUGAGGCAAAAUGUACAUCAAAUAGGUCAAUUGUCGAGCCCCUCGGGGUUCGGUUCCGUGGUUGUAGCCCCAGUUGGGGGAGAGCCACGUCCAGGGAUCGAGUCCCCGUUCUACCGUGGCUGGUGAUGCUUGAGGCGGGCCGCUCCCAGCCCGCAGUGGAUUAGUUGGGCCGUACGGUAACCAGUCAUGGGUCCAGAUACCCACUGUGAUGAAAAAAAAAAAAUAGGCCAAUUGUCGAUCUUUGAUUAUGUCUACACUUUCAAAAGAUAGGCUUAAUCAUAUUAGUGGAAAUAACUCAUAGUUCAUCAUAUAUUAAUUUGCUAUUCAAUUUAGUUUGAAUACAUGAUCAAUGUUAUUGUAUGCCAAAAAAGAUUGAGGAUACUUUUGACCUAGUUCUUUGCACUAACUUGAAAUCUUCCAAUUGUUCUUUCUUUGAUGCACUUGCAAAAUCUCCUGCAAAAGUAAAAUAACUCAGUUGGUGAAUUUUGGCUAACUGAGAGGCCCAUCUUCUUUUUACUUCUUUAGCACAAGCGAAGAAUGAAUUUAUGCAUAAUAACCGUGUGAUUCUAAUGAGAUAUGAUUUUUUUGGUUUUGCAUGCUGGUUAAACAAUUGUUCAAGCUCUUAUCUUGGUUUUUGAUACUUCACCGGUAUGUGGAUGUUGCUGCUAAAGAAAUUUACAUUUGUCAUUAGAAGAAUUUUCUAUUUUAUGACUGGCAAGUGAUUUGGUAUCUUAGCAGUUCAUCGAUUUUGGUGCUUUGUUUACAAUUUAAUUGGCUUCAAUGGUCCAUACAUAUAGGAACUUGGAAUUUACCCUUUUAUUUCCUUUUGCAUGAGCAAAGAUUAGUAAUUUUUAAUCAUAAUUUUCGAUUCCUCUAUUCUGGCCAUAGUGAAGAAAUCUACCUUUUUGUACUUGUGUAUAUGCACACCAAACAUCAUUGGGCUGUCUACUUUUGACAUUAUUCUUGAAUUACUCAGUUUAGAAUGUGUAUUAGCUGCUAGCUGCAUCAUCGUUGGCAAUUACUAAACAGAAAAUAUGCAUGCCAUUACUAUUUUCACUGAAAUUAGCAUCUAACUUAUAAUGAUCUAAUUAAAGGUUAACCACAUUGGUUUUGACUAGAACUAAGAGAUCACUAGCCCUCUUAUUUUUGGAUUUGCAUUAAUCCAGUAUCAUCAAACUUCUUCAAAUGGGCUCUUUAGCUACUAACCCCUUCAAAAAUAAUUUAGGCUUACGGUUCUGUUGAUGUCGCAAUUGCAGGAGGUUCAGAAGAUAACGAAAGGCUCAUCUAAGAUUUCUUAAGGUGUUUGGCUUAUAUUGCUAGAUUUACUUAAUCUAUUUUCAUUCUUCUCCGAUGUCAUUAUUGUUAAAGUUCAAUUCAUAAGUUGGUUGUGUUAGAAAAUUGGCUUAAUUUCUUUUUAGAUAGGUUUUUGUUUUGUGCAAAAGUAACUAGUUUCCUAAUUGGUUUUAGUUACUCGGAAUAGUAGCCAAGAAAUUUCUUAUUUUGUUUAGAAUUAGAAGUUAUUUCUUAUUUUCUACAAGUCUAGGAAUUAGAAUUAAUUUCCUGUUGUUAUUUGGAUUUUUUGACCAAAUAAUAUUUUUAUAAAUAGGUGGGUUGGCAUACUAUAAAAGAGACACAUAAGGGCACACAAGGACGACAUGUAACCUUAUACAUGGGUGGUGAGAGAGAGUUCUUAGGAGAUGAGAAAUGGUAUACAAAGGUUGGACUUGAGUUCGAGUUGUAUUCUUGUAUAAGGUUUUUCUCUCAUAAUAAAUAACAAGUUUCUCUCCGUGGACGUAGGUUCAAUGGAGUCAAACUACGUUAAAUAUUGUGUGUUGUUUAUCUUUUAUACUUGUGGCUUGUUUCUCAUUAAAUUAUUGUGUACUUGAUAUCUUAAUAGUUAUUUAUUCUGCAUUUAGUUCCUAACAAAUGGUAUCAGAACUUGAUUGCGAGAUUGGGCUGCUCACAAGCACUUGGAUCCCAACAAACUGAAUAGUUGGAUCAAGAGUUUGGUUGUUCAAGGAUGGAUCCUAGUUAGCUAUUGAGAUCAAGUAGGUUGGUGACUGUUACCAAUUGAACAAUUUAAUGGGCGGUAUCCUUUUUCAAGAGUUUGGCAAAAAAGCAUUGACGGUGAAUGAUGAAAAGUCGAAAAGCAUGGAGAUACUUGACGGUGAAUCUAGGCAGAUGAUUCAAGAGUCAAGGAAAAGGUGGAAUCCAAUAUCGAUUUUGGACGUGAAUCGGUGGAGACUUUCUCACAACUUCAACGGUUGAUACUUCAUCUCGGUGAUUUUUAGAUUUCGCUUAUGUUUUUUGAGUGGUACGGCACCUGACCCAAAAAAAUAAAGAGAUUUAAUUUCUAUGCGCUAGAAGACUCUGACAGUUACGAGUCUUUUGUUUCAGGUGAAUUUUUGGAAACCACACGUGGCGAGAUAGUCUUGAGGAAGGGAAGAAGUAUGAUGAUUUUAUCACUUGGUUGCCUCAAUGAUUAAGGUUAGAGCUCAUAGAAGGAGAUUUUGGGUUGCAAGUGGUGGUGAGAAGAAAUCCUGUAAAGAAAAAUGGUGAAUUGAGGCAUCUUCUCACGAAUCAACUGGAGGUUGUACUAGGUGUAAAUACACAUAUUCAUUUGGCAAUUAAAUUAAUUUGGUAUCAGAACUGUAUUGAUUCGGGUGUGUAGUUCGGUACCAUAUUAUUUGGUAGUUGAAAGUAAAUAAUUGUUAAAAGAAAUUUUCGCCAAGAUAGAGAUUUGUUAGGAAAUUGAUUUAAUUUCUUUUCAGACAGGUUUUUGUUUUGUGUAGGGAUUUAGUUUUACUUGAAAUAGUAGCCAAGGAAUUUCCUAUUUUGUUUAGGAUUAAAAAUUAUUUCCUAUUCUAUACAAGUCUAGAAAUUAGAAUUGGUUUCCUAUUAUUAUUUAAUUUUUUGGCCAAAUAAUAUUCUUUAUAAAUAGGUGGGUUGGCAUACUACAAAGAGACACACAAAAGCACACAAGAGACGACAUGUAGCCUUAUAUAUGGGUGGUGAGAGAGGAUUUUUAGGAGAUGAGAGAUGGUAUACAAAGGUUGAAUUGGGGUUCAAGUUGUGUUCUUGUAUAGAAUUUUUCUCUUAUAAUAAAGAACGAGUUUCUCUCUGUGGAUGUAGGUUCAAUGGUGGAGCCGAACCACAUUAGAAAAUAGUGUGUCAUUUAUUUUUCAUGUUUGUGGCUUGUUUCUCAUUAAAUUGUAGCGUACUUGAUAUCUCAAUAGUUGUUUAUUCCAUGUUUGGAUCCUAACAGAUUGCUAAACCAAGAUUGAUGUAAUUGCGUCCUAUAAGAGAGUUUGCAAUUCAAUUGAUUAAGGGAAGAACAGAGAAAAUCCCUGAAAAUGGGAAUUAAAGGAAACAAAGGAAACCCUAAAACUAGUUUCCAAGAACAAUUCUGUCGAAGACAGAAAACAAAGAAAAUAGUAUCAAAGGCUAUAUCGUUAUUUAGGAAACAAGAAGCACUUGAAGGUGAAUGUUGCAGAAAGUAGAAGAUCCCACUACAAUUUACUAAUUCAAGGAGCUGUAAUUAAGAAAGAAAGAAGACAACUCAGAGAAUUAGGGAUUGUUAUUAAUUGAUGAAUGAGUAGGAAGAAUGUAGAUGAAGAUGAUAAUCAAUUACAAGUAAUGGAAAUCGGAAAUCCUAGAACUGCCUUCAACUUACCACCCUCCUCUCUUUUAUUCGGCUACUACACUUGUCCAAGUCAGCUAAUUCAUUACAACCAACUGACAUACAAGAAUUAUAAGGAUUUAUUCAUUAAGUCCCUAUCAUACUCGCUUUAUUACAAAAAAAAAAAAAACCCUAUCAAUAAAACUAAGGUAACAAAUACUUCCCCCUCAGAGAAUCCUUGUCCUCAAGGAUUAAAUUCAGGAAAUUGUUGUUUAAGGUCAAACCAGAAUUCCCAGAUAGCAUCUUCAAGAAAAGAAUUGCUUCACUAUGCCAAAACUUUUGUAGCAAGAGAGUUACCACAUUUCACCAAUUUCUGAUCAAGUAUGGCUAUAGGCUCCAUUAAUAAUUAUCCCUGUGUAUUGAUUGUGUAUUGAUUGCAAAAGGAAUGUGUGAGGUAACUAGUGAGUGCCCACUUUCUUCUUUAGAAGAGAUACAUAAAAAAUAGAGUGUAUUUUUGCCAUAUUAGGCAGCUAAAGCUGAUAUGCAACAGGGUGUACUCUUUUGAUCACUUGGAAAGGUCCAAAAAACUUAGAAGCUAACUUCUGACAAGAGUGUACCUUCAAAGAGUGUUGCCUCUACAGUUGUAGUUUCACAUAUACCCAAUCUCUUGCCGAGUACUGUCUAUCAGACCUGUGUUGGUCAGCUUGUUGCUCCAUCCUAUUUUGUGCCUUAUGAAGGUUGUACUUUAAGUGAUGCAAAACUAUCUCCCUUGCUGCCAAGAUUCUAUCCACCACUUCCACUACUGAAUUCCCAAGUAGACAAGGCAUAUGCAGAGAUGGUGCAUGACCAUACACCACCUCAAAUUGGAUAACCUUAGUGGCAGCAUGAAAUUUGGUAUUGGACCAAUAUUCAGCCAAGGGUAACUAGAUAGACCACUGCUUUGGAAAAUCUCCACACAUGCACCUCAAAUAUUACUCCAAACACCUGUUUACCACCUCAGUUUGACCAUCUGACUGAGGGUGGUAGGUAGAAGAGGUAUUAAUCUGCACUUUUAGUAACUUAAAAAGUUCUUGCCAAAAAGUGCUAAUGAAGACCACAUCCUUGUCACUAACAAUGCUCUGAGACAAGCCGUGAAGUCUACAGAUCUGAUCCAGGAAUAUGUGCAAAUAUAAAUGCUGAAUAAGCAUGUGACAAUGCCAAGAAGUGUGCAUACUUACCUAACUUGUCAACCACCACCAAGAUGGCUUGUUUACCAUGUGCAUUAGGUAAACCUUCCAUAAAGUCCAUGGAAAUUCACUCCAAACCUUUUGAGGCACACGUAAAAGUCGUAAUAAACCCAAAUAAGCAGUAUUGUCAUAUUUGUUGCACUGACAGACAUCACAUGCAGCCACAUAGUUGACUAUGUCUUGAUACAUUCUUCUCUAAUAAACCACUGACUUCAACUUCUUUUAGGCAGCAUAAACUCCUGAAUGCCUCCAACAGCACUAGAAUGCCACAAGUGAAUUAUAUUAUUCUUGAAUUGGCAGUCAUUUUCUACCACUAGUCUCCCCAUUCUCCUUAACUGCUAGUUGCUCCAUGUGUAAUAAGGUGAGACCUUAGAAAGAUCAAAUUGUAAUUGAGUGAUGAAGUUCUAUAGCCUUAUAUCUAUUUGCCAUCCCUUUUUAAUCACUAUCAAAGAUCACUGUUAACAAUGAUGAUGGCAAGAGCUUCUCUUGGUUCUGCUAGUUUUCUAAAGAGAGUAUCUCUCACCAUAUUAUAUGCUUCUUUCCUGUAGUGAAGCUCAUAAUAAAAUCUUACUAGCUUAGUCAUCCAUUUCUGCUGCAUAAGAGUAGGGCUGUCAAUGGUCUGGGUCUAGACCCGGAUCCGGACCGGAUAAAUAUCCGGGUAUGGAUACUAAUUUACAACCGGAUCCGGAUAUAAAUGGAUUACUAUAUUUAAAAUAUAUAUUUAUUAAUAUAAUUUGAUUAGGAUGAUGUAUUUGAGUAUCAAUAUAAUUGGACCCGGAUCCUAAUCAAUAUAAUUUGAUUAGGAUGAUGUAUUUGAGUAAGGUUAAUUUGAUUUCUUUUCUUAUUUGAUUUUUUUUGUAUUAGUUAGAAAUUAGUUUAUAAAUAUAUGUUUUUUCUCAUUUUUGUUAGAAAUUAUAAAUUUUGUUAGUUUUUUUUCGGGUAGACCCGGAUCCGGAUCCGGACCCGUCGGAUCUGGAUCCGGAACAUAGAGUAAAGACUCAUCGGGUAAACGGGUCGGGUCCGGAUCCGAUAUAGUGUGCCGGGUCCGGGUCUGGAAUAAUGAAUUCCGGCCCGGACCCGCCCGUUGACAAGCCUACAUAAGAGUGUUCAAUCUUUGUUCCAUCAUAUAUUCAAUGCUCUAAUGGUCAUUUUUAAUGAUAACGUACCUUCCAGGUAGAUAAGGUCUCCACUUCUAUACAGCAGCAACUAUGGCCAAUAUUUGCACUUUUCCAAUAUACUAUCAUAUGCUAUUCCCCCACACACCUAAAUCUUAUAUUGUCCCCAAUGUAAAAUAAAGAAUAAAAGAAAAGUAAUGGGGAUAACGAAACUUCCUUGAUAACUGAGGGGGCCGUCGACAGCUACAGGUGAGGGGCGAAUGACUGUGGAGCUCGACGUAUGUUGAUGGUUGGUGGCGGUGGAGUUCGGAUGGAGAAGGAGGAAGAAGAAAGAAGAGAAGAAAAAGAAGAGAGAAAGAAAGAAAGAAAAAGAAAAGGAAAAAGAAAGGAAAAGGAAGAGAAAAGAAAAGGGAAAUACGAAUGGGAAUUGCUCCAAUCCGAGCUGGUUUUUUGUACUACUACUUUGCUUCUUGUACGAAGCUUGAAGAUGCAGCAAGCGCGGAAAUUUUUUUUUUUUACAUCUGAUUUUGAUUUUUUCUUUUUCUUUUUCCUUUUCUGUAUUUCCUUUUCUUUUCUUUCUAAUUUUUCUGCAAAAACAAUCAAAUAGAAAUCAAAUGAGAUGGAAUGAUUUUUUUUAAAAAAGGUAAAAAUAUAAAUAGAGAUAAAUAAAUAAUAAUAGUUAUUAACAAAUCAUAAAAUGAUUUAUGAAAUUUUUUUGGUGUCUACAUAUAUUACUAAUAAUUUUUAUAUUUAUAUAUUUUUCUAUUUAAUCUUACCUAUAAUUUUCUUAUUUUAUUUACUUUUCUAAUUAAUUUUAUAUUUUUAAAAAUAUAACAUCUAAAAAUAUAUAUUAACGAAGAGGACAUCCGUUAGACAGGUCCUAUUUUAUGUAGCAUAUAUGUCUCUACAUGAAAAAAACUUUUUUAAUAGGUAUCCCGUUUUUUGACAUGAAAAAUACCUUUUGACUACAUUCUGACUAGCGCCAAAAGCUAUCCACUUUUGACAUGCUGCCCAUGCAGGCCUAAUUUUUUUUAGUACUGAAUUUGUUUUGGAUACGUUAGUAUUUCUUGAAUUUUAGAAAAUGCUUCUCUUUAAUAAAUGUAAGUUCAUUUUAAUCUUGAUUCGCAAGCUUUUUCUUGAAAAUGGUUUGCCAUUUCUUAUUAGUUGUUACAGUAAAUUUAGCAUGCAUAUAUGCUUUUUGUCAAAAUUCAAUCAUUUCAAAAUCUAGAAGGGAACUUCUAAAAUACCUGCAUCCUCCUUUUUCUUUUUUUUUUUAUUCCCCCCCCCCCCCCGGCUUUGUAUUCAGAAUCAGAUUGUGUUCAAUUAGUUGGAAUUUGGCUUUGGAGUUAAAAGGGAUUUCCAUUUUUUCCUAGGUAUUCCACAGCUUGCAUACCAAAAGCACAGAGGCGGAAGAAAACCUAUGAUUAAAUCAUACAACAGGCUUGUAAGAAAAUGCCCACUCUGAAAAAAUGAAAAGUUGAAUUUCCUAUUUUCAAAUUUACAUGCAAAAAAUCAAAAUGACAUGCAAGAAAUAGUCUGCUAUUUCGCCAUGUUUCACAGUUUAUGAGAAAUAUAUUACAAAUAAAUCCACAUAAAUGGUGGGAAUAAUAACUCAAAUAUGGUGGGACAAAAAACAUACAGGGUGACCCCUGCCAGCUGAGAUAACUAGCUGGUUUAUUUAAUUUAAUACUUUGAAUACAAUAGUAAAUCAAUGCCAUAGCUCAGAUACUGACUAAAUUUUUCUCCCUGAAGAAUUCAACAGCAUCUUUUAGGCUGACCUCCAAAGGAGUGAAUUGAACUCCCAGCCUUUUUGCCUUCUCAUUGGAGGCUCUGUAGUUUGGGCUGAUAAGGUUGGUAUUGUUUGACAUUCUGCUGUAUGCGGGACAAUACACAAUUAUGGCAAACAUAAAUAAAGCUUAGGUAAUGAAAAUGCAAAUGUAAAUUCAAAUGCUUGAAAAUCUACUGGACAAUUGCCUCAUAUCUACUGUAAAUUGUGCCUUUUUACGAAGUUUCAAAAGACCUUUUAAAAGAUAACUUUAGUUGUGAUAUGAAUGAAAUUUAUUUUUUUCUAAAAAAAAGCCUAAAACGGAAUUUCUAUUUUGGAGACAAAGCCAAUUUGGUGAUAUAUCCUAGUCCAAAGAAGACCAUCUUCUAGAAAUCAACCUGAGAAAGAGCUCAUUUUUUAUGGAACAUGAGACCAAAAGAAAAAAAAAAAGAAGGCAGAAAAUUUAGGAUUUAGUGUCCUUUAAAAGAGAGUAUAAAAAUAUGUGAUACAUUUUGGACGUAUACAAGGCCAUCAGCAAAAGCCUGUAAAGACCUAAACAAGGAAAACAAGACUUACUUAUCAGGAAAUUGGUGAGUUGGGUAAUGCUCAUGCAAAAUCUUGAUGAUCUGAGAGGCAUUUGCACAUCUUUCAACCAGACAAUAUCUUCCACUUGCAGAAGGGGUUUCAAGGGCAAGAACAUGUGCAUAGGCAACAUCUCUAACAUCAACCCAGCUACAUGUUGCCUUAGGAAAUGGUUCAACCCCUGCAUUUGGCACCUAAGAUCUUUAAACACAUUUUUUUGCAGGCUCUUCAGCAAACAUAAGUGAAACCAUAUUUGGUUUGUUUGGAUCAGCAUGAUUUCAGAUAAAAUAAUUUGCUUCCUUCCAAAUUCCAAUCACCUUUUUAUCUCACAUACAGCACAUCACAAAAAGUGUUACAGUAAUUAUCUCAAAUAAAUCAUCCAAAUAAACUUCUAUCCAAACAAAAAUGUUGUUUGCCAUGAAAAGAGUCAAAUUUAGAGGCCAUGGCCUGCCUUCCAGAAGAAAUGUGUGGUAUGUACUACUUUGUUCUGUUUUAGUAUCAGCAAAGCCACAGAGGGGAGGGAGAUGUGAGGAAUGAACUAGUUGAGACAAUUCAGAUAAUUGGUGAAUAAUAAGAAAGAUUAAUCCCAACAAUCUACUAGUUAAUCUGUCCCUGGAAUUUCACAGAUUUAGAGUUAGGUUUCUCUUUCAAAGGAUAGUUUAUUUAUUUUCUUCCAAAAAGGAUCAAUUACUAGACAAAAGAAUAAACUACAGGCAUGAUAAUACUAGUUGUCUCGUACUUAAGAGUUAAAUGGUGAGAGUUGAAGAAACUUGUCCCUUCACUCUCAUCCAGAUAGAAAAACAGAAUUUAUUCCUGUUGUUUUGUUCAGAGAGUGAAAUAGUAAUCAAUUCCUGAAAUUUGUUUCUUGCCAUUGUUGUACAAAGUGGCUAUUUGGGUCGAAGGAGUCCUGCGAAUUGAAAGAAUAAUAAACAUGCUUUAGCAAGUCUGUACAACAUAAACAGUGACUACUCCUAACAAAUUUUUCCUCACAAUUACCACCCAAAAAUUUCUUUUCCUUCCUGUUAAUCACAUAGAACCUCAAUGUUGUUGAAAGGAAGAUGCACACAACGUGAAUUUCAGAUGAAAGAUUGUACUGCAAACCUUUAAAACAUCAUAAGCUGGUCAGAGUUUAUAGCUUGAUAUAUCAGUUCACAUUCUGACCUAUGUCUGUCAAUCAUGUGAUAGCCAGCAGUGCCUUGAAAUGUUAUUAGUCAUAAGUUUUUUGUUCUACUGUAACAAAGAAAGUUGUGGUGCAUAAUAAAGCUAUAAGUAACAUAGAUGGAAGAGUCAGUUAGACAAUGAUUACUAAGGUGAUUCAAUAAAUUUUGAAACAAACCCUUUAAUAGGUUGAGGAACAAAACAGCGCUCGAAUUAACAGAUGGCUGCAAGAGAGGACCAAUGACCAAUCCUGGAUGAAUUGUAAUCACGUCAAUGCCAUGCUCCUUUGCAAAUUUCCAUGCAGCAUUCUCGGCCAUGGUUUUUGAAAGUUCAUACCAAGACUAUCAACACCGAAAAAUCAGUAAAUGUUGGUAAGAUGGUAGCAGAAAGUAAUUAGAUUUGUAAACUUUAAGAAGUAACAUUAUAAAUUUCUACAAAUUUGACAAAACCAGCAACUUACAUCAGUUGAAACUAUUAUUGCUGUAGCUACAAAGCACAGAGUGAAAGCAUCCACAUUUCCCAGGACAAGCUAUGCUAUAAGUGAAUAAGUAGAUUUCUCAAGGAUCCUAGGAAUGGUGUAAACUUUCUAUAUUCAAGGAAUGAUGCAAAGCACCAGUGUCGACAUAUCCUGAUCAUCUGAUCUCUUAAUCCACAAGCUAACAGCAAAACUACAAGGGACCUUGACACUUUAACACAAUAGCCAUAUUCAUAAUAUUAUAGCAGAAGUUCCUUUCCAACUGACCGACCAAAUAUUGCUCAUCUAGGUGUGUAUUCUCAGACAAUAGUAUAGAAUUUGAUCAUGCAAGAGAUGCAUAAUUAAGUAGGAAAACUUUCAUAUUGCUCUUUCCCCGACUAUUCCACACUACAUUAUUAAUUUUUCAUUAAAGUUAAGUUGUUACUUAGAUAGAAGGAAAGAAAUGGACUGACCAUUCUGGUUACAAAAAUAUCCUUUUUUUGCCUAUUAAAGUACCACCAAGUCAUGAAGAUCCUAACUUAAUUAUCUCCACAGCUGGGCUAACUCCUCAUAUGUGUUCCAACAACAAGUUAAAACUAAAGAAUUCCAGCAUUCCAUAUUAGAUUUUACUGGAAGAAGACAGAUAAUAUAUGUACCUUUUGCUCCUCACAGUAUGAUGGAUCGGAAAACCAACUUUCAUCAACUACCACAUCCUCCUUUAAUUCUCUGUUUUUUGAAACUGCAACCAUAGAGGAUGUUAUAACUACUCUUUUGACAGAAGAAGAAUUUGCACAUGACCGCAGCACAUUCAGUGUUCCGCUUACUGCAGGUUCCAGUAGUUCUGCCUAUGAAAUCAAACCAAGUAAAAAAGGAAGUCAUUACCAGUCAUAGGUAAGACUAUGCUUUUAACCUGCAAAAAACUUAUCAUUCUGGUAUUAUGUUUGAGAAUUUCACCACAAAUGCUGUAAACCUACAGCUUUAGUUACUUAGCUAAAGGAUGCAUAUUGUUGUCUUAUCUCCUCUUGCUGCUAAAAUAAGUUCUCAGGUCCUUUAUUGUUGUUUUUUCCCAAAUUUUUUCAGCUUUCACUGGGUGACAGGAACUUAAGACCAAUAGAGGAACAACUGAAAUAAGUCUCAGAUGUGGUCACCAAUUAAACCGUUUGCUACCAAAUAUCAACCGAUGAAAUUCUGUUCUGGCUUGAACAGGACAGACAGAAAAUAUAAAAGGUGUAGCUCCCAUGAAUCCUGCGAACAGAUUUUAGCGUGAACACAUAAUGCAUGUUGCAAUUUCUUUUAGUGUCUGUGAGUCAACCUUGUUCAUUGAAAUGACUAAAAUCAAAGUUCUACAAAGUUACUUAAAAAAAAUCCAUAAACACAAUUUGAGAAACAGACAAGGAUAGGUGUACUGCAUAAAAUUAAGGCACAAUCAUUAAUAGAAGUUAAUCAACUUACAAAUGAAGAUACAUAUAAUUUGCAGAUGCUUGAACAUAUAUUGUAGUUUCUAUAAGCUUCUUAUUCAUUCUGGUAUGGGCACGCAAAAGCCAUUGGCUCUACACUGGCUGAAUAAUUAGUUGGUCAAAGCAGGGAUUCAUUUGCUCCAGGACAAGCUUAUAGCUUGCUCUAUAACCUUACCCUGACUGACUUACCCAGGAAAAUAGUUAGUCGGACCCAAUCUACUGCCCAAUUGUGGACCAUUUGCUAUGUUUAUGGCUCUUAAUGUUUUUAUUUCACAACAUUACACCCUUUGAAUUGUUUCGCUGAAGUACCAAUUUCCAGAUCAUUUCAUAGAAACAUCAUGUAUACUGAUUAAAAAGAGACUAAAGCACAUAACACACGACAGUCUUUUUGUGAAUGACCUGCUGGAACAGAUUAGUUUUGUAUGUACCAAAUGUAAAGAAAUAUUCUUCAGGUGUUUGACCUGAUUGCUACAUUAAUCUCCUCCCUUUGGUUAAUAAAAGAAAAAGUAGAGCCAUAGAAUUGGAAACAUUUGAAUCUAACUCUCUUUUUUUUUUUGCCUUUACAGUUAUAACCUUGUCAUAAAUCACAUAUAGAGGAGUAGACUAUCACCCAAAAAAGCCAGUAAAAAUGCAACAGAGGAAGAUACUAAAAGAAGUCGUACAAUUAUAAAUCAGAAAAUAUGCUACGAUUUCAAACUUCACUUGAUAAAUAGCAGAUUUUGUAGACAGUAGAGAAUUUUCAAUCUUGUAAAGCAAAUGUACCUCUGGAUUGCUAAAUGAAAGUUUGAUUGGAGAUGCAGUAUGGAAAACCCCUUCACAUCCCUCGACUAUUGCAUCAAACGAUCCCUCUUCCAGUAAGUUUGCCGAGUACAACUGAAGCCUUUCCUUAGCUCCAUCAAGUGAUGUCAAAUGUUGUGUCCUUUCCGGAUCAUCUGUGUCAUGAUUGUAUCAGUAGAAUGUUCAGACAGCUAUAAUCAAAACCUUGCCGCCUUGGUAAAGUGUACUAUGUUUUCACUAUGGUGAAACUCAAGAAGAAAUGGACAUAGAGUAAUAAUAAACGAAUCUCAAAGCAAUGAUAAAUUUGACUAGCUAAAGGCAAGCGGGGAAAAACGAAAAGAAAUUGACGGGCAACAUAAUAUGACCACAAUAAUAUCAUAGCCCUAUGAUUUCUGGUUUUGAGAUGCGUACAUUUGUAACUUUCUUGAUAACAAUUAAUUCUUGAGAUAAUUAUCAGAGGGACAAUUGUAUGCCAUCUACCACUAUUUUUAUAACAAACUCAGUCCUUCAGAAGAAGGAUAUAGAUUCGAUAGGCUAAAGAUUUUUUAUUAUAACUUGAUCGUUGUAUCUGGAGCAUGAAACAAUUAAGUUGGUCCACAUCAAAAAUAUAUAUAUAUUUUGCAUGUGAUUUUCUUUUGAGCAAACAGAACAUGGGGAGCAUUUAGCUGUUGCAAGAAUAUCAUCUGGAGCUACAAGACAAUUUCACACUGCAGAGUUGAAUAAAAAUAUUGGGCAAAUUACAUAUAAUCCUCCUGUGGCUUUGUCUGUUGCCACAUGACCCUUCUAACAUUUUAAAAUAUCCAAUUCACCCACUAUGAUUUUAUGUAAAGCGGAAACUUGAUGGAGAAUAGCCUAUAUAAUGUCGUUAAUUGAAAUACCAUUAGUACUUUUACUUAAAUGCUAAAUCAAUCGACGAUUUAAUUACCUUAUAUAAAAAGUAUAAGGGGAUUAUAUGGAUAAUAUAAAAAUCACAGGAGGGAUAAAGUGGACAAUUAUACAAACUAUAAGGGAAUUACAUUGAAAUUAAGACUUUAUCACACCCUUUUAGAGCGCGUUUGGUAUAAAUGCCGUAAUUAAUUGUGCAUUCCAUCAUUUUCCGCUUUACAUAUAACUAUAGGGAAUUAUGUGGCUAUUUUGAAAUUUUAGAGGGACCAUCUAGCAUUAUAUAAAAUCACCCUAAAAUAUAGUUAUAAGUAAUUUACCCUAAAAUGUUAGAUUCCAGGGGCAAUUAAACAACAAUCAGAACAGGGCAUCAAAAACUGCACAAGCCACUAAGAUAGUUGAUCAAGAACAAAAACUGGACUUACAGGCAUCUCGAACUGAACCUUUAACAGUAUAACCGCGCUCGAGCAGCAGCUUCACCAGCCAUGAAGCUAUGUAACCCGAAGCUCCGGUCACACACACCAUUUUCCCUUCUCCUGCUCCACUCAUUUUGUUAAUAUUUUUGUGUGUGAACCUGUCACCUGUUUGCCUUACUUCUGGACUUAAUGGAGGGAUGCAUAUAUGGUGUAUAUAUAGCUAUGGUGAAGAAGACGAAAGAUUGGAUAUGAGAUUACGUGGGAGACUAGGGAGAUCCAUAUGUAUUCUUGCAAUUUGCAUGCAUCAUCGCUGACAUACGUAUGGUAUAAUCGCGUCACAUCCCAUUUUAUCAAGGUCAAUUGAUCAGUGUAAAAUAGAAAUGAACAAUAAAUACAAUGGUAAAUUACCUUCUACACCCUAUGGUUUGAUGUUUUAUCACACUCCCUAUGAUUUAAAAACCUAUAUUUGACCCUUUCAUAGUUUGGAUUAUUGUGUCACUUUAGAUUUUUCCGUUAAAACUAACGGUCAAUAGUAAAAAGUCAAAUUCAAACUACUAAAUUGAUAAAUUCACCAUUUCACUACUUUUUUUUUCUUGUUUUCCUUUUCUUUCUCUCCUUUUUUUUUUUUUGGAAAGAGAAGAGAUGACUUUGAAAACUUGUAUUUUGGCUUACAAAACCUUAAUUGUUUCCAAAUACAAAAGAGAUAGAAGGGAAAUAAAAAUAAAUCAACAAGAAACAAAAUAUGGAAGGUAAAGAUAUAACAAAUAAAUAAGAAACAAAAAAACACCAAAUCUUUUUUACUAUGAAUAUCAUUAUAGGUUUUUAAACCAAAUCUUUAAUAGUAUUUUCUAGUUCUUAUUUAUCUAUAUUUUAUUUCAAUUUCUUCUUUUUGAUGUUUGUAGGGGAAAAAAACAAGUAAUGAAGGGAUAAAUUUGUCAAUUUAUUAGUUUGACUUUUUAAUAUUAACUGUUAGUUUUAACAAAAAAAACUAACUAUUAGGGGGUUAUGUAUAGUUUUUAAACGAUAGGGGUUAUGUGAGAAAAUACCAAACUAUAGAGGUUAAAAGGCAAUUUAUCCUAAAUACAAAAUCAGGCGGUUGCAUAUGAAAAAAUACCAAGGUUCUUGACUUUGCUCAAUACAAUUCCAAGUCUAGAGACACAAUUUUUAAAUUCACUACCAGGAUAAACCAUUCUCCUUUUUUUUUUCGGGUUAAAAAAUACAAACUACUUGAACUAGAAACUAGUCCUGACAAAGUUUGUGGGUUUUUUGCAAGAGUUUUAGUUAAAUAUUGGUUACUUCGCCUAAUUUGCACCUAUUUUAUCACGUAAAUGCACACACACUUUUAAAAAAAUAAUGCAUGCACUUAUAUUAUUGCCUUUCGUACAUUUAAAUACUUUUUUCAAUUUAAUUUUACUUUUCUGGCAAAAUUAAAUCUGAAGCCCAUUUCAAGAAAUAUCCACCGAAUACCAGGUCAACAAAUCCCCUUCGUAAUAAAGAACGAAAAGAACCGCAGCGUUCUUAACACGCAGCGGUCUUUUUGCAUCUAAGAAAGCUUUUGAUUGGCUAGAAAUCCUUCUCUGAUUGAGAAAUGGGAAUUGACUUGAUGAUGGCAACUCCAUUUAGAAAACUGGUCCACACCCUUGAAUGUGGUUUAAAUUUAAUAACACCAUUUCAUCAUUUCUGACGACUGCUUCUUCUAUAUCGAUCCUAGCUCACUGCACACGCCAGUCGUGUGAAACUUGGCAAAAGAGUUACACCCGCCGUCCUAAAAUUGUUUGUCGCAUUUCGAAACCCAACUUUUUAAAAAUAGCAGCUUGAUGAUGAUAUUUGUAGAUUUGUCUCAAAAAUUGUCAUCAAAAAUUCAAAUUUUAAAUUGAAUUUAGUAUGAAAUAUAGAUAAAGUUAUUGGAAUAAUAUUGAAAAAAGAGAUUAAAAGUUAUUUUGAUUUUGAUAAGAUAAUAAAUAUUUUAGAACGUUUCAAAAUAAAAAAAAAAAUAUGACACUUUCAAUGAGACAAAAGAAUGGAGAGAAUAUAUAUAUAAGAUACUGAAAACUAGCGUCCAUCAGAAGCAGUCAAAUCAAAGCCAACAUAUUACUUGUAGUUUGGUUAUAACAAUAUCUCAGCUUGCUGGUAGCCCAAAAAUUUAGCAAAAUAAAUUAGGAAACCAAGUGCGAUAGAGCAUAUUUCACCCAAAUAUAUUAAAAGUGAAAAAGAUUUAUUUUUAUUUAGUCAAUGUGAUUUUUUGUGUCCGCAUGCCCAUAAAGCUCAAGGACCAAAAAGCCAAACAUACGAAGUGAAAAUGUGAAGAGCAAUAAUUUGAAUAUAAAAAAAAAAACGGGUAGAUGGAUAGAAAACCAUGUCGAAGGUCUCUUCUCUCUCUUUUUUUUUUUUUGGUUUGACCAUGCAUGGUGCAUAUGAUAUGAAGGAUAAUUGUAAAGCACACCAUAUACUGCCCAAGGAAAGUAGAUUACACAGUGGGAACCAAAAAUAGAAGAAAAUAAAGCCUCAUAUGAACCGAAUCUUUCCCCUUGCUUUUUUUCUGGGAAUUUAAAGGUAUAAUGCAAGAAAUAACUCCUGGUCAUGCAAAAUUGCCAACAAAAAUGCGUCUUUGGUUUUAAAUUCCUUAAUAACAUACUAUCCAGCAUACUAUUUAGCAUAAUAACAUACUAUCUCAGAUGCAUCCACUCAAAUAUCCUGGCCGAGAUGGUAUGAGGCCAAUUUUCUAUCAAAAAUAUAGGUCUGUAGCAGGUAAUGACGUUACCUCACUACAACAAAAAUGGCCUUUAGCGGCAUUUAAAGGUGUCAGUAUAGAAAAUCUAACCUGACACUUUAUCUAUCCUGACACCCAUGGCGAGUGUUGUCCCUUCCAAUGUGGGGAUAGCCUCAAAUCUUUAGCAGCAUUCAAAUGUGUCAGGCAAACCAUGCUGCUAUAUCUUUACCUCUGCCAACAAAUCUUUUUUUUGUGAUAAUCGAAAGUGUCUGUAUAGCGUUAGGACAUCAGUAGGGAAUCAGUAGGAUAUCAAAUUUAUGAAGACAUCUUGAGUUGUCUUAAUAUAUGGCUUUAAGGACACGUAGCCAUGUGAAUUUACAAUGUGUUGGACGACAUGCCCAUUUGUUGUUAGUGUUUUUCGAAGCUACAUAAUUUUAUCAACCCAUAUGACAAGGGUUUAUUUUACGUAUUUUUAGUGUGUUUUAUUAGUUAAUUUUGGUUUGAUUAUUUAGUAUUAUAACUAAAAUAACUAAGGUUUUGGUAAAAAACUACAUUUUAUGUUAAAAUGGCUAAACAUUGCAUUUUAUGGAUUUUUAUGGUAAAAACUUCAUAUUUUGUAGGUUUAAUGAUUCAAUCAUCAAAUGAAGUGCAUUGAGAAGAUAUUUGGAUGAUUGAAGAUGGAUUAAAGUGAGGAAAAUAAAAUAUGAAGUGUAAAAGGAAGAAAUGCAAUUUGAGGACAAAAAUCAAGAAAAGUCAGCUUUGACAACUCAGACAUAUUUUCGUAUUUUGACUAUAUCAGGAGCUACAAUGAUCGGAUCAAGGUGAUCUUGGUACCAUUUUGAAGUUAAGAGAUAUAUCUACAUUUGGUAUGAAGACAUCAAAGUCCAGUUCAGCCGUUUUCAUAGUCCAAAAGUUGAAAUACCGAAAUUCAACUCAGCUGUCCAAAGUGGAAAACAGAGUUCCGACCAGUGUUUAGUAUUUUGAUCAUAUCUCAGUCUACAAAGCUCCGAUUUGGAUGAUUCUUGAAGCAUUGGAAAGCUAACUCAAAGAUAUACAACUUUGAUGUUUUGCACAAAAGCCAGUUCGGCCUGCAUCAUGGAGAAAAUCGCAGUUGAAGUAAGGACAAAGUGAAAACGCGAGUGCACAAAACGCGAGUUGUAGACGCGUUUUGUAAAGGCGCGUUUUCUGGCCGAAAUUCUGCAAUUUGCUCAGUCAAUUCUCUUGUGUUCAUACCACUUUCCAGCUAUAAGUUGCAAGAGAAUUCGGUGCACAUGCUUCAGAAGACAAAAGGGCAGACAAGGUGGCUUAUUUUCAAGUCAAAAACAUUUGUUAUUGACUAUCCUAACAAAGUUGAGAUUUGGGAAUCAAAACAUUUGUUAUUUUACUUGUAAAUUUUCUCCAUUUGCUGCCAUUAAGGUUUCCUUUGUUCUUUCACAAUAUUUAGUAGAAAUUAUUCCUUCUUUAAUACAACUUGAAUCAGCUCCACUAUCUAUUAAAGCUACAUAUAUUUCUUUGAAAUCUUCUACUGUAAUAGUUACUAAAGCAUACCAUUUUUGAAAUAUCAUUUUUUCUAUGGUAUUUAAAUAUUGAAUUUCAUCUGUUGGUCUUUCUGAUAUACUUAUUUCUUCUGUUUUAGAAUUGGAAGUUGAUGGUUGAUUUUCUAGUAAUGUUAUUUUUGCUUCUAUUUCUAAAUCUUUUGUUUUUAAUUCUAUGAUUUCUCUUUGUAAUUGUUUUACUUGUAUUUUAAGAUCAUUAAUUUCUGUUUGAAGAUCUUUAGUGGUUUCUUUUUUCAUUAUAUUUAUGUUUAGAUAUUUAUCUAUUAAUUUAGAAAUACUAAAAGGUUCUAUUAUUUUUGGCAUUUUGUCUUCUUGUAUAAUUAGACUUUUUAAUCUUUCUAAAUACUCUUUUUUAGCUACUGGAUCAUCAAUUUUUUCUAUUAUAUCUAAUAAAAAUUCUUUAUCUUCUUUUUUGGUUAUAACAUUUAUAUAUUUUGAAGUGUUAGAACAAUUACAAUUUUCUUCACUUUCUGUACUAGAUAUAUCAUUAUAAUAAUCAUCUUCAGAAUUUUGAUCUUUUUCAUUUAUUAAUUUAUUUUUAAUUUCUUCUUCUUUUGCACAAAUCUCUGUAAUUUUUUCUUUUAAUUUACAUUUGUUUGCUUUAUGUCCUAUUUUUUCACAUUUAUAACAAACAAUUUUUCUUUUAAUAAAUUUUCUCUUCUUUUCUGGUUUAUCUUCUUUAGAUCUUUUAUACUUUAUUUUCUUAUUAUAUUUUUUAACUUUUUUGUUAUAUGCAGAUGGUGAUUUAAUUCUUUAGUAGCAAAUUCUAAAGCUCUAUUAAUUGGUUUUAUUGUUCCUUGAUAUAUAUCAUGUCCUAAAAAUCUUAUUUUUGUUUGGAAUAAUUUCAUUUUUGGUGCUGAAACAACUAAUCCAUUUUUCUUAACUACUUUUAAAAAUAUAUUUAAAUGUUUGAAAUGCUGUUCUAUUGAUUCAGAAAAUAUUAAUACAUCAUCAAUAUAAACUAUGCUAAAUGAACUAUAAGGAUUGAAAAUAUCAUUCAUUAUAUUUUGAAAUUCUGAUGGUGCAUUUUUUAAUCCGAAUGGCAUUACGUUCCAUUCAUAAUGACCAAAAGGUGUUGUGAAUGCUGUUUUAUAUCUAUCUUUUGGUGUUAUUAAUAUUUGCCAAUAUCCUGAUUUUAGUUGUUUCAGCACCAAAAAUGAAAUUAUUUCAAACAAAAAUAAGAUUUUUAGGACAUGAUAUAUAUCAAGGAACAAUAAAACCAAUUAAUAGAGCUGUAGAAUUUGCUACUAAAUUUCCAGAUGAAAUAAAAGAUAAAAAUCAAUUACAAAGGUUUUUAGGAUGUUUAAAUUAUAUAGCAGAUUUCUUUCCUAAAUUAAGACAAGAAUGCUCUAUAUUAUUUAAUAGAUUAAAAAAGAACCAUUUCCACCAGUGAUUGAACCAGAUUGGGAAUUCUCUACUGCAACUUUUUUGAAUGUGAAGAACCAUGAAUGAUUGAAUGGUCUAUACAAAAAAAGCAAAAGUCUAAUUAUACAAGAAGACAAAAUGCCAAAAAUAAUAGAACCUUUUAGUAUUUCUAAAUUAAUAGAUAAAUAUCUAAACAUAAAUAUAAUGAAAAAGAAACCACUAAAGAUCUUCAAACAGAAAUUAAUGAUCUUAAAAUACAAGUAAAACAAUUACAAAGAGAAUCAUAAAAUUAAAAACAAAAGAUUUAGAAAUAGAAGCAAAAAUAACAUUACUAGAAAAUCAACCCUCAACUUCCAAUUCUAAAAACAGAAGAAAUAAGUAUAUCAGAAAGACCAACAGAUGAAAUUCAAUAUUUAAAUACCAUAGAAAAAAUGAUAUUUCAAAAAUGGUAUGCUCUAGUAACUAUUACAGUAGAAGAUUCAAAGAAACAUAUGUAGCUUUAAUAGAUAGUGGAGCUGAUUCAAGUUGUAUUAAAGAAGGAAUAAUUCCUACUAAAUAUUGUGAAAGAACAAAGGAACCUUAAUGGCAGCAAAUGGAGAAAAUUUACAAUUAAAAUAUAAAUUUACAAAAGGAUCAAUAUGUAACAAUGAAUAUUGUAUUAGACAUAAUUUCAUAAUUGUAAAAAAUAUAAAUCAUGAUAUAAUAUUAGGAACACCUUUUUUAAUUCAAAUUUACCCAUUUUCAGUUAGUCAUGAAGGAAUUUCAAUAAAUAUAAUGGGAAAAACUGUUAUCUUUAGAUUUCUAACUCCAGUAAAACAAAGAGAAUUACAGACAUUACAAACAUCCUCUAUUUACAAAACAAUAAAUAGUAUUACUAAAGUACAACAACAAAUAAAUUAUAUAAAAGAAAAAAUCUUAUUUAAAAAUUGAAGAACAAUUAAAAGAAAGUAAAAUGCAAAAAGAAUUUCAGAAUUAGAAGAAUUAUUACAAAAAGAAAUUUGUGCAGAUAUUCCUAAUGCUUUUUGGAUAGAAAACAACAUAUGAUUGAAUUACCUUACGAAACAGGUUUUAAUGAGAAAAACAUUCCUACUAAAGCAAGACCAAUACAAAUAAUUCUAAUCUAUUAGAAUUUUGUAAAAAGGAAAUAAAAACAUUAAUAGACAAAAAAUUAAUAACACCUUCAAAAUCACCUUGGAGUUGUGCUGCAUUCUAUGUAAUGAAUCAAGCUGAAAAAGAAAGAGGAGUUCCAAGAUUAGUUAUAAAUUAUAAACCAUUAAAUAAAGUAUUACAAUGGAUUAGUGAAUAAUACAAUAAAUUUAUAAAUUUAGAAUUAAUAGAGGAUACAAUAAAUUAAAGUAACCAUUUUUAUAAAUUUAAUAGAGCUCAAAUGCAAAUAAUACAAUAAAUUUAGAAGACAUUAAAAAAGUUUAUCAACAAAAUAAUUAUACAAAUCAAAUCCUUCAUACAAUUUCUCAACAUAUGGAAGUAUUAAACACAAAAAUAGAUACUAUAAAGAAACCAGAAUUAAAAUUCCCUAAUAAUAUUUCAGCACCUCAUUUUCAACCUAGAAGUUUGACAAGAGAAAAAGAACAAGAUUUAGAUUCAAAAUCAGAAGACAAAGCAUCGGCGAAUUAGUGAGAAAAAGAGAACAAAACACUCUCAUGUAAAAAUCCUUAGACAAAUCUCUCAAUCCCUCUUUCCAACUACUCUUGUAUUCAAUUACUUUUGUUUCCUUCCUUCUCCAAAUAUAAUAAAGAUCAAGGAUUCAACCAUUCAUCAAGCUUCUGUUAUCAAAGGCCACUCUAAAUUUUCAGUAAGUCCAAUUUUUAUACUAAAUUUUCUAUGAACAUUUCAAUAGAAAGUAGCCUGGGUAGAAGUGGUAUCAGAGCCACUUAUCACAUUAUCUUUACAGUGUUAUUAAGGAAAGUAGAUUACACAGUGGGAACCAAAAAUAGAAGAAAAUAAAGCCUCAUAUGAACCGAAUCUUUCCCCUUGCUUUUUUUUCUUGGAAUUUAAAGGUAUAAUGCAAGAAAUAACUCCUGGUCAUGCAAAAUUGCCAACAAAAAUGCGUCUUUGGUUUUUAAUUCCUUAAUAACAUACUAUCCAGCAUACUAUUUAGCAUAAUAACAUACUAUCUCAGAUGCAUCCACUUAAAUAUCCUGGCCGAGAUGGUAUGAGGCCAAUUUUCUAUCAAAAAUAUAGGUCUGUAGCAGGUAAUGACGUUACCUCACUACAACAAAAAUGGCCUUUAGCGGCAUUUAAAGGUGUCAGUAUAGAAAAUCUAACCUGACACUUUAUCUAUCCUGACACCCAUGGCGAGUGUUGUCCCUUCCAAUGUGGGGAUAGCCUCAAAUCUUUAGCAGCAUUCAAAUGUGUCAGGCAAACCAUGCUGCUAUAUCUUUACCUCUGCCAACAAAUCCUUUUUUUGUGAUAAUCGAAAAUGUAUGUAUAGUGUUAGGACAUCAGUAGGGAAUCGGUAGGAUAUCAAAUUUAUGAAGGCAUCUUGAGUUGUCUUAAUAUAUGGUUUUAAGGACACGUAGCCAUGUGAAUUUACAAUGUGUUGGACGACAUGCCCAUUUGUUGUUAGUGUUUUUCGAAGCUAAGCUAUGCUGACACUUUUAAUUGCCAGGAGAAUUUUCCCUGGUUUUUUUUUAUAUGGAAGCAACCUGCAAUUAGUCCUCCUUGCUGUACAUUCCAUCAAUCAGAAUCCCAAGGGACUUGUAAAAUUAUCCCAAAGAGCAGAAUGCAUAUGGCAAUGUAAAGAAGAAGUCGAUACUCAAAUAUAAUUCAUUGAAUUAAAAGUCGAUAACAAGUACAAACAUAGCAAAUACUAAAACGCAAACAAGUGCUAAAAGCAAGUACUAAAAUAUCAAACCAGUACCGAAAGAUUCUCAUUUACAAUAACUUAAAAGCUCUAUCGGAAGCACAAAAUAAAAGACUCCCAUCCCUAAUAAGUUGAAAGAAGUAGAAGUAGCUUCCAAACUUUCCAUUUUGUUGAGAGUCCUCAGGCAUAACCACGAAGUCCCCAUCAUUCUUCAGCUGGUUCCACCUGUGCACAAAGACCAAGGGGAUCAUUAGAUCAUCAUAACUAAAACUAAAAUUCCAGAAAAUCCGCAAUGUAUUUAAGUGCAUAUCUCACCAAAUGACAAGGCCAAGCAACUGGUGCACCAAGUGCAUCUUGAAUCGUUUGUUGUAAACCAUAUGGUCUAAUCAAUUGCUCACGUGGAGUCAUUGCAACUUGUAUCUGUAUUUCACACCAGUUUGGCCCAAGAGCUUGUCCCCCGACCUCAUCCAAUGGAUUCAGACUCCGUAAAUAUCCCUUUGCCACGAUUUUUGUUGGGUCAAACAAACUUUUUAGUGAAACCAUAUUCCCUACCUAGUAAACAUCCAACAAGUACAAGAAUCAAACUCAUGCCAAAUUCCAGAUUACAAAUGCAAAAGUUUAGAAGUUGUAAAUACUUACUCAAAUAGGUCGCGUGGCUCGCGAUGGAGCAUGGCUUGACACAUUGUUAGAUGAUGAUGAAGGAUGUCUCGGGCUGUCAAUUGGAGAGCCCCUUCCAUGUUGAACUAAAAUCAUUUUCUUCAAGCUGGCUAUUUCAUCAUCUUGUCGCUGAAGCCUUUCCUCCAAACGGACUAAUGUUGACUGUUGUUGAACACUUAUACGGUAGCAUGUGUUACGACUAGGAAUGUCUUCCCAUAAGUCCGUUGGAUUCACACCGUCACUAAGCAAGCGAACAUGACCAUAUUUGUCUUGCCCAACCACCUGGGCAAAUAUAUCAUCACGACCAACUGGAUCUUGCGAAUCCGAUGGAAGCUGAUUUUUCAGCUCAGUCAUUUUUUCCUACAUAAUAAAGGAAAACACUUGUUAUUGCAAAAGACUGUCUGAAAACAUCCAUGGUAGAAUUGAUAGGCUUGUGUUCUCGGAUCCUUACCAAAUUCUCAGCAACUAUGGUACUUGAUGGAGUUUGUUGACCUUGGUCGAUCAAUCCUUGGUUUUGAUGAUUAACAAACCAAAAUGUAGAUUUGGGCUAAUGUUUUUAUGUGAGCAAUUUGUUAGAACAGAUUCUUGUGGCACAAAAGAAGAAGCAAAAACAGGGCACUCAUGUGAGACGUCCGAAAGGAAGCUAUCGGACGUCCGAAAGGAUGAAGAACAUCAGGAAGGAUAUUCUGUCGGACGCUCGUGAGAAAGCAUCGGACGUCCGGAUGGAUCGGACACACUCUUCGGACGCACAUCGAUCGUGUCGGACGUCCUAAAAAUUUCACGAAGAUUUGAUAACUCUCUGGACGACGUUCGGACGCAGGGUUCGGACGUCCGACAGGUGGUUUGGACGCAGGGUUCGGACGUCCGACAGGUGGUUCGAACGUCCGACAGGCCAACGGCUAGUUUUGACAGCAUUUAAUAUUUGACCGUUGGAGAGCCUUUUGGAGCCAUUUCUCACAUUCUAUAAACACCCCAAAGCACAAGAAGACACGGGACUUUUGCCAACACAAUAUACAAGCUUACAAGUGAGAUUUUUGAGUAGAAAGAUUCUUUGUUGGUUGUAUAAGGGGUUGGGGAAGUUGGGUUGUGAGGUUGCUCAAGUGAAGGUUAUUCUCUAGGAGGAGUAAAACCUUGGUGAAGGUGAACCUAUCACUUGAAGUGGUAAAACCUUGGUGAAGGUUGCCUCAUUUGUAUAAAAUAGUUCUUAAUUGGGUGAGUGAUCUUUCAAGUGUAGGUUGUUGAGGGUUAACUAGAAUUGUUGUAAAACUCCUUGGCUCAACCAAAGUGUGUUUGGCGUGAGGAAGGAGUGAGCCUUCACUUGUACAUCUUGGUUAGCAUCGCCAUCAAUUGAAGAGGCUAUUGGUUUGAUAUUUGGUUUGCAUUUCUUAUCCUUUCUCUUUAAUUAAGUUUUCUUUAUUGUGCUUAAAUUUGAUAUAUCUUUGUGCAUCAUUGUGAAUUUGUUUGUACUCAUUAGGUUGCACCGAGCACUUACAAUUGGUAUCAGAGCUUGGUCUCCUUGAGACUAAGCUCAAUCGGCUUGGAGUAAAGAUCAUGGCAACCAUAAAAGUUUCCUUUUUAGAAGGGCAAUCUAUUGAUAGACCACCUAUGUUUAAUGGUUCUCAUUUUAGCAUGUGGAAACAAAGAAUGAUGAUUUUCUUACAAUCCAUUUAUAUUGAAUUAUGGUAUGUGGUAGAAGAUGGUCCUUAUGAAGCUAGAAUAGUUGACUCUACCAUCAAUUUGAGUAGAUUAAAGACUAGACAAGAAUUGAAUGAAAAAGACAAGAGAUACCUUUCUUUGAAUGCCAAGGCCAUGUGUAUAUUGUACAAUGCAUUAGAUGUAAAUGAAUCUAGUAGGAUUAAAGGUUGUAAAUCAGCUAAAGAUAUUUGGGAUAAAUUGUGUAUUUCAUGAAGGUAACCAAGAUAUUAAAGAACAAAAGAAAUCUUUGCUUGUUUCUCAAUAUGAAUUUUUCAAAAUGCAUCCUCUUGAAAAUGUUGAUAAGAUGUGUAGUAGAUUUUGUGACAUUAUUCAAGAUCUUAAAUUGCUUGGAAGAGAAUAUUCUUUGGGUGAGAAAAAUAGAAAGAUUUUGAAUGCCUUGCCAAAAGAAUGGGAAAACAAAAUAAAUGCUAUAGAAGAGGCAAAGGAUUUAAAUUCUAUGUCCAUUGAAUCUCUUGUGAAUUCCCUAACUUCUUAUGAAUUAAAGCUGCAAUUCAAAGUGCAAGAGAAAGAAAAUGCAAGAAUGUAUAAGAGAGGCAUAGCUUUUAAAGCAUCUCAAGUGGGGGAUAACCCAUCUUUCAUGGGUAAUGAAAACAUGGAAGUGGACAAUGAUAUAACUCCUCACAUCAAAAGUUUCAAGAAGAUCUUCAACAAGAGAAGUUCAAGAGGAGAUUGCAAAAUUACAUGGGAUGAAUACAAUUCAAAAAGAGAAAAAGAAGAGUUGGCACAAAUGGCACUAAUGGCCUUUGGAGAAGAUGAGGUAAAUUCUUAUCACUCUUCUUGUGAUGAAGAUAAUGAAGAUGAUGAUGUGAAAAUUCUUAUGAUUAAAAUGCAUAAAAGUUUGAGAAAAUCUUAUGCUAAAAAUAAAGAUUUGAAAACAAAAAUAAAUGAUUUGUUGGAAGAAAACUCCAAACUUUUUCAGGAAAACAAAUGUUUGAGAAUGGAAAAUGAUGAUUUAAAAAAUCAAAAAAAUGUUUUUGAUUGCAAAAAUAAUUUGAAAAGGAAGUUGGAAGAGAAAACAAAGUUUUAUGGAAAAAUGUUGGAUGAACAAAAUUUGUUAAAGAAAAGAAUUAAUGACUUGAACGAGUUUCUCCAAAAUGAAAAACAAAAGUUUUCUCAAACAAAAGAAAGCAAAUCUUUUCAAGGCACAAAUACGUUUGCUAUGAUAAGAAGUAAGAAAAUUAGUUGCAUUAAAUCCACUUAUGUGCAAAAUACUUCUAUCAUGUGUCACUUUUGUUGUCAAUUUGGACAUAUGCAAAAUGAUUGCUAUGUAAAGAAAAAUAUGAGAAAAGGUAUGAAAUCCAUGUGGAUUGCUAGAUCAUGUUGUACUAACUCCCAAGAACCCUAUAAAAACUUACAAUUGGUAUCAUGAAAGUUUUGUCAUUCUAUAUGGUCUUGAUUUGGAAAAUAAAGGGGGAGUUUACUUUUUGAUUGAUGUCAAAAGAGGGAGUAGGAUUUAUUGAAAUUUCUUUGUAUGUUGGCAUUUUCUAAGGGAGAGUUUUAUUUGAACUUAUUUGAUCAAAGAAAUCUUCAUUUUGUUUGUCAUCAUCAAAAAGGGGGAGAUUUUUGACCUUGGUCGAUCAAUCCUUGGUUUUGAUGAUUAACAAACCAAAAUGUAGAUUUGGGCUAAUGUUUUUAUGUGAGCAAUUUGUUAGAACAGAUUCUUGUGGCACAAAAGAAGAAGCAAAAACAGGGCACUCAUGUGGGACGUCCGAAAGGAAGCUAUCGGACGUCCGAAAGGAUGAAGAACAUCAGGAAGGAUAUUCUGUCGGACGCUCGUGAGGAAGCAUCGGACGUCCGGAUGGAUCGGACACACUCUUCGGACGCACAUCGAUCGUGUCGGACGUCCUAAAAAUUCCACGAAGAUUUGAUAACUCUCUGGACGACGUUCGGACGCAGGGUUCGGACGUCCGACAGGUGGUUUGGACGCAGGGUUCGGACGUCCGACAGGUGGUUCGAACGUCCGACAGGCCAACGGCUAGUUUUGACAGCAUUUAAUAUUUGACCGUUGGAGAGUCUUUUGGAGCUAUUUCUCACCUUCUAUAAACACCCAAAGCACAAGAAGACACGGGACUUUUGCCAACACAAUAUACAAGCUUACAAGUGAGAUUUUUGAGUAGAAAGAUUCUUUGUUGGUUGUAUAAGGGGUUGGGGAAGUUGGGUUGUGAGGUUGCUCAAGUGAAGGUUAUUCUCUAGGAGGAGUAAAACCUUGGUGAAGGUGAACCUAUCACUUGAAGUGGUAAAACCUUGGUGAAGGUUGCCUCAUUUGUAUAAAAUAGUUCUUAAUUGGGUGAGUGAUCUUUCAAGUGUAGGUUGUUGAGGGUUAACUAGAAUUGUUGUAAAACUCCUUGGCUCAACCAAAGUGUGUUUGGGGUGAGGAAGGAGUGAGCCUUCACUUGUACAUCUUGGUUAGCAUCGCCAUCAAUUGAAGAGGCUAUUGGUUUGAUAGUUGGUUUGCAUUUCUUAUCCUUUCUCUUUAAUUAAGUUUUCUUUAUUGUGCUUAAAUUUGAUAUAUCUUUGUGCAUCAUUGUGAAUUUAUUUGUACUCAUUGGGUUGCACCGGGCACUUACAGAGUUCCAUCGGCAUGGGUAUAAAACUUAUUGAACAUUUCUACUCUAGUAGGAGGUCUUCCCAACUGUUUGGCCUAUAAGAAAUUGAAUCGUUUUAAUUAUAGUUUUAGCAUUUAGCAUAUAAUUAAAAAACAAGCUAACAUAAUGAAACAUGUACGAGCAAAAAAAAUUAGCAACUAAAAAGUGGAUGAGGUAUCACCAAGUGGUUCCGAAGAUGAGCAAAUGACUUUUUUCCGGUUGUGUGGUUCAUCUUCUUCUCCCCUCUAGCUUUCUUGUUCCUCUCACUUAGUUUCUAAAUUUCAAAAUCAAAAGCAAGAUUACAGCAUUGAAUGAACACAACUUUAUGAAGAAUGUUGUAGCUGAUUUGUACCUUUGCUUCUUCACUUUUCCAAUAAGCCCAAAGUUUGAUCCAUUGCUCUUCCCGUACCCUUAUGUCCUUUUGAAACCGAGCUUCAGCAUUUGGCACGGCAGAAUCAAAAUAGUUAGCCUUUAAAUCUGCCUUCCAGCUUCUCCAUUUUUUGCCAAUAGAUCUUAAGGUCCAAGCUUCCAGUCCCAUAGGCAAAGCAAACCUUUCCUGAAACGUAGUUAGCAACAAGAAAAUCAACACAACUUCACAGUAAUUUUUGUACAAAGCAUACAUAAUACAAAAGCUGCCAUUACCUUUAUCACUUCUAACAUGUCCAUUUUAAGUUUCCUUGGCAUCUUAAGCCAUGUUUCAACAUCUAUUGGACAAUACAUACCAUUCCUAGCCAAACUGCCCAAGAAUUCAGAGAAAGAGUUUUUCUCACUUAUUGGGAUCCCAUUGUCAUCGAGUUUAAUCUCAAUCCGUGGAAGUUCCUUAGGCCGACCCCAAAUUUCUUUCAUAAAUAUAGGGCCUCGGGUUUUAUGAUUUACUUCACUUGAAUCAUUUGUAGUUUCUUUUCCUGUUUAAAAUAAGAAAAAGGUGCAAGUUAUGAACAUAACAAAAUGCACUUCUGGAAUUGGUUCAAAACAGUUAGUAAUACCUGCAUUGUCCGAGUUGCAUGACAUGAAGGUGGUGUCACUGGAAUGUGGACCUCGAGAAUCCUGAUUUGGACUUUCUUCGGUUGCUUCAUGCCUUGUUCCAAGUGGAGAUUGUUGAAUUGGAGAGUUCUGGCACUGCUCAUGCGACUUGGAACCUCCAUCAGCUUGUUGAGUAACUUGGUCACCUGAUUCAUGCAUUAUUCCCAAUGUAGAAUUCUGAAUUGCAGAUUGAGGUGCCCGAGCAGCUUCUCCUUGCACUUGUUCAAUUACAUUUUCAUGGCUUGUUCCAAGUGGAGGCUGCUGCCUUGUUUCAUAACAUGAGGGAGGUUGCUCAAUUGGUUCAUCUCUCAAUCCAUUUGCAGCGCGCUUACAUUUUCGACCUCUACGGGCCAUACCUGCAUAAUAUUUGAGUGAAGAAAGGGACAAAUGUAAAUGUUUAAAAUUUAUUGAAGCACACUCUCUACCUAUAGUUUCUUUAACUUACAAAUGCUAUUAUAAAGAAGUACUACUUGAACAAUAAACUGGCAUGACAAGUAACAAAUGGCAUUCUGCAAGAAUAAACCAGGGGAAGACUAUGGAGCUGUCAACAGAACAGAGAAACAAAUGGAGAAUAUAUGAUUCAAUGCAGCAACUAAUUGGAAAUGAAAUGAAAGCUACAUGCUUAAGUGACUGCAAGAAUAUACAUGGGAAAUGCUUUGAUCUACAUCCUUUCAGCAUGAAAGAUAUGCAGAAUUUACUACCGCUAGACACGAAACUUUUUCCAUAUUGUUCUGAGAAUGAUGCCUAUGAUCAAAAGUUGGUAUGCUUAUGCUCAAUGAGGGUGUAAGUAGAAGAGUCCACGUAAUUUUAACUUCAGUAAUGGAGCAAACUAAUAAAUGAUUGUCUUGAAUUAACGAAAUAUACUUGGCCAUGUGAUAACCAAAAAUUGCAGAGGAUAAUGUAUUCUACCAACAAAUACAAGUCUUGGUUUUGUAUGUUUAGGGUGGCAAUCGGGUCGGUUAUGAAGCUCUACUGAAUACUUUUAUUUCCAGAUUCUGACAUGGUUCUGCAUUUAUCAAGAACUUGUCUCAUCUAAACAAGAGCUCAAGCUUUACGUAGCAUUGACGAUUCCAAACCAAAUUACUUCUCUUUUUGCCAGAGCCACAUCCACAGUUAUGGGUUGACACUUAACAGUAAAUGCACAAACACUUUUCCAAUACAAUUGUAGCAGUACAAACAAUACAGUUGUAGAACAGGAAGGAGACGAAGAGCAUCACGGUGAAAGACUGAAAACGAGAACCCAUCACCAAAAAUAGAUGGUUGAAAUUGUACAUUCAGUUCACAGUAGCAGUCUCCAUUCGACCAGGCUCACCUAGAAAUGUGCUUCUCAGAAAUGUGCUUUUCACACCGCCACCACCCCAAAAGCUUUUCACACCACCACCACCCCCCAAAGCAAACAUUCUACCUAGAAAUGUGCUUCUCAGAAACGGAGAAGGUGCUUGUCAGAGAUGGGAAUCGAAUAGCCUAAAAACUAAAUCUACCAAGCAAUGCAAGAACAUGUCUACCAUGCAAUGCAGAAUUAGACACAAAAUACUGAAAUUACCUCAAACUAUGGCUUGAAUCCCUAAUUUCUCGGUUUCCCAAGCUUUGAAGCCCUAAUUCUGAUUUCUUCCCACCAAGCCAACACAACAGCCGAAUUAGGGAUUUGCCUGGUGCGAGCUCAACCAAGUUACCCAAAAGGGUGCGAGUUCAUGGACGGCAAUUGACUCAAAUUGGUUGUGCGAGCUUGAAAGAGAGAGAGAGGACAAAGGCAGAGGACAACGAGAGAGGGAGAAGAUGUCUGAAAUAAAGGCAGUACUAAUGACGCCAAAGUAAAUUAGUCAAGCCUCUUGAAUUUUUCAAUUUGCCGCGCUACUAAUGACAAUUUUUGUGUGUUUGGGCAAAAUUUUGUUAAAGCUAGAUAACAACUAAAAAUUUGGUUAAAGCUAUAUACAAUAUAAUAUAACAACUAAAAAUAUAAAGGCUAAAAAUCUUGUUAAAGCUAUAUAACAACUAAAAAUAUAACAAAUAAAAAUUUUGCAAGAGCUAUAUACAAUAUAAUAUAACAAUCAAAAAUUUUGUUACAGCUAUAUAACAACUAAAAAUAUAACAAAUAAAAAUUUUGUUAAAGCUAUAUACAAUGUAAUAUAAUAACUAAAAAUAUAAAAAUAAUUAAAAAUUUUGAGAAGCUAACAAAAAACAUUCUUUUAAUCAAAAUGUUUUUUACUCAAUUUAUUUUAUGCUGCGAGCAAUUAUGUACGGCUUGUAGUCUAACAAGCCAUUGGAAGGAUCGAAUUAGUUUAUGAAACAAGAAAAUUAACUUGUGAAUGCAUGAACUUUCCAUUGAUAAACAUUGGGAUUAGAAUUGAUUGAACAUAAACAAUGAAUAUAUAUAUAUAUAUAUAUAUAUAUUCAAUGUUUUCAAUUCCAAAGCAAUUGCCAUUGAACUUUGUGUUAAUUAGAAACUUACUAUCACUUACAAGAUCUUACUAUUGAACUUUUCAAUGAUUAACCUUAGGCUUACACUUACAACGCAUUAAUUGAACAUAAACAUAUAUAUAUAUAUAUAUAUAUAUAUAUAUAUAUAUAUAUAUAUAUAGGGUAAAAAAAAAAAAGGCCCCCUGUGUAGUUAACCUAAUACACAGAAAAGCUCCCCAUGGUUUCAAAAUAUACAACACGAUCCCUCAUGCUUUGAACUAAAUUGUAAAGGUGACGGAAUCCGUUAAACUUAACGGAAAUGGACGAAAUGACCAAAAUGCACUGAUAUAAUUAAGCAAAAGACAGCUCAAAAAAAUCAUUUGUUUCAUUCUCUAAGUAGAGAGAAUUGAGGGUUAAGGGGUAGAAUAUGCAUAUUUGAUAAAAAAUAGGCAUAAAAAUUUUUUUUAGGUUCCAAUAAGUCAUUUCCGUUAAGUUUAACGGAUUCCGUCACCUUUAUAAUUUAGUUCAAAACAUGAGGUGUCGUAUUGUAUAUUUUGAAACCAUAGGGGAUUUUUCUGUGUAUUAGGCUUACCACAGGGGGUUUUUUGUUUUUUACCCAUAUAUAUAUAUAUAUAUAUAUUCAUUGUUAAAAAUUCCAAAGCAAUUGCCACUGAACUUUGUGUUAAUUAGAAACUUACUAUCACUUACAAGAUCUUACUAUUGAACUUUUCAAUGAUUAACCUCAGGCUUACACUUACAACGCAUUAAUUGAACAUAAACAUAUAUAUAUAUAUAUAUAUAUUCAAUGUUUUCAAUUCCAAAGCAAUUGCCAUUGAACUUUGUGUUAAUUAGAAGCUUACUAUCACUUACAAGAUCUUAAUAUUGAACUUUUCAAUGAUUAACCUUAGGCUUACACUUACAACGCAUUGAUUGAAGGAUAAUCUAAAAUUGCGACUAAACCGAUUAAAUUCGAUCAAAGAUCAGUUGGACUAGAAAGCUCUAUCGGAAUUAACUUUUUGUAUUGUUAUUGGUUUAAAAAAUAAUUUUUUCAUGGUAUUAAAAAAUUAUUUAAGAAAUUUAUAGAUUAAAGUUUCAAAAUAUUUCUAUUAAAAAAUUAGACCUCGGUUAUUGGGAAAAAGAAUUGGCCAUAAAAUAAUGAUUCACAAAUGUAAUAUUACAGCUUACAAUUAAUGGAAUUGCUUAUAAAAUAAUGACAAGUAUUUAUCCAGCCCAUUGGGCUCUUAAAAUAAGUAAUGGGUUCCUUGGAAAGUUGGAUAGUUUUAUGUUUGGUCUGAAAUGAUUUGCACAUUCCGUACGUUGCCAAUUGUUCUCCCCAAAUCAUAGCCUCGGUUGCCAAUUGUUCUCAUGCUAUUAAAAGAAAAAUCAUUCCAAUACCAUUUUUAUGAAUAAGACUGACGAUUACUAACCAAGACUAGAAAUCCAAAAACUGGACCAUGGGAGUAUCAAUGAAGAAAGGCCUUAAAGAGGCAAAUUAAUACACAAGUUUUAACUAAUAGCACCAACUCUUUUAUCACAUCUGUCAGAAGGCUUAACAUGACAUCGAGAGCACUAAACUCAAAAAAAAAAAAAUGCAAAACCCAUCGACAAAAGGAAAUAAAGCCUAGGCCUCGCAAUUGAAACAGAGAAGAAUAAGGCCAGUAAGCUUUAAAGCUAUAAAAGAUUCUAAAUCAGAUUAUAUUGGGACAAAUCAACUUCAAUCCCAAGUCCAUUCUCACGAACCCAACUAAUUUCCUCAUUUUCAUUCUCAACAACAGGAUUGCCAACAUCACUUUGCAAAUAUGUCUCAACAUCCAUGGUUGUGCCCAUGUUAUAUCCAGCUCUUGCAGUGGUAGAGAUAACCACUUGCCAAUCCUUAUCAGUUGGAUCUUCCACAUAAAAAACCUGUGAUGCUUGUGAAGCAAGUAUAAAUGGCUCAACAUGAGGCCUCACGUUUGCAAAAUUGACUAAAGUAAACCCAUCAGCAUCUUGUUUCAUUCUCGAACCAUUUGAUAUCCAAUCACAUUCGAAUAACACCACCCGCGACCUCCGUAAAUUAAUUCAAUCAUAUUUUUCAAGAUGCCGAAGUAAACUAGUUCACUCAAAACUGGAUUUUGAUCCCUUAUACUUGCAAAACUGGAUGUUGUUGCAUUGACUGUAACACCACUAUUCUGCGUUUUUCUUUUCUUCUCAACUUCUUUGGUGUGAAACCGAAAUCCAUUAACAACAUACCUGCCAUGUUGGAUUCCAACAACAUCUGGACCUUUAGCAAGGAACCUCAACUCUCUCAACACCGAAACAUUUUGAGGAAGUUCUAACUUGUCAAUCUGUAAAAAAAAAAAAAAAAAAAAGAUGAAACUAUAUUUGAAGUCCUACAAUUCAAAUUGUACUUAAUAUUCAGAAUUUUACUUACAUGUUCAGCAAACCAACAUGCAAAAUUUUCACUGUGCAAGCGCUCUUUUAGAUGCUGUGGAACUUGAGGAUGUCCUUCUUCUAUCAAUCUACGAUGCUGCCUAGAAGUACAUGAGUCAAAAUUGUAAUCAUACAUUGAAUUCUACAAUAAAAUUUUAAUGCAUCAAGUUGUAGUUGAACUUACUCUAUGUAAGGUGUGACAGCAUCACAGUUAAAUAAAAUAUACUGAUGUGCUUUACUCAAGAUAUGAGCAUCAAAGACUGUUGGCUUGCCCCUCCCCAAAGGAUGUCCUGAUUCAGAGAAUAUAUCUAAACCAUCUUCAAUUUCCUUAUGUACUUCUUCAUUUCUGCUUGGACGAUUGAAUUUUGUCUCAACAUAGUCCGCAAGAUACAAUGAGCAAAAGUUAAUGCAUUCUUCUGCCAAGUAGCCUUGAGCAAUCGAACCUUCAGGCCUACUUUUAUUUCGAACAUAAGAUUUUAAUGUUCCUAAGUACCUAAAUUAUCAUCAUUCCAAACUCUCUAAUUAGUUCCACAAAUCAAAGAAAGCAAAAAAGGAAUAAACAUUUAAGGCAUAAUGAGAAUUACAAGCAGUACCUCUCUACAGGAUACAUCCAACGAUAAUACACCGGCCCACCUAAUUUCACUUCAAUUGCCAAAUGAACAACUAAAUGCACCAUGACAUCGAAGAAGGUUGGUGGGAAGCAUUUCUCAAGAUCGCAGAGUAUGACGGCAAUUUCACUUUCCAAACGAACCACAUCUUGAGGACAAAUAACUUUAGAACAAAGCUGCCUGAAGUAUCUACUCAAUCGAAUCAAAGGAUAGCGCACUGAUUUUGGUAAAGUCUUUCUCAAAGCUAUAGGCAUCAAUUGCUGCAUUAGGAUAUGAUUAUCAUGACUUUUAAGCCCUGAAAUUCUUGGUGGUUUUACUCGAACGCAUCUUGAGACGUUAGCUGCAUAACCAUCUGGAACUUUCACCUUUUUUAGCACAUUGCAAAACAUAGUUUUCUGUUUUUUAUCCAUUGCAAAGGAAGAUGGAGGUAAGUACACCUUUCCAGGUUCUGUCUCAAUGGGAUGCAGCUCUUUUCUUAGUCCCAUUUCUCUCAAAUCACGGCGGGAAUUAUAAUGGUCCUUUGUUUUAUCCUCGGUGUCCAGCAAUGUCCCCCAAAUGUUUUCACAAACAUUUUUCUCAAUGUGCAUGAAGUCAAGAUUGUGUCUUAAGACAUUAUCUUUCCAAUAUGGCAAGUCAAAGAAAAUACUCCUCUUUUUCCAAUUGAAAGGCAGCUUCGGAUUACCUUUCACAAGUUUUCCAAAUUUAAUUUGCAAGUCUCCCAAUUCACUCACAAUCAUAUCCCCGGUUUGCAAAGGUGGUCGCUUUCCAUGUUCUUCGGUGCCAUCAAAGAAUUGGGCUUGCUUUCUAAAUUUAUGCUUACUAUCUAAGAAUCUCCGAUGACCAUGUAGCAAUAUUUGAAACUAUGAGUCAACCGUCGUGCAUGAGUGAACUUGUGACAAACAGGACAAGCAUAUUCACCUUUAGUGCUCCACCCAGAUAACAUUGCAUAUCCAGGGAAAUCACUAAUGGUCCACAACAGAGCCGCAUGCAGUUGAAAAUUUUCUUUUUGGGAUGCAUCAUAAGUUUGAAUGCCAAAAUCCCACAAUUCGGUCAGUUCUUUAACUAGAGGCUGUAGAUAAACAUCAAUAUUAUUCCUAGGAGAGGAUGGUCCGGGUAUUAACAAAGACAACAUGAAGUACGGUUGCUUCAUACACAUCCACAGAGGUAAGUUAUAUGGUAUUAAAACUACAGGCCAAGUACUGUGUGUAGAACUCAUGUUGUUGAAUGGAUUAAACCCGUCAGAUGCCAACCCCAAUCUAACAUUUCGACAAUCCUUAGCAAAUUCUGGAUGUAGAUGGUCAAAAGUUUGCCAAGCUGGAGAAUCAGCUGGAUGUCUCAUACAACCAUCUUUUGUACGUUUUCCUCAUGCCAUCUCAUUUGAGAUGCAAUUUUAGAAGACAUAAAUAGUCUUUGUAAUCUAGGUUUUAAGGGAAAAUGCCACAACACUUUUUGAGGAAUUUUCCUUUUUUCCCCAGUUGGAUCAUUUUCUGAAGCAACCCACCUAAGCUCGUUACAUGUUUCGCAUGAAGUUCUUUUUUCAGCACUACCCCUAUAAAGAGAACAAUCAUUAGGACAUGCAUCGAUCUUUUCAUAACCCAGCCCCAAUGUAUUCAUCAAUUUCUCAGCCUCAUAGUAAGAAGACGGCAAAUUAGUCAUGGCCUCCGGAAAUGCUUCUCUCAACAGCUCAACAAGCAUAUUAAAAAUCUUGUUACUCAUCUUACCCAGGCAUUUUAGGUGAAGCAAACGAAUAAUGAAAGACAAUUUCGAGAAAUUUUUGCAACCAUUGUACAAAUCCUGUUGAGAAUCAUCAAUCAAUUUGUAAAAUUUUUCAGCCUCUGAAACAGGAAUGUCCCCUUCUCUAUUCAAUUCAUUUGUUCCAUGUGGUAUCCCAAAUACAUCAUGGACCAAGUCUUGCAUGUCAUUAGUCCCAUUUGAAACCCAAUUGAUGUAUUUUCAGAAUUAGAUGUGGCUUCAUUGUAGUUUGAAAGUUCUCCAUGUGCUAUCCAAUUAUUAUAACCCUUGAUAAAUCCUACCACUUUCAAAUGAUCAUAUGCUUCCAUUUUUGUCACACAAACACCCAUGCCGCAAUCUUUGCAAGGACACAAAAUCUUUCCGUCACAACUUGAUCUAGAAAAUGCGAAGUUUAGAAACAUUUGAAGUCCUGUCUCGUACUUUUCACUUGUUCUUGGAAAAUCCAUCCAUCUUUUAUCCAUACUUUUAAUAUAAAUAAAUGUCCUCCAACGAGCUUCCAAUAGCCUACUUUUUAAACUCAGGUCGUGGCUUACAAGUCCCUAAUUUCAAGUUCAAGAAUUUCUCACAAAAAGGAAUUUAUCAAGCAGCCAGCAAAUAAAGGAAAUCAACAAAAUGCAAAAUUUCUCAACAAUCUAUAAAAACAGAAUUUGCAAGUAAGCGGAUAGAAAUUUUAUUUACCUAAUAACAGAAAAAAACCCUUCGUACCAACUCCUGCGCUCACGUCUUCGCAAAAUUCCUAAGUUCAAUCUGAAAUGUCAAUGGUUAAACAAACACAUGAGCAUGAAAACUAAAGGUGAAAUUCAAGAAUUUUACUAAAUUUUCAUCAAAGUAUACAUACAUCUUUGGUGUGUAGUGAUUAAUUUUAUAAGUCAUCUCUUUAGAAAGGCAUGCAAUUGACGGCAUAGGUAAUUGGAAAAAGAAUGACAGAAAAGUCCCCUAGCUUCUAAUCAUGCCUAUGAAGAUCCUUAUGAACAUGUCAAAAUACUUUGACCCAACUACAUCAAUGUCUCUGUCUUAUUAAUCUAAAAGUCCCCUUUUUUGGGCUCAAAAUUUGCACUAUAAUAGACUGAUCAAGUGCAGAAGACACUUAGUACAAGCGUUAUACUAUAUAUUUCAAGCAACUCACGUACUGAUUAGACAUACAAUUUAAAACAGAAAAAUGAUGUAAAGAUGCAAGUACUACAUAGAAUUUAACAUAGAAAAAAGCAAUAGUGAUAUAAGUGAUACCAUUGGGUGAAAUAUGCACUUAGCCGGAGGACCACCUUUGUGGCAAAAGCCAAAAGGCAGCAAAGGUUACCAUUGUUAUGCAAAUUUUGUGCCUCACAUUGGCGGUCCAUUAUCUGCAUCUUAAUUGUCUUUGGGCUUAUAUAGUCACGGUUUCCCAAUUCUGUCACCAGAAUAAUUUCCUGCUAGGCAUAUAUAGACCAUGGUCCUUGUUUCAUUUAUUUAUAUCGAACUUGUUGCUGAGUGUUCAUGAUUACGAUAAGCAAUGCAAUUUGGUUGAAGCUCUCUAUUCACAGUUUUGCUUAACCGUCCCCAUCCCCAAACAGAACUAGCUGCCUAAACAAACUUCAAUUACAGCUAGGUUUCAUAGAAAAAAAUGAAAAACAGGGGGAAUUGACUUUUUAUCGAACAGGUUUUGGGCAACAUACUAAUCACCCGUGGACACUUUAUUAGCUAGCCUAUGUACAAUUAUGGCAUGACGAUAGAACAAAUGUAACAUGGACAUAAAGAUCGAUCUCCUCAAAAAAUACGCAAUCCAAUUGAACAAAUUUCCUCAAGUUUUCAUCUCCAUUGCAGCUAAAGAAAAAGCAUCCAACACCGAGUUGCUAUUAAUGCUACAAUUAGAUAGAUAUCAUAUUUAAAUCUUUCAACAAUCUUAAAUGAGGACAAUAUAACUCAACUAGCGACAGCUCAGGCCAAGAAUCUUUACUUCUCAGAAAAAAAUUUCCAAGUUGCAGGUAAUUUCUUGACAACGAAAUCAAACAUAAGAGCUUCAUUGUGUUUACCACUUCGAUUUUGGAACAACAUUUGCGCGCCUGAAGUAUCUUCCAGCUUUCCCAAUGUACAGCUCCGAUCUUCUAAUUUUACUCCCUGCCUGCCCUUCCAGAUGUCUUAGCCGAAGGAUUUAAAGUUGAGGUUAGAAAAGAUGAAGAUGGUUGUUUGCGGAGACAGCUUGACCAACAUUCUGGAUUGGCUGAGAUAGAUUGUAUGCGGAGAGGUGAGAGAGAUGAGAAGAAGAAAAUUUUCACCAAGUCCUUUUGCCGGCAAAAUGAAACUUCAGAGUACUUUACCAAGUGUCUGGAGCCAAAUUAAAACGAUGUCAUUUUCUGUCUUUUUUUUUCUCACAUUUUCCCAAGUGUCAUGAUAGGUAGUCUAAAGACACAUUAUUAUUUUAUAUCAUGAUAAAAUAAAAAAAUUAUAGUACAGAUUAUUGAGUUGGUUAAUAAGUGUCAUGAUACGUUUGGUAUAACGACACAAACCAACAAGUGUCCUUAUAAACAUGUCAGAAAAGGCCAUUUUUGUUGUAGUGCCUGUUGCGUUUUGAAUUUCUUAAAUAAAGGUCUUCUCUUACCCCCAAGCUAAAUUUCACACACGUUGCUCUUAUUCCUAAAUAUUUAGAGCCCAAGCAAGCAAAUAUCUCAAUUCCGUCCACUAAGUUUAUGUAAUGUAGUGUACAAAUUAGCGUCUAAAGCCAUCUCUAAUCGAGUCCGUGUUCUUUUACCGAAUAUUAUUUCUGAUCUCAAUCGGCUUUUAUUCCUGGCCAAUUAAUCACCAGUAAUGUCCUUGUUGCUUAUGAAGUCCAUCAUCUUAAAUGUAAAAAUGCAGGCAAGGAGGAACUCAGGUCGAUUAAAAUGGAUACGAGCAAAGCGUAUGAUCGAGUUGAGUGAUAUUUCUCUUAAAAAUAUUACUAGCUUUAGGUUUCAAUUCUAAAUUUAUUUUCUUAAUUUUCAAAAGUAUUUCAACAGUUUCUUAUUCUUUUUUGCUCAUCGGUUUGGGAUUUGGCCACUUAAAACCUAGUUGGGGUAUUAGACAAGGAGACCCACUUUCCGCAUAUCUAUUUAUAUUGUGUGCAGAAGCUUUUUACAUUUUAUCUCAGAAGCUAGUCUUUGUGGAAAGUUGGGAGGCAUUGCUGUUGCGCCUGGUGCUUCAUCCAUUUCUCAUUUGUUUUUUGCCAGAUGAUACUCUUUUAUUUGGAAAGCUACAGGGGAGGAGGCUUCAAAUUUUAUGCAGGUUAUCAAUCUUUAUGAAGGUGCAUCAGGCCAGCCGAUUAAUGUGGAGAAGUCAGUGGUGGUAUUUAGCAAGAAUACUCCAGAAGCUGAUUAAUUGGCAAUUGAAUGUUCUCUUCGAAUGCCGCCUGUGGAAUCACAUGAAAAGCACCUCUGGGGUUGCCUACUAUCGUUGAGAGAUCUAAAGGUGAGGUCUUUAAUUCUAUCAAACAAAGGGUUUUUAAACGGAUUAAUGGAGCAGCAGUUAUCUCGAGCAGGAGAAGAAAUUUUAUUGAAUGUCCCUUGUAAAGUUAAGCAUUAUCUCUGGAGAAUUUGCUGUGAUUUCUUGCCUACUAAAGUAAAUCUGCUCCGGAGAAGAGCUUCAGUGGAGCUCAACUGUCUGUCUUGUGGUUUUGAUAUUGAGGAUCUUAUUCAUGCAAUUUCUUUCUGGGCGUUAAGCUGCCUUAAAGGGCAAGUACGUAAGUGGCAGCAAUCAAUUCCCAAAGAGUGGGCUCUGGAGUUGUUAGUUACGUUGAAAAAUCGUGAAGCAGAGUUGUUUGAGAUGUUAUGUUGGGCUAUUUGGCUUGGGAGGAACCAAAAGCUGCAUGAAGAUAAACGAGUGGACCCUUUUGAGUUUAGUUAGCUUUGCUUCGGUGCGCUCCAAUAAUUCCAAGAAGCUAAUGUUACUCAGAAAUGUCCAGGCGAUGGCAAGUUAAAGUUUAAUUUUGACGGUGUGGUGUUUAAGGAAACUCAAUCUAUUGGUUUAGAUGACGGUGCGGUGUUGAUUUAUCUAGUUUAGACCCUCCAAUUUUUGACAUUACGAGGGACUUAACUAGUUUAGAGAUGUCUAGUAUUUCAGGAAUGAGUAGGAAUCAUAAUAAAAUCACUCAUAUAUUAGCUAAGAUCGCAGAAUUCAUAUGUGAUCAUGUCUUUUGGUGGAGAGAUCUCCAGAGUUUGUUGUGCCAUUUCUAAUGGCGGAUUUGUUAGAAAGUUAAUGAAAGUUCAAUACAGGUUAUGUUGAGUAAGACGUUGGAUUGAAAAUUCAAGAUUUUGAACUGAAAUUUCAAGAUUUUGAGAUGAAAAUAAAAGAUCACGCUAAACUUAAUGGAUUCAAAUCUUAAUAUGUGCAAAUGCGUUUGAUAACCAAAAUUGGACAUCUGAAUUAAUUAAGUGCUACUGAAUUUUCUAAACGAAAUUUGUUCUAAAAAAUAAGUGAUAAACUAUGCAUUUAUUACUGAAUGUGAUAUACACUUAAAUAUACUUGAUUUAAUACUUAACAAUCUAAUAAAUUAAUGGACUCAGAUUUUAGAUUUCAAUUUUAUCAAAGUAACCUAAAAAUAUAGACUAUAGAUAAAAUAACUGCAGAUAAUGAUUUAUGUUGAGUAAGCUUUCAAAGCUACGUUUCCCAAAACAAACUUUAGAUAAUCAUUCUCUAAUUUUUGCUUUCACUCUAGAAGAUGCGUACAAUAAUGGGUGUAUACAAAAAUGGAAGUUAAAUUGAUAACACUAAGCUCGCCAAUUCUCAUAAAAAAAAUGAUGACAUUGCCUGCAUUAAUUCUAGUAACGGACUGAAGACAAUAAUUAAUAGGUGACUAUAUGGUGCCUAAGGCACACAAUAAAAUGUGGACUUGGUACCAUUAUUUAUUUUUGUGAAAGGAUAAACCUAUUUUGUAAGGUGUCGCAAUUCAUCAUCAUGAAAUGAGUGGUAAUUUUAAAGCAUUAAUAGUGAAUUCACCUUCAUUUUUAACGUUCAUAUCGCAAAGCCUAUUAAAAAAUUUCCACCAGCACAAAUUCCACUUUUAAUAGGUUCGAAAAUUCACUCACAAAUUUAUCCACAAAUCCCAUUAACAAAAAAAAAAAAAAAAAAUGCAGAAAGUUAUCAACGGAACUUCUAUAGUGCGUUGAUGCGACACGUGUUGGUUGGAGAUUACUAGAUGGGAGUGGGGUUAAUCAAAGGUGGUAUUUUAGUAUUAAGCCCAAAAACCACCGGUAACAAUGGUAUUGACCCAAUUUCAGAGGAAUUGACCCACAUAAACUGUGAAAGAUUAUUUUCUCUGUCAUUUAAGGCAAUUUCUGAACAAGAUUUAGGCGUAUAAUAAAGAAAUUAUCAACCCCAACCCCCAAUAUUAUGCUAAUAUGCAAUUGGAAAAAAUUAAAUGAAUAUUUACUUGAAGUUAAGAAGUGGAUACCAAUCGGUAGAAAGUGUUUAUAACAUACUCCGAAAUGCCAAAGGACUUCCCAAAAAGUGGGAAGCAGGACAACAUCUGAAAUAUAGUCCAAGUUUGAAGUGCUUUAUGUCAAACAUAUUUCAAUAUAGAAAAAAAAAAAUUACUGGUUAGCAUAUGUUUGUGCGCAGUAUUUGUUGAUUGGGAGACGGUUCUAAGGAGGCGGUUUUGCAACAAAUAAGUAAACGGGAUGUCGAUUACUUGGAGUUGUAUCUUAUGCUGGAAAAAUAAUUAGACAUGUCAGUUAAGUAAUAUUUCAAUUUAAAUAAAGUUAGUUAGGAACUAGAACUCGUAACAUGGUUGGAUAUGGUUAGUGAAUAGGAUAUGAAUGUUGGGGGAUAGAAUACAACUAGAAUUACUAAGACAAAUUAAGCGUGACACUUUGAAUUCAAAUUUUACUAACAUUGCAUAAUAACACCUUUGACUGAUAAUUUUUUUUGAUACGGAAACUGGAAAAAUUUUAUUAAGAAGAGGAUAGAUCCGUAUUAAUUGCGAAAGAAAGAAAAAAUGGUGGAGAAAAUCUCCAACUAUAAAUACCUGAAAUAGAACUAGCAUUACUAUCUAAGAAAUGAGCAGGCACAAUUAGAUUCCUAGGAAUCCAAUCAGCCUCCCAAGUAAUGAAAUUCUGUAAACUAACAAAGAUAUCAUCUAACAGCACUCCAUAAGCUGAAUCAUCGGAUUCCAUAUUUUUAAGCAUGUUGAUGAUCUUCAAAGAGUCACCCUCUAAAACAAUCUUAGAACCUUCAACUGAAGUAACGAGGAAAUUGCAGAUAUUGCAGCAUAAGUUUCAGUUACUUCAGGAGAAAAGAUACCUAAGAUUUUGUGAAAAAUACUAGCAACAAAUUUGCCCCAUUCAUUCCUCACAACAAUUCCAACUCUAAAGUUGUCGUCUUCAUAGAAUAUUGCACCAUCGAAGUUUGCACUGCACCAUCGAAGUUUGCCUUUAGAAAUCUUGCAGAGGGCUUUAUCCAAUGAAGUUGAGCAGUGGAAGAGCAUAUUGGAAUGUUUGGAAAUGUGUUUAUUUCAUGGUAUUUCUAUAAGAAAUUGAUAGAGAGGGAGAGACCAAACUGAAGGAUCACGAUAGAACCAUCAAAUAAUGCAUCAUUUCGGUUAAACCGUAGAUUCCAAAGAAUUAUGGCUACCAAUUCCAUGUCCUGCUUUUUCAAAAGAUGAAGGCCAGACAACCGAGACGAAACUUGAUCGGUAGAGUCUAAUCUUAUCUUUAGUGUAAGAAAGCUAAGGGCCCAAGGUUGAAUUGCUACUGGACAGCACAAGAAAAGAUGAUUAACAUCAUCAAUAGGGGCCUUACAUAAAGAACAAGUAGGAUCAAAAUAGACUCCGCGACUAUUCAACUUGGAAGUUAUAGGUAGAAUGUCUUUGCAAAUUCACCACAAGAAUAUUUUAACUUUACUUGGUAUGUUGAGUUUCCACAAGCAGGGCCAAAUAUCAUCCAUAGAACCAUUACUACAUGAAGCUACAUCUUGUCAAUUUGUAGAUUAUAUUUUGAUAAGAUGAUAGGCAAUUUUCACUGUGAAGGAGCCAUUUUUAGAAUAGUGCCAAAUGAGCUUAUCUUGAUUUCGUCUAUCACCCAAUGGAAUACUCAUAAUCAACUCAAUCACAUCUAAGGAUAGCAACGGGGGCAGUGCCCGGGGGGCUAUGGGGCAGAGGUGGGGGGGGCGGGGGAAUUUUUCCCCCAUUUAGAAACGGGGCAGGGGCCCACCCAUUUGGAAAAAAAGAGAGAUAUAUAUAUGUACAUAAUUAUAUAUAUAAUAUAUUAUCAAUUAUACAUGUCUAUUAAUAAAAAUUAUUAAUUAUUUAUACUAAAUUUAUUAAUACAUUUAUAUUAAAUUCCUAACUACACUUAAUACAAUAACACUUUUUUUCUAAAAAAAACACAAUAAUAAUUUAGUGAUUGUAUUUGUAUCAAAAGUAAAAACAAUUAUUUUAGUUAUAUUUGUUUUAUCAUAUUAGAUCGUAUUCAAAUAACUUUUGUUUAAUUAUUUUUAUGAGUUUCAAUUGUGAAGUUAUAAUGAAUAAUAAUUUGGUGAUGUGAUUGAUAUUUUAGUACUUGAUUACUUGCUCAAAUUUAAUUAUAAUAAAAUUAUAUAAUAAUUUUUUUAACCGCGGGGGAAGCGGGGCGGGCGGAGGACGGGACGGGACGGGGGAAUUAAUAGGCAACGGGGGGGGGAGGGGCCACCCUAAUCACAUCCUGCCAAAAAAGCUCUUGAAGCAAAUCAUAUUUCCAUUUCCUGCUAUUUUCAUCAAUUAAACAAUCUAUAGUGGAGAUUUCUAGUAGCACAUCAAAACGAGAUAUAAUUUUGAAAUUAGAAAGACGUGGAAUCCACCUCUUUCCAAAUUUUGAUAUGAUUCCCGUGUCCAUCUCACCAUCUACUACCAAAAACACCUUUGAUUGAUAAUUAAAUAGUUAAAAAAAUAUAUCUACUUAAUUUGUUUACUCAAUAGUUAUGUGAACUAAAACAUAAAAAAGAAGGUCAAUUAUUAUAUUAGUGUUAUAUUUGUAAUAUUAGUUCCCUAUAUAGUAGGUUGCCGAGUUGGGCAUAUUUAUAUUCUACCAAGUAAAUGCCCUAUCUUUUCGAAACGUGGCAAAAAAAAUUGUGUUUGUUUUUUUGGUAGAUUUCAUUCUUUUUCUUUUUUGGUAACAAUUAAUUUACUAUUCAUUUUCACUUCAUUAUUUAUAGUAAAUUUCAAUCAAUUAUCAAUUACUUACCUUAUAUGCAUUUCUAUUAAUUAUACCUUUAUUUUUUUAAUCAACUUAUAGCUUUCCUUUUUAAUUAGGCACUCGUUAAUAUAUGUCUUAGGUGUUAAAUUUUUAGAAAUAUAAGAUGAAUUAGGGAGCAUAUAAAUGUAAGGGAAUUAAUUAGAAAAAUAUAUAAAUAAAAGAAAAAGUAGUAAUGUUGCGUAUAUAUAUGGCAGGUUAGGUGGAAUGCAGGUGUGUUAACGAUUACCCAUAGGGCACCCAUUAGAAAUACUCAUCAAAAUUUGGAUUAAUUUUUUUCCUUUCAUUGCAAUCAUUACUACCAUUUUUCCUAUCAUUUAUUACUAUACCUUCAUGUUUCUAAAUACCAAUAAAUGUAUUACUCUCUUACUUUUUAUUUGAUUGUGCUAAUUAUAGCUUUCCUUUUACUUAAUCAAUUAGUCAAUCGAUCAAUCAACCCAUGAUUUUAAUUCUCUUUUCAAUCGCACGAUCUUUCUUUUAUCCAUCAUUAGGGAGAUUUACAAUUUAGUCACAUAUUUGUUAUGUGUACAAUAAUUAUGCAAUCAUAAGCACAAACUAAUGCAAUUCUAAUAAUUUUGCAUAUAUGCAUUCAUAUUGUAUUGCAACACCUUUAAUAAUUCAUUAUAUGGUUACAAAAGCCAAAAAAAAUCUAGUAUUACCUAGACCUUAGAUAGUCCCCAAUGUAUACACUGAUACUGUAUAAAAUGAUUUUAAACCCGUUAAUAUAUAUACUGAUUGCAUAUGAAGAUUCAUCCCUAAUUUAGACCUCUUAGAUAGUUUGCAUGCAUUAUAUUCCCUUUUUUAAUUUCUUAUUUAGUUUACCUUAUUACCAUUUAUGAUUUUUUUUUAAUUUAAGCAACAUCUUCCAAUAUUUUAUCACCAUUUUAAGUUAGUUCAUUUUUAGGAGAUAGUAGUAUAAGUGUGGUAGUUUGUCCAAAUAACUUUGAAUAUGCAUAUACAACCCAAAAAUAAAAUGAUAGUUGUUUAUAUUCUUAUCACUCAACGAUGAUAGUGUUAUGUAAUUUAAAUGAUUGAGAUCUAUUGCCAUCCAAAUAUAAAUUUAAUAUGAGGGUAUGAUAACUAAAAAUGACUAUAGAAUCUCCCUAAAUACUAAAUAAUGCGAAUAGAGAUAUUCCCUCAAAAACUUGUAAAGUACUUAAUGUGUAUACGGGUAAAUUCUUGCAAUAGUGAAAGGAAAAUAUCUUACUAGCCUUGAAAUUUUGGCCCGUGUAUUGACUUUUGUUAGCUAAAUUAAACUAUCUUGGAGUGAAGACAUAAAAUCUGCGGCAAAUUUGAGAGAGUUGUGAACAUAGCUUAUCUAGCGUACACAUUUUUUCCGAGUUUGAAUUCUCUCACUUACACGACAAAAAGAAAAAACUAUCGUACAUUUAACUUCCAACUAACAAUGAUGUAUAGGUAAUAAAUUAUAUGCAUGGGAUAUUCCAUAAAUAAAUGAAAUAUAUUUACACGACAAAGAGUAAAUUCUUAAAUUAAGAAGAAAUAAUAUUAUAGUAGCUGUCAAUUUGUUUAUAUGACUUUUUGGUUUGUCUUUACUCAUGACAACCAAUUAUGUUAUUUUGAUGUAAAAAUAUCCAAAAACGGUUGAAUACAAUGUGGGACAUUAUUAUUAUUACUCGGAUACCUCAAUAUUUAUAAAAUUGAUUAAAUUGGAAUCCAUUUGGAUUUAACAGUAUUUUGAAAAAACUAUUUUUGUUGUUCAAGUCUAUAGUAAUAAACUUUAAAAAUAACCUCAAAAAUAAUUUAAAAAUACAACAUAUCUCAAAUACAUUAAAAAAUAAUUAAAAAAUUUCCCUAAUUCUUCUUCCCCACACUACCCACUACAACCACCACCACUACCCAUCACUGUCCACUACCACCACCAUCACCCCACACCCAUGACCCGUCUUCCUCUCUCCUCUCUCUCUUUCUCCUCUCUCUCUCCUCCCUCCUUCCUCCUUUUCUUAUUCUCCUUCUCCUUUCUCCUUCCUCCUCUGCCUUGUCUUUCCUCCCUUCUCCCUUCCUUUCCCCACCCCCUAAUCCCCCCUUCCCUCUACUGACUGUGGCCUUCUUGGUCUUGACCAGAAAGGUUGCAGCCAGAAGCCGCGACUAGUGGCUUCUGGUUGCAACCAAGGUCACAGAUGGAGUCGCGGUUACCAUCCACGAUUGGGAGAGGUUUGAGGGUCAAACGAGAGGGAGGGGAGAGAAGGAGAAGAAAGAGGAGGGAGAAGGAAGAGGAAGGGAGAAAGAGAGGGAAAACAGAGGGAGAGACAAGAGAGGAGAGGGGGUAACGGCGUGAGUGGUGGUGGUGGCUGGCGUAAAAUUUUUUAAAAAUACCCCAAAAAAGUUGUAAAUUAUAAAAAUAUCCCAAAAAUGUAUUUUAAAAAGCCCUAAAAAUACCUUUAAAAAACCCCCCAAAAACAUCUAUAGUACAAGUUAUUUAUAUAUAUAGUUACCGUAAAGUUUUUAAAAGAUACCCUAAAAACAGUUAGUCCAAAUGGAGUCUUGAGUUUUGAGGUUAAGGUUCAAUGAUUGACCACAAUUUAGGUCAAAGUAAAACUUGGCCGAAAGUUUAGUGGGUAAAAUAUAAUUUUAAAAAUUAAUCAUCUUCCCUGAUCCUCACAGUUGCAAUGGUGAACUGUCAGCCCCUUAGGACGUGUUCCAGACGGAAACGCGCAACCGUGGUAGAUUUCGGUCACUCAUGGUCAACUUGGAAGGCUGAAGGUGAACUGGUUGGGAAAAACUUGGACACAUGUUUGAUGAUGUAUUCCAUGCCUAUGUAUGGGUUUGGAAAAGUUUCAGGGCUAGGAAAUGUCUCUAAAUUAGGGGAAAUGAGGGGUGGCUUUACUAGCGGUCCGAAAUUUUUAGCUAGGACUACUAUAGAGAGAGAUAACUAUAACUAAGCCAAGUCAAUGCCAAGGGCUGGGGGCUAAGGCUUUAUGGGUUAUUUGGAUGGUUCCAAGCAUUUGGGCUGUGUGCCUAAGUUGCUAAGUGUUGGGCCAAGUUGGGCACGGAACUAAGCAAAUGGCAAGAAGCUGGGUGUGCGAAACUGUGUGACCAUUGCCUGUGCGCUCCAAAGACGAACGUUGGGACUGUCUGGCAGUUGCUAGUCGUUUGCUGGAGUUGCGGACGAUUAUCAGUCAACUCAGACACGUUCUUAUCGGUUUCCUGACUUCAUGUACAUUCGGGUCGGACCAACGGUUGGGUCUUGUCAACUAUAACAAUGCAUAUAAAUAAAUGGCUAGGUAGGGACUAAAGGCAGAUAGUGAGAAACACCCUUAGAUGUUCUGCAGCUAAAUGUUUGUAGAAUUGUCCUUGUAAUCUCUAUAGUGAAAUACAAGGUUGGCCGUUUGUUGUAACUUGUGCGUGUGUUCCUUUGUUUUUGCCUAAGUAUUCUAUGUUGAAUACUUGUAUGCAAGUGUCAGUGUAAGGGCUGACUGGAAGCGCGGCUUAUCAAUGCCAUUACAUGCUUGUUAGGCUAGUGAGCGUAAACACCUCGUAAUAGUUUGGUAUCAAAGCACGGCUUUGAUCUAUUAGACUGUGCUUCUGUUAUGUGUUUUGUUGGUUAAUGAUGGUUGGACACAGGAAUUCUGUUGCAAUGCUUGGAAUGGUUGCAAUGUUAGGAACUUGCAUUCGAGGACUUGAUGCAGUGUCUAGGAGAUGGCCUAGAAGGCUUCAAUGUCAUAGAAGUUCUAUUGCAGACUAGAGAGAUGAUCAACACCCUGACUGCACAGAUGGACCAGGCAGACAGUUUCUUCUGUUGGGGAUGUUGAGAUGCUAAGGAAUGAAAUGAUUGCUCCCAUGCAAAGAUCGUGGCUUUACAAUCGAAGAUCAAUGUGUUAAAAAAGGCAGUCGGCUCUUGUAACACACAGACCUUUCAAAAAUCUUCGAAGAGGAAAGUGAAAGUCCUAGAUCCGAAACCAUACCAAGGUAGUAGGAGUUCGAAGUAUUUGGAAAACUUUUUGUGGGAUUGUCGAGUAGUACUUCAAGGCUAUUGACAUUCCUGAAGUAGAGAAGGUGUCAAUUGCAUCAAUGUGUCUUAGUGGUGAUGUAAAGUUAUGGUGGAGAACAGUGCAAUCAGACCUACCAAACCCAAGAUCGGUACUUGAGAAGUACUGAAGGAGGAAUUGAAGAAGCAAUUCCUUUCCACGAAUGUUUAAUGAAAAGUUAGAGGUGUAUUGUGAAACUUAAAGGAGAAUAAGAAAGUACAGAGUACGUUACAGAGUUCCAAGCCUUGAUGUUAGAUGUAAGGGAAAUGUCUGAGGAAGACAGACUCUACAUCUUCAUCCAUGGACUUCAACCGUGGGUACAGAUGGAGUUGCGGUGAUAAAAUGUUCAGACCGUGUCUCAAGCACUUGCUACUGUCGAGAAGUUGAUAGACUUCAAGUCCAUAGGAUCCAAAAGUGAAAAAAAAAGAAGGGCAAGGAUAAGGCUAAGGGCUCGAAAGGUGGUCAAUUCUCAAAAAGAAUAAAAAGAAGCAGACAGUAACAACGACCGAAACUAGCGGUGCUUCCUCUUCUAAGAAGAAGCAAACAUCCAACCCUAAAAAGGAUGGCUGCUAUACCUGUGGAAGACCACACUUAACCUGCAAUUGCCUCAAUAAGAAGGACCAGAACGUUAGUGCCUUAGUGGCAGAAGACAAUAGUGACCAGUUGGAGGUCCAGGAUGCACGGGUCAACCCCAUGUAAUUCUUGAACGCCAUCACCGAUACUAAUGUCUGUACUCUUUACAAUGGUUUGAUGUAUGUGCAGGUUACAUUGAAUGGUAACCAUAUAUUGACGAUGGUUGAAACGGGAGCAUCAUAUAGUUCUAUGAUGGAAAAAGUAAUGAGUCGGUUCCGGUUACAGUUGAAAGACUUGGGUUUCAAAAUUGAAGGCUGUAAACUCUGAAACCAAACCAGUGCUAGGCAUGGCGACCGUAGAUUAGAGUUGGAGCCAUGGAAGGGUUGGUGCAAUUUCAUGGCAAGUCAAAUGGAUGAUUUUGACUUGAUUCUAGACAAAGAUUUCAUAGUUGCAAAUAGGAUCUAUCCAAUUCCGCACUUGGAUGGCGUCAUGGUGAAUGAUGGCUAGAGUCCAGGCUUUGUUCUUGUAGUAAAGUUGCAGAAACAAAAGAACAAUCAACAAAAGAACAUGGUAUCAACGAUAGAGAUUGAGUCAUAUCUUCUGAGGCGGUGAAGUUGUGUAUAUUGCUGCAUUGGUGGAAACCAAACCUAACAUGUACCAGAAGUACCUAACGCCAUGGCCCACGUUCUAGAGAAGUUUACAAAUAUCAUGCCUACAAAGUUUUCGAGAUAGCUUCCUCCAUCCUGUGCCGUGGAACACAAGAUCGAGUAGGUUCCAAGAGCCCAACCACCUGCCCAAACUCCUUAUCGCAUGUCCCCGAUAAAGUUGGCUGAGAAAGAUAUAGUACGCAUGAGAAAGAAAUGACAGUUGUUGUACAUUGUCUCAAGAUAUGGAAGCACUAUCUAUUAGAAACCAAGUUUGUGGUGGUGACUAAUAACAUGGACAAUACUUACUUCAAGACACAGAGAGAGUUGACCCCGAAGCAAGCUCGUUGACAAGAGUUUCUGGCUGAAUUUGACUUUGACUGGAUUCAUAAGUUAGGAAGGGAGAAUGCAGUGGUCGACAUACUUAGUAGAAAGUAUGUCGAAGAAUACAUUGUUGUGCUUAGCACUGUUGAGACGGACUUCAGGGACAAGAUCAAGUGGGAGUCCCCGAGUGACCCAAUUUAUCAAAACUUGGUGUUCGUGAAGUCAAAGUUCGUCGUUAUUGGCUGGAGGAUGACUUACUAUUUUGCCAAUAGUGGUCAAGCAUAUGUUCCAGCAGGAGGGGACUUAGGCGACAGUUACUACGAGAAACUCACAAUGCUUCUUGGAUUGGUCAUUCUGAAGUUGAACGAAUGCGGGCAUUAUUGUCGCGUAGCUUCUAUUGGCCAAAGAUGGAAGAGGAUAUUUUAAGAGGUUGUGUGGGUUUUGGUUAAUGGUGGAUAGCCCCGUAUCCCAUAUGGCUUCCCCGUAUCCCGUUGGCUUCCUGUGUUUUAUCCCGAAUUUCACCUGCACGGAUUGCUUAUGCAUCGCUUAGUGGACUUUUGGUUUCAAAUAGCAUGUCUUUUACCCGUUAAAUAACCUUUUUUUUACCCAUUGUUCUGGAUUAUUGCAUAAGUGUCAAAUUUCGCCUGAAAUGCUCACAUAUUCUUCUAUGAGAUUACGUGUAUCACUACUGCGUUACCUUCCUUCGACACCUGAAGCUGGAGUUUGACGUUUCAUUUCGUUCAGACCAUGGAAUAGUUGCUGCGAUUAAACUUAUGUCUCUAAGAAAAUAAAGAAGGAAACAUCACUUUUUGUCUCUGUGCUCUUUGAUUUCUGCAUUUUCUAAUCCAUGUUAUAGAACUGACUGUUGAUGAUACCAAACAUUUUGUUAAAAGAAAACCAAAGUAUUCAAUUCCCAUACAUUUAACUCUUCCUGGUUAAAAUGUAACUUCCUCUAUUGAUGUCCAUAAAUUUCCUCGAAAAAGCUUGCGAACUGCAAAAGUUUCCACCAGUCGUCUUAAAAUGGCACUCUAAACCGUCUGCUAUGAUACUUUUGAUAAGCACAGUUAUACUGCCAGGAAGGGCAAGUAGGUAUGCAUCAUGGACCAUGAAAAUGCCAAUUUCCAGAAAUCAAUUACAGCUUUGACGAGUUGCAAACUUCUUGGACUAUGAAAAUGCCAGUUUCUAGCAAUGAAAUGAUAGCUUUCACGAUCUGCAACUUCUUAUUGAUUAAUGAAUACUGAAAAGUACGUAUCAGCCCAAUCUUGCCUCUCUUCAUAGUACCUGGAAAAGAUUUAACAGUCAACCAUAAGUGACAGAACUUUAACAGCGCUAGCCAUAUAACAAACAGUGGACAAAACUUUAACAAAGCUAGUCAUUUUCUUUUCUUUAGCAUGUGAUAUUUCUUCAUGUUUUGCACUUUUGUUUAAGCUUGACAGUGAAAACAUUUUUCAACCUAGAAAAUUCUGCAAGGCAAAACUUUCUUCAUUUUAGUUUCUUCAUUUCAGCAAAAUUAACUUUUUGUUUGGACUUCCAUUUUAAGAGUUUUUCACUGUUAUUUCAUUAAUCUGAAUGUAAGCUUGAGAAUUGAGAUAGGAACAAGUUAAAGAAAUGUUAAAACUGGCUUGAAGUGGGCAUUAUUUCUUGGAAUCUGUUUUAUUACUUUUGUACCUUAUUUCUUAGAAAUGUCAUUCUAAAUAUCUAUUUUGGCUAAUCAGAAUCUGUAUUGGUUAUUAAAUGUGUUUUGAUUAAGGAAUGUACAGCUCUCCAUUCAACUCAUUUCAAGGUUCAUCAUCAAGUCCUGUGAUGGAGCAAAAUAAUGAAGACGUGAACAAUUGAACUACAACGAAAAAAGAGCUGAUGAGAUGAGUGAAAAAGAGAUAGAAAUGAUAAAAAAUGAGGGCAAUGAAGAACGACAGCAAGAGAUGGAGAUGAAGGAGCUGGUCCUUUUGAGAAAAAACAAAGGAAGAAGAAAUCUAGCAUAUGGGAUGAAAUGACAACAAUAGUGCUAGAUAAUGGGACGGUCAAAGUGAAAUGUAACAAUUGCAAGGAACUUUUUGUCAAGAGUGCAACCGAAGCCAUAUCUCAGCACAAGAGACACUUGAAUUCUUGCCUACAAAGAAAGAUAGCCAUUGGAAAGCAAAGCAAACAAAAGCAACAAGUGUUGUCAUUCAUCGAAGGCCAAAGUAAUGGUAUCACUUCCAUCACAAAUUUCUUGUAUGAUCAUGCCAAGGUAAGAGAGCUUGCAUCACACAUGAGUACCCCUUUUCUAUAAUAGAUCAUGUAGUUUUCAACAAAUUCAUGAAAGCGGCUUCUCCAUUUUAUAAUUGUUAAGAAAAAUUGCAUUAGUACUUAUAAAAUUGAAAAAAGGAACCUGAAAUCAUUGUUGAAAGGUGCUGGUAGGAUUAGUAUUACCACAGAUUUGUGGACAUCUGGUCAAAAAAAUUCAAUAUAUGGUUGUGACUGGUCAUUUUGUUGAUUUUGAUUGGGUGCUACAAAAACGUGUUGAAUUUUUAUAAUGUUCCUCCUCCUCAUACUGGAGUUAUUAUAGCUGAUACUCUAAGUAAGUGCUUUAUUGAUUGGGGGAUUGAGAAUAAGGUUUCUAACAUAACUGUUGAUAAUGCUUCAUACAAUGAUGUGUGCAUUAGGAGACUUAGAGAGGAUUUUUCUCUAAAAAAGAGAUUAAGUAUUGGAGGAAAAAUUUUCAUGUUAGAUGUUGUGCACAUAUACUUAAUCUCUUAGUGCAAGAUGGUCUUGGUCAACUUGGUGGUGUGAUUGAUGUUGUUAGAGAAGGGAUAAAGUACUUGAACAAUUCUGAAUCUAGGCUUCUUGAAUUUGCCAAAAUUAAAAAACAGCUUCAAUUGCCCUCUAGAAAGCUAAUUUUGGACUGUCCAACAAGAUGGAAUAGCACCUAUUUGAUGUUAGCUUCAGGUUUAGAGUUCAAGGAUGUUUUUUCGAGAUAUGCAGACAUUGACCCUGGAUUUCACUAUGUUUUUACUGAUUUUGAGUGGAUGAAAGUGAAAGAAGUGUGCAAAUUUCUAGGAAUAUUUUAUGAAAUCACUGAUAUGAUUUCCGGGUCCGAGUAUCCAACGGCUAACAUUUUCUUGUGGAGCUCUAUAGGAUUAAAGAGCUUUUAAAUGAAAAAGCUCUUGACCCUUUUUAGCAUCUUUGGGUUAUGGCUGGAAGUAUGUCUGCUAAAUUUGAUAAGUAUUGGGGGGAAAGUAAUGUACUGCUAUCUUUGGGUGCAAUUUUGGAUCCGAGAUACAAAAUAUUUCUUAUUAAUCAUACUUUUCCGGUGAUUUAUGGUGAGGAUGCAGCUCCUAGAUUCGUGGCUGAAAUUAGAGACACUCUUUAUGAGCUUUACAAUGAAUAUGUUGAUUGUCACAUAGUUUCCCAUUCUGAACAAUAACAGAGGCAGGUUGUAAAAGGGAGACAAAAUGAAGGUUCUAGUUCUUCUAGUAAGAAACAGAAAAUGACUGGACCUGCCGUUUUAACUAGUAAAGAAAAGUUGCACAUGCAUGUGAGUGAAAUUAACAGGGCUCCACCACAAAAAUCAGAUUUAGAUGUUUAUUUAGAGGAAAGUAGGUAUUGUGACGCCCCCACUUCUCCUUAAGGUGAACCAAAGAGUAUCCACGGGACGCCUGCCCAACUCUUACCAGGACUGGGUACAAUUUCCGUUCAACCUUAUUACAAUACUAGCUAUCACGACAAGAUGAAGUAAAAAAGAUAAAGUCGCUUCUAUAAAUAAUAUUCAAACUUACACCACGAGUUCCAAAAUACAUCAAAUUUCCAAAAUAUACAACUGCCAAAAGUCUAGUCGAUUACAUUUGGAACCCUAAUACAAAAGUACAACAAAAGGAUUUCUCCGAGUUUCACUCCAUAUCUAUGCCUGUUAAGGAAAAUAAAUCUACGGGGUGAUCAAUUGCUCGUGAGGCCAAAAAACACACAUACAAGCACGUUGUCCAAUUAACAAGAAAACGAUAAUAUUCGAGUAAUUAACAAUUCAAGCGGAAUGUAAACAGAAACAAUUCAAGGAUAUGGGAGCUCUCAGGAGCUAUUGUCCACUGGCACGAUCAAGAACCUCCACGAGUUGACACUCCGUCAAUCGGGUAGGUCAUAAUCCGUAGAAGCUUCACUUACGCGUUCCUCGUCCACCAUACAUACCGCACCGGGCCCGAACAUCAUUUAUAAGGUGAUACUCCACGAGUAUGUCAAGCGAGAUCUUUCAAAUAGAUCAAACUUAUCAUGUUAUUCUCAUGACUCAUCGAGAUUCCCGACCAAACCCAUGCCGGCUCGAGUUCCAAGGUCGACCUAUGAGUUUGGGCCCCCAUGUAACAUUUGUGAGUGGAAGAGAUUCACUCCAACGAUGUAUGCAGCCAUAGCAUACUAUUUCAUGUCAUUCAAGCAUUCGAUACAUUCAAUCAUUCAUUUCAUCUCAUUCAAGUCAUUCAUGAUCCAUUCAUUUCAUUUCAAUUAAUUCAAUCAUGAGUCAUUCAUUUCAAAUGAGAACGAGUGCGGUAAAAUACACACUCGACUCCAUUUUCAAAAUCUCCAAUCAUUAAUAACAGUUAAGCAUGUAUCAAGUUCCCAUACACUUGACACUCACCAAGUAAUUCAAGAAGUAAAGCACAAGCGGUUGUUUAGGCGUCUCCUGUGAGAUCCUCUUGAAGGUCCUCUUGAGUGCCUGAGUAAUAAUAAUGAACUAUUACACACUAUCGUUUAAAACCCCUACUUAUCGAGAAAGAUUGCACUCGUGUACAAUUUAAGAAGAUAUUAUGAGAAUGAGCCUUAAUUACUCGUAAAUCGAGACUCAAAAGUGGGGUUUUAAUAAUACAAGGAAAUUCGAUUUUCAUCUUUGAAAUCAAAUGUAAAACGAUCAAGCAAUAUCGAGGAAAAAUGGUGAGUACUAAAAACUCAAUUUUCUUUAAGUUCGGAAAUUUCAGAUUUGAUAAGCAAUUUUUGAAAAACCGUAUCUCAUUCUCUGUAGGUCCAAAAUUAGAAAAAUUGGUACCGUUGGAAACUACUUCCAAAGUACUAAAAGUUCUUAGAAGACAUUUUUCCAUGAUUCCAAAUAGAUGACAUUCAAAAUUCGGUUCAAAGUUGCUGUUUUGGGCUACCAAGACAAUUUCGGGGUUGGUUUUUGGCCAACUUUGGAAAUUCGGCAAAAUUCACAAAAUGUGAACUAGCCUCUGCAAUUUGGAAAUAAAUUAUAGUUACAAACAAAGUUUAAAACACAACAAACAGAACAAGAAUUGGAGUUUUGAGUGCCAAGAUAUAGCAGCUCAAAUUUGCUGAAAUUUUCUCACUGAAUAAGGAUUUUCCAGAUUUGAAACAUGAAAUUUGGGAUUUCAGUUGAGCAUCGAAAUGGACUUGGAAUGGCACCAAAUUUGGUAGUAUUACCCUACCAUAGAAGGGCUAUUCCUCUGUCAAAUUUCAUGCAAAAAUUCAUAUGGAAGGUCAGUUAACAAAGCCGCUAAAGUUCCAAGAAUUUCCAAGGCAAAUCUGCCUUGUACUUCCGUUUUACUUUUUCAAGCAUUUGGCCAAUGAAAUCUUCUCAAACAUGGUUCAUUUAUGAAGACAAGAUCUAAGAAACAUCCAAAAUGUGUUUGGUAGGUGAUUAAUACCAAGAGUUCCAAAAUAACGACUCCCAAUUCGAGUUAAGGCAUUCAACUAGCCAAGAUUAGGGUUUCCUUUCACUGACACAGGUCUGGAAUUUGGCCACAACUCACUCAAUUCAACUUGGAAUUAGACAUGAUCAGUGGCGUUGGAAACUAAAUUCAUAGGGCUAUAAUUUCUCAGAAAAAAUCAUUUUGAAAUUCUGUCCAUAACUAGUUCAUAUUCUAGCAACAAGUUGCAGCACACAACAGGUUUUCUAACACAGACGAGAAACAGGGCAGGUGACUUUGAAAGGCUGGUACGGUUCACUCAAGUGGAAUCAGGGGAUGCAUUUUAUACUGUUAGAAAACUGGAAGUAUCUAGUUUCUAAUUCCUCAAAUGGCACUCGAUUUUGAUGUCGGAGCAAAGAGUUAUUGUCGUUUGAAAUUCGCUGCCAGAGCAACUCUGGACAUGUUUUCCAACCAUGAAGAAAUUUCGAAAUCCAAACAUUUACCCAACCAAAUCAAGUGAUUUUUGGUGGAAACUUUUCACACAACCUAUAAAACAUAUAUACACCGAAAUCAAGUCAAUUAGAUCACAAAAAAUUGCACCAAGAGGUGCGGCAAUGACAGGGCAGAUCUGGCCCUUCUUCCAUUUCAACUUCCUUUGAGUUUCUUUCCACUCUUUCAACUUAAAUCCACUAGAUUAACACUUAAUCAACAUAAAUAACACUCAAAAUCAUCAAAUCAGAUGAUCAAGUCCAUUGUGGGAUUUCAUAGAGUCUACUCACAUGAUUUUCAACAAUCCAAAGCUACCCACAUGAAGCUACAAGCUUCUAAGUGAAAUCUAACUUACAAAAGCUAAGAUUUAAAGGGUGGAUGAUCAUUACCUCUUAGAUGUUGCUAGAGCAGAAAUUUCGGUCCUUAGAGCUCCAAGAAAACCGUGAGAAUGAAGCUCUUCUCCUAGCUGAAGAUGAUCUCCAAGUUAUUUGCAAGGUGUGGUAUGAAUUUGAGAGGAUUUGGUGCAAGAUUGAGAGACGAAAUGGUGAAGAAACUUGGUCUUCUUCUCCUUGGUGUUGCACGGCUGCUUGAGGGAGAGAAAGAGAGAGUUGUGGCUGAUGGAAAGCUUCUCUUGGAAGCUUAAGAGUUUGUGGCCAAAAUUACUCCAAAAGUCAACUAAGAAUAGUGCAUGUACACGCGCGUUUCGUGCUCGUUUCCUUUUGGAUUUGUUUCACUUGUGCACUAAACCUCUAAUGCACUUCCAUUCAUACUAUUAUUAUUCACUUUUAAUAGUCUAAAAAUAAAGGUCUAAAGUCCCUCAAUUAAUCGCGCGCGCGAAAACGCGUACUUCCGAUUUGUGCGCGAUAGAGUAAAAUUUCUAAGAAAUUCUUACAAUGAUAUUAUAACUGACUAGUACUUGAGUACUUAAACAUAAAAAUACCUAUUUUGAAACUAAUGUAUGAGUCUUCAAUCUCCAAACUCACUGUAUUCUCAAAUCGAUUAUUGUCUCCAAACGCGCAUUCACUAUUCUCACUAAACGAGUUUCUAAAAAUUAAAUUUUUGCAACAAGUCAUUUUAAAUAUAUAUAUAAGUCAUAAUUCCAUGUAAUUGAGUCUAAAAAGGUUGGAAUAAAAUAUUCGGAGCAAACAGACAAUUAAAUAUUUAAAUAAGCUAGUAAUAGAAAUUUAAAAUAAGUAAAUUUGCGGGUCCUUACAGGUAUGCUUGUGAUGCAAAUGCAAAUUUGGAUGUUUUGGGUUGGUAGAAAUAGGAAAGAUUGAGAUUUCCUAUCUUGUCGAGGAUGGCUGCCGAUAUACUCUCCGUUCCUGUUACAACUGUGGCUUCAGAAUCUACCUUCAGCGCCGGAGGUAGAGUAAUUGAUGAUCGACGAGCUUCUAUGUCAAUUGAGACGGUGCAAAUAUUGCUUUGCGGCAACGAUUGGAUCCGCAGUCUUCAUGGCCUAAAGAAUAAGUCUCGCGUUAAGUAAUUGAUUAGAUGUUUUUGUUGUUGUUACAGUUUCUUUAUAUCUGAUUUUAAAGAAUUUUAUAACUUUCAUACUUUUGUUUUGUAGGAAUCACUUGAUGCGACCGAAUCAAUCACAUUUGAGGAAGUUAAACUUCCCGAAUCAUUCACAACCUGAUUUGGUGGCUGUUGAUGUUGCUUGGUGCAAACUGAUUCAUUCACAUGUUGAUUUCGUUGAAGACCUAAAGAAUAAGUCUCGCGUUAAGUAAUUGAUUAGAUGUUUUUGUUGUUGUUACAGUUUCUUUAUUUUAAAGAAUUUUAUAACUUUCAUACUUUUGUUUUGUAGGAAUCACUUGAUGCGACCGAAUCAAUCACAUUUGAGGAAGUUAAACUUUCCGAAUCAUUCACAACCUGAUUUGGUGGCUGUUGAUGUUGCUUGGUGCAAACUGAUUCAUUCACAUGUUGAUUUUGUUCAAAAGCUGCAUCGUUCACAACUUGUUUUCACCCAAGAAAGUUAUUUUUAACUCUUGGUCUAGAGUGUGGACAUUUUAGAAACUGCUUAAAACGUAUUGAUGGCUGAUCUUUAAUUGUUUGGACUCUUUUAUGUAAUUUUUCAUUUUGUAAUCUGAUCUGGUCUGCUGCCGAGUUUGGACAUUUUAUUCCUCCAUUUGAUAGUUUGAGCUGCAAUUUUAACUUCUUUUUUGCUACUCGUGCUUAUGAUGCUUCUGUUUUGCGUUGUCGAAUUGAGUGGAUGAUAUAUUAGGGAAUGUGUUGUUCUUUUUUUGUCAAACUAAAUAUGAGUGUAGAAGAAGCUGAUAUGCUAUCUUACGUAAACGACUUAUGAAGCUCGAAUUACUAAUCGAGCGAGCUCGAACUUGCUCGAUUAGAUGUUCGAGUCGAGCUCGAUUGUCGUGUGCUCGAGCUCGACUCGGCUAGUUUAACAGCCAAGGUAACAUGCAUCAAAGCAGGCUUAUUCUCUUAGUACUUUUUUUUUUUUUCUUUUUAUAAAACACAGGUGCAUUAACGCACGACAGAAGCACCCUAUCAAUCUAAGAUCCCAGCUUGCUUGUAGCUUUCGAUAGAGUCAACAAGAGUUUCUUCCACUGGCCUAUACCUCCAGCCCAGCCUCUCCAAUUUUUCUGAGCUAAUAUUCCAUCGGCUUUGAUCCUUCACCUCUAUAAGUCUGCGAAGAAAUGAGUUAUAUCAAGAAAAUAUGCAGACAACAUAAAUGGUUCUUGUAGAGACUCGUAGAUGCCACACUUUUGGAAAUGGAAAUCAUGACGGACAUGAACAAACAAGAAAAUCAGGACAAACGGGGUGUCUGAAAAAUGAGACAAUUAAUUUCAAAGAUGGUAAUCCACCUCUUAGGGUACUUGUAGUUGGCAUAGUUUUUCCUCAGAGUUUCCACCAUAUCUUUUGUCGUGGUGACGUGAGGUGAACAUAUGUACCGGCCUUCAGCUUCAGGUCUCCCGUAAACCAAAAGCAGUGCCUCGGCCACAUCACGCACAUCUACUGUGUUGUAGAAUUUGUUUUCGGUUUCUUCACAUCCGUCUGUGCAGCCAAGGAGUGAAACAAAAGAGCAGUUUAAUCUCAAAAAAGGAGAUGUUAUCUGUGCUAAUCUCUGAGUUCUUUACUGCAUAUAUGAAACCUACAAUCCCUUUGACAAAUAGUACAGCAAUAAAUUCAUGGGACUUUUGAAUUGCAAAGGACCUACAGGUCACAAUGUUAACCUUUUAUAUCUUCAACAAUGCUCCAAAGCAAAUCAAGCAAACAGUUGAAAGAUGCAACCUCUUCAGAUGUUAUGCCUAUUGUCUGUCUCAUCUUCCAUUAGGUCAAACUCACACAAUUUUCACAUCAAUAAAAUUUGAAUCGCUUGUGCAUGUGUCUGGAAAGAUUACAUUAGCACAAUUUAGUAUUUUUGGCAGCACUGCUCGUUUAAAUUUCCCUGCCAUCAAGCAGAAAAUUUAAUUCCAUUCCAACAGUAAAAGCCAAACACCACAAUCUUAGUUUUUUUUAGAUAACUUUGCAAGUUUUUAGAGCAUUGCCAAAAUCAUAAAACUAUCAGAAUGGCAGAUAGCUUACAGGUUUAGAAUCUGAAAACCUCAGCUGGCUUGAAGAUUAAAUAAAAAUGCCAAAAGACGGCAAAGCAGUUAUCUCCAUGAAUGUAGUUUCAUUCCUAGAAGGUCAACCGCAACCAGAUAGACGGAUUUUGUGAAAUUUUAUUGGCAUCAAUUCAUUGUGUAUCAUGUAAAUAACACUGGAAGCCAGAAGCAUAAAAAUGAUGGGUUACUUGGAAAAUUAGCUGAUCAACCACAUGAAGAAAUUCAAUUGUUUGACCUUUCAAGUACAAAAAAAGGAAAAAAUUGCUAAGCUUUAGAGGUCAUCUGAGUUCUAGAGUGACAUCCAUGCUCACUUAGGCACAAACCAAUAUCAAGGAGAAAACUGUAUCAUUUACGACCACUUCCAUGCAGAAGGUGAAAGAAAGAAAAAUAAAAUAUAACAUAACGGAAUAAGUUCUCCAAUUGACUACAAAGCACUAAUAAAUCACCUUUCAACAGCUUUAUAAGAGCCAGACUGCUAGCAUUCACAUCAUGCUGAAGCAUGGGGCCGAGAACAAAGGAUGGGCAUACAGUUAAAACAUCAAGGCCAGUUUCUUUUGCAUAUUGUAAUGCCUCACUUUCAGCAACCGUCUUGGAGUAACAAUACCAGUUCUGGAGCAAUAUUAGUACUAGAUGGUCAGCCAGAAACAGAUAGUAGUUGCAAAAAUCUGAUUUCUCAGCAAUCUUAGAAACAGUACGAAUAAGACAGUGAAUUUUCUGCACAAUUACAACACCAAGGUGCAACUGCAAAAAGUCAAAUUAUGUUGAUGCAUACAUUUGUUGCCUUGCAGUAUUCGCCGUCUGACCAACACUUCUCAUCUAUGAUUUCACCUUCAGGCAGAUUAGGACUCAUUACAACAGCUGCAGUAGAGGAAACAACUACAACGCGCUUGACAUUUGCUUCAGAACAAGCCUUCAGUACAUUAAGGGUACCCUUUACAGCUGGCUCAACAAGUUCAACCUGCAACAAAUCAUCAUGUUGGCAGAGGUACUAGCACUCAACUCUUCAUGCUGAACUGCUUGUUUUUGCGUAAAAUAUAUCCAGAUAGACAGCUAAGUAGUGUCAGUUAACCUGACAUCUUUAGAGUGAAUGAGUACAUAGUUAAAAGACUCAUGACUGCUUAUGCCUGUGAUUUAACUUGGUUACCAGCAUAGGUUAUUAUUAUAUGCAUUUAUUCACUCAUUUCAACAUUUGAAAAAUCCUUCCACGAAAUGAUAGAAAGACAAAGAGCCCCAGUGACUUCAUAAGUUUGUACAAACGCUUUAACAAGGUUCUAUUUUAAACGAUACCCAACUUUAGCUCAUGUUUGGCAAAACGCAAUAAAAUAUUAUCUGUUAUGACAAAAGCUGUCUCAUAAACAAAAGAUAUGUUAAAAAUGUUAUUCUGGGGAAACCAAAAGGAAGAAAUAUCAUAGCAAUUGAAACGAUUGAAAAUGGUCUUGCCUCAGGAUUGGGAACAGAGCCUGAAGGAACAGGACUAGCUACAUGAAAUACGCCAUCACAACCCCUGAUGGCUGCAGAAAUGGAGUUGUAAUCCAGCAAAUCAGCCUUAAAGAGUUUCAAAUUCUCAGCUGCUUUGUCAAGUUUCUUCAGAUGAACAUAUUUCUCAUCGUCUACAAAACAUACACAGCAAUGCCCACAUCAUCAAGUAACGAAGCACACAAUUCACAGCAGGUGCUUUUAUAUAUUUCUUCAAUUAAACAUAUUUCUCACCCUUCACAAAACAUUUACAGCAAUUCCCACUACAUCAAAUAGGAAACAGCCAAUUGACAGCAGGCAAAAAAUCAAUUGCGGUAUUAAAGGGAAUGAAACAAUCAUACAAUACCCAAAACAAAAACAAAACAAAAAAACGAGUAGUAAAUCAGGAAGGAAGGGUUAUGAGGAUGAAAUACGUACUGGGAUUUCUGAGGGUGGCAUGAACACUAUAAUGGCGGGAAAGGAGUAGCUUGACUACCCAAGAUGCCAGGUAUCCCCCUGCUCCUGUAACACACACUGUCCUGUCCUUCUUAGCCUCCCACGCUGCCAUGUCUGAUUGCUUACCAGUAGCAGUAGCGGGAUUAGUAUUUUAGCACCAAAUUCACUAUAGACUGAUCAAGAAGGUGGGUGAAGUUCUAUUCUUUUCUUUUUUAUGAAUAUUAAUUCUUUUUUGGUUGGACAAGGCAGAGAUUUCGUCGAUUCUUAAAGAGGAGGACUGAAGAAGAGGGCGGUUGGAAGAGGAGGAGGAGGCGGAGGUGGUGGUGUUGGAAUUUUGAAUAGACGAGUCCUGUAUGUAUGAGCUAGCUGAUUCCAGCAGCCUCUGUCAAUACUAGGAGUAAUCAGCAGCUGGCAGGCUUGGGGGCUUAUAUAUAGCAGCAGACCAAUGGUCCUGUUGCGAUUUGCACGGCUCAUGGAAGACGUAUGGUUUCAACGCAGGGUUGGGCUGGGUUGGGUGGGGAAACGGUACUAAUGAUAAAUGUAUGUAUAAUGAAAUUUGAGAUAUUUCUAGCAAUCUGUUAGUAAAAUUUAUUUUUAUAAAAAAAAAGGAGUAAAGGAGCAUAAUAUUAUUAAGUUAUAGUAAAACUUGAUGCACAUAUCAAUAAAACAAGAUAUUCUGUGCAUUUGAAUACAAUAGUAUAAUAUGAUUUUACCAUUGUCGGAUGUUUAACAAAUUUAUUUAUUAAUGGAUAUUAAAGUGUUACAUUUUAUCUCAUAUUUUCCCAAUUUAUGACUCAGAUUUUAAAUUGAUUAACUCAUUAGAGAAUAAAAAACUCAUCCCGUUGCUAAAUUGGACAAGUGACAAAAACUCAUGUCCAUAAUGGGAUUUUGCUUCUGACUCAAAUCCUAUAAUGCGAACCAAACCCCAAAUCACUCCAUUAUAACGGAAACACAAACUAAACUAUUUAAUAUUCAAAUCAAGUUCCGCUCAAUAACAGUUUGUUCGAAUUUGAUUCGCAAACUAAUCUAAUCAAGUUAGAAUAACAUUUUAUUCAAAUCAAGUUCCGCUCAAUAACAGUUUGUUCGAAUUUGAUUCGCAAACUAAUCUAAUCAAGUUAGAAUAACAUUUUAUGUUUGAAAAAAAUUUUAACUGCAGCUCAAGCUUAGCUCAAUAAUCAUAAAAUUGGAUUUUAUAGAUAAAAAUUACUCGAACUCGACUCAAUAAAAAUUCUUUUGAACGUGACUUAGUAAAUAAAAAAGCCAAUCUUGAAUACUAUUUCAAAAUUCUUUAAAAUAAAUAACAAGAUAUUUGGUUUGAUUAGACACAUUCACACCCCUGUUUUUCAUAUGCUCGAUAACAUAUAUUUUUGCCAUUGAAUUUUGGGACAUGUUUAUCAUUUUUUAAAAUCUUUUUUUUUUAUUUCUGGCUUUUAUAGGAAAAAAAAAACUAAAGGAUGUGUUCGGAUAGGAGACCGAUAAACUUUUCUCUCCCCCUCGCGCCUAAUUGCAGGUUAAAAGCAGUGUUUUGAAAACCGGACCGGACGGCCGGUUCGACCGGUUGGACCGCCAACCGGCCAUGAUUCCGGUCCGAUUCUAUGCUAUAGUUGACCAGGUUAGAAAACCGGUUAAACCGUGAAAACCGCCGGACCGGAUUGAACCGGCGGUUCUCGGUUUUCGAGAUUUCCCUUUUUUUUCUUUUUUUUUCUUUUUUUUACGUUUUGCAAAAUGCAGUUAUCAAGAUUCGAACUCAAGACUUUUGUAAUAGAAGACCAAUGUAGUAACCAUAGUAACCAUUGCACCAUCACAUCUUAUUAGUUUUUUUUGAUAACUUGUUUAUAUAAAACAAAAACUCAUAUUUCUUUUUGUCAUUUUUUUUAUAAAAUCUAAUCCUCUCAUAGCUCUUUCUUUUUAAUCUUCAACACACACACACACACACUCUCUCCUCUUUUUUUUGUCACUCUCUUUUUAAUCAAACCACUUUAUUUUUAAUUUAUUGAUGUUUUCUUCCAUCUUUUAAUUUUAUUUUUGUCCAUUAAAUUGAAAAAGGUUAAAAAAGAAUUAUUUUUCUUUAACCCAAAUUAUUUAAUGCCACAACCACUCACUUUUAUCUCAUUUUUUAUUUCUUAUCAAGUUUGCAUUUCUAUUUUCGAUUCUCUUGACUUCUUUCGAGCUCCAAAAUUCCUUUUUUAAAUUGCAAUUUCUAAUCCCAAAACGUAAAUUAAAAUUUAAGUUCACAAAAUCUAAAUUCUCAUAGACAUGAAUUUUGUAUAAUUUUAAAAUAUUAUGAUAUUUUUGGGUUAGAUCUAAGAUUUUUUUGGUAGAUAUAAUUGAAAUUGAAAUGAAAUUUAUUUGUUUUAACUUAUAAUUUAAAAUUUUUAUUUUUAAAAAAUCAAGUUAUUCAAAAAUAGUAAACUUUUCAUCAUAUAAUGUAUUAAAUUAGUCCAUUACAUGUCUUAUUUUGUGCAUAAAUAUUUACAUAAAUUAUUUUUUAAAAACUUCAUUGAACCGAGGUUGAACCGGUCCGACCGGUUAAAUCUCGACCCUUUCACGUCACCGGUUCAAUUAACGGUCCGAUUUUUAAAACAUUGGUUAAAAGGAAUAUCCAGUUCUUAGAUAACUUUUCUAGGCACAACUCUAGUUGUCAGAAAACUGGUCUACUUUGACUGUGGGUUUUCCUUUAGUCAGGCCAUUUUGUCAUUAGUGAUGAUUGCUUCUUCUAAACCUUAGCUAACUGCACACGCCAUGCGCAUGAAACUUCUUCUAAACCUUAGCUAACUGCACACGCCAUGCGCAUGAAAAUCCAAACUUCAAAUAAAAUAAUUUGAACUCGUCAACUUGCAAAAUAAGAUAAUUUGGGUUUCGUCUGAUAUGAGUAGUAAGGGAAAAUUUAAUUACUAUAUUUAUGAUUCUUGACUAAUGUGAUUGCUCAUCUAUCACCACGCAUCAGUUUAAUACCUUAUCUUCAUUUAAAUGUGACGAUUGUAGAAUUGAUGGCUGAAACUGAAAGGAAACUGAAAAAGAAAUGUCAUGUGAGUGCAUAUGCAUGGUUAAAACAAUACUCCCACAAAUUAUAACCAAUUCGAUCCCUUGUUUUUAAGGUUUUGAUCGUUUUGGUUCCUUGGUAUCAUGACAAGCCAAUUUUGCCUCUUAAAUUUAAAAAUAUGGUUAAGGAGAUCCUUUUGAUGGAAAUUUGAGUUGCUAAUGAAGUGAAGAGACCAUUUAGUGCCUUUCGUGUCACAUCCGUCUCAACACUAUAUUAAAGUUUCAAAAAAUCUCAAAUAAGUCAUAAAACUCAUAAAACAAACCCCAAAACUCUUUAUCGUGAAGAAAAUAAAUUUUUAUAACUUUAAAAUAAAUCAAACACAAUACCUUAAACAUAAUUAUGGAAUUUGUGCCAUUUUCGAGUUGAAAUAUCAUGAAAAGGAGUACCAAAAGGUGAAAGAAAAAUGCAUAAACUUAUGUUUGACAUAGUAUUAAAAACUUUUAUUUCAUUAUAUUGAAGAGUUUUGGGUGAGUUUAGGCUUUUAGGAUUUUAUUUGAAUGCUUGGUGUUUUCUGCGAGAUGGCACGAAGUACCCUCUAAGGUCUCUUAACUCCAUUAACAACUCUAAAUUAGCCUUGACCAAAUUCUUCAAAUUUAAGAAAAAUUGGUUCGCCAUAAUACAAAGGGACUAUUUUGUUAAUACAUUGGAGAUAAGAAACCAGAUUAAUUAAUUUUUGUUGUUUGCGUAACUCAAGGGAUUUCUCCGUUAGCUUCCCACAAUUUUGCUACAUUAGUCUCUUUUGAUGGAGAUAGAGCACCAACUCACAGUUGUAUUAGAACUUCACUUACGCUAUAAUCGUUAGGAUUUUCUUAUAUUCAUCCGACUACUCAAUAAGUAUCCUAUUUUAUAAUAACUAUCCUACACCUCUUCAAAGCCUGAUAAGAUGAAGAAAAUCUCUUUACUAGCAUCUUAAUGCCUUAUAUCCAGUAUUGAGGGAAAAAAUUUAAUCACAUUACAGUCUGAGAAUUUGAAUCCAGCAAUUUCACGGUCUGAUGUAGUCACCCCAAGUAGGUUCUCCAGUAAAACAGGGUAGUGAGGCAAAAUGUACAUCAAAUAGGUCAAUUGUCGAGCCCCUCGGGGUUCGGUUCCGUGGUUGUAGCCCCAGUUGGGGGAGAGCCACGUCCAGGGAUCGAGUCCCCGUUCUACCGUGGCUGGUGAUGCUUGAGGUGGGCCGCUCCCAGCCCGCAGUGGAAUUAGUUGGGCCGUACGGUAACCAGUACAUGGGUCCAGAUACCCACUGUGAUGAAAAAAAAAAAAUAGGCCAAUUGUCGAUCUUUGAUUAUGUCUACACUUUCAAAAGAUAGGCUUAAUCAUAUUAGUGGAAAUAACUCAUAGUUCAUCAUAUAUUAAUUUGCUAUUCAAUUUAGUUUGAAUACAUGAUCAAUGUUAUUGUAUGCCAAAAAAGAUUGAGGAUACUUUUGACCUAGUUCUUUGCACUAACUUGAAAUCUUCCAAUUGUUCUUUCUUUGAUGCACUUGCAAAAUCUCCUGCAAAAGUAAAAUAACUCAGUUGGUGAAUUUUGGCUAACUGAGAGGCCCCAUCUUCUUUUUACUUCUUUAGCACAAGCGAAGAAUGAAUUUAUGCAUAAUAACCGUGUGAUUCUAAUGAGAUAUGAUUUUUUUGGUUUUGCAUGCUGGUUAAACAAUUGUUCAAGCUCUUAUCUUGGUUUUUGAUACUUCACCGGUAUGUGGAUGUUGCUGCUAAAGAAAUUUACAUUUGUCAUUAGAAGAAUUUUCUAUUUUAUGACUGGCAAGUGAUUUGGUAUCUUAGCAGUUCAUCGAUUUUGGUGCUUUGUUUACAAUUUAAUUGGCUUCAAUGGUCCAUACAUAUAGGAACUUGGAAUUUACCCUUUUAUUUCCUUUUGCAUGAGCAAAGAUUAGUAAUUUUUAAUCAUAAUUUUCGAUUCCUCUAUUCUGGCCAUAGUGAAGAAAUCUACCUUUUUGUACUUGUGUAUAUGCACACCAAACAUCAUUGGGCUGUCUACUUUUGACAUUAUUCUUGAAUUACUCAGUUUAGAAUGUGUAUUAGCUGCUGGAAGUAAAUGCAUCAUCGUUGGCAAUUACUAAACAGAAAAUAUGCAUGCCAUUACUAUUUUCACUGAAAUUAGCAUCUAACUUAUAAUGAUCUAAUUAAAGGUUAACCACAUUGGUUUUGACUAGAACUAAGAGAUCACUAGCCCUCUUAUUUUUGGAUUUGCAUUAAUCCAGUAUCAUCAAACUUCUUCAAAUGGGCUCUUUAGCUACUAACCCCUUCAAAAAUAAUUUAGGCUUACGGUUCUGUUGAUGUCGCAAUUGCAGGAGGUUCAGAAGAUAACGAAAGGCUCAUCUAAGAUUUCUUAAGGUGUUUGGCUUAUAUUGCUAGAUUUACUUAAUCUAUUUUCAUUCUUCUCCGAUGUCAUUAUUGUUAAAGUUCAAUUCAUAAGUUGGUUGUGUUAGAAAAUUGGCUUAAUUUCUUUUUAGAUAGGUUUUUGUUUUGUGCAAAAGUAACUAGUUUCCUAAUUGGUUUUAGUUACUCGGAAUAGUAGCCAAGAAAUUUCUUAUUUUGUUUAGAAUUAGAAGUUAUUUCUUAUUUUCUACAAGUCUAGGAAUUAGAAUUAAUUUCCUGUUGUUAUUUGGAUUUUUUGACCAAAUAAUAUUUUUAUAAAUAGGUGGGUUGGCAUACUAUAAAAGAGACACAUAAGGGCACACAAGGACGACAUGUAACCUUAUACAUGGGUGGUGAGAGAGAGUUCUUAGGAGAUGAGAAAUGGUAUACAAAGGUUGGACUUGAGUUCGAGUUGUAUUCUUGUAUAAGGUUUUUCUCUCAUAAUAAAUAACAAGUUUCUCUCCGUGGACGUAGGUUCAAUGGAGUCAAACUACGUUAAAUAUUGUGUGUUGUUUAUCUUUUAUACUUGUGGCUUGUUUCUCAUUAAAUUAUUGUGUACUUGAUAUCUUAAUAGUUAUUUAUUCUGCAUUUAGUUCCUAACAAAUGGUAUCAGAACUUGAUUGCGAGAUUGGGCUGCUCACAAGCACUUGGAUCCCAACAAACUGAAUAGUUGGAUCAAGAGUUUGGUUGUUCAAGGAUGGAUCCUAGUUAGCUAUUGAGAUCAAGUAGGUUGGUGACUGUUACCAAUUGAACAAUUUAAUGGGCGGUAUCCUUUUUUCAAGAGUUUGGCAAAAAAGCAUUGACGGUGAAUGAUGAAAAGUCGAAAAGCAUGGAGAUACUUGACGGUGAAUCUAGGCAGAUGAUUCAAGAGUCAAGGAAAAGGUGGAAUCCAAUAUCGAUUUUGGACGUGAAUCGGUGGAGACUUUCUCACAACUUCAACGGUUGAUACUUCAUCUCGGUGAUUUUUAGAUUUCGCUUAUGUUUUUUGAGUGGUACGGCACCUGACCCAAAAAAAUAAAGAGAUUUAAUUUCUAUGCGCUAGAAGACUCUGACAGUUACGAGUCUUUUGUUUCAGGUGAAUUUUUGGAAACCACACGUGGCGAGAUAGUCUUGAGGAAGGGAAGAAGUAUGAUGAUUUUAUCACUUGGUUGCCUCAAUGAUUAAGGUUAGAGCUCAUAGAAGGAGAUUUUGGGUUGCAAGUGGUGGUGAGAAGAAAUCCUGUAAAGAAAAAUGGUGAAUUGAGGCAUCUUCUCACGAAUCAACUGGAGGUUGUACUAGGUGUAAAUACACAUAUUCAUUUGGCAAUUAAAUUAAUUUGGUAUCAGAACUGUAUUGAUUCGGGUGUGUAGUUCGGUACCAUAUUAUUUGGUAGUUGAAAGUAAAUAAUUGUUAAAAGAAAUUUUCGCCAAGAUAGAGAUUUGUUAGGAAAUUGAUUUAAUUUCUUUUCAGACAGGUUUUUGUUUUGUGUAGGGAUUUAGUUACUUGAAAUAGUAGCCAAGGAAUUUCCUAUUUUGUUUAGGAUUAAAAAUUAUUUCCUAUUCUAUACAAGUCUAGAAAUUAGAAUUGGUUUCCUAUUAUUAUUUAAUUUUUUGGCCAAAUAAUAUUCUUUAUAAAUAGGUGGGUUGGCAUACUACAAAGAGACACACAAAAGCACACAAGAGACGACAUGUAGCCUUAUAUAUGGGUGGUGAGAGAGGAUUUUUAGGAGAUGAGAGAUGGUAUACAAAGGUUGAAUUGGGGUUCAAGUUGUGUUCUUGUAUAGAAUUUUUCUCUUAUAAUAAAGAACGAGUUUCUCUCUGUGGAUGUAGGUUCAAUGGUGGAGCCGAACCACAUUAGAAAAUAGUGUGUCAUUUAUUUUUCAUGUUUGUGGCUUGUUUCUCAUUAAAUUGUAGCGUACUUGAUAUCUCAAUAGUUGUUUAUUCCAUGUUUGGAUCCUAACAGAUUGCUAAACCAAGAUUGAUGUAAUUGCGUCCUAUAAGAGAGUUUGCAAUUCAAUUGAUUAAGGGAAGAACAGAGAAAAUCCCUGAAAAUGGGAAUUAAAGGAAACAAAGGAAACCCUAAAACUAGUUUCCAAGAACAAUUCUGUCGAAGACAGAAAACAAAGAAAAUAGUAUCAAAGGCUAUAUCGUUAUUUAGGAAACAAGAAGCACUUGAAGGUGAAUGUUGCAGAAAGUAGAAGAUCCCACUACAAUUUACUAAUUCAAGGAGCUGUAAUUAAGAAAGAAAGAAGACAACUCAGAGAAUUAGGGAUUGUUAUUAAUUGAUGAAUGAGUAGGAAGAAUGUAGAUGAAGAUGAUAAUCAAUUACAAGUAAUGGAAAUCGGAAAUCCUAGAACUGCCUUCAACUUACCACCCUCCUCUCUUUUAUUCGGCUACUACACUUGUCCAAGUCAGCUAAUUCAUUACAACCAACUGACAUACAAGAAUUAUAAGGAUUUAUUCAUUAAGUCCCUAUCAUACUCGCUUUAUUACAAAAAAAAAAAAACCCUAUCAAUAAAACUAAGGUAACAAAUACUUCCCCCUCAGAGAAUCCUUGUCCUCAAGGAUUAAAUUCAGGAAAUUGUUGUUUAAGGUCAAACCAGAAUUCCCAGAUAGCAUCUUCAAGAAAAGAAUUGCUUCACUAUGCCAAAACUUUUGUAGCAAGAGAGUUACCACAUUUCACCAAUUUCUGAUCAAGUAUGGCUAUAGGCUCCAUUAAUAAUUAUCCCUGUGUAUUGAUUGUGUAUUGAUUGCAAAAGGAAUGUGUGAGGUAACUAGUGAGUGCCCACUUUCUUCUUUAGAAGAGAUACAUAAAAAAUAGAGUGUAUUUUUGCCAUAUUAGGCAGCUAAAGCUGAUAUGCAACAGGGUGUACUCUUUUGAUCACUUGGAAAGGUCCAAAAAACUUAGAAGCUAACUUCUGACAAGAGUGUACCUUCAAAGAGUGUUGCCUCUACAGUUGUAGUUUCACAUAUACCCAAUCUCUUGCCGAGUACUGUCUAUCAGACCUGUGUUGGUCAGCUUGUUGCUCCAUCCUAUUUUGUGCCUUAUGAAGGUUGUACUUUAAGUGAUGCAAAACUAUCUCCCUUGCUGCCAAGAUUCUAUCCACCACUUCCACUACUGAAUUCCCAAGUAGACAAGGCAUAUGCAGAGAUGGUGCAUGACCAUACACCACCUCAAAUUGGAUAACCUUAGUGGCAGCAUGAAAUUUGGUAUUGGACCAAUAUUCAGCCAAGGGUAACUAGAUAGACCACUGCUUUGGAAAAUCUCCACACAUGCACCUCAAAUAUUACUCCAAACACCUGUUUACCACCUCAGUUUGACCAUCUGACUGAGGGUGGUAGGUAGAAGAGGUAUUAAUCUGCACUUUUAGUAACUUAAAAAGUUCUUGCCAAAAAGUGCUAAUGAAGACCACAUCCUUGUCACUAACAAUGCUCUGAGACAAGCCGUGAAGUCUACAGAUCUGAUCCAGGAAUAUGUGCAAAUAUAAAUGCUGAAUAAGCAUGUGACAAUGCCAAGAAGUGUGCAUACUUACCUAACUUGUCAACCACCACCAAGAUGGCUUGUUUACCAUGUGCAUUAGGUAAACCUUCCAUAAAGUCCAUGGAAAUUCACUCCAAACCUUUUGAGGCACACGUAAAAGUCGUAAUAAACCCAAAUAAGCAGUAUUGUCAUAUUUGUUGCACUGACAGACAUCACAUGCAGCCACAUAGUUGACUAUGUCUUGAUACAUUCUUCUCUAAUAAACCACUGACUUCAACUUCUUUUAGGCAGCAUAAACUCCUGAAUGCCUCCAACAGCACUAGAAUGCCACAAGUGAAUUAUAUUAUUCUUGAAUUGGCAGUCAUUUUCUACCACUAGUCUCCCCAUUCUCCUUAACUGCUAGUUGCUCCAUGUGUAAUAAGGUGAGACCUUAGAAAGAUCAAAUUGUAAUUGAGUGAUGAAGUUCUAUAGCCUUAUAUCUAUUUGCCAUCCCUUUUUAAUCACUAUCAAAGAUCACUGUUAACAAUGAUGAUGGCAAGAGCUUCUCUUGGUUCUGCUAGUUUUCUAAAGAGAGUAUCUCUCACCAUAUUAUAUGCUUCUUUCCUGUAGUGAAGCUCAUAAUAAAAUCUUACUAGCUUAGUCAUCCAUUUCUGCUGCAUAAGAGUAGGGCUGUCAAUGGUCUGGGUCUAGACCCGGACCCGGACCGGAUCCGUCAAAUUUAUCCGGGUAUGGGUAGGGAUUUAAUUCCGUUACCCGGACCCGGAUCCGGAUAUAAAUGGAUUACUAAUUUAAAAUAUAUAUAUUUAUUAAUAUAAUUUGAUUAGGAUGAUGUAUUUGAGUGAUCAAUAUAAUUGGACCCGGAUCCUAAUCAAUAUAAUUUGAUUAGGAUGAUGUAUUUGAGUAAGGUUAAUUUGAUUUCUUUUCUUAUUUGAUUUUUUUUGUAUUAGUUAGAAAUUAGUUUAUAAAUAUAUGUUUUUUCUCAUUUUUGUUAGAAAUUAUAAAUUUUGUUAGUUUUUUUUCGGGUAGACCCGGAUCCGGAUCCGAGACCCGUCGGAUCUGGAUCCGGAACAUAGAGUAAAGACCCAUCGGGUAAACGGGUCGGGUCCGGAUCCGAUAUAGUGUGCCGGGUCCGGGUCUGGAAUAAUGAAUUCCGGCCCGGACCCGGCCCGUUGACAAGCCUACAUAAGAGUGUUCAAUCUUUGUUCCAUCAUAUAUUCAAUGCUCUAAUGGUCAUUUUUAAUGAUAACGUACCUUCCAGGUAGAUAAGGUCUCCACUUCUAUACAGCAGCAACUAUGGCCAAUAUUUGCACUUUUCCAAUAUACUAUCAUAUGCUAUUCCCCCACACACCUAAAUCUUAUAUUGUCCCCAAUGUAAAAUAAAGAAUAAAAGAAAAGUAAUGGGGAUAACGAAACUUCCUUGAUAACUGAGGGGGCCGUCGACAGCUACAGGUGAGGGGCGAAUGACUGUGGAGCUCGACGUAUGUUGAUGGUUGGUGGCGGUGGAGUUCGGAUGGAGAAGGAUGGAAGAAAGAAAGAAAGAAGAAAGAAAAAGAAGAGAGAAAGAAAGAAAGAAAAAGAAAAGGAAAAAGAAAGGAAAAGGAAGAGAAAAGAAAAGGGAAAUACGAAUGGGAAUUGCUCCAAUCCGAGCUGGUUUUUUGUACUACUACUUUGCUUCUUGUACGAAGCUUGAAGAUGCAGCAAGCGCGGAAAUUUUUUUUUUUUUACAUCUGAUUUUGAUUUUUUUCUUUUUCUUUUUCCUUUUCUGUAUUUCCUUUUCUUUUCUUUCUAAUUUUUCUGCAAAAACAAUCAAAUAGAAAUCAAAUGAGAUGGAAUGAUUUUUUUUUAAAAAGGUAAAAAUAUAAAUAGAGAUAAAUAAAUAAUAAUAGUUAUUAACAAAUCAUAAAAUGAUUUAUGAAAUUUUUUUGGUGUCUACAUAUAUACACAUACUAAUAAUUUUUAUAUUUAUAUAUUUUUCCUAUUUAAUCUUACCUAUAAUUCUUUCUUAUUUUAUUUACUUUUUCUAAUUAAUUUUAUAUUUUUAAAAAUAUAACAUCUAAAAAUAUAUAUUAACGAAGAGGACAUCCGUUAGACAGGUCCUAUUUUAUGUAGCAUAUAUGUCUCUACAUGAAAAAAACUUUUUUAAUAGGUAUCCCGUUUUUUGACAUGAAAAAUACCUUUUGACUACAUUCUGACUAGCGCCAAAAGCUAUCCACUUUUGACAUGCUGCCCAUGCAGGCCUAAUUUUUUUUAGUACUGAAUUUGUUUUGGAUACGUUAGUAUUUCUUGAAUUUUAGAAAAUGCUUCUCUUUAAUAAAUGUAAGUUCAUUUUAAUCUUGAUUCGCAAGCUUUUUCUUGAAAAUGGUUUGCCAUUUCUUAUUAGUUGUUACAGUAAAUUUAGCAUGCAUAUAUGCUUUUUGUCAAAAUUCAAUCAUUUCAAAAUCUAGAAGGGAACUUCUAAAAUACCUGCAUCCUCCUUUUUCUUUUUUCUUUUUUAUUUUUCCCCCUCUUGGCUUUGUAUUCAGAAUCAGAUUGUGUUCAAUUAGUUGGAAUUUGGCUUUGGAGUUAAAAGGGAUUUCCAUUUUUUCCUAGGUAUUCCACAGCUUGCAUACCAAAAGCACAGAGGCGGAAGAAAACCUAUGAUUAAAUCAUACAACAGGCUUGUAAGAAAAUGCCCACUUUGAAAAAAUGAAAAGUUGAAUUUCCUAUUUUCAAAUUUACAUGCAAAAAAUGAAAAAUGACAUGCAAGAAAUAGUCUACUAUUUCGCCAUGUUUCAUAGUUUAUGAGAAAUAUAUUACAAAUAAAUCCACAUAAAUGGUGGGAAUAAUAACUCAAAUAUGGUGGGACAAAUAAACAUACAGGGUGACCCCUGCCAGCUGAGAUAACUAGCUGGUUUAUUUAAUUUAAUAGUUUGAAUACAAUAGUAAAUCAAUGCCAUAGCUCAGAUACUGACUAAAUUUUUCUCCCUGAAGAAUUCAACAGCAUCUUUUAGGCUGACCUCCAAAGGAGUGAAUUGAACUCCCAACCUUUUUGCCUUCUCAUUGGAGGCUCUGUAGUUUGGGCUGAUAAGGUUGGUAUUGUUUGACAUUCUGCUGUAUGCGGGACAAUACACAAUUAUGGCAAACAUAAAUAAAGCUUAGGUAAUGAAAAUGCAAAUGUAAAUUCAAAUGCUUGAAAAUCUACUGGACAAUUGCCUCAUAUCUACUGUAAAUUGUGCCUUUUUUACGAAGUUUCAAAAGACCUUUUAAAAGAUAACUUUAGUUGUGAUAUGAAUGAAAUUUAUUUUUCUCUAAAAAAAAGCCUAAAACGGAAUUUCUAUUUUGGAGACAAAGCCAAUUUGGUGAUAUAUCCUAGUCCAAAGAAGACCAUCUUCUAGAAAUCAACCUGAGAAAGAGCUCAUUUUUUAUGGAACAUGAGACCAAAAGAAAAAAAAAAAGAAGGCAGAAAAUUUAGGAUUUAGUGUCCUUUAAAAGAGAGUAUAAAAAUAUGUGAUACAUUUUGGACGUAUACAAGGCCAUCAGCAAAAGCCUGCAAAGACCUAAACAAGGAAAACAAGACUUACUUAUCAGGAAAUUGGUGAGUUGGGUAAUGCUCAUGCAAAAUCUUGAUGAUCUGAGAGGCAUUUGCACAUCUUUCAACCAGACAAUAUCUUCCACUUGCAGAAGGGGUUUCAAGGGCAAGAACAUGUGCAUUGGCAACAUCUCUAACAUCAACCCAGCUACAUGUUGCCUUAGGAAAUGGUUCAACCCCUGCAUUUGGCACCUAAGAUCUUUAAACACAUUUUUUUGCAGGCUCUUCAGCAAACAUAAGUGAAACCAAUUUGGUUUGUUUGGAUUGGCAUGAUUUCAGAUAAAAUAAUUUGCUUCACAAAUUCCAAUCACCUUUUUAUCUCACAUACAGCACAUCACAAAAAGUGUUACAGUAAUUAUCUCAAAUAAAUCAUCUAAAUAAACUUCUAUCCAAACAAAAUGUUGUUUGCCAUGAAAAGAGUCAAAUUUAGAGGCCAUGGCCUGCCUUCCAGAAGAAAUGUGUGGUAUGUACUACUUUGUUCUGUUUUAGUAUCAGCAAAGCCACAGAGGGGAGGGAGAUGUGAGGAAUGAACUAGUUGAGACAAUUCAGAUAAUUGGUGAAUAAUAAUAAAGAUUAAUCCCGACAAUCUUCUAGUUAAUCUGUCCCUGGAAUUUCUCAGAUUUAGAGUUAGGUUUCUCUUUCAAAGGAUAGUUUAUUUAUUUUCUUCCAAAAAGGAUCAAUUACUAGACAAAAGAAUAAACUACAGGCAUGAUAAUACUAGUUGUCUCGUACUUAAGAGUGUUAAAUGGUGAGAGCUGAAGAAACUUGUCCCUUCACUCUCAUCCAGAUAGAAAAACAGAAUUUAUUCCUGUUGUUUUGUUCCAGAGAGUGAAACAGUAAUCAAUUCCUGAAAUUUGUUUCUUGCCAUUGUUGUACAAAGUGGCUAUUUGGGUCGAAGGAGUCAUGGCGAAUUGAAAGAAUAAUAAACAAGCUUUAGCAAGUAAAGUUUGUACAACAUAAACAGUGACUACUCCUAACAAAUUUUUCCUCACAAUUACCACCCAAAAAUUUCUUUUCCUUCCUGUUAAUCACAUAGAACCUCAAUGUUGUUGAAAGGAAGAUGCACACAACGUGAAUUUCAGAUGAAAGAUUGUACUGCAAACCUUUAAAACAUCAUAAGCUGGUCAGAGUUUAUAGCUUGAUAUAUCAGUUCACAUUCUGACCUAUGUCUGUCAAUCAUGUGAUAAGCCAGCAGUGCCUUGAAAUGUUAUUAGUCAUAAGUUUUUUGUUCUACUGUAACAAAGAAAGUUGUGGUGCAUAAUAAAGCUAUAAGUAACAUAGAUGGAAGAGUCAGUUAGACAAUGAUUACUAAGGUGAUUCAAUAAAUUUUGAAACAAACCCUUUAAUAGGUUGAGGAACAAAACAGCGCUCGAAUUAACAGAUGGCUGCAAGAGAGGACCAAUGACCAAUCCUGGAUGAAUUGUAAUCACGUCAAUGCCAUGCUCCUUUGCAAAUUUCCAUGCAGCAUUCUCGGCCAUGGUUUUUGAAAGUUCAUACCAAGACUAUCAACACCGAAAAAUCAGUAAAUGUUGGUAAGAUGGUAGCAGAAAGUAAUUAGAUUUGUAAACUUUAAGAAGUAACAUUAUAAAUUUCUACAAAUUUGACAAAACCAGCAACUUACAUCAGUUGAAACUAUUAUUGCUGUAGCUACAAAGCACAGAGUGAAAGCAUCCACAUUUCCCAGGACAAGCUAUGCUAUAAGUGAAUAAGUAGAUUUCUCAAGGAUCCUAGGAAUGGUGUAAACUUUCUAUAUUCAAGGAAUGAUGCAAAGCACCAGUGUCGACAUAUCCUGAUCAUCUGAUCUCUUAAUCCACAAGCUAACAGCAAAACUACAAGGGACCUUGACACUUUAACACAAAUAGCCAUAUUCAUAAUAUUAUAGCAGAAGUUCCUUUCCAACUGACCGACCAAAUAUUGCUCAUCUAGGUGUGUAUUCUCAGACAAUAGUAUAGAAUUUGAUCAUGCAAGAGAUGCAUAAUUAAGUAGGAAAACUUUCAUAUUGCUCUUUCCCCGACUAUUCCACACUACAUUAUUAAUUUUUCAUUAAAGUUAAGUUGUUACUUAGAUAGAAGGAAAGAAAUGGACUGACCAUUCUGGUUACAAAAAUAUCCUUUUUUUUGCCUAUUAAAGUACCACCAAGUCAUGAAGAUCCUAACUUAAUUAUCUCCACAGCUGGGCUAACUCCUCAUAUGUGUUCCAACAACAAGUUAAAACUAAAGAAUUCCAGCAUUCCAUAUUAGAUUUUACUGGAAGAAGACAGAUAAUAUAUGUACCUUUUGCUCCUCACAGUAUGAUGGAUCGGAAAACCAACUUUCAUCAACUACCACAUCCUCCUUUAAUUCUCUGUUUUUUGAAACUGCAACCAUAGAGGAUGUUAUAACUACUCUUUUGACAGAAGAAGAAUUUGCACAUGACCGCAGCACAUUCAGUGUUCCGCUUACUGCAGGUUCCAGUAGUUCUGCCUAUGAAAUCAAACCAAGUAAAAAAGGAAGUCAUUACCAGUCAUAGGUAAGACUAUGCUUUUAACCUGCAAAAAACUUAUCAUUCUGGUAUUAUGUUUGAGAAUUUCACCACAAAUGCUGUAAACCUACAGCUUUAGUUACUUAGCUAAAGGAUGCAUAUUGUUGUCUUAUCUCCUCUUGCUGCUAAAAUAAGUUCUCAGGUCCUUUAUUGUUGUUUUUUCCCAAAUUUUUUCAGCUUUCACUGGGUGACAGGAACUUAAGACCAAUAGAGGAACAACUGAAAUAAGUCUCAGAUGUGGUCACCAAUUAAACCGUUUGCUACCAAAUAUCAACCGAUGAAAUUCUGUUCUGGCUUGAACAGGACAGACAGAAAAUAUAAAAGGUGUAGCUCCCAUGAAUCCUGCGAACAGAUUUUAGCGUGAACACAUAAUGCAUGUUGCAAUUUCUUUUAGUGUCUGUGAGUCAACCUUGUUCAUUGAAAUGACUAAAAUCAAAGUUCUACAAAGUUACUUAAAAAAAAUCCAUAAACACAAUUUGAGAAACAGACAAGGAUAGGUGUACUGCAUAAAAUUAAGGCACAAUCAUUAAUAGAAGUUAAUCAACUUACAAAUGAAGAUACAUAUAAUUUGCAGAUGCUUGAACAUAUAUUGUAGUUUCUAUAAGCUUCUUAUUCAUUCUGGUAUGGGCACGCAAAAGCCAUUGGCUCUACACUGGCUGAAUAAUUAGUUGGUCAAAGCAGGGAUUCAUUUGCUCCAGGACAAGCUUAUAGCUUGCUCUAUAACCUUACCCUGACUGACUUACCCAGGAAAAUAGUUAGUCGGACCCAAUCUACUGCCCAAUUGUGGACCAUUUGCUAUGUUUAUGGCUCUUAAUGUUUUUAUUUCACAACAUUACACCCUUUGAAUUGUUUCGCUGAAGUACCAAUUUCCAGAUCAUUUCAUAGAAACAUCAUGUAUACUGAUUAAAAAGAGACUAAAGCACAUAACACACGACAGUCUUUUUGUGAAUGACCUGCUGGAACAGAUUAGUUUUGUAUGUACCAAAUGUAAAGAAAUAUUCUUCAGGUGUUUGACCUGAUUGCUACAUUAAUCUCCUCCCUUUGGUUAAUAAAAGAAAAAGUAGAGCCAUAGAAUUGGAAACAUUUGAAUCUAACUCUCUUUUUUUUUUUGCCUUUACAGUUAUAACCUUGUCAUAAAUCACAUAUAGAGGAGUAGACUAUCACCCAAAAAAGCCAGUAAAAAUGCAACAGAGGAAGAUACUAAAAGAAGUCGUACAAUUAUAAAUCAGAAAAUAUGCUACGAUUCUCAAACUUCACUUGAUAAAUAGCAGAUUUUGCAGACAGUAGAGAAUUUUCAAUCUUGUAAAGCAAAUGUACCUCUGGAUUGCUAAAUGAAAGUUUGAUUGGAGAUGCAGUAUGGAAAACCCCUUCACAUCCCUCGACUAUUGCAUCAAACGAUCCCUCUUCCAGUAAGUUUGCCGAGUACAACUGAAGCCUUUCCUUAGCUCCAUCAAGUGAUGUCAAAUGUUGUGUCCUUUCCGGAUCAUCUGUGUCAUGAUUGUAUCAGUAGAAUGUUCAGACAGCUAUAAUCAAAACCUUGCCGCCUUGGUAAAGUGUACUAUGUUUUCACUAUGGUGAAACUCAAGAAGAAAUGGACAUAGAGUAAUAAUAAACGAAUCUCAAAGCAAUGAUAAAUUUGACUAGCUAAAGGCAAGCGGGGAAAAACGAAAAGAAAUUGACGGGCAACAUAAUAUGACCACAAUAAUAUCAUAGCCCUAUGAUUUCUGGUUUUGAGAUGCGUACAUUUGUAACUUUCUUGAUAACAAUUAAUUCUUGAGAUAAUUAUCAGAGGGACAAUUGUAUGCCAUCUACCACUAUUUUUAUAACAAACUCAGUCCUUCAGAAGAAGGAUAUAGAUUCGAUAGGCUAAAGAUUUUUUAUUAUAACUUGAUCGUUGUAUCUGGAGCAUGAAACAAUUAAGUUGGUCCACAUCAAAAAUAUAUAUAUAUUUUUUGCAUGUGAUUUUCUUUUGAGCAAACAGAACAUGGGGAGCAUUUAGCUGUUGCAAGAAUAUCAUCUGGAGCUACAAGACAAUUUCACACUGCAGAGUUGAAUAAAAAUAUUGGGCAAAUUACAUAUAAUCCUCCUGUGGCUUUGUCUGUUGCCACAUGACCCUUCUAACAUUUUAAAAUAUCCAAUUCACCCACUAUGAUUUUAUGUAAAGCGGAAACUUGAUGGAGAAUAGCCUAUAUAAUGUCGUUAAUUGAAAUACCAUUAGUACUUUUACUUAAAUGCUAAAUCAAUCGACGAUUUAAUUACCUUAUAUAAAAGUAUAAGGGGAUUAUAUGGAUAAAUAUAAAAAUCACAGGAGGGAUAAAGUGGACAAUUAUAUAUAAGAGAAUUACAUUGAAAUUAAGACUUUAUCACACACGCUUUUAGAGCGCGUUUGGUAUAAAUGCCGUAACUAAUUGUGCAUUCCAUCAUUUUCCGCUUUACAUAUAACUAUGGGGGGUAUGUGGCUAUUUUGAAAUCUUAGGGGACCAUCUAGCAUUAUAUAAAAUCACCCUAAAAUAUAGUUAUAAGUAAUUUACCCUAAAAUGUUAGAUUCCAGGAGCAAUUAAACAACAAUCAGAACAGGGCAUCAAAAACUGCACAAGCCACUAAGAUAGUUGAUCAAGAACAAAAACUGGACUUACAGGCAUCUCGAACUGAACCUUUAACAGUAUAACCGCGCUCGAGCAGCAGCUUCACCAGCCAUGAAGCUAUGUAACCCGAAGCUCCGGUCACACACACCAUUUUCCCUUCUCCUGCUCCACUCAUUUUGUUAAUAUUUUUGUGUGUGAACCUGUCACCUGUUUGCCUUACUUCUGGACUUAAUGGAGGGAGGCAUAUAUGGUGUAUAUAUAGCUAUGGUGAAGAAGACGAAAGAUUGGAUAUGAGAUUACUGGGAGACUGGGGAGAUCCAUAUGUAUUCUUGCAAUUUGCAUGCAUCAUCGCUGACAUACGUAUGGUAUAAUCGCGUCACAUCCCAUUUUAUCAAGGUCAAUUGAUCAGUGUAAAAUAGAAAUGAACAAUAAAUACAAUGGUAAAUUACCUUCUACACCCUAUGGUUUGAUGUUUUAUCACAUAACUCCCUAUAAUUUAAAAACCUAUAUAUGACCCUUUCGUAGUUUGGGUUAUUGUGUCACUUUAGCUUGUUCUGUUAAAACUAACGGUCAAUAGUAAAAAGUCAAAUUCAAACUACUAAAUUGACAAAUUCACCAUUUCACUACUUUUUUUUUCUUGUUUUCCUUUUCUUUCUUUCCUUUUUUUUUCUUGGAAAGAGAAGAGAUGACUUUGAAAACUUGUAUUUUGGCUUACAAAACCUUAAUUGUUUCCAAAUACAAAAGAGACAGAAGGGAAAUAAAAAUAAAUCAACAAGAAACAAAAAAUAUGGAAGGUAAAGAUAUAACAAAUAAAUAAGAAACAAAAAAACACCAAAUCUUUUUUACUAUGAAUAUCAUUAUAGGUUUUUAAACCAAAUCUUUAAUAGUAUUUUCUAGUUCUUAUUUAUCUAUUUUUUAUUCCAAUUUCUUCUUUUUGAUGUUUGGAGGAAAAAAAAAAACAAGUAAUGAAGGGAUAAAUUUGUCAAUUUAUUAGUUUGACUUUUUAAUAUUAACUGUUAGUUUUGACGAAAAAACUAAUAAUGACACAUUAACUCAAAUCAUGAGGGGGUUAUAUAUAGUUUUUAAACUAUGGGGGUUAUGUGAGAAAAUACCAAACUAUAGAGGUUAAAAUGCAAUUUAGCCUAAAUCCAAAAUUUGGCGGUUGCAUAUGAAAAAAUAACAAGGUUCUUGACUUUGCUCAAUACAAUUCCAAGUCUAGAGACACAAUUUUUAAAUUCACUACCAGGAUAAACCAUUCUCCUUUUUUUUUUCCAUUUUUUCGGGUUAAAAAGUACAAACUACUUGAACUAGAAACUAGUCCUGACAAAGUUUGUGGGUUUUUUGCAAGAGUUUUAGUUAAAUAUUGGUUACUUCGCCUAAUUUGCACCUAUUUUAUCAUGUAAAUGCAUGCACACUUUUAAAAAAUAAUGCAUGCACUUAUAUUAUUGCCUUUCUUACAUUUAAAUACUUUUUUCAAUUUAAUUUUACUUUUCUGGCAAAACUAAAUCUGAAGCCCAUUUCAAGAAAUAUCCACCGAAUACCAGGUCAACAAACCCCCUUCGUAAUAAAGAACGAAAAGAACCGCAGCGUUCUUAACACGCAGCGGUCUUUUUGCAUCUAAGAAAGCUUUUGAUUGGCUAGAAAUCCUUCUCUGAUUGAGAAAUGGGAAUUGACUUGAUGAUGGCAACUCCAUUUAGAAAACUGGUCCACACCCUUGAAUGUGGUUUAAAUUUAAUAACACCAUUUCAUCAUUUCUGACGACUGCUUCUUCUAUAUCCUAGCUCACUGCACACGCCAGUCGUGUGAAACUUGGCAAAAGAGUUGCACCCUCCGUCCUAAAAUUGUCUGUCGCAUUUCGAGAUCCAACUUUUUAAAAAUAGCAUGAUGAUGAUAUUUGUAGAUUUGUUUUAAAAAUUGUCAUCAAAAAUUCAAAUUUUAAAUUGAAUUUAGUAUGAAAUAUAGAUAAAGAUUGGAAUAACAUUGAAAAAAAGAGAUGAAAAGUUAUUUUGAUUUUGAUAAGAUGAUAAAUAUUUUAGAACGUUUCAAAAUAAAAAAAAUAUAUGACAUUUUCAAUGAAACAAAAGGAUGGAGAGAAUAUAUAUAAGAUACUGAAAACUAGCAUCCAUCAGAAGCAGUCAAAUCAAAGCCAACAUAUUACUUGUAGUUUGGUUAUAACAAUAUCUCAGCUUGCUGGUAGCCCAAAAAUUUAGCAAAAUAAAUUAGGAAACCAAGUGCGAUAGAGCAUAUUUCACCCAAAUAUAUUAAAAGUGAAAAAGAUUUAUUUUUAUUUAGUCAAUGUGAUUUUUUGUGUCCGCAUGCCCAUAAAGCUCAAGGACCAAAAAGCCAAACAUACGAAGUGAAAAUGUGAAGAGCAAUAAUUUGAAUAUAAAAAAAAAAACGGGUAGAUGGAUAGAAAACCAUGUCGAAGGUCUCUUCUCUCUCUUUUUUUUUUUUUUGGUUUGACCAUGCAUGGUGCAUAUGAUAUGAAGGAUAAUUGUAAAGCACCAUAUACUGCCCAAGGAAAGUAGAUUACACAGUGGGAACCAAAAAUAGAAGAAAAUAAAGCCUCAUAUGAACCGAAUCUUUCCCCUUGCUUUUUUUCUGGGAAUUUAAAGGUAUAAUGCAAGAAAUAACUCCUGGUCAUGCAAAAUUGCCAACAAAAAUGCGUCUUUGGUUUUAAAUUCCUUAAUAACAUACUAUCCAGCAUACUAUUUAGCAUAAUAACAUACUAUCUCAGAUGCAUCCACUCAAAUAUCCUGGCCGAGAUGGUAUGAGGCCAAUUUUCUAUCAAAAAUAUAGGUCUGUAGCAGGUAAUGACGUUACCUCACUACAACAAAAAUGGCCUUUAGCGGCAUUUAAAGGUGUCAGUAUAGAAAAUCUAACCUGACACUUUAUCUAUCCUGACACCCAUGGCGAGUGUUGUCCCUUCCAAUGUGGGGAUAGCCUCAAAUCUUUAGCAGCAUUCAAAUGUGUCAGGCAAACCAUGCUGCUAUAUCUUUACCUCUGCCAACAAAUCUUUUUUUUGUGAUAAUCGAAAGUGUCUGUAUAGCGUUAGGACAUCAGUAGGGAAUCAGUAGGAUAUCAAAUUUAUGAAGACAUCUUGAGUUGUCUUAAUAUAUGGCUUUAAGGACACGUAGCCAUGUGAAUUUACAAUGUGUUGGACGACAUGCCCAUUUGUUGUUAGUGUUUUUCGAAGCUACAUAAUUUUAUCAACCCAUAUGACAAGGGUUUAUUUUACGUAUUUUUAGUGUGUUUUAUUAGUUAAUUUUGGUUUGAUUAUUUAGUAUUAUAACUAAAAUAACUAAGGUUUUGGUAAAAAACUACAUUUUAUGUUAAAAUGGCUAAACAUUGCAUUUUAUGGAUUUUUAUGGUAAAAACUUCAUAUUUUGUAGGUUUAAUGAUUCAAUCAUCAAAUGAAGUGCAUUGAGAAGAUAUUUGGAUGAUUGAAGAUGGAUUAAAGUGAGGAAAAUAAAAUAUGAAGUGUAAAAGGAAGAAAUGCAAUUUGAGGACAAAAAUCAAGAAAAGUCAGCUUUGACAACUCAGACAUAUUUUCGUAUUUUGACUAUAUCAGGAGCUACAAUGAUCGGAUCAAGGUGAUCUUGGUACCAUUUUGAAGUUAAGAGAUAUAUCUACAUUUGGUAUGAAGACAUCAAAGUCCAGUUCAGCCGUUUUCAUAGUCCAAAAGUUGAAAUACCGAAAUUCAACUCAGCUGUCCAAAGUGGAAAACAGAGUUCCGACCAGUGUUUAGUAUUUUGAUCAUAUCUCAGUCUACAAAGCUCCGAUUUGGAUGAUUCUUGAAGCAUUGGAAAGCUAACUCAAAGAUAUACAACUUUGAUGUUUUGCACAAAAGCCAGUUCGGCCUGCAUCAUGGAGAAAAUCGCAGUUGAAGUAAGGACAAAGUGAAAACGCGAGUGCACAAAACGCGAGUUGUAGACGCGUUUUGUAAAGGCGCGUUUUCUGGCCGAAAUUCUGCAAUUUGCUCAGUCAAUUCUCUUGUGUUCAUACCACUUUCCAGCUAUAAGUUGCAAGAGAAUUCGGUGCACAUGCUUCAGAAGACAAAAGGGCAGACAAGGUGGCUUAUUUUCAAGUCAAAAACAUUUGUUAUUGACUAUCCUAACAAAGUUGAGAUUUGGGAAUCAAAACAUUUGUUAUUUUACUUGUAAAUUUUCUCCAUUUGCUGCCAUUAAGGUUUCCUUUGUUCUUUCACAAUAUUUAGUAGAAAUUAUUCCUUCUUUAAUACAACUUGAAUCAGCUCCACUAUCUAUUAAAGCUACAUAUAUUUCUUUGAAAUCUUCUACUGUAAUAGUUACUAAAGCAUACCAUUUUUGAAAUAUCAUUUUUUCUAUGGUAUUUAAAUAUUGAAUUUCAUCUGUUGGUCUUUCUGAUAUACUUAUUUCUUCUGUUUUAGAAUUGGAAGUUGAUGGUUGAUUUUCUAGUAAUGUUAUUUUUGCUUCUAUUUCUAAAUCUUUUGUUUUUAAUUCUAUGAUUUCUCUUUGUAAUUGUUUUACUUGUAUUUUAAGAUCAUUAAUUUCUGUUUGAAGAUCUUUAGUGGUUUCUUUUUUCAUUAUAUUUAUGUUUAGAUAUUUAUCUAUUAAUUUAGAAAUACUAAAAGGUUCUAUUAUUUUUGGCAUUUUGUCUUCUUGUAUAAUUAGACUUUUUAAUCUUUCUAAAUACUCUUUUUUAGCUACUGGAUCAUCAAUUUUUUCUAUUAUAUCUAAUAAAAAUUCUUUAUCUUCUUUUUUGGUUAUAACAUUUAUAUAUUUUGAAGUGUUAGAACAAUUACAAUUUUCUUCACUUUCUGUACUAGAUAUAUCAUUAUAAUAAUCAUCUUCAGAAUUUUGAUCUUUUUCAUUUAUUAAUAAAUUAAUUAAUUUAUUUUUAAUUUCUUCUUCUUUUGCACAAAUCUCUGUAAUUUUUUCUUUUAAUUUACAUUUGUUUGCUUUAUGUCCUAUUUUUUCACAUUUAUAACAAACAAUUUUUCUUUUAAUAAAUUUUCUCUUCUUUUCUGGUUUAUCUUCUUUAGAUCUUUUAUACUUUAUUUUCUUAUUAUAUUUUUUAACUUUUUUGUUAUAUGCAGAUGGUGAUUUAAUUCUUUAGUAGCAAAUUCUAAAGCUCUAUUAAUUGGUUUUAUUGUUCCUUGAUAUAUAUCAUGUCCUAAAAAUCUUAUUUUUGUUUGGAAUAAUUUCAUUUUUGGUGCUGAAACAACUAAUCCAUUUUUCUUAACUACUUUUAAAAAUAUAUUUAAAUGUUUGAAAUGCUGUUCUAUUGAUUCAGAAAAUAUUAAUACAUCAUCAAUAUAAACUAUGCUAAAUGAACUAUAAGGAUUGAAAAUAUCAUUCAUUAUAUUUUGAAAUUCUGAUGGUGCAUUUUUUAAUCCGAAUGGCAUUACGUUCCAUUCAUAAUGACCAAAAGGUGUUGUGAAUGCUGUUUUAUAUCUAUCUUUUGGUGUUAUUAAUAUUUGCCAAUAUCCUGAUUUUAGUUGUUUCAGCACCAAAAAUGAAAUUAUUUCAAACAAAAAUAAGAUUUUUAGGACAUGAUAUAUAUCAAGGAACAAUAAAACCAAUUAAUAGAGCUGUAGAAUUUGCUACUAAAUUUCCAGAUGAAAUAAAAGAUAAAAAUCAAUUACAAAGGUUUUUAGGAUGUUUAAAUUAUAUAGCAGAUUUCUUUCCUAAAUUAAGACAAGAAUGCUCUAUAUUAUUUAAUAGAUUAAAAAAGAACCAUUUCCACCAGUGAUUGAACCAGAUUGGGAAUUCUCUACUGCAACUUUUUUGAAUGUGAAGAACCAUGAAUGAUUGAAUGGUCUAUACAAAAAAAGCAAAAGUCUAAUUAUACAAGAAGACAAAAUGCCAAAAAUAAUAGAACCUUUUAGUAUUUCUAAAUUAAUAGAUAAAUAUCUAAACAUAAAUAUAAUGAAAAAAGAAACCACUAAAGAUCUUCAAACAGAAAUUAAUGAUCUUAAAAUACAAGUAAAACAAUUACAAAGAGAAAUCAUAAAAUUAAAAACAAAAGAUUUAGAAAUAGAAGCAAAAAUAACAUUACUAGAAAAUCAACCCUCAACUUCCAAUUCUAAAACAGAAGAAAUAAGUAUAUCAGAAAGACCAACAGAUGAAAUUCAAUAUUUAAAUACCAUAGAAAAAAUGAUAUUUCAAAAAUGGUAUGCUCUAGUAACUAUUACAGUAGAAGAUUUCAAAGAAACAUAUGUAGCUUUAAUAGAUAGUGGAGCUGAUUCAAGUUGUAUUAAAGAAGGAAUAAUUCCUACUAAAUAUUGUGAAAGAACAAAGGAAACCUUAAUGGCAGCAAAUGGAGAAAAUUUACAAUUAAAAUAUAAAUUUACAAAAGGAUCAAUAUGUAACAAUGAAUAUUGUAUUAGACAUAAUUUCAUAAUUGUAAAAAAUAUAAAUCAUGAUAUAAUAUUAGGAACACCUUUUUUAAUUCAAAUUUACCCAUUUUCAGUUAGUCAUGAAGGAAUUUCAAUAAAUAUAAUGGGAAAAACUGUUAUCUUUAGAUUUCUAACUCCAGUAAAACAAAGAGAAUUACAGACAUUACAAACAUCCUCUAUUUACAAAACAAUAAAUAGUAUUACUAAAGUACAACAACAAAUAAAUUAUAUAAAAGAAGAAAAAUCUUAUUUAAAAAUUGAAGAACAAUUAAAAGAAAGUAAAAUGCAAAAAAGAAUUUCAGAAUUAGAAGAAUUAUUACAAAAAGAAAUUUGUGCAGAUAUUCCUAAUGCUUUUUGGGAUAGAAAACAACAUAUGAUUGAAUUACCUUACGAAACAGGUUUUAAUGAGAAAAACAUUCCUACUAAAGCAAGACCAAUACAAAUAAUUCUAAUCUAUUAGAAUUUUGUAAAAAGGAAAUAAAAACAUUAAUAGACAAAAAAUUAAUAACACCUUCAAAAUCACCUUGGAGUUGUGCUGCAUUCUAUGUAAUGAAUCAAGCUGAAAAAGAAAGAGGAGUUCCAAGAUUAGUUAUAAAUUAUAAACCAUUAAAUAAAGUAUUACAAUGGAUUAGUGAAUAAUACAAUAAAUUUAUAAAUUUAGAAUUAAUAGAGGAUACAAUAAAUUAAAGUAACCAUUUUUAUAAAUUUAAUAGAGCUCAAAUGCAAAUAAUACAAUAAAUUUAGAAGACAUUAAAAAAGUUUAUCAACAAAAUAAUUAUACAAAUCAAAUCCUUCAUACAAUUUCUCAACAUAUGGAAGUAUUAAACACAAAAAUAGAUACUAUAAAGAAACCAGAAUUAAAAUUCCCUAAUAAUAUUUCAGCACCUCAUUUUCAACCUAGAAGUUUGACAAGAGAAAAAGAACAAGAUUUAGAUUCAAAAUCAGAAGACAAAGCAUCGGCGAAUUAGUGAGAAAAAGAGAACAAAACACUCUCAUGUAAAAAUCCUUAGACAAAUCUCUCAAUCCCUCUUUCCAACUACUCUUGUAUUCAAUUACUUUUGUUUCCUUCCUUCUCCAAAUAUAAUAAAGAUCAAGGAUUCAACCAUUCAUCAAGCUUCUGUUAUCAAAGGCCACUCUAAAUUUUCAGUAAGUCCAAUUUUUAUACUAAAUUUUCUAUGAACAUUUCAAUAGAAAGUAGCCUGGGUAGAAGUGGUAUCAGAGCCACUUAUCACAUUAUCUUUACAGUGUUAUUAAGGAAAGUAGAUUACACAGUGGGAACCAAAAAUAGAAGAAAAUAAAGCCUCAUAUGAACCGAAUCUUUCCCCUUGCUUUUUUUUCUUGGAAUUUAAAGGUAUAAUGCAAGAAAUAACUCCUGGUCAUGCAAAAUUGCCAACAAAAAUGCGUCUUUGGUUUUUAAUUCCUUAAUAACAUACUAUCCAGCAUACUAUUUAGCAUAAUAACAUACUAUCUCAGAUGCAUCCACUUAAAUAUCCUGGCCGAGAUGGUAUGAGGCCAAUUUUCUAUCAAAAAUAUAGGUCUGUAGCAGGUAAUGACGUUACCUCACUACAACAAAAAUGGCCUUUAGCGGCAUUUAAAGGUGUCAGUAUAGAAAAUCUAACCUGACACUUUAUCUAUCCUGACACCCAUGGCGAGUGUUGUCCCUUCCAAUGUGGGGAUAGCCUCAAAUCUUUAGCAGCAUUCAAAUGUGUCAGGCAAACCAUGCUGCUAUAUCUUUACCUCUGCCAACAAAUCCUUUUUUUGUGAUAAUCGAAAAUGUAUGUAUAGUGUUAGGACAUCAGUAGGGAAUCGGUAGGAUAUCAAAUUUAUGAAGGCAUCUUGAGUUGUCUUAAUAUAUGGUUUUAAGGACACGUAGCCAUGUGAAUUUACAAUGUGUUGGACGACAUGCCCAUUUGUUGUUAGUGUUUUUCGAAGCUAAGCUAUGCUGACACUUUUAAUUGCCAGGAGAAUUUUCCCUGGUUUUUUUUUAUAUGGAAGCAACCUGCAAUUAGUCCUCCUUGCUGUACAUUCCAUCAAUCAGAAUCCCAAGGGACUUGUAAAAUUAUCCCAAAGAGCAGAAUGCAUAUGGCAAUGUAAAAGAAGAAGUCGAUACUCAAAUAUAAUUCAUUGAAUUAAAAGUCGAUAACAAGUACAAACAUAGCAAAUACUAAAACGCAAACAAGUGCUAAAAGCAAGUACUAAAAUAUCAAACCAGUACCGAAAGAUUCUCAUUUACAAUAACUUAAAAGCUCUAUCGGAAGCACAAAAUAAAAGACUCCCAUCCCUAAUAAGUUGAAAGAAGUAGAAGUAGCUUCCAAACUUUCCAUUUUGUUGAGAGUCCUCAGGCAUAACCACGAAGUCCCCAUCAUUCUUCAGCUGGUUCCACCUGUGCACAAAGACCAAGGGGAUCAUUAGAUCAUCAUAACUAAAACUAAAAUUCCAGAAAAUCCGCAAUGUAUUUAAGUGCAUAUCUCACCAAAUGACAAGGCCAAGCAACUGGUGCACCAAGUGCAUCUUGAAUCGUUUGUUGUAAACCAUAUGGUCUAAUCAAUUGCUCACGUGGAGUCAUUGCAACUUGUAUCUGUAUUUCACACCAGUUUGGCCCAAGAGCUUGUCCCCCGACCUCAUCCAAAGGAUUCAGACUCCGUAAAUAUCCCUUUGCCACGAUUUUUGUUGGGUCAAACAAACUUUUUAGUGAAACCAUAUUCCCUACCUAGUAAACAUCCAACAAGUACAAGAAUCAAACUCAUGCCAAAUUCCAGAUUACAAAUGCAAAAGUUUAGAAGUUGUAAAUACUUACUCAAAUAGGUCGCGUGGCUCGCGAUGGAGCAUGGCUUGACACAUUGUUAGAUGAUGAUGAAGGAUGUCUCGGGCUGUCAAUUGGAGAACCCCUUCCAUGUUGAACUAAAACCAUUUUCUUCAAGCUGGCUAUUUCAUCAUCUUGUCGCUGAAGCCUUUCCUCCAAACGGACUAAUGUUGACUGUUGUUGAACACUUAUACGGUAGCAUGUGUUACGACUAGGAAUGUCUUCCCAUAAGUCCGUUGGAUUCACACCGUCACUAAGCAAGCGAACAUGACCAUGUUUGUCUUGCCCAACCACCUGGGCAAAUAUAUCAUCACGACCAACUGGAUCUUGCGAAUCCGAUGGAAGCUGAUUUUUCAGCUCAGUCAUUUUUUCCUACAUAAUAAAGGAAAACACUUGUUAUUGCAAAAGACUGUCUGAAAACAUCCAUGGUAGAAUUGAUAGGCUUGUGUUCUCGGAUCCUUACCAAAUUCUCAGCAACUAUGGUACUUGAUGGAGUUUGUUGACCUUGGUCGAUCAAUCCUUGGUUUUGAUGAUUAACAAACCAAAAUGUAGAUUUGGGCUAAUGUUUUUAUGUGAGCAAUUUGUUAGAACAGAUUCUUGUGGCACAAAAGAAGAAGCAAAAACAGGGCACUCAUGUGAGACGUCCGAAAGGAAGCUAUCGGACGUCCGAAAGGAUGAAGAACAUCAGGAAGGAUAUUCUGUCGGACGCUCGUGAGAAAGCAUCGGACGUCCGGAUGGAUCGGACACACUCUUCGGACGCACAUCGAUCGUGUCGGACGUCCUAAAAAUUUCACGAAGAUUUGAUAACUCUCUGGACGACGUUCGGACGCAGGGUUCGGACGUCCGACAGGUGGUUUGGACGCAGGGUUCGGACGUCCGACAGGUGGUUCGAACGUCCGACAGGCCAACGGCUAGUUUUGACAGCAUUUAAUAUUUGACCGUUGGAGAGCCUUUUGGAGCCAUUUCUCACAUUCUAUAAACACCCCAAAGCACAAGAAGACACGGGACUUUUGCCAACACAAUAUACAAGCUUACAAGUGAGAUUUUUGAGUAGAAAGAUUCUUUGUUGGUUGUAUAAGGGGUUGGGGAAGUUGGGUUGUGAGGUUGCUCAAGUGAAGGUUAUUCUCUAGGAGGAGUAAAACCUGGUGAAGGUGAACCUAUUCACUUGAAGUGGUAAAACCUUGGUGAAGGGUUGCCUCAUUUGUAUAAAAUAGUUCUUAAUUGGUGAGUGGGGAUCUUUCAAGUGUAGGUUGUUGAGGGUUAACUAGAAUUGUUGUAAAACUCUUGGCUCAACCAAAGUGUGUUUUGGCGUGAGGAAGGGAGGUGAGCCUUCACUUGUACAUCUUGGUUAGCAUCGCCAUCAUUGAAGAGGCUAUUGGUUUGAUAUUUGGUUUGCAUUUCUUAUCCUUUCUCUUUAAUUUAAGUUUUCCUUUAUUGUGCUUAAAUUUGAUAUAUCUUUGUGCAUCAUUGUGAAAUUUGUUUGUACUCAUUAGGUUGCACCGGGCACUUACAAUUGGUAUCAGAGCUUGGUCUCUUUUGAGAGCUUAAUCCGGCUUGGAGUAAAGAUCAAUGGCAACCAUAAAAGUUUCCUUUUUUAGAAGGGCAAUCUAUUGAAGACCACUAUGUUUAAUGGUUCUCAUUUUAGCAUGUGGAAACAAAGAAUGAUGAUUUUCUUACAAUCCAUUUAUAUUGAAUUUGGUAUGUGGUAGAAGAUGGUCCUUUAUGAAGCUAGAAUAGUUGACUCUACCAUCAAUUUGAGUAGAUUAAAGACUAGACAAGAAUUGAAUGGAAAAGACAAGAGAUACCUUUCUUUGAAUGCCAAGGCCAUGUGUAUAUUGUACAAUGCAUUAGAUGUAAAUGAAUCUAGUAGGAUUAAAGGUUGUAAAUCAGCUAAAGAUAUUUGGGAUAAAUUGUGUAAUUUCAUGAAGGUAACCAAGAUAUUAAAGAACAAAAGAAAUCUUUGCUUGUUUCUCAAUAUGAAUUUUUCAAAAUGAUCCUCUGAAAAUGUUGAUAAGAUGUUAGUAGAUUUGUGACAUUAUUAAGAUCUUAAAUUGCUUGCUAGAGAAUAUUCUUUGGUGAGAAAAUAGAAGAUUUUGAAUGCUUGCCAAAAGAAUGGGAAAACAAAAUAAAUGCUAUAGAAGAGCAAAGGAUUUAAAUUCUAUGUCCAUUGAAUCUCUUGUGAAUUCCCUAACUUCUUAUGAAUUAAAGCUGCAAUUCAAAGUGCAAGAGAAAGAAAAUGCAAGAAUGUUAUAAGAGAGGCAUAGCUUUUAAAGCAUCUCAAGUGGGGGAUAACCCAUCUUUCAUGGGUAAUGAAAACAUGGAAGUGGACAAUGAUAUAACUCCUCACAUCAAAAGUUUCAAGAAGAUCUUCAACAAGAGAAGUUCAAGAGGAGAUUGCAAAAUUACAUGGGAUGAAUACUAAUUCAAAAAGAGAAAAAGAAGAGUUGGCACAAAUGGCACUAAUGGCCUUUGGAGAAGAUGAGGUAAAUUCUUAUCACUCUUCUUGUGAUGAAGAUAAUGAAGAUGAUGAUGUGAAAAUUCUUAUGAUUAAAAUGCAUAAAAGUUUGAGAAAAUCUUAUGCUAAAAAUAAAGAUUUGAAAACAAAAAUAAAUGAUUUGUUGGAAGAAAACUCCAAACUUUUUCAGGAAAACAAAUGUUUGAGAAUGGAAAAUGAUGAUUUAAAAAAUCAAAAAAAUGUUUUUGAUUGCAAAAAUAAUUUGAAAAGGAAGUUGGAAGAGAAAACAAAGUUUUAUGGAAAAAUGUUGGAUGAACAAAAUUUGUUAAAGAAAAGAAUUAAUGACUUGAACGAGUUUCUCCAAAAUGAAAAACAAAAGUUUUCUCAAACAAAAGAAAGCAAAUCUUUUCAAGGCACAAAUACGUUUGCUAUGAUAAGAAGUAAGAAAAUUAGUUGCAUUAAAUCCACUUAUGUGCAAAAUACUUCUAUCAUGUGUCACUUUUGUUGUCAAUUUGGACAUAUGCAAAAUGAUUGCUAUGUAAAGAAAAAUAUGAGAAAAGGUAUGAAAUCCAUGUGGAUUGCUAGAUCAUGUUGUACUAACUCCCAAGAACCCUAUAAAAACUUACAAUUGGUAUCAUGAAAGUUUUGUCAUUCUAUAUGGUCUUGAUUUGGAAAAUAAAGGGGGAGUUUACUUUUUGAUUGAUGUCAAAAGAGGGAGUAGGAUUUAUUGAAAUUUCUUUGUAUGUUGGCAUUUUCUAAGGGAGAGUUUUAUUUGAACUUAUUUGAUCAAAGAAAUCUUCAUUUUGUUUGUCAUCAUCAAAAAGGGGGAGAUUUUUGACCUUGGUCGAUCAAUCCUUGGUUUUGAUGAUUAACAAACCAAAAUGUAGAUUUGGGCUAAUGUUUUUAUGUGAGCAAUUUGUUAGAACAGAUUCUUGUGGCACAAAAGAAGAAGCAAAAACAGGGCACUCAUGUGGGACGUCCGAAAGGAAGCUAUCGGACGUCCGAAAGGAUGAAGAACAUCAGGAAGGAUAUUCUGUCGGACGCUCGUGAGGAAGCAUCGGACGUCUGGAUGGAUCGGACACACUCUUCGGACGCACAUCGAUCGUGUCGGACGUCCUAAAAAUUCCACGAAGAUUUGAUAACUCUCUGGACGAUGUUCGGACGCAGGGUUCGGACGUCCGACAGGUGGUUUGGACGCAGGGUUCGGACGUCCGACAGGUGGUUCGAACGUCGACAGGCCAACGGCUAGUUUUGACAGCAUUUAAUAUUUGACCGUUGGAGAGUCUUUUGGAGCUAUUUCUCACCUUCUAUAAACACCCCAAAGCACAAGAAGACACGGGACUUUUUGCCAACACAAAUAUACAAGCUUACAAGUGAGAUUUUUGAGUAGAAAGAUUCUUUGUUGGUUGUAUAAGGGGUUGGGAAGUUGGGUUGUGAGGUUGCUCAAGUGAAGGUUAUUCUCUAGGAGGAGUAAAACCUUGGUGAAGGUGAACGCUAUCACUUGAAGUGGUAAAACCUUGGUGAAGGUUGCCUCAUUUGUAUAAAAUAGUUCUUAAUUGGGUGAGUGAUCUUUCAAGUGUAGGUUGUUGAGGGUUAACUAGAAUUGUUGUAAAACUCCUUGGCUCAACCAAAGUGUGUUUGGGGUGAGGAAGGAGUGAGCCUUCAGCUUGUACAUUCUGGUUAGCAUCGCCAUCAAUUGAAGAGGCUAUUGGUUGAUAGUUGGUUUGCAUUUCUUAUCCUUUCUCUUUAAUUAAGUUUUCUUUAUUGUGCUUAAAUUUGAUAUAUCUUUGUGCAUCAUUGUGAAUUUAUUUGUACUCAUUGGGUUGCACCGGGCACUUACAGAGUUCCAUCGGCAUGGGUAUAAAACUUAUUGAACAUUUCUACUCUAGUAGGAGGUCUUCCCAACUGUUUGGCCUAUAAGAAAUUGAAUCGUUUUAAUUAUAGUUUUAGCAUUUAGCAUAUAAUUAAAAAACAAGCUAACAUAAUGAAACAUGUACGAGCAAAAAAAAUUAGCAACUAAAAAGUGGAUGAGGUAUCACCAAGUGGUUCCGAAGAUGAGCAAAUUACUUUUUUCUGGUUGUGUGGUUCAUCUUCUUCUCCCCUCUAGCUUUCUUGUUCCUCUCACUUAGUUUCUAAAUUUCAAAAUGAAAAGCAAGAUUACAGCAUUGAAUGAACACAACUUUAUGAAGAAUGUUGUAGCUGAUUUGUACCUUUGCUUCUUCACUUUUCCAAUAAGCCCAAAGUUUGAUCCAUUGCUCUUCCCGUACCCUUAUGUCCUUUUGAAACCGAGCUUCAGCAUUUGGCACGGCAGAAUCAAAAUAGUUAGCCUUUAAAUCUGCCUUCCAGCUUCUCCAUUUUUUGCCAAUAGAUCUUAAGGUCCAAGCUUCCAGUCCCAUAGGCAAAGCAAACCUUUCCUGAAACGUAGUUAGCAACAAGAAAAUCAACACAACUUCACAGUAAUUUUUGUACAAAGCAUACAUAAUACAAAAGCUGCCAUUACCUUUAUCACUUCUAACAUGUCCAUUUUAAGUUUCCUUGGCAUCUUAAGCCAUGUUUCAACAUCUAUUGGACAAUACAUACCAUUCCUAGCCAAACUGCCCAAGAAUUCAGAGAAAGAGUUUUUCUCACUUAUUGGGAUCCCAUUGUCAUCGAGUUUAAUCUCAAUCCGUGGAAGUUCCUUAGGCCGACCCCAAAUUUCUUUCAUAAAUAUAGGGCCUCGGGUUUUAUGAUUUACUUCACUUGAAUCAUUUGUAGUUUCUUUUCCUGUUUAAAAUAAGAAAAAGGUGCAAGUUAUGAACAUAACAAAAUGCACUUCUGGAAUUGGUUCAAAACAGUUAGUAAUACCUGCAUUGUCCGAGUUGCAUGACAUGAAGGUGGUGUCACUGGAAUGUGGACCUCGAGAAUCCUGAUUUGGACUUUCUUCGGUUGCUUCAUGCCUUGUUCCAAGUGGAGAUUGUUGAAUUGGAGAGUUCUGGCACUGCUCAUGCGACUUGGAACCUCCAUCAGCUUGUUGAGUAACUUGGUCACCUGAUUCAUGCAUUAUUCCCAAUGUAGAAUUCUGAAUUGCAGAUUGAGGUGCCCGAGCAGCUUCUCCUUGCACUUGUUCAAUUACAUUUUCAUGGCUUGUUCCAAGUGGAGGCUGCUGCCUUGUUUCAUAACAUGAGGGAGGUUGCUCAAUUGGUUCAUCUCUCAAUCCAUUUGCAGCGCGCUUACAUUUUCGACCUCUACGGGCCAUACCUGCAUAAUAUUUGAGUGAAGAAAGGGACAAAUGUAAAUGUUUAAAAUUUAUUGAAGCACACUCUCUACCUAUAGUUUCUUUAACUUACAAAUGCUAUUAUAAAGAAGUACUACUUGAACAAUAAACUGGCAUGACAAGUAACAAAUGGCAUUCUGCAAGAAUAAACCAGGGGAAGACUAUGGAGCUGUCAACAGAACAGAGAAACAAAUGGAGAAUAUAUGAUUCAAUGCAGCAACUAAUUGGAAAUGAAAUGAAAGCUACAUGCUUAAGUGACUGCAAGAAUAUACAUGGGAAAUGCUUUGAUCUACAUCCUUUCAGCAUGAAAGAUAUGCAGAAUUUACUACCGCUAGACACGAAACUUUUUCCAUAUUGUUUUGAGAAUGAUGCCUAUGAUCAAAAGUUGGUAUGCUUAUGCUCAAUGAGGGUGUAAGUAGAAGAGUCCACGUAAUUUUAACUUCAGUAAUGGAGCAAACUAAUAAAUGAUUGUCUUGAAUUAACGAAAUAUACUUGGCCAUGUGAUAACCAAAAAUUGCAGAGGAUAAUGUAUUCUACCAACAAAUACAAGUCUUGGUUUUGUAUGUUUAGGGUGGCAAUCGGGUCGGUUAUGAAGCUCUACUGAAUACUUUUAUUUCCAGAUUCUGACAUGGUUCUGCAUUUAUCAAGAACUUGUCUCAUCUAAACAAGAGCUCAAGCUUUACGUAGCAUUGACGAUUCCAAACCAAAUUACUUCUCUUUUUGCCAGAGCCACAUCCACAGUUAUGGGUUGACACUUAACAGUAAAUGCACAAACACUUUGUCCAAUACAAUUGUAGCAGUACAAACAAUACAGUUGUAGAACAGGAAGGAGACGAAGAGCAUCACGGUGAAAGACUGAAAACGAGAACCCAUCACCAAAAAUAGAUGGUUGAAAUUGUACAUUCAGUUCACAGUAGCAGUCUCCAUUCGACCAGGCUCACCUAGAAAUGUGCUUCUCAGAAAUGUGCUUUUCACACCGCCACCACCCCAAAAGCUUUUCACACCACCACCACCCCCCAAAGCAAACAUUCUACCUAGAAAUGUGCUUCUCAGAAACGGAGAAGGUGCUUGUCAGAGAUGGGAAUCGAAUAGCCUAAAAACUAAAUCUACCAAGCAAUGCAAGAACAUGUCUACCAUGCAAUGCAGAAUUAGACACAAAAUACUGAAAUUACCUCAAACUAUGGCUUGAAUCCCUAAUUUCUCGGUUUCCCAAGCUUUGAAGCCCUAAUUUCUGAUUUCUUCCCACCAAGCCAACACAACAGCCGAAUUAGGGAUUUGCCUGGUGCGAGCUCAACCAAGUUACCCAAAAGGGUGCGAGUUCAUGGACGGCAAUUGACUCAAAUUGGUUGUGCGAGCUUGAAAGAGAGAGAGAGGACAAAGGCAGAGGACAACGAGAGAGGGAGAAGAUGUCUGAAAUAAAGGCGGUACUAAUGACGCCAAAGUAAAUUAGUCAAGCCUCUUGAAUUUUUCAAUUUGCCGCGCUACUAAUGACAAUUUUUGUGUGUUUGGGCAAAAUUUUGUUAAAGCUAGAUAACAACUAAAAAUUUGGUUAAAGCUAUAUACAAUAUAAUAUAACAACUAAAAAUAUAAAGGCUAAAAAUCUUGUUAAAGCUAUAUAACAACUAAAAAUAUAACAAAUAAAAAUUUUGCAAGAGCUAUAUACAAUAUAAUAUAACAAUCAAAAAUUUUGUUACAGCUAUAUAACAACUAAAAAUAUAACAAAUAAAAAUUUUGUUAAAGCUAUAUACAAUGUAAUAUAAUAACUAAAAAUAUAAAAAUAAUUAAAAAUUUUGAGAAGCUAACAAAAAACAUUCUUUUAAUCAAAAUGUUUUCGGUUACUCAAUUUAUUUUAUGCUGCGAGCAAUUAUGUACGGCUUGUAGUCUAACAAGCCAUUGGAAGGAUCGAAUUAGUUUAUGAAACAAGAAAAUUAACUUGUGAAUGCAUGAACUUUCCAUUGAUAAACAUUGGGAUUAGAAUUGACUGAACAUAAACAAUGAAUAUAUAUAUAUAUAUAUUCAAUGUUUUCAAUUCCAAAGCAAUUGCCAUUGAACUUUGUGUUAAUUAGAAACUUACUAUCACUUACAAGAUCUUACUAUUGAACUUUUCAAUGAUUAACCUUAGGCUUACACUUACAACGCAUUAAUUGAACAUAAACAUAUAUAUAUAUAUAUAUAUAUAUAUAUAUAUAUAGGGUAAAAAACAAAAAGGCCCCCUGUAGUUAACCUAAUACACAGAAAAGCUCCCCAUGGUUUCAAAAUAUACAACACGAUCCCUCAUGCUUUGAACUAAAUUGUAAAGGUGACGGAAUCCGUUAAACUUAACGGAAAUGGACGAAAUGACCAAAAUGCACUGAUAUAAUUAAGCAAAAGACAGCUCAAAAAAAUCAUUUGUUUCAUUCUCUAAGUAGAGAGAAUUGAGGGUUAAGGGGUAGAAUAUGCAUAUUUGAUAAAAAAUAGGCAUAAAAAUUUUUUUUUAGGUUCCAAUAAGUCAUUUCCGUUAAGUUUAACGGAUUCCGUCACCUUUAUAAUUUAGUUCAAAACAUGAGGUGUCGUAUUGUAUAUUUUGAAACCAUAGGGGAUUUUUCUGUGUAUUAGGCUUACCACAGGGGGUUUUUUUGUUUUUUACCCAUAUAUAUAUAUAUAUAUAUAUUCAUUGUUAAAAAUUCCAAAGCAAUUGCCACUGAACUUUGUGUUAAUUAGAAACUUACUAUCACUUACAAGAUCUUACUAUUGAACUUUUCAAUGAUUAACCUCAGGCUUACACUUACAACGCAUUAAUUGAACAUAAACAUAUAUAUAUAUAUAUAUAUUCAAUGUUUUCAAUUCCAAAGCAAUUGCCAUUGAACUUUGUGUUAAUUAGAAGCUUACUAUCACUUACAAGAUCUUAAUAUUGAACUUUUCAAUGAUUAACCUUAGGCUUACACUUACAACGCAUUGAUUGAAGGAUAAUCUAAAAUUGCGACUAAACCGAUUAAAUUCGAUCAAAGAUCAGUUGGACUAGAAAGCUCUAUCGGAAUUAACUUUUUGUAUUGUUAUUGGUUUAAAAAAUAAUUUUUUCAUGGUAUUAAAAAAUUAUUUAAGAAAUUUAUAGAUUAAAGUUUCAAAAUAUUUCUAUUGAUAAAAAAUUAGACCUUGGGUUAUUGGGAAAAAGAAUUGGCCAUAAUAUAAUGAUUCACAAAUGUAAUAUUACAGCUUACAAUUAAUGGAAUUGCUUAUAAAAUAAUGACCAGUAUUUAUGCAGCCCAUUGGGCUCUUAAAAUGAGUAAUGGGUUCCUUGGAAAGUUGGAUAGUUUUAUGUUUGGUCUGAAAUGAUUUGCACAUUCCGUACGUUGCCAAUUGUUCUCCCCAAACCAUAGAUGUCUGAGGAAGACAGACUCUACAUCUUCAUCCAUGGACUUCAACCGUGGGUACAGAUGGAGUUGCGGUGACAAAAUGUUCAGACCGUGUCUCAAGCACUUGCUACUGUCGAGAAGUUGAUAGACUUCAAGUCCAUAGGAUCCAAAAGUGAAAAAAAAAGAAGGGCAAGGCCUAGCAAUUGAAACAGAGAAGAAUAGGGCCAGCAAGCUUAGCAACUAUAAAAGAUACUAAAUCAGAUUAUAUUGGGACAAAUCAACUUCAAUCCCGAGUCCAUCCUCACGAACCCAACUAAUUUCCUCAUUUUCAUUCUCAACAACAGGAUUGCCAACAUCACUUUGCAAAUAUGUCUCAACAUCCAUGAUUGUUCCCAUGUUAUAUCCAGCUCUUGCAGUGGUAGAGAUAACAACUUGCCAAUCCUUAUCAGUUGGAUCUGCCACAUAAAAAACCUGUGAUGCUUGUGAAGCGAGUAUAAAUGGCUCAACAUGAGGCCUCACGUUUGCAAAAUUGACUAAAGUAAACCCAUCAGCAUCUUGUUUCAUUCUCGAACCAUUUGAUAUCCAAUCACAUUCGAAUAACACCACCCGAUGACCUCCGUAAAUUAAUUCAAUCAUAUUUUUCAAGACGCCGAAGUAAACUAGUUCACUCAAAACUGGAUUUUGAUCCCUUAUACUUGCAAAACUGGAUGUUGUUGCAUUGACUGUAACACCACUAUUCUGCGUUUUUCUUUUCUUCUCAACUUCUUUGGUGUGAAACCGAAAUCCAUUAACAACAUACCUGUCAUGUUGGAUUCCAACAACAUCUGGACCUUUAGCAAGGAACCUCAACUCUCUCAACACCGAAACAUUUUGAGGAAGUUCUAACUUGUCAAUCUGUAAAAAAUAAAUAAAUAAAUAAAUAAAUAAAAGAAGAUGAAACUAUAUUUGAAGUCCUACAAUUCAAAUUGUACUUAAUAUUCAGAAUUUUACUUACAUGUUCAGCAAACCAACACGCAAAAUUUUCGCAGUGCAAGCGCUCUUUUAGAUGCUGUGGAAUUUGAGGAUGUCCUUCUUCUAUCAAUCUACGAUGCUGCCUAGAAGUACAUGAGUCAAAAUUGUAAUCAUACAUUGAAUUCUACAAUAAAAUUUUAAUGCAUCAAGUUGUAGUUGAACUUACUCUAUGUAAGGUGUGACAGCAUCACAAUUAAAUAAAAUAUACUGAUGUGCUUUACUCAAGAUAUGAGCAUCAAAGACUGUUGGCUUGCCCCUCCCCAAAGGAUGUCCUGAUUCAGAGAAUAUAUCUAAACCAUCUUCAAUUUCCUUAUGUACUUCUUCAUUUCUGCUUGGACGAUUGAAUUUUGUCUCAACAUAGUCCGCAAGAUACAAUGAGCAAAAGUUAAUGCAUUCUUCUGCCAAGUAGCCUUGAGCAAUCGAACCUUCAGGCCUACUUUUAUUUCGAACAUAAGAUUUUAAUGUUCCUAAGUACCUAAAGUAUCAUCAUUCCAACCUCUCUAAUUACUUCCACAAAUCAAAGAAAGCAAAAAAGGAAUAAACAUUUAAGGCAUAAUGAGAAUUACAAGCAGUACCUCUGUAUAGGAUACAUCCAACGAUAAUACACCGGCCCACCUAAUUUCACUUCAGUUGCCAAAUGAACAACUAAAUGCACCAUGACAUCGAAGAAGGUUGGUGGGAAGCAUUUCUCAAGAUCGCAGAGUAUGACGGCAAUUUCACUUUCCAAACGAACCACAUCUUGAGGACAAAUAACUUUAGAACAAAGCUGCCUGAAGUAUCUACUCAAUCGAAUCAAAGGAUAGCGCACUGAUUUUGGCAAAGUCUUUCUCAAAGCUAUAGGCAUCAAUUGCUGCAUUAGGAUAUGAUUAUCAUGACUUUUAAGCCCUGAAAUUCUUGGUGGUUUUACUCGAACGCAUCUUGAGACAUUAGCUGCAUAACCAUCUGGAACUUUCACUUUUUUUAGCACAUUGCAAAACAUAGUUUUCUGUUUUUUAUCCAUUGCAAAGGAAGAUGGAGGUAAGUACACCUUUCCAGGUUCUGUCUCAAUGGGAUGCAGCUCUUUUCUUAUUCCCAUUUCUCUCAAAUCACGGCGGGAAUUAUAAUGGUCCUUUGCUUUAUCCUCAAUAUCCAGCAAUGUCCCCCAAAUAUUUUCACAAACAUUCUUCUCAAUGUGCAUGAAGUCAAGAUUGUGUCUUAAGACAUUAUCUUUCCAAUAUGGCAAGUCAAAGAAAAUACUCCUCUUUUUCCAAUUGAAAGGCAGCUUCGGAUUACCUUUCACAAGUUUUCCAAAUUUAAUUUGCAAGUCUCCCAAUUCACUCACAAUCAUAUCCCCGGUUUGCAAAGGUGGUCGCUUUCCAUGUUCUUCGGUGCCAUCAAAGAAUUGGGCUUGCUUUCUAAAUUUAUGCUUACUAUCUAAGAAUCUCCGAUGACCUAUGUAGCAAUAUUUGAAACUAUGAGUCAACCGUCGUGCAUGAGUGAACUUGUGACAAACAGGACAAGCAUAUUCACCUUUAGUGCUCCACCCAGAUAACAUUGCAUAUCCAGGGAAAUCACUAAUGGUCCACAACAGAGCCGCAUGCAGUUGAAAAUUUUCUUUUUGGGAUGCAUCAUAAGUUUGAAUGCCAAAAUCCCACAAUUCGGUCAGUUCUUUAACUAGAGGCUGUAGAUAAACAUCAAUAUUAUUCCUAGGAGAGGAUGGUCCGGGUAUUAACAAAGACAACAUGAAGUACGGUUGCUUCAUACACAUCCACAGAGGUAAGUUAUAUGGUAUUAAAACUACAGGCCAAGUACUGUGUGUAGAACUCAUGUUGUUGAAUGGAUUAAACCCGUCAGAUGCCAACCCCAAUCUAACAUUUCGACAAUCCUUAGCAAAUUCUGGAUGUAGAUGGUCAAAAGUUUGCCAAGCUGGAGAAUCAGCUGGAUGUCUCAUACAACCAUCUUUUGUACGUUUUGCCUCAUGCCAUCUCAUUUGAGAUGCAAUUUUAGAAGACAUAAAUAGUCUUUGUAAUCUAGGUUUUAAGGGAAAAUGCCGCAACACUUUUUGAGGAAUUUUCCUUUUUUCCCCAGUUGGAUCAUUUUCUGAAGCAACCCACCUAAGCUCGUUACAUGUUUCGCAUGAAGUUCUUUUUUCAGCACUACCCCUAUAAAGAGAACAAUCAUUAGGACAUGCAUCAAUCUUUUCAUAACCCAGCCCCAAUGUAUUCAUCAAUUUCUCAGCCUCAUAGUAAGAAGACGGCAAAUUAGUCAUGGCCUCCGGAAAUGCUUCUCUCAACAGCUCAACAAGCAUAUUAAAAAUCUUGUUACUCAUCUUACCCAGGCAUUUUAGGUGAAGCAAACGAAUAAUGAAAGACAAUUUCGAGAAAUUUUUGCAACCAUUGUACAAAUUCUGUUGAGAAUCAUCAAUCAAUUUGUAAAAUUUUUUCAGCCUCUGAAACAGGAAUGUCCCCUUCUCUAUUCAAUUCAUUUGUUCCAUGUGGUAUCCCAAAUACAUCAUGGACCAAGUCUUGCAUGUCAUUAGUCCCAUUUGAAAACCCAAUUGAUGUAUUUUCAGAAUUAGAUGUGGCUUCAUUGUAGUUUGAAAGUUCUCCAUGUGCUGUCCAAUUAUUAUAACCCUUGAUAAAUCCUACCACUUUCAAAUGAUCAUAUGCUUCCAUUUUUGUCACACAAACACCCAUGCCACAAUCUUUGCAAGGACACAAAAUCUUUCCGUCACAACUUGAUCUAGAAAAUGCGAAGUUUAGAAACAUUUGAAGUCCUGUCUCGUACUUUUCACUUGUUCUUGGAAAAUCCAUCCAUCUUUUAUCCAUACUUUUAAUAUAAAUAAAUGUCCUCCAACGAGCUUCCAAUAGCCUACUUUUUAAACUCAGGUCGUGGCUUACAAGUCCCUAAUUUCAAGUUCAAGAAUUUCUCAACAAAAAGGAAUUUAUCAAGCAGCCAGCAAAUAAAGGAAAUCAACAAAAUGCAAAAUUUCUCAACAAUCUAUAAAAACAGAAUUUGCAAGUAAGCGGAUAGAAAUUUUAUUUACCUAAUAACAGAAAAAAACCCUUCGUACCAACUCCUGCGCUCACGUCUUCGCAAAAUUCCUAAGUUCAAUCUGAAAUGUCAAUGGUUAAACAAACACAUGAGCAUGAAAACUAAAGGUGAAAUUCAAGAAUUUUACUAAAUUUUCAUCAAAGUAUACAUACAUCUUUGGUGUGUAGUGAUUAAUUUUAUAAGUCAUCUCUUUAGAAAGGCAUGCAAUUGACGGCAUAGGUAAUUGGAAAAAGAAUGACAGAAAAGUCCCCUAGCUUCUAAUCAUGCCUAUGAAGAUCCUUAUGAACAUGUCAAAAUACUUUGACCCAACUACAUCAAUGUCUCUGUCUUAUUAAUCUAAAAGUCCCCUUUUUUGGGCUCAAAAUUUGCACUAUAAUAGACUGAUCAAGUGCAGAAGACACUUAGUACAAGCGUUAUACUAUAUAUUUCAAGCAACUCACGUACUGAUUAGACAUACAAUUUAAAACAGAAAAAUGAUGUAAAGAUGCAAGUACUACAUAGAAUUUAACAUAGAAAAAAGCAAUAGUGAUAUAAGUGAUACCAUUGGGUGAAAUAUGCACUUAGCCGGAGGACCACCUUUGUGGCAAAAGCCAAAAGGCAGCAAAGGUUACCAUUGUUAUGCAAAUUUUGUGCCUCACAUUGGCGGUCCAUUAUCUGCAUCUUAAUUGUCUUUGGGCUUAUAUAGUCACGGUUUCCCAAUUCUGUCACCAGAAUAAUUUCCUGCUAGGCAUAUAUAGACCAUGGUCCUUGUUUCAUUUAUUUAUAUCGAACUUGUUGCUGAGUGUUCAUGAUUACGAUAAGCAAUGCAAUUUGGUUGAAGCUCUCUAUUCACAGUUUUGCUUAACCGUCCCCAUCCCCAAACAGAACUAGCUGCCUAAACAAACUUCAAUUACAGCUAGGUUUCAUAGAAAAAAAUGAAAAACAGGGGGAAUUGACUUUUUAUCGAACAGGUUUUGGGCAACAUACUAAUCACCCGUGGACACUUUAUUAGCUAGCCUAUGUACAAUUAUGGCAUGACGAUAGAACAAAUGUAACAUGGACAUAAAGAUCGAUCUCCUCAAAAAAUACGCAAUCCAAUUGAACAAAUUUCCUCAAGUUUUCAUCUCCAUUGCAGCUAAAGAAAAAGCAUCCAACACCGAGUUGCUAUUAAUGCUACAAUUAGAUAGAUAUCAUAUUUAAAUCUUUCAACAAUCUUAAAUGAGGACAAUAUAACUCAACUAGCGACAGCUCAGGCCAAGAAUCUUUACUUCUCAGAAAAAAAUUUCCAAGUUGCAGGUAAUUUCUUGACAACGAAAUCAAACAUAAGAGCUUCAUUGUGUUUACCACUUCGAUUUUGGAACAACAUUUGCGCGCCUGAAGUAUCUUCCAGCUUUCCCAAUGUACAGCUCCGAUCUUCUAAUUUUACUCCCUGCCUGCCCUUCCAGAUGUCUUAGCCGAAGGAUUUAAAGUUGAGGUUAGAAAAGAUGAAGAUGGUUGUUUGCGGAGACAGCUUGACCAACAUUCUGGAUUGGCUGAGAUAGAUUGUAUGCGGAGAGGUGAGAGAGAUGAGAAGAAGAAAAUUUUCACCAAGUCCUUUUGCCGGCAAAAUGAAACUUCAGAGUACUUUACCAAGUGUCUGGAGCCAAAUUAAAACGAUGUCAUUUUCUGUCUUUUUUUUUUCUCACAUUUUCCCAAGUGUCAUGAUAGGUAGUCUAAAGACACAUUAUUAUUUUAUAUCAUGAUAAAAUAAAAAAAUUAUAGUACAGAUUAUUGAGUUGGUUAAUAAGUGUCAUGAUACGUUUGGUAUAACGACACAAACCAACAAGUGUCCUUAUAAACAUGUCAGAAAAGGCCAUUUUUGUUGUAGUGCCUGUUGCGUUUUGAAUUUCUUAAAUAAAGGUCUUCUCUUACCCCCAAGCUAAAUUUCACACACGUUGCUCUUAUUCCUAAAUAUUUAGAGCCCAAGCAAGCAAAUAUCUCAAUUCCGUCCACUAAGUUUAUGUAAUGUAGUGUACAAAUUAGCGUCUAAAGCCAUCUCUAAUCGAGUCCGUGUUCUUUUACCGAAUAUUAUUUCUGAUCUCAAUCGGCUUUUAUUCCUGGCCAAUUAAUCACCAGUAAUGUCCUUGUUGCUUAUGAAGUCCAUCAUUAUCUUAAAUGUAAAAAUGCAGGCAAGGAGGAACUCAGGUCGAUUAAAAUGGAUACGAGCAAAGCGUAUGAUCGAGUUGAGUGGAUAUUUCUCUUAAAAAUAUUACUAGCUUUAGGUUUCAAUUCUAAAUUUAUUUUCUUAAUUUUCAAAAGUAUUUCAACAGUUUCUUAUUCUUUUUUGCUCAUCGGUUUGGGAUUUGGCCACUUAAAACCUAGUUGGGGUAUUAGACAAGGAGACCCACUUUCCGCAUAUCUAUUUAUAUUGUGUGCAGAAGCUUUUUACAUUUUAUCUCAGAAGCUAGUCUUUGUGGAAAGUUGGGAGGCAUUGCUGUUGCGCCUGGUGCUUCAUCCAUUUCUCAUUUGUUUUUUGCCAGAUGAUACUCUUUUAUUUGGAAAGCUACAGGGGAGGAGGCUUCAAAUUUUAUGCAGGUUAUCAAUCUUUAUGAAGGUGCAUCAGGCCAGCCGAUUAAUGUGGAGAAGUCAGUGGUGGUAUUUAGCAAGAAUACUCCAGAAGCUGAUUAAUUGGCAAUUGAAUGUUCUCUUCGAAUGCCGCCUGUGGAAUCACAUGAAAAGCACCUCUGGGGUUGCCUACUAUCGUUGAGAGAUCUAAAGGUGAGGUCUUUAAUUCUAUCAAACAAAGGGUUUUUAAACGGAUUAAUGGAGCAGCAGUUAUCUCGAGCAGGAGAAGAAAUUUUAUUGAAUGUCCCUUGUAAAGUUAAGCAUUAUCUCUGGAGAAUUUGCUGUGAUUUCUUGCCUACUAAAGUAAAUCUGCUCCGGAGAAGAGCUUCAGUGGAGCUCAACUGUCUGUCUUGUGGUUUUGAUAUUGAGGAUCUUAUUCAUGCAAUUUCUUUCUGGGCGUUAAGCUGCCUUAAAGGGCAAGUACGUAAGUGGCAGCAAUCAAUUCCCAAAGAGUGGGCUCUGGAGUUGUUAGUUACGUUGAAAAAUCGUGAAGCAGAGUUGUUUGAGAUGUUAUGUUGGGCUAUUUGGCUUGGGAGGAACCAAAAGCUGCAUGAAGAUAAACGAGUGGACCCUUUUGAGUUUAGUUAGCUUUGCUUCGGGUGCGCUCCAAUAAUUCCAAGAAGCUAAUGUUACUCAGAAAUGUCCAGGCGAUGGCAAGUUAAAGUUUAAUUUUGACGGUGUGGUGUUUAAGGAAACUCAAUCUAUUGGUUUAGAUGACGGUGCGGUGUUGAUUUAUCUAGUUUAGACCCUCCAAUUUUUGACAUUACGAGGGACUUAACUAGUUUAGAGAUGUCUAGUAUUUCAGGAAUGAGUAGGAAUCAUAAUAAAAUCACUCAUAUAUUAGCUAAGAUCGCAGAAUUCAUAUGUGAUCAUGUCUUUUGGUGGAGAGAUCCUCCAGAGUUUGUUGUGCCAUUUCUAAUGGCGGAUUUGUUAGAAAGUUAAUGAAAGUUCAAUACAGGUUAUGUUGAGUAAGACGUUGGAUUGAAAAUUCAAGAUUUUGAACUGAAAUUUCAAGAUUUUGAGAUGAAAAUAAAAGAUCACGCUAAACUUAAUGGAUUCAAAUCUUAAUAUGUGCAAAUGCGUUUGAUAACCAAAAUUGGACAUCUGAAUUAAUUAAGUGCUAGUGAAUUUUCUAAACGAAAUUUGUUCUAAAAAAUAAGUGAUAAACUAUGCAUUUAUUACUGAAUGUGAUAUACACUUAAAUAUACUUGAUUUAAUACUUAACAAUCUAAUAAAUUAAUGGACUCAGAUUUUAGAUUUCAAUUUUAUCAAAGUAACCUAAAAAUAUAGACUAUAGAUAAAAUAACUGCAGAUAAUGAUUUAUGUUGAGUAAGCUUUCAAAGCUACGUUUCCCAAAACAAACUUUAGAUAAUCAUUCUCUAAUUUUUGCUUUCACUCUAGAAGAUGCGUACAAUAAUGGGUGUAUACAAAAAUGGAAGUUAAAUUGAUAACACUAAGCUCGCCAAUUCUCAUAAAAAAAAUGAUGACAUUGCCUGCAUUAAUUCUAGUAACGGACUGAAGACAAUAAUUAAUAGGUGACUAUAUGGUGCCUAAGGCACACAAUAAAAUGUGGACUUGGUACCAUUAUUUAUUUUUGUGAAAGGAUAAACCUAUUUUGUAAGGUGUCGCAAUUCAUCAUCAUGAAAUGAGUGGUAAUUUUAAAGCAUUAAUAGUGAAUUCACCUUCAUUUUUAACGUUCAUAUCGCAAAGCCUAUUAAAAAAUUUCCACCAGCACAAAUUCCACUUUUAAUAGGUUCGAAAAUUCACUCACAAAUUUAUCCACAAAUCCCAUUAACAAAAAAAAAAAAAGAAAAUGCAGAAAGUUAUCAACGGAACUUCUAUAGUGCGUUGACGCGCGACACGUGUUGGUUGGAGAUUACUAGAUGGGAGUGGGGUUAAUCAAAGGUGGUAUUUUAGUAUUAAGCCCAAAAACCACCGGUAACAAUGGUAUUGACCCAAUUUCUAGAGGAAUUGACCCACAUAAACUGUGAAAGAUUAUUUUCUCUGUCAUUUAAGGCAAUUUCUGAACAAGAUUUAGGCGUAUAAUAAAGAAAUUAUCAACCCCAACCCCCAAUAUUAUGCUAAUAUGCAAUUGGAAAAAAUUAAAUGAAUAUUUACUUGAAGUUAAGAAGUGGAUACCAAUCGGUAGAAAGUGUUUAUAACAUACUCCGAAAUGCCAAAGGACUUCCCAAAAAGUGGGAAGCAGGACAACAUCUGAAAUAUAGUCCAAGUUUGAAGUGCUUUAUGUCAAACAUAUUUCAAUAUAGAAAAAAAAAAAAUUACUGGUUAGCAUAUGUUUGUGCGCAGUAUUUGUUGAUUGGGAGACGGUUCUAAGGAGGCGGUUUUGCAACAAAUAAGUAAACGGGAUGUCGAUUACUUGGAGUUGUAUCUUAUGCUGGAAAAAUAAUUAGACAUGUCAGUUAAGUAAUAUUUCAAUUUAAAUAAAGUUAGUUAGGAACUAGAACUCGUAACAUGGUUGGAUAUGGUUAGUGAAUAGGAUAUGAAUGUUGGGGGAUAGAAUACAACUAGAAUUACUAAGACAAAUUAAGCGUGACACUUUGAAUUCAAAUUUUACUAACAUUGCAUAAUAACACCUUUGACUGAUAAUUUUUUUUGAUACGGAAACUGGAAAAAUUUUAUUAAGAAGAGGAUAGAUCCGUAUUAAUUGCGAAAGAAAGAAAAAAUGGUGGAGAAAAUCUCCAACUAUAAAUACCUGAAAUAGAACUAGCAUUACUAUCUAAGAAAUGAGCAGGCACAAUUAGAUUCCUAGGAAUCCAAUCAGCCUCCCAAGUAAUGAAAUUCUGUAAACUAACAAAGAUAUCAUCUAACAGCACUCCAUAAGCUGAAUCAUCGGAUUCCAUAUUUUUAAGCAUGUUGAUGAUCUUCAAAGAGUCACCCUCUAAAACAAUCUUAGAACCUUCAACUGAAGUAACGAGGAAAUUGCAGAUAUUGCAGCAUAAGUUUCAGUUACUUCAGGAGAAAAGAUACCUAAGAUUUUGUGAAAAAUACUAGCAACAAAUUUGCCCCAUUCAUUCCUCACAACAAUUCCAACUCUAAAGUUGUCGUCUUCAUAGAAUAUUGCACCAUCGAAGUUUGCACUGCACCAUCGAAGUUUGCCUUUAGAAAUCUUGCAGAGGGCUUUAUCCAAUGAAGUUGAGCAGUGGAAGAGCAUAUUGGAAUGUUUGGAAAUGUGUUUAUUUCAUGGUAUUUCUAUAAGAAAUUGAUAGAGAGGGAGAGACCAAACUGAAAGGAUCACGAUAGAACCAUCAAAUAAUGCAUCAUUUCGGUUAAACCGUAGAUUCCAAAGAAUUAUGGCUACCAAUUCCAUGUCCUGCUUUUUCAAAAGAUGAAGGCCAGACAACCGAGACGAAACUUGAUCGGUAGAGUCUAAUCUUAUCUUUAGUGUAAGAAAGCUAAGGGCCCAAGGUUGAAUUGCUACUGGACAGCACAAGAAAAGAUGAUUAACAUCAUCAAUAGGGGCCUUACAUAAAGAACAAGUAGGAUCAAAAUAGACUCCGCGACUAUUCAACUUGGAAGUUAUAGGUAGAAUGUCUUUGCAAAUUCACCACAAGAAUAUUUUAACUUUACUUGGUAUGUUGAGUUUCCACAAGCAGGGCCAAAUAUCAUCCAUAGAACCAUUACUACAUGAAGCUACAUCUUGUCAAUUUGUAGAUUAUAUUUUGAUAAGAUGAUAGGCAAUUUUCAUUGUGAAGGAGCCAUUUUUAGAAUAGUGCCAAAUGAGCUUAUCUUGAUUUCGUCUAUCACCCAAUGGAAUACUCAUAAUCAACUCAAUCACAUCUAAGGAUAGCAACGGGGGCAGUGCCCGGGGGGGCUAUUGGGGCAGAGGUUGGGGCGGGGGUGGGGCUGGAGCGGGGGGAAUUUUUCCCCCCAUUUAGAAACGGGGCAGGGGGCCCACCCAUUUGGAAAAAAAAGAGAGAUAUAUAUAUGUACAUAAUUAUAUAUAUAAUAGUAUUAUCAAUUAUACAUGUCUAUUAAUAAAAAUUAUUAAUUAUUUAUACUAAAUUUAUUAAUACAUUUAUAUUAAAUUCCUAACUACACUUAAUACAAUAACACUUUUUUUCUAAAAAAAACACAAUAAUAAUUUAGUGAUUGUAUUUGUAUCAAAAGUAAAAACAAUUAUUUUAGUUAUAUUUGUUUUAUCAUAUUAGAUCGUAUUCAAAUAACUUUUGUUUAAUUAUUUUUAUGAGUUUCAAUUGUGAAGUUAUAAUGAAUAAUAAUUUGGUGAUAUGUUGAUAUUUUAGUACUUGAUUACUUGCUCAAAUUUAAUUAUAAUAAAAUUAUAUAAUAAUUUUUUUAACCCCGCGGGGGAAGCGGGGCGGGGGCGGAGGACGGGACGGGGACGGGGGGGAAUUAAUAGGCAACGGGGCGGGGGUGGGGGAGGGGCCACCCCUAAUCACAUCCUGCCAAAAAAGCUCUUGAAGCAAAUCAUAUUUCCAUUUCCUGCUAUUUUCAUCAAUUAAACAAUCUAUAGUGGACAUUUCUAGUAGCACAUCAAAACGAGAUAUAAUUUUGAAAUUAGAAAGACGUGGAAUCCACCUCUCUUUCCAAAUUUUGAUAUGAUUCCCGUGUCCAUCUCACCAUCUACUACCAAAAACACCUUUGAUUGAUAAUUAAAUAGUUAAAAAAAUAUAUCUACUUAAUUUGUUUACUCAAUAGUUAUGUGAACUAAAACAUAAAAAAGAAGGUCAAUUAUUAUAUUAGUGUUAUAUUUGUAAUAUUAGUUCCCUAUAUAGUAGGUUGCCGAGUUGGGCAUAUUUAUAUUCUACCAAGUAAAUGCCCUAUCUUUUCGAAACGUGGCAAAAAAAUUGUGUUUGUUUUUUUUGGUAGAUUUCAUUCUUUUUCUUUUUUGGUAACAAUUAAUUUACUAUUCAUUUUCACUUCAUUAUUUAUAGUAAAUUUCAAUCAAUUAUCAAUUACUUACCUUAUAUGCAUUUUUAUUAAUUAUACCUUUAUUUUUUUUAAUCAACUUAUAGCUUUCCUUUUUAAUUAGGCACUCGUUAAUAUAUGUCUUAGGUGUUAAAUUUUUAGAAAUAUAAGAUGAAUUAGGGAGAGCAUAUAAAUGUAAGGGAAUUAAUUAGAAAAAUAUAUAAAUAAAAGAAAAAGUAGUAAUAGUUGCGUAUAUAUAUGGCAGGUUAGGUGGAAUGCAGGUGUGUUAACGAUUACCCAUAGGGCACCCAUUAGAAAUACUCAUCAAAAUUUGGAUUAAUUUUUUUUCCUUUCAUUGCAAUCAUUACUACCAUUUUUCCUAUCAUUUAUUACUAUACCUUCAUGUUUCUAAAUACCAAUAAAUGUAUUACUCUCUUACUUUUUAUUUGAUUGUGCUAAUUAUAGCUUUCCUUUUACUUAAUCAAUUAGUCAAUCGAUCAAUCAACCAAUGAUUUUAAUUCUCUUUUCAAUCGCACGAUCUUUCUUUUAUCCAUCAUUAGGGAGAUUUACAAUUUAGUCACAUAUUUGUUAUGUGUACAAUAAUUAUGCAAUCAUAAGCACAAACUAAUGCAAUUCUAAUAAUUUUGCAUAUAUGCAUUCAUAUUGUAUUGCAACACCUUUAAUAAUUCAUUAUAUGGUUACAAAAGCCAAAAAAAAUCUAGUAUUACCUAGACCUUAGAUAGUCCCCAAUGUAUACACUGAUACUGUAUAAAAUGAUUUUAAACCCGUUAAUAUAUAUACUGAUUGCAUAUGAAGAUUCAUCCCUAAUUUAGACCUCUUAGAUAGUUUGCAUGCAUUAUAUUCCCUUUUUUUAAUUUCUUAUUUAGUUUACCUUAUUACCAUUUAUGAUUUUUUUUUAAUUUAAGCAACAUCUUCCAAUAUUUUAUCACCAUUUUAAGUUAGUUCAUUUUUAGGAGAUAGUAGUAUAAGUGUGGUAGUUUGUCCAAAUAACUUUGAAUAUGCAUAUACAACCCAAAAAUAAAAUGAUAGUUGUUUAUAUUCUUAUCACUCAACGAUGAUAGUGUUAUGUAAUUUAAAUGAUUGAGAUCUAUUGCCAUCCAAAUAUAAAUUUAAUAUGAGGGUAUGAUAACUAAAAAUGACUAUAGAAUCUCCCUAAAUACUAAAUAAUGCGAAUAGAGAUAUUCCCUCAAAAACUUGUAAAGUACUUAAUGUGUAUACGGGUAAAUUCUUGCAAUAGUGAAAGGAAAAUAUCUUACUAGCCUUGAAAUUUUGGCCCGUGUAUUGACUUUUGUUAGCUAAAUUAAACUAUCUUGGAGUGAAGACAUAAAAUCUGCGGCAAAAUUUGAGAGAGUUGUGAACAUAGCUUAUCUAGCGUACACAUUUUUUUCCGAGUUUGAAUUCUCUCACUUACACGACAAAAAGAAAAAACUAUCGUACAUUUAACUUCCAACUAACAAUGAUGUAUAGGUAAUAAAUUAUAUGCAUGGGAUAUUCUCAUAAAUAAAUGAAAUAUAUUUACACGACAAAGAGUAAAUUCUUAAAUUAAGAAGAAAUAAUAUUAUAGUAGCUGUCAAUUUGUUUAUAUGACUUUUUGGUUUGUCUUUACUCAUGACAACCAAUUAUGUUAUUUUGAUGUAAAAAUAUCCAAAAACGGUUGAAUACAAUGUGGGACAUUAUUAUUAUUACUCGGAUACCUCAAUAUUUAUAAAAUUGAUUAAAUUGGAAUCCAUCUGGAUUUAACAGUAUUUUGAAAAAACUAUUUUUGUUGUUCAAGUCUAUAGUAAUAAACUUUAAAAAUAACCUCAAAAAUAAUUUAAAAAAUACAACAUAUCUCAAAUACAUUAAAAAAUAAUUAAAAAAUUUCCCUAAUUCUUCUUCCCCACACUACCCACUACAACCACCACCACUACCCAUCACUGUCCACUACCACCACCAUCAUCCCCACACCCAUGACCCGUCUUCCUCUCUCCUCUCUCUCUUUCUCCUCUCUCUCUCCUCCCUCCUCCCUCCUUUCUCUUAUUCUCCUUCUCCUUUCUCCUUCCUCCUCUGCCUUGUCUUUCCUCCCUUCUCCCUUCUCUUUCCCCAUCCCCUAAUCCCCCCUUCCCUCUACUGACUGUGGCCUUCUUGGUCUUGACCAGAAAGGUUGCAGCCAGAAGCCGCGACUAGUGGCUUCUGGUUGCAACCAAGGUCACAGAUGGAGUCGCGGUUACCAUCCACGAUUGGGAGAGGUUUGAGGGUCAGAAACGAGAGGGACGGGGGAGAGAAGGAGAAGAAAGAGGAGGGAGAAGGAAGAGGAAGGAGAGAAAGAGAGGGAAAACAGAGGGAGAGACAAGAGAGGAGAAAGGGGGUAACGGCGUUGAGUGGUGGUGGUGGCUGGCGUAAAAUUUUUUAAAAAUACCCCAAAAAAGUUGUAAAUUAUAAAAAUAUCCCAAAAAUGUAUUUUAAAAAGCCCUAAAAAUACCUUUAAAAAAUCCCCCAAAAACAUCUAUAGUACAAGUUAUUUAUAUAUAUAGUUACCGUAAAGUUUUUAAAAGAUACCCUAAAAACAGUUAGUCCAAAUGGAGUCUUGAGUUUUGAGGUUAAGGUUCAAUGAUUGACCACAAUUUAGGUCAAAGUAAAACUUGGCCGAAAGUUUAGUGGGUAAAAUAUAAUUUUAAAAAUUAAUCAUCUUCCCUGAUCCUCACAGUUGCAAUGGUGAACUGUCAGCCCCUUAGGACGUGUUCCAGACGGAACACGCGCAACCGUGGUAGAUUUCGGUCACUCAUGGUCAACUUGGAAGGCUGAAGGUGAACUGGUUGGGAAAAACUUGGACACAUGUUUGAUGAUGUAUUCCAUGCCUAUGUAUGGGUUUGGAAAAGUUUCAGGGCUAGGAAAAUGUCUCUAAAUUAGUGGGGAAAUGAGGGGUGGCUUUACUAGCGGUCCGAAAUUUUUAGCUAGGACUACUAUAGAGAGAGAUAACUAUAACUAAGCCAAGUCAAUGCCAAGGGCUGGGGGCUAAGGCUUUAUGGGUUAUUUUGGAUGGUUCCAAGCAUUUGGAGCUGUGGUGCCUAAGUUGCUAAGUGUUGGGCCAAGUUGGGCACGGAACUAAGCAAAUGGCAAGAAGCUGGGUGUGCGAAACUGUGUGACCAUUGCAUGUGCGCUCCAAAGACGAACGUUGGGACUGUCUGGCAGUUGCUAGUCGUUUGCUGGAGUUGCGGACGAUUAUCAGUCAACUCAGACACGUUCUUAUCGGUUUCCUGACUUCAUGUACAUUCGGGUCGGACCAACGGUUGGGUCUUGUCAACUAUAACAAUGCAUAUAAAUAAAUGGCUAGGUAGGGAGUAAAGGCAGAUAGUGAGAAACACCCUUAGAUGUUCUGCAUGCUAAAUGUUUGUAGAAUUGUCCUUGUAAUCUCUAUAGUGAAAUACAAGGUUGGCCGUUUGAUUGUAACUUGUGCGUGUUGUUCCUUUGUUUUUGCCUAAGUAUUCUAUGUUGAAUACUUGUAUGCAAGUGUCAGUGUAAGGGCUGACUGGAAGCGCGGCUUAUCAAUGCCAUUACAUGCUUGUUAGGCUAGUGAGCGUAAACACCUCGUAAUAGUUUGGUAUCAAAGCACGGCUUUGAUCUAUUAGACUGUGCUUCUGUUAUGUGUUUUGUUGGUUAAUGAUGGUUGGACACAGGAAUUCUGUUGCAAUGCUUGGAAUGGUUGCAAUGUUAGGAACUUGCAUUCGAGGACUUGAUGCAGUGUCUAGGAGAUGGCCUAGAAGGCUUCAAUGUCAUAGAAGUUCUAUUGCAGACUAGAGAGAUGAUCAACACCCUGACUGCACAGAUGGACGAAACCAGGCAGACAGUUUCUUCUGUUGGGGAUGUUGAGAUGCUAAGGAAUGAAAUGAUUGCAUCCCAUGCAAAGAUCGUGGCUUUACAAUCGAAGAUCAAUGUGUUAAAAAAGGCAGUCGGCUCUUGUAACACACAGACCUUUCAAAAAUCUUCGAAGAGGAAAGUGAAAGUCCUAGAUCCGAAACCAUACCAAGGUAGUAGGAGUUCGAAGUAUUUGGAAAACUUUUUGUGGGAUUGUCGAGUAGUACUUCAAGGCUAUUGACAUUCCUGAAGUAGAGAAGGUGUCAAUUGCAUCAAUGUGUCUUAGUGGUGAUGUAAAGUUAUGGUGGAGAACAGUGCAAUCAGACCUACCAAACCCAAGAUCGGUACUUGAGAAGUACUGAAGGAGGAAUUGAAGAAGCAAUUCCUUUCCACGAAUGUUUAAUGAAAAGUUAGAGGUGUAUUGUGAAACUUAAAGGAGAAUAAGAAAGUACAGAGUACGUUACAGAGUUCCAAGCCUUGAUGUUAGAUGUAAGGGAAAUGUCUGAGGAAGACAGACUCUACAUCUUCAUCCAUGGACUUCAACCGUGGGUACAGAUGGAGUUGCGGUGAUAAAAUGUUCAGACCAUGUCUCAAGCACUUGAUACUGUCGAGAAGUUGAUAGACUUCAAGUCCAUAGGAUCCAAAAGUGAAAAAAAAAAAGAAGGGCAAGGAUAAGGCUAAGGGCUCGAAAGGUGGUCAAUUCUCAAAAAAGAAUAAAAAGAAGCAGACAGUAACAACGACCGAAACUAGCGGUGCUUCCUCUUCUAAGAAGAAGCAAACAUCCAACCCUAAAAAGGAUGGCUGCUAUACCUGUGGAAGACCACACUUAACCUGCAAUUGCCUCAAUAAGAAGGACCAGAACGUUAGUGCCUUAGUGGCAGAAGACAAUAGUGACCAGUUGGAGGUCCAGGAUGCACGGGUCAACCCCAUGUAAUUCUUGAACGCCAUCACCGAUACUAAUGUCUGUACUCUUUACAAUGGUUUGAUGUAUGUGCAGGUUACAUUGAAUGGUAACCAUAUAUUGACGAUGGUUGAAACGGGAGCAUCAUAUAGUUCUAUGAUGGAAAAAGUAAUGAGUCGGUUCCGGUUACAGUUGAAAGACUUGGGUUUCAAAAUUGAAGGCUGUAAACUCUGAAACCAAACCAGUGCUAGGCAUGGCGACCGUAGAUUUAGAGUUGGAGCCAUGGAAGGGUUGGUGCAAUUUCAUGGCAAGUCAAAUGGAUGAUUUUGACUUGAUUCUAGACAAAGAUUUCAUAGUUGCAAAUAGGAUCUAUCCAAUUCCGCACUUGGAUGGCGUCAUGGUGAAUGAUGGCUAGAGUCCAGGCUUUGUUCUUGUAGUAAAGUUGCAGAAACAAAAGAACAAUCAACAAAAGAACAUGGUAUCAACGAUAGAGAUUGAGUCAUAUCUUCUGAGGCGCGGUGAAGUUGUGUAUAUUGCUGCAUUGGUGGAAACCAAACCUAACAUGUACCAAGAAGUACCUAACGCCAUGGCCCACGUUCUAGAGAAGUUUACAAAUAUCAUGCCUACAAAGUUUUCGAGAUAGCUUCCUCCAUCCUGUGCCGUGGAACACAAGAUCGAGUAGGUUCCAAGAGCCCAACCACCUGCCCAAACUCCUUAUCGCAUGUCCCCGAUAAAGUUGGCUGAGAAAGAUAUAGUACGCAUGAGAAAGAAAUGACAGUUGUUGUACAUUGUCUCAAGAUAUGGAAGCACUAUCUAUUAGAAACCAAGUUUGUGGUGGUGACUAAUAACAUGGACAAUACUUACUUCAAGACACAGAGAGAGUUGACCCCGAAGCAAGCUCGUUGACAAGAGUUUCUGGCUGAAUUUGACUUUGACUGGAUUCAUAAGUUAGGAAGGGAGAAUGCAGUGGUCGACAUACUUAGUAGAAAGUAUGUCGAAGAAUACAUUGUUGUGCUUAGCACUGUUGAGACGGACUUCAGGGACAAGAUCAAGUGGGAGUCCCCGAGUGACCCAAUUUAUCAAAACUUGGUGUUCGUGAAGUCAAAGUUCGUCGUUAUUGGCUGGAGGAUGACUUACUAUUUUGCCAAUAGUGGUCAAGCAUAUGUUCCAGCAGGAGGGGGACUUAGGCGACAGUUACUACGAGAAACUCACAAUGCUUCUUGGAUUGGUCAUUCUGAAGUUGAACGAAUGCGGGCAUUAUUGUCGCGUAGCUUCUAUUGGCCAAAGAUGGAAGAGGAUAUUGAAGCAUACGUGAAAACUUAUCUUGUUUGUCAACAUGACAAGAUGAGAGGAAGAAGGAGCCAGGCUUGUUGCAGCCUUUGCCGAUCUCUGAUCGACCAUGGCAAUCAGUUUCUAUGGACUUCAUUUCGAGAUUCUCUAAGGUCGAUGGUAUGGCUUUUGUCUUUGUAAUUAUUGACAGAUUUUCUAAGUAUGCUGUGUUUGUUGGUGCACCAAAGGAGUGCUCGGUUGAUGUUGUCGUUGAGUUAUUUUUCAGACAUGUUAUGAUGUAUUUCAGAUUACCCAAAGAUAUCAUAAGUGACAGGGACAUGAGAUUCAUAGGUAGAUUUUGAACCGUGAUGUUCGGGUUGCUAGGUUUCGAACUGAAGUUCUCAACUGUCGCAUACUCUUAGACCGAUGGACAAACGGAGAGGAUCAAUAUCUUGCUAGAAGAAUACUUAAGGCAUUACGUGACGACAAGUUAGAAAAAUUGGCUGGAGUUGCUGGAUACUGCAUAGUUUUACUACAACCUGCACAAGUUAUUCGUAACUAAGUUGAGUCCAUUUGAGUUAAUGAACAGGCAACAACCUCUGACUUCACCUGAAGUUGCUCUUCAAGAGUUAGUUUGUUGAUGACACAACAACGCAUGAAGAAGUACGCAGACCAACAUAGAUCGGACUUAGAGUUCCAACUGACUCCCUAGAUUUGAAAAAAAGUAAAUAACAAGACAGUCCAUCGUGGGAUCAUCCAUGAGUACAAUAGACCAUUUGAGGUAAUCAAGAAGGUGGGUCAUAUAGCUUAUCGUUUGAAACCACUUGACAAACUCAAGAUCCACCUGACCUUCCAUGUGAGUUUUCUGAAACCCUUUUACCAAGACGAGAUGGAUGGAGGACGGAGGGAAGCAAAGUGUGCCUCGCCAGUGAUCCACAAGCAAUUCCAGAAUGAUGUGAAGGCUUUGCUGGAUUACAGAAUGAUGGGACAAAGAAAAAAGAAUAGAUGGACAAACUAUCUGAUCCAUUGGAACGGUGAAACAAAAUUAGAUGCUACUUGGGAACGAGAUGUUACCUAGUGACAGUUUCAAGAUAAGAUUGUUGAGUACUUGAAGAACGUGCGAAAGCAAACCAAGUUGACGAGGGCGUCAACCUCUUCAGGUGGGGUGGUUUAUCAGCCCCUUAGGGUGCGGUCCAAACGAAAAGUGCACGACCGUGGCAGAUUUCGGCCGAUCAUGGUCAAGUUGGAAGGCCGAAGAUAAACGGGUCGAGAAAAGUUUGGACACAUGUUUGAUGAUGUUUUUCAUGCCUAUGUAUGGGUUUGGGAAAGUUUCAGGGAUAGGAGAUGUCUCUAAGUUAGUGGGGGAAUGAGGGGUGUCUCUACUAACGGUCCGAAGUUUUUAGCCAGGAAUACUAUGUAGAGGAAUAACUGUGACUAAACCAAGUCAAGACCAAGGGCCGGGGGCCGGGGGCCAAGGGUGUGGUACGACUAGACUUUGUGGGUUAUUUCAGAUGGUUCCAAGCAUUUGGAACCGUGGUGUCUAAGUUGCUAGGUGUUGGAGCAAGUUGGGCACGAAACGUAGCAAAUGGUGGGAAGUUGGGCGCGCAAAAUCGUGCGACCGUUGCCUGUGCUUGCAAAGACGAACGUUGGGACUGUCUGACAGCUGCUAGCCGUUGUUGGAGUUGCGGAAGGUUACCAGCCAACUCAGACACGUUCUUAUCGAUUUCCUAACUCAUGUGCAUUUGGGUUGGACCAAUGGUUGGGUCUUGUCAACCGUAACAAUGCCUAUAAGUAAAUGGCUAGGCAGAGACUAAGGGCAGAUACUAAGAAACAUCCUUAGAUGUUCUGCACGCCAAGUGUUUGUAGAAUUGUCCUUGUAAUCUCUAUUGUGAAAUACAAGGUUGGCCGCUUGGCUUUAACUUGUGCGUGCUGUUCCUUUGUUUUGUCUGAGUGUUCUACGUUGAAUACUUGUGCACAAGUGUGAGUGUGAGGGCUGACUGGUAGUGCGACUUACCAGUGCCAUUACGUGCAUGUUUGGCUAGCAAGAGUAAACACCUCGUAACACGAACACUGGUCGCCCAUCUUCAACCACCAUCUAACACUUCUUUUCAAGAUCAAUUCUUGCCUAACACUCAUUUUAUUCGCUUGAGUCAUGAUUAUGGCAUCACUUUUCUUCAGUUUAAACCCUUUGACGAUACAAAAAUAAGGUCACAAUUGAAAUUCUGAUUCGAAAAUUUGAAACUUUCGGGAUUGCCUCCUGCUAUGGGCUUUUCUCAAACUCGAUCAUAUGCCCGAACAAAUUCAUCAACCAACACUCACUCUGCCCUUGGGGCACCCAAUUAACCCCUUUAAAACAAUUUUGAAGACACCCGAAACUAGGGUUGGGCAAAAAUACUUGUUAAUCCAAAAAUCUGACAUAUCCGAUUCGAUUCGAUUCAACAAAUAGGGUUCCGGUGUGUAUUAUUUGAUCGGGUCAAAAGAAAGUUGGAUAAUUACUUGUAUGCGGCGUUAGGUGGAGUCACCUGAUUAAGAAUCCGUGGGAACCCGACCCUUCCCACAUAUAUAUUUUUUAUUUUUACACACAUAUUACAAAAUAAUACUUUUGGAGCUAAAUAAGUAAUUUCAUUAAACAAAAUACAUUAUAAAUAUGAAAAAUAAAGUUUAUUUAUAAGAUUCAUUUAUAGAUGUCAUGAUUUCUUUUUUUUAAGGAAACAGUUUAAUUAAUAUAGAACAUAUAUUUGUAAAAAGGUACUAUUUAUUUGAAUUUUCAUUGAUUUUGAAUUCUUUUAAUUUUCUUUUCUCGUAUUCUCUUUGCAUGUUCAUUUUUUAUUGAGAAAAAAUCUUUAUUAAGUUUUAGAUGAAUAUUCAAAAUACAAAAUUAAAUUACUAUAAAUUAUUUUUUAAAACAAUUAAAUGAUAACCAGCGUGAUGCAAAUAUCUGUUAACUCAACCCUACUUUAAUGGAAACCCACUCAUAUACGGGAUGGUUAAAGGUCAAAAGAUAGCUGUCUUGCAAGGUACGGGUCUAGUCAGCCAAAUGAAGCAUAGAACGAGUACUACUUGACUUGUACCUACCCCUACCCAAAACAAAUCUUAAUAAUCAUAAAAUAGCAACCUGCACUUGCAAAAUCCAAUUUUCAAUUUUCUCCUCAGAAUUUAGCAUCAAAUUUUACAAAAAUUACACAAAAACAAUCCAAUCAACAAAUAAAUACUCAAGCAUUGAAUUGACAUUAUACUGUAUUUGUGCAGCACCGAAUUGACAUUAUCUGACUUGUAUGUAUGGCAAAAUAAAGGAACUAUGAAGAGGAUGGGAAGGAGGGAGAAGGAUGCUCAGAGUAAGGGAGGAGAUGAAUCGGAAAAUUUAGAUAUUUUUUCUUUUUAUUUUCUAUAUUUUCUAUUAACCGGAUUUAUAGGUAACUAGAGCUGUUAAUCGAACCGAAUAACUCGCGAGCCGAGCUCGACCCGGCUCGACAAGGGCUCGGCGCGGCUCGUUUACAGAGAGAAACAAUCCGAGCUCGAGCUCUACUCAGUAUUCGUUUAAUAUAUGCUCGGCUCGUUUAAGCUCAGUAGGCUCGAAGAGUAGGGGCAUUAACAUCAUUUUAUUGUGUAUGUGGUACUCUAACCUAAGUCAUUCUCCCGUUUGUAACCAUAAUUUUUCUUUCCUCUUUUGGUCUUACCUUCUCCCGUUCCACAGCCGUAGCCACAGUCGCACGCCCGCACCCUUCAUUUUUACCACCGUCACCGAGUCACCAUUCACCAAUUCAUCCAUCAUCUCACCUCCAUCAGGACCAUCACCUAUCCGUCCACUAUCUCACCGCCAGGCGCUAUCCCUAAUUUUUUCUUUCCUCUUUCGAUCUUUCCUUUUCCCGUUCCACAGCCGCAGCCGCACCCUUCAUUCUUACCACCGUCACUGACUCACCAAUCCAUUCAUCUCACCUCCAUCACCAAUCCGUCCACCAUCUCACUGCCAUCAUUCAAUCCACUUCUCGUGAAUCCGUGAGCAGCGCCAUACGGAGCCACCUUGAUAAAGCCAGGGGCCUCUACCAUAUCCCGAUUCCUUGCAUAAUCUGGUAACCAUUUCUUCUCAAUUUUUGCAAUUUAUUUUGGUUUUAAGAGGUUGUGUGGGUUUUGGUUAAUGGUGGAUAGCCCCGUAUCCCAUAUGGCUUCCCCGUAUCUCGUUGGCUUCCUGUGUUUUAUCCCGAAUUUCACCUGCACGGAUUGCUUAUGCAUCGCUUAGUCGAUUUUUGGUUUCAAAUAGCAUGUCUUUUACCCGUUAAAUAGCCUUUUUUUUUACCCAUUGUUCUGGAUUGUUGCAUAAGUGUCAAAUUUCGCCUGAAAUGCUCACAUAUUCUUCGAUGAGAUUACGUGUAUCACUACUGCGUUACCUUCCUUCGACACCUGAAGCUGGAGUUUGACGUUUCAUUUCGUUCAGACCAUGGAAUAGUUGCUGCGAUUAAACUUAUGUCUCUAAGAAAAUAAAGAAGGAAACAUCACUUUUUGUCUCUGUGCUCUUUGAUUUCUGCAUUUUCUAAUCCAUGUUAUAGAACUGACUGUUGAUGAUACCAAACAUUUUGUUAAAAGAAAGCCAAAGUAUUCAAUUCCCAUACAUUUAACUCUUCCUGGUUAAAAUGUAACUUCCUCUAUUGGUGUCCAUAAAUUUCCUCGAAAAAGCUUGCGAAUUGCAAAAGUUUCCACCAGUCGUCUUAAAAUGGCACUCUAAACCGUCUGCUAUGAUACUUCUGAUAAGCACAGUUAUACUGCCAGGAAGGGCAAGUAGGUAUGCAUCAUGGACCAUGAAAAUGCCAAUUUCCAGAAAUCAAUUACAGCUUUGACGAGUUGCAAACUUCUUGGACUAUGAAAAUGCCAGUUUCUAGCAAUGAAAUGAUAGCUUUCACGAUCUGCAACUUCUUAUUGAUUAAUGAAUACUGAAAAGUACGUAUCAGCCCAAUCUUGCCUCUCUUCGUAGUACCUGGAAAAGAUUUAACAGUCAACCAUAAGUGACAGAACUUUAACAGAGCUAGCCAUAUAACAAACAGUGGACAAAACUUUAACAAAGCUAGUCAUUUUCUUUUCUUUAGAAUGUGAUAUUUCUUCAUGUUUUGCACUUUUGUUUAAGCUUGACAGUGAAAACAUUUUUCAACCUAGAAAAUUCUGCAAGGCAAAACUUUCUUCAUUUUAGUUUCUUCAUUUCAGCAAAAUUAACUUUUUGUUUGGACUUCCAUUUUAAGAGUUUUUCACUGUUAUUUCAUUAAUCUGAAUGUAAGCUUGAGAAUUGAGAUAGGAACAAGUUAAAGAAAUGUUAAAACUGGCUUGAAGUGGGCAUUAUUUCUUGGAAUCUGUUUUAUUACUUUUGUACCUUAUUUCUUAGAAAUGUCAUUCUAAAUAUCUAUUUUGGCUAAUCAGAAUCUGUAUUGGUUAUUAAAUGUGUUUUGAUUAAGGAAUGUACAGCUCUCCAUUCAACUCAUUUCAAGGUUCAUCAUCAAGUCCUGUGAUGGAGCAAAAUAAUGAAGACGUGAACAAUUGAACUACAACGAAAAAAGAGCUGAUGAGAUGAGUGAAAAAGAGAUAGAAAUGAUAAAAAAUGAGGGCAAUGAAGAACGACAGCAAGAGAUGGAGAUGAAGGAGCUGGUCCUUUUGAGAAAAAACAUAGGAAGAAGAAAUCUAGCAUAUGGGAUGAAAUGACAACAAUAGUGCUAGAUAAUGGGAUGGUCAAAGUGAAAUGCAACAAUUGCAAGGAACUUUUUGUCAAGAGUGCAACCGAAGCCAUAUCUCAGCACAAGAGACACUUGAAUUCUUGCCUACAAAGAAAGAUAGCCAUUGGAAAGCAAAGCAAACAAAAGCAACAAGUGUUGUCAUUCAUCGAAGGCCAAAGUAAUGGUAUCACUUCCAUCACAAAUUUCUUGUAUGAUCAUGCCAAGGUAAGAGAGCUUGCAUCACACAUGAGUACCCCUUUUCUAUGAUAGAUCAUGUAGUUUUCAACAAAUUCAUGAAAGCGGCUUCUCCAUUUUAUAAUUGUUAAGAAAGAUUGCAUUAGUACUUAUACAAUUGAAAAAAGGAACCUGAAAUCAUUGUUGAAAGGUGCUGGUAGGAUUAGUAUUACCACAGAUUUGUGGACAUCUGGUCAAAAAAAUUCAAUAUAUGGUUGUGACUAAUCAUUUUGUUGAUUUUGAUUGGGUGCUACAAAAACGUGUGUUGAAUUUUUGCAAUGCUCCUCCUCCUCAUACUGGAGUUAUUAUAGCUGAUACUCUAAGUAAGUGCUUUAUUGAUUGGGGGAUUGAGAAUAAGGUUUCUAACAUAACUGUUGAUAAUGCUUCAUACAAUGAUGUGUGCAUUAGGAGACUUAGAGAGGAUUUUUCUCCAAAAAAGAGAUUAAGUAUUGGAGGAAAAAUUUUCAUGUUAGAUGUUGUGCACAUAUACUUAAUCUCUUAGUGCAAGAUGGUCUUGGUCAACUUGGUGGUGUGAUUGAUGUUGUUAGAGAAUGGAUAAAGUACUUGAACAAUUCUGAAUCUAGGCUUCUUGAAUUUGCCAAAAUUAAAAAACAGCUUCAAUUGCCCUCUAGAAAGCUAAUUUUGGACUGUCCAACAAGAUGGAAUAGCACCUAUUUGAUGUUAGCUUCAGGUUUAGAGUUCAAGGAUGUUUUUUCAAGAUAUGCAGACAUUGACCCCGGAUUUCACUAUGUUUUUACUGAUUUUGAGUGGAUGAAAGUGAAAGAAGUGUGCAAAUUUCUAGGAAUAUUUUAUGAAAUCACUGAUAUGAUUUCCGGGUCCGAGUAUCCAACGGCUAACAUUUUCUUGUGGAGCUCUAUAGGAUUAAAGAGCUUUUAAAUGAUAAAGCUCUUGACCCUUUUUAGCAUCUUCGGGUUAUGGCUGGAACUAAAUUUGAUAAGUAUUGGGGGGAAAGUAAUGUACUGCUAUCUUUGGGUGCAAUUUUGGAUCCGAGAUACAAAAUAUUUCUUAUUAAUCAUACUUUUCCGGUGAUUUAUGGUGAGGAUGCAGCUCCUAGAUUCGUGGCUGAAAUUAGAGACACUCUUUAUGAGCUUUACAAUGAAUAUGUUGAUUGUCACAUAGUUUCCCAUUCUGAACAAUAACAGAGGCAGGUUGUAAAAGGGAGACAAAAUGAAGGUUCUAGUUCUUCUAGUAAGAAACAGAAAAUGACUGGACCUGCCGUUUUAACUAGUAAAGAAAAGUUGCACAUGCAUGUGAGUGAAAUUAACAGGGCUCCACCACAAAAAUCAGAUUUAGAUGUUUAUUUAGAGGAAAGUAGGUAUUGUGACGCCCCCACUUCUCCUUAAGGUGAACCAAAGAGUAUCCACGGGACGCCUGCCCAACUCUUACCAGGACUCGGUACAAUUUCCGUUCAACCUUAUUACAAUACUAGCUAUCACGACAAGAUGAAGUAAAAAAGAUAAAGUCGCUUCUAUAAAUAAUAUUCAAACUUACACCACGAGUUCCAAAAUACAUCAAAUUUCCAAAAUAUACAACUGCCAAAAGUCUAGUCGAUUACAUUUGGAACCCUAAUACAAAAGUACAACAAAAGGAUUUCUCCGAGUUUCACUCCAUAUCUAUGCCUGUUAAGGAAAACAAAUCUACGGGGUGAUCAAUUGCUCGUGAGGCCAAAAAACACACAUACAAGCACGUUGUCCAAUUAACAAGAAAACGAUAAUAUUCGAGUAAUUAACAAUUCAAGCGGAAUGUAAACAGAAACAAUUCAAGGAUAUGGGAGCUCUCAGGAGCUAUUGUCCACUGGCACGAUCAAGAACCUCCACGAGUUGACACUCCGUCAAUCGGGUAGGUCAUAGUCCGUAGAAGCUUCACUUACGCGUUCCCCGUCCACCAUACAUACCGCACCGGGCCCGAACAUCAUUUACAAGGUGAUACUCCACGAGUAUGUCAAGCGAGAUCUUUCAAAUAGAUCAAACUUAUCAUGUUAUUCUCAUGACUCAUCGAGAUUCCCGACCAAACCCAUGCCGGCUCGAGUUCCAAGGUCGACCUAUGAGUUUGGACCCCCAUGUAACAUUUGUGAGUGGAAGAGAUUCACUCCAACGAUGUAUGCAGUCAUAGCAUACUAUUUCAUGUCAUUCAAGCAUUCGAUACAUUCAAUCAUUCAUUUCAUCCCAUUCAAGCCAUUCAUGAUCCAUUCAUUUCAUUUCAAUUAAUUCAAUCAUGAGUCAUUCAUUUCAAAUGAGAACGGGUGCGGUAAAAUACACACUCGACUCCAUUUUCAAAAUCUCCAAUCAUUAAUAACAGUUAAGCAUGUAUCAAGUUCCCAUACACUUGACACUCACCAAGUAAUUCAAGAAGUAAAGCACAAGCGGUUGUUUAGGCGUCUCCUGUGAGAUCCUCUUGAAGGUCCUCUUGAGUGCCUGAGUAAUAAUAAUGAACUAUUACACACUAUCAUUUAAAACCCCUACUUAUCGAGAAAGAUUGCACUCGUGUACAAUUUAAGAAGAUAUUAUGAGGAUGAGCCUUAAUUACUCGUAAAUCGAGGCUCAAAAGUGGGGUUUUAAUAAUACAAGGAAAUUCGAUUUUCAUCUUUGAAAUCAAAUGUAAAACGAUCAAGCAAUAUCGAGGGAAAAUGGUGAGUUCUAAAAACUCAAUUUUCUUUAAGUUCGGAAAUUUCAGAUUUGAUAAGCAAUUUUUGAAAAAUCGUAUCUCAUUCUCUAUAGGUCCAAAAUUGGAAAACUUGGUACCGUUGGAAACUACUUCCAAAGUACUAAAAGUUCUUAGAAGACAUUUUUCCAUGAUUCCAAAUGGAUGACAUUCAAAAUUCGGUUCAAAGUUGCUGUUUUGGGCUACCAAGACAAUUUCGGCAAAAUUCGGCAAAAUGUGAACUAGCCUCUGCAAUUUGGAAUUCAAUUAUAGUUACAAACAAAGUUUGAAACGCAAGAAACAGAACAAGAAUCGGAGUUUUGAGUGCCAAGAUAUAGCAGCUCAAAUUUGCUGAAAUUUUCUCACUAAAUAAGGAUUUUCCAGAUUUGAAACAUGAAAUUUGGGAUUUCAGUUGAGUAUCGAAAUGGACUUGGAAUGGCACCAAAUUUGGUAGUAUUACCCUACCAUAGAAGGGCUAUUCCUCUGUCAAAUUUCAUACAAAAAUUCUUAUGGAAGGUCAGUUAACAAAGCCGCUAAAGUUCCAAGAAUUUCCAAGGCAAAUCUGCCUUGUACUUCCGUUUUACUUUUUCAAGCAUUUGGCCAAUGAAAUCUUCUCAAACAUGGUUCAUUUAUAAAGACAAGAUCUAAGAAACAUCCAAAAUGUGUUUGGUAGGUGAUUAAUACCAAGAGUUCCAAAAUAAUGACUCCCAAUUCGAGUUAAGGCAUUCAACUAGCCAAGAUUAGGGUUUCCUUUCACUGACACAGGUCUGGAAUUUGGCCACAACUCACUCAAUUCAACUUGGAAUUAGACAUGAUCAGUGGCGUUGGAAACUAAAUUCAUAGGGCUAUAAUUUCUCAGAAAAAAUCAUUUUGAAAUUCUGUCCAUAACUAGUUCAUAUUCUAGCAACAAGUUGCAGCACACAACAGGUUUUCUAACACAGACGAGAAACAGGGCAGGUGACUUUGAAAGGCUGGUACGGUUCACUCAAGUGGAAUCAGGGGAUGCAUUUUAUACUGUUAGAAAACUGGAAGUAUCUAGUUUCUAAUUCCGCAAAUGGAACUCGAUUUUGAUGUCGGAGAAAGAGUUAUUGUCGUUUGAAAUUCGCUGCCAGAGCAACUCUGGACAUGUUUUCCAACCAUGAAGAAAUUUCGAAAUCCAAACAUUUACCCAACCAAAUCAAGUGAUUUUUGGUGGAAACUUUUCACACAACCUAUAAAACAUAUAUACACCGAAAUCAAGUCAAUUAGAUCACAAAAAAUUGCACCAAGAGGCGCGGCAAUGACAGGGCAGAUCUGGCCCUUCUUCCAUUUCAACUUCCUUUGAGUUUCUUUCCACUCUUUCAACUUAAAUCCACUAGAUUAACACUUAAUCAACAUAAAUAACACUCAAAAUCAUCAAAUCAGAUGAUCAAGUCCAUUGUGGGAUUUCAUAGAGCCUACUCACAUGAUUUUCAACAAUCCAAAGCUACCCACAUGAAGCUACAAGCUUCUAAGUGAAAUCUAACUUACAAAAGCUAAGAUUUAAAGGGUGGAUGAUCAUUACCUCUUAGAUGUUGCUAGAGCAGAAAUUUUGGUCCUUAGAGCUCCAAGAAAACCGUGAGAAUGAAGCUCUUCUCCUAGCUGAAGAUGAUCUCCAAGUUAUUUGCAAGGUGUGGUAUGAAUUUGAGAGGAUUUGGUGCAAGAUUGAGAGACGAAAUGGUGAAAAAACUUGGUCUUCUUCUCCUUGGUGUUGCACGGCUGCUUGAGGGAGAGAAAGAGAGAGUUGUGGCUGAUGGAAAGCUUCUCUUGGAAGCUUAAGAGUUUGUGGCCAAAAUUACUCCAAAAGUCAACUAAGAAUAGUGCAUGUACGCGCGCGUUUCGUGCUCGUUUCCUCUUGGAUUUGUUUCACUUGUGCACUAAACCUCUAAUGCACUUCCAUUCAUACUAUUAUUAUUCACUUUUAAUAGUCUAAAAAUAAAGGUCUAAAGUCCCUCAAUUAAUCGCGCGCGCGAAAACACGUACUUCCGUUUUGUGCGCGAUAGAGUAAAAUUUCUAAGAAAUUCUUACAAUGAUAUUAUAACUGACUAGUACUUGAGUACUUAAACAUAAAAAUACCUAUUUUGAAACUAAUGUAUGAGUCUUCAAUCUCCAAACUCACUGUACCCUCAAAUCGAUUAUUGUCUCCAAACGCACAUUCACUAUUCUCACUAAACGAGUUUCUAAAAAUUAAAUUUUUGCAACAAGUCAUUUUAAAUAUAUAUAUAAGUCAUAAUUCCAUGUAAUUGAGUCUAAAAAGGUUGGAAUAAAAUAUUCGGAGCAAACAGACAAUUAAAUAUUUAAAUAAGCUAGUAAUAGAAAUUUAAAAUAAGUAAAUUUGCGGGUCCUUACAGGUAUGCUUGUGAUGCAAAUGCAAAUUUGGAUGUUUUGGGUUGGUAGAAAUAGGAAAGAUUGAGAUUUCCUAUCUUGUCGAGGAUGGCUGCCGAUAUACUCUCCGUUCCUGUUACAACUGUGGCUUCAGAAUCUACCUUCAGCGCCGGAGGUAGAGUAAUUGAUGAUCGACGAGCUUCUAUGUCAAUUGAGACGGUGCAAAUAUUGCUUUGCGGCAACGAUUGGAUCCGCAGUCUUCAUGGCCUAAAGAAUAAGUCUCGCGUUAAGUAAUUGAUUAGAUGUUUUUGUUGUUGUUACAGUUUCUUUAUAUCUGAUUUUAAAGAAUUUUAUAACUUUCAUACUUUUGUUUUGUAGGAAUCACUUGAUGCGACCGAAUCAAUCACAUUUGAGGAAGUUAAACUUCCCGAAUCAUUCACAACCUGAUUUGGUGGCUGUUGAUGUUGCUUGGUGCAAACUGAUUCAUUCACAUGUUGAUUUCGUUGAAGACCUAAAGAAUAAGUCUCGCGUUAAGUAAUUGAUUAGAUGUUUUUGUUGUUGUUACAGUUUCUUUAUUUUAAAGAAUUUUAUAACUUUCAUACUUUUGUUUUGUAGGAAUCACUUGAUGCGACCGAAUCAAUCACAUUUGAGGAAGUUAAACUUUCCGAAUCAUUCACAACCUGAUUUGGUGGCUGUUGAUGUUGCUUGGUGCAAACUGAUUCAUUCACAUGUUGAUUUUGUUCAAAAGCUGCAUCGUUCACAACUUGUUUUCACCCAAGAAAGUUAUUUUUAACUCUUGGUCUAGAGUGUGGACAUUUUAGAAACUGCUUAAAACGUAUUGAUGGCUGAUCUUUAAUUGUUUGGACUCUUUUAUGUAAUUUUUCAUUUUGUAAUCUGAUCUGGUCUGCUGCCGAGUUUGGACAUUUUAUUCCUCCAUUUGAUAGUUUGAGCUGCAAUUUUAACUUCUUUUUUGCUACUCGUGCUUAUGAUGCUUCUGUUUUGCGUUGUCGAAUUGAGUGGAUGAUAUAUUAGGGAAUGUGUUGUUCUCUUUUUGUCAAACUAAAUAUGAGUGUAGAAGAAGCUGAUAUGCUAUCUUACGUAAACGACUUAUGAAGCUCGAAUUACUAAUCGAGCGAGCUCGAACUAGCUCGAUUAGAUGUUCGAGUCGAGCUCGAUUGUCGUGUGCUCGAGCUCGACUCGGCUAGUUUAACAGCUAAGGUAACAUGCAUCAAAGCAGGCUUAUUCUCUUAGUACUUUUUUUUUUUUUCUUUUUAUAAAACACAGGUGCAUUAACGCACGACAGAAGCACCCUAUCAAUCUAAGAUCCCAGCUUGCUUGUAGCUUUCGAUAGAGUCAACAAGAGUUUCUUCCACUGGCCUAUACCUCCAGCCCAGCCUCUCCAAUUUUUCUGAGCUAAUAUUCCAUCGGCUUUGAUCCUUCACCUCUAUAAGUCUGCGAAGAAAUGAGUUAUAUCAAAAAAAUAUGCAGACAACAUAAAUGGUUCUUGUAGAGACUCGUAGAUGCCACACUUUUGGAAAUGGAAAUCAUGACGGACAUGAACAAACAAGAAAAUCAGGACAAACGGGGUGUCUGAAAAAUGAGACAAUUAAUUUCAAAGAUGGUAAUCCACCUCUUAGGGUACUUGUAGUUGGCAUAGUUUUUCCUCAGAGUUUCCACCAUAUCUUUUGUCGUGGUGACGUGAGGUGAACAUAUGUACCGGCCUUCAGCUUCAGGUCUCCCGUAAACCAAAAGCAGUGCCUCGGCCACAUCACGCACAUCUACUGUGUUGUAGAAUUUGUUUUCUGUUUCUUCACAUCCGUCUGUGCAGCCAAGGAGUGAAACAAAAGAGCAGUUUAAUCUCAAAAAAGGAGAUGUUAUCUGUGCUAAUCUCUGAGUUCUUUACUGCAUAUAUGAAACCUACAAUCCCUUUGACAAAUAGUACAGCAAUAAAUUCAUGGGACUUUUGAAUUGCAAAGGACCUACAGGUCACAAUGUUAACCUUUUAUAUCUUCAACAAUGCUCCAAAGCAAAUCAAGCAAACAGUUGAAAGAUGCAACCUCUUCAGAUGUUAUGCCUAUUGUCUGUCUCAUCUUCCAUUAGGUCAAACUCACACAAUUUUCACAUCAAUAAAAUUUGAAUCGCUUGUGCAUGUGUCUGGAAAGAUUACAUUAGCACAAUUUAGUAUUUUUGGCAGCACUGCUCGUUUAAAUUUCCCUGCCAUCAAGCAGAAAAUUUAAUUCCAUUCCAACAGUAAAAGCCAAACACCACAAUCUUAGUUUUUUUUAGAUAACUUUGCAAGUUUUUAGAGCAUUGCCAAAAUCAUAAAACUAUCAGAAUGGCAGAUAGCUUACAGGUUUAGAAUCUGAAAACCUCAGCUGGCUUGAAGAUUAAAUAAAAAUGCCAAAAGACGGCAAAGCAGUUAUCUCCAUGAAUGUAGUUUCAUUCCUAGAAGGUCAACCGCAACCAGAUAGACGGAUUUUGUGAAAUUUUAUUGGCAUCAAUUCAUUGUGUAUCAUGUAAAUAACACUGGAAGCCAGAAGCAUAAAAAUGAUGGGUUACUUGGAAAAUUAGCUGAUCAACCACAUGAAGAAAUUCAAUUGUUUGACCUUUCAAGUACAAAAAAAGGAAAAAAUUGCUAAGCUUUAGAGGUCAUCUGAGUUCUAGAGUGACAUCCAUGCUCACUUAGGCACAAACCAAUAUCAAGGAGAAAACUGUAUCAUUUACGACCACUUCCAUGCAGAAGGUGAAAGAAAGAAAAAUAAAAUAUAACAUAACGGAAUAAGUUCUCCAAUUGACUACAAAGCACUAAUAAAUCACCUUUCAACAGCUUUAUAAGAGCCACACUGCUAGCAUUCACAUCAUGCUGAAGCAUGGGGCCGAGAACAAAGGAUGGGCAUACAGUUAAAACAUCAAGGCCAGUUUCUUUUGCAUAUUGUAAUGCCUCACUUUCAGCAACCGUCUUGGAGUAACAAUACCAGUUCUGGAGCAAUAUUAGUACUAGAUGGUCAGCCAGAAACAGAUAGUAGUUGCAAAAAUCUGAUUUCUCAGCAAUCUUAGAAACAGUAUGAAUAAGACAGUGAAUUUUCUGCACAAUUACAACACCAAGGUGCAACUGCAAAAAGUCAAAUUAUGUUGAUGCAUACAUUUGUUGCCUUGCAGUAUUCGCCGUCUGACCAACACUUCUCAUCUAUGAUUUCACCUUCAGGCAGAUUAGGACUCAUUACAACAGCUGCAGUAGAGGAAACAACUACAACGCGCUUGACAUUUGCUUCAGAACAAGCCUUCAGUACAUUAAGGGUACCCUUUACAGCUGGCUCAACAAGUUCAACCUGCAACAAAUCAUCAUGUUGGCAGAGGUACUAGCACUCAACUCUGCAUGCUAAACUGCUUGUUUUUGCGUAAAAUAUAUCCAGAUAGACAGCUAAGUAGUGUCAGUUAACCUGACAUCUUUAGAGUGAAUGAGUACAUAGUUAAAAGACUCAUGACUGCUUAUGCCUGUGAUUUAACUUGGUUACCAGCAUAGGUUAUUAUUAUAUGCAUUUAUUCACUCAUUUCAACAUUUGAAAAAUCCUUCCACGAAAUGAUAGAAAGACAAAGAGCCCCAGUGACUUCAUAAGUUUGUACAAACGCUUUAACAAGGUUCUAUUUUAAACGAUACCCAACUUUAGCUCAUGUUUGGCAAAACGCAAUAAAAUAUUAUCUGUUAUGACAAAAGCUGUCUCAUAAACAAAAGAUAUGUUAAAAAUGUUAUUCUGGGGAAACCAAAAGGAAGAAAUAUCAUAGCAAUUGAAACGAUUGAAAAUGGUCUUGCCUCAGGAUUGGGAACAGAGCCUGAAGGAACAGGACUAGCUACAUGAAAUACGCCAUCACAACCCCUGAUGGCUGCAGAAAUGGAGUUGUAAUCCAGCAAAUCAGCCUUAAAGAGUUUCAAAUUCUCAGCUGCUUUGUCAAGUUUCUUCAGAUGAACAUAUUUCUCAUCGUCUACAAAACAUACACAGCAAUGCCCACAUCAUCAAGUAACGAAGCACACAAUUCACAGCAGGUGCUUUUAUAUAUUUCUUCAAUUAAACAUAUUUCUCACCCUUCACAAAACAUUUACUGCAAUUCCCACUACAUCAAAUAGGAAACAGCCAAUUGACAGCAGGCAAAAAAUCAAUUGCGGUAUUAAAGGGAAUGAAACAAUCAUACAAUACCCAAAACAAAAACAAAAAAAAAAUGAGUAGUAAAUCAGGAAGGAAGGGUUAUGAGGAUGAAAUACGUACUGGGAUUUCUGAGGGUGGCAUGAACAGUAUAAUGGCGGGAAAGGAGUAGCUUGACUACCCAAGAUGCCAGGUAUCCCCCUGCUCCUGUAACACACACUGUCCUGUCCUUCUUAGCCUCCCACGCUGCCAUGUCUGAUUGCUUACCAGUAGCAGUAGCGGGAUUAGUAUUUUAGCACCAAAUUCACUAUAGACUGAUCAAGAAGGUGGGUGAAGUUCUAUUCUUUUCUUUUUUAUGAAUAUUAAUUCUUUUUUGGUUGGACAAGGCAGAGAUUUCGUCGAUUCUUAAAGAGGAGGACUGAAGAAGAGGGCGGUUGGAAGAGGAGGAGGAGGCGGAGGUGGUGGUGUUGGAAUUUUGAAUAGACGAGUCCUGUAUGUAUGAGCUAGCUGAUUCCAGCAGCCUCUGUCAAUACUAGGAGUAAUCAGCAGCUGGCAGGCUUGGGGGCUUAUAUAUAGCAGCAGACCAAUGGUCCUGUUGCGAUUUGCACGGCUCAUGGAAGACGUAUGGUUUCAACGCAGGGUUGGGCUGGGUUGGGUGGGGAAACGGUACUAAUGAUAAAUGUAUGUAUAAUGAAAUUUGAGAUAUUUCUAGCAAUCUGUUAGUAAAAUUUAUUUUUAUAAAAAAAAAGGAGUAAAGGAGCAUAAUAUUAUUAAGUUAUAGUAAAACUUGAUGCACAUAUCAAUAAAACAAGAUAUUCUGUGCAUUUGAAUACAAUAGUAUAAUAUGAUUUUACCAUUGUCGGAUGUUUAACAAAUUUAUUUAUUAAUGGAUAUUAAAGUGUUACAUUUUAUCUCAUAUUUUCCCAAUUUAUGACUCAGAUUUUAAAUUGAUUAACUCAUUAGAGAAUAAAAAACUCAUCCCGUUGCUAAAUUGGACAAGUGACAAAAACUCAUGUCCAUAAUGGGAUUUUACUUCUGACUCAAAUCCUAUAAUGCGAACCAAACCCCAAAUCACUCCAUUAUAACGGAAACACAAACUAAACUAUUUAAUAUUCAAAUCAAGUUCCGCUCAAUAACAGUUUGUUCGAAUUUGAUUCGCAAACUAAUCUAAUCAAGUUAGAAUAACAUUUUAUGUUUGAAAAAAUUUUUAACUGCAGCUCAAGCUUAGCUCAAUAAUCAUAAAAUUGGAUUUUAUAGAUAAAAAUUACUCGAACUCGACUCAAUAAAAAUUCUUUUGAACGUGACUUAGUAAAUAAAAAAGCCAAUCUUGAAUACUAUUUCAAAAUUCUUUAAAAUAAAUAACAAGAUACUUGGUUUGAUUAGACACAUUCACACCCCUGUUUUUCAUAUGCUCGAUAACAUAUAUUUUUGCCAUUGAAUUUUGGGACAUGUUUAUCAUUUUUUAAAAUCUUUUUUUUUUAUUUCUGGCUUUUAUAGGAAAAAAAAAACUAAAGGAUGUGUUCGGAUAGGAGACCGAUAAACUUUUCUCUCCCCCUCGCGCCUAAUUGCAGGUUAAAAGCAGUGUUUUGAAAACCGGACCGGACGGCCGGUUCGACCGGUUGGACCGCCAACCGGCCAUGAUUCCGGUCCGAUUCUAUGCUAUAGUUGACCAGGUUAGAAAACCGGUUAAACCGUGAAAACCGCCGGACCGGAUUGAACCGGCGGUUCUCGGUUUUCGAGAUUUCCCUUUUUUUUCUUUUUUUUUCUUUUUUUUACGUUUUGCAAAAUGCAGUUAUCAAGAUUCGAACUCAAGACUUUUGUAAUAGAAGACCAAUGUAGUAACCAUAGUAACCAUUGCACCAUCACAUCUUAUUAGUUUUUUUUGAUAACUUGUUUAUAUAAAACAAAAACUCAUAUUUCUUUUUGUCAUUUUUUUUACAAAAUCUAAUCCUCUCAUAGCUCUUUCUUUUUAAUCUUCAACACACACACACACACUCUCUCUCUCUCUCACUCUCUCCUCUUUUUUUUGUCACUCUCUUUUUAAUCAAACCACUUUAUUUUUAAUUUAUUGAUGUUUUCUUCCAUCUUUUAAUUUUAUUUUUGUCCAUUAAAUUGAAAAAGGUUAAAAAAGAAUUAUUUUUCUUUAACCCAAAUUAUUUAAUGCCACAACCACUCACUUUUAUCUCAUUUUUUAUUUCUUAUCAAGUUUGCAUUUCUAUUUUCGAUUCUCUUGACUUCUUUCGAACUCCAAAAUUCCUUUUUUAAAUUGCAAUUUCUAAAUCCCAAAACGUAAAUUAAAAUUUAAGUUCACAAAAUCUAAAUUCUCAUAGACAUGAAUUUUGUAUAAUUUUAAAAUAUUAUGAUAUUUUUGGGUUAGAUCUAAGAUUUUUUUGGUAGAUAUAAUUGAAAUUGAAAUGAAAUUUAUUUGUUUUAACUUAUAAUUUAAAAUUUUUAUUUUUAAAAAAUCAAGUUAUUCAAAAAUAGUAAACUUUUCAUCAUAUAAUGUAUUAAAUUAGUCCAUUACAUGUCUUAUUUUGUGCAUAAAUAUUUACAUAAAUUAUUUUUUAAAAAAUUCAUUGAACCGAGGUUGAACCGGUCCGACCGGUUAAAUCUCGACCCUUUCACGUCACCGGUUCAAUUAACGGUCCGGUUUUUAAAACAUUGGUUAAAAGGAAUAUCCAGUUCUUAGAUAACUUUUCUAGGCACAACUCUAGUUGUCAGAAAACUGGUCUACUUUGACUGUGGGUUUUCCUUUAGUCAGGCCAUUUUGUCAUUAGUGAUGAUUGCUUCUUCUAAACCUUGGCUAACUGCACACGCCAUGCGCAUGAAACUUCUUCUAAACCUUAGCUAACUGCACACGCCAUGCGCAUGAAAAUCCAAACUUCAAAUAAAAUAAUUUGAACUCGUCAACUUGCAAAAUAAGAUAAUUUGGGUUUCGUCUGAUAUGAGUAGUAAGGGAAAAUUUAAUUACUAUAUUUAUGAUUCUUGACUAAUGUGAUUGCUCAUCUAUCACCACGCAUCAGUUUAAUACCUUAUCUUCAUUUAAAUGUGACGAUUGUAGAAUUGAUGGCUGAAACUGAAAGGAAACUGAAAAAGAAAUGUCAUGUGAGUGCAUAUGCAUGGUUAAAACAAUACUCCCACAAAUUAUAACCAAUUCGAUCCCUUGUUUUUAAGGUUUUGAUCGUUUUGGUUCCUUGGUAUCAUGACAAGCCAAUUUUGCCUCUUAAAUUUAAAAAUAUGGUUAAGGAGAUCCUUUUGAUGGAAAUUUGAGUUGCUAAUGAAGUGAAGAGACCAUUUAGUGCCUUUCGUGUCACAUCCGUCUCAACACUAUAUUAAAGUUUCAAAAAAUCUCAAAUAAGUCAUAAAACUCAUAAAACAAACCCCAAAACUCUUUAUCGUGAAGAAAAUAAAUUUUUAUAACUUUAAAAUAAAUCAAACACAAUACCUUAAACAUAAUUAUGGAAUUUGUGCCAUUUUCGAGUUGAAAUAUCAUGAAAAGGAGUACCAAAAGGUGAAAGAAAAAUGCAUAAACUUAUGUUUGACAUAGUAUUAAAAACUUUUAUUUCAUUAUAUUGAAGAGUUUUGGGUGAGUUUAGGCUUUUAGGAUUUUAUUUGAAUGCUUGGUGUUUUCUGCGAGAUGGCACGAAGUACCCUCUAAGGUCUCUUAACUCCAUUAACAACUCUAAAUUAGCCUUGACCAAAUUCUUCAAAUUUAAGAAAAAUUGGUUCGCCAUAAUACAAAGGGACUAUUUUGUUAAUACAUUGGAGAUAAGAAACCAGAUUAAUUAAUUUUUGUUGUUUGCGUAACUCAAGGGAUUUCUCCGUUAGCUUCCCACAAUUUUGCUACAUUAGUCUCUUUUGAUGGAGAUAGAGCACCAACUCACAGUUGUAUUAGAACUUCACUUACGCUAUAAUCGUUAGGAUUUUCUUAUAUUCAUCCGACUACUCAAUAAGUAUCCUAUUUUAUAAUAACUAUCCUACACCUCUUCAAAGCCUGAUAAGAUGAAGAAAAUCUCUUUACUAGCAUCUUAAUGCCUUAUAUCCAGUAUUGAGGGAAAAAAUUUAAUCACAUUACAGUCUGAGAAUUUGAAUCCAGCAAUUUCACGGUCUGAUGUAGUCACCCCAAGUAGGUUCUCCAGUAAAACAGGGUAGUGAGGCAAAAUGUACAUCAAAUAGGUCAAUUGUUGAGCCCCUCGGGGUUCGGUUCCGUGGUUGUAGCCCCAGUUGGGGGAGAGCCACGUCCAGGGAUCGAGUCCCCGUUCUACCGUGGCUGGUGAUGCUUGAGGCGGGCCGCUCCCAGCCCGCAGUGGGAUUAGUUGGGCCGUACGGUAACCAGUCCAUGGGUCCAGAUACCCACUGUGAUGAAAAAAAAAAAAUAGGCCAAUUGUCGAUCUUUGAUUAUGUCUACACUUUCAAAAGAUAGGCUUAAUCAUAUUAGUGGAAAUAACUCAUAGUUCAUCAUAUAUUAAUUUGCUAUUCAAUUUAGUUUGAAUACAUGAUCAAUGUUAUUGUAUGCCAAAAAAGAUUGAGGAUACUUUUGACCUAGUUCUUUGCACUAACUUGAAAUCUUCCAAUUGUUCUUUCUUUGAUGCACUUGCAAAAUCUCCUGCAAAAGUAAAAUAACUCAGUUGGUGAAUUUUGGCUAACUGAGAGGCCCCAUCUUCUUUUUACUUCUUUAGCACAAGCGAAGAAUGAAUUUAUGCAUAAUAACCGUGUGAUUCUAAUGAGAUAUGAUUUUUUUGGUUUUGCAUGCUGGUUAAACAAUUGUUCAAGCUCUUAUCUUGGUUUUUGAUACUUCACCGGUAUGUGGAUGUUACUGCUAAAGAAAUUUACAUUUGUCAUUAGAAGAAUUUUCUAUUUUAUGACUGGCAAGUGAUUUGGUAUCUUAGCAGUUCAUCGAUUUUGGUGCUUUGUUUACAAUUUAAUUGGCUUCAAUGGUCCAUACAUAUAGGAACUUGGAAUUUACCCUUUUAUUUCCUUUUGCAUGAGCAAAGAUUAGUAAUUUUUAAUCAUAAUUUUCGAUUCCUCUAUUCUGGCCAUAGUGAAGAAAUCUACCUUUUUGUACUUGUGUAUAUGCACACCAAACAUCAUUGGGCUGUCUACUUUUGACAUUAUUCUUGAAUUACUCAGUUUAGAAUGUGUAUUAGCUGCUGGAAGCAAAUGCAUCAUCGUUGGCAAUUACCAAACAGAAAAUAUGCAUGCCAUUACUAUUUUCACUGAAAUUAGCAUCUAACUUAUAAUGAUCUAAUUAAAGGUUAACCACAUUGGUUUUGACUAGAACUAAGAGAUCACUAGCCCUCUUAUUUUUGGAUUUGCAUUAAUCCAGUAUCAUCAAACUUCUUCAAAUGGGCUCUUUAGCUACUAACCCCUUCAAAAAUAAUUUAGGCUUACGGUUCUGUUGAUGUCGCAAUUGCAGGAGGUUCAGAAGAUAACGAAAGGCUCAUCUAAGAUUUCUUAAGGUGUUUGGCUUAUAUUGCUAGAUUUACUUAAUCUAUUUUCAUUCUUCUCCGAUGUCAUUAUUGUUAAAGUUCAAUUCAUAAGUUGGUUGUGUUAGAAAAUUGGCUUAAUUUCUUUUUAGAUAGGUUUUUGUUUUGUGCAAAAGUAACUAGUUUCCUAAUUGGUUUUAGUUACUCGGAAUAGUAGCCAAGAAAUUUCUUAUUUUGUUUAGAAUUAGAAGUUAUUUCUUAUUUUCUACAAGUCUAGGAAUUAGAAUUAAUUUCCUGUUGUUAUUUGGAUUUUUUGACCAAAUAAUAUUUUUAUAAAUAGGUGGGUUGGCAUACUAUAAAAGAGACACAUAAGGGCACACAAGGACGACAUGUAACCUUAUACAUGGGUGGUGAGAGAGAGUUCUUAGGAGAUGAGAAAUGGUAUACAAAGGUUGGACUUGAGUUCGAGUUGUAUUCCUGUAUAAGGUUUUUCUCUCAUAAUAAAUAACAAGUUUCUCUCCGUGGACGUAGGUUCAAUGGAGUCAAACUACGUUAAAUAUUGUGUGUUGUUUAUUUUUUAUACUUGUGGCUUGUUUCUCAUUAAAUUAUUGUGUACUUGAUAUCUUAAUAGUUAUUUAUUCUGCAUUUAGUUCCUAACAAAUGGUAUCAGAACUUGAUUGCGAGAUUGGGCUGCUCACAAGCACUUGGAUCCCAACAAACUGAAUAGUUGGAUCAAGAGUUUGGUUGUUCAAGGAUGGAUCCUAGUUAGCUAUUGAGAUCAAGUAGGUUGGUGACUGUUACCAAUUGAACAAUUUAAUGGGCGGUAUCCUUAUUUCAAGAGUUUGGCAAAAAAGCAUUGACGGUGAAUGAUGAAAAGUCGAAAAGCAUGGAGAUACUUGACGGUGAAUCUAGGCAGAUGAUUCAAGAGUCAAGGAAAAUGUGGAAUCCAAUAUCGAUUUUGGACGUGAAUCGGUGGAGACUUUCUUACAACUUCAACGGUUGAUACUUCAUCUCGGUGAUUUUUAGAUUUCGCUUAUGUUUUUUGAGUGGUACGGCACGUGUCCCAAAAAAAUAAAGAGAUUUAAUUUCUAUGCGCUAGAAGACUCUGACAGUUACGAGUCUUUUGUUUCAGGUGAAUUUUUGGAAACCACACGUGGCGAGAUAGUCUUGAGGAAGGGAAGAAGUAUGAUGAUUUUAUCACUUGGUUGCCUCAAUGAUUAAGGUUAGAGCUCAUACAAGGAGAUUUUGGGUUGCAAGUGGUGGUGAGAAGAAAUCCUGUAAAGAAAAAUGGUGAAUUGAGGCAUCUUCUCACGAAUCAACUGGAGGUUGUACUAGGUGUAAAUACACAUAUUCAUUUGGCAAUUAAAUCAAUUUGGUAUCAGAACUGUAUUGAUUCGGGUGUGUAGUUCGGUACCAUAUUAUUUGGUAGUUGAAAGUAAAUAAUUGUUAAAAGAAAUUUUCGCCAAGAUAGAGAUUUGUUAGGAAAUUGAUUUAAUUUCUUUUCAGACAGGUUUUUGUUUUGUGUAGAAGUAACUAGUUUCCUAAUUGGUUUUAGUUACUUGAAAUAGUAGCCAAGGAAUUUCCUAUUUUGUUUAGGAUUAAAAAUUAUUUCCUAUUCUAUACAAGUCUAGAAAUUAGAAUUGGUUUCCUAUUAUUAUUUAAUUUUUUGGCCAAAUAAUAUUCUUUAUAAAUAGGUGGGUUGGCAUACUACAAAGAGACACACAAAAGCACACAAGAGACGACAUGUAGCCUUAUACAUGGGUGGUGAGAGAGGAUUUUUAGGAGAUGAGAGAUGGUAUACAAAGGUUGAAUUGGGGUUCAAGUUGUGUUCUUGUAUAGAAUUUUUCUCUUAUAAUAAAGAACGAGUUUCUCUCUGUAGAUGUAGGUUCAAUGGUGGAGCCGAACCAUAUUAAAAAAUAGUGUGUCAUUUAUCUUUCAUGUUUGUGGCUUGUUUCUCAUUAAAUUGUAGCGUACUUGAUAUCUCAAUAGUUGUUUAUUCCAUGUUUGGAUCCUAACAGACUGCUAAACCAAGAUUGAUGUAAUUGCGUCCUGUAAGAGAGUUUGCAAUUCAAUUGAUUAAGGGAAGAACAGAGAAAAUCCCUGAAAAUGGGAAUUAAAGGAAACAAAGGAAACCCUAAAACUAGUUUCCAAGAACAAUUCUGUCGAAGACAGAAAACAAAGAAAAUAGUAUCAAAGGCUAUAUCGUUAUUUAGGAAACAAGAAGCACUUGAAGGUGAAUGUUGCAGAAAGUAGAAGAUCCCACUACAAUUUACUAAUUCAAGGAGCUGUAAUUAAGAAAGAAAGAAGACAACUCAGAGAAUUAGGGAUUGUUAUUAAUUGAUGAAUGAGUAGGAAGAAUGUAGAUGAAGAUGAUAAUCAAUUACAAGUAAUGGAAAUCGGAAAUCCAAGAACUGCCUUCAACUUACCACCCUCCUCUCUUUUAUUCGGCUACUACACUUGUCCAAGUCAGCUAAUUCAUUACAACCAACCGACAUACAAGAAUUAUAAGGAUUUAUUCAUUAAGUCCCUAUCAUACUCGCUUUAUUACAAAAAAAAAAAAAAAAAAAAACCCUAUCAAUAAAACUAAGGUAACAAACAAUGUUUUCAGAACCGGACCGGACCGGCUGGUUCGACCGGUUGGACCGCGAACCGGCCAUGUCACCGGUCCGGUCUAAUGCUAAAGCCGGAAGUUCAUGGAGAACCGUUGAAACCCGGACGAACCGGACGAACCGUGCGAACCGUUAAGAACCGUGAACCGGCGGUUUUUUAAAUUCUUCAACAAAAUAUCAAGAAUGGUGUAGCUAAGAUUCGAACCUGGGUCUCCAAGUUUGGAUAUGACAAUCUCACCGCUAGACUGUAGUUAAAUUUGUUGAGAAUUCUACUUGACUAAAAAAUAUAUUAAAACAUCAAGUUCUUCUCUUAUUUUUUUUUCAAUUUUUUCUUCUUAACCAUUUUUAACCCAAAUAUCCACAACAAGAUUUUCUCAAGUCUUCACCAUUAUUAUCAGGUUAUUAUCUUUAGCAAAUUGUAAACAAGUUGAAAAUUUCAACUUUUCUUGUUUUCCAACAUCUUAGUAAGUUUAAUUUUUUUCUUUUCAAGGUUUUUUUUUCUAUAUUAUUAUCUUUAGUUGAUUUUUUGCAUUUUCUUCUUUUUCCCCUCAAUUUUCAUAUGUUUCCCUCAUUUUUGUUUUAUUUUUAUUCGAUUAAUUAAGGAUGAAAUUUUUGCAAAAGUAGUGCACAUUCGUGUAGGAAUUGGGUAGGAAUUACAAAUAAUAACAUUGGGCUGGUCAAAAAUAUGGUAGUUGGCACAUAAUCGAAGCUAUUGAUAAUUGAAUUUAAAAUAAUUAAUGGUAUAGGAUCAUUGAAUUUAAUAUAACAUGUUAAUUAGUAAUGUUUAGUAGCAAUUAAUUUUUUAUGUGUUUAACUGUAUAUUUGUUUUUCAAAAAUUUUUAGUUUUUUUUAGUUUGAGCAAUUAGAUUUAUAUUUUUAUAAUAAAAUUUUAACUUUUUCAUCUUAAGUUGAUGAAAUUGUGAAGGUGGUGUGGUUGCUUAUCAGGCCACUGAUAAAAGUUUGCUAUUCAAAUAGUUUGUCUUAACUUGAACUCUUUUAUGGAUUUUUUUAAGGGUUGUAAAAGAAUUUCAAUAUUUAAUUUAUUUAUUUUUUGUGUUUUUAUUUGUGAUAAUUGGUGAACAUUUGGAUUGUAUCUAUUUAUGUUUAUAAUGAAUUUAUGAAAACUUAUGGUGAAUUAUGAUAUUUUAAUUAUAUUUAUCAUUCCAUGUUUUAUGUAUAAUUUUUAGAAAAUUUAUUAUUAUCAUAACUUAAAUUAAGUUAUGUUGGUAAAGUUCAAGUGUAGAAUGAAACCUACUUAGUACUUAACAAAAAAAAAAAAAAAAAAAAAAAAACAGUGAACCUUUGAACCGGCCGGUUGGACCGGUCGGACCGGUCGAACCGCGAACCGGCCACCUCUCCGGUUCACUGACCGGUCCGAGUUUAAAAACAUUGGUAACAAAUACUUCCCCCUCAGAGAAUCCUUGUCCUCAAGGAUUAAAUUCAGGAAAUUGUUGUUUAAGGUCAAACCAGAAUUCCCAGAUAGCAUCUUCAAGAAAAGAAUUGCUUCACUAUGCCAAAACUUUUGUAGCAAGAGAGUUACCACAUUUCACCAAUUUCUGAUCAAGUAUGGCUAUAGGCUCCAUUAAUAAUUAUCCCUGUGUAUUGAUUGUGUAUUGAUUGCAAAAGGAAUGUGUGAGGUAACUAGUGAGUGCCCACUUUCUUCUUUAGAAGAGAUACAUAAAAAAUAGAGUGUAUUUUUGCCAUAUUAGGCAGCUAAAGCUGAUAUGCAACAGGGUGUACUCUUUUGAUCACUUGGAAAGGUCCAAAAAACUUAGAAGCUAACUUCUGACAAGAGUGUACCUUCAAAGAGUGUUGCCUCUACAGUUGUAGUUUCACAUAUACCCAAUCUCUUGCUGAGUACUGUCUAUCAGACCUGUGUUGGUCAGCUUGUUGCUCCAUCCUAUUUUGUGCCUUAUGAAGGUUGUACUUUAAGUGAUGCAAAACUAUCUCCCUUGCUGCCAAGAUUCUAUCCACCACUUCCACUACUGAAUUCCCAAGUAGACAAGGCAUAUGCAGAGAUGGUGCAUGACCAUACACCACCUCAAAUUGGAUAACCUUAGUGGCAGCAUGAAAUUUGGUAUUGUACCAAUAUUCAGCCAAGGGUAACUAGAUAGACCACUGCUUUGGAAAAUCUCCACACAUGCACCUCAAAUAUUACUCCAAACACCUGUUUACCACCUCAGUUUGACCAUCUGACUGAGGGUGGUAGGUAGAAGAGGUAUUAAUCUGCACUUUUAGUAACUUAAAAAGUUCUUGCCAAAAAGUGCUAAUGAAGACCACAUCCUUGUCACUAACAAUGCUCUGAGACAAGCCGUGAAGUCUACAGAUCUGAUCCAGGAAUAUGUGCAAAUAUAAAUGCUGAAUAAGCAUGUGACAAUGCCAAGAAGUGUGCAUACUUACCUAACUUGUCAACCACCACCAAGAUGGCUUGUUUACCAUGUGCAUUAGGUAAACCUUCCAUAAAGUCCAUGGAAAUUCACUCCAAACCUUUUGAGGCACACGUAAAAGUCGUAAUAAACCCAAAUCAGCAGUAUUGUCAUAUUUGUUGCACUGACAGACAUCACAUGCAGCCACAUAGUUGACUAUGUCUUGAUACAUUCUUCUCUAAUAAACCACUGACUUCAACUUCUUUUAGGCAGCAUAAACUCCUGAAUGCCUCCAACAGCACUAGAAUGCCACAAGUGAAUUAUAUUAUUCUUGAAUUGGCAGUCAUUUUCUACCACUAGUCUCCCCAUCCUCCUUAACUGCAAGUUGCUCCAUGUGUAAUAAGGUGAGACCUUAGAAAGAUCAAAUUGUAAUUGAGUGAUGAAGUUCUAUAGCCUUAUAUCUAUUUGCCAUCCCUUUUUAAUCACUAUCAAAGAUCACUGUUAACAAUGAUGAUGGCAAGAGCUUCUCUUGGUUCUGCUAGUUUUCUAAAGAGAGUAUCUCUCACCAUAUUAUAUGCUUCUUUCCUGUAGUGAAGCUCAUAAUAAAAUCUUACUAGCUUAGCCAUCCAUUUCUGCUGCAUAAGAGUAGGGCUGUCAAUGGUCCGGGUCUAGACCCGGACCCGAACCGGAUCCGUCAAAUUUAUUCGGGUAUGGGUAGGGAUUUAAUUCCGUUACCCGGACCCGGAUCCGGAUCCAUUUUGCCAAACAAAAAAACGGGUCGGAUACGAAAUAUAGUAUUCCGACCCGUAUUGGACCCGGAUCCGGAUAUAAAUGGAUUACUAAUUUAAAAUAUAUAUAUUUAUUAAUAUAAUUUGAUUAGGAUGAUGUAUUUGAGUAAUCAAUAUAAUUGGACCCGGAUCCUAAUCAAUAUAAUUUGAUUAGGAUGAUGUAUUUGAGUAAGGUUAAUUUGAUUUCUUUUCUUAUUUGAUUUUUUUUGUAUUAGUUAGAAAUUAGUUUAUAAAUAUAUGUUUUUUCUCAUUUUUGUUAGAAAUUAUAAAUUUUGUUAGUUUUUUUUCGGGUAGACCCGGAUCCGGAUCCGGGACCCGUCGGAUCUGGAUCCGGAACAUAGAGUAAAGACUCAUCGGGUAAACGAGUCGGGUCCGGAUCCGAUAUAGUGUGCCGGGUCCGGGUCUGGAAUAAUGAAUUCCGGCCCGGACCCAGCCCGUUGACAAGCCUACAUAAGAGUGUUCAAUCUUUGUUCCAUCAUAUAUUCAAUGCUCUAAUGGUCAUUUUUAAUGAUAACGUACCUUCCAGGUAGAUAAGGUCUCCACUUCUAUACAGCAGCAACUAUGGCCAAUAUUUGCACUUUUCCAAUAUACUAUCAUAUGCUAUUCCCCCACACACCUAAAUCUUACAUUGUCCCCAAUGUAAAAUAAAGAAUAAAAGAAAAUUAAUGGGGAUAACGAAACUUCCUUGAUAACUGAGGGGGCCGUCGACAGCUACAGGUGAGGGGCGAAUGACUGUGGAGCUCGACGUAUGUUGAUGGUUGGCGGCGGUGGAGUUCGGAUGGAAGAAAGAAAGAAAGAAGAAAGAAAAAGAAGAGAGAAAGAAAGAAAGAAAAAGAAAAGGAAAAAGAAAGGAAAAGGAAGAGAAAAGAAAAGGGAAAUACGAAUGGGAAUUGCUCCAAUCCGAGCUGGUUUUUUGUACUAUUACUUUGCUUCUUGUACGAAGCUUGAAGAUGCAGCAAGCGCGGAAAUUUUUUUUUUUUUACAUCUGAUUUUGAUUUUUUUCUUUUUCCUUUUCUGUAUUUCCUUUUCUUUUCUUUCUAAUUUUUCUGCAAAAACAAUCAAAUAGAAAUCAAAUGAGAUGGAAUGAUUUUUUUUAAAAAAAAGGUAAAAAUAUAAAUAGAGAUAAAUAAAUAAUAAAUAAAUAAUAAUAGUUAUUAACAAAUCAUAAAAUGAUUUAUGAAAUUUUUUUGGUGUCUACAUAUAUACACAUACUAAUAAUUUUUAUAUUUAUAUAUUUUUCUUAUUUAAUCUUACCUAUAAUUCUUUCUUAUUUUAUUUACUUUCUCUAAUUAAUUUUAUAUUUUUAAAAAUAUAACAUCUAAAAAUAUAUAUUAACGAAGAGGACAUCCGUUAGACAGGUCCUAUUUUAUGUAGCAUAUAUGUCUCUACAUGAAAAAAACUUUUUUAAUAGGUAUCCCGUUUUUUGACAUGAAAAAUACCUUUUGACUACAUUCUGACUAGCGCCAAAAGCUAUCCACUUUUGACAUGCUGCCCAUGGAGGCCUAAUUUUUUUUAGUACUGAAUUUGUUUUGGAUACGUUAGUAUUUCUUGAAUUUUAGAAAAUGCUUCUCUUUAAUAAAUGUAAGUUCAUUUUAAUCUUGAUUCGCAAGCUUUUUCUCGUAAAUGGUUUGCCAUUUCUUAUUAGUUGUUACAGUAAAUUUAACAUGCAUAUAUGCUUUUUGUCAAAAUUCAAUCAUUUCAAAAUCUAGAAGGGAACUUCUAAAAUACCUGCAUCCUCCUUUUUCUUUUUUCUUUUUUAUUUUUCCCCCUCUUGGCUUUGUAUUCAGAAUCAGAUUGUGUUCAAUUAGUUGGAAUUUGGCUUUGGAGUUAGAAGGGAUUUCCAUUUUUUCCUAGGUAUUCCACAGCUUGCAUACCAAAAGCACAGAGGCGGAAGAAAACCUAUGAUUAAAUCAUACAACAGGCUUGUAAGAAAAUGCCCACUUUGAAAAAAAUGAAAAGUUGAAUUUCCUAUUUUCAAAUUUACAUGCAAAAAAUGAAAAAUGACAUGCAAGAAAUAGUCUACUAUUUCGCAAUGUUUCAUAGUUAUGAGAAAUAUAUUACAAAUAAAUCCACAUAAAUGGUGGGAAUAAUAACUCAAAUAUGGUGGGACAAAUAAACAUACAGGGUGACCCCUGCCAGCUGAGAUAACUAGCUGGUUUAUUUAAUUUAAUAGUUUGAAUACAAUAGUAAAUCAAUGCCAUAGCUCAGAUACUGACUAAAUUUUUCUCCCUGAAGAAUUCAACAGCAUCUUUUAGGCUGACCUCCAAAGGAGUGAAUCCAACUCCCAACCUUUUUGCCUUCUCAUUGGAGGCUCUGUAGUUUGGGCUGAUAAGGUUGGUAUUGUUUGACAUUCUGCUGUAUGCGGGACAAUACACAAUUAUGGCAAACAUAAAUAAAGCUUAGGUAAUGAAAAUGCAAAUGUAAAUUCAAAUGCUUGAAAAUCUACUGGACAAUUGCCUCAUAUCUACUGUAAAUUGUGCCUUUUUUACGAAGUUUCAAAAGACCUUUUAAAAGAUAACUUUAGUUGUGAUAUGAAUGAAAUUUAUUUUUCUCUAAAAAAAAGCCUAAAACGGAAUUUCUAUUUUGGAGACAAAGCCAAUUUGGUGAUAUAUCCUAGUCCAAAGAAGACCAUCUUCUAGAAAUCAACCUGAGAAAGAGCUCAUUUUUUAUGGAACAUGAGACCAAAAGAAAAAAAAAAGAAGGCAGAAAAUUUAGGAUUUAGUGUCCUUUAAAAGAGAGUAUAAAAAUAUGUGAUACAUUUUGGACGUAUACAAGGCCAUCAGCAAAAGCCUGCAAAGACCUAAACAAGGAAAACAAGACUUACUUAUCAGGAAAUUGGUGAGUUGGGUAAUGCUCAUGCAAAAUCUUGAUGAUCUGAGAGGCAUUUGCACAUCUUUCAACCAGACAAUAUCUUCCACUUGCAGAAGGGGUUUCAAGGGCAAGAACAUGUGCAUAGGCAACAUCUCUAACAUCAACCCAGCUACAUGUUGCCUUAGGAAAUGGUUCAACCCCUGCAUUUGGCACCUAAGAUCUUUAAACACAUUUUUUUGCAGGCUCUUCAGCAACAUAAGUGAAACUGUGCAUACAAUUAAAUACAAUGUUGUUUGCCAUGAAAAGAGUCAAAUUUAGAGGCCUUCCAGAAGAAAUGUGUUGUAUGUACUACUUUGUUCUGUUUUAGUAUCAGCAAAGCCACAGAGGGGAGGGAGAUGUGAGGAAUGAACUAGUUGAGACAAUUCAGAUAAUUGGUGAAUAAUAAGAAAGAUUAAUCCCAACAAUCUACUAGCUAAUCUGUCCCUGGAAUUUCUCAGAUUUAGAGUUAGGUUUCUCUUUCAAAGGAUAGUUUAUUUAUUUAUGUGAGGAAUAAACAAGCUUUAGCAAGUCUGAACAACAUAAACAGUGACUACUCCUAACAAAUUUUUCCUCACAAUUACCACCCAAAAAUUUCUUUUCCUUCCUGUUAAUCACAUAGAACCUCAAUGUUGUUGAAAGGAAGAUGCACACAACGUGAAUUUCAGAUGAAAGAUUGUCCUGCAAACCUUUAAAACAUCAUAAGCUGGUCAGAGUUUAUAGCUUGAUAUAUCAGUUCACAUUCUGACCUAUGUCUGUCAAUCAUGUGAUUAGCCAGCAGUGCCUUGAAAUGUUAUUAGUCAUAAGUUUUUUGUUCUACUGUAACAAAGAAAGUUGUGGUGCAUAAUAAAGCUAUAACUAACAUAGAUGGAAGAGUCAGUUAGACAAUGAUUACUAAGGUGAUUCAAUAAAUUUUGAAACAAACCCUUUAAUAGGUUGAGGAACAAAACAGCGCUCGAAUUAACAGAUGGCUGCAAGAGAGGACCAAUGACCAAUCCUGGAUGAAUUGUAAUCACGUCAAUGCCAUGAUCCUUUGCAAAUUUCCAUGCAGCAUUCUCGGCCAUGGUUUUUGAAAGUUCAUACCAAGACUAUCAACACCAAAAAAUCAGUAAAUGUUGGUAAGAUGGUAGCAGAAAGUAAUUAGAUUUGUAAACUUUAAGAAGUAACAUUAUAAAUUUAUACAAAUUUGACAAAACCAGCAGCUAACAUCAGUUGGAACUAUUAUUGCUGUAGCUACAGACCACAGAGUGAAAGUAUCCUCAUUUCCUAGGACAAGCUAUGCUCUAAGUGAAUAAGUAGAUUUCUCAAGGAUCCUAGCAAUGGUGUAAACUUUUUAUAUUCAAGGAAUGAUGCAAAGCACCAGAGUGUCGACAUAUCCUGAUCAUCUGAUCUCUUAAUCCACAAGUUAACAGCAAAACUACAAGGGACCUUGACACUUGAACACAUAGAGCCAUAUUCAUGAUAUUAUAGCAGAAGUUCCUUUUCAACUGACCAACCAAAUAUUCUAGGUGUGUAUUCUCAGACAAUAGUAUAGAGUUUGAUAAUGCAAGAGAUGCAUAAUUGAGUAGGAAAACUUUCAUAUUGCUCUUUCCUCGACUAUUCCACACUACAUUAUUAAUUUUUCAUUAAAGUUAAGUUGUUACUUAGAUAGAAGGAAAGAAAGGGACUGACCAUUCUGGUCACAAAAAUAUCCUUCUUUUUGCCUAUUAAAGUACCACCAAGUCAUGAAGAUCCUAACUUAAUUAUCUCCACAGCUGGGCUAACUCCUCAUAUGUGUCCCAAUAACAAGUUAAAACUAAAGAAUUCCAGCAUUCCAUAUUAGAUUUUACUGGAAGAAGACAGAUAAUAUGUGUACCUUUUGCUCCUCACAGUAUGAUGGAUCGGAAAACCAACUUUCAUCAACUACCACAUCCUCCUUUAAUUCUCUGUUUUCUGAAACUGCAACCAUAGAGGAUGUUAUAACUACUCUUUUGACAGAAGAAGAAUUUGCACAUGACCGCAGCACAUUCAGUGUUCCACUUACUGCAGGUUCCAGUAGUUCUGCCUAUGAAAUCAAACCAAGUAAAAAAGGAAGUCAUUACCAGUCAUAGGUAAGACUAUGCUUUUAACCUGCAAAAAACUUAUCAUUCUGGUAUUAUGUUUGAGAAUUUCACCACAAAUGCUGUAAACCUACAGCUUUAGUUACUUAGCUAAAGGAUGCAUAUAGUUGUCUUAUCUCCUCUUGCUGCUAAAAUAAGUUCUCAGGUCCUUUAUUGUUGUUUUUUCCCAUAUUAGUUACUUAAGACCGAUAGAGGAACAACUGAAAUAAGUCUCAGAUGUGGUCACCAAUUAAACCGUUUGGUACCAAAUAUCAACCGAUGAAAUUCUGUUCUGGCUUGAACAGGACAGACAGAAAAUAUAAAAGGUGUAGCUCCCAUGAAUCCUGCGAACAGAUUUUAGCGUGAACACAUAAUGCAUGUUGCAAUUUCUUUUAGUGUCUAUGAGUCAACCUUGUUCAUUGAAAUGACUAAAAUCAAAGUUCUACAAAGUUACUUAAAUAAAAAUCCAUAAACACAAUUUGAGAAACAGACAAUGAUAAGUGUACUGCAUAAAAUUUUAAGGCACAAUCAUUAAUAGAAGUUAAUCAACUUACAAAUGAAGAUACAUAUAAUUUGCAGAUGCUUGAACAUAUAUUGUAGUUUCUAUAAGCUUCUUAUUCAUUCUGGUAUGGGCACGCAAAAGCUAUUGGCUCUACACUGGCUGAAUAAUUAGUUGGUCAAAGCAGGGAUUCAUUUGCUCCAGGACAAGCUUAUAGCUUGCUCUAUAACCUUACCCUGACUGACUUACCCAGGAAAAUAGUUAGUCGGACCCAAUCUACUGCCCAAUUGUGGACCAUUUGCUAUGUUUAUGGCUCUUAAUGUUUUUAUUUCACAACAUUACACCCUUUGAAUUGUUUCUCUGAAGUACCAAUUUCCAGAUCAUUUCAUAGAAACAUCAUGUAUACUGAUUAAAAAGAGACUAAAGCACAUAACACACGACAGUCUUUUUUGUGAAUGACCUGCAGGAACAGAUUAGUUUUGUAUGUACCAAAUGUAAAGAAAUAUUCUUCAGGUGUUUGACCUGAUUGCUACAUUAAUCUCCUCCCUUUGGUUAAUAAAAGAAAACGUAGAGCCAUAGAAUUGGAAACAUGGUUCGCCAUCGCGGGUCGCGGUCGCGUCACGGUCUCAGUUGUUCCACAUCCGUCGCGAUAUAUCGGUUGAAUAUCGGGUGAUACGAACAAUAUAACACAUUAAAGUUUUCAAAAAUUUUGAAAAAAUUACUAAAAUUAGAAAAUACUAAAAAAGACACAAUUUAAAAAAAUAUCGGAGUCGACUCCGAGUUGACUCGGAUAUAUCGGCCGAUAUCAUGCAUCACGAAUUCGAAUCGAUCAAUAUCGGCCGAGUCAGAGCGAGUCAUCGCGGAUAUGGUGAUAUCCGCGAUUCGGGGAUCGGUAUCGUAUCGGUCUCUUCUGUUCCAGAUACGACUCGGCCGAUACGUAUCGGUAUCGGCCGAUAUGGCGAACCAUGAUUGGAAACAUUUGAGUCUAACUCUUUUUUUUUUUGCCUUUACAGUUAUAACCUUGUCAUAAAUCACAUAUAGAGGAGUAGACUAUCACCCAAAAAAGCCAGUAAAAAUGCAACAGAGGAAGAUACUAAAAGAAGUCGCACAAUUAUAAAUCAGAAAGUAUGCUACGAUUUUCAAACUUCAAGAGAUAAAUAGCAGAUUUUGUAGACAGUAGAGAAUUUCCAAUCUUGUAAAGCAAAUGUACCUCUGGAUUGCUGAAUGAAAGUUUGAUUGGAGAUGCAGUAUGGAAAACCCCUUCACAUCCCUCGACUAUUGCAUCAAACGAUCCCUCUUCUAGUAAGUUUGCCGAGUACAACUGAAGCCUUUCCUUAGCUCCAUCAAGUGAUGUCAAAUGUUGUGUCCUUUCCGGAUCAUCUGUGUCAUGAUUGCAUCAGUAGAAUGUUCAGACAGCUAUAGUCAAAACCAUGCCGCCUUGGUAAAGUGUACUAUGUUUUCACUAUGGCGCAACUCAAGAAGCAAUGGACUUAGAGCAAUAAUAAACGAACCUCAAAGCAAUGAUAAAUUUGACUAGCUAAAGGCAAGCGGGGAAAAACGAAAAGAAAUUGACGGGCAACAUAAUAUGACCACAAUAAUAUCAUAGCCCUAUGAUUUCUGGUUUUAAGAUGUGUACAUUUGUAACUUUCUUGAUAACAAUUAAUUCUUGAGAUAAUUAUCAGAGGGACAAUUGUAUGCCAUCUACCACUAUUUUUAUAACAAACUCAGUCCUUCAGAAGAAGGAUAUAGAUUCGAUAGGCUAAAGAUUUUUUAGUGUAACUUGAUCGUUGUAUCUGGAGCAUGAAACAUUACUGUUAAGGUAUACAUUAUAUAGUUUCAGCUACUCAAAUAUCAAUUAGGUUGGUCCACAUCAAUUUUUUUUUUUUGCAUGUGAUUUUCUUUUGAGCAAACAGAACAUGGGGAGCAUUUAGCCGUUGCAAGAAUAUCAUCUGGAGCUACAAAACAAUUUCACACUGCAGAGUUGAAUAAAAAUGUUGGGCAAAUUACAUAUAAUCCUCCUGUGGCUUUGUUUGUUGCCACAUGACCCUUCUAACAUUUUAAAAUAUCCAAUUCACCCACUAUGAUUUUAUGUAAAGCGGAAACUUGAUGGAGAAUAGCCUAUAUAAUGUCGUUAAUUGAAAUACCAUUAGUACUUUUACUUAAAUGCUAAAUCGACAAUUUAAUUACCUUCUAUAAAAGUAUAAGUGGAUUAUAUGGAUAAAUAUAAAAAUCACAGGAGGGAUAAAGUGGACAAUUAUAUAUAAGAGAAUUACAUUGAAAUUAAGACUUUAUCACACGCUUUUAGAGCGCGUUUGGUAUAAAUGCCGUAACUAAUUGUGCAUUCCAUCAUUUUCCGCUUUACAUAUAACUAUGGGGGUAUGUGGCUAUUUUGAAAUCUUAGGGGACCAACUAGCAUUAUAUAAAAUCACCCUAAAAUAUAGUUAUAAGUAAUUUACCCUAAAAUGUUAGAUUCCAGGAGCAAUUAAACAACAAUCAGAACAGGGCAUCAAAAACUGCACAAGCCACUAAGAUAGUUGAUCAAGAACAAAAACUGGACUUACAGGCAUCUCGAACUGAACCUUUAACAGUAUAACCGCGCUCGAGCAGCAGCUUCACCAGCCAUGAAGCUAUGUAACCCGAAGCUCCGGUCACACACACCAUUUUCCCUUCUCCUGCUCCACUCAUUUUGUUAAUAUUUUUGUGUGUGAACCUGUCACCUGUUUGCCUUACUUCUGGACUUAAUGGAGGGAGGCAUAUAUGGUGUAUAUAUAGCUAUGGUGAAGAAGACGAAAGAUUGGAUAUGAGAUUACUGGGAGACUGGGGAGAUCCAUAUGUAUUCUUGCAAUUUGCAUGCAUCAUCGCUGACAUACGUAUGGUAUAAUCGCGUCACAUCCCAUUUUAUCAAGGUCAAUUGAUCAGUGUAAAAUAGAAAUGAACAAUAAAUACAAUGGUAAAUUACCUUCUACACCCUAUGGUUUGAUGUUUUAUCACAUAACUCCCUAUAAUUUAAAAACCUAUAUAUGACCCUUUCGUAGUUUGGGUUAUUGUGUCACUUUAGCUUGUUCUGUUAAAACUAACGGUCAAUAGUAAAAAGUCAAAUUCAAACUACUAAAUUGACAAAUUCACCAUUUCACUACUUUUUUUUUCUUGUUUUCCUUUUCUUUCUUUCCUUUUUUUUUCUUGGAAAGAGAAGAGAUGACUUUGAAAACUUGUAUUUUGGCUUACAAAACCUUAAUUGUUUCCAAAUACAAAAGAGACAGAAGGGAAAUAAAAAUAAAUCAACAAGAAACAAAAAAUAUGGAAGGUAAAGAUAUAACAAAUAAAUAAGAAACAAAAAAACACCAAAUCUUUUUUACUAUGAAUAUCAUUAUAGGUUUUUAAACCAAAUCUUUAAUAGUAUUUUCUAGUUCUUAUUUAUCUAUUUUUUAUUCCAAUUUCUUCUUUUUGAUGUUUGGAGGAAAAAAAAAAACAAGUAAUGAAGGGAUAAAUUUGUCAAUUUAUUAGUUUGACUUUUUAAUAUUAACUGUUAGUUUUGACGAAAAAACUAAUAAUGACACAUUAACUCAAAUCAUGAGGGGGUUAUAUAUAGUUUUUAAACUAUGGGGGUUAUGUGAGAAAAUACCAAACUAUAGAGGUUAAAAUGCAAUUUAGCCUAAAUCCAAAAUUUGGCGGUUGCAUAUGAAAAAAUAACAAGGUUCUUGACUUUGCUCAAUACAAUUCCAAGUCUAGAGACACAAUUUUUAAAUUCACUACCAGGAUAAACCAUUCUCCUUUUUUUUUUCCAUUUUUUCGGGUUAAAAAGUACAAACUACUUGAACUAGAAACUAGUCCUGACAAAGUUUGUGGGUUUUUUGCAAGAGUUUUAGUUAAAUAUUGGUUACUUCGCCUAAUUUGCACCUAUUUUAUCAUGUAAAUGCAUGCACACUUUUAAAAAAUAAUGCAUGCACUUAUAUUAUUGCCUUUCUUACAUUUAAAUACUUUUUUCAAUUUAAUUUUACUUUUCUGGCAAAACUAAAUCUGAAGCCCAUUUCAAGAAAUAUCCACCGAAUACCAGGUCAACAAACCCCCUUCGUAAUAAAGAACGAAAAGGACCGCAGCGGUCUUUAACUUUUUUUUUUCUGACAUUUUCUUACUGAAGUAAGAAAACUGGUCCACACCCUUGAACACGCAGCGGUCUUUAACACGCAGCGGUCUUUUUGCAUCUAAGAAAGCUUUUGAUUGGCUAGAAAUCCUUCUCUGAUUGAGAAAUGGGAAUUGACUUGAUGAUGGCAACUCCAUUUAGAAAACUGGUCCACACCCUUGAAUGUGGUUUAAAUUUAAUAACACCAUUUCAUCAUUUCUGACGACUGCUUCUUCUAUAUCCUAGCUCACUGCACACGCCAGUCGUGUGAAACUUGGCAAAAGAGUUGCACCCUCCGUCCUAAAAUUGUCUGUCGCAUUUCGAGAUCCAACUUUUUAAAAAUAGCAUGAUGAUGAUAUUUGUAGAUUUGUUUUAAAAAUUGUCAUCAAAAAUUCAAAUUUUAAAUUGAAUUUAGUAUGAAAUAUAGAUAAAGAUUGGAAUAACAUUGAAAAAAAGAGAUGAAAAGUUAUUUUGAUUUUGAUAAGAUGAUAAAUAUUUUAGAACGUUUCAAAAUAAAAAAAAUAUAUGACAUUUUCAAUGAAACAAAAGGAUGGAGAGAAUAUAUAUAAGAUACUGAAAACUAGCAUCCAUCAGAAGCAGUCAAAUCAAAGCCAACAUAUUACUUGUAGUUUGGGUAGCCCAAAAAUUUAGCAAAAUAAAUUAGGAAAUCAAGUGCGAUAGAGAGCUCACUGCACACGCCAGUCGUGUGAAACUUGGCAAAAGAGUUACACCUCCAUCCUAAAAUUGUUUGUCGUAUUUCGAAACCCAACUUUUUAAAAAUAGCAGCUUGAUGAUGAUAUUUGUAGAUUUGUCUUAAAAAUUGUCAUCAAAAAUUCAAAUUUUAAAUUGAAUUUAGUAUGAAAUAUAGAUAAAGAUUGGAAUAACAUUGAAAAAAAGAGAUGAAAAGUUAUUUUGAUUUUGAUAAGAUGAUAAAUAUUUUAGAACGUUUCAAAAUAAAAAAAAUAUAUGACAUUUUCAAUGAAACUAGGAGAGAAUAUAUAUAAGAUACUGUAGUUUGGGCAGUCAAAUAGCCAACAUAAAUUAGUAGCAGAAACCAAGUGCGAUAGAGAGCUCACUGCACACGCCAGUCGUGUGAAACUUGGCAAAAGAGUUACACCUCCAUCCUAAAAUUGUUUGUUAUUUCGAAACCCAACUUUUUAAAAAUAGCAGCUUGAUGAUGAUAUUUGUAGAUUUAAAAAUUGUCAUCAAAAAUUCAAAUUUUAAAUUGAAUUUAGUAUGAAAUAUAGAUAAAGAUUGGAAUAACAUUGAAAAAAAGAGAUUCACGUUUCAAAAUAAAAAAAAUAUAUGACAUUCAAUGAAACUGAUACUGAAAACUAGCAUCCAUCAGAAGCAGUUCAAAGCCAACAUAUUACUUGUAGUUUGGGUAGCCCAAAAAUUUAGCAAAAUAAAUCAAGUGCGAUAGAGAGCUCACUGCACACGCCAGUCGUGUGAAACUUGGCAAAAGAGUUACACCUCCAUCCUAAAAUUGUUUGUCGUAUUUCGAAACCCAACUUUUUAAAAAUAGCAGCUUGAUGAUGAUAUUUGUAGAUUUGUCUUAAAAAUUGUCAUCAAAAAUUCAAAUUUUAAAUUGAAUUUAGUAUGAAAUAUAGAUAAAGAUUGGAAUAACAUUGAAAAAAAGAGAUUCAAAGUUAUUUUGAUUUUGAUAAGAUGAUAAAUAUUUUAGAACGUUUCAAAAUAAAAAAAAUAUAUGACAUUUUCAAUGAAACAAAAGGAUGGAGAGAAUAUAUAUAAGAUACUGAAAACUAGCAUCCAUCAGAAGCAGUCAAAUCAAAGCCAACAUAUUACUUGUAGUUUGGUUAUAACAAUAUCUCAGCUUGCUGGUAGCCCAAAAAUUUAGCAAAAUAAAUUAGGAAACCAAGUGCGAUAGAGCAUAUUUCACCCAAAUAUAUUAAAAGUGAAAAAGAUUUAUUUUUAUUUAGUCAAUGUGAUUUUUUGCGUCCACAUGCCCAUAAAGCUCAAGGACCAAAAAGCCAAACAUACGAAGUGAAAAUGUGAAGAGCAAUAAUUUGAAUGCAAAUAAAAAAACGGGUAGAUGGAUAGAAAACCAUGUCGAAGGUCUCUUCUCUUUUGAGUACGUAAGUGGCAGCAAUCAAUUCCCAAAGAGUGGGCUCUGGAGUUGUUAGUUACGUUGAAAAAUCAUGAAGCAGAGUUGUUCGAGAUGUUAUCUUGGGCUAUUUGGCUUGGGAGGAACCAAAAGCUGCAUGAAGAUAAACGAGUGGACCCUUUGAGUUUAGUUAGCUUUGCUUCGGGUGCGCUCCAACAAUUCCAAGAAGCUAAUGUUACUCAGAAAUGUCCAUCCUUAUCAAAUCAAUCUCACUUGUGGCAACCUCCAGGCGAUGGCAAGUUAAGGUUUAAUUUUGACGGUGUGGUGUUUAAGGAAACUCAAUCUAUUGGUUUAGAUGACGGUGCGGUGUUGAUUUAUCUAGUUUAGGCCCUCCAAUUGUGGACGUCACGAGGGACUUAACUAGUUUAGAGACGUCUAGUAUUUGAGGGAUGAGUAGGAAUCACAAUAAAAUCACUCAUAUAUUAGCUAAGAUCGCAAAAUUCAUAUGUGAUCAUGUCUUUUGGUGGAGAGAUCCUCCAGAGUUUGUUGUGCCAUUUCUAAUGGCGGAUUUGUUAGAAAGUUAAUGAAAGUUCAAUGUUAUAUAUAUAUAUAUAUAUAUAUAUAUAUAUAUAUAUAUAAGCAUAAAAAACAAGUUAUGUUGAGUAAGACGUUGGAUUGAAAAUUUAAGAUUUUUGGACUGAAAGUUCAAGAUUUUAUGAUGAAAAUAAAAGAUCACACUAAACUUAAUGGAUUUAGAUCUUAAUAUGUGCAAAUGCGUUUGAUAACUAAAAAUUGGGCAUCUGAAUUAAUUAAGUGCCACUGCAUUUUCUAAACAAAAAUUGCUCUAAAAAAAUAAGUGAUAAACUACGCAUUUAUUACUGAAUGUGAUAUACACUUAAAUAUACUUGAUCUAAUACUUAACAAUCUAAUAAUUUAAUGGAUUCAGAUUUUAGAUUUCAAUUUUAUCAAAGUACCCUAAAAAUAUAGACUAUAGAUAAAAUAACUGCAGAUCAUGAUUUAUGUUGAGUAAGCUUUCAAAGCUGCGUUUGCCAAAACAAACUUUAGAGAAUCAUUCUGUAAUUUUUGCUUUCACUCUAGAAGAUGCAUACAAUAAUGGGUGUAUACAAAAAUGGAAGUUAAAUUGAUAACACUAAGCUCGCCAAUUCUCAUAAAAAAAAAUGAUGACAUUGCCUGCAUUAAUUCUAGUAACGGACUGAAGACAAUAAUUAAUAGGUGACUAUAUGGUGCCUAAGGCACACAAUAAAAUGUGGACUUGGUACCAUUAUUUAUUUUUGUGAAAAGGGUAAACCUGUUUUGUAAGGUGUCGCAAUUCAUCAUCAUGAAAUGAGUGGUAAUUUAAAAGCAUUAAUAGUGAAUUCACCUUCAUUUUUAACGUUCAUAUCGGAAAGCCUAUUAAAAAAUUUCCACCAGCACAAAUUCCACUUUUAAUAGGUUCAAAAAUUCACUCACAAAUUAAUCCACAAAUCCCAUUAACAAAAAAAAAUAGAAAAAGCAGAAAGUUCUCAACGGAACUUCUAUACUGCGUUGAUGCACCGUACGUUGAUUCUGACAAAUGCUCUGCACUUCAUCUGCAGAUGUGACACGUGUUGGUUGGAGAUUACUAGAUGGGAGUGGGGUGCAAAGGUGGUAUUUUAGUAGUGGGUUUAAGCCCAAAAACCACCGGUAACAAUGGUAUUGACCCAAUUUCUAGUGGAAUUGACCCACAUAAAUUGUGAAAGAUUAUUUUCUCAGUCAUUUAAGGCAAUUUCUGAACAAGAUUUAGGCCUAUAAUAAAGAAAUUAAAGAAAUUAUCAACCCCAACCCCCAAUAUGCUAAUAUGCAAUUGGAAAAAAUUAAAUGAAUAUUUACUUGAAGUAAAGAAACGGAUACCAAUCGGUAGAAAGUGUUUAUAACAUACUCUGAAAUGCCAAAGGACUUCCCAAAAAGUGAGAAGCAGGACAACAUCUGAAAUAGGGUCCAAGUUUGAAGUACUUUAUGUCAAACAUAUUUCAAUAUAGAAAAAAAAAAUUUACCGGUUAGCAGAUGUUUGUGCGCACUAUUUGUUGAUUGGGAGACGGUUCUAAGGAGGCGGUUUUGCAACAAAUAAGUAAACGGGGUGUCGAUUACUUGGAGUUGUAUCUUAUGUUGGAAAAAUAAUUAGAUAUGUCAGUUAAGAAAUAUUUCAAUUUAAAUAAAGUUAGUUAGGAACUAGAACUCGUAACAUGGUUGGAUAUGGUUAGUGAAUAAGAUAUGAAUGUUGGGGGAUACAAUACAACUAGAAUUACUAAGACAAAUUAAGCUUGACACUUUGAAUUCAAAUUUUACUAACAUUGCAUAAUAACACCUUUGACUGAUAAUUUUUUUUGAUAGAAAAACUGGAAAAUUUUUAUUAAGAAGAGGAUAGAUCCGUAUUAAUUGCGAAAGAAAGAAAAAUUGGUGGAGAAAAUCUCCAACUAUAAAUACCUAAAAUAGAACUAGCAUUACUAUCUAAGAAAUGAGUAGGCACAAUUAGAUUCCUAGAAAUCCAAUCAGCCUCCCAAGUGAUGAAAUUCUGUAAACUAAAAAAGAUAUCAUCUAAUAGCAUUCCAUAAGCUAAAUCAUCGGAUUCUAUAUUUUUAAGCAUGUUGAUGAUCUUCAAAGAGUCACCCUCUAAAACAAUCUUAGGAACCUUCAACUGAAGUAACGAGGAAAUUGCAGAUAUUGCAACAUAGGUUUCAAUUACUUUAGGAGAAAAGAUACCUAAGAUUUUGUGAAAAAUACUAGUAACAAAUUUGUCCCAUUCAUUCCUCACAACAAUUCCAACUCUAAAGUUGUCGUCUUCAUAGAAUAUUGCACCAUCGAAGUUUGCCUUUAGAAAUCUUGCAGAGGGCUUUAUCCAAUGAAGUUGAGCAGUGGAAGAGCAUAUUGGAAUGUUUGGAAAUGUGUUUAUUUCAUGGUAUUUCUAUAAGAAAAUGAUAGAGAGGGAGAGACCAAACUGAGAGGAUCACGAGAGGAACCAUCAAAUAAUGCAUCAUUUCGGUUAAACCAUAGAUUCCAAAGAAUUAUGGCUACCAAUUCCAUGUCCUGCUUUUUCAAAAGAUGAAGAAGGCCAGACAACCAAGACGAAAUUUGAUCGGUAGAGUCUAAUCUUAUCUUUAGUGUAAGAAAGCUAAGGGCCCAAGGUUGAAUUGCUACUGGACAGCACAAGAAAAGAUGAUUAACAUCAUCAAUAGGGGCCUUACAUAAAGAACAAGUAGGAUCAAAAUAGACUCCACGACUGUUCAACUUGGAAGUUAUAAGUAGAAUGUCUUUGCAAAUUCACCACAAGAAUAUUUUAACUUUACUUGGUAUGUUGAGUUUCCACAAGCAGGGCCAAAUAUCAUCCAUAGAACCAUUACUACAUGAAGCUACAUCUUGUCAAUUUGUAGAUUAUAUUUUGAUAAGAUGAUAGGCAAUUUUCACUGUGAAGGAGCCAUUUUUAGAAUAGUGCCAAAUGAGCUUUUCUUGAUUUCGUCUAUCACCCAAUGGAAUACUCAUAAUCAACUCGAUCACAUCUAAGGAUAGCAACGGGGGCGGUGCCCGCGGGGGGCUAUUAGGGCAGAGGUUGGGGCGGGGGGUGGGGGGAAUUUUUCCCCCCAUUUAGAAACGGGGCAGGGGGCCCACCCGUUUGGAAAAAAAAGAGAGAUAUAUAUAUAUGUACAUAAUUAUAUAUCUAAUGAUAUUAUCAAUUAUACAUGUCUAUUAAUAAAAAUUAUUAAUUAUUUAUACUAAAUUUAUUAAUACAUUUAUAUUAAAUUCCUAACUACACUUAAUACAAUAACACUUUUUUCUAAAAAAAAACACAAUAAUAAUUUAGUGAUUGUAUUUGUAUCAAAAGUAAAAAUAAUUAUUUUAGUUAUAUUGGUUUUAUCAUAUUAGAUUGUAUUCAAAUAACUUUUGUUUAAUUAUUUUUAUGAGUUUCAAUUGUAAAGUUACAAUGAAUAAUAAUUUGGUAAUGUGUUGAUAUUUUAGUACUUGAUUACUUGCUCAAAUUUAAUUAUAAUGAAAUUAUAUAAUAAUUAUUUUAACCCCGUGGGGGAAGCGGGGCGGGGGCGGAGGACGGGACGGGGACGGGGGGAAUUAAUAGGCAACGGGGCGGGGGUGGGGGAGGGGUCACCCCUAAUCACAUCCUGCCAAAAAAGCUCUUGAAGCAAAUCAUAUUUCCAUUUCCUGCUAUUUUCAUCAAUUAAACAAUCUAUAGUGGAGAUUUCUAGUAGCACAUCAAAACGAGAUAUAAUUUUGAAAUUAGAAAGACGUGGAGUCCACCUAUCUUUCCAAAUUUUGAUAUGAUUCCCGUUUCCAUCUCACCAUCUACUACCAAAAACACCUUUGAUUGAUAACUAAAUAGUUAAAAAAAUAUAUCUACUUAUUUUGUUUACUCAACAGUUAUGUGAACUAAAACAUAAAAAAAGAAGGUCAAUUAUUAUAUUAGUGUUAUAUUUGUAAUAUUAGUUCCCUAUAUAGUAGGUUGCCGAGUUGGGCAUAUUUAUAUUCUACCAAGUAAAUGCCCUAUCUUUUCGAAACGUGGCAAAAAAUUUGUGUUUGUUUUUUUGGUAGAUUUCAUUCUUUUUCUUUUUUGGUAACAAUUAAUUUACUAUUCAUUUUCACUUCAUUAUUUAUAGUAAAUUUCAAUCAAUCAUCAAUUACUUACCCUAUAUGCAUUUCUAUUAAUUAUACCUUUAUUUUUUUCAAUCAACUUAUAGCUUUCCUUUUUAAUUAGGCACUCGUUAAUAUAUAUAUUAGGUGUUAAAUUUUUAGAAAUAUAAGAUGAAUUAGGGAAAGCAUAUAAAUGUAAGGGAAUUAAUUAGAAAAAUAUAUAAAUAAAAGAAAAAGUAGUAAUUGUUACGUAUAUACAUGGCAGGUUAGAUGGAAUGCAGGUGUGUUAACGAUUACCCAUAGGUCACCCAUUAGAAAUACUCAUCAAAAUUUGGAUUAAUUUUUUUUUCCUUUCAUUGCAAUCAUUACUACCAUUUUUCCUAUUAUUUAUUACUAUACCUUCAUGUUUCUAAAUACCAAUAAAUGUAUUACUCUCUUACUUUUUAUUUGAUUGUGCUAAUUAUAGCUUUCCUUUUACUUAAUCAAUUAGUCAAUCGAUCAAUCAACCCAUGAUUUUAAUUCUCUUUUCAAUCACACGAUCUUUCUUUUAUCCAUCAUUAGGGAGAUUUACAAUUAGUCACAUAUUUGUUAUGUGUACAAUAAUUAUGCAAUCAUAAGCACAAACUAAUGCAAUUUUAAUAAUUUUGCAUAUAUGCAUUCAUAUUGUAUUGCAACACCUUUAAUAAUUCAUUAUAUGGUUAGAAAAGCCAAAAAAAAUCGAGUAUUACCUAGACCUUAGAUAGUCCCCAAUGUAUACACUGAUACUGUAUGAAAUGAUUUAAAACCCGUUAAUAUAUAUACUGAUUGCAUAUGAAGAUUCAUCCCUAGUUUAGACCUCUUAGAUAGUUUGCAAGCAUUAUAUUCCCUUUUUUUAAUUUCUUAUUUAGUUUACCUUAUUACCAUUUAUGAUUUUUUUUUUAAUUUAAGCAACAUCUUCCAAUAUUUUAUCACCAUUUUAAGUUAGUUCAUUUUUAGGAGAUAGUAGUAUAAGUGUGGUAGUUUGUCCAAAUAACUUUGAAUACGCAUAUACAACCCAAAAACAAAAUGAUAGCUGUUUAUAUUCUUAUCACUCAACGAUGAUAGUGUUAUGUAAUUUAAAUGAUUGAGAUCUAUCGCCAUCCAAAUAUAAAUUUAAUAUGAGGGUAUGAUAACUAAAAAUGACUAUAGAAUCCCCCUAAAUACUAAAUAAUGCGAAUAGAGAUAUUCCCUCAAAAACUUGUAAAGUACUUAAUGUGUAUACGGGUAAAUUCUUGCAAUAGUGAAAGGAAAAUAUCUUACUAGCCUUGAAAUUUUGGCCCGUGUACUGACUUUUGUUAGCUAAAUUAAACUAUCUUGGAGUGAAGACAUAAAAUCGGCGGCAAAUAUUGAGAGAAUUGUGAACAUAGCUAACUUAUCUAGCGUACACAUUUUUUUCCGAGUUUGAAUUCUCUCACUUACACUACAAAAAGAAAAAACUAUCAUACAUUUAACUUCCAACUAACAAUGAUGUAUAGGUAAUAAAUUAUAUGCAUGGGAUAUUCCCAUAAAUAAAUGAAAUAUAUUUACACGACAAAGAGUAAAUUCUUAAAUUAAGAAGAAAUAAUAUUAUAGUAGCUGUCAAUUUGUUUAUAUGACUUUUUGGUUUGUCAUUAUUCAUGACAACCAAUUAUGUUAUUUUGAUGUAAACAUAUCCAAAAACGGUUGAAUACAAUGUGGGACAUUAUUAUUAUUACUCGGAUACCUCAAUAUUUAUAAAAUUGAUUAAAUUGGAAUCCAAUUGGAUUCAACAGUAUUUUGAAAAAACUAUUUUUGUUGUUCAAGUCUACAGUGAUAAACUUUAAAAAUAACCUCAAAAAUAAUUUAAAAAUACAACAUAUCUCAAAUACAUUAAAAAAAUAAUUAAAAAAUUUCCCUAAUUCUUCUUCCCCACACUACCCACUACAACCACCACCACUACCCAUCACUGUCCACUACCACCGCCAUCACCCCCACACCCAUGACCCUCCUUCCUCUCUCCUCUCUCUCUCUUUUUCUCCCUUUCUCUCCUCCCUCCUUCCUCUUAUUCUCCUUCUCCUUUCUCCUUCCUCCUCUCCCUUGUCUUUCCUCCCUUCUCCCUUCCCUUUCCCCACCCCCUAAUCCCCCCUUCCCUCUACUGACUGUGGGCUUCUUGGUCGUGACCAGAAAGGUUGCAGCUAGAAGCCGCGACUAGUGGCUUCUGGUUGCAACCAAGAAGGUCACAGCUGAGGUCUCAGAUGGAGUCGCGGUUACCAUCCACGAUUAGGAGAGGGGUUUGAGGGUCGGAAACGAGAGGGACGGGGGAGAAAAGGAGAAGAAAGAGGAGGGAGAAGGAAGAGGAAGGGGAGAAAGAAAGGGAGAAAGAGAGGGAAAAAAGAGGGAGAGACAAGAGAGAGGAGGGAGGGGGUGAUGGCGGUGAGUGGUGGUGGUGGGUGGCGUAAAAUUUUUUAAAAAUACCCCAAAAAAGUUGUAAAUUAUAAAAAUAUCCCAAAAAUGUAUUUUAAAAAGCCCUAAAAAUACUUUUAAAAAACCCCCCAAAAACAUCUAUAAUACAAGUUAUUUAUAUAUAUAGUUACCGUAAAGUUUUUAAAAGAUACCCCAAAAGCAGUUAGUCCAAAUGGAGUCUUGAGUUUUGAGGUUAAGGUGUAAUGAUUGACCACAAUUUAGGUCAAAGUAAAACUUGGCCAAAAGUUUAGUGGGUUAAAAUAUAAUUUUAAAAAUUAAUCAUCUUCCCUGAUCCUCACAGUUGCAAUGGUGAACUGUCAGCCCCUUAGGACGCGUUCUAGAUGGAACGCGCGCAACCGUGGUAGAUUUCGGUCAGUCAUGGUCAAGUUGGAAGGCUGAAGGUGAACUGGUGGGGAAAAACUUGGACAUGUGUUUGAUGAUGUAUUCCAUACCUAUGUAUGGGUUUGGAAAAGUUUCAAGGCUAGGAAAUGUCUCUAAAUUAGUGGGGAAAUGAGGGGUGUCUCUACUAGCGGUCCGAAAUUUUUAGCUAGGACUACUAUAGAGAGGGAUAACUAUAACUAAGCCAAGUCAAUACCAAGGGCUGGGGGCUAAGGCUUUAUGGGUUAUUUCGGAUGGUUCCAAGCAUUUGGAGCCGUGGUGCCUAAGUUGCUAAGUGUUGGGGCAAGUUGGGCACGGAACUAAGCAAAUGGCGAGAAGCUGGGUGCGCGAAACUGUGUGACCAUUGCCUAUGCGCUCCAAAGAUGAACGUUGGGACUGUCUGGCAGUUGCUAGUCGUUUGCUGGAGUUGCGGAUGGUUAUCAGUCAACUCAGACACGUUCUUAUCGGUUUCCUGACUUCAUGUACAUUCGGGUCGGACCAACGGUUGGGUCUUGUCAACUAUAACAAUGCAUAUAAAUAAAUGGCUAGGUAAGGUCUAAAGGUAGAUAGUGAGAAACACCCUUAGAUGUUCUGCACGCCAAAUGUUUGUAGAAUUGUCCUUGUAAUCUCUAUAGUGAAAUACAAGGUUGGCCGUUUGGUUGUAACUUGUGCAUGUUGUUCCUUUGUUUUUGCCUAAGUAUUCUAAGUUGAAUACUUGUAUGCAAGUGUCAAUGUAAGGGCUGACUGGAAGCGCGGCUUAUCAAUGUCAUUACAUGCUUGUUAGGCUAGCAAGCGUAAACACCUCGUAAUAGUUUGGUAUCAAAGCACGGCUUUGAUCUAUUAGACUGUGCUUUUGUUAUGUGUUUUGUUGGUUAAUGAUGGUUGGACACAGGAAUUCUAUUGCAAUGCUAGGAAUGGUUGCAAUGUUAGGAAUUUGCAUUUGAGGACUUGAUGCAGUGUCUGGGAGAUGGCCCAGAAGGCUUCAACGUCAUAGAAGUUCUAUUGCAGACUAGAGAGAUGAUCAACACCCUGACUGCACAGAUGGAUGAAACCAAGCAGACAGUUUCUUUCGUUGGAGAUGUUGAGAUACUAAGGAAUGAAAUGACUUCGUCCCAUACAAAGAUCGUGACUUUACAAUCGAAGAUCAAUGUGUUAAAGAAGGCAGUCGGCUCUUGUAACACACAGACCUUUCAAAAAUCUUCGAAGGGAAAAGUGAAAGUCCUAGAUCCGAAACCGUACCAAGGUAGUAGGAGUUCUAAGUAUUUGGAAAACUUUCUGUGGGAUUGUCGAGUAGUACUUCAAGGCUAUUGACAUUCCUGAAGUAGAAAAGGUAUCAAUUGCAUCAAUGUACCUUAGUGGUGAUGUAAAGUUAUGGUGGAGAACAGUGCAAUCAGAUCUACCAAAUCCAAGAUCGGCACUUGAGAAGUACUGAAGGAGGAAUUGAAGAAACAAUUCCUUCCCACGAAUGUUUCAUGAAAAGUUAGAGGUGUAUUGUGAAACUUGAAGCAGAAUAAGAGCAUACACGAGUACUUACAGAGUUCCAAGCCUUGAUGUUAGAUGUAAGGGAAAUGUCUGAGGAAGACAGACUCUACAUCUUCAUCCAUGGACUUCAACCGUGGGUACAGAUGGAGUUGCAGUGACAAAAUGUUCAGACCGUGUCUCAAUCACUUGCUACUGUCGAGAAGUUGAUAGACUUCAAGUCCAUAGGAUCCAAAAGUGAAAAAAAAAGAAGGGCAAGGAUAAGGCUAAGGGCUCGAAAGGUGGUCAAUUCUCAAAGAAGAAUAAAAAGAAACAGACAGUGACAACGACCGAAACUAGCGGUGUUUCCUCUUCUAAGAAGAAGCAAACAUCCAACCCUAAAAAGGAUGGCUGCUAUACCUGUGGAAGACCACACUUAACUCGCAAUUAUCCAAUAAAAAGGACCAGAACAUUAGUGCCUUGGUGGCAGAAGGCAAUAGUGACCAGUUGGAGGUCCAGGAUGCACGGGUCAACCCCAUGUAAUUCUUGAACGCCAUCACAGAUACUAAUGUCCGUACUCUUUACAAUGGUUUGAUGUAUGUGCAAGUUACAUUGAAUGGUAACCAUAUAUUGGCGAUGGUUGAAACGGGAGCAUCAUAUAGUUCUAUGAUGGAAAAAGUGGUGAGUCGGUUCCGGUUACAGUUGAAAGACUUGGGUUUCAAAAUUGAAGGCCGUAAACUCUAAAAUCAAGCCAGUGCUAGGCAUGGCGACUGUAGAAUUGGAGUUGGGGCCAUGGAAGGGUUGGUGCAAUUUCAUGGCAAGUCAAUGGAUGAUUUUGACUUGAUUCUAGACAAAGAUUUCAUAGUUGCAAAUAGGAUCUAUCCAAUUCCGCACUUGGAUGGCGUCAUGGUGAAUGAUGGCUAGAGUCCAGGCUUUGUUCCUGCAGUAAAGUUGCAGAAACAAAAGAACAAUCAACAAAAGAACAUGGUAUCAACGAUAGAGAUUGAGUCAUAUCUUCUGAGGCGUGGUGAAGUUGUGCAUAUUGCUGCAUUGGUGGAAACCAAACCUAACAUGUACCAGGAAGUACCCAACGCCAUGGCCCAUGUUCUAGAGAAGUUUACAUAUAUCAUGCCUGCAGAGUUUUCGAGAUAGCUUCCUCCAUCCUGUGCUGUGGAACACAAGAUCGAGUAGGUUCCAAGAGCCCAACCACCUACCCAAACUUCUUAUCGCAUGUCCCCGAUAGAGUUGGCUGAGUUGCGAUACCAACUUAAUGAAUUGCUAGAUAGCCAAGCGCUGAGACCGUCAAAGUAUCCGUACAGUACUCCAGUGUUAUUCCAGAAGAAGGCUGACGGAACGCUGAGGUUCUGUGUAGACUAUUGUGCCUUGAAUAAGAUCACGAUAAAAAACAAGUACCCAUCCCAAAUGUGUACAACUUGUUCGACGAGCUAGUGAUGGCACGAUUUUACACUAAAAUUGAUUUGCGGUCUGGGUACUGGCAAGUCUGAAUAGCCCCAGGAGAUGAGGAAAAGACGACGGUAGUGACGUGCUAUAAUUCCUUUGAAUUUCUCGUUAUGCCAUUCAGUUUGACGAAUGCACCUGCUACCUUUUGUGGACUAAUGAAUGAUGUCUUGUACGAUUUUCUUGAUAAGUUUGUCAUAGUGUACUUAGAUGAUAUUAUUGUGUAUUCGAAAUCCUUGAAGGACCACAUAGAUCAGAGGGUAGUAUUCUGCAAGUUGAGGGAAUGCGAACUCCAUGUAAAGCAAGAAAAGUGUGAGUUUUGCAGGGAGCAAAUCAUUUUUCUUGGCCAUGUAUUGAACAAUGGUCGGAUCCAGAUGGAUCACAGAAAGGUUGAGGCGAUCCUUGACUAGCUUGCACCCCAGAAAGUCGCAUAACUAAAGUCAUUCCUUAGUUUGGCCAACUACUACAGGCACUUCAUCCAGGGAUACUCAAAGAUGACCUACUAAAGAAGGAUAGACUGUGGCUGUGAGAUUAUGAGUGCGAAGAUGCAUUCAGAAUGCUGAAGAAAGCGGUUGCUUCUGUGCCAGUGUUGCAACUUUCGAAAGCUUUUGAAGUGCAUACUGAUGCUUCAGAUCGUGCGAUUGGAGGAGUACUUAUGCAGGAGAAGCACCCGAUUGCAUUUGAAACUAAAAAGCUGAAAGAAUGCGAGCAAAGAUAUAGUACGCAUGAGAAAUAAAUGACAGUUGUUGUGCAUUGCCUCAAGAUAUGGAAGCACUAUCUAUUAGGAACCAAGUUUGUGGUGGUGACUAAUAACAUGGACAAUAUUUACUUCAAGACACAGAGAGAGUUGACCCCAAAGCAAGCUCGUUGGCAAGAGUUUCUGGCUGAGUUUGACUUUGACUGGAUUCAUAAGUUAGGAAGGGAGAAUGCAGUGGUCGACGUACUUAGUAGAAAGUAUGUCAAAGAAUACAUUGUUGUGCUUAGUACUGUUGAGACGGACUUCGGGGACAAGAUUAAGUGGGAGUCCCCGAGUGACCCAGUUUAUCAAAACUUGGUGUUCGUGAAGUCAAAGUUCGUCGUUAUUGGCUGGAGGAUGACUUACUCUUUGCCAAUAGUGGUCAAGCAUAUGUUCCAGCAGGAGGGGGACUUAGGCGAAAGUUACUACGAGAGACUCACGAUGCUUCUUGGACUGGUUAUUCUGGAGUUGAACGAAUGCGGGCAUUACUGUCGCGUAGCUUCUAUUGGCCAAAGAUGGAAGAGGAUAUUGAAGCAUACGUGAAAACUUAUCUUGUUUGUCACCAAGACAAGGUGGAGAGGAAGAAGGAGUCAGGCUUGUUGCAGCCUUUGCCAAUCUCUGAUCGACCAUGGCAAUUAGUUUCUAUGGACUUCAUUUCGAGAUUCUCUAAGGUCGAUGGUAUGGCUUUUGUCUUUGUAAUUAUUGACAGAUUUUCUAAGUAUGCUGUGUUUGUUGGUACACCAAAGGAGUGCUCGGUUGAUGUUGUCGUUGAGUUAUUUUCAAACAUGUUAUGAUGUAUUUCGGAUUACCCAAAGAUAUCAUAAGUGACAGGGACAUGAGAUUCAUAGGUAGAUUUUGAACCGUGAUGUUCAGGUUGCUAGGUUUCAAAUUGAAGUUCUCAACUGCCGCAUAUUCUUAGACCGACGGACAAACGGAGACGAUCAAUACCUUGUUAGAAGAACACUUAAGGCAUUACGUGACGACAAGUUAGAAAAAUUGGUUGGAGUUGCUGGAUGCUGCAUAGUUUUACUACAACCUGCACAAGUCAUUCGCAACUAAGUUGAGUCCAUUUGAGUUAAUGAAUAGGCAACAACCUCUGACUCCACCUGAAGUUGCUCUUCAAGAGAUAGUUUGUUGAUGAUACAACAACGCAUGAAGAAGUACGCAAACCAACAUAGAUCGGACUUAGAGUUCCAACUGACUCCCCAGAUUUGAAAGAAAGUAAAUAACAAGACAGUCCAUCGUGGGAUCAUCCCUGAGUACAAUAGACCAUUUAAGGUAAUCAAGAAGGUGGGUCAUAUAGCUUAUCGUUUGAAACCACUUGACAAGCUCAAGAUCCACCUGACCUUCCAUGUGAGUUUUCUGAAACCCUUUUACCAAGACGCGAUGGAUGGAGGACGGAGGCAAGCAAAGUGUGCCCCGCCAGUGAUUCGUAAGAAAUUUCAGAAAGAUGUGAAGGCUGUGCUGGAUUACAGAAUGAUGGGACAAAGAAAAAAGAAUAGAUGGACAAACUAUCUGAUCCAUUGGAACGGUGAAACAAAAUUAGAUGCUACUUGGGAAUGGAAUGUUACCUUGUGACAGUUUCAAGAUAAGAUUGCUGAGUACUUGAAGAACGUGCGAAAGCAAACCAAGUUGACGAGGGUGUCAACCUCUUUAGGUGGGGUGGUUUAUUAGCCCCUUAGGGUGCGGUCCAAACGAAAAGUGCACGACCGUGGCAGAUUUCGGCCAAUCAUGGUCAAGUUGGAAGGCCGAAGAUAAAUGGGUCGAGAAAAGUUUGGACACAUGUUUGAUGAUAUUUUUCAUGCCUAUGUAUGGGUUUGGGAAAGUUUCAGGGAUAGAAGAUGUCUCUAAGUUAGUGGGGGAAUGAGAGGUGUCUCUACUAAUGGUCCGAAGUUUUUAGCCAGGACUACUAUAUAGAGGAAUAACUGUGACUAAGCCAAGUCAAGGCCGGGGGCCAAGGGCGUGGUACGACUAGACUUUGUGGGUUAUUUCAGAUGGUUCCAAGCAUUUGGAACCGUGGUGACAAAGUUGCUAGGUGUUGGAGCAAGUUGGGCACGAAACGUAGCAAAUGGUGGGAAGCUGGGCGCGCGAAAUCGUGCGACCGUUGCCUGUGCUCGGAAAGACGAACGUUGGGACUGUCUGGCAGUUGCUAGCCGUUGUUGAAGUUGCGAAAGGUUACCAGCCAACUCAGACACGUUCUUAUCGAUUUCCUAACUCAUGUACAUUUGGAUUGGACCAAUGGUUGGGUCUUGUCAACCGUAACAAUGCCUAUAAAUAAAUGGCUAGGCAGAGACUAAGGGCAGAUACUAAGAAACAUCCUUAGAUGUUCUGCACGCUAAGUGUUUGUAGAAUUGUCCUUGUAAUCUCUAUUGUGAAAUACAAGGUUGGCCGCUUGGCUUUAACUUGUACGUGUUGUUCCUUUGUUUUGUCUGAGUGUUCUACGUUGAAUACUUGUGCACAAGUAUGAGUGUGAGGGCUGACUGGUAAUGCGACUUACCAGUGCCAUUACGUGCAUGUUUGGCUAUCAAGAGUAAACACCUCGUAACACGAACACUAGUUGCCUAUCUUCAACCACCAUCUAACACUUCUUUUCAAGAUCAAUUUUUGCCCAACACUCAUUUUAUUCGCUUGAGUCAUGAUUAUGGCAUCAUUUUUCUUCAGUUUAAACCCUUUGACGAUACAAAAAUAAGGUCAUAAUUGAAAUUCUGAUUCGAAAAUUUGAAACUUUCGGGAUUGCCUUCUGCUAUGGGCUUUUCUCAAACUCGAUCAUAUGCCCAAACAAAUUCAUCAACCAACACUCACUUUGCCUUUGGGGCAUCUAAUUAACCCCUUUAAAACAAUUUUGAAGACACCUGAAACUAGGGUUGGGCAAAAAUACCUGUUAAUCCAAAAAUCUGCCACAUCCGAUUCGAUUCGAUUCAACAAAUAGGGUUCCGGUGUGUAUUAUUUGAUCGAGUCAAAAGAAAGUUGGAUAAUUACUUGUAUGCGGUGUUAGUUGGAGUCACCUGAUUAAGAAUCCGUGGGAACCCGAUUCUUCCCACAUAUAUAUUUUUUAUUUUUACACACAUAUUACAAAAUAAUACUUUUGGAGGUAAAUAAGUAAUUUCAUUAAACAAAAUACAUUAUAAAUAUGAAAAAUUAAAGUUUAUUUAUAAGAUUCAUUUAUAGAUGUCAUGAUUUCUUUUUUUUUUUAAGGAAACAGUUUAAUUAAUGUAGAACAUAUAUUUGGAAAGAGGUAUUAUUUAUUUGAAUUUUCAUUGAUUUUGAAUUCUUUUAAUUUUCUUUUCUCGUAUUCUCUUUGCAUGUUCAUUUUUUUAUUGAGAAAAAAUCUUUAUUAAGUUUUAGAUGAAUAUUCAAAAUACAAAAUUAAAUUACUAUAAAUUAUUUUUAAAAAAAAUUAAAUGAUAACCAGCGUGAUGCAGAUAUCUGUUGACUCAACCCUACUUUAAUGGAAACCCACUCAUAUACGGGAUGGUUAAAGAUCAGAAGAUAGCUGUCUUGCAAGGUACGGGUCUAGUCAGCCAAAUGAAGCAUAGAAUGAGUACUACUUGACCUGUACCCACCCCUACCCAAAACAAAUCUUAAUAAUCAUAAAAUAGCAACUUGAACUUGCAAAAUCCAAUUUUCAAUUUUCUCCUCAAAAUUUAGCAUCAAAUUUUACAAAAAUUACACAAAAACAAUCCAAUCAACAAAUAAAUACUCAAGCACUGAAUUGACAUUACACUGUAUUUGUGCAGCACCGAAUUGACAUUAUUUGACUUGUAUGUAUGGCAAAAUAAAGGAACUAUGAAUAGGAUGGGGAGGAGGGAGAAGGAUGCUGAGAGUAAGGGAGGAGAUGAAUCGGAAAAUUUAGAUAUUUUUUUUUAAUUUUCUAUAUUUUCUAUUAACCUGAUUUAUAGGUAACUAGAGCUGUUAAUCGAACCGGGUAGCUCGCGAGCCGAGCUCGACCCAGCUCGAUAAGGGCUCGGCUCGGCUUGUUUACAGAGAGAAACGAUCCGAGCUCGAACUUUACUCAAUAUUCGUUUAAUACACGAGCCGAGCUAUGCUCGGUAGGUUCGAAGAGUAGGGGCAUUAACGUCAUUUCAUUGUGUAUGUGGUACGCUAACCUAAGUCAUUCUCUCGUUUGUAGCCCUAAUUUUUCUUUCCUCUUUUGGUCUUAUUUUCUCCCGUUCCACAGCCGUAGCCACAGUCGCACACCCACACCCUCCAUUUUCACCACCGUCACCGACUCACCAUUCACCAAUUCAUCCAUUAUCUCACCUCCAUCAGGACCAUCAUCUAUCCGUCCACUAUCUCACCACCAGGCGCAAUCCCUAAUUUUUUCUUUCCUCUUUCGAUCUUUCAUUUUCCCGUUCCACAGCCGCAGCCGCACCCUCCAUUCUCACCACCGUCACUGACUCACCAAUCCAUUCAUCUCACCUCCAUCACCAAUCCGUCCACCAUCUCACCACCAUCAUUCAAUCCACUUCUCGUGAAUCCGUGAGCAACGCCAUACGGAGCCACCUCGGUAAAGCCAGGGGCUUCUACCAUAUCCCGAUUCGCUGCAUAAUCUGGUAACCAUUUCUUCUCAAUUUUUGCAAUUUAUUUUGGUUUUAAGAGGUUGUGUGGAUUUUGGUUAAUGGUGGAUAGCCCCGUAUCCCGUAUGGCUUCCCCGUAUCCUGUUGGCUUCUUGUGUUUUAUCUCUGUGUUUUAUCCCGAAUUUCACCUGCACGGAUUGCUUAGGGACCGCUUAGUGGAUUUUUGGCUUCAAAUAGCAUGUCUUUUACCAGUUAAAUAGCCUUUUUUUUACCCAUUGUUCUGGAUUGUUGCAUAAGUGUCAAAUUUCGCCUGAAAUGCUCACAUAUUCUUUUAUGCGAUUACGUGCAUCACUACUGCGUUACCUUCCUUCGACACUUGAAGCGGGGUUUGAUGUUUCAUUUCGUUCAGACCAUGGAAUAGUUGCUGCGAUUAAACUUGUGUCUCUAAGAAAAUAAAGAAGGAAACAUCACUUUUUGUCUCUGUGCUCUUUGAUUUCUACAUUUUCUAAUCCAUGUUAUAGAACUGACUGUUGAUGAUACCAAACAUUUUGUUAAAAGAAAGCCAAAGUAUUCAAUUCCCAUACAUUUAACUCUUCCUGGUUAAAAUGUAACUUUCUCUAUUGAUGUCCAUAAAUUUCCUCGAAAGAGCUUGCGAAUUGCAAAAGUUUCCACCAGUCGUCUUAAAAUGGCAUUCUAAACCGUCUGCUAUGAUACUUCUGAUAAGUACCAUGGUUGUUAAAAUUGCGAUCCGGAUCGUAGGAUCGUACGAUCCUACGAUCUGGAAAGGCAAAAUCGAUCCGGAUCGCACUUAGAAUCGCAAACUCCUUGAAUCUACGUAGGAUCAAGGUAGGAUCGGUAGGAUCGCAUAGGAUCGUACGAUCCUACGAUCCUACUUCGAUCCCACAAAAAAGGGCUAAUUUGUGAAAUACAAGGUUCAUUUUGCAAGUAAAAAUCAACAUUUGGGGUAGGCUUGUAGUUUAUCAAGAAAUUGCAGGCCUUAGUUGCAAUGUUUUAACAAAUUUUGCCUCAAAGUCAAAAGGUUCCGUCAAAAAGCUUCGGUCUUCUUCAUCUUCUCCUCAAGCAGACCUUUGUCAUUUCUCUUCUCCUCUCCGCUGCCCAAAUCAAAUCCCUAAUUUAAACCAUCAAACCAUCUCAAGCUUCGGCUACAGCUCUUACCAAGACCAAGUACUAACAAGACAAAUUGCUGCGGCUUCUACCAAGAACCCACAAGCUACAGCCGACAGCUUCAAGGCUUCAAGCUUUAAAGCUUCAAGCUCCAGCAGCCAUUGCUUCGGUAAGAAUAUCAAGCUACGAAAUCCUCUGUUGCCGCUGGAUUUUGGCCGUUUCAAGCUUCAAAGCUUGAAGCUCCAGCACCCGUUCUUCUCCAAUUUUCGUGCUGCCAGCCUGCCACCACACUGAAGCUCAAGCACCAGCACUUCAAUUAAAGUCAUAUGUGAGUGUGGUUAUUUUCUUGCUUAAAAAUUGAUACUUGGGGAGAUAGUGAUUGAUAAAGUUGUGAUUUGUAUUUGGUUUUCUUGGUAUUUGAACAUAUAUUGCUUUUGAUUGAAUUGAGUUGAAGUUGAAGGGAAUUAUUGACGGGUCCAUUAGGAUUUGUGAAAUUUUGGUUUUCUUGCUUGAAAAUUAUUGACGGUUCUGAAGCACCAGCACUUUGUCUUAGGAUUUGUGCUCUCAGAAUCAUUAACGGGUCCAUUAGGUACACUUUUUUUUGCCUUCUCCAUAGGAAGCUCUGAUAAUCGAGACUCUGCUACCACAUAAAUCUUCCCAUUGAACUUGUUGAAGAAAUCAAAGUUAGGAGUAUUAUUAUUUUGUAAUAAUGAAUUAAUGAGAACUCAUAAAAUUAUUUAAUAUAACAUCGUUUAAAUCUUCCCAUUUUGUCAUGCAUUUUGCAGCAGUUGGACAGUUGAUUUUUCAACUGUUAUCUUUACAGUAAAACAUGUCAGUUGAUAAUUUUUCUUUCUGUUACAUGACUCCUUAAUAAUCUGUUUUCACAGGAUUGUUUUUCUGUUCUACUCUAGUCCAGGUUAUUCCUUUGACUAAGCUAUAUUAAGUUGUGAUCCCAAAGAUGCUUCAUGUACUAUAAGAACUCUGUACUGAUCUAGACAUCAGUACAGGGUAUGAAGGAUCACUAAGGACACAUAAAAGAAUUCCCUUUUCUGGUAGGACGCAUAGCAAAGUUUUAUUUUCCAGAAAAAUUCACACAAAUACAAAUGUUUGCUGUUCAAGCAUUAAUUUCUAAACUUCUAUUGUUGCUGCUGUUAUGUCCUUUACCUAUGUUUUCAUUGGAUUUGCACUCGGCCUUGCAAAAAUCAUUGGUAAUAAGACUGAAUUUCUUGUGCUGGUCUGGUCUGGCUUAUUUUUUGAAUGCUAGCUUUAUUUUCUUUUAUCAAGUGCUGGUCUGGUCUGAAUUUCUUGGUUUUUUAUGAAUAUUCUAAUAUAUUUGGCAGUGCUUAAAUGUCUUCAUCCGCUUCAAAGAAACAAAGUACAAAAAAUGCACCGGGUGCUCGAUUGGAUCCCGGGUGGGAUCAUGGAAUUGAAAUUGAUUCUAAUAAAAAACAAUUUCAGUGUAAAUACUGUGGAAUUACUCGAGCUGGUGGUGUGUAUAGGCUUAAGCAUCAUUUAGCUUGUACACAUACAAAUGUUGAACCAUGUCCUAGCGUUCCUGAAGAUGUUAGAACCCAAAUGUUUGAUUUACUAAGUGCAAGUUCUGAGGAAUCAAGGAAAAAAAAACAAAGGGUUAGUACCAUGUAUGAUUUAAAAGAAGAAGAAGGUGAAGUUAAGCAGCAGGCUAAAAAAUGUUCUAUGGACAACUUUGUUGUGAGAAAAUCUGGGGGGUUGAAUGUGAGACAAACAACCAUAAAUGAGAAAUGGAAGAAACAAGAUAGAGAUGAAGUUUGUCAAAUAAUGGCUAGGUGGUUCUAUACAAGUGCCGUUCCAUUUAAUGCUGUAAAUAGCCCAUUGUUUCCUUUAAUGAUUAGGAAAUUGGGAGAAUAUGGAAAAGGAUUUAAACCACCUUCAUACCAUGAAAUGAGAGUGACCUUUUUGAAAAAAGAGGUGCAAGAGACAUUGAAUUUGCUCAAUAUGUACAAAAAAGAGUGGAAAAAAAAUUGGCUAUACUAUUAUGUCCGAUGGAUGGUCUGAUCAGAGAAAGAGAACAAUGAACAAUUUUCUUGUGAAUAGUCCAGCUGGUACUGUGUUCUUAUCUUCGGUAGAUACCACUGAUAUUUCAAAAACAGCUCAAAAAUUAUUUGAAUUGUUAGAUGGUAUUGUGGAAAAAAUUGGAGAGGAUAAUGUUGUGCAGGUCAUCACCGAUAAUGCUUCUAAUUAUAAGGCAGCUGGAAAAAUAUUGAUGGAAAAGAGAAAAAGAUUGUUUUGGACCCCUUGUGCUGCUCAUUGUAUUGAUCUAAUGUUAGAAGAUUUUUAAAAGUUUGAUUCUCUCCACAAAGUUACUAUACAAAAAGCGAAAUCAGUGGUUACAUAUAUUUAUUCAUGGGGUACAGUUAUUAAUUGGAUGAAACAGUUCACUAAUGGCAAGGAGUUGAUUAGACCUGGAGUUACUCGUUUUGCUACUUCAUACUUGACCAUGAGACGUCUUAGCGAGCUGAAAGGGAAUUUGUUUAACUUUUUCUGUUCGGAUAAAAAGAAAACAAGCAUGUAUGCUAGGAGAAACAAGGGGAAAAAAAUUGAGAGCAUCAUUUUUGAUAAUCAACAAUUUUGGCCAAAUGUGGAGUUAUGUUUAAAGAUAGCUUCGCCUCUUAUCAAAGUAUUGAGGAUGGUUGAUUCUGAUGAAAAACCAGCCAUGGGCUUUCUCUAUAAAGCUAUUGAUCAGGCAAAAGAAGAAAUCAAACAAAAUGUGAACAAUAUUCGAAAGAGGUGAAUUUUAAAUAAAUUGUCAUAUUAAUUAUGAGUUCAUUUAUAAUUUCUGUGUUGGAUAGUAGAAUGAAUUUUUUUAGUUAUUUUUUUAACCAAACUCAUGUUUAUGUGCUAGAUUUGAAUCGGCAUUUGCUAUCAUUGAUAAAAGAUGGGAAGAUCAAUUGAGUCAUCCUUUACAUGCCACGGGUUAUUAUUUGAAUCCUCAAUUUCAAUAUAGUCCAGAUUUUCAGUCGGAUGCAAAUAUAAAACGUGGCCUUUAUGAUUGCAUUGCUAAGAUGGUUCCCGAAUCUGGUGAAAGGGUGAAGAUUGAUUUGCAAUUAGAUGAUUUUCGACAUGCAAAUGGAUUAUUUGGUCAUGAAAAUGCUGUACUAACAAGAAACAAGAAAUCUCCUGGUUAGUUACUAGUUGAACUUUGUGUUUUUAUUUUUAAAACCUUUACUAAUUUGUUAUUUAUUUUAAUUUCCUACAGCUGAUUGGUGGGAAUCUUAUGGCGAUGAGUGUCCAGAGUUGAAAAAUUUUGCCAUUCGAAUUCUCAGUUUAACUUGUAGCUCUUCUGGAUGUGAGCGAAAUUGGAGCGCAUUUGAAUUGGUAAUAAUGUUUUCAUAUAAUAUAAUAUCUCAUUUAGUAUAAUAUUUUGUUUAGCAUUUGAAUUUAAGUUCGUAGUAUAACUGUAUAAGUUCUUUCAAUUUCAAUAGGUACAUUCUAAGAGAAGAAACCGUUUGGCUCAAAAACGAAUGAAUGACCUUGUGUUUGUGAUGUACAACUUGAAGUUGAGAGAGAGACAAAGGCAAAGGCAACGUGUUAUUGAAGAAAUUCCUUUUGAGAAUUUGCCUUCAGAUGAUGAAUGGGUGACAGAGAGAGAAAAUCCAACUCUUCCAAGAGAAAAUAGCUGGUUACGAGUUCUAGAUGACAAUCCCAAAUGUGACACUUCAGAUGAAGAGGGAAAUGAAGAUGAUGAAAUUGAAAUACUUACAAGAAAUGUGCAGAGAGUUUGUAAGUUUCUUUCUUUCUUCCAAUUUAAGUAUAAAGUUUAUCCUUUUUUUUGUUUUUAUAGUUUUAUUUUUCAAGUUCUCUUGUUUUUGGUAACUUUCAUUAUUAUUGUUUGUUUAUUUAGAUGAUCAUGAAGAUCGUCAAACCCAUGUCCGUCGAAGACAAGUUAAUAAAAUGAAAGAGAUUCAUGUUAUUGAUGAGGAUGAUGGGCCUUCAACUGAAUUCGACCGCCAAGAUGAUGAUUAUCUUGAUAUGGUUCCCGAAACUGAUCUUCAAAUGGGAACUAAUGAUUUGGAUGAUACUAAUUUGGAUGGUGAUUAAGAUAAUGCCGAAGAUGAAUUCCAAGAGAAUUGGGAUGGUGAAGAUGAUUGGGAAAAUAAUGAUUUUGAUAAUAUGGAUUAUGGGAAUAAUGAAUUUGAUUCAAACGAUGAAAAUGAUUGGUUAUAAAUUAAUGUAUUUCUGAAUUAUUAUGAUACUUGAAAAUGAUGAAUUGUUGCUAUUUUAUUUUUUAUUUUUUCAUGUUUGUUUAAACAUGACAGAUGACAUUCUAGUAGUUAAUUUUGAUCUUGAAAAUCUUUUUGGAUGUUUUGCUUUUUAGUAUUUGUGAAGGUUGAUGAUUAUUUUAUAUUUGAAAUUAUGAUUGUGUAAACUGUGAAGCAUUUGAUUUUAAGAUUUGAAAUCAUGACAGAUAACAGGUUUACAUUCUCUUCUUUAUUACUUGUCAGAUAGUAAGUAAAAAAUACUAUAUAUUUAUGAGUAACUUAUUUAUUUGAUAUCUUUUAGGAUGUACAAAAUGAUAUAUGAAUUUCAAAUUCAUUAAUUUAGUAAAUUUAGGAGUUUUUGGUAGGAUCUUACGAUCCUACGAUCCGAUUCUGUGAAACUAAAAUCGAUCCGACGUGGGAUCCCGAUUUUACAAACCUUGAUAAGUACAGUUAUACUACCAGGAAGGGCAAGUAGGCAUGCAUCAUGGACCAUGAAAAUGCCAAUUUUCAGAAAUCAAUUACAGCUUUGAUGAGCUGCAAACUUCUUGGACAAUGAAAAUGCCAGUUUCUAGCAAUGAAAUGAUAGCUUUCACGAUCUGCAACUUCUUAUUGAUUAAUGAACACUAAAAAGUACGUAUCAGCUCAAUAUUGCCUCUCUUCGUAGUACCUGGAAAAGAUGUAAUAGUCAACCAUAAGUGACAGAACUUUAACAGCGCUAGCCAUAUAACAAACAAUGGACAAAACUUUAAUAAAGCUAGUCAUCUUCUUUUCUUUAGCAUGUGAUAUUUCUUCAUGUUUUGCACUUUUGUUUAAGCUUGACAGUGAAAGCAUUUUUCAACCUAGAAGAUUCUGCAAGGCAAAACUUUCUUCAUUUUAGUUUCUUCAUUUCAGCAAAACUAACUUUUUGUUUGGAUUACCAUUUUAAGAGUUUUUCACUGUUAUUUCAUUAAUCUGAGUGCAAGCUUGAGAAUUGAGAUAGGAACAAGUUAAAGAAAUGUUAAAACUGGCUUGAAGUGGGCAUUAUUUCUUGGAAUCUGUUUUAUUACUUUUGUACCUUAUUUCUUAGAAAUGUUAUUCGAAAUUUCUGUUUUAGCUAAUCAGAAUCUGUAUUGGUUAUUAAAUGUGUUUUGACUAAGGAAUGUACAACUCUCCAUUCAACUCAUUUCAAGAUUCAUCAUCAAGUCCUGUGAUGAAGCAAAACAAUGAAGACGUGGAACAAUUGAACUACAACAAAGAAAGAGCUGAUGAGAUGAGUGAAGAAGAGAUAGAAAUGAUAGAAAAUGAGGGCAAUGAAAGAGGACAGCAAGAGAUGGAGAUGAAGGAGCUGGUCCUUUUGAGAAAAAACAAAGGAAGAAGAAAUCUAGUAUAUGGGAUGAAAUGACAACAAUAGUGCUAGAUAAUGGGACGGUCAAAGUGAAGUGCAACAAUUGCAAGGGACUUUUUGUCAAGAGUGCAACCGGAGCCACAUCUCAGCACAAGAGACACUUGAUUCUUGCUUACAAAGAAAAAUAGUCAUUGGAGAGCAAAGCAAACAAAAGCAACAAGUGCUGUCAUUCAUCGAAGGCCCAAGUAAUUGUAUCACUUCCAUCACAAAUUUCUUGUAUGAUCAUGCCAAGGUAAGAGAACUUGCAUCACACAUGAUUCUUGCACAUGAGUACCCCUUUUCUAUAAUGGAUCAUGUAGUUUUCAACAAAUUCAUGAAAGCAACUUCUCUAUUUUAUAAAAGGAUUAAUCGGCAGAUUGUUAAGAAAGAUUGCAUUAGUACUUAUACAAUUGAAAAAAGGAAGCUGAAAUCAUUGUUGAAAGGUGCUGGUAGGAUUAGUAUUGCCACAGAUUUGUGGACAUCUGGUCAAAAAAUUCAAUAUAUGGUUGUGACUGGUCAUUUUGUUGAUUUUGAUUGGGUGCUACAAAAAUAUUUGUUGAAUUUUUGCAAUGUUCCUCCUCCUCAUACUGGAGUUAUUAUAGCUGAUACUCUAAGUAAGUGCUUUAUUGAUUGGGAGAUUGAGAAUAAGGUUUUUAGCAUAACUGUUGAUAAUGCUUCAUACAAUGAUGUGUGCAUUAGGAGAUUUAGAGAGGAUUUUUCUCUAAAAAAAAGAUUAAGUAUUGGAGAAAAAAUUUUCAUGUUAGAUGUUGUGCACAUAUACUUAAUCUCUUAGUGCAAAAUGGUCUUGGUCAACUUGGUGGUGUGAUUGAUGUUGUUAGAGAAGGGAUAAAGUACUUGAACAAUUCUGAAUCUAGGCUUCUUGAAUUUGCCAAAAUUAAAAAACAGUUUCAGUUGCCCUCUAGAAAGCUAAUUUUGGACUGUCCAACAAGGUGGAAUAGCACCUAUUUGAUGUUAGUUUCGGGUUUAGAGUUCAAGGAUAUUUUUCCAAGAUAUGCAGACAUUGACCCCGGAUUUCACUAUGUUCCUACUGAUUUUGAGUGGAUGAAAGUGGAAGAAGUGUGCAAAUUUCUAGGAAUAUUUCAUGAAAUCAUUGAUAUGAUUUCCGGGUCCGAGUAUCCAACAGCUAACAUUUUCUUGUGGAGCUCUAUAGGAUUAAAGAGCUUUUAAAUGAAAAAGCUCUUGACCCUUUUUAGCAUAUUCGGGCUAUGGCUGGAAGUAUGUCUGCUAAAUUUGAUAAGUAUUGGGGGAAAAGUAAUGUGCUGCUAUCUUUGGGUGCAAUUUUGGAUCCGAGAUACAAAAUAUUUCUUAUUAAUCAUGCUUUUCCGGUGAUUUAUGGUGAGGAUGCAGCUCCUAGAUUCGUGGCUGAAAUUAGAGACACUCUUUAUGAGCUUUACAAUGAAUAUGUUGAUUGUCACAUUGUUUCCCAUUCUGAACAACAACAGAGGCAGGUUGUAAAAGGGAAACAAAAUGAAGGUUCUAGUUCUUUUAGUAAGAAACAGAAAAUGACUGGACCUGUCAUUUUAACUGGUAAAGAAAAGUUGCACAUGCAUGUGAGUGAAAUUAACAGGGCUCCACCAGAAAAAUCAGAUUUAGAUGUUUAUUUAGAGGAAAGUAAGUAUUGUGACGCCCCCACUUCUCCCUAAGACGAACCAAAAGAUAUCCACGGGACGCCUGCCCAACUCUUGCCAGGAUUCGGUACAAUUUCCGUUCAAACUUAUUACAAUACUAGCUAUCAAGACAAGAUAAAGUAAGAAAGAUAAGUCACUUCCAUAAAUAACAUUCAAACUUACACCAAGAGUUCCAAAAUACAUCAAAUUUCCAAAAUAUACAACUGUCAAAAGUCUAGUCGAUUACAUUUGGAACCCUAAUACAAAAGUACAACAAAAGGGUUUCUCCGAGUUUCACUCCAUGUCCAUGCCUGUUAAGAAAAAUAAAUCUACGGGGUGAGCAAUUGCUCGUGAGGCCAAGAAACACACAUAUAAGCACGUUGUCCAAUUAACAAGAAAAUGAUAAUAUUCGAGUAAUUAACAAUUCAAGUGAAAUGUAAAUAGAAACAAUUCAAGGAUAUGGGAGCUCUCAGGAGCUAUUGUCCACUGGCACGAUCAAGAACCUCCACGAGUUGACACUCCGUCAAUCGGAUAGGUCAUAGUCCGUAGAAGCUUCACUUACGCGUUCCCCGUCCACCAUACAUACCGCACCGGCCCCGAACGUCAUUUAUAAGGUGAUACUCCACGAGUAUGCCAAGUGAAAUCUCUCCAAUAGAUCAAGUUUAUCAUAUUAUUCUCAUGACUCACCAAGAUUCCCGACCAAACCCAUGCCAGCUCGAUUCCCAGGUCAGUUUAUGAGUUUGGGCGUCCCCCAUGUAACAUUUGUAAGUCGAGGAGAUUCACUCCAACGACGUAUACAGCCAUAGCAUACCAUUUCAUGCCAUUCAAGCAUUCGAUACAUUCAAUCAUUCAUUUCAUUUCAAUCAAGUCAUUCAUGAUCCAUUCAUUUCAUUUCAAUUAAUUCAAUCAUGAGUCAUUCAUUUCAAAUGAAAACGAGUGCGGUAAAGUACACACUGGACUCCAUUUUCAAAAUCUCCAAUCAUUAAUAACAGUUAAGCAUGUAUCAAGUUCACAUACACUUGACACUCACCAAGUAAUUCAAGAAGUAAAGCACAAGCGGUUGUUUAGGCGUCUCCUGUGAGAUUUUCUUGAAAGUCCUCUUGAGUGCCUGAGCAAUAAUAAUGAACUAUUACACACUAUCGUUUAAAACCCCUACUUAUCGAGAAAGAUUGCACUCGUGUACAAUCUAAGAAGAUAUUAUGAGAAUGAGUCUUAAUUACUUGUAAAUCGAGGCUCAAAAGUGGGGUUUUAAUAAUACAAGGAAAUUCGAUUUUCAUCUUUGAAAUCAAGUGUAAAAUGAUCAAGCAAUAUCGAGGAAAAUGGUGAGUUCUCAAAACUCAAUUUCCUUUAAAUUCGGAAAUUUCAGAUUUGACAAGUAAUCUUUGAAAAAUUGUAUCUCACUUUCUGUAGGUCCAAAAUUCGAAAAAUUGGUACCGUUGGAAACUACUUCUAAAGUACUAAAAGUUCCUAGAAGAUAUUUUUCCAUGAUUCCAAAUGAAUGACAUUCAAAAUUUGGCUCAAAGUUGCUGUUUCGGGCUACCAAGACAGUUUCGGGGUUGGUUUUUGCCAACUUUGAAAAUUCGGCAAAAUUCACAAAAUGUAAACUAGCCUCUGUAAUUUGGAACUCAAUUAUAGUUAUAAACAAAGUUUAAAACACAACAAACAGAACAAGAAUCGGAGUUUUGAGCGCCAAGAUAUAGCAGCUCAAAGUUGCUGAAAUUUUCUCAUUGAAUAAGGAUUUUCCAGAUUUGAAACAUGAACUUUGGGAUUUCAGUUGAGCAUCAAAAUGAACUUGGAAUGGCACCAAAUUUGGUAGUAUUACCCUACCAUAGAAGGGCUAUUCCUCUGUCAAAUUUCAUGCAAAAAUUCGUACGGAAGGUCAGUUGACAAAGCCGCUAAAAUUCCAAGAAUUUCCAAGGCAAAUCUGCCUUGUACUUCCGUUUUCCUUUUUCAAGCAUUUGGCCAAUGAAAUCUUCUCAAACAUGGUUCAUUUAUGAAGACAAGGUCUAAGAAAUAUCCAAAAUGUGUUUGGUAGGUGAUUAACACCAAGAGUUCCAAAAUAACGAGUCCCAAUUCGAGUUAAGGCAUUCAACUAGCCAAGAUUAGGGUUUCCUUUCACUGACACAAGUCUGGAAUUCGGCCACAACUCAUUCAAUUCAACUUGGAAUUGGGCAUGGUCAGUGGUGUUGGAAACUACAUUCAUAGGGAUACAAUUUCUCAGAAGAAAUUGUUUGGAAAUUCUGUCCAUAACUAGUUCAUAUUCGAGCAACAAGUUGCAGCACACAAUAGGUUUUCUAACACAGCCGAGAAACAGGGCAAGUGAAUUUGAAAGGCUGGUACGGCUCACUCAAGUGGAAUCAGGGGAUGUAUUUUAUACUGUUAGAAAACUAGAAGUGUCUAGUUUCUAAUCCCGCAAACAGCACUCGAUUUUGACGUUGGAGCAAAGAGUUAUAGUGGUUUGAAAUUCGCUGCCAGAGCAACUCUGGACACGUUUUCCAGCCAUGAAGAAAUUUCGAAAUCCAAACAUUUACCCAAUCAAAUCAAGUGAUUUUUGGUGGAAACUUUCCAAACAACCUAUAAAACAUAUAUACACCGAAAUAAAGUCAAUGGGACCACAAAAAAUUGCACCAAGAGGCGCGGCAAUGACAGGGCAGAUCUGGCCCUUCUUCCAUUUCAACUUCCUUAGAGUUUCUUUCCACUCUUUCAACUUAAAUCCACUAGAUUAACACUUAAUUAACAUAAAUAACACUCAAAAUCAUCAAAUCAGAUCAUCAAGUCCAUUGUGGGAUUUGAUAGAGUCCACUCACAUGAUUUUUAAUAAUCCAAAGCUACCCGCAUGAAGUUACAAGUUUCUAAGUGUAAUCUAACUUACAAAAGCUAAGAUUUAAAGGGUGGAUGAUCAUUACCUCUUAGAUGUUGCUAGAGCAGAAAUUUCGGUCCUUAGAGCUCCAAGAAAACCAUGAGAAUGAAGCUCUUCUCCUAGCCCAAGAUGGUCUCCAAGUUAUUUGUAAGGUGUGGUAUGAAUUUGAGAGGAUUUGGUGCAAGAUUGAGAGAUGAAAUGGUGAAGAAACUUGGUCUUCUUCUCCUUGGUGUUGCACAGCUGCUUGAGGGAGAGAAAGAGAGAGUUGUGGCUGAUGGAAAGCUUCUCUUGGAAGCUUAAGAGUUUGCGGUCAAAAUUACUCCAAAAGUCAACUAAGAAUAAUGCGCGCGUUUCGUGCUCGUUUCCUCUCGGCUUUGUUUUACUUGUGCACUAAAUCUCUAAUGCACUUCCAUUCAUACUAUUAUUAUUCACUCUUAAUAGUCUAAAAAUAAAGGUUUAAAGUCCCUCAAUUAAUCGCGCGUGCGAAAAUGCAGACUUCCGAUUUGUGCGCGAUAGAGUAAAAUUUCUAAGAAAUUCUUACAACGAUAUUAUAACUGACUAGUACUUGAGUACUUAAACAUAAAAAUACCUAUUUUGAAACUAAUGUAUGAGUCUUCAAUCUCCAAGCUCACUGUAUUUUCAAAUCGAUUAUUGUCUCCAAACGCGUAUUCACUAUUCUCACUAAACGAGUUUUCAAAAAUUAAAUUUUUGCAACAAGUAAUUUUAAAAAUAUAUGUAAGUCAUAAUUCCAUAUAAUUGAGUCUAAAAAGGUUGGAAUAAAAUAUUUGGAGCAAACGGGCAAUUAAAUAUUUAAAUAAACUAGUAAUAUGAAUUUAAAAUAAGUAAAUUUGUGGGUCCUCACAGGUAUGCUUGUGAUACAAAUGCAAAUCUGGAUGUUUUGGGUUGGUAGAAAUAGGAAAGAUUGAGAUUUUCUAUCUUGUCGAGGAUGGCUGCCGAUAUACUCUCCGUUCCUGUUACAACUGUGGAUUCAAAAUCUACCUUCAGCGCCAGAGGUAGAGUAAUUGAUGAUCGACGAGCUUCUAUGUCAAUUGAGAUGGUGCAAAAUGUUGCUUUGCGGCAACGAUUGGAUCCGCAGUCUUCAUGGCCUAAAGAAUAAGUCUCGCGUAAGUAAUUGAUUAGAUGUUUUUGUUAUUGUUACAGUUUCUUUAUAUCUGAUUUUGAAGAAUUUUAUAACUUUCAUACUUUUGUUUUGUAGGAAUCACUUGAUGCGACCGAAUUAAUCACAUUUGCGAAAGUUGAACUUCCUGAAUCAUUCACAACCUGAUUUGACGGCUGUUGAUGUUGCUUGGUUCAAACUGAUUCAUUCACAUGUUGAUUUCGUUCAAAAGCUGCAUCGUUCACAAGUUGUUUUCAUCCAAAAAAGUUGUUUUUAACUCUUGGUCUAGAGUUUAAACAUUUUAGAAACUGCUUAAAACGUAUUGAUGGCUGAUGUUUAAUUGUUUGGACUCUUUUAUGUAAUUUUCAUUUUGUAAUCUGAUCUGGUCUGAUGUCGAGUUUGGACAUUUUGUUCCUCCAUUUGAUAGUUUGAGCUGCAAUUUUAACUUCUUUUUCGCUACUCGUGCUUAUGAUGCUUCUGUUUUGCGUUGUCGAAUUGAGUGGAUGAUAUAUCAGGGAAUGUGUUGUUCUUUUUUUGUCAAACUAAAUAUGAGUGUAGAAGAAGCUGAUAUGCUAUCUUCCGUAAACGAGCUCGAGCUCUUCCGUAAACGAGCUCGAGCUCGAGCUCGAGCUUCGAGCUCGAUAAGCUCGACUCAAGUUCAAAAUCAAGUUCGAUCUUGAGUUUCGAGCUUGAUAAGCUCGGCUCACUUUUUGUACUCGAGUUCGAGCUCGAGCUCGAAUUUUCUACAUAGUACAUCGAGUCGAUCUCGAACAGCUUGUGAAACUCGAAUUACUAAUCGAACGAGCUCGAGCUAGCUCGAUUAGAUGUUCGAGUCGAGCUCGAUUGUUAUGUGCUCGAGCUCAACUCGGCUCGUUUAACAGCUCUAAAGUAACAUGCAUCAAAACAGGCUUAUUCUCUUAGUACUUUUUUUUUCUUUUUAUAAAACACAGGUGCAUUAACGCACGACAGAAGCACCCUAUCAAUCUAAGAUCCCAGCUUGCUUGUAGCUUUCGAUAGAGUCAACAAGAGUUUCUUCCACUGGCCUAUACCUCCAGCCCAGCCUCUCCAAUUUUUCUGAGCUAAUAUUCCAUCGGCUUUGAUCCUUCACCUCUAUAAGUCUGCGAAGAAAUGAGUUAUAUCAAGAAAAUAUGCAGACAACAUAAAUGGUUCUUGUAGAGACUCGUAGAUGCCACACUUUUGGAAAUGGAAAUCAUGACGGACAUGAACAAACAAGAAAAUCAGGACAAACGGGGUGUCUGAAAAAUGAGACAAUUAAUUUCAAAGAUGGUAAUCCACCUCUUAGGGUACUUGUAGUUGGCAUAGUUUUUCCUCAGAGUUUCCACCAUAUCUUUUGUCGUGGUGACGUGAGGUGAACAUAUGUACCGGCCUUCAGCUUCAGGCCUCCCGUAAACCAAAAGCAGUGCCUCGGCCACAUCACCCACAUCUACUGUGUUGUAGAAUUUGUUUUCUGUUUCUUCACAUCCGUCUGUGCAGCCAAGGAGUGAAAAAAAAGAGCAGUUUAAUCUCAAAAAAGGAGAUGUUAUCUGUGCUAAUCUCUGAGUUCUUUACAGCAUAUAUGAAACCUACAAUCCCUUUGACAAAUAGUACAGCAAUAAAUUCAUGUGACUUUUGAAUUGCAAAGGACCUACAGGUCACAAUGUUAACCUUUUAUAUCUUCAACAAUGUUCCAAAGCAAAUCAAGCAAACAGUUGAAAGAUGCAACCUCUUCAGAUGUUAUGCCUAUUGUCUGUCUCAUCUUCCAUUAGGUCAAACUCACAAUUUUCACAUCAAUAAAAUUUGAAUCGCUUGUGCAUAUGUCUGGAAAGAUUACAUUUGCACAAUUUAGUAUUUUUGGCAGCACUGCUCGUUUAAAUUUCCUUGCCAUCAAGCAGAAAAUUUAAUUCCAUUCCAACAGUAAAAACCAAACACCACAAUCAGUUUUUUUUAGAAAACUUUGCAAGUUUUUAGAGCAUUGCCAAAAUCAUAAAACUAUCAGAAUGGCAGAUAGCUUACAGGUUUAGAAUCUGAAAACCUCAGCUGGCUUGAAGAUUAAAAAAAAAUGCCAAAAGACGGCAAAGCAGUUAUCUCCAUGAAUGUAGUUUCAUUCCUAGAAGGUCAACCGCAACCAGAUAGAUGGAUUUUGUGAAAUUUUAUUGGCAUCAAUUCAUUGUGUAUCAUGUAAAUAACACUGGAAGCCAGAAGCAUAAAAAUGAUGGGUUACUUGGAAAAUUAGCUGAUCAACCACAUGAAGAAAUUCAAUUGUUUGACCUUUCAAGUACAAAAAAAGGAAAAAAUUGCUAAGCUUUAGAGGUCAUCUGAGUUCUAGAGUGACAUCCAUGCUCACUUAGGCACAAACCAAUAUCAAGGAGAAAACUGUAUCAUUUACACUUCCAUGCAGAAGGUGAAAGAAAGAAAAAUAAAAUAUAACAUAAUGGAAUAGUUCUCUAAUUGAUUACGAACACUAGUAAAUCACCUUUCAACAGCUUUAAAAGAAUCAGGCUGCUAGCAUUUGCAUCAUGCUGAAGCAUGGGGCCAAAAAUAUAGGAUGGGCAUACAGUUAAAACAUCAAGGCCAGUUUCUUUUGCAUAUUGUAAUGCCUCACUUUCAGCAACCAUCUUGGAGUAACAAUACCAGUUCUGGAGCAAUAUUAGUACUAGAUAGUCAGCCAGAAACAGAUGAUAGUAGUUGCAAAAAUCUGAUUUCUCAGCAAUCUUAGAAACAGUAUGAAUAAGACAGUGAAUUUUCUGCACAAUUACAACACCAAGGUGCAACUGCAAAAGUCAAAUUAUGUUGAUGCAUACAUUUAUUGCCUUGCAGUAUUCGCCGUCUGACCAACAAUUCUCAUCUAUGAUUUCACCUUCAGGCAGAUUAGGACUCAUUACAACAGCUGCAGUAGAGGAAACAACUACAACGCGCUUGACAUUUGCUUCAGAACAAGCCUUCAGUACAUUAAGGGUACCCUUUACAGCUGGCUCAACAAGUUCAACCUGCAACAAAUCAUCAUGUUGGCAGAGGUACUAGCACUCAACUCUUCAUGCUGAACUGCUUGUUUUUGCAUAAAAUAUAUCCAGAUAGACAGCUAAGUAGUGUCAGUUAACCUGACAUCUUUGGAGUGAAUGAAUACAAAGUUAAAGACUCAUGACUGCUUAUGCCUGUGAUUUAACUUGGUUACCAGCAUAGGUUAUUAUUAUAUGCAUUUAUUCACUCAUUUCAACAUUUGAAAAAUCCUUCCACGAAAUGAUAGAAAGACAAAGAGCCCCAGUGACUUCAUAAGUUUGUACAAACGCUUUAACAAGGUUCUAUUUUAAACGAUACCCAACUUUAGCUCAUGUUUGGCAAAACGCAAUAAAAUAUUAUCUGUUAUGACAAUAGCUGUCUCAUAAACAAAAGAUAUGUUAAAAAUGUUAUUCUGGGGAAACGAAAAGGAAGAAAUAUCAUAGCAAUUGAAACGAUUGAAAAUGGUCUUGCCUCAGGAUUGGGAACAGAGCCUGAAGGAACAGGACUAGCUACAUGAAAUACGCCAUCACAACCCCUGAUGGCUGCAGAAAUGGAAUUGUAAUCGAGCAAAUCAGCCUUAAAGAGUUUCAAAUUCUCAGCUGCUUUGUCAAGUUUCUUCAGAUGAACAUAUUUCUCAUCGUCUACAAAACAUACACAGCAAUGCCCACAUCAUCAAAUAGCGCAGCACACAAUUCACAGCAGGUGCUUUUAUAUAUUUCUUCAAUUUAACAUAUUUCUCACCCUUCACAAAACAUUUACAGCAAUUCCCACUACAUCAAAUAGGAAACAGCCAAUUGACAGCAGGCAAAAAAUCAAUUGCUGUAUUAAAGGGAAUGAAACAAUCAUACAAGACCCAAAACAAAAACAAAAAAAAAACGAGUAGUAAAUCAGGAAGGAAGGGUUAUAAGGAUGAAAUACGUACUGGGCUUUCUGAGGGUGGCAUGAACAGUAUAAUGGCGGGAAAGGAGUAGCUUGACUACCCAAGAUGCCAGGUAUCCCCCUGCUCCUGUAACACACACUGUCCUGUCCUUCUCAGCCUCCCACGCUGCCAUGUCUGAUUGCUUACCAGUAGCAGUAACGGGAUUAGUAUUUUAGCACCAAAUUCACUAUAGAC